rnacentral:lncRNA from 1 species
ACACAAGAAGCUCAUAGCCAAUCAAAGCCUCUCCAUCUCCGAAGCUCCAACCGAACCGAGGAUGUCUUGCUGCGGAGGAAACUGCGGCUGCGGCACCGCCUGCAAGUGCGGCAACGGCUGCGGCGGCUGCAACAUGUACCCGGAGGCCGAGGCCGCCGGCGCCACCCUCCUCGUCUCCGCCACCGCCACCCACAAGGCGUACGUCCCUUCUCCUUCCUCAUAUAUCAUGCACUCGAUCGUAACAAUAUGACUGUAUGUUGAUCUUGGUAUGGGUGGGGUACGUGCAGGAGCUCCGGCGGCAUGGAGAUGGCGGCCGAGAACGGCGGCUGCGGCUGCACCCAGUGCAAGUGCGGCACCAGCUGCGGCUGCUCCUGCUGCAGCUGCUAGAUCAUUGAUCAUCGAUCAUGCAUGCACCGCGCGUGCAGCAUCGAUCAUAUCGAUCUACUACUACCAUACCAUGUAGCCGGUACCUGAUCGAGGGCCUUAUCUAUGCACCUGACCUGCAUCAGCAGUCAGGUGCCAUGCCAUGCUUGUUGUAAACAGGCCCCCCUAAAUAAAAUCUCCCUGGUUUAACUAUACGUGUGUGUCUGUGCUAUGCAUAUAUCAUCACCUUCUUUUUCUUUUUCUUCUUCUUCAUGGCUCAAAAAACACUAUUUAAGAGCUGAGAGCGUUGAGAAAAUUUGAAAUGAUCAUAAGCAGAAGAUUAAGAUGUUGUGAGUUUUGCCCAAGAAAAUGAAUAUCUAAUAAAUGUUGAAGACGUACCUGAACGGAAAAUAUCAGUGGAUGCAUCUUACCAUGCAUGCUGAUGCUCGAAAAAUAAAAAAGGAUGCCGCUUUACCAUAUCUUUAUCUUUACCUAAUAUUAAAGGGAGGAUUGUUUCUCCAGUUUUUUUCGUUUACGGUGGGACCAAAAUAAUUUUCGUACGUCCCAGCGGUUUCUCCCGAUUCCUUUCUGUCCGAAAAGAAAAACACAGCACGCACAGAUCCGUAAUGGGCCGGCCCAUUAGCAUACCAACAGCCCGCCCCAGCAAAAACAUAUCCAAGAAUAAAUACUGCACUGCAAGGAAUUGAACCCUGCCGCUCAAGCUAGACGCUAAGAGUGCUAGCCAGUAGACUAAGCAAGCCUUGGUGUCUAAUAAGCAGCGCAAAAUUUUAAAUUUAGGUAGCAGUCACGCGAGAUAGUGAGAGGAAAAGAUAUUUUUAAAUGUAAAUAUCUUUUGGAACGCGAAAAAUUUGCAAAGUUGUUAAUAAAAAAAUGAAACUCAAACUUUUUUAAAAGAAAAACAAUAUUUUUAUUUUUAUUUUAUUUUUUGAAACCUAAUUAUUUUUUAAAACAAGGAGGUACUAAUGUGAUUAUUUUUGAAAUUAGCAAACAUUUUAAAAACACAAAUAUGUUUUGGACUUUAAAUUUGUAAAGGCAAAUAUUUUUUAAAACAUGUUUUUUAAAAAAAUGGGAGGUACUGUAGCUAAAUUGCUUUAAUCUAUACUAUUAAUAAAACUUGGCGAAUAUUUUAAAUAUGCGCACCUGAUGGAUUGUUUUAGUUCAAUUUAUUAAACUAGGGACAUGGAAGGAAUCUUUUUCUCUGUCGCGUCUUCACGUACUACCAGUUUCAUUCAGCCCAGUGACUCCCGUCAAAAUGCAUAAGGAGUCCAACUAAGGUUUCAUGGUCUAUCUGAUACAAACUACUCAAUUUAUAUGAUGACACAUACAUAUAGUAUGUGCAGUGCUUUUUCCUACUCCCUUUGUUCCUAAUAUUUGUCUUUUUAGAGAUGUCAAAUGGACUAUAUAUCUCAUAGGAUGUAUAUAGUCAUAUUUUAGAGCAUAGAUUCACUUAUUUUGUUCCGGAUGUAGUCACCUGUUGAAAUCUCUAGAAAGACAAAUAUUUAGGAACGGAGGGAGUAUUAUAUUAGCCAGAUGAUUAAAAAAACUUUGUUUAACGUUCUUGAUCUUCGCCGGGCACGAAAGCGACUAAACAAUCCAGCUAUUGGACCUGGCCAACCUUGGUUAGUGACAACUGGUACCGCGACCACCGGCGACGAGGACGGCAAAGACGACAAGCGGAAGCAUGUGUCUAAUGUUAUAUUGAAAUGGAGGAUGUGGACCUUCGCUGGCACGACAAUAUUAGCAAGACAUUUCCCCUUUUUUUCCACUGCCAAAAAACAUAUUAGCAAUAUAUUUUAAACAACCAAUCAAUGCUACAUAUUAUUAUUUCACUUUACUGUUGUCAUUGUGUUGUUUUCAUAUAUUAUUUUCUGUCGGAUUGUUGGUGUGUGGCUGUAUGCAUCUUAGUUCUCUAUGUGAUUGAUACUACUCUAGUUGCAUUUUAUUUUAGAUUUACUACUCUAGUUGCAUGGAAAUCAGCUCAGUAGCAUUUUUACUUUAUUUUUUGCCUUGGCCCAUUAGUUUUUAGUACACACACGAACGGCCUUGGGCCUAUUAUUUACAUGCCUAGCUGUACAGAUGGUGCAUUUCCAUGAGCCCAAGUAGCAUACUCUAGUUCAUUUAACGGAAAACUCUGUUGGUAUCUGAAAAUGGGAAGAGUUUCUUUGCAAGAACAGUUCAGUAACACUAGGGUUCAGCCAACUAUAUUAUGAUAAUCGUUGGCCUGCAAUCAAGCUCUGCAUGCGUUCACAUGAUGAAUUCUUUUCUUGUGGAUCAGUGACUUAAGCAUAUAUAAGUUGUAAAAAUUUCCAGCUUCUACAGUUUUUUUUGGCGAGAUCAGUGUGUUGUUCCAAAAGUGUUGGACAGAACUGUCAUCAAAAUUAGUUCAAUGACAGUUGGCCAACUAUAUAUAAAUUUCUGGUUGGGCUGUGAUACUUGUGUGAAACUAAUUUUCUUGACAUCGUAUAUUUUUUCUUCUUAUGAACCAGUGGAGCAUUAUUUGAGCAUCGUAUAUAUCAGUUGUAUGACCUUCUAGGGGAACUUAAUUACCUGAUCAUUAUGGUUUCGUGGUGUAGUUGGUUAUCACGUCAGUCUAACACACUGAAGGUCUCCGGUUCGAACCCGGGCGAAGCCAUCAAGUCUUUUUUUUUGUUUUUUUUCAUUGUGCACAAAAAAAGAGAAAACAAAAUAAAAAUUAAUGGCCCAUACAGGUCUCGAACCUGUUACCUUCGCGUUAUUAGCACGACGCUCUAACCAGCUGAGCUAAAAGGCCUUCUCCUUGUUUGGAAAGAGUUCUCUUCUAUACUUCGAAAAACAGAAUAAGACUUUUGGUGAGAGGAAAAGAGUAAGAUCACCUGAGCCCUUUUUUGACCAUUAAGCUGAUGCUAUAAUCACAAUAAAAAAAAACAUCUUUGCUCGUUAGAGCGAUCUGCAAAAUGCAGCAACAAUCUUGGUUCGUGGCUAUCUAGAUUGCCAUGUCACUAUCCACGUUUGUAUGUAUUCGUGGCUGCCGGGGCCAUUUUGUCAUUGUUUCUUGCAACAGCUUCAUAGUGAUACAGUAAUACCCCGCAAAAAAGAAGAAGUGAUAAAGCCAUACAAUGGAAGCAGGCGAGUAAGAACAAGUAUAUGCCCGCUCAAGGCGCAUAUUCAGACCCGUCAUUUUGAUAGUGCAGAACCCUAGCCACCCCUCCUCCUCCUCCCUAGCCGCCCCUCCUCCUCUUCCCUUCCUCGCCGCCGCCUGAGGCAGCCGCCAGGCAAGCCCGGGGCGAUGGUGGCGGGCGAGCCUCGGUUGCCCUGCCUCUGCGUUGGGAACUCCGGAUCUGGAGCAGCGACUUCAUUGGCAAGGCACGGCCGGCUAGCAGCCGUGCGAGCGGUGGAUCUAGUGUCCCGGCUGAGCGGGCGGUGGGAUCCGGUGGUCGUUAGCGGCUGGCGGCGAUUUCUGUGGUGGGCGGUGCACGCGAUCUCGUGCCUCCCCUCCUCCCCUGUUCGGCAUGCGGGCCAUCCUCGUCGGACCGCGCUUCCUUGGGUCGCCGGUUAUGUACAGGAGGCGCUGCUGGUGGCGGGGAUCUAGUUCGGGCGAAAUCCCUGGUCGGCCCUGGCCGGCCACGUCGAUGGCGACGCCUGAGGGCGCCGUUCCCCUUCUUGGAGGCGUCGGUAUGAACCGAUUCCCUCACUUCCCCUUCCCCUAGGUCUCCCGGGCGAAAGCCCUAACUUUGUUGGGCGGCGACGGCGCUCACGGCGCCGUUCCCUUUUUGAAGGCGCCUCUUUGGAAACCUUGGGGCUGGGUGGCGCUUGUGGGUGGUGGGUGAUGGCGGUGGUGCGGCCCUAUCCUAGCAUGGAUUUGCGUCCGUUGCUUGGAGAUGGACUCGCGUAUGUGGAGGUCGUCGUUUGGCGUCAUGGUGGCGUCAAUGGCGAAGGUACCUGCCAAGGUUGGCACCUCAAUCUGCUAUGAAGAUGGACCAGUGGAAGAUGGCAGCGACGACACAUGUGAGUGCGUCGCAUUGGUUUGUGACCCGGACCCGGUAUGUGUCUCGGUCGGGGCCUCCGGCUUUAAAUGUUAGGCUUAGAUGAGAUGUCUGGGUAUUUGGCCCAGCUUGCACCCCUUCAUUAUAUGGAUUGGAGUGGCGGCAGAUGUUGCCAAGAUGGCGGAUUCAGACAUAUUGUUGUACUACUUUGUAAGGUCCUCGAGAAUAAUCAAUAAAAUGGCCGUAUGCAUCUCCCAGAUACAGAGGUCAGGGUCAUCCUCCUUUUCUAAAAAAAUAAAAUUUGAUAGUGCAUUGAUUUAAGCGUUCCAAGAGAAAAGAAUCACUCUCGACUUCUGCGUCACAGAAUGCAUGCAGCCAAAAAAAAAAUUUCCGUUACGUGGAAAAAUAACUAUAUUUUUUUGUAGUAUCCCUUCCUUCUCUAUACUUUGCUGGAAAUAUAACGUCGGGAGUUCAAGGCGCCAUAUGAAAUAUUGGUCAAUGGCUUACCGUUGGGUUCCUCGGUCAUCUCCAUUAAUCAAUCAUCACCGCAGUAAUCUUUGGUAUGCGGCGUUUAAACCCAUGUGCAUAUACAUGGAGAUGGAAGUUGCAUAUCGAUCUGAUGAUUAGAACAAAAGAUUAAGAAGAGGAUAAAUUAAAAGAAAAAUCAUCACAAGAAGAAAGCAGGGAAGAUUAUAUUUGCUCAAUGGAACAAUCUGCAUAAUGCAGCGAAAAAUCUUUGUCCUUGUCUAGUUUCUCAUUUCGUGGUCCAUGCUUGUAAGUAUUUGUCUUUGUUGCAACCUUUUUUGUCUAUGUGUUCUAAGGCUGUGUUCAGAAAUCCACCGCUCCGUCAUCAGAGAGCGGAGCGCGCGGAGCGCCCUGUUUGCCGAUCUCCGUAUUUUUACGGUAUGCGGCUCCGCUUCACGGCGGAGUGACUCCGAACGAAGCCUAACUUUAUGUGAUGUGAUGUGUAUGUAAAUCAUCAUGCAAAGCGUGCGAAUAAUAAUCCUCUCAACAUGCAUCUCGAUUCAAAUCGACAUGUCAUGUCUACAGUUGCAUCUAAGCGCCCGAGGCAAAAAUAACCAUUCCCAGUCACUGCAUCAUAUGUUGCACAUAGCCAAACUCUUUUGAGUAAGGGCGUAUAUCUCGUGACAAAACAAAAAUAUAUUUUGAGGAUAUUCCUCCCUUCUCUAGGUAUACAUGGAUGGAAAUAUAUCAGCCAAUGAGAAUCACCCAAGACAACACGUGAAUUUUCUGAGAUAUUUAUCCCCACUAUACUGCACAAAGUCAUCAUAUGAGGACAAUUGUGUAAGAAAAAUAGUUUAAUUCAAGAACUGCAUAGCCAUAGAUGGAGCUUUCCGCAGGGGGCGACGAGAAAUUGGACCACCAACUCAGUUUGCCUAUCACCCUUUCCCAUUGCUUUCAUCUGCAAAUUAACAAAACACUAGUUGAAUUGAGAUCUGUGUUAAAAUCCUUACGUGCAUUCUAUUAUUUUGUUCACAUAUUUAUGUUUCAUUUAAUAGCACAUGGCAUGAAAAAUCAUAAAUUUCUACAAGAAUACAUAAUACUCAAGCAUGUAUAUUAGGAUUGUUUUUGUGAUUUUUCAAAGCAUGAUAAAUAAAUAAAAAGAAAUCCAGCAAGGCUAAUGAGCCCAAGGCCGGGUGGAAUUUAUUAAUACCAAAUGAUUGAAUAAUAUAUGCAAGGAAAACAAUGUUCGGACUUCUAAACAGUUAUGAUGUAUUUCAUUCAAAGAAAUCAUAUAAAAAAUUGGAGGGUUCUAUUUGGUAGAAAUAAAUAAAUUAUAUGGGACUUAUUUGAUCGUAUAAGUAUGGUGACCACAAAAAUGAUUCGUGUGGCCUACUUUGCAUGAAUUCGAAGAAAAAAAUCUGUUGAAUCAAAUCUUGUGUGAAAAAAUUCAUUGGUUUGACGGAAACUUCGUGCUCGUACCUAAUGCUUAAAAUAUUCUUGUAUAUUUAUUGGGUGCAACAAAUCAACAUCUAUACAUUACACAUUCCUAUAUUUUGAACUCUCAUCCUAUUCAACGCCCCAGGACAUCAAAUACUUACUUUAAUUUUUCCUGUUCUUGUGUUUUUGAAAACUCACAAACAUGAGUAGCCCAAAUUGUUCAAAAAUAGUGGACGUGCGAUAGUUAUUGAAAUACCUAUAAUAGAGAUGAAAAUGUUUCCAAAAUCCAGGAUGUAAUACUAAACCAGAAAAAAAGAAAGUUGCUAGACCUUCUAACCCAAGAGGUACCGAGACUUUCAUUGACCUCAGGCUGAGAGUAAUACAUUUUUGCCUUGUAAAAGGUUGAGGGUUAUCGACUGAUGUACAGAAUGGAGUUACUUAGUUUUUUUUAAGGUUUUUUAGUUCAAACUUAACUUAAUGCAUAUUCAGAUUUAACCAAUUAAUAUCAUUAUUUCCAAUAGCUAGCCAACAAAUAUUUAAGCCGAACAAAUCACCAAGAUCCUUCCUCGCGUGAGAUAGAUGUAAUUGUAAUUGCAGAGUAUAAAUCAAUUCCAACAACAAAUGAAUAUUGGCUUUAGUUACUUAUUGUAAAAUGGUAACUAGUUAGAGACGGAGAGAAAUCAAAUGAUGGAGGAGGCGGCCCUAUCCUUAUUCCACUUCCAUAAACGGUGAUCCCUUGGUUGCUCGUAUCCAUCCUUUUGCCAAUAUGUGUGUGUGUUUGUGUGUGUGUGUGUGUCACUACAACAAAACAACCGUGUAAAGUCGCUUUUUCUGGGCCGCUAUUUAUAUUCGUCUCUAUGGUCAAGACACUAGCAUACUAAAGACGCUUCCUGAAACGUUUAUAUAAGCAUCCCAAAUUUAUUUUUAGAAUGAUGAAUUUAUAUAAUAAAUUUAUAUUCUUAAUUAACUUAGAGGCGAUUUUACUCGGAAAAAAAACUUAGAGGCGAUUUGUGAGUCGAUUAGUUAAGCCCGCGAGAUAUUUGGCGCUCGCAAAUUCAUUAUUUUACCGCUUAAAGACUUCCCGCGGCUUUUCGGAUUUUAUUUUUCUAGUAAGAUACUCCGUGUAAUCCUCCCACACCCCCGUCUUUCCAGUUUCCACCUCCCACAGAAAUCCCAAUCUGCGCCGCCACCAAAGCCUAUCCCCCGCGGCAGUUCUCGGCCCUGCUCUGCCCUCCGGCGCCAACUCCACCCUCGGCCGGCGACUUCCCAUUCUCCUAUGUCGGCAUCCUCGCCGGUCGGAGCCCCGCCUGCCGUCGGCUUACUCCCCGUUGACAUGCAUCGCCCCUCCCAACUCUCAUCACCACACCGUCCCGCAAGAUGGGAUCCGCCAUGUCAAGAAGGUGCUCCCUCGAAUCCCAUGUCUUCUACAGUUUUUGAAUUAAAUCAAUCAACGCAGCUUCUUAGUUGACGCAUCCCACGCCUCUAUCUCGAUUGGUUGGUUCUCAACUGAAUUUCAAAAUUUGGACCGACCACUAUACUGAUGCAUCAAAACUUAUCCUGAUGCAUCAAAUCUCAUGAAGUAAAUCUCGAUGGUGGUGUGGCCUGCAGCUUGACAAAUUUUUGUAUUUUGCAUCUCAUUCGUUUGUUCCUUUUUAGGGGGAGAAGGAGCGAAUACAUUAAUCAGGUGCAGGUUCGAAUGACUGGCCAUUAAGUAGACUACAUUUACUCUCUGUGGGAGAGUUCCAGUUUAAUUUGCAAUUCCAACAUGGUUCGUACGUUCAUUGUUUGAUGAUGUAUAGUUUUAGCUUCCAGAAACUAGCAUCACUUUUGCCUAGUACUUACGAAGCAAAAUGACAUAUCUAUGUGGGCUUUUACUUUAUUGGUUCUGGCUUCACAUGACUUCAUGAGACUGACAAGGAUAUUUUUUGGUCCAGCACUAAUGGCUAGUGCGAUUAUUUUCAUGGAUUUUUACUUACUUUAGCUCGGUAGAUGCUCAGUAUUUGUCUUACUUGUACCAUUUUGGGAAGUGUUCAUGCAUCUUAAUUAGGCAUGAGUAAGAUCAGAACAAGCGAAGUUAUGUACAUUUUGGAAAAGAUCCAAACUAGAUAUAGUUUUCCGCUCAGUUUGAUCCAGUACAACUGGUCAGGCAAAUUGUGGUUCGCCAACCUAUCUGAUAUAGCCUUGAAACAUUUUGAUUUUACACAAGUCAGCUAGGGCAUAGGGAAAUGCAUGUUAGUAUCUGACAAUGGAGGAUGCGACUCACUGUUGAAUCAACAAAUUGACCAGAUCAACGCUCUGUUACACACAGCUGCCCUAUACCUAGAAACAAAAAAAGUUGUAUCUCUCUCCCCAGAUACGCCGCAUCCAUGGCUCCUGACAGGGAUAACUUCUAACAUCGAUACUUCCCGAACAUCUGGGUGAUGCCACUAGCUACCAACCAAAUUCCCCCCAGCCCCCAUCGGAAGAUGCAACUGAUACCACUACCUUGCAGCCAUAGAUUGAUUCCUUCCUACGCUGGCAGGCUAGAUGUUCAAGGAGGUAGCGGAGGUGCAGCCGUGUGUCCAUCCUCUCCCAUGGAAGGCACCUGGUACAAUUUUCUCUCGAAUAUGCACGAGUGUGCAUAUUAUAUAUUAUAGAAGAAAGGCAAAGAGUGCCUCCACCAUAGUUCCAAGGUUCAUAUUACAACACUCCUAAUCCUCACUACUAGCCCACCGUUCAAGCCGAAGGAAGAAGGGGUCCAUGUCUCUCUUAAACUUGCCGGCAAUAGACCACAUUCUUCCUUCCGACCUUACUCUACCUAGUAAAACACCUAACGAAGGUGAUGCCCCAUCAAACACAAUAGCAUUGCGAUGCUUCCACAACUCCCACAAAGUCAGCAAGAAAACCGUAUGAAGAUCCUUCUUGUGCCAGCCGUUAGUCCCAUGCUUCUCCGCAAGCCAGAUGGCUAAGGAAUCGUGUGCAGUCGGAGUCCGGUCCAGCAUGCCCAGCGCCUCACAUACUGCAGCCCACGCUGACCUGGCAAAGACGCACGUCAGUAGCACAUGAUCAAUCAUUUCGUCCUCUUGGUCGCAUAAGGGGCAUGCAUCCUGGUGUGGGAGGCCUCUCCUCGCCAGUCUAUCAGAGGUCCAACACCUGUUUCUUAAGGCAAGCCAAGCAAAAAACUUGCAGGUAGCUGGGGCGUGAGACUUCCAGGUCAGCUCUGCCAUAGGCUCAACCGUCCGUCCCCAAAAUUUUGCCGCGUAAGCCGAGCGCACCGAGAAACGGCCGUUGGUCUCCCAUGACCAACCGACCAAGUCCGGCCCAUCCGCCUGCUGCUCCCACGUGCUUACUUUGAUCCAAAGCUGUAAGUACUCCUGCAAUGCUCCCUCACCAAUAUUCGGGCCAACCUUCGAUGCCCAAGACCCAUUUUGCACAGCCUGGGCGACUGAUCUCGUCAAUCUGGUCCGCCUUGGGAUCAUACCAUAUAUUGUUGGAGCAAUCUCUUGUAUCCGCAUACCAUCUAGCCAACGAUCCUCCCAAAAAAGUGUAUGGAGACCACAGUUUGCUUCACUCCUCAUAGCCGCCUGGACAAGUAACUUAGCUUCUUUGGGGAUCUUGAUCUUGAACUUGCUCCAAGGUUUACUCGUGUCCACUCUUGUGAGCCAUGCCCACCUGGCUUGCAUGGCCACAUUCAGCCAUCUAAGGUUAGGUAUCCCUAAGCCACCAGCCCACUUCGGCGCACACACCGAAUCCCAAGCAACCGCACAGUUCCCUCCGUUAGCUUCCGCUCUUCUGCACCAUAGGAAGCCUCUACACACUUUGUUCAUUGCCGCAAUCGUCUUCUUUGGUAAGUCGAGCGCCAUCAUGGCGUGGAUGGGCAUGGCACAGAGCACAGACUUCACCAAUGUAAGCCGCCCACUCUUCGGCAUUAGAGCCGCUUUCCACUUAGGCAGACAAUUUGCCAUCUGAUCAACUAGAAACUGCAUUUGUGCCGCGGACUGCUUCCUCAAGGUCAGCGGCAGCCCAAGGUACUUAAUUGGAAAAGCCCCUCUCGGGCAUCCCAGCCGAUGACACACCGUACCUGCCUCCUGAUCAUUGCAUCUUAUCGGUAGGGCCACCGAUUUGCCCAUGUUUAUCCUCAAGCCCGAAGCCUCUCCAAACAUUUCCAGAAUGUUCUUGCAUAUGUCUAGCUCCGUGGACUUGGGCUUGAUGAACACCACCACAUCAUCAGCAAAUAUAGACAAGCGCUGCCUCAUACCUGUAUGUGCCAAGGGCUCCAACACACCACUAGUUGUGGCCCUCUGAAACAACCUCUGCAACGGUUCCAUAGUAAGAAUGAAUAGCAUCGGCGAUAUCGGAUCCCCUUGUCGCAGCCCCUUGCAGUCAUAGAUGGUGUCGCCGGGGUCUCCAUUUACCAUGACUUUGGUGGUGGAUGUUGAAAGGAUUCCACAGAUCCAGGAUCUCCACCGAGGGCCAAACCCCAUUUGUUGCAUCACCUCAAGCAAGAACGGCCACUGCACCGAAUUGAAGGCCUUCGAAAUAUCUAACUUUAGAAGCACCGAGGGCAUCCUUAGGGCAUUCAGCCUUCGGGCCAUACUUUGAACCAACAUGAAGUUGUCAUGCAGCGAUCGACCUUUCACAAAAGCGCUCUGGUGGUUUCCAAUCAACUGCGGAAGGUGCACCACCAAGCGACAAGCAAGCACCUUCUCAAAAAUUUUGAUAGCCCCAUGCACGAGGUUGAUCGGCCUGAAGUCACCCACAUCCAAAGCACCAUCCAUCUUAGGCAAUAAUGUCACCAAAGAUUUGUUGAUAGCCGCCAAUCCCCUCAUGUCUCCAUUGUAGAAGCAAUCCAUGGCCUUCAUGAAAUCUACCUUAAUAAUGUUCCAACACUUUGCAUAGAACCGGCCCGUGAACCCAUCCGGCCCUGGCGCCCUAUCCGGGGGCAUAUCCUUAAUCACGUUUUCCACUUCCUCCAUAGUGAACGCCACCUCCAACUGUGAUAGGUCCAGAUGCGGCAGGUCUAGCCCCUGUAGGUUUAGUGUGUAACUCCGUGGCUCCACGGUGCCGAAAGCCCUGCCGUAGUACGCAUCCACCGCUGACGCCACCUCUUCCUGCCCUGAGUGAAUAGCCCCAUUGUAUUUCACCGAUUUGAGUACAUUCUUCCGCUGCCUGUGACUAGCUUGUUGAUGGAAAAGCCUCGUGCUCCCAUCCCCUUCUCGGAGCUGCAGUAGCCUGGAGCGUUGUCUUGCGAUAGUUCUCUCCAGUGAGCAUAGCCCUAACAGCUUCCUCUUUAAGCGUCGCCUCAAAUCCCUCUCUGCGUCUGCUAGCUGUCUUGAUUCCAUGGCAACGUCUAGCUGCUUUAUCACCUCCAAUGCAAUGAAUAUCUGUAACUUUACAUUACCAAUCCAACGGUUGCUCCACUUCUGAAGACUAACCGCCGUGGCCCUCAGCUUGUUCUGGAGCGUAAGAUAGUCGUUCGAGGCCACAGGGGUGGAGUCCCAAGCCGCCUGUACUGUUUCCAUGAAUCCCUCCGCCUUGACCCAGAACGCCUCAAACUUGAACCUUUUCCUCGUCAUAAUCUUCAAGUUCAUAUCGAGAAGCAGUGGGCAGUGAUCCGAUACUGCCGUACCCAGCGCAGAAAGGAAACAUGAUGGGAAUGCUUCAUCCCAUUCAUUGGAGACAAAGACAUGAUCGAUUUUCUCUAGUGUUGCGUUCUGCCUCUCGUUAGACCAAGUGUAUCGUCGCCCAUUCAAGUAUAACUCCUUCAGUUCUAGCAUGUUCAGCUUAGAUCUGAACCGCCUUAACAUCCUCCGAUUAAUCAAAUCAUUGUUCUUGUCCUCCUGCCCAGCUAUGAGAUUAAAGUCUCCAGCAACUAGCCAAGGCCCCGCGUGCAGGUCCCGUAUAUCCACCAGGUCUUGUAGGAACUCAAGUUUGUCGGCCUCCUCCUGGGGGCCGUAGACACAUGUCAACCACCAGGCUUGUUCAUCCUCCGGACACUUGACCAGUGCCGUCAACGUAUGAUUUGUGUAGUGUGGGUUGGACAAGUGAGUAAUAGAUUCAUCCCACGCCACCAAGAUCCCACCACGUGUUCCCAACGCCGGUAAGUAGAAGAACUUCUCAUAUUUAUUACCAAGGCAUUGGCGCACAAUGCUUGCAGAUACAUCAUGCAAUUUCGUCUCUUGUAGACAUACAAUGGCCGGAUUGGCGGAUGUCACCACCUGAAAUAGAGCGUUCCUCCUCGCCGGAGCAUUAAGCCCACGGACAUUCCACACCAACAUCUUAAGGGGUUGUGCAUUCAUUUGCGAUGCCCACAACGACCCCGCGUAGCAGAACGGGUCACUAGGCCACAGCCGGCCCGUCGAUCCACGGUUCCUGGGGUGAUUCCCAUCCAAACAAGGCCAGCACAGCCGCAAUGUGCGCGUCCGAGAGCGGGCGUGAGAAAAGGUCAAUGUACAUCCGGAGGGCAUCCUCCGAAAUAGCCUCUCCCUCAUGUGCCAAGCACAACUUCCUGAUGAGCACUUGUUGCGGCUUAGAUGCCGCAUGUUUGGCAAUCCCGGCACUCCUCCUGGGCGUGACUUCGAUCCUCUGCUUCUUCCUUGCCUGACGGCAGGUGUGGGCAACAUUCCUUCUAUUCGGCCUGGGCAAGAUCGGAGACAAGGGUUGGCGAACACCAGCACAAAAUGCCCCCACGUCUACGUGAAACUCGUCCCCCACCCCUGCCUGCAUGGGAGCGGCGCUGCAUGGCCUCGAAUCCAACGCAUGGCCAAGCUCCUCCUCAGGUGGGUCCUUAUCCACCCCAUUGGCCGGACAGUGUGGCCUGCAUGCCAGUUGGUUGGCCAUAUGGCCCACCUCGUCCUCUGGCUGGCUCGCGUCAGGCGCCUACCCAACCAUACCCGGCCUCGGGUCCUGCAGCGGGCUUGUAUCCCCCGAGGAGAGGCUGACCUGGAAAGUGUCCCAGGGCUCCACCUGCAUGGCGCAAUCCUCCACAUCCUGUUGCAACGACAGGAGUUCCUGAUUUUCCCCAGUCCCGAAGCUUGCCAAAUCUUCGUCCGUCAUAUCCUGCAGGAGGAAGGGGAUUUGAACCAAUCCGAUCUGCAUAGAUCCAUGCACAUUCCAGCCUCCAAUGGGCACCCGGACCGAGGCGGCGGCCCCACUCCCCUGCGUCCCAGCAGCUUCGUCCACCUCCUUCUAUCGCCACCUGAUUAGCUGCACCGAUGGUGGUGAGCACGCAGUCUUCAUGGACCCCAUCGCUGUCGGGGCCGGGCAGGACGCCUCGCGUGACAGGGAACAGCUGGCCCCCAACGCGCCGGGCCCCAAGAUUGGCUGAACGACCGGGCCCGUGGGGAUACGCAUGGCGUCAGCCACGCGGCAGUUGCUGACCAACCCGUCAUCCAUCCGCAUCAUUUGACCGCGGUUGCGCGCACCCCUCGUCGGCAACGCCGCCGCCGCCGUAGACGAUCCGGCCGUGCUCGCCGAAUCACCACCAUGGCCGCCCGUACACCAAGCGCAACCACCCUGUCCACCUUGACCACCAUGGUCACCAGGCGCUGGAUCGUCAUUCCCAGUGGGUGGCGAUGGAGGCGGAGGCGGCGCCGGCCGCCCCUCCAUAGCCUCGUCGUCCACCAACGGGUCCGCCAAUACCUCGAUGUCGAUAGGAUACGAGAGUGCCGUAGUGCACCGUCCCACAGUCAGUCGCUGUCCUUCCUCCAUGGCCCAAAGUGUUCGCCGGGGUUCGUCGAUGAAGAGCAAACGCCACCUCAGAAUCCGCUGCGGACGGUCUGUGCGCAGCCAGACCCGGAAGUCCGCCAUGUCCGCACGACUGGCGGUGUCUUCGUCCACCCCCACAACGUAGCCUAAGCCACGCAAGACCACGCUCGCCGUCCUCUGGCUCCAGGCGUGUGCCGGCACCCCUCGCAGAGAGAUCGGGACGAGGAAGGGCAGGGAUGCCGCCGUGGCCUGCGACUGGCGAAUCCAGGGCCGCAAGGAGAGCUCGAACCAUGAGGAACUCGCCCGGCCUUCACGCACCAUCCGAUCCCGGAGAUCACCGUCCUGGCAGAGCACCAAGAAAUCCUCCGGAUAGUAACGUCGAAUGGACAUUUCCGCCGGGCCGACGCCGAAUGCCGCAUGCAGAGCACGCGCCGCCGAGUCCACGUCCAUCGAAGGCCUGGUGCCGGUCACAGUGACAAGCACAGCUCGCGCCAGCUCCGCCUCCAGCCGCCGCGUGUCUUCCGCCGCCUCCAAGAAGCAGACCUCCAUCUGCUCCGGCUCCGGACGAGGCGGCGUGGCCUCCAGGGAGCCAAAAGGUGCCGUGAAUUCCAGCGAAGCCCGUCUCGCCGACGAUGCCGCAGGAGGCCCUUGCACCACAUGGCUCCACAAGCGCACCGCGCCCGGCGGAGGUGGCCCCGGCGGCGGAGGAGGUAAGACCGAGGGCGGGCGAUGCGGCGAGGCCGGCGGCGAGGGCGCAUCCACAGCAGCCCGAAGACGGAGCGCCGGAGGCAGGCGCGGCUGCUGCUCCACUGGAGACGGACUGCGCGGCCGAGUGCACCCGCGCGAGGUAUGGCCGGCACCGCGGCAACGGACGCAGAACGUGGGGUUGGUGCACUCCCUGGAGAUAUGGCCCUCGCUGCCACAGUUAUAGCAGCAGCCAUACAGCUCCGCCGGCAGCUUGGAGGUAGGCGGCGGGCGGGCAGCAGUGAGCACGCGCGGCUCACCAGCCGGGCGGCGACGCCUCGGACGCAAGACGCGGACAGGCGGGGCACGCGGGCGGCGGCCCACCUUGGUCUGCCAGGCCCCAACCCCGGACAGAGGAGCCGGAGCGCGCGAGGAGCCAGCCCCGCCCUGGAUCACCGGGCCGAAGGGAGUGCCCAAGAUCUCCGGGACGACGACCAUGGACCUGAGCCGCGGCCGCAACUGCGCCGGAGGAGGGGAGAUCCGCGCGGAAGGCACGCGGGGUGGGGAGGGCAUAGGAGCCCGGGGCGGAGAGGGGGAAGCCGCCGACCCGGACGAGAACGACCCCGAGAGAGAGACCUUAGAGGCCAUGGCGCUGCGGGAGGGUGGGCGCCGCCUCCGGGGUGGAGCGCGACGCUUAUGGUGGCCGCCGGCGCCGGAGUGACGGCCGGCGCGGAGCGCAGGAGCGCAGGGGAGGAGCGCAGCGCAGUGAACUUGACAAGUGUAAACUUAAUACUAAGCUUUUUUGCACCUGGUACAAUGGUACCCCAUGAUCCUCCUUCCAAUUGAUUUUUUUAUUGUCAAUUUGUGUUUGGCCCCAAACAUUUUUUUUCCUUCUUCAAUAAGUACAACUCCUAUGAGCGAUUGAUCAGAGCUCUAAUUUCGGGUGUUGAUUGAGUUCACCUUGUUAUGUAUAGAAUGAAUGAUGGGAUUCAUGUUUUUGUACAUAUCACAGAGGAUCUAGUAUGAUAAUAUUAAUACUUCUACAUAGUAUUACCUCACCUUCCAUACCAUUGUCCACUUGUUUUGUGCUACUAUCCAAUGGGGACACGUUUAUUUUGUUGAUAUGUCACGUAAGAGUAUAAUAUACUUCUGAUAUCUCUGAGAGUGUAUAUAAAGACUAUAGAUUUUGUAGUAUGUUAAGGUGAUCAAAGUUUCUCUGUAUUACCUUUAUACAUGACAACAGAUUAUAAUGCUGUCAAAUUUAUGUGGGCUAUAACCAAACAAAACAUUGUAAUUUCUUUCUGACAGCAGUUUAGCUAGUCAAUUUUAUACAGAUUGUAAUAGUAUCAAACCGAUGUGGGCUUUAACCAAACCACAUACAGUAUUUUUUUUCUGUCCGCACAUUAACUGGUCAUUUUUAUACAGAUUAUAAUAUUGUCAAAUUGACAUGAGCUAUAACCAAACAUCUCUGUGAUUUUUUCUGUCAGAAAACAGCUAGUAAGUUUUUUAUUGCAUUGACACUAUCGUAAGAGACAAUGUUUUCUUACUAUUUGCAGAUAUUUAAGGAUUUAACAUUAUGGAAGUGUUCAGCAGAUGAUCUUUUACAAGUGAAAAGAAUACAUUUUUAUAAGGAGCAAUCAAUGUGGGACCAUUACAAGGUGUGUGAUUUAUCCAUGUUCCAACCUUUUCUGCUGACAAAGAUGGUUCAGAAUAAUGUAGUGGUCAUCUGUUUGACAGAUAAGCUGCAUUAUCUCUAGAUCAGCUGGCUCAAACUUCUUUGUUGUGUCAUCUCCACUAUUGUAGAGUUUCUAUUGGACGGAAGAUUACUAGUGUCGACAAGCAUAACCAGUCAAUCCUAAGAAGUCUUAGUUCUAUAGAGAAGAAACACACAAAUUAUAACUAUUCUUUGUGAAAUCAAUGUAUAUUUCUUAUUUAAAAUUAUCUAGCUCUGCUUCUCUAUAUUUCCCUUCACCUUUUCUGAUGCUAAUGUGCUCUUAUUGCAGGAUUUAGAGGACAAAACUAAUUAUAUGGACAUAUUAUAACAGGUUUUAUAUCAGAAAUAAUCUUGAAACGUGCAAGCGAAAUCUUCACAUUUUUCCAGAAGCCAUAUCCAUAAAAGCUGCGAAAGCCAUCAAGCUGAUGUACCAAACUAGCUAUAGAAUUUUUAGAUAGAUUUCCACUGAGAAUUUCCAUUUUUUUCUCAAAUUGGUUUCAACUUUCAGAUAGUUAGAAUUAGAAUUAGAAGUUUAUUUUCUAGUGACAUACACAUUAUUGUAUGAACGUAGAGUUCACUUGUAAACUAUACCCUUUGUAAUAAAAAUAGUUGUAAUGGCGUGCACAUUGCUACUUGUUUUGCGGCUGUGAUUAUGAGAAACUUUUUCAGUUAAUUAUGAGAAUAAGAUGAUUGUAAUGCAACAAUGAUGUUGAAUAAUGCCUACACAACUACAUUAUUUGAUGAUCUGCAUGUGCGGCAGGGCAUGAUAAAACAAUCCAAUUCAAAAUAGUGAAAUACAACAAAUGUAUGCCGUCAUAUGGGCAUGUCUAGUAGAAUGUAUAUAUAUUUGUUUAGACACAUUUUUGAGCGUGCCUAUAUAGCGUCUCAAGUCAUGUAGACACACUGUUGAGCGUUUUAUAUAGCGUCUCAUGUCAUGUAGACACGCUCUUCAGCGUCCUUAUAUAGCGUCUCAUGUCAUGUAGACACGCCUAUCAAGCGUGUCUAAAUGUUUGAGACGGUCCGUGUGGAGACGUUCGAAGGACGCUUUACUAAAACGACUCUACAAUUGGCUAGAGAUGAAAUACCACGUCACUAGCUAUGUAAUUUGACGUCUCUACUGGCAGGUUUUGUUGUAGUGUGUGUGUGUGUGAUUUCAUCUCUCCUUCCUCCUAUUCGAUUGCCUCUAAAUAGCAAUCGCCAUUCGCCAUUGUUCCUCAAGGCAAUAAGAAACAAGCACAAGAAGCUCCUAGCCAAUCAAAACCCGGCCUGCAUCACUAUAGAAUAUGAUUUAUUAUUUUUUAGUGAGGAUAUGUUAAUUAUGUAGUUACUGCAUAAAUACAAAAAAUUAUAGCAUAAAUGUGAUCAAUACCGCUGACAUGGAGCGCUGGAGGCCCUACACAAAAUACUGGUGAUAUUUAAAAUAUCCCCACUUAAUAAACAAGUCAAUCAUAUGGCCCGCUGCUACCUCUUGAGCACUGCGUUGGUUUCCCUUAAAAAAGACAGGGUGAUGCAGCAAAGUAGUGUAAGUAUUUCCCUCAGUUUUUUAGAAUUAAGGUAUCAAUCCAGUAGGAGGCCACGCGCGAGUCCCUCGCACCUACACAAACAAAUAAAAUCCUCACAACCAACGCAAUAAAGGGGUUGUCAAUCCCUUCACGGUCACUUUUAUGAUAAAGUGAGAUCUGAUAGAUAUGAUAGAUAUGAUAAAGUGAGAUCUGAUAGAUAUGGUAAGAUAAUAUUUUUGGUAUUUUUAUGUUAAAGAUGUAAAGUAAAUAAAGCAAAAUAAAAAUGGCAAAAGAAAUAGCUUGUUGAUGGAAGAUUAAUAUGAUGGAAAAUAGACCCGGGGGCCAUAUGUUUCACUAGUGGCUUCUCUCGAGAGCGUAAGUAUUACGGUGGGUAAACAAAUUACUGUUGAGCAAUUGACAGAAUUGAGCAUAGUUGUGAGAAUAUCUAGGUAUGAUCAUGUAUAUAGGCAUCACGUCCGAGACAAGUAGACCGACUCAUGCCUGCAUCUACUACUAUUACUCCACACAUCGACCGCUAUCCAGCAUGCAUCUAGAGUAUUAAGUUCAAAAGAACAGAGUAACGCUUUAAGCAAGAUGACAUGAUGUAGAGAGAUAAGCUCAUGCAAUAUGAUAUAAACCCCAUCUUGUUAUCCUCGAUGGCAACAAUGCAAUACGUGCCUUGCUGCCCCUACUGUCACUGGGAAAGGACACCGCAAGAUUGAACCCAAAGCUAAGCACUUCUCCCAUUGCAAGAAAGAUCAAUCUAGUAGGCCAAACCAAACUGAUAAUUCGAAGAGACUUGCAAAGAUAACCAAUAAUACAUAAAAGAAUUCAGAGAAGAUUCAAAUAUUGUUCAUAGAUAAACUUGAUCAUAAACCCACAAUUCAUCGGUCUCAACAAACACACCGCAAAAGAAGAUUACCUCGAAUAGAUCUCCACAAGAGAGGGGGAGAACAUUGUAUUGAGAUCCAAAAAGAGGUAAGAAGCCAUCUAGCUAAUAACUAUGGACGCGAAGGUCUGAAAUAAAUUACUCACACAUCAUCGGAGAGGCUAUGGUGUUGAUGUAGAAGCCCUCCGUGAUCGAUGCCCCCUCCGGCGGAGCUUCAGAAAAGGCCCCAAGAUGGGAUCUCACGGGUAUAGAAGGUUGUGGCGGUGGAAUUAGGGUUUUUGCUCCGUAUCUGGUAGUUUGGGGUACGUGAGUAUAUAUAGGAGGAAGAAGUACGUCAGUGCAGCAAUGUGGGCCCACGAGGGUGGAGGGCGUGCCCCUUACCUCGUGCCUUCCUGGUUGCUUUCUUGACGUAGGGUCCAAGUCCUCUGUAUCACGUUCGUUUCGAAAAUCACGUUCCUGAUGGUUUCAUUCCGUUUGGACUCCGUUUGAUAUUCCUUUUCUGUGGAACUCUGAAAUAGGCAAAAAAACAACAAUUCUGGGCUGGGCCUCCGGUUAAUAGGUUAGUCCCCAAAAUAAUAUAAGAUUGUAUAAUAAAGCCCAAUAAUGUCCAAAACAGAAUAUAAUAUAGCAUGGAGCAAUCAAAAAUUAUAGAUACGUUGGAGACGUAUCAAGCAUCCCCAAACUUAAUUCAUGUUCGUCCUCGAGUAGGUAAAUGAUAAAAACAUAAUUUUUGAUGUGAAAUGCUACUUGGCAUAAUUUCAAUGUAAUUUUCUUAAUUGUGGCAUGAAUAUUCAGAUCCGAAAGAUUCAAGAAAAAAGUUUAAUAUUGACAUAAAAAUAAUAAUACUUCAAGCAUACUAACUAAGCAAUUAUGUCUUCUCAAAUAACAUGGCCAAAGAAAGUUAUCCCUACAAAAUCAUAUAGUCUGGCUAUGCUCCAUCUUCAUCACACAAAAUAUUCAAAUCAUGCACAACCCCGAUGACAAGCCAAGCAAUUGUUUCAUACUUUUGGUGUUCUCAAACUUUUUUAAUCUUCACGCAAUACAUGAGCGUGAGCCAUGGACAUAGCACUAUACACUACAAGAAAUCUGUUAAUACAUGACGGAUCUGAUCUGUCACAAAUCAGUCAAAAACUGUCAUGCAUGCCUCAUGGACUUGAAAUCCGUCAUGUAUAUCGCGUCAUAAUUUGACAUUGUACCUUCCUUGACGGUCCUUGACCGUCAUGGAUUUACCUUAGGCCCGUCCAAGCCCAAACUAGGCCCGAUCCUUAGUGACGGAACAUACCAUCAUGGACCAAUGUGCCAUGUAGGAUUCUCAGUUGAACAAGUGGAAUGAUGUGGCUGCCAACAUGGAUGCUACUUUUCGUCACAGAAAUUAUCAUGGAUUUAGGAUCAAUUUAAAUAUGAUCUGGUCCAUUUCUUUCAGCCCAAUUUGACCCAAAACGCUUUUAGCAUAACAUGUCACAUAAAUGAUAAUGGCAAUUUUGGCCCAAGAUAGUAUUUCCAAAGUGUCAUACAUGUUACACAAAUCAUUCAAUAUGCAGCCAUACAUAGGUAUUUGUACAACUAGUAGUUUAUAAAAUCCUCCAUGAAAUGAUAAUAUACAUCAUAUAUUGACAAAAUAUAUCACACAAAUGUUAGGAAGGAGUACAAAUCCAAUUUACAUCAACAACACAUAUAAACUACUAAGUUUGUUAUUCAUUUUGUCGUCGGCCCUCCUGCUGGCAACUAUAUGUCAUGGCAGAUUGUGAUGGACACCAAGUAGCCCGCUACCCAAUCAUACCUACCAUAUUUACAACAACAUUAGACAUUUGUAGAUAUGAAUAAAUAAUAGAAAUAAGAGAAUUAGACGAAAGCAAAAAAUAUCAGCAGCAGUAGAGGCCAUAUAAAUCCGCCAAACAAUGGCAUCAUUAACAAACAAUAACCAUGAUGUGAAGCCACUGCUCAUGUCUCAACAAGUUUACACAUAAAAAUAAAUAUUUACACUGGCAAUAGUAAACAGCACUUGCCAAGUGAACCCAAAAUGGCAUGCAAAAUAACUAAGAGCCAUGGCCACUAACAGAUUUAUAUAAGUGGAAAUGGUUCUGUUAAGAGAUAUUGAGAUAAUAGUUAGGAUGUAUCAGUUAUUGAUCCUAACAACAUGCAUGGGGUUACUUUGGUUCAAGUACGUAACUCUGAAUUAGAUCAACCAAAUAGGUGCAGUUCAGUAGUAGUUGAGUUAUGGAAUGGAAAUAACUGAGAAAUCAUAGGAGUGGCAGUAGAGAACUAAACCAUUGAUCGCGGAGCAGCUCCAACCGCUACCACCGCUGCUGCCCUCUCAAGCUCUAUUAUGCACCAUGCAACGACAUGGAUGUUACGGCGCAACCAGACCUGCAUCACAAAAAGAGGAACAACAUCAAGAAAAAGAUUUAGGAUCACUAGUGAGUAGCACUAUUGAGGAAGGCGGCCUAGGCAUGGAGCAAAGGAGUUGAAGAAAAAAUGUGUUGUGUAACCGUGUUGGCAAGUGCUAGCUCUGUUUGUGCCUCAAGACUGAGAGACAGUGAGCUAACACGUAGGCUUGGUACUAGUACUAGUACGUGGAGAGCUAAUAGUAGUAGUACUACUACUAUAAAUUGACUCACUAAUAGAUGUGCUUCAUACACAAAUUAAUACCGAUGUAAUUUUCUUCUUAGAUUCAGACUAAACUUAUUUUGGAAUACAUAUUCACCAGGCUGCAGCACGAGACAGUAAGGACAAAAAAAGAAAUGCCUAGGGAGAAAACUCUCAACAGAACAUGUUGACAUGUUACUACAGUAACAUAAAUCAUAAAUCAUGUCUCCAAGACCUAUAGGGAAAAUCUCUGAAUAAGAUCUUGAUAGAAGGCCACAUACCACAGUGCAACGGUUUGUCUCAACUUGGUACCCUAUUGUUUGUCUCUAUUUGGUAUCCUGUAGUGUACAAGAUACAAAGGAAAUUCCGUAUUAAAAUUCUGAGAGGAGGCACGCACACACAACACACCGGCUGCUGAACCGGAGCCCUCGAUAGUAGUUGCCGCCACCUUGUCAGCACGCACACACAACACACUAUUAAGAGUUAGAGAAGGCAGUAGCCACACUAGGCCAAUUAUCCUGACAGUGUUGGACCCUUUUUUAUCAAUAUAUGAUAAAUGAAAUUGGGGAAACUGCCCAAUCCCACUUUCCAUUUUCCUUGUUAAAACUUUAUUCUUAGUAUUACUUUCUUUUUAAGAAAAUGAAAUCCGACCUCAUCAAUAGUAUAAAUUAGUUGAUGAGAAAUUGAGAAGAUAAAUACAGUACACAAGGAUACAAAACCUGAACUUCAUAAUUCCGGCUCUACUAGCUCGCUCGGGUAUACUGUCCUUAUCGAAAAAAAACCAUGCAAAUAAAAAACGAAAUAGUUGUCGGCAGAUAGCUUUCUUGAAUAAAUUGGGCCCAAAAGGACUAACACCGAUCUCAGCAGAAUCUAGAGGCAGCUAGCAAAUAUAUGAUGCAGAGUCAGAGACAUGAUUCUAGUAGGUUGUAAGAACAUGAAUAAGUAUAGAGCAUUCGUACAAUUAGCAAGUCCACCCAUGAGCAUAUGAAAUGGAAUGUCCUGAGCGUACACAACAUUAGUAGUGGAUAGGUUUGCACUUAUGGUGCGCAAUGUCCCAACAGUUAUAUCUGUAAAUAUGUAACCCAGCCAAACAAGAUAAGAAAGUCAUACGCUUAAACUGAUUGAGUUCUCAUGUAUCUCUAAUUAUUAUAUAGAUACUACAAAGUAGACAAAGGACAUUAGAUAAUUCUAAAAUCAGGGGAAAUUAUCACAACAAAUAGUACCAUGGCCAUCAUAACAUAACAUAGUUUCUGCAUCUGAUAUACACAUUACACUGAAUCAUUGGGUGAAAAUUAGAGCAUCCACAUGAGACACAUGUAGCUCCAUCUGUGCUUCAUGAGUUCAGCUUAACUAUAAAGAACCUAUAAAGCCUCAAUUAUCUCCUACAGAACUUCUCAUUUGAAGACAUUUGUAUUACCUCCUUUAUUUAUACAAGCUUGACACCAAAUCUAUAACUGCAAAGGAAAAUAUAUUAUGUUCUAUGCUUGCAAGAACAUGAACUUGUUCAGAUAUGUACAGAUGAAGACGCUAAGUCAGUCAAAGCACAUCCUAACAAAAACACAAGAUGGCGGGAGGAGAGGGAGAUGGGGUUAGGGGUGCUCACCUGGGCAAGGGAGGCCUGCAGUGGUCCAAAUGUGGCAGAGGAGAUUGCCACAAGAUGCACGGCCGCGCCAGAGAUGCGGCAGAGGAGGUCGGGGUCGCAGCCGUGCAGCCCAACACGUGCGAGCGAACCCAGCUAGGGGGUGCCAUCCAGGAGCCAGAGGGGGCGCGGUCUGGGACAGAGCAGAUCGUCAGAGAGACGCCGUCGACGGACGUGACGCCAUAGCCGAAACAUUAGCCACGGACUCAGUGUCACGGGCGAGCGCCGAAGACCGGGAGAGGUGGAUCUAGCCGGCCUGGAGGGCCAUGGUCGCAGACCAGCUCGUGUGUGCGUUGUGAGAUGGUGAACAUCGCCGGAAUCAACGGUAGUUGGCUGUGCCGUGAGGGGUCAUACGGGAGAGAGAGAGAGAUUAUUCGUGAGAUCUGAGAGGGAUGGAUGGAUUGGGGAUGCGGCCGAUCUGGUAGCUGCCGGAUCCGCGAGGUGAGAGGGGAGGGAGGGCCGACGGCGAGCUGUGGGAGGAGGGGCAAGGAGGUGGUCGGUGGUUUCCAUGUGUGGGGGCGAUGGGGAAUCAGGAGGGGGCUGCGGAGGAGGAUGAGAGGAUGAGGGUUAGGGUUAGCGUUUUAUAUGGGUAAAGGUUAGGCGGGCUUUAGCGGGCUUCGGCGGGCUUUCGGGGAUGUACCGUGCCAUCCUUGACGGUUUUCUGAAAUGUCAUCAAAAAUCCGUUAUAGAUUAACAGGUUUCUUGUAGUGAUAUGUGGAAUAGAAUGGUGGUUGUGGAGAAGACAAAAAGGGAGAAGAUAGUCUCACAUCAACUAGGCGUAUCAACGGGCUAUGGAGAUGCCCAUUAAUAGAUAUCAAUGUGAGUGAGUAGGGAUUGCCAUGCAACGGAUGCAUGAUACGUCUCCAACGUAUCUAUAAUUUUUGAUUGCUCCAUGCUAUCUUAUCUACUGUUUUGGACAUUAUUGGCUUUAUUAUCCACUUUUAUAUUAUUUUUGGGACUAACCUAUUAACCGGAGGCCCAGCCCAGAAUUGCUGUUUUUUGCCUGUUUUAGGGUUUCGAAGAAAAGGAAUAUCAAACGGAGUCCAAACGGAAUGAAACCUUCGGGAACGUGAUUUUCUCAUCGAAUACAACUCAUGACACUUGGACCCUACGUCAAGAAACGUAACAGGAGGCCACGAGGUAGGGGGCGCGCCUACCACCCCCCCCCCCGGCGUGCCCUCCACCCUCGUGGGGCCCCUGUUGCUCCACCGACGUACUUCUUCCUCCUAUAUAUACCCACGUACCCCCAAACGAUCAGAGACGGAGCCAAAACCCUAAUUCCACCGCCGUAACUUUCUGUAUCCAGGAGAUCCCAUCUGGGGGCCUAUUCCGGAGCUCCGCCGGAGGGGGCAUCGAUCACGGAGGGCUUCUACAUCAACACCAUAGCCUCUCCGAUGAAGUGUGAGUAGUUUACCUCAGACCUACGGGUCCAUAGUUAGUAGCUAGAUGGCUUCUUCUCUCUUUUUGGAUCUCAAUACAAUGUUCUCCCCCUCUCUUGUGGAGAUCUAUUCGAUGUAAUCUUUUUUUUGCGGUGUGUUUGUUGAGACCGAUGAAUUGUGGGUUUAUGAUCAAGUCUAUCUAUGAAUAAUAUUUGAAUCUUCUUUGAAUUCUUUUAUGUAUGAUUGGUUAUCUUUGCAAGUCUCUUCGAAUUAUCAGUUUGGUUUGCCCUACCAGAUUGAUCUUUCUUGCAAUGGGAGAAGUGCUUAGCUUUGGGUACAAUCUUGCGGUGUCCUUUCCCAGUGACAGUAGGGGCAGCAAGGCACGUAUUGUAUUGUUGCCAUCGAGGAUAACAAGAUGGGGUUUUCUUCAUACUGCAUGAGUCUAUCCCUCUACAUCAUGUCAUCUUGCUUAAGGCGUUACUCUAUUUUUAACUUAAUACUCUAGAUGCAUGCUGGAUAGCGGUCGAUGAGUGGAGUAAUAGUAGUAGAUGCAGGCAGGAGUCGGUCUAUUUGUCUCGGACGUGAUGCCUAUAUACAUGAUCCUACCUAGAUAUUCUCAUAACUAUGCUCAAUUAUGUCAAUUGCUUAACAGUAAUUUGUUCACCCACCGUAGAAUACUUAUGCUCUCGAGAGAAGCCACUAGUGAAACCUAUGGCCCCCGGGUCUAUCUUUAUCAUAUCAAUCUCCUACUACUUAGUCAUUUACUUAGUUAUUUACUUUGCCUUUAUUUUACUUUGCAUCUUUAUCAUAAAACUACCAAAAAUAUUAUCUUAUCACAUCUAUUAGAUCUCACUGUCGUAAGUGGCCCUAUAGGGAUUGACAACCCCUAUUUGCGUUGGUUGCGAGGAUUUAUUUGAUUUGUGCGGGUGCAAGGGACUCGCACGUAGCCUCCUACUGGAUUGAUACCUUGGUUCUCAAAAACUAAGGGAAAUACUUACGCUACUUUGCUGCAUCAUCCCUUCCUCUUCGGGGAAAACCAACGUAGUGCUAAAAGAGGUAGCAAGAAGGAUUUUUGGCGCCGUUGCCGGGGAGGUCUACGCAAAAGUCAACAUACCAAGUACCCAUCACAUACCCUUAUCUCCCGCAUUACAUUAUUUGCCAUUUGCCUCUCGUUUUCCUCUCCCCCCCAAUUCACCCUUGCCGUUUUAUUUGCCCUCUCUCUCUCUCUAUCCUCCCUCUCUUUCUCUAUUUGCCUCUUUUUGUCCGCUUGCUUUUUGUUUGCUUGUGUGUUAGUUUGCUUGCUUGUCACGAUGGCUCAAGAUAAUACUAAAUUGUGUGACUUCACCAAUACCAACAACAAUGAUUUUAUUAGCACUCCAAUUGCUCCUCUUACCGAUGCUGAAUCUUGUGAUAUUAAUACUGCUUUGCUGAAUCUUGUCAUGAAAGAUCCGUUUUCUGGCCUUCCUAGUGAAGAAGCUGCUACCCAUCUAAAUAGCUUCGUUGAUUUGUGUGACAUGCAAAAGAAGAAAGAUGUGGAUAAUGAUAUUGUUAAAUUGAAGAUAUUUCCUUUUUCACUUAGAGAUCGUGCUAAAGCUUGGUUUUCGUCUUUGCCUAAAAAUAGUAUUGAUUCAUGGAACAAGUGCAAAGAUGCUUUUAUCUCUAAGUAUUUUCCUCCCGCUAAGAUCAUCUCUCUUAGAAAUGAUAUUAUGAACUUUAAGCAACUUGAUCAUGAACAUGUUGCACAAGCUUGGGAGAGAAUGAAAUUAAUGAUACGUAAUUGCCCUACUCAUGGUUUAAAUUUGUGGAUGAUUAUACAAAAUUUUUAUGCCGGAUUGAAUUUUGCUUCUAGAAAUCUUUUAGAUUCGGCCGCGGGGGGCACUUUUAUGGAAAUCACUUUAGGAGAAGCUACUAAACUCCUAGAUAAUAUUAUGGUUAAUUAUUCUCAAUGGCAUACUGAAAGAUCUACUAAUAAAAAGGUGCAUGUGAUAGAAGAAAUUAAUGUUUUGAGUGGAAAGAUGGAUGAACUUAUGAAAUUGUUUGCUAAUAAGAGUGUUUCUUCUGAUCCUAAUGAUAUGCCUUUGUCUACUUUGAUUGAGAAUAAUAAUGAAUCUAUGGAUGUCAAUUUUGUUGGUAGGAACAAUUUUGGUAAUAACGCGUAUAGAGGAAAUUUCAAUCCUAGGCCUUACCCUAGUAAUCCCACUAAUAAUUAUGGUAAUUCCUACAACAAUUCUUAUGGAAAUUAUAAUAAGAUGCCCUCUGAUUUUGAUUCUUAUAUUAAAGAAUUUAUUACUUCACAAAAGAAUUUUAAUGCUAUAUAUGAUUGAAGAAAAAUUGCUUAAGAUUGAUGAUUUGGCUAGGAACGUUGAUAGAAUUGCUCUUGAUGUUGAUUCUUUGAAACUUAGAUCUAUUCCACCUAAGCAUGAUAUCAAUGAGUCUCUCAAAUCCAUGAGAAUUUCCAUUGAUGAGUGCAAAGAAAGAACCGCUAGGAUGCGUGCUAAGAAAGAUGCCUUUAUAAAAGCGUGUUCUUCUAAUUCCUAUGAAAAUAAUGAUGAAGAUCUAAUAGUUAUUGAUGUGUCCCCUAUUAAAUCUUUGUUUUGCAAUAUGAAUAUUGAUAAUGAUGGGACUGAAUAUGACCCACCUUUACCUAGAAGGCGUUCCAAGAAUUCUGAAUCUUUUGAUCUUGAUGCUAAAUUUGAUAAAAGUGGAUUGCAGAAAUUAAAACCCUAGAUGUUGCUAAACCCACUAUUAUGGAUUUCAAGGAAUUUAAUUAUGAAAAUUGCUCUUUGAUUGAUUGUAUUUCCUUGUUGCAAUCCAUGCUAAAUUGUCCUCACGCUUAUAGUCAAAAUAAAGCGUUUACUAAACAUAUCGUUGAUGCCUUGAUGCAAUCUUAUGAAGAAAAACUUGAAUUGGAAGUUUCUAUCCCUAGAAAACUUUAUGAUGAGUGGGAACCAACUAUUAAAAUUAAAAUUAAAUAUCAUGAAUGCUAUGCUUUAUGUGAUUUGGGUGCUAGUGUUUCCACGAUUCCAAAGACUUUGUGUGAUUUGUUAGGUUUCCGUGAUUUUGAUGAUUGCUCUCUAAACUUGCACCUUGCGGAUUCCACUAUUAAGAAACCUAUGGGAAGAAUUAAUUAUGUUAUUAUUGUUUCAAAUAGAAAUUAUGUGCCCGUAGAUUUUAUUGUUCUUGACAUAGAUUGCAAUCCUUCAUGCCCUAUUAUUCUUGGUAGACCUUUCCUUAGAACGAUUGGUGCAAUUAUUGGUAUGAAGGAAGGAAAUAUUAGAUUCCAAUUUCCAUUAAGGAAAGGCAUGGAACACUUUCCUAGAAAUAAAAUUAAAUUACCUUAUGAAUCUAUUAUGAGAGACACAUAUGAAUUGCCUACAAAGAUGGCAAUACCUAGAUCUAUCUUUGCUUGUUAUGCCUAGCUAGGGGCGUUAAACAAUAGCGCUUGUUGGGAGGCAACCCAAUUUUAUUUUUAUUCCUUGCUUUUUGCUCCUGUUUAGUAAUAAAUAAAUUAUCUAUACUAUGUUUUGGUUGUGUUUUUUUGUGUUUAAUUAGUGUUUGUGCCAAGUAGAACCGUUGGGAAGACUUGGGGAAAGUCUUGUUGAACUUGCUGUAAAAAACAGAAACUUUAGCGCUCACGAGCACUGCUGUAAUUUUUAUUUGGAAAGUGCUAUUUAGUUAAUUAUUUUUGCAUAUGUUUAAUAUAUAAAUUCCUCACGUCCAGAAAUUCAUUUUAGAAUUUUUGAGGUUCCAGAUCUUGCGCUAGCUACAGAUUACUACAGACUGUUCUGUUUUUGACAGAUUCUGUUUUUCGUGUGUUGUUUGCUUAUUUUGAUGAAUCUAUGGCUAGUAAAAUAGUUUAUAAACCAUAGAGAAGUUGGAAUACAGUAGGUAUAACACCCAUAUAAAUAAAGAAUGAGUUCAUUACAGUACUUUGAAGUGAUCUUUUAUUCUCUUUCUCUGACGGAGCCGCGAGAUUUUCUACUUUAAGUUUUGUGUUGUGAAGUUUUCAAGUUUUGGGUAAAGAUUUGAUGGAUUAUGGAACAAUAAGUGGAAAGAGCCUAAGCUUGCCGAUGCCCAUGGCACCCCAAAGAUAAUCUAAGGACACCUAAAAGUUAAAUCUUGGGGAUGCCCCGGAAGGCAUCCCCUCUUUCGUCUACUUCUAUCGGUAACUUUACUUGGAGCUAUAUUUUUAUUCGCCACAUGAUAUGUGUUUUGCUUGGAGCGUCUUGUAUUAUUUGAGUCUUUGCUUAUUAGUUUACCACAAUCAUCCUUGCUGUACAAACCUUUUUAGAGAGCCAUACAUGAUUUGGAAUUUGUUAGAAUACUCUAUGUGCUUCGCUUAUAUCUUUUGUAUUAUAUAGUUUUGCUCUAGUACUUCGCUUAUAUCUUUUAGAGUAUGUUGAAUAAUAUGAUAAGUUUGAUACUUGAUAAUUGUUUUGAGAUAUGGAGAUGGUGAUAUUAAAGUCAUGCUAGUUGAGUAGUUGUGAAUUUGAGAAAUACUUGUGUUGAAGCUUGUGAUUCCCGUAGCAUGCACGUAUGGUGAACCGUUAUGUGAUGAAGUCAGAGCAUGAUUUAUUUAUUGAUUGUCCUCCUUAUGAGUGGCGGUCGGGGACGAGCGAUGGUCUUUUCCUACCAAUCUAUCCCCCUAGGAGCAUGCGCGUAAUAAUUUGCUUUGAUAACUUGUGGAUUUUUGCAAUAAAUAUAUGAGUUCUUUAUGACUAAUGUUGAGUCCAUGGAUUAUACGCACUCUCACACUUCCACCUUUGAUAGCCUCUCUAAUACCGCGCACCUUUAGCCGCUAUCAUACACCCACCAUAUACCUUCCUCAAAAUAGCCACCAUACCUACCUAUUAUGGCAUUUCCAUAACCAUUCCGAGAUAUAUUGCCAUGCAAUUGCUACCUCUUGAGCACUGCGUUGGACUUCCCCGAAGAGGAGAGGAUGAUGCAGCAAAGUAGCGUAAGUAUUUCCCUCAGUUUUUGAGAACCAAGGUAUCAAUCCAGUAGGAGGCUACGCUCGAGUCCCUUGUACCUACACAAAAACAAUAGCUCAACGCAACCAACGCGCUUAGGGGUUGUCAAUCCCUUCAGGUCACUUACGAAAGUGAGAUCUGAUAGAGAUGAUAAAUAAUAUUUUUGGUAUUUUUGGUAUAGAGAUGCAAAGUAAAAAGUAAAAGGCAAAGUAAAAGCAAAGCAAUAAUAAAGUGAUGGAGAAUGAUAUGAUGAGAAAGAGACCCGGGGGCCAUAGGUUUCACUAGUGGCUUCUCUCAAGAGCAUAAGUAUUCUACGGUGGGUGAACAAAUUAGUGUUGAGCAAUUGAAAGAAUUGAGCAUAGUUAUGAGAAUAUCUAGGUAUGAUCAUGUAUAUAGGCAUCACGUCCGAGACAAGUAGACUGACUCCUGCCUGCAUCUACUACUAUUACUCCACUCAUCGACCGCUAUCCAGCAUGCAUCUAGAGUAUCAAGUUAAAAACAGAGUAACUCCUUAAGCAAGAUGACAUGAUGUAGAGGGAUAGUUUCAUGCAAUAUGAUAAAAAACCCAUCUUGUUAUCCUCGAUGGCAACAAUACAAUACGUGCCUUGCUGCCCCUUCUAUCACUGGGAAAGGACACGCAAGAUCGAACCCAAAGCUAAGCACUUCUCACGUGGCAAGAAAAACUAAUCUAGUAGGCCAAACCAAACUGAUAAUUCUAAGGGACUUGCAAAGAUAACCAAUCAUACAUAAAAGAAUUCAGAGAAGAUUCAAAUAUUAUUCAUAGAUAAACUGGAUCAUAAACCCACAAUUCAUCGAUCUCAACAAACACACCGCAAAAAGAAGAUUACAUCGAAUAGAUCUCCACAAGAGAGGGGGAGAACAUUGUAUUGAGAUCCAAAAAGAGAGAAGAAGCCAUAUAGCUACUAACUAUGGACCCGUAGGUCUGAAGUAAACUACUCACACUUCAUCGGAGAGGCUUGGAUGAUGAUGUAGAAGCCCCCGUGCUCGGUUCCCCUUCAGGCGGAGCUCUGGAACAGGCCCCAAGAUGGGAUCUCGUGGAUACAGAAAGUUGCGGCGGUGGAAUUCGGUUUUUGGCUCCGUCCCCGAUUGUUUGGGGGUACGUAGGUAUAUAUUGGAGGAAGAAGUACGCCGAUGGAGCUUCGAGGGGCCCACGAGGUAGGGGGCGCGCCCUAGGAGGGGCACCCCCCACCCUCGUGACCACCUCGUUUCUUUCUUGACGGGGGGUCCAAGUCUCCUGGAUCUUAUCUAAUGAGAAAAUCACGUUUCUGAAGAUUUCAUUACGUUUGGACUCCGUUUGAUAUUAUGUUUCUCCGAAACACUGAAAUAGGCAAAAAAACAACAAUUCUGGGCUGGGCCUCCGGUUAAUAGGUUAGUCCCAAAAAUAAUAUAAAAGUGGAAAAUAAAGCCCAAUAUCAUCCAAAACAGUAGAUAAUAUAGCAUGGAGCAAUCAAAAGUUAUAGAUACGUUGGAGACGUAUCAAGCAUCCCCAAGCUUAAUUCCUGCUCGUCCUCGAGUAGAUAAUGAUAAAAAGAGAAUUUUUGAUGCGGAGUGCUACUUGGCAUAAUUUCAAUAUAAGUCUUCUUAAUUGUCUUAUGAAUAUUCAGAUCCGAAAGAUUCAAGACAAAAGUUCAUAUUGACAUAAAAAUGAUAAUACUUCAAGCAUACUAACUAAGCAAUUAUGUCUUCUCAAAAUAACAUGGCCAAAGAAAGUUUAUCCCUACAAAAUCAUAUAGUUUAGUCAUGUUUCAUUUUCGUCACACAAGAAUGCUCUCAUCAUGCACAACCCCGAUGACAAGCCAAGCAAUUGUUUCAUACUUUAGUAAUCUCAAACCUAUAAACUUUCACGCAGUACAUGAGCGCGAGCCAUGGACAUAACACUAUGGGUGGAAUAGAAUAUGAUGAAGGGGGUUAUGUGGAGAAGACAAAAAAGGAUAAAGUCUCACAUUAACGAGGCUAGUCAAUGGGCUAUGGAGAUGCCCACCGAUUGGUGUUAAUGCAAGGAGUAGGGAUUGCCAUGCAACAGAUGCACUAGAGCUAUAAAUGUAUGAAAGCUCAACAAAAGAAACUAGUGGGUGUGCAUCCAACUUUCUUGCUCACGAAGACCUAGGGCACUUGAUGAGGCCCAUUGUUGGAAUAUACAAGCCAAGUUCUAUAAUGAAAGAUUCCCACUAGUAUAUGAAAGUGAUAACAUGAGAGACUCUCUACUAUGAAGAUCAUGGUGCUACUUUGAAGCACAGGUGUGGUAAAAGGAUAGUAACAUUGUCCCUUCUCUCUUUUUCUCUUAUUUUUUGGGCCUUUUUUAUGGCCUUUCUUUUUUUGGGGCCUUCUCUUUUUUAUGGCCUUUCUCUUUUUUUUAUUCCUCACUUGGGACAAUGCUCUAAUAAUGAUGAUCAUCACACUUCUAUUUGUUUACAACUCAAUGAGUACAACUCGAUACUAGAACAAAGAUGAGUCUAUAUGAAUGCCUCCGGCGGUGUACCGGGAUAUGCAAUGAAUCAAGAGUGACAUGUAUGAAAGAAUUAUGAAUGGUGGCUUUGCCACAAAUACGAUAUCAACUACAUGAUCAUGCAAAUCAAUAUGACAAUGAUGAUGCGUGUCAUAAUAAACGGAACGGUGGAAAGUUGCAUGGCAAUAUAUCUCGGAAUGGCUAUGGAAAUUCCAUGAUAGGUAGGUAUGGUGGCUGUUUUGAGGAAGAUAUAAGGAGGUUUAUGUGUGAAAGAGCGUAUCAUAUCACGGGGUUUGGAUGCACCGGCGAAGUUUGCGCCAACUCUCAAUGUGAUAAAGGGCAAUGCACGGUACCGAAGAGGCUAGCAAGGAUGGAAGGGUGAGAGUGCGUAUAAUCCAUGGACUCAACAUUAGUCAUAAAUAACUCACAUACUUAUUGCAAAAAUCUACAAGUCAUUAAAAACCUCAGCACUACGCGCAUGCUCCUAGAGGGAUAGAUUGGUAGGAAAAGACCAUCGCUCGUCCCCGACCGCCACUCAUAAGGAAGACAAUCAAAUAACACCUCACGUUUCAAAUUUGUUGCAUAACGUUUACCAUACGUGCAUGCUACGGGACUUGCAAACUUCAACACAAGUAUUUCUCAAUUUCACAACUACUCAACUAGCAUGACUUUGAUAUUAUUACCUCCAUAUCUCAAAACAAUCAUCAAGCAUCAAACUUUUCUUAGUAUUCAACACACUCAUAAGAAAGUUUUAUUAUUAAUCUUGCAUACCAAGCAUAUUAAGAUUUUAAGCAAAUUACCAUGCUAUUAAGACUCUCAAAAUAAUCUAAGUGAAGCAUGAGAGAUCAAUAGUUUAUAUAAAACAAAUCCACCACCAUGCUCUAAAAGAUAUAAGUGAAGCACUAGAGCAAAACUAUAAAGCUCAAAAGAUAUAAGUGAAGCACAUAGAGCAACAUUAUAGAGCUCAAAAGAUAUAAGUGAAGCACAUAGAGUAUUCUAUCAAAUUCCAAAUCAUGUAUGGCUCUCUCAAAAGGUGUGUACAGCAAGGAUGAUUGUGGUGGACUAAAAAGCAAAGACUCAACUCAUAAAAGACGCUCCAAGCAAAACACAUAUCAUGUGGUGAAUAAAAAUAUACCUCCAAGUAAAGUUACCGAUAGAAGUAGACGAAAGAGGGGAUGCCUUCUGGGGUAUCCCCAAGCUUUGGAUUUUAGGUGGCCUUAGAUUAUCUUGGGGGUGCCAUGGGCAUACCCAAGAUUAGGCUCUUGCCACUCCUUGUUCCAUAAUCCAUCAAAUCUUUACCCAAAACUUGAAAACUUCACAACACAAAACUUAAAGUAGAAAAUCUCGUGAGCUCCGUUAGCGAAAGAAAACAAAAGACCACUUCAAGAUACUGUAAUAAACUCAUUAUUUAUUUAUAUUGGUGCUAUACCUACUUUAUUCCAACUUCUCUAUGGAUUAUAAACUAUUUUACUAGCCAUAGAUUCAUCAAAAUAAGCAAACAACACACGAAAAACAGAAUAUGUCAAAAACAGAACAGUCUGUAGUAAUCUGUAGCUAGCGCAAAAUGUGGAACCCCAGAAAUUCUAAAAUAAAUUGCUGGACGUGAGGAAUUUAUCUAUUAAUCAUAUUCAAAAAGAAUUAACUAAAUAUCACUUUCCAAAUAAAAAUGACAGCCGUUCUCGUGAGCCCUAAAGUUUCUGUUUUUUACAGCAAGUUCAACAAGACUUUCCCCAAGUCUUCCCAACGGUUCUACUUGGCACAAACACUAAUUAAACACAAAAAACACAACCAAAACAGAGGCUAGAUAAAUUAUUUAUUACUAAACAGGAGCAAAAGGCAAGGAAUAAAAAUAAAAUUGGGUUGCCUCCCAACAAGCGCUAUCGUUUUACGCCCCUAGCUAGGCAUAACAAGCAAGAAUAGAUCUAGGUAUUGCCAUCUUUGGUAGGCAAUCCAUAAGUGACUGUCAUGAUAGAUUCAUAUGUUAAUUUUAUUUUCUUUCUAGGGAAGUGUUCCAUGCCCUUUUUUUAAUGUAAAUUGAAGUCUAAUAUUCCCUUCCUUCAUAUCAAUAAUUGCACCAACCGUUCUAAGGAAAGAUCUACCGAGAAUAAUAGGGCAAGAAGGAUUGCAAUAUAUAUCAAGAACGAUAAAAUCUACGGGCACAUAAUUCCUAUUUGCAACAAUAAGAACAUCAUUAAUUCUUCCCAUAGGUUUUUAAUAGUGGAGUCCGCAAGAUGCAAGUUUAGAGAGCAAUCAUCAAAAUCACGGAAAUCUAGCAAAUCACACAAAGAUUUGGGAAUAGUAGAGACACUAGCACCCAAAUCACACAAAGCAUAAAACUCAUAAUCUUUAAUUUUAAUUUAAAUACUAGGUUCCCACUCAUCAUAAGUUUUCUAGGGAUAAAAACUUUCAACUCAAGUUUUUCUUCAUAAGAUUGCAUCAAGGCAUCAACGAUAUGUUCGGUAAAGGCUUUAUUUUGACUAUAAGCAUGAGGAGAAUUUAGCAUGGAUUGCAACAAGGAAAUACAAUCUAUUAAAGAGCAAUUUUCAUAAUUAAAUUCCCUGAAAUCCAAUAUAGUGGGUUUAGCAACAUCUAGAGUUUUGUUUCUUUUAAUCCCACUUUUAUCAAUUUCAUCAUCAAGAUCUAAAUACUCUGAAUUUUUAGAACGCCUUCUAGGUAAAGGUGGAUCAUAUUCAGUUUCAUCAAGAUUUAUAUUGCAAAACAAAGAUUUAAUAGGAGACACAUCAACAACUUUUAGAUCUUCAUCUUGAUUUUCAUAGGAAUUGGAAGAAGACGCUUUAAUAAAGGCAUCUUUCAUAGCACGCGUCCUAGCGGUUCUUUCCUUGCACUCAUCAAUGGAAAUUCUCAUGGCUUUGAGAGACUCAUUGAUAUCAUGCUUAGGGGGAAUAGAUCUAAGCUUCAAAGAAUCAACCUCAAGAGAAAUUCUAUCAACGUUCCUAGCCAAAUCAUCAACUUUAAGCAAUUUUUCUUCAAUCAUAGCAUUAAAAUUCUUUUGCAAAGUAAUAAAUUAUUUAAUAUUAGAUUCAAAAUCAGAGGGCAUCUUAUUAUAAUUUCCAUAAGAGUUGUUGUAGGAAUUUCCAUAAUUAUUAGAAGGAUUACUAGGAUAAGGCCUAGGAUUAAAAUUCCCUCUAUACGCGUUGUUACCAAAAUUAUUCCUAUCAACAAAAUUCAUAUCCAUAGAUUCCUUAUUAUUCUCAAUCAAAGUAGCCAAAGGCAUAUCAUUAGGUUCAGAAGAGACACUCUUAGUAGCAAAUAAUUUCAUAAGUUCAUCCAUCUUUCCACUUAAAACAUUAAUUUCUUCUAUCACAUGCACUUUUUUAUUAGUAGAUCUUUCAGUGUGCCAUUGAGAAUAAUUAACCAUAAUAGUAUCUAGGAGUUUAGUAGCAUCUCCUAAAGUGAUUUCCAUAAAAGUGCCUCUCGUGGCCGAAUCUAAAAGAUUUCUAGAAGCAAAAUUCAAUCCGGCAUAAAUUUUUUGUAUAAUCAUCCACAAAUUUAAACCAUGAGUAGGGCAAUUACGUAUCAUUAAUUUCAUUCUCUCCCAACCUUGUGCAACAUGUUCAUGAUCAAGUUGCUUAAAAUUCAUAAUAUAGUUUCUAAGAGAGAUGAUCUUAGCGGGAGGAAAAUACUUAGAGAUAAAAGCAUCUUUGCACUUGUUCCAUGAAUCAAUACUAUUUUUAGGCAAAGAUGAAAACCAAGCUUUAGCACGAUCUCUAAGAGAAAAAGGAAAUAGCUUCAUUUUAACAACAUCAUUAUCCACAUCUUUCUUCUUUUGCAUAUCACAUAAAUCAAUGAAGCUAUUAAGAUGGGUAGCGGCAUCUUCAGUAGGAAGGCCAGAAAACGGAUCUUUCAUGACAAGAUUCAGCAAAGCAGCAUUAAUUUCACAAGAUUCGGCAUUGGUAAGAGGAGCAAUCAUAGUGCUAAGGAAAUCAUUAUUGUUGGUAUUGGUAAAGUCACACAAUUUAGUAUUAUCUUGAGCCUUCGCGACAAACAAGCAAUCCAACACACGGGCAAACAAAAAGCUAACGGGCAAAAAGAGGCAAAUAGAGAAAGAGAGGGACGAUAGAGAGAGAGAGGGCGAAUAAAACGGCAAGGGUGAAGUGGGGGAGAGGAAAACGAGAGGCAAAUGGCAAAUAAUGUAAUGCGGGAGAUAGGGAUUGUGAUGGGUACUUGGUAUGUUGAAUUUUGUGCAAACUCCCCGGCAACGGCGCCAGAAAUUCUUCUUGCUACCUCUUGAGCACUGCGUUGGAUUUCCCCGAAGCGGAGAGGAUGAUGCAGCAAAGUAGCGUAAGUAUUUCCCUCAGUUUUUGAGAACCAAGGUAUCAAUCCAGUAGGAGGCUACGCUCGAGUCCCUUGUACCUACACAAAAACAAUAGCUCAACGCAACCAACGCGCUUAGGGGUUGUCAAUCCCAUCACGGUCACUUACGAAAGUGAGAUCUGAUAGAGAUGAUAAAUAAUAUUUUUGGUAUUUUUGGUAUAGAGAUGCAAAGUAAAAAGUAAAAGGAAAAGUAAAAGAAAAGCAAUAAUAAAGUGAUGGAGAUUGAUAUGAUGAGAAAGAGACCCGGGGGCCAUAGGUUUCACUAGUAGCUUCUCCCAAGAGCAUAAGUAUUCUACGGUGGGUGAACAAAUUACUGUUGAGCAAUUGACAGAAUUGAGCAUAGUUAUGAGAAUAUCUAGGUAUGAUCAUGCAUAUAGGCAUCACGUCCGAGACAAGUAGACUGACUCCUGCCUGCAUCUACUACUAUUACUCCACUCAUCGACCGCUAUCCAGCAUGCAUCUAGAGUAUCAAGUUAAAAACAGAGUAACGCCUUAAGCAAGAUGACAUGAUGUAGAGGGAUAGCUUCAUGCAAUAUGAUAAAAAACCCAUCUUGUUAUCCUCGAUGGCAACAAUACAUUACGUGCCUUGCCGCCCCUUCUGUCACUGGGAAAGGACACCGUAAGAUCGAACCCAAAGCUAAGCACUUCUCCCAUGGCAAGAAAAACCAAUCUAGUAGGCCAAACCAAACUGAUAAUUCGAAGAGACUUGCAAAGGUAACCAAUCAUACAUAAAAGAAUUCAGAGAAGAUUCAAAUAUUAUUCAUAGAUAAACUGGAUCAUAAACCCACAAUUCAUCGGUCUCAACAAACACACCGCAAAAAGAAGAUUACAUCGAAUAGAUCUCCACAAGAGAGGGGGGGGGGAACAUUGAAUUGAGAUCCAAAUAGAUCUAGCUACUAACUAUGGACCCGUAGGUCUGAAGUAAACUACUCACACUUCAUCGGAGAGGCUUGGAUGAUGAUGUAGAAGCCCUCCGUGAUCGGUUCCCCUUCCGGCGGAGCUCCGGAAUAGGACCCAAGAUGGGAUCUCGUGGAUACAGAAAGUUGCGGUGGUGGAAUUAGGUUUUUGGCUCCGUCCUCGAUUGUUUGGGGGUACGUAGGUAUAUAUAGGAGGAAAAGUACGUCGGUGGAGCUUCGAGGGGGCCAUGAGGUAGGGGCGCACCCUAGGGGGGGCGCCCCCACCCUCGUGACCACCUCGUGGCUUUCUUGACGGGGGGUCCAAGUCUCCUGGAUCUUAUCUGAUGAGAAAAUCACGUUUCCAAAUAUUUCAUUCUGUUUGGAGUCCGUUUCAUACUCUGUUUCUCCGAAACACUGAAAUAGGCAAAAAACUUCAAUUCUGGGCUGGGCCUCCGGUUAAUUGGUUAGUCCCAAAAAUAAUAUAAAAGUGGAAAAUAAAGCCCAAUAUAGUCCAAAACAGUAGAUAAUAUAGCAUGGAGCAAUCAAAAAUUAUAGAUACAUUGGAGACGUAUCAGCAACUUUCCACUGUUCCGUUUAUUACACACUCCAUCAUUGUCAUAUUGCUUAGCAUGAUCAUGUAGUUGACAUAGUAUUUGUGGCAAAGCCACCGUUCAUAAUUCUUUCAUACUUGUCACGCAUGCAUCAUUGCAUAUCCCGGUACACCACUGGAGGCAUUCAUAUAGAGUCAUACUUUGUUCUAAGUAUCGAGUUGUAAUUGUUGAGUUGUAAGAAAAUAAAGGUGUGAUGAUCAUCAUUAUUAGAGCAUUGUCCCAGUGAGGAAAGGAUGAUGGAGAUUAUGAUUCCCCCACAAGUCGGGAUGAGACUCCGGAUGAAAAAUAAAAAAAGAUAAAGAAAAGAGGCCAUAAAAAGGAAAAAAAGAGAAAAGGCCCAAAGAAAAAAAAUGAGAGAAAAAGAGAGAAGGGACAAUGUUACUACCCUUUUACCACACUUGUGCUUCAAAGUAGCACCAUGAUCUUCAUAGUAGAGAGUCUCUCAUGUUAUCACUUUCAUAUACUAGUGGGAAUUUUUCAUUAUAAGAACUUGGCUUGUAUAUUCCAAUGAUGGGCUUCCUCAAAAUUGCCCUAGGUCUUCAUGAGCAAGCAACUUGGAGGCACACCCACAUAGUUUCUUUUUGAGCUUUCAUAUACUUAUAGCUCUAGUGCAUCCGUUGCAUGGCAAUCCCUACUCACUCACAUUGAUAUCUAUUGAUGGGAAUCUCCAUAGCCCGUUGAUACGCCUAAUUGAUGUGAGACUAUCUUCCCUUUUUGUCUUCUCCACAACCACCACUCUAUUCCACCUAUAGUGCUAUAUCCAUGGCUCACGCUCAUGUAUUGCGUGAAGAUUGAAAAAGUUUUGAGAAUGUCAAAAGUAUGAAACAAUUUCUUGGCUUGUCAUCGGGGUUGUGCAUGAUUUAAAUAUUUUGUGUGGUGAAGAUAGAGCAUAGCCAGACUAUAUGAUUUUGUAGGGAUAACUUUCUUUAGCCAUGUUAUUUUGAGAAGACAUAAUUGCUUUGUUAGUAUGCUUGAAGUAUUAUUAUUUUUAUAUCAAUAUGAACUUUUAUCUUGAAUCUUUCGGAUCUGAAUAUUCAUACCACAAUUAAGAAGAAUUACAUUAAAAUUAUGCCAAGUAGCACUCCGCAUCAAAAAUUCUGUUUUUAUCAUUUACCUACUCGAGGACGAGCAGGAAUUAAGCUUGGGGAUGCUUGAUACGUCUCCAACGUAUCUAUAAUUUUUGAUUGCUCCAUGCUAUAUUAUCUACUAUUUUGGACAUUAUUGGGCUUUAUUAUCCACUUUUAUAUUAUUUUUGGGACUAACCUAUUAAGUGGAGGCCCGGCCCAGAAUUGCUGUCUUUUGCUUGUUUUAGGGUUUCGAAGAAAAGGAAUAUCAAACGGAGUCCAAACGGAAUGAAACCUUCGGGAACGUGAUUUUCUCAUCGAAUACAACUUAGGAGACUUGGACCCUACGUCAAGAAAUGUAACAAGAGGCCACGAGGUAGGGGGCGCGCCUACCCCCACCCCCAGGCGCGCCCUCCACCCUCAUGGGGCCCCUGUUGCUCCACCAACGUACUUCUUCCUCCUAUAUAUACCCACGUACCCCAAACGAUCAGAGACGGAGCCAAAACCCUAAUUCCACCAUCGUAACUUUCUGUAUCCACGAGAUCCCAUCUUGGGGCCUGUUCCGGAGCUCCGCCGGAGGGGGCAUCGAUCACGGGGGGCUUCUACAUCAACACCAUCGCCUCUCCGAUGAAGUGUGAGUAGUAUACCUCAGACCUACGGGUCCAUACUUAGUAGUUAGAUGGCUUCUUUUCUCUUUUUGGAUCUCAAUACAAUGUUCUCCCCCUCUCUUGUGGAGAUCUAUUCAAUGUAAUCUUCUUUUUGCGGUGUGUUUGUUGAGACCGAUGAAUUGUGGGUUUAUGAUCAAGUCUAUCUAUGAAUAAUAUUUGAAUCUUCUCUGAAUUCUUUUAUGUAUGAUUGGUUAUCUUUGCAAGUCUCUUCGAAUUAUCAGUUUGGUUUGGCCUACUAGAUUGAUCUUUCAUGCAAUGGGAGAAGUGCUUAGCUUUGGGUUCAAUCUUGCGGUGUCCUUUCCCAGUGACAGUAGGGGCAGCAAGGCAUGUAUUGUAUUGUUGCCAUCGAGGAUAACAAGAUGGGGUUUUCUUCAUAUUGCAUGAGUCUAUCCCUCUACAUCAUGUCAUCUUGCUUAAGGCGUUACUCUGUUUUUAACUUAAUACUGUAGAUGCAUGCUGGAUAGCGGUCGAUGAGUGUAGUAAUAGUAGUAGAUGCAGGCAGGAGUCGGUCUACUUGUCUCGGACGUGAUGCCUAUAUACAUGAUCAUACCUAUAUAUUCUCAUAACUAUGCUCAAUUUUGUCAAUUGCUCAACAGUAAUUUGUUCACCCACCGUAGAAUACUUACGAUCUCGAGAGAAGCCACUAGUGAAACCUAUGGCCCCGGGUCUAUCUUUAUCAUAUCAAUCUCCUACUACUUAGUUAUUUACUUUGCCUUUAUUUUACUUUGCAUCUUUAUCAUAAAAAUACCAAAAAUAUUAUCUUAUCAUAUCUAUCAGAUCUCACUCUCGUAAGUGGCCCUAUAGGGAUUUACAACCCCUAUUUGCGUUGGUUGCGAGGAUUAAUUUGUUUUGUGCAGGUGCGAGGGACUCGCGCGUAGCCUCCUACUGGAUUGAUACCUUGGUUCUCAAAAACUGAGGGAAAUACUUACGCUACUUUGCUGCAUCAUCCCUUCCUCUUCGGGGAAAACCAACACAGUGCUAAAAGAGGUAGCAAUGCACUAGAGCUAUAAGUAUAUGAAAGCUCAACAAAAGGAACUAAGUGGGUGUGCAUCCAACUCGCUUGCUCACGAAGACGUAGGGCAUUUUGAGGAAGCCCAUCAUUGGAAUAUACAAGCCAAGUUCUAUAAUGAAAAAUUCCCACUAGUAUAUGAAGGUGAUAUCAUAGGAGACUCUCUAUCAUCAAGAUCAUGGUGCUACUUUGAAGCACAAGUGUGGUAAAAGGAUAGUAGCAUUGUCCCUUCUCUCUUUUUCUCUCAUUUUUUUAUUUGGGCCUUUUCUCUCUCUUUUUUAUGGCCUCUUUUUUUUAUUUAGUCCGGAGUCUCAUCCCGACUUGUGGGGGAAUCAUAGUCUCCAUCAUCCUUUCCUCACUUGGGACAAUGCUCUAAAAAUGAUGAUCAUCACACUUUUAUUUACUUACAACUCAACAAUUACAACUCAAUACUUAGAACAAAAUAUGACUCUAUGUGAAUGCCUCCGGUGGUGUACCGGGAUAUGCAAUGAAUCAAGAGUGACAUAUAUGAAAGAAUUAUGAACGGUGGCUUUGCCACAGAUAUAAUGUCAACUACAUGAUCAUGCAAAGCAAUAUGACAAUGAUGGAGCGUGUCAUCAUAAACGGAACGGUGGUAAGUUGCAUGGCAAUAUAUCUCAGAAUGGCUAUGGAAAUGCCAUGAUAGGUAGGUAUAUAUGGUGGCUGUUUUGAGGAAGAUAUAUGGUGGGUGUAUGAUACCGGCGAAGGGUGCGCGGUAUUAGAGAGGCUAGCAAUGGUGGAAGGGUGAGAGUGCGUAUAAUCCAUGGACUCAACAUUAGUCAUAAAGAACUCACAUACUUAUUGCAAAAAUCUAUUAGUUAUCGGAACAUAGUAUUACACGCAUGCUCCUAGGGGGAUAGAUUGGUAGGAAAAAGCCAUCGCCCGUCCCCGACCGCCACUCAUAAGGAAGAUAAUCAAUAAAUAAAUCAUGCUCCGACUUCUUCACAUAACGGUUCACCAUACGUGCAUGCUACGGGAAUCACAAACUUCAACACAAGUAUUUCUCAAAUUCACAACUACUCAACUAGCAUGACUCUAAUAUCACCAUCUCCAUAUCUCAAAACAAUUAUCAAGUAUCAAACUUCUCUUAGUAUUCAGCACACUCAUAAGAAGUUGUUUUUACUAAUCUUCAAUGCCUAGCAUAUUAGGAUUAAUUUCCCAGUUUAAGUAAAUUACCAUGUUGUUUAAGACUCUCAAAAUAAUAUAAGUGAAGCAUGAGAGAAUAAUAGUUUCUAUAAAACAAAUCCACCACCAUGCUCUAAAAGAUAUAAGUGAAGCACUAGAGCAAAAACUAUAUAGCUCAAAAGAUAUAAGUGAAGCACAUAGAGUAUUCUAAUAAUUUUCAAAGCAUGAGUGUUUCUAUCAAAAUGUGUGUACAACAAAGAUUAUUGUGCCAAACUAAUAAAUAAAGGCUCAAAUAAUACAAGACGCUCCAAGCAAAACACAUAUCAUGUGGUGAAUAAAAAUAUAGCUCCAAGUAAAGUUACCGAUGGAAGUAGACGAAAGAGGGGAUGCCUUCCGGGGCAUCCCCAAGCUUUGGCUUUUAGGUGUCCUUAGAUUAUAUUGGGGUGCCAUGGGCAUCCCCAAGCUUAGGAUCUUGCCACUCCUUGUUCCAUAAUCCAUCAAAUCUUUUACCCAAAACUUGAAAACUUCACAACACAAAACUCAAAGUAGAAAAUCUCGUGAGCUCUGUUAGCGAAAGAAAACAAAACACCACUUCAAGGUACUGUAAUGAACUCAUUAUUUAUUUAUAUUGGUGUUAAACCUACUGUAUUCCAACUUCUCUAUGGUUUAUAAACUAUUUUACUAGCCAUAGAUUCAUCAAAAUAAGCAAACAACACAUGAAAAACAGAAUCUGUCAAAAACAGAACAGUCUGUAGUAAUCUGUAGCUAACGCAAACUUCUGGAACCCCAAAAAUUAUAGCAUAAAUUUCUGGAUGUGAGUAAUUUAUCUAUUAAUCAUCUUCAAAAAGAAUUAACUAAAUAGCACUUUCCAAAUAAAAAUGGCAGCAAUUCUCGUGAGCGCUAAAGUUUCUGUUUUUUACAGCAAGAUCAAAAGGACUUUCCCCAAGUCUUCCCAACAGAUCCACUUGGCACAAACACUAAUUAAGCACAAAAAACACAACCAAAACAGAUGCUAGAUAAAUUAUUUAUUACUAAAUUAUAACCCACAAGUAUAGGGGAUCGCAACAAUUUUUGAUAAGUAAGAGUGUCGAACCCAACGAGGAGCUAAAGGUAGAACAAAUAUUCCCUCAAGUUCUAUCGACCACCGAUACAACUCUACGCACGCUUGACGUUCGCUUUACCUAGAACAAGUAUGAAACUAGAAGUACUUUGUAGGUGUUGUUGGAUUGGUUUGCAAGAUAAUAAAGAGCAAGUAAAUAAAAGGUAGGGGAUUUUUGUAAGUAAAGAAACAAUAAAGUAAAUAUAGCGAGUGUGGAAAAGUGGUGGUAGGAGUUGUGAAAUUGCCCCUAAGCAAUUGACUACUUUACUAGACCAAUAGCAAGUAUUAUGUGGGAGAGGCCACUGCUAGCAUGUCAUCCCUUACUUGAAAUGCUAUGCACUUAUGAUUGGAACUAUUAGCAAGCAUCCGCAACUACUAACAUUCAUUAAGGUAAAACCCAACCAUAGCAUUAAGAUAUAUUGGUCCCCCUUCAAUCCCGUAUGCAUCAAUUACUAUGCUAGGUUGAAGCUUCUAUCACUCUUGCCCUCCAAUACAUAGUCCUAUCAACAUACAACUAACCCUAUGGUGUGAUCCACGCGUGCUCUCAUAUGAUGGGCACCAAAGGACAACAACAUAAUCACAAGCAAAUUAAAUCAAUCAUAGCAAUUCAUCAACCACCGAUAGGACAACGAAAAUCUACUCAGACAUCAUAGGAUGGCAACACAUCAUUGGAUGAUAAUAAUAUGAAGCAUAAAGCACCAUGUUCAAGUAGAGGGUACAGCGGGUUGUGGGAGAGUGGACCGCUGUAGAUAGAGGGGGGAAGGUGAUGGAGAUGUUGGUGAAGAUGGCGGAGGUGUUGGUGUAGACCGCGGUGAUGAUGAUGGCCCCAGGCGGUGUUCCGGCGCCACCGGAAGCGAGGGGGAGAGAGCCCCCCUCCUUCUUCUUCUUCCUUGACCUUAUCCCUAGAUGGGAGAAGGGUUUCCCCUCUGGUCCAUGGUCUCCAUGGCGUGGGAGGGGCGAGAGCCCCUCCGAGAUUGGAUCUGUCUCUGUGUCUGACCCUGUUUCUGCGUUCUCAGAUUCUACCCUUUCACCGUUUCUUAUAUUCCCGGAGAUCCGUAACUCCGAUUGGGCUGAAUUUUGGACACGAUCUCUAUCCGGAUAUUUGCUUUCUUGCGGUGAAAGAAGGGCAUCAACCGCCUUACGAGGUGGCCACGAGGGUCAGGGGCGCCCCCUACCUCGUGGGCCCCUCGAGCAUCGUCUCGCGUUGAUUUUUCUUCCCAAAAAUCAUAUAUAUUCCAAACAAAAAUCUCCGUUAGUUUUUAUUCCAUUUAGACUCCGUUUGAUAUGGAUAUUCUGCGAAACAAAAAACAUGCAACAAACAGGAACUGGCACUGGGCACUGGAUCAAUAUGUUAGUCCCAAAAAUAGUAUAAAAAGUUGCCAAUAUGAAAGUUUAAUAAUAAUGGCAUGGAACAAUCAAAAAUUAUAGAUACGACGGAGACGUAUCACUAAACAGGAGCAAAAAGCAAGGAAUAAAAAUAAAAUUGGGUUGCCUCCCAAGAAGCGCUAUCAUUUAACGCCCCUAGCUAGGCAUAAAAGCGAAGAUAGAUCUAUGUAUUGCCAUCUUUGGUAGGCAAUCCAUAAGUGGCUCUCAUAAUAGAUUCAUAUGGUAAUUUAAUUUUCUUUCUAGGGACGUGUUCCAUACCUUUCCUUAACGGAAAUUGGAAUCUAAUAUUCCCUUCCUUCAUAUCAAUAAUUGCACCAAUCGUUCUAAGGAAAGGUCUACCAAGAAUAAUAGGACAUGAAGGAUUGCAAUCUAUGUCAAGAACAAUAAAAUCUACGGGCACAUAAUUCCUAUUUGCAACAAUAAUAACAUCAUUAAUUCUUCCCAUAUGUUUCUUAAUAGUGGAAUCCGCAAGGUGCAAGUUUAAAGGGCAAUCAUCAAAAUCACGGCAACCUCGCAAAUCACACAAAGUCUUUGGAAUCGCGGAAACACUAUCACCCAAAUCACACAAAGCAUAGCAUUCAUGAUCUUUAAUUUUAAUUUUAAUAGUAGGUUCCCACUCAUCAUAAAGUUUUCUAGGGAUAGAAACUUCCAACUCAAGUUCUUCUUCAUAAGAUUGCAUCAAAGCAUCAACGAUAUGUUUACUAAAAGCUUUAUUUUGACUAUAAGCAUGUGGAGAAUUUAGCACAGAUUGUAACAAGGAAAUGAAAUCUAUCAAAGAGCAAUUAUCAUAAUUAAAUUCCUUGAAAUCCAAAAUAGUGGGUUCAUUGAUAUUUAAAGUUUUGACCUCUUCAAUCCCACUUUUAACAAUUUUAGCAUCAAGAUCUAAAGACUCAGAAUUUUUGGAACGCCUUCUAGGUAAAGGUGGAUCAUAUUCAGUCCCAUCAUUAUCAAGAUUCAUAUUGCAAAACAAAGAUUUAAUAGUGGACACAUCAAUAACUUUUAGAUCUUCAUCUUUAUUUUCAUGAAAACUAGAAGAACACGCUUUCAUAAAACAAUCUUUCUUAGCACGCAUCCUAGUGGUUCUUUCUUUGCACUCAUCAAUGGAAAUUCUCAUGGAUUUGAGAGACUCAUUGAUAUCAUGCUUAGGUGGAAUAGAUCUAAGUUUCAAAGAAUCAACAUCAAGAGAAAUUCUAUCAACGUUCCUAGCCAAUUCAUUAAUCUUAAGCAAUAUUUCUUCAAGCAAAGCAUUGAAAUUCUUUUGCGAAUUCAUAAACUCCUUAACACUAGUCUCAAAUUCAGAGGGCAUAUUAUUAAAAUUUCCAUAAGAAUUGUUGUAGGAAUUACCAUAAUUAUUAGAGGAAUUACUAGGAUACGGCCUAGGAUUAAAAUUACCUCUAUACGCGUUGUUACCAAAAUUAUUCCUACCAACAAAAUUCACAUCCAUAGAUUCAUUAUUAUUCUCAAUCAAAGUAGACAAAGGCAUAUCAUUAGGAUCAGAAGAAACACUUUUAUUAGCAAAUAAUUUCAUAAGUUCAUCCAUCUUUCCACUCAAAACAUUAAUUUCUUCUAUCGCAUGCACUUUCUUAUUAGUAGAUCUUUCAGUGUGUCAUUGAGAAUAAUUAACCAUAAUAUUAUCUAGGAGUUUAGUAGCUUCUCCUAAAGUGAUUUCCAUAAAAGUGCCUCCCGCGGCCGAAUCUAAAAGAUUUCUAGAAGCAAAAUUCAAUCUGGCAUAAAUUUUUUGUAUAAUCAUCCACAAAUUUCAUCCUCUCCUAAGCUUGUGCAACAUGUUCAUGAUCAAGUUGCUUAAAAUUCGUAAUAUCGUUUCUAAGAGAGAUGAUCUUACCGGGAGGAAAAUACUUAGAGAUAAAAGCAUCUUUGCACUUAUUCCAUGAAUCAAUACUAUUUUUAGGCAAAGACGAAAACCAAGCUUUAGCACGAUCUCUAAGCAAAAAAGGAAAUAGCUUCAAUUUAACAAUAUCAUUGUCCACAUCUUUCUUCUUUUGCAUAUCACACAAAUCAACAAAUUUGUUUAGAUGGGUAGCGGCAUCUUCACUAGGAAGGCCGGAAAACGGGUCUUUCAUGACAAUAUUCAGCAAAGCAGCAUUAAUUUCACAAGAUUCAGCAUCGGUAAGAGGAGCAAUCAGAGUACUAAUAAAAUCAUUGUUGUUGGUAUUAGUAAAGUCACACAAUUUGGUAUUAUCUUGAGCCAUCGUGACAGGCAAGCAAUCCAACACACAAGCAAGCAAGAAAAGGGCAAAAAAGAGGCAAAUAGGGAAAAAGAAGGAGGACGGAGAGAGAGAGAGCAAAUAAAACGGCAAGGGUGAAGUGAGGGAGAGGAAAACGAGAUGCAAAUGGCAAAUUAUGUAAUGCAGGAGAUAAGGGUUUGUGAUGGGUACUUGGUGUUGGGAUUCGUAGUAAUUUCAAAAAAAUUCCUACGCACACGCAAGAUCAUGUGAUGCAUAGCAACGAGAGGGGAGACUGCUGUCUACGUACCCACGCAGACCGACUGCGGAAGCGCUGACACAAUGUAGAGGAAGUAGUCGUACGUCUUCACGAUCCAACCGAUCAAGCACCGAAACUACGGCACCUCCGAGUUCGAGCACACGUUCAGCUCGAUGACGAUCCCCGGACUCCGAUCCAGCAAAGUGUCGGGGAAGAGUUCCGUCAGCACGACAGCGUGGUGACGAUCUUGAUGUACUACAGCAGCAGGGCUUCGCCUAAACUCCGCUACAGUAUUAUCGAGGACUAUGGUGGCUGGGGGCACCGCACACGGCUAAGGAAUAGAUCACGUGGAUCAACUUGUGUGUUUUUGGGGUGCCUCUGCCUCAGUAUAUAAAGGAGCCAAGGGAAAGGGGGCGCCGGCCAGGAGGAGUGCGCAGGAGGAGUCCUACUCCUUCCGGGAGUAGGACUCCCCCCCCCCAAUCCUAGUUGGACUAGGAUUCCCCGAGGGGGAAAGAGGGAGAGGGGGGCCGGCCACCUCUCCUAGUCCUGAUAGGACUAGGGGAGGGGGGAGGCGUGCAGCCACCUUGGGCUGCCCCUUUCUCCUUUCCACUAAAGCCCAUUAAGGCCCAUAUGGCUCCCGGGGGGUUCCGGUAACCUCCCGGUACUCCGGUAAAAUCCCGAUUUCACCCGGAACACUUCCGAUGUCCAAAUAUAGGCUUCCAAUAUAUCAAUCUUUAUUUCUCGACCAUUUCGAGACUCCUCGUCAUGUCCGUGAUCUCAUCCGGGACUCCGAACAACCUUCGGUACAUCAAAAUGUAUAAACUCAUAAUAUAACUGUCAUUGUAACCUUAAGCGUGCGGACCCUACGGGUUCGAGAACAAUGUAGACAUGACCGAGACACGUCUCCAGUCAAUAACCAAUAGCGGGACCUGGAUGCCCAUAUUGGCUCCUACAUAUUCUACGAAGAUCUUUAUCGGUCAGACCGCAUAACAACAUACGUUGUUCCCUUUGUCAUCGGUAUGUUACUUGCCCGGGAUUCGAUCGUCGGUAUCCAAUACCUAGUUCAAUCUCGUUACCGGCAAGUCUCUUUACUCGUUCUGUAAUACAUCAUCCCGCGACUAACUCAUUAGUUGCAAUGCUUGCAAGGCUUAUGUGAUGUGCAUUACUGAGAGGGCCCAGAGAUACCUCUCCCACAAUUGGAGUGACAAAACCUAAUCUCGAAAUACGCCAACCCAACAUGUACCUUUGGAGACACCUAUAGUACUCCUUUAUAAUCACCCAGUUGCGUUGUGACAUUUGGUAGUACCCAAAGUGUUCCUCCGGUAAACGGGAGUUGCAUAAUCUCAUAGUUAUAGGAACAUGUAUAAGUCAUGAAGAAAGCAAUAGCAACAUACUAAACGAUCGGGUGCUAAGCUAAUGGAACGUGUCAUGUCAAUCAGAUCAUUCUCUUAAUGAUGUGAUCCCGUUAAUCAAAUAACAACUCAUUGUUCAUGGUUAGGAAACAUAACCAUCUUUGAUUAACGAGCUAGUCAAGUAGAGGCAUACUAGUGACACUUUGUUUGUCUAUGUAUUCACACAUGUAUUAUGUUUCCGGUUAAUACAAUUCUAGCAUGAAUAAUAAACAUUUAUCAUGAUUAUAAGGAAAUAACUUUAUUAUUGCCUCUAGGGCAUAUUUCCUUCAGUCUCCCACUUGCACUAGAGUCAAUAAUCUAGAUUACACCGUAAUGAUUCUAACACCCAUGGAGCCUUGGUGCUGAUCAUGUUUUGCUCGUGGAAGAGGCUUAGUCAACGGGUCUGCAACAUUCAGAUCCGUAUGUAUCUUGCAAAUUUCUAUGUCUCCCACCUGGACUAGAUCGCGGAUGGAAUUGAAGCGUCUCUUGAUGUGCUUGGUUCUCUUGUGAAAUCUGGAUUCCUUUGCCAAGGCAAUUGCACCAGUAUUGUCACAAAAGAUUUUCAUUGGAGCCGAUGCACUAGGUAUGACACCUAGAUCGGAUAUGAACUCCUUCAUCCAGACUCCUUCGUUUGCUGCUUCCGAAGCAGCUAUGUACUCCGCUUCACAUGUAGAUCCUGCUACGACGCUUUGUUUAGAACUGCACCAACUGACAGCUCCACCGUUUAUUGUAAACGUAUCCGGUUUGAGAUUUAGAAUCGUCCGGAUGAGUGUCAAAGCUUGCAUCAACGUAACCUUUUACGAUGAGCUCUUUGUCACCUCCAUAUAUGAGAAACAUAUCCUUAGUCCUUUUCAGGUAUUUCAGGAUGUUCUUGACCGCUGUCCAGUGAUCCACUCCUAGAUUACUUUGGUACCUCCCUGCUAGACUUAUAACAAGGCACACAUCGGGUCUGGUACACAGCAUUGCAUACAUGAUAGCCUAUGGCUGAUGCAUAGGGAACAUCUUUCAUAUUCUCUCUAUCUUCUGCAGUGGUCGGGCAUUGAGUCUUACUCAACUUCACACCUUGUAACACAGGCAAGAAUCCUUUCUUUGCUUGAUCCAUUUUGAACUUCUUCAAAAUUUUGUCAAGGUAUGUUGUUUGUGAAAGUCCAAUCAAGUGUCUUGAUCUGUCUCUAUAGAUCUUAAUGCCUAAUAUGUAAGCAGCUUCACCGAGGUCUUUCAUUGAAAAACUCUUAUUCAAGUAUCCCUUUAUGCUAUCCAGAAAUUCUAUAUCAUUUCCAAUUAACAAUAUGUCAUCCACAUAUAAUAUCAGAAAUGCUACAGAGCUCCCACUCACUUUCUUGUAAAUACAGGCUUAUCCAAAAGUCUGUAUAAAACCAAAUGCUUUGAUCACACUAUCAAAACGUUUAUUCCAACUCCGAGAGGCUUGCACCAGUCCAUAAAUGGAUCGCUGGAGCUUGCACAUUUUGUUAGCUCCCUUUGGAUCGACAAAACCUUCUGGUUGCAUCAUAUACAACUCUUCUUCCAGAAAUCCAUUCAGGAAUGCAGUUUUGACAUCCAUUUGCCAAAUUUCAUAAUCAUAAAAUGCAACAAUUGCUAACAUGAUUCGGACAGACUUAAGCAUCGCUACAGGUGAGAAGGUCUCAUCGUAGUCAAUCCCUUGAACUUGCCGAAAACCUUUCGCGACAAGUCGAGCUUUGUAGACGGUAACAUUACCGUCAGCGUCAGUCUUCUUCUUGAAGAUCCAUUUAUUCUCAAUUGCUUGCCGAUCAUCGGGCAAGUCAACCAAAGUCCAUACUUUGUUCUCAUACAUGGAUCCCAUCUCAGAUUUCAUGGCUUCAAGCCAUUUUGCGGAAUCUGGGCUCACCAUUGCUUCUUCAUAGUUCGUAGGUUCAUCAUGAUCUAGUAGCAUGACUUCCAGAACAGGAUUACCGUACCACUCUGGCGCGGAUCUCACUCUGGUUGAUCUACGAGGUUCAGUAGUAUCUUGAUCUGAAGUUUCAUGAUCAUUAUCAUUAGCUUCCUCACUAACUGGUGUAGGUGUCACUGAAACAGUUUUCUGUGAUGUACUACUUUCCAAUAAGGGAGCAGGUACAGUUACCUCAUCAAGUUCUAUUUUCCUCCCACUCACUUCUUUCGAGAGAAACUCCUUCUCUAGAAAGGAUCCAUUCUUAGCAACGAAUGUCUUGCCUUCGGAUCUGUGAUAGAAGGUGUACCCAACAGUCUCCUUUGGGUAUCCUAUGAAGACACAUUUUUCCGAUUUGGGUUCGAGCUUAUCAGGUUGAAGCUUUUUCACAUAAGCAUCGCAGCCCCAAACUUUAAGAAACGACAACUUUGGUUCUUGCCAAACCACAGUUCAUAAGGCGUCGUCUCAACGGAUUUUUAUGGUGCCCUAUUUAACGUGAAUGCGGCCGUCUCUAAAGCAUAACCCCAAAAUGAUAGCGGUAAAUCAGUAAGAGACAUCAUAGAUCGCACCAUAUCUAGUAAAGUACGAUUACGACGUUUGGACACACCAUUUCGCUGUGGUGUUCCGGGUGGCGUGAGUUGCGAAACUAUUCCACAAUUUUUCAAAUGUACACCAAACUCGUAACUCAAAUAUUCUCCUCCACGAUCAGAUCGUAGAAACUUUAUUUUCUUGUUACGAUGAUUUUCAACUUCACUCUGAAAUUCUUUGAACUUUUCAAAUGUUUCAGACUUAUGUUUCAUUAAGUAGAUAUACCCAUAUCUGCUUAAAUCAUCUGUGAAGGUGAGAAAAUAACGAUAUCCGCCACGAGCCUCAAUAUUCAUCGGACCACAUACAUCUGUAUGUAUGAUCUCCAACAAAUCUGUUGCUCUCUCCAUAGUUCCGGAGAACGGUGUUUUAGUCAUCUUGCCCAUGAGGCACGGUUCGCAAGUACCAAGUGAUUCAUAAUCAAGUGGUUCCAAAAGUCCAUCAGAAUGGAGUUUCUUCAUGCGCUUUACACCGAUAUGACCUAAACGGCAGUGCCACAAAUAAGUUGCACUCUCAUUAUCAACUCUGCAUCUUUUGGCUUCAACAUUAUGAAUAUGUGUGUUACUACUAUCGAGAUUCAACAAGAAUAGAUCACUCUUCAAGGGUGCAUGACCAUAAAAGAUAUUACUCAUAUAAAUAGAACAACCAUUAUUCUCUGAUCUAAAUGAAUAACCGUCUCGCAUCAAACAAGAUCCAGAUAUAAUGUUCAUGCUUAACGCUGGCACCAAAUAACAAUUAUUUAGGUCUAAUACUAAUCCCGAAGGUAGAUGUAGAGGUAGUGUGCCGACUGCGAUCACAUCGACUUUGGAACCGUUUCCCACGCGCAUCGUCACCUCGUCCUUAACCAAUCUUCGCUUAAUCCGUAGUCCCUAUUUCGAGUUGCAAAUAUUAGCAACAGAACCAGUAUCAAAUACCCAGGUGCUACUGCGAGCAUUAGUAAGGUACACAUCAAUAACAUGUAUAUCCCAUAUACCUUUGUUCACCUUGCCAUCCUUCUUAUCCGCCAAAUACUUGGGGCAGUUCCGCUUCCAGUGACCAGUCUGCUUGCAAUAGAAGCACUCAGUUUCAGGCUUAGGUCUAGGUUUGGGUUUCUUCUCUUGAGUAGCAACUUGCUUGCCGUUCUUUUUGAAGUUCCCCUUCUUCUUCCCUUUGCCCUUUUUCUUGAAACUAGUGGUCUUGUUGACCAUCAACACUUGAUGCUCCUUCUUGAUUUCUACCUCCGCAGCUUUCAGCAUUGCGAAGAGCUCGGGAAUAGUCUUGUUCAUCCCUUGCAUAUUAUAGUUCAUCACGAAGCUCUUGUAGCUUGGUGGCAGUGAUUGAAGAAUUCUGUCAAUGACGCAAUCAUCUGGCAGAUUAACUCCCAAUUGAAUCAAGUGAUUAUUAUACCCAGACAUUUUGAGUAUAUGCUCACUGACAGAACUGUUCUCCUCCAUCUUGCAGCUAUAGAACUUAUUGGAGACUUCAUAUCUCUCAAUCCGGGCAUUUGCUUGAAAUAUUAACUUCAACUCCUGGAACAUCUCAUAUGCUCCAUGACGUUCAAAACGUCGUUGAAGUCCCGAUUCUAAGCCGUAAAGCAUGGCACACUGAACUAUCGAGUAGUCAUCAGCUUUGCUCUGCCAGACGUUCAUAACAUCCGGCGUUGCUCCUGCAGCAGGCCUGGCACCCAGCGCUGCUUCCAGGACGUAAUUCUUCUGUGCAGCAAUGAGGAUAAUCCUCAAGUUACGGACCCAGUCCGUGUAAUUGCUACCAUCAUCUUUCAACUUUGCUUUCUCAAGGAACGCAUUAAAAUUCAACGGAACAACAGCACGAGCCAUCUAGCUACAAUCAAACAUAAACAAGCAAGAUACUAAUCAGGUACUAAGUUUCAUGAUAAAUUUAAGUUCAGUUGAUCAAAUUAAUUAAAGAACUCCCACUUAGAUAGACAUCCCUCUAAUCCUCUAAGUGAUUACGUGAUCCAAAUCAACUAAACCAUAACCGAUCAUUCACGCUCGACCUUUCGUUCUCCGUGUUCCGAGGCCAUAUCUGUAUAUGCUUGGCUCGUCAAGUAUAACCUGAGUAUUCCGCGUGUGCAACUGUUUUGCACCCGUUGUAUUUGAACAUAGAACCUAUCACACCCGAUCAUCACGUGGUGUCUCAGCACGAAGAACUUUCGCAACGGUGCAUACUCAGGGAGAACACUUCUUGAUAAUUUAGUGAGAGAUCAUCUUAUAAUGUUACCGUCAAUCAAAGCAAGAUAAGAUGCAUGAAAGGAUAAACAUCACAUGCAAUCAAUAUAAGUGAUAUGAUAUGGCCAUCAUCAUCUUGUGCUUGUGAUCUCCAUCUCCGAAGCACCUUCGUGAUCACCAUCGUCACUGGCGUGACACCUUGAUCUCCAUCGUAGCAUCGUUGUCGUCUCGCCAAGCUUGUGCUUCCACGACUAUCACUACCGCUUAGUAAUAAAGUAAAGCAUUACAUCGCGAUUUCAUUGCAUACAAUAAAACGACAACCAUAAGGCUCCUGCCAGUUGCCGAUAACUCGGUUACAAAACAUGAUCAUCUCAUACAAUAAAAUUCAGCAUCAUGUCUUGACCAUAUCACAUCACAACAUGCCCUGCAAAAACAAGUUAGACGUCUUCUACUUGUUGUUGCAAGUUUUACGUGGCUGCUACGGGCUUAAGCAAGAACCAAUCUCACCUACGCAUCAAAACCACAAUGAUAGUUUGUCAAAUAAACUCCGUUUUAACCUUCGCAAGGACCGGGCGUAGCCAUACUUGGUUCAACUAAAGUUGGAUAGACAGUCGCCCGCAAGCCACCUAUGUGCGAAGCACGUCGGGGGAACCGGUCUCGCGUAAGCAUACGCGUAGUGUUGGUCCGGGUCGUCUCAACCAACAAUGCCGCCGAACCAAAGUAUGACAUGCUGGUAGGCAGUAUGACUUAUAUCGCCCACAACUCACUUGUGUUCUACUCGUGCAUAUAACAUCAACAUAAAUAACCUAGGCUCGGAUGCCACUGUUGGGUUUCGUAGUAAUUUCAAAAAAUUUCCUACGCACACGCAAGAUCAUGUGAUGCAUAGCAACGAAAGGGGAGAGUGCUGUCUACGUACCCACGCAGACCGACUGCGGAAGCGCUGACACAACGUAGAGGAAGUAGUCGUACGUCUUCACGAUCCAACCGAUCAAGCACCGAAACUACGGCACCUCCGAGUUCGAGCACACGUUCAACUCGAUGACGAUCCCCGGACUCCAAUCCAGCAAAGUGUCGGGGAAGAGUUCCGUCAGCACGACGGCGUGGUGACGAUCUUGAUGUACUACAGCAGCAGGGCUUCGCCUAAACUCCGCUACAGUAUUAUCGAGGACUAUGGUGGCUGGGGGCACCGCACACGGCUAAGGAAUAGAUCACGUGGAUCAACUUGUGUGUUUCUAGGGUGCCUCUGCCUCAGUAUAUAAAGGAGCCAAGGGGAAGGGGGGCGCCGGCCAGGAGGAGUGCGCAGGAGGAGUCCUACUCCUUCCGGGAGUAGGACUCCCCCCCCCCCCCCAAUCCUAGUUGGACUAGGAUUCCCCGAGGGGGAAAGAGGGAGAGGGGGGCCGGCCACCUCUCCUAGUCCUAAUAGGACUAGGGGAGGGGGGAGGCGUGCAGCCACCUUGGGCUGCCCCUUUCUCCUUUCCACUAAAGCCCAUUAAGGCCCAUAUGGCUCCCGGGGGGUUCCGGUAACCUCCCGGUACUCCGGUAAAAUCCCGAUUUCACCCGGAACACUUCCGAUGUCCAAAUAUAGGCUUCCAAUAUAUCAAUCUUUAUGUCUCGACCAUUUCGAGACUCCUCGUCAUGUCCGUGAUCUCAUCCGGGACUCCAAACAACCUUCGGUACAUCAAAAUGUAUAAACUCAUAAUAUAACUGUCAUCGUAACCUUAAGCGUGCGGACCCUACGGGUUCGAGAACAAUGUAGACAUGACCGAGACACGUCUCCGGUCAAUAACCAAUAGCGGGACAUGGAUGCCCAUAUUGGCUCCUACAUAUUCUACAAAGAUCUUUAUCGGUCAGACCGCAUAACAACAUACGUUGUUCCCUUUGUCAUCGGUAUGUUACUUACCCGAGAUUCGAUCAUCGGUAUCCAAUACCUAGUUCAAUCUCGUUACCGGCAGGUCUCUUUACUCGUUCUAUAAUACAUCAUCCCGCGACUAACUCAUUAGUUGCAAUGCUUGCAAGGCUUAUGUGAUGUGCAUUACCGAGAGGGCCCAGAGAUACCUCUCCCACAAUCGGAGUGACAAAACCUAAUCUCGAAAUACGCCAACCCAACAUGUACCUUAGGAGACACCUGUAGUACUCCUUUAUAAUCACCCAGUUACGUUGUGACGUUUGGUAGUACCCAAAGUGUUCCUCCGGUAAACGGGAGUUGCAUAAUCUCAUAGUUAUAGGAACAUGUAUAAGUCAUGAAGAAAGCAAUAGCAACAUACUAAACGAUCGGGUGCUAAGCUAAUGGAACGGGUCAUGUCAAUCAGAUCAUUCUCUUAAUGAUGUGAUCCCAUUAAUCAAAUAACAACUUAUUGUUCAUGGUUAGGAAACAUAACCAUCUUUGAUUAACGAGCUAGUCAAGUAGAGGCAUACUAGUGACACUUGUUUGUCUAUGUAUUCACACAUGUAUUAUGUUUCCGGUUAAUACAAUUCUAGCAUGAAUAAUAAACAUUUAUCAUGAUUAUAAGGAAAUAACUUUAUUAUUGCCUCUAGGGCAUAUUUCCUUCACUUGGUAUGUUGACUUUUGCAUAGACUCCCCGGCAACGGCGCUAGAAAUCCUUCUUGCUACCUCUUGAGCACUGCGUUGGUUUUCCCUUGAAGAGGAAAGGGUGAUGCAGCAAAGUAGCGUAAGUAUUUCCCUCAGUUUUUGAGAACCAAGGUAUCAAUCCAGUAGGAGGCCACGCGCGAGUCCCUUGCACCUACACAAACAAAUAAAAUCCUCGCAACCAACGCAAUAAAGGGGUUGUCAAUCCCUUCACGAUCACUUACGAAAGUGAGAUCUAAUAGAUAUGAUAAGAUAAUAUUUUUGGUAUUUUUAUGAUAAAGAUGCAAAGUAAAUAAAGCAAAAUAAAAACGGCAAAAGAAAUAGCUUGUUGAUGGAAGAUUAAUAUGGUGCAAAAUAGACCCGGGGGCCAUAGGUUUCACUAGUAGCUUCUCUCGAGAGCAUAAGUAUUACGGUGGGUAAACAAAUUACUGUUGAGCAAUUGACAGAAUUGAGCAUAGUUAUGAGAAUAUCUAGGUAUGAUCAUGUAUAUAGGCAUCACAUCCAACACAAGUAGACCGACUCCUGCCUGCAUCUACUACUAUUACUCCACACAUCGACCGCUAUCCAGCAUGCAUCUAGAGUAUUAAGUUCAAAAGAACAGAGUAACGCUUUAAGCAAGAUGACAUGAUGUAGACGGAUAAACUCAUGCAAUAUGAUAUAAACCCCAUCUUGUUAUCCUCGAUGGCAACAAUACAAUACGUUCCUUGCUGCCCCUACUGUCACUUGGAAAGGACACUGCAAGAUCAAACCCAAAGCUAAGCACUUCUCCAAUUGCAAGAAAGAUCAAUCUAGUAGGCCAAACCAAACUGAUAAUUCGAAGAGACUUGCAAAUAUAACCAAUCAUACAUAAAAGAAUUCAGAGAAGAUUCAAAUAUUGUUCAUAGAUAAACUUGAUCAUAAACCCACAAUUCAUCGGUCUCAACAAACACACCGCAAAAGAAGAUUACAUCGAAUAGAUCUCCACAAGAGAGGGGGAGAACAUUGUAUUGAGAUCCAAAAAGAGAGAAGAAGCCAUCUAGCUAAUUACUAUGGACCCGAAGGUCUGAAAUAAACUACUCACACAUCAUCGGAGAGGCUAUGGUGUUGAUGUAGAAGCCCUCCGUGAUCGAUGCCCCCUCUGGUGGAGCUCCGGAAAAGGCCCCAAGAUGGGAUCUCAUGGGUAUAGAAGGUUGCGGCGGUGGAAUUAGGGUUUUUGCUCCGUAUCUGGUAGUUUGGGGGUACGUAGGUAUAUAUAGGAGGAAGUACGUCGGUGGAGCAACGUGGGCCCCACGAGGGUGGAGGGCGCGCUUGGGGGGGUAGGCGCGCCCUCCUACCUCGUGCCUUCCUGGUUGCUUUCUUGGCGUUGGGUCCAAGUCCUCUGGAUCACGUUCGUUCCGAAAAUCACGUUCCCGGAGGUUUCAUUCCAUUUGGACUCCAUUUGAUAUUCUUUUUUUGCGAAACUCUGAAAUAGGCAAAAAACAUCAAUUCUAGGUUGGGCCUCCGGUUAAUAGGUUAGUCCCAAAAAUAAUAUAAAAGUGUAUAAUAAAGCCCAAUAAUGUCCAAAACAGAAUAUAAUAUAGCAUGGAACAAUCAAAAAGUAUAGAUACGUUGGAGACGUAUCACCCGCUUCUGUAAGAAGCAAGUCAAUAAGUGCAUUGUCAUAGAUGGAGAUUUCCACAUGCAGGGUGACAAAGGAUAUAUUGGCAUCACCACUUGGUUCCCUCUCACCCCUGCUUUAUGUGAUUUGCAAUCUUUUUCUAUAGAACAACAACUGAUGAACAAAUAAAUAUAUAGACGUAAUGAUGGGACAUGCAUGGGCAAGUGCAGUAUUGUAGCGACCUGACCCGAAUGGAUCAAGUCUCUGUGCUUAAGUGUCAUCCCUGGAUCGGUAUGUUGACACACACAGUACUCGAGGAUUUAUAACAGGGGUAAAUCACAUGUGUAAAGUAACGUAAAUACUAUUACCUCAAUCCAAAAAGUGGAAGUAACAAGGUUGUGGAUUCCCAUCAACACCAACGGCAAAGUUGAGUGUAGAAAUCGUAACCCUAACGUAUCACUUACUCGUCGUAAGAAAUCCUGCAACAUGAGAUGUUGCAGCCACAGAGGGUCAGUACAUUGAAUGUACUGGCAAAUUCACACCAUAGAGAAUGAUGAAUAAAGGCUAUCACUACAUGCAUAUUUGGCUGGUGGAAAAGCUCUAUGGUUAUAAGGUUUUUGCGAAAAGCCAAUUUUUCCCUACUACAAAGGAAUAAAUUUUAUUUAACUAUCAUGGUGGUUGUUAAACAUUGAGAAUGGUUGACAGCAUUCUCAAUCCCAAUUAAGUAACAUCAUUAAACCCAACAAAAUUAAUUUAAAGUAACGUGAUGAGAUUCACAUGAUAAUCCAAGUACUAGAUACUCAAAACAUCCAUAACCGGGGACAUGGCUAAUCAUGAUUAGUUUAUACACUCUGCAGAGGUUUGCACACUUUUCCCCACAAGACUCGAUCUCCUCCGUUGGAUUUCUCGCACUACAUGGUGUUUGAGAAAUGGAUGACCGAGACAUAGUCUUUCAGAAGUGUUUGCACCUUACGAUGGGUAGACCGUACCACCUACAACCCCUACAUCUGCUAGUCUACCACUGUAAUAGUUCACACGACUUAAUCAACUAUGUUAGAGCCCAUAAUAGCUUGUGGCUGCACACGGAAGUUUCUAGUAUGAAUAAUCUCAUGAUCCCUUUGAGCCUGGGUGGCGGUCCAUAAAAAAACAGGCAAUCCUGGAAUACCCAGGUGCCUAAACAGGCAAUCGCUGGAAUACCCAGGUGUCUCAAUCCACCCAGGUGUGUAUUUAAGUUGCCACCUUAAGUUGAACCAUUAAUUAACAAUCUCACAUCUGUCAUGGAUUUCUCUCACCCAAACCACGUCUACGAGCAUAGCAUAGCAAUAUAAGCAAUUCGGAUAAGUAACUCCCAAGGGUUUGAAUGUAACAGAGCAAUAGGUUCUACCUCAUCAGCUAGUUCCCAACCCACAUGUUAAAAUCACAUCCUAACCAUGCAAUGUUUGAGGAUUGGAACUAAUCCAUAAAAAUUAGGUGAUAAAGGGGUAUGAUCAAAGUGUGAACUUGACUGCAAUGUUGGUGAAGAUGAUUUGCACUCAAAACUCCUGAUAGUUCUACUCGCCACACUCCGGUUAAUCUAUCGUAAGCAAGCAAUAGUAACCACACAUAAGCAAUCGCUCAAAAGAUCGGGAAGAACGAAGAAGACAAUUCAAAAAACGUCAAAACCAAGCAAAUAACUCUUGCAACAUAAAACAAUUUCUAACAUUACCAAAAUUAAGUGAAUUUGGCCUUAUCAGAAAGUUUAGGUCAAGAGCUUCGAUUUGCAAAAAGAAUCAACUAAAUCGGAUUUACGUAACUCAAGUUAUGUUCAAAAGAAGUUUGAAUAUGAAUUUGAUCAAAAUUCGAAAUUUGAAAAUUUCAAAAGUUGAUGUGACAGGUUCACUGGAUAGGUGAAAACGAGACAAAGCUAUAGGCGUUGGUUUCAUCUAAUUUGAAUAAAAGAGUGAAAAGUUAUGGCUAUUUGAAAAAUCAGGACCAAACUGUUUUACAGAAGAAAAAUAGCUACGGUUAAGGUCUACCGUAUAAAUACGUAGACUAAUUGAUAAUCUAAUUAUUCUAUCGUAUUAGUCUAAAAAAUAAUAAACUGAAGAAGAAAGAAACAAAGAAAGAUACCUUUAUAAGGCAGAGAAAAAACGACUUUGGAGAGAAGAGACAAUUUCCAGAAGUCGCGCCGGAGAGAAGAAAAAUAUUUUUCUUAAAUGAAUCUAGUCUAACCAAAAUAUUGAUUUAACCGGAAUCGGAUGAUUUUCGGAGGCUCUAUGGGUCUAUACUUAUUGGUGGAAAAAAAGCUUAGGGAUCAAAAACUAGGCAGUGUGGACUAAACAUAGACAAAAAUAUACGAAACAGAGAAGAAAAGAGGCAGAUGGGCAUAAAGGCCUUCGGCCGGCCGCACGCGCACGCUGCUGCUGCGGCUUUUUUUUUAAACAAAAUUGGCUUAAGAAAGAAAAAAAAUAAAAAGGCUGGCUGGGCUGGCCCAUUUAAGAGAGAAAAAAACAAUGGGCACCAGAAGCUAUUAUACUACGCAUGUAGGCGAUAAAUAAAUAUGGGCCACACGUACAGUUUUUAUAUAGAAUCGGAAGGAAAAUCGAAUAACAAAAAUAAAAUAACACUUUUCUUUAGGCAUAUUACAUAUCAAAAUUUCUAGAAAAAGAUUUUCAACGACAUCAUCAUUUUUCUAGAAUUAAAUAAAAUACACACAAAUUCUAAUAAUUCGAACAGUGCUCCUGCUCUAAUAAGAUCCAACAAAAAUCAUUUUAAAAAUACCAAAAUGAAAUCAAAUUUAUUUCUCUCCGAUUUUCUACUGUAGGGAAUCAUGUUACGCUAUUUUCCAUAUAUUUUAUUUUUGGAGAAAAAUAAUUUGAAUAAAACUCGAAUAACUUCAAAUUGAAAAUAAUUUCAAAAGGACUUUGAAUUUAAUUCUUUUAAAACUUCCAACUCAUAUUUCAUAUAUUUUGAAGAAUUCAUAUUAUCUUCUUUCGUGAAAAUCAUCGAGUUGCAUGAAGUUUAUGAAUUGGAAAAAUUUCCGAAUGAAAUUCAAAUCUUUUCGAAACCCUUUUCAUUUAAAUAAAUGGAAGAAGUCAUGUCAUCUUCUCUCCAGGGUUUUGUGGUGAAAAGAAUUUGAAUUCACGGAGAUCAUAAAUGCAAAAAUGAAAGUUUGGGAAAGUCCUUUUAUUCCCUCUCAUUUAACUUUCAAAAAGUUCGAAUUCACUCACUUUCAGUUAAUCAAUCAAAUCUAUCUAUUUAUUAUAACAUUCCAAAAUUUAGAAUUUUGGGAUGUGACAAGUUUUUAUAUACUCCCUUCGUUCCCAAAUAUAUGUCUUUCUAGAGAUUCCAACAAGGAGAGUGGAUGAUCUGCAUACGGGGGCAUCUGCACCCGCUUUUUAAAAAUGUACUUUUUACACGUUUUGUAAUGUUCAAAAAUUCUAAAAAAAUUAUGCAUACAUAUUGGCAAAGGUAUGUCCACGGCACAAAGUUUUGUGUAAAAAAAUAUUUUUGUUUUGUUUCAGUAAAAAAGAUAAAUUUUAAUGCUUCUAAAUAGCGUUUCAUGGUAUAAAAUUUUGUCUUUCUUGCACAGGCUACAAAAAAGUUGUUUUUUUUUGAAACUUUAUGCACACACAUAGAAUAUGGAGAUGUCUGCGCGCACCUUUUUUCAGAAUUUUUUGACAUUGCAAAAUGUGUUUUCCAAAGUGGGUUCAUAUGUAUCCGGGUUCAUCCAUGCACUUCUCUUCCAAUAAGUGACCACAUACGGAGCAAAAUGAGUGAAUCUACACUCUAAAAUAUAUAUCUACAUACAUAAUCCAUAUGUUGUAGUCCAUUUGAAAUCUUUAAAAAGACUUAUAUUUAGGAACGGAGGGAGUAUUUUGAAAGAUUCAAAAGUUGCCUUCUCCGGCUACAAGAAAAGCCGCAAAAAGAAUGUCACAUCAUGCGUGCUAACAUGUGUUUCAUUUAAACAAAGCCCCAUGGACAGGUGACUUGGUCUGCAAUCUGUACUAAAAUGGCAAGACCAGAUGGUGGUGGUGGUGGCUAAGGGGAGAGGGAGCCAGAGCGGUGAUGUCGGUGGUAGAGGAGCAGUAGGUCACCAUGCUCAUAUUAGUUAGCACGGUCGCCGAUUAACUUAUGUCAGUGCACUUUAGCUUAUAAAGUUAUAUGAUUUUCUAGCGUACUAUUAUAGCAUUACUAUUAUGUCAAUCCAAGGCAUUGUUUAUUUGUGUCACACUACCUUCCCUAUGGAUUAAAAGGCUCACGCAUAUCCGUAAGUCGACAAUGUAACAAUCCUAAAUAUGAGUUCUGUAUCACAAAAAAAACACCAUUACAAACUUCAAAUGUUAUAUUUUUUUGAACUAAUAAAAUUAACAAUUUAGGGAUAGGUGUGUGACCUAUAAAUGGAAGAGGGGGAGUAAUAUUGCAUUAAUUAUACUACAUAGUUAAAUUAGCUAACAGUUGUAUCUCCUCCCCCACUUUUUACACUACUAGCCAGCCCUACUUUAUGUAAACUUUCUCCUCCCCUCCUCCACUAGUAGUGUCACAUGUUUGAAAAAUUUGCAUAAUUUUGAGAUUCUACAGCAUGUACAGCCGUAUAGGAGGAGUAGGAGAUUCUUAAUGUGACAAUGUUGGGAAGUAUACUUCUUCUCCAGGUAUUAUGUUACUAAUGAAAUUACUUUCUAGUAAAUUGUUUGUUUGACAAUGAUUUACUGGACAAAUUGUACAAUAAUGUGGUUAAUGAUUGCACUAUAUACUUGUCCUUUUGUUAGUUAAACUUACUUUAUUUCUACUUUGAAUAUAUCAACUAAAAAUGGAUAUGUCCCUCUCAAACCAUGCUUGUUUGUAUGGGAUACCGUAUUGAAUACUGAUUUGGCUCUGACAUGCCUUCAAUACGCAAAUAGUAUAGAUGAUUAAAUGAAAAAAAGAACUCUUUUUAUUAGAGGUGCAUGAUGGAUACCUCUUCAAUACAUUUUUUUAUAUGCCUCAGCCCAUGUUACUAAGCAACCCUAGGCAUCGAGCAUUUGAUACCCGUGUACCAUGGUGUCCAUUAGAAAGUGACAUGUGGGCAUGCCCGGAGGUGCCCGUCUUUGAGCGCCCUUACUAGUAGUAAUUGCAGCCAUCCCGCUACGCCACGCAGAAAACAAAUAAAUUUAUAUCAGUUAGCCCAUCAAAACUUUUCACUCACGGUCAUCCUAGCCCAUUGAUGACCCAAGUAUAGGGGAUCUAUCAUAGUCCUUUUGAUAAGUUCGAACCCAACAAGGAGCAGAACGAAAUCGCAAGCGGUUUUCAGCAAAGUAUUCUCUGCAAGCACUGAAAUUAUCAGUAACAGAUAGUUGUGUGAUAAGAUAAAUCGUAACGGGUAACAAGUAAUAAAAGUAAACAAGGUGCAGCAAGGUGGCCCAAUCCUUUUUGUAGCAAAGGACAAGCCUGGAUGAACUCUUAUAUAAAAGCAAAGCACUCCCGAGGACACAUGGAAAUUGUAGUCAAGCUAGUUUUCAUCAUGCUAAUAUGAUUCGCGUUCGUUCCUUUGAUAAUUUGGUAUGUGGGUGGACCGGUGCUUGGGUGCUACCCUUCCUUGGACAAUCCUUCCACUUAUGAUUAACCCCUCUCGCAAGCAUCCACAACUACGAAAGAAGUAUUAAGGUAAACCUAACCAUAGGCAGAAACAUAUGGAUCCAAAUCAGCCCCUUACAAAGCAACACAUAAACUAGGAUUUAAGCUUCUGUCACUCUAGCAACCCAUCAUCUACUUAUUACUUCCCAAUGCCUUCCCCUAGGCCCAAACAAUGAUGAAGUGUCAUGUAGUCGAUGUUCACAUAACACCACUAAAGGAAAGACAACAUACAUCUCAUCAAAAUAUCAAACUACCAAAUUCACAUGAUUACUUAUAACAAGACUUCUCCCAUGUCCUCAGGAACAAAUGUAACUACUCACAAAGCAUAUUCGUGAUCAAGAUCAGAGGAGUAUUAAUUAUCAUUAAGGAUCUAAAAAUAUAAUCUUCCACCGGAUAAACCAACUAGCAUCAACUACAAGGAGUGAUCAACACUACUAGCAACCCAUAGGUACCAAUCUGAGGUUUUGAGAUAAAGAUCGGAUACAAGAGAUGAACUAGGGUUUGAGAGGAGAUGGUACUGGUGAAGAUGUUGAUGAGAUUGACCCCAUCUCGAUGAGAGGAUCAUUGGUGAUGAUGAUGGCGAUGAUUUCCCCCUCCGGGAGGGAAGUUUCCCCGGCAGAACAGCUCUGCCGGAGCCCUAGAUUGGUUCUGCCCAGGUUCUGCCUCAAGAUGGCGGCACUUCAUCCUGAAAGCUUCCUUCUGAUUUUUUCCAUGUCAAAACACACCAUAUAGCAGAAAAUGGGCAUCGAAGGCCUGCUAGGGGACCCACAAGGACGGGGUGCACGCCCAGGGGGUAGGGCCCGCGCUCCACCCUUGUGGCUGGCUGGUGGCCCCCCUCGGGUACUUUCUUCGCACAAUAUUUUUUAUAUAUUCCAAAACUAUUCUCCGUGAGGUUUUAGGACUUUUGGAGUUGUGCAGAAUAGGUCUCUAAUAUUUUCUCAUUUUCCAGUCCAGAAUUCCAGCUGCCGGCAUUCUCCCUCUUCAUGUAAACCUUAUAAAAUAAGAGAGAAAAGGCAUAAGUAUUGUGAUCUAAUUGUGUAAUAACGGCCCAUAAUGCAAUAGCAUAUAAGCAUGAUGCAAAAUGGACGUAUCACCCAUCUUCGGCUGCACCAUCAUGAGCCAUUUCCCAGACUCGCUCACUCCGGCCUCCACCAGACCACCAUCGUGUCGCUCCCCUUUGUCAGCCUCUACCGGACCACUGCGCCGUUGCUCUCCUCCUUUGGCUUCCAUAUCAGACCACGACUGCUACGCUCCCCUCUAACGGCAUCCACUAGAACACCGUUGUUCCCUCUGCUCCGCUCCUCAUGAUCGCCUUUGACCCGCUGAUAGCAGGCCGACAGCGAGCUCCUACAGGUUUCUCCUCUCCUUCCUCAGUUCUUUCCCCAUUCCCCGACUCCACCCUCAGCCCUCUGGUCCUCACAACCUAGGGGCAAAUCUCCAGGGUAGACAUGAUACGCCGUGGCCCACACUUGACUUUUGGGUUGUUCUAUAUGGGCGGACCUAUGUCUCGCCUGACGCAAGCCAGUAGGAUGCCUCGCUUCAGACAGCCAUCCGAUUGGGCCGGCCCUGCGCGGACAGGACUUCGAUGCUUUCUUAAUUCAUUUACAUAUUUUUUGUAUUUCAUUUUGUUUUAUUUUUAACUUUCAUUUAUAUUUCAAAAUAUUCUGAAUAUAUCUAUUAUAAAAUAACUUCAUAUGCAAUAGUUGAAAAAAGUUAAUCCUGCAUUAGAAAAUGUUAAACGUGUAUAGAAAAAAAUAUUUGUAACAUACACCAAAAUUGUAUAAUGUGUAUGAAAAUAAUAGACAUCAAAAAUAUAUAUGAAAAAAAUGUAGUCGUGUAUUUCAACAAAAACUAACGUGUAUAUAAUUUUUUUUCAUGACUUAUACAAGAAAUAUAGAAUAUUUAUGGGAAAAGUAGGCAUAAAUAAAUAUAUGUGUUCAAAUCUGAUAACUAUGUAUUUGAAUUUUUUAAAACAUGUAUAUAAUUUUUCCCUGAUGCACACAAAAAAUACAAUGUGUAUGGAAAAAAGUAGACAUCAAAAAAUAUAUUUUAUAUUUGGAAAUCUUAUAAGGGUAUAUAAUGUUAAUCAUGUAUUUGGCAAAUAUUAAAUGUAAAUAUAAAAAAUAUUCCUGACUGUCCGAGGCUUUCCGCCGGCGGCCACGGCUUAGAUUCGUACACACAAAAAAUUCAAAAAAUUCAAAAAAUUCCACACAAAAAAUUCAAAACUGGUACACUAUAUAGUAGUAUAGAUAUAGAUUCGUACGGUAUAACAACUCAGCAUGACGCUUGCACCACGUAUAUAUAUAUGAAUCACCAACUCAUACGUGACUGUCCGAGGCUUUCCGCCGGCGGCCACGGCUCCCUCACCAACCUUGAAUUUGCGUUUGAUUUCGAAGUUGAGCGAUGCGUCGAUGAUGCACACUAUGCAUCACAGGAUAAACCGUAUGUACUCCCUCCGUUUUAUAAUAUAAAAAUAUUUUUGACAUUAAUACAGUGUAAAAAAAUACUCUUAUAGUAUUAUGUCAGCACGGCAAUGGUUACCAACUACCCGCGAACCCGACAGGUAAAAACCUUAUUAGGGUAAGGGUUUGGAAAAAUAAUUACCCAUGGAUUUAUAAAUGGAAAAAAAUUAUACGUAAGCCGGGUAUGGGUAUGGGAAGGCAAUACCAAUAUCCGUGUGCCCGCAUACCUGUAUGCUUAUUUGUGUCAUGAACCAAUUUGUCAUUUCUAUGUUGAACCUAUUUGUGGUCUCUAAGUUAUAUGUUUGUUGAUUUAUUUGUGUGUCAAACUUUAAAUUGCUGAAAUGACUAUGUGUGGGUGCUGAAAUGUUAAAAUGUGACAUGUUUAUGUGUUGCAAUAUAUGUGCUAAAAUGUCGUGAUGUUGUGUAUAUGUGGUGAAAUGCUGAAAUAUAUAUAUACAUUUAACUGCUGAAAUAUAUGUGCUGAAAUGCUAGAAUGUAGUAUAUAUGUGUUGAAAUGCCGAAAUGUUGUGUUUUACAUACUAAAAUGCUGAAAUUAUACAUGAAAAAAUAUGAAUUGAAAGAUCAUCGAGAUGGGUAUUUUUACCCGCGGGCAUUACCCGUCGGGUACGGGAACAAUAUGAAACCCAGGGUGCGGGUACGGGUAUGGGUUUGGGCAAAAAAUAUUGAGACGGGUGCGGGUUUGGGCAAGCAUUACCCGCCCCGAACCCUGCAGGUGCCGUGUUUAUUUAUGGGACAGAGUGAGAACGUGAUAGAUAGAUUGCACAUUAAGUCGACUUGGCUUACUAGUAGGCUUGCUGUUGUGCAUUCUGAUAACCUGGGUGCAAUUUUUAGAAUUGAAAUGUGAUGCGUUUUCUUUUUACAUUUUACGUUUUUGAGGACCAAGCUUGGCGCGUGAUGGGAUCGCACGUUAAGAUAUUCUUUUGGGUAUUCAUAAAAAUAUACAUGAGGGACAAGCUUGAUAGUCGAGAGAAGUGAAAUUAUCUCCCAAUUUUGAGGACUGCACGAGCGAACACACGCACGCCUGCCUCCUGGGUCGGUCCUACGAUUUCGCUGCUGAAUGUCAUUGACCACCACCUUGCAAUCUGAUGCAAUAUGUAUUCUUUGUAUAUAAAGAUCGUCCGCUAGGGCCAGAGCCCCUCCGACAACAAAUGCUUCAAGUGUUGUUGGGUCUGAGAUGUGCCUGAAAAUAAUAGCAUAUGUGCCUAAGAAAGCUCCUCCUUGGUCCCUGCAGAUCGCUCCUAUCGCACCAAAACCAUGACGAGACACUACCGCGUCCACAUUUAGUUUCGAACAGUCCAAUGCAGGUUGGACCCAGUGUGCUACAUUUGGAAUCACCGGAUUAGCGGGUACUACUGGAUGUCUCGCAUUGAUCACCAACCCUAAUAGGUAUGAGUUGAUAAAACCAUGUAUUGUAUGCGGCGACUGAAAUAUGUCUUCAUGAAUAGCCUUUCCCCUUGCUCCCCAGAUUGCCCUUAGAGUGAUCACAAUGCAGACAAAAUUGUACUAGGUGGUAUUAUCUCAUGUAUUGCAAACAACCAAUCCUUCGCGCUCUCCUCGGUGUGGGCGCACAUCAGUUCAACAAUGUGUUCUGGAGCGAGUGCCCAGGCGCUCCUCGCCUUCGGGCAUGAGAGUAGAGCGUACCUCCAACUAUCCCUAGCCGCGCACAACGUGCAAGUCUCCGUUGUUGCCAUCUUCCUGUGAUUUAACAAAACCCCACAGGGUAUUGGUUGCCUUGCAAGCCUUCAUACAAAAACGUCGAGUUUAGAGGGUACCUAAAUGUGUCAAAUGGAAGUCUAUUGAUUAUGCUUCGACUACUGUGCCACCGAAGUUUCUUCCUCGAUCCAGUUUUCUCUGCCGAGCUUCGUUCUAUAUUGCCUAGAACAAUAGUGUUUUCUUUUUCGAGAUUCUGAAGAAUAAUAGAUGGAUCUGCAAAAAAGAAGAAUAAUGGUAAAAAAAAAUUGAGACAAGGAAGAAUAAUAGUAGAUGGGCUGCAGGUGGAAAAAAACCAGCAUGUCGUCCCGGCCCACAAGGAAGCUGCCAUGGCGUCCCGGCCCACCAUCAUUCGCCCUGUCCCAGUGCAUUCCCGCACCCCGAUCCCCCUCUGCUCCCGAUCUGAACUCGCCGCCGGCCGCCUCCCGCCUGCCUCCGUGCUCCGUGCCUCGCCGGUUAAUCGCCGUCGAAUCCUCCCGCCUGGAUCCGUGCCUUGCCCUGCCCUUCCCCGCACGCUGGACGCGCCGAUCCACCNNNNNNNNNNNNNNNNNNNNNNNNNNNNNNNNNNNNNNNNNNNNNNNNNNNNNNNNNNNNNNNNNNNNNNNNNNNNNNNNNNNNNNNNNNNNNNNNNNNNNNNNNNNNNNNNNNNNNNNNNNNNNNNNNNNNNNNNNNNNNNNNNNNNNNNNNNNNNNNNNNNNNNNNNNNNNNNNNNNNNNNNNNNNNNNNNNNNNNNNNNNNNNNNNNNNNNNNNNNNNNNNNNNNNNNNNNNNNNNNNNNNNNNNNNNNNNNNNNNNNNNNNNNNNNNNNNNNNNNNNNNNNNNNNNNNNNNNNNNNNNNNNNNNNNNNNNNNNNNNNNNNNNNNNNNNNNNNNNNNNNNNNNNNNNNNNNNNNNNNNNNNNNNNNNNNNNNNNNNNNNNNNNNNNNNNNNNNNNNNNNNNNNNNNNNNNNNNNNNNNNNNNNCGGCCGCCCGCCGGUGUGCAGGCGUGCACCUUGCCCUGCGCUACAGAAGCUACCAAACACCCCAGUUUCUGAUUCAACCCUUAUAUUGAUCGAUUCAUUUUCUGUUGUUCAAUGAUGAUUGACUCGAUAGAAUACCGUGACUGCUAGAGUGUAAUUUUUUUUCUAGUAGACUUGUUGAAGAAUUGGUAUGUAUGUACUACUAUGUAGGCUUCUUUUAUGCAAAACUGAGGCUUAAUUGAGAACUUUAAUGUGCCUGUAAGAACAUAUUGAUUUAUUUAUCUGUUUGGUUAAAUAAUGAGCAUGUUCACAUGUCAUAUUUGUUGUCAAUUUUUUCAGGUGGACCACCACGUUUUAAAUUCUUAGAUCCACCAUUGUCUCAAGCAGCAGGCUAGUCAGCAGCCAUCAAGUGAGGCACAGAGACAGGCAGGCUAGUCAGGAGCCAGCAAGCGAGGCACGGAGGCAGGCAGGCAGGCCGGCAUAUUAAGUUUCUACUUUGCUGUGCCGUCCAUCCGACCGCUCCAUAAGCCGCACUUCAGCGGAGAUGCAGAGGCCGGUGGAUUUCAAGCUCCCCCACUUUUUCAACUACCCGCCAUACUUUACGUAAUCUCACUCCCCCUCCUCCAGCAGUACUGUCACAUGUUUGAACAUUUUGCAUGUUUUGCGGUUCUGCAGUAUGUAUAGCCAUAUAGGAGUAGGAGAUUCUGGUGACAAAGUUGGGCAGUCAGCUUCUGCUCCAAGUGCUAUGCUAGUAAUGAAAUUACUUUUUAGUGAAUUAUUUGUUUGACAAUGAUUUAUUGGACAAAUUGUACAAUAAAGUGGUUGGUGAUUUUGGUAUAUACGUGCCCUUUUGUUUGUUAAAAUUAUUUAUUCCUACUUCAGAUAUAUCAUAAAACCAUGUGAGCACAUUCUAAAUCAUGUGAACUUCCUUUAAUCUCUUCCCUUGUUUUAUUCUGAGCUACCUUGUUAAUAAGGCAUAAAAUGGCACUUUAUAGAUUCGAAAUGAAAAACACGGGGUGGUUAAUGUUAUUUUGUAAGUGAAGAACUGAAUAUGUAUGAAGGAUUUGUACAUCAGGAUCACUAAAGGAACUAUGUUAGUAAGCUUAAGCACAGGGAACAAACCAGCAAUCUUACUCGAGGGGGGCAAUGGAAGAUAUAAAAUGUUGAGCGGGGCCAAACAUAUAAAUUUAAAGCACUUGGAACUAACAAUCUAACACGCCCCCCACUGGCUCUGUCCCUGCUUAAGCACUUGUUUCUUCAAAAUCUGCCUUUGCUUAAAUCUCAAUUGUCUCUCUUCACAAAUCUCUACUUUAUAGCAUCCCAUUAUAACACAGUAUCAGGUUCAAAGUGUGAGACCUGGCAUCGUUCUUUCAUAUCCCAACAGUAUGUGUAACAGUUGAAGCAUUUCCUUGCUUUACUUAUUCUUACAUUUGGUUGAGUAAUGUAAGGGAUCUUUUGUGUAUGUCAUCUUAAAACUAACUCUGAAAGCUUCUGUUAAACACUUAUUUAGAUAUGUACAUGGGCUGAUAAUAAUAUCAUGACAAUAUUUGUUACCAGUUUGCAGCCUGUGAGAGAAACACGUGAAAAGCAAGUGCAGCUAUGGAAAGAGCUGAUACUUGAUUACUGUAGAAGUCAAAAGAUGUAUAUAAUCUCCCUGGAAGAAGAUUUUCCGUUGUUCUCCAAUACAAAGAUUGAGAGUAAGUCGUAUUUAUCUGAACCUUGUGUUUUGACUACUACUCUUCUGCAUUUCAGAAACAAAAUGUCUUGCUGUGCUAAAAAUGUUAUGUCAUAGUGAUCUGGCAUGAUGGUAAUGUGUUCCUAAGGCCUACCAUGGAGCCUUUUGAGCAUGGCGGACUAGUGUAUACAUGAAAAUUUAAUUUACUCGACUAGUUUAUUAUGCAUUCGGACAUUUCUAUUGACGUUGCACUGAACUUACAUGCUUUAUAUUAUUCAGGAUCUCUAAGCUAUGAAGCAAAGGAAGCUUUCCUUGCAGCUCUUGUUAGUGAAGGUUUAUUCUGCACAACAUGAAAUCUUUUAGUUAUUGUUUUAGCUGUGUGUAGUUUUGUUUUUCUAGAUGAGGGAUGCUUUUAUUAUCCCUGGCCUGUGUUUAGUUUUGUGUUGUGAAACUACUUAACGCUAAGUUCAACCUGCAGGUCGCGCAGAGUGGAUGGACAAAGGUCACAAGAAGUGUCUCAUCCUUUGGCUGCGGAUUCAAGAUUGGGCUAACUACAUAUUAGACUUUGUAAGACUUUGUAUGCUAUUAAACAUGCUCCUUUCGAAGCUAUCAGGUUAUCAAUGAAUAGUGGCAGUGACUUAAUAUUUGUCUCUGUGUUAUAUGCUUGUAGGUCAAGGAAAAUGGGUUGGAAGUAACAACAAUUGAAGAUAUACGUUCUGGAAUUGAAACACAUGGGACCGGUAAGUAUACAAACUUGAUGGUGAUGAGAUUAGAUUUACCAUUUUUAAUAUUUUUGUUAUGCUAAUGGUUUUGCUUGAUGAAAGCAAUUUGCGGUAGAAACGGUAAUAUACAUAUAGGAUAUAGACUUAGUUGUUGGAUAAAUAUUUUAAUGUUUACCCAACUUGUCAUGUGGAUUUCGCAUUAUUGUAGCCGCCACCAGCCUCGGGAGGAGCCGUCUAGCUAAUCCUAGUCUUAGUGAUAAGUUAUUUUUUUUUCUGAUUCCCUGGUUGGUUAAUUUGACAAGAAUCUAUUGGAAUUAUGCAGUUACAGUUUUCCUUUUAGGUAUGACUGUUCUAUAAAGCCAGGGAUAAUCUGUGUUAUAAGAAGAACGAAUAAACCAGAGGUUAUCCUGUGAAAACCCUAUUCCUGCUUGUAUCACGCCACGAUGCAACCGAAGCUUAUGCCAUAACAUAAGUUGGCGGCAGUGCCUCGUCAGUAAUGCAUAGGCCAUACAUAAUGUGCAAAAAAGAGGAGUGAUACAUAGCAUAGGCCAUGCCUGCCCCUUGCUCAUAAUAAAUAAAAUUUGUCUUAUGGUAUUAAUUGUGGCUAGUUUGAAUCCUCAUUUUAUCCUGUGGCAUGUGUUGCAGAACUUGCGGGGAUUGAUCGCGGUGUCCUGAUGCGAGCUUUGAGGCUGUUGGAACAAAAGGGAAAGGCGGUUAUCUUUAAGGGCACUUCAGCGGACGAUGAAGGCGUCAAAUUUUCUGUUUAAACUUUGUGCCAACUAACAGAUGGAUAAUAAUCUUGCUGGGUGUCCUUGAAUGAUACAUCCCCUCUUACCCGUAUGUACGUACACUGAUGACAUCUGGCCGGCAUCGUUCAAAUGUCAGUCAAUAUUUUAUUUAUCUUCCCGGGCUGUUGUAAUUAGCCAGCCUUUGAUUCAUUUCUUGAGCAGCAUAUAUACCUAUAAAACCACAUGUUGUGUGUCUCAUAAGGGGGCUCAACUAGUGCCUCCAAUCAUAAUCAAAUUUCAGAUAUAUUCAGAACCAACUGAUGUUUGAUAUAUUAGGGUUUGUUCGAAUUUGAACAAAAAACGGAAACUUAUCAAGAGAGCACGCGUCAUAUGUGGAAGAAUCUGGGAAUACAUGUGAAUUUCUUGCGCAUUGCAGCAGAUUCUUGUGACGACCUCUUUUGAACCAUUCCCCCCCUCUCCAUCUAACAGUAGAGCCUUAGUGUUUUUUUUUCAACCAAUGUUAUAUUUGUGUCCAGAACACUGGCUAUAUUAGAUCUAACGAGGCCAGGUAAAGUCCCUUUCUUAUUUUGCAGCGACAGCAUCAUCUUUUCAACUUGAUGACACCAAAAAAUUGAAAAGAAAAGAGACAUAUUAAGUUGUUACUUAUAGUUCUAGAUAAGUUGUAUAGAUGUAGAGUGAAAAAUGUAGGGUACAAUCUCACCCAUGUACGUAAUAGACAUGCUACACGAUGGAUGCUACAAUUUGAAUAAAUCGGUUGGUUGUGGAUGGGCGGAGUGUGGAAUUCGGCUUCUCUGCGUGCCAUUAUGUCUGACAGAAAAUUCUUUGGAUCACUGUAAACGGGAAGAGUUUGCUUGGAAAAAAACAAUAGUUCAAUGACCAGUUGGCCAACUAUAUAUAAAUUUCUGGUUGGGCUGUGAUACUUGUGUGAAACUAAUUUUCUUGGCAUCGUAUAUUUUUUUCUUCUUAUGAACCAGUGGAGCAUUAUUUGAGCAUCGUAUAUAUCAGUUGUAUGACCUUCUAGGGGAACUUAAUUACCUGAUCAUUAUGGUUUCGUGGUGUAGUUGGUUAUCACGUCAGUCUAACACACUGAAGGUCUCCGGUUCGAACCCGGGCGAAGCCAUCAAGUCUUUUUUUUUGUUUUUUUUCAUUGUGCACAAAAAAAGAGAAAACAAAAAAAAAAUUAAUGGCCCAUACAGGUCUCGAACCUGUGACCUUCGCGUUAUUAGCACGACGCUCUAACCAGCUGAGCUAAUAGGCCUUUUGCUCCUUUAAAUUUUAUUCAAGGCCCAUAUUAUACAUUACUUGUAGACAUUUAUAUUUGUAUAACCUGAGUAAAACUCGUACACCACCGUGGUGAGAAGAAGGGAGUAAGAAAAUCACUAGAGACUCUUUUGGGAUCUUAUGAAUCACCAGGAAAGAAAACAUCUUUGAUCCAAACCGAUCUGCGUAACGCAAAAACAAAUCUUGGCCAUUGGCUAUCUAGAUUCCCAUUUUCACUGCCCACGUUUGUAAGUAUUCCUAGCUGUUGUGGCAUUUUUGUCAUUGUUUUUGUGAUGGGAUGGGUAUGCAAAUCAUCUUGGAACAGCUACGUAGUGAUAAAAGCAACUAUAUAUACCCACUAUAAGUGAUUCAACAGAAAAUAAUAAUUCUCGACUUCUGCAUCACACGAUGCACAUAGCCAAAUUGCAUUAUUAUUAUUUUUUGACUAAGUACACUUUUAUGGAAGAAGAGCAACCUUUUUCGCGGUAUUUCUCCAUUUGUAUUCCUGGACAGGAAUAUAACGGCUGGCAUGGAGCACCCAAGACACUAUAUGGAAUACUGGUCACCUCACUUAAUCGACCAUCAUCAUGUCAAUUUUUUGUUUGCGCCGUUUAAAAUCAUGGACGUAUGCAUGGGGAUAAAAACAAUUAUAUCGAUCUUAUGAUGAGAAGAAAAAAUUAAGAGGAUGAACCAAAAGAAAAAUCACCGGAGGGAGCAAGUAGGAGAAUCAUAUUUGCUUGUAGGAGCCAUCUACAAAAUAUAGCAAUAAAUCUUCGUCCUUGUCUUGUUUCCCAUUUCAUUGCCCAUGCUUGUGAAUUUUUGUCUUUGUUGGAAUCUUUUUUGUCACUGUUUUUUAUUUUAAUGUGAUGUGUGCGCAAAUCAUUAUGCAACCAUCACAUAAUAAUAAAGCCAUAUAUUAUUAUACAAAAAGAAAACAAAUACACAAGAUUCCUUUCUUAAUUUCAUUUUUGUUUCUCUGGCGGUGAUGAGCCCGCUAGCAUGCCAUCUACAACUGAGAGUUGUUACAAAAAAAAAAUCCCUUACAUUGAUUUUUGAUCAUAUACUGAUGUGUCAUGUGGCGCUCAAAGUCUUACCAUGUGUGUAUGUAUUUUGAAAAAUUAUGCAUUGUAUAUGUUGUUGUGCUCGGUUUGAUUCUGAAGAGAAGGGAUGCCCCAUAUGUAUCAAGACCCAAUGCUCUAGCCCUUCCCGUCAUCGUUUUCUCCCCUCUAAUGAUGUCUUUGCGAUUGAAAAACACGAUAAUCUUUCCAUGAGAAAGAAGGAGCACAUGUUCUAGAGUUAAACAAGCAGAGCGAGGCGAAUCAAUCGGUGUUCUUGCCAGGUUGCCAACCUGCAUUCUGGAGGUUUCAAUUUGGUUGUCAAGACCUGAGGCCUGCCUGAGGGGGUGCAGGUGUUGUCUUGCCAGCUUCAGUUUGCAAGGAAAAGACUCGCCCUGCUACAGAGCAGCAUGAAUGGUGCGAGAUUCGUGCAAUUACACACGAACAAGCACCAGACCUGCUACAGGUUUAGAAAAAUCAGCGAGUGAAAUCUUUUUAUUCCAGAACCAGAAGAAAGGUUGGUUGCAGGAAAAAAAUUAAAUAAAAAAUGUCCAAAAAGGGAAAAUUUCAACCUGCUACAGGUUUAGAAAAUUCAGCGACUGGAAAAUUUUUAUUCCAGAAGAAAGGUUGGUUGCAGGAAAAAAAAUAAAUAAAAAAUGUCCAAAAAAGGAAAAUUUCAACCUGCUACAGGUUUACAAAAUUCAGCGAGCGGAAAUUUUUAUUUCAGAAGAAAGGAUGGUUGGAGGAAAAAAGUUUAAAUAAAAAAACUCAAUAAAAGGGAAACUUCAAAAAGUUUGGGGCGAGAGAGGCUCGAACUCUCGACCUCAGGAUCACUCGCUUUAGCUAUGAGACCUACGCGCUAGCCAACUGCGCCACCGCCCCUUGUGUUAGAUUUUCAAAUCUAUCCUUAUUGUACCUUUAAAUUGCUUGGUCGAUCAGUUCAUGGAGGCAUGGAGCCUGCUUCGAUACAGAUCAGGUGUUCAGUUUCACGUCCCAGCAAAUUAAAACAGAUAGUGGCCGGCAGGCUGCAAUAACAAAAUAUUUGUUCAUAACAUGAUCCAUUUGUGGAUACAUCGAUCCCAUCUCACCUCGCCACAUCAAGAUAAACAUUAAGCAACGACACGAUACUCACCUUGAAGCAGCAGGGAGCAUCGAUUUAGGGUUGUUCUGUUGAUUUAGAGGAGGAGCUCGGAAUGAUUUGGGUUGUGCUUCGACAAUCCUUUGUUUUAUUGGUCUGGGAACUCCGCUAUGCGUGAGAUUCUGAAUUUUUAUAGUUUUAUGCUUAUGUUCAGAGUGCAGUCGUUAAUGCUUUGGAGUACUUGGACAUCCACCAUCAACUUGAGAUUGAAGAGGGGGAGAGGUGUGGCUGCUCCCGGGAGUAGGAAAUCCAGUCUCGAAUUACAAUCCACUCAAAACUUCUUUUUCAAAUUUCUGCGACUUCCCUAUGAUGCAUCAAACAUUACUUGCUGAUUCCUACUAGCUACUCCCUCCGUUCCAAAUUACUCGUCGUGUUUGAACUAAAACCACGACGAAAUUUGAACUAAGACCACGACAAGUAAUUUGGAACGAAGGGAGUACAAUCUUGUAGGAUUAAAGAUGUCAUGACAAUAAAAUCAUAUGAAUCAAAGAGGCCUUAAUUCAGGCUGUCUCCGUUCGGCAGGAGCAGAUAGUAUAAAUUACCUGUGGUGGGGCGUCCCCGAUCGCACGCUGGAUGGCGUGCUGGCGUACCUCGACGGCGACAACAACCCGCCGUUGACCUAUCCUGCGACGGGGGCCGCCCCGUCGCAACACCGACGCGCAUGGGCGCCAAGGAGGUUCGCCUCCUCCUCGUCUUCCUCCUCUCGCUCAUCUUCCCAUUCCUCCGGUUCUCCGGCGCUUCUCGGCGUCAAGGCCGAGCCCGCGACGGAGACGCCAAUCGGUCGGCGCACUCGCAGCGUCGGCAUCGUCAUCAACGAGGGUGGCCGGCGUGCCUCCUCCUCGUCGGCUUCUCCGCGCUUCGUCAAGCCAAAGAUGGAGCCGGGGCUGGCGCUGGUGAAGGCGGAGUUCGACAACGACGACGCUGCCCUAGAAUGGGCGCGCCAGAACUCCAUUGCGAUGGAGAAGGCGCGCCGGGAGAAGGAGAAGGAGCGCCAGCGCGCCACCCUGCGCCGCUUCGAGGAGCGCCGACGCGGCCGCGAUGAAGACGGGGUCGCCGUCUUAUGCGACAGCGACGACGACGACGACGCGCCGCCGCCAGUCCGCCAUGGCGACGCCGGGCAGGGGUCCAGCAGGGGCGCCCGCGUCAAGGAGGAGAAGGCCGACGACGACGAUGGCGGCGACGGCGGCGACGACUUCAGCCCCUUUCUUUUUUAGAUUAGGUUAAUGUAAUGAAAAUGCGCGAAUUUCAUCGAAAUUUGCCAUGUUUGGCCGAAAUUUAACUAGUUUUUAUCAUAACUUCACUAAACGGUUCUUCUUUUUUUAUUUUAAUACGCGCCUGGGGCGGCCCUGGGGGCCGACGGCUGGGGACCGACUCGCCCAUAGGGCCAUUUUUCGUCGGCUCAUCCCCAGACGGCGCUUUUAGACGCCCCCUGGGGGGCCAACGGCUGGAGAUGCUUUUAGGAGCAGCAGAUUUUUUUUUGAAUGUUCNNNNNNNNNNNNNNNNNNNNNNNNNNNNNNNNNNNNNNNNNNNNNNNNNNNNNNNNNNNNNNNNNNNNNNNNNNNNNNNNNNNNNNNNNNNNNNNNNNNNNNNNNNNNNNNNNNNNNNNNNNNNNNNNNNNNNNNNNNNNNNNNNNNNNNNNNNNNNNNNNNNGGAGCAGCAGAAUUAUUGGAAACAAGUCAAGUAGCAUGAAGCGUUGAUUCAUCUACCUGCUUGAAACAUCCAGGUAAGUAGUGGGCCCCUGAUGUAAGUUGGACACGCUGUUUGACCCUUGCCAACGUUGAAAAAAUCGAUCUGACGCAGCACCGAGGAUGGUGUCGCACCACUCGUGGGACGACAGCUCUGUGUCGGGCCUCGGGUACGACUACGAAUCAAGCGGCAGGAAGCUCCGAUUUUGGGUUGUUCUGUCGAUUUAGAGGAGGAGCUCGCCGGUCGGAAUGAUUUUGUGCUUCGACAAUAUUUGUUUUAUUGGUCUGGGAACUCCGCUAUGCGUGAGACUCUGAUUUUUUAUUGUUUUAUGCUUAUGUUCAGAGUGCAGGUGUCAAUGCUUUGGAAUACUUGGACAUCCACCAUGAACUUGAGAGUGAAGAGGGGAAAGGUGUGGCUGCUCCCAGGUCUCAAUUACAAUCCACUGAAAACUUCUUUUUCAAAUUUCUGUGAUGUAUUGGAAGAUUACUGAACACAUAGCUGUCGUAAAAUUUAGAGGCAUAAAGGUUUCGUGGUGUAUUUGGUUAGCACGACGCUCUAACCAGCUGAGCUAAUAGGCCUCUUGUUCUUAUGGAAUUUUUUCAACUUAUACAUUAGAAAGAACUGAAUACAUUAUCUCCCUCCUGGUCACAGGAAAACCGGAGGCCUUUUUUGGACAUUACUUAUACUGAAGUUCAAUAAUUACUAAGGAAAUUGAUCACUGGCGGAUUUUGCGCCCGUCAAUCAUUAUCUCCUUCCAUUUUUAAGUACUCUGCGUAUUAGUUUUGCCUAAAGUCACAUUUAUUAAUCAAAGUUUUAUAAAAUAGUUAUUAACAUAUACAAUACCAAACCAAUACUAUUAGAUUCAUCAUUGAUUAUUUUUCCGUAUCAUAUACAUUUGUUAUUGUAAAUGUUAUAGAAUAUGUAUUAGCGCACUCCCAAUGCAUUAUCUCUUAAUGUGUCCUCAUAUGUAGCAAUCCUUUUUCUUAGAGACGACCACUUCAAUGCAUUGUCUCUUAAUGUGGUAUCUAGAUAAUAUUGCAUUUAAUUAGUGUAGGUAUCUUUUUGAAUCUUAGUAUUGUGGCCUAGUUAUAGAUAGAAGGGAAGAAGAGAAAAAUAGUAGGGAGAUAAGCGAGAAAUUAUCAGAGCACUAAUUACACUUCAUAGGGAAACAAGCCCAAGAGCCUUACCUCCACCAACAUACAAUACGCCUUCCUGUUUUCCAUAAUUACAGUGUCAUGCCAUCAUUUUGCCCAUUAGAACAUGCUAAGAGGAAAGCAUUGAGAGUGACCCAUACAACACUCCUUUUUCUUUUCCAUAACUACAAUGCCAUAUCAUCAUUUUGCCUAUGCAAACAUGCUAAUAAGAGCCAAGCAUUAAGAGUAAACUUAACACAGUUGGUAUAUUUGUUUUUGUUGCCUCCAGGCCCUCUACUACCUCACACGGUCUCCUUACCCACACCGUUUUUUUUUUCAAACUGACAUCGCACAUCCUCCCCAUUUCUAGCUUUUAUUACUGUUUUUACAUUAUACGUUGUUUUUUUUUGCCAUUUACCUACACCGAUUUCUUGGCCCCUAAUGACUUCCCACCUCCUUCUCGCCGCCUUUCCUUUUGAGCGCUCGUUCACCCCCAAGUCGCAGCUAAGAGCAACUCUAGCAGAGUUAUCAUAUUGGCAGCCUUUGUAACACAUAUGGAGCACGCUACAUAAUGUUUAGGAGGCUACGGAGGCUGUGCGCAAACACAUAGUCACCAUAAAUCAACAUGCAUAAAUUCCCCCAAGUAAAGCCCACAUGUCAUUGGGUCAUAGAUUCUUCGGCAAUAAUCCAAAUUUCUAAAGAACACAUAAAGAAGCAUCGAUUCCAUCCCUAUAAAUAGGGUAGUAAAUUAGUCGCACUACAACACUAACUAGCUGUGGCCAUGAAUACGGUGGCUGGGGCGGGAUUGGUGAGAAAUGCGGCAACUUGGGCCCUGAUAGCCUGGAAACUUGCCUGGACGGCGGCGACAUUGCGAAUCUCAAUGCCCGAAAAAGGGCAUCGGCGCUCUUGUCCCAGGCCCACCAUGCAUCGGUAGGGGCAGGUACGCGGUCCCAAAUCCCUCUCUUUCUUUCGACGUCUUGCUUCCGACCCUCCACUAGUAGAAAAAGGGUCAAAUGUUUAGCUCAUUAGUCCCGGUUUGUAUUUGAGCCGGCACUAAUGUGACCAAUAGUGCCGGUUCCAACGACUAGGCUGGCGGCGCUCAUUAGUACCGGUUCGUGGUGAACCUUUAGUACCGGUUCGUGCCACGAACCGGUACUAAAGAGGAGGUGGCUGAUACGUCUCCGUCGUAUCUACUUUGAAAAACACUUUUACCCUUAUUUUGGACUCUAACUUGCAUGAUUUGAAUGGAACUAACCCGGACUGACACUGUUUUUAGCAGAAUUGCCAUGGUGUUAUUUUUUUGUGCAGAAAUAAAAGUUUUUGGAAUGACUUGAAAAUCAACGGAGAUUAUUUUUGGAAUAUAUAAAAAAAUACUGGCGGAAGAAUCCACAUCAGGGGGCCCACACCCUGUCCACGAGGGUCGGGGGCGCGCCUACCCCCCUGGGCGCGCCCCUGCCUCGUGGGCCCCCUGGUGCUCCUCCGACCUCAACUCCUACUCUAUAUAUUCGUGUUCAGGGAGAAAAAAAUAAGAGAGAAGGAUUCAUCGCGUUUUACGAUACAGAGCCGCCGCCAAGCCCUAAACUUUCCCGGGAGGGCUGAUCUGGAGUCCGUUCGGGGCUCCGGAGAGGGAAAUUCCUCGCCAUCGUCAUCAUCAACCUUCCUCCAUCACAAAUUUUAUGAUGCUCACCGACGUGCGUGAGUAAUUCCAUUAUAGGCUUGCUGGACGGUGAUGGGUUGGAUGAGAUUUAUCAUGUAAUCGAGUUAGUUUUGUUAGGGUUUGAUCCCUAGUAUCCACUAUGUUCUGAGAUUGAUGUUGCUAUGACUUUGCUAUGCUUAAUGCUUGUCACUAGGGCCCGAGUGCCAUGAUUUCAGAUCUGAACCUAUUAUGUUUUCAUGAAUAUAUGUGAGUUCUUGAUCCUAUCUUGCAAGUCUAUAGUCACCUAUUAUGUGUUAUGAUCCGUUAACCCCGAAGUGACAAUAAUCGGGAUACUUACCGGUGAUGACCGUAAUUUGAGGAGUUCAUGUAUUCACUAAGUGUUAAUGCUUUGGUCCGGUACUCUAUUAAAAGGAGGCCUUAAUAUCCCUUAGUUUCCAAUAGGACGAUGCUGCCACGGGAGGGUAGGACAAAAGAAGUCAUGCAAGUUCUUUUCCAUAAGCACGUAUGACUAUAUUCGGAAUACAUGCCUACAUUACAUUGAUGAACUGAAGCUAGUUCUGUGUUACCCUAUGUUAUAACUGUUGCAUGAUUGAUCGCAUCCGACAUAAUUAUCCAUCACUGAUACAAUGCCUACGAGCUUUUCUUAUAUUGUUCUUCGCUUAUUUACUUUUCCGUUGCUACUGUUACAAUCAUUAUAAAACCAAAAAUAUUACUUUUGCUACCGCUCCCACUACUGUUAUAUUACUUUGCUACUAAAUACCUUGCUGCAGAUAUUAAGUUUCUAGGUGUGGUUGAAUUGACAACUCAGUUGCUAAUACUUGGGAAUAUUCUUUGGCUUCCAUUGUGUCGAAUCAAUAAAUUUGGGUUGAAUACUCUACCUUCGAAAACUGUUGUGAUCCCCUAUACUUGUGGGUUAUCAGUGGCCUUUAGUACAGGUUGGUGGCUCCAACCGGUACUAAAGACCCCCCCUUUAGUACCGGUUGGAGCCACCAACCGGUACUAAAGGUGGUGGCCUUUAGUACGGGUUGGUGGCUCCAACCGGCACUAAAGACCUCCCCUUUAGUAUCGGUUGGAGCCACCAACCGGUAUUAAAGGUGAUGCGCUGCCACCCGUAGUGCACAAUGUUUAGUCCCACCUCGCUAGUUGAGAGGAGCUAGCACCGGUUUAUAAGGCCCGCCGCGGCUACCGUGUCGAGCUCCUCUCUAAGCAGGCCUUUGUGGACCUAUUGCAAGUCUUCUGCCCUGUGGGGCCUACUGGGCCGUACGGGCCUGCAUCCUGGCCAACUAGAUGUUGGGUUUCUAGUCGUAUGCAGGCCGUGUCGGCCCAGUAGGCGGGCUGUUUUUGCUUUAUUUCAAAAAAAGAAAAUCAAAAACAAAACCGGGACUAAAGGUCCCCCAGACCACGGUGUGCCUCGUGCCAUGUGGUGGGCCUUUGGUCCCGGUUCAUGUUGACCGGGACUAAAGGGGGGAGGGGGGACCUUUAGUCCCCACCCUUUAGUGCCGGUUUCAGAACCGGUACUAAAGGUCCUGAUGAACCGGUACUAAAAGUCGUUUUUCUACUAGUGCUCGUCCAUGGCCACUUCGUGAAGUCCGAAAAGGGGCCUGUGGAUCCAGCUUCUCCUGCUCCCCCUCAUCCCCAAAACUGAAGAUGAGAGGGAUCACCUUCCGGUGGGCCAUUUAUGAGGGAGUGGUCGAUUGGAGGCGAUCGAGAGGGGAUUGGGAGGCAUCAAUGAAAGAAUUGGAUAAGGGAGAGAUCGCCGCCAUUUUUUAAGCCGUCGCAGGCUCAAUUAAGCGGGCAGUUUGGGAGGCAAUAGGCGGCAGGCAACCAUCUAGGUGUGCGUUUUCUAAUGAGAAACAUUUCCAUGCUGCUCACAUGCUUCUUGACCUCACAAGCAAGCUAGGAGAUGAUGUCGCGUGGUGGUCAUCCGAUGGUCUACUAAGCGAAUUCUAGAGAGUGAUCGCGCCAUCUAAUGGAUGCUUGGUUGAUGGUCACGUCUCCCACCGNNNNNNNNNNNNNNNNNNNNNNNNNNNNNNNNNNNNNNNNNNNNNNNNNNNNNNNNNNNNNNNNNNNNNNNNNNNNNNNNNNNNNNNNNNNNNNNNNNNNNNNNNNNNNNNNNNNNNNNNNNNNNNNNNNNNNNNNNNNNNNNNNNNNNNNNNNNNNNNNNNNNNNNNNNNNNNNNNNNNNNNNNNNNNNNNNNNNNNNNNNNNNNNNNNNNNNNNNNNNNNNNNNNNNNNNNNNNNNNNNNNNNNNNNNNNNNNNNNNNNNNNNNNNNNNNNNNNNNNNNNNNNNNNNNNNNNNNNAAAUAUCCAUCACCCGCUACCAGUUGACUUUGGAGAAAGCUCCAAAUGUGUGACGCCCGGGUAAUUAAGCUACAGUGAUCCUCUGCUAAUGAUGCCACGUCACCUCGUUUAUAGUUGCUAAUCUCGAGUUAGUUCGAAACCGGUUCAACUUCAAGUUCAAAAAAAACAGGCAAACAAUAAAAGUUUUCAAAUAUUAAAACUAAAAUGUUCUGAGUGAACCAAAUAUUGCAUAGAUAAUUAUGGUGGAAAAACCACACAUAUUAUAAAAUGUUUAAAUACUAUGAGAUGAAUAAAACAGUAGCAAAAAUGAUUAUUUAAAUACUUUUUUUUAUUAUUUAAUAAAAUGUCAAACUAAGUUAAUUGGGAUCUAGACUUUUUGUGACUAUGGGCUAAGUUGUAAUACUAAUUUAGAUACUAAGUGUAUAUUUUACUAAAAUAGAAUGCAACUAAAAUAAAGCAGUAAAGAAUAAAUAAAAGGAAAAGACAAAACAACAAAAGAAAAAAAGAGAAACCCCCUGCCCCCGGGCCUCGGCCCAGCAGGCCGGCCCAUUCGGCCACACCCCCAGGCCACCAGGAGGCCCAACCCGCCUCCCUUAUCCCCUUCCCACCCCCGAAACCCUAACCACCCACACCCCCACUCGCUCCCUCCCCCUUCCCCCGAUCCGGUUCUGGAUCGGGAUCGGGCCGACGCCCUGCGCCCCCCCCACGACGCUGCCGCCCCGUCCCCAUCGCCAAUCCCGCCGCCCGUCGCCCCAACUCGCCGGCGUAGAAGACCACACACCCACACACGCAUACGCACGGAGGAGGGGCGCCCCUGUUCGCUCCCCUCCUCUCGGAGCGCCCGUGCCCGAGGAACCGCCACCUACCAGCAUCGCCGACGCUGCCCUGAAGCUACCGCGCCGUCGUGUCUCCGUCCCGUCGCCGGAUCUCGCUUCCCUGACUCCUCCUCGAGCCGCUGCCAGUUCCCUACAUCCCGCCGUGAGCCCCGACCUCUCCUCCUCUUCCCCUCGCACUCAUGGCUUCGGCCAAGGCCGCGACCGCGCUCGCGUCCCCGCGGCCAGCCCGCGCCCAUGGUUGCCUCGCGCCCCGUCCUCUUCUUCGUCCCGCGAUGCCGCUCGUCGCGCCUGGCCACCGCGCGUACACGCACGCGCACCACCCCUGUGCCCCUGAACGCGCCCACAGCUGCGCCCCUGCUGUCCGUCUCCCGCGCUGACCGCACGCGCGCCCGACCUCGCCCGCGCCUUGCCAGCUCCACCCGCCGCAACCGCUUGCGUCGCUGCUCACCUCCGUCGACCCCUGCUCUCCUGCAAGCGCGCCGCCCUGCCUACGCCCCGGCCUCGCCUCGUCCGCCCCAACGCACCGUCCCGAUGCCCCGACAACGCCCGCAUCACCACAGCCUCACGGCCUCGCCGCUGCCACGUCGGCGCCGGCCGGCGCCGCCCCGGCAUCCUCCCAUCUCGUGGCACUGAAGGCCGCACCCAGUCCGGGCGCCCGCACCAGCACGCCCGCUAGCGCCCGCUCUAGUGGCCUCCUAGGCCACUGGCAUGUGGGGCCCGCCCCUGUAGAACGUUAAAAAAAGGAAAAAAAUAUAAUUGGUUAAUUAUUUAAUUAACUUAAUUAAUAAUGUCUAUUUAACCUAAUCAUUUAGUUAAAUGAAUUAACCAUGUUUAAUUAACCUGAGACUAUGGUGAACAGGACCCACCUGCAGGGUUGACCUAGUCAACGUUUGGUCCUGCUGACAUCAUGUUGAUGUCACGCUGACAUCAUGCUGAUGUCACGCUAACAUCAUAAUUGCAAUUUCUAAAUUAAUUUAAUUAUGCUAAUUUCUAGAAAAUGAUUUAAACUAUUUAGAAAUCAAUAUAAAAUAAUUCUCAGCUCAGAUGAAACUACUUUGUACAUGAAAAUUGCUCAAAACGACGAGACGAAUCCGGAUUCGCAGCCCGUUCGUCCGCCACGCAUCCCUAGCUUUGCGAACACGCAACUUUCCCCCUCCGGUUCAUCUGUCCGAAACGCGAAACACCGGGAAUACUUUCCCGGAUGUUUCCCCCUUCACUGGUACCACCUCGUACCGCGUUAGGGGCACACCUAGCAUCACGCCUUGUCAUGUUUUGCAUCUGUUUGCUUAAAUAUUUAUUGUUUCUCCCCCCUCUUCUCUCGCUAGACACCGAGACCGACGCCGCUGCUACCCAGUACGACUACGGAGUUGACGACCCCUCUCUCUUGCCAGAGCAACCAGGCAAGCCCCCCCUUGAUCACCAGAUAUCGCCUACUCUUCUCUAUACUGCUUGCAUUAGAGUAGUGUAUCUUGUUACUGCUUUCCGUUAAUCCUAUCCUGAUGCAUAGCCUGUCCUUGCUACUACUGUUGAUACCUUACCUGCAAUCCUAAAUGCUUAGUAUUGGAUGCUAGUUUAUCAUCAGUGGCCCUACAUUCUUGUCCGUCUGCCAUGCUAUACUAUCGGGCCGUGAUCACUCGGGAGGUGAUCACGGGCAUAUACUAUAUACUUUACAUUGUUACAUUACCGGAGAAACUGUUUGGAGAUGGGGGCUUAAGGGGCAGGUGGCUUCAUCCAGUGGUGGGCCUGGGUUCCCGACGGCCCCCGACUGUUACUUUGUGGCGGAGCGACAGGGCAGGUUGAAACCACCUAGGAGAGAGGUGGGCCUGGCCCUGGUCGGCGUUCGCAGAUACUUAACUCGUUAAACAAGGUCUUGGUAUUUGAUCUGAGUCUGGCUACUGGCCUAUACACACUAACCAUCUACGCGGGGACAGUUAUGGGCACUCGACGUCGUGGUAUCAGCCGAAGCCUUCGUGACGUCAGCGACUGAGUGGCGUGCGCCGGAUUGGACCGUAAGCCUGCUCUUGUAUUAAGGAGGCUAGUUCUGCUUCCAGCCGCGUUCGCAACGUGCAGGUGUGCAAAGGGCGAUGGGCCCAGACCCCUGCGCCAUAGGAUUUAGACCGGCGUGCUGACCUCUCUGUUGUGCCUAGGUACGGCUGCAACGUGUUGAUCUUCCGAGGCCGGGCAUGACCCAGGAAAGUGUGUCCGGCCAAAUGGGAUCGAGCGUGUUGGGUUAUGUGGUGCACCCCUGCAGGGAAGUUAAUCUAUUCGAAUAGCCGUGAUCUUCGGUAACAGGACGACUUGGAGUUGUACCUUGACCUUAUGACAACUAGAACUGGAUACUUAAUAAAACACACCCUUCCAAGUGCCAGAUACAACUGGUGGUCGCUCUCUCACAGGGCGACGACGGGAGGAUCAUCGGUGAGGGUUAUGCUAUGCGAUGUUACUUGGAGGACUUCAGUCUACUCUCUUCUACAUGCUACAAGAUGGAGGUGGCCAAAAGCGUAGUCUUCGACAGGAUUAGCUAUCCCCCUCUUAUUCUGGCUUUCUGCAGUUCAGUCCAUCGAUAUGGCCCUUUACACAUUUACCCAUGCAUAUGUAGUGUAGCUCCUUGCUUGCGAGUACUUUGGAUGAGUACUCACGGUUGCUUUCUUCCUCUUUUCCCCCUGUCCCUUCUACCCGGUUGUCGCAACCAGUUGUUGGAGCCCAGGAUCCAGACGCCAUCGUCGAUGACGACUCCUACUACACCGGAGGUGCCUACUACUACGUGCUGCCCGCUGACGACGACAAGGAGUAGUUAGGAGGAUCCCAGGCAGGAGGCAUGUGCCUCUUUCGAUCUAUAUCCCAGUUUGUGCUAGCCUUCUUAAGGCAAACUUGUUUAACUUAUGUCUGUACUCAGAUAUUGUUGCUUCCGCUGACUCGUCUAUGAUCGAGCUCUUGUAUUCGAGCCCUCGAGGCCCCUGGCUUGUAAUAUGAUGCUUGUAUGACUUAUUUUUAUUUGUAGAGUUGUGUUGUGAUAUCUUCCCGUGGGUCCCUGAUCUUGAUCGUACACGUUUGUGUGUAUGGUUAGUGUACGGUCAAAUCGGGGGCGUCACAAGUUGGUAUCAGAGCCGACUGCCUGUAGGAAUCCCCCUUCCACACUCCUUGGCUGAAGUCGAGUCUCGACAUUGCAAAACUUUUAAUAACAUGGCUGUGUGACUUACGGGCCCACGUCGCCAUCUGGGUGGUAUUAGGAUCUUUUACUCCUCGAUCCUUACUCUGGGACUCCGAGCUCUCUUCUAUUCGGGUUAAAUGAAUUUUGCUAAAUCUAACAUUAGGAUCUCGUUAUCACUUUCACCUGGAGAGCCCCUUAUUACUGAUGAUCGUCUGCUGUACGUGAAGACCCUGAAGAUACUCUCCGCUGUUAACCCGAGAACUUGUGUUCAUCGCGUUUGCAAUUCCCCUUCCACCGUCAACCCUCAUGGAUAACUACUUGCAGUUGUUAUUCAUACCAUCAUCCCCUGUUGAUCUUGUUAUUACAAGGUACCUCGGAAAUUCUCUCUAUUGUUCCGACAAUACUUUGUGCCUACUACCUUGCAGUUCAUUAUCCACAUACACACCCUUACGGAUAAUUUCUUGCACUUACCGAGUAUCCGCCCAUCCCUAGUUGUUUGUGUGUUUCACUAAGUUCUUCAAAAUAAUAUUCGAUCUUCCGAAAAUCCUUAGCAGCUUAUUGCUUUUGAAAUUCUUGCUUGCUUGAAUUAUGGUUAAUCCCAUAAGUAUAGUAAUCCUAUUGGCAUCCCUUGUCACUAUCAUUCUUGAGUCCAUUGAUUCAGUAAGUUGUGAAUGUUCACAAUCAUCAGUCGAAUCCUAGGAUUAUCCUUUCGGCUCAGACAUCAUUUGGAUAUGAGCUAGUUCUUGACCAAUCAAUGCCUUGAUCGGUUGUGCUUUUAAGUCUAUUUAACUUAUUCAUUUUCGAUCAGAACGACUGCUUCUGAUCCCUUGAUUUGGAAAUCAAAAAAAAUCUUUGCAUUAAGCUUUGAAUUAGUAAGUUGUUUCUAUAAUCUGAUGCCUUGGCAUUCCUUCUUCCUCUGAUUGAGUUUCGAUACUCACAUCAGCCUCGUUGUUGGUCCCCAUACCCAUUGCCGGGUUAUUAUCCAACAGUGUCCUUGACGACCUAAAUUCUUGUGAUUCUUUACCGGAUACAUAAUGCCUUUGGUAAAUUGUAUCCUCUACUUUUGACAACCUUACUCUACUUUUGAGUUUGUGUUAUUUACUCCCGAAGUUCAUGGUAUAUGUUCUAAGAAGCCCCGAUGGGUUGAACCUAUGCCUUCCUUAAUAUGUGUGGACUCGAAAGUUUUCAUGAGUCAUACUCUUUUGGUAUUUUACCAGAUUAAAUUUCAACACGAUCACUUCAUCGAACGCGAGAAGUAAAUGAAAGGUUAUGCAUUGGAGAAGUGGGAGUCGACCUUGAACUUUGUGUUCAUGCCCAUGGACACGAUGUAGAUCUUAUCAUUAAAGCUUCUCUUAAAUUAAUUAUUCCUUUGGUAUAAGUUCAUCUUAUAUCUGGGAUCUGGCCUUUUGAAAUCGUGGUUCCCACCAUGUUUCUCCUUGAUUCCAUUUCUCGUGCAAGUUUGAACACUUGUCUUAUGCAGAGCAAUACCCUAGUCCAACCUUUACUUUGAUCUACCGUCGAGUAUUACGCCCUAGUAUCUCGAGAUUAUCACAGAACCGCAUAACUUCUUAUGAGUUCUUCGUCAAGUACUACAUUCUCAUCGAUUCCAAUUUUUCAUGGUUUUUGAGUGGAUAGUCACUCGAGUACCCCGAUAACUGAAUCGAGUCCGCACUAUGGUUCAACAACUCUUAGUAAUCUGCCUUACUUACGAGUUUGUACCUGAUCACAUCAUUCCUAGCCUAUUUGGCUAUAUCAUUAUCAUGAUGAUUUUAAUUGUGCUACCUGGUUCCUUAUUCCCGGAGCACAACUUUCAACGAUGAGCUAAGCUUGCGUCGAUUUUCAUCGUCAUAUCAUUUCUCCUUGAACAACAAACUUGAUUUCGAGUUUGUGUCCUAACCGUGGUUCCAAUAACCUUUCGCUUCAUCAUUUGUUUGACUUGAUGUCAUCGUCGAUCGAUUACAUCUUCGUGAAAUCUCUUGACAAAUGUGUCGUGAUCAUCAUCAAUAUUCUGAGCUUUUCCAUGAUAUCAAUUGAAUUCAUGAUGAGAAAUACCAUCCUUGCCUCGAUGAUUUGUGAUAUCAUCGACCACUUUAUUGUCUUCCCUCCAACACAAACUUGCUCGUGUUUUGUGUUAUACCUUGAGAUCCUUGCUAUCCAGCCUUUAUUCUUCUUUACCUUGGGGUAUUACCAUCUUUUAUGUCAGGAUUGUCAUGAGAAUUUCACCACCUCUGGAGAAUUCUUGAUACAAGUGAUACUUAUCAUGAUCACCAAUCUAAUACUGAUCAUGCUACCUAAGCCCAUAUUUCGGGUGCACCUUUCAACCAAUGUUUAAAUUGUGUAUGUUUCCCUCGAGCAUACAUCAUUAUGUUAUUUGACUUGACAAAUGUUAUCUCGUUGUUCACAUGGUUGUGGAAAUUCAUCUUUUUGGAAAUCUCGAUGGAUUGUCCCUGAGCCCAUCAGCCACCUCAUCCCCUCCUUGGUUUAAAUGAACUCUUGUGUCGGAACUCGCUCCCAUAUUUCAUUUCCCGAGAAUCUUACAUUGUCAUCUCGUCUAUUUGUGUUGCACCUUUUCUUCUCAGGCGUCCUGAGUCUGAGGUAUCCUGACAUUAACGAGAUCUGAAUCUCGGUCAGAUAUGAUGGUUGGAACCUUUUCCAAGAGUCAUAACACUGGACUUUAUAUGACCCGGUAAGGUGAUAUCGUGCCUAGCACACCUGGCCGGAGGACCUAUUGUUACCGUUUCAUUUUUCGCAAGGCUAUCCAUUCUUCCAUGAGGAAAUUGUAAGACUUAUGCUGCAAGUUAUUCCUGAUGGAUCCUUCGUGUUUACAAAGUCUGAUCUUCACCUAAUGACCAUGUCAAUGCUAUCUCGAAGCAUGUCAAUGGUACUCCGAUUUUCAACAGGAACAUUUGAAGCACGAUGCUAAAUUUUAUUUAUCAUUUAUCCUAACACCGUUGUAUGGGUAAUUUCAUGAGAUUCCUCCCCCCUUACCUAAACGGUUUUCUACUUUAUAUCCUGUCUUGGAUAUCAUCCUCUGCUUGACUUUGGGGAGGAUAUACCCCUGAUAUAUGUGUUUAAACACAUUUUCCUUUCCAUUGUUCUGAUUAAUUUGAUAAUCAUAUUAUCCUUUCCAUUGUUUGGUUUAACCUUUCUUGAGGUUUAGAUGAUCUAAGCAGUAAUAUUUUCCUGCUUACGAAAACACCUCGGUGUACCACCUUAUCAGUCAGACCCUGUUACUAUUGUUGAUGACACUUCGGUAACCACCGAUGGACGGGAACCUUGCCUAUUAGUCCGCCUCGUUCAACGAGCAGGAAAAUGGUUCUCUUCGUCCCUCGCCCUUGGUAUCGAUGUUGUUGCCGACAUAACUAACAGGCUACCCUCUGGCAUGCCUUGCUAUUGUGACCGUGCAAGAUGUCAGCCCUCCUUCCUACCUUUAACCCACAUGGUGGGCCCAUAACCCACAGUUCCACAGAAUCGGAACUUGACUCUCCUGCACCCCCUGUUCCCAAGGUUCUUCCUCGCGUGUGGCCUCGUAUGUAAUUCACAAGCCACCUUCCGAGAGAUCAUCAAAUCUGUUACCGGACGCAAUACUUAGUCCCGAUUGCUUUGAGCCCCUUUCAAGCCGUGUUCAGGCAUCGAACGGUUGCCUGCUCGCUCGUAACUUCCCAUGAAACCUCAUUACUUGCUCUCAAUAUUUACUUAAGUUUCAAUUCGAGAGUUACCUUCCGCCACCUUCCCCGAUGUUAUCGACCAGAUAGUCAACCUUGUAGAGGUUCGUUCUCCCGGAAUAACCCCUUAUUCUUUCGUAAGUACGAUGGAACCCCCAAAGAAAGGGAUGACGACUUGAUCAUGAUGACCUGGAGCAGACAAAUAAAGACUUCAACAUAAUGGAUCGACCUCUUCGAGAAGAGCAACCAAGACCGAGAAGUCUCCAUAGAAUUUCGUAGCCACAUCUUUCCCUUACUCCCCUCUUAAAUCUCGGGACGAGAUUUCUUGUAGUGGAGGAGAAUUGUGACGCCCGGGUAAUUAAGCUACAGUGAUCCUCUGCUAAUGAUGCCAUGUCACCUCGUUUAUAGUUGCUAAUGUCGAGUUAGUUCGAAACCGGUUCAACUUCAAGUUCAAAAAAAAACAGGCAAACAAUAAAAGUUUUCAAAUAUUAAAACUAAAAUGUUCUGAGUGAACCAAAUAUUGCAUAGAUAAUUAUGGUGGAAAAACCACACAUAUUAUAAAAUGUUUAAAUACUAUGAGAUGAAUAAAACAGUAGCAAAAAUGAUUAUUUAAAUACUUUUUUAUUAUUUAAUAAAAUGUCAAACUAAGUUAAUUGUGGUCUAGACUUUUUGUGACUAUGGGCUAAGUUGUAAUACUAAUUUAGAUACUAAGUGUAUAUUUUACUAAAAUAGAAUGCAACUAAAUUAAAGCAGGAAAGAAUAAAUAAAAGGAAAAGACAAAACAACAAAAGAAAAAAAGAGAACCCCCCUGCCCCCUGGGCCUCGGCCCAGCAGGCCGGCCCAUUCGGCCACACCCCCAGGCCACCAGGAGGCCCAACCCGCCUCCCUUAUCCCCUCCCCGCCCCCGAAACCCUAACCACCCACACCCCCACUCGCUCCCACCCUCUUCCCCCGAUCCGGUUCUGGAUCGGGAUCGGGCCGACGCCCUGCGCCCCCCCACGACGCUGCCGCCUCGUCCCCAUCGCCAAUCCCGCCGCCCGUCGCCCCAACUCGCCGGCGUAGAAGACCACACACCCACACACACAUACGCAUGGAGGAGGGGCGCCCCUGUUUGCUCCCCUCCUCUCGGAGCGCCCGUGCCCGAGGAACCGCCACCUACCGGCAUCGCCGACGCCGCCCUGAAGCUACCGCGCCGUCGUGUCGCCGCCCCAUCGCCGGAUCUCGCUUCCCUGACUCCUCCCCGAGCCGCUGCCAGUUCCCUACAUCCCGCCGUGAGCCCCGACCUCUCCUCCUCUUCCCCUCGCAUUCACGGCUUCGGCCAAGGCCGCGACCGCGCUCGCGUUCCCACGGCCAGCCCGCGCCCAUGGUUGCCUCGCGCCCCGUCCUCUUCUUCGUCCCGUGAUGCCGCUCGUCGCGCCUGGCCACCGCGCGUACGCGCACGCGCACCACCCCUGUGCCCCUGAACGCGCCCACAGCUGCGCCCCUGCUGUCCGUCUCCCGCGCUGACCGCACGAGCGCCCGACCUCGCCCGCGCCUUGCCAGCUCCACCCGCCGCACCCGCUUGCGUCACUGCUCACCUCCGUCGACCCCUGCUCUCCAGCAAGCGCGCGGCCCUGCCUACGCCCCGGCCUCGCCUUGUCCGCCCCAACGCACCGUCCCGGCGCCCCGACAACGCUCGCAUCACCACAGCCUCGCGGCCUCGCCGCUGCCACGUCGGCACCGGCCAGCGCCGCCCCGGCGUCCUCCAAUCUCGUGGCACUGAAGGCCGCACCCAGUCCGGGCGCCUGCACCAGCACGCCCGCUAGCGCCCGCUCUAGUGGCCUCCUAGGCCACUGGCAUGUGGGGCCCGCCCCUGUGGAACGUUAAAAAAAGGAAAAAAAUUUGAUUGGUUAAUUAAUUAAUUAACUUAAUUAAUAAUGUCUAUUUAACCUAAUCAUUUAGUUAAAUGAAUUAACCAUGUUUAAUUAACCCGAGACUAUGGUGAACAGGACCCACCUGCAGGGUUGACCUAGUCAACCUUUGGUCCUGCUGACAUCAUGCUGAUGUCACGUUGACAUCAUGCUGAUGUCACGUUGACAUCAUGCUGAUGUCACGCUAACAUCAUAAUUGCAAUUUCUAAAUUAAUUUAAUUAUGCUAAUUUCUAGAAAAUGAUUUAAAAUAUUUAAAAAUUAAUAUAAAAUAAUUCUUAGCUCAGAUGAAAAUACUUUGUACAUGAAAAUUUCUCAGAACGACGAGACGAAUCCGGAUUCGCAGCCCGUUCGUCCGCCACGCAUCCAUAGCAUAGCGAACACGCAACUUUCCCCCUCCGGUUCAUCUGUCUGGAAACGCGAAACACCGGAAAUACUUUCCCGGAUGUUUCCCCCUUCACCGGUACCACCUCGUACCGCGUUAGUGGCACACCUAGCAUCACGCCUUGUCAUGUCUUGCAUCUGUUUGCUUAAAUAUUUAUUGUUUCUCCCCCCUCUUCUCUCGCUAGACACCGAGACCGACGCCGCUGCUACCCAGUACGACUACGGAGUUGACGACCCCUCUCUCUUGCCAGAGCAACCAGGCAAGCCCCCCCUUGAUCACCAGAUAUCACCUACUCUUCUCUAUACUGCUUGCAUUAGAGUAGUGUAGCUUGUUACUGCUUUCCGUUAAUCCUAUCCUGAUGCAUAGCCUAUCCUUGCUACUACUGUUGAUAUCUUACCUGCAAUCCUAAAUGCUUAGUAUUGGAUGCUAGUUUAUCAUCAGUGGCCCUACAUUCUUGUCCGUCUGCCAUGCUAUACUAUCGGGCCGUGAUCACUCGGGAGGUGAUCACGGGCAUAUACUAUAUACUUUACACUGUUACAUUACCGGAGAAACUGUUUGGAGAUGGGGGCUGAAGGGGCAGGUGGCUCCAUCCAGGUAGUGGUGGGCCUGGGUUCCCGACGGCCCCCGACUGUUACUUUGUGGCGGAGCGACAGGGCAGGUUGAAACCACCUAGGAGAGAGGUCGGCCUCGCCCUGGUCGGCGUUCGCAGAUACUUAACACGUUAAACGAGAUCUUGGUAUUUGAUCUGAGUCUGGCUACUGGCGUAUACGCACUAACCAUCUACGCGGGGAUAGUUAUGGGCACUCGACGUCGUGGUAUCAGCCGAAGCCUUCGUGACGUCAGCGACUGAGUGGCGCGCGCCGGAUUGGACCGUAAGCCUGCUCUUGUAUUAAGGGGGCUAGUUCUGCUUCCGUCCGCGUUCGCAACGUGCAGGUGUGCAAAGGGCGAUGGGCCCAGACCCCUGCGCCAUAGGAUUUAGACCGACGUGCUGACCUCUCUGUUGUGCCUAGGUAGGGCUGCGACGUGUUGACCUUCCGAGGCCGGGCAUGACCCAGGAAAGUGUGUCCGGCCAAAUGGGAUCGAGCGUGUUGGGUUAUGUGGUGCACCCCUGCAGGGAAGUUAAUCUAUUCGAAUAGCCGUGAUCUUCGGUAACAGGACGACUUGGAGUUGUACCUUGACCUUAUGACAACUAGAACUGGAUACUUAAUAAAACACACCCUUCCAAGUGCCAGAUACAACCAGUGGUCGCUCUCUCAUAGGGCGACGAGGGGAGGAUCAUCGGUUAGGGUUAUGCUAUGCGAUGUUACUUGGAGGACUUCAGUCUACUCUCUUCUACAUGCUGCAAGAUGGAGGUGGCCAGAAGCGUAGUCUUCGACAGGAUUAGCUAUCCCCCUCUUAUUCUGGCUUUCUGCAGUUCAGUCCAUCGAUAUGGCCCUUUACACAUUUACCCAUGCAUAUGUAGUGUAGCUCCUUGCUUGCGAGUACUUUGGAUGAGUACUCACGGUUGCUUUCUUCCUCUUUUCCCCCUAUCCCUUCUACCCGGUUGUCGCAACCAGUUGUUGGAGCCCAGGAUCCAGACGCCAUCGUCGACGACGACUCCUACUACACCGGAGGUGCCUACUACUACGUGCUGCCCGCUGACGACGACCAGGAGUAGUUAGGAGGAUCCCAGGCAGGAGGCCUGUGCCUCUUUCGAUCUAUAUCCCAGUUUGUGCUAGCCUUCUUAAGGCAAACUUGUUUAACUUAUGUCUGUACUCAUAUAUUGUUGCUUCCGCUGACUCGUCUAUGAUUGAGCUUUUGUAUUCGAGCCCUCGAGGCCCCUGGCUUGUAAUAUGAUGCUUGUAUGACUUAUUUUUAUUUGUAGAGUUGUGUUGUGAUAUCUUCCCGUGGAUCCCUGAUCUUGAUCGUACACGUUUGUGUGUAUGAUUAGUGUACAGUCAAAUCGGGGGCGUCACAAAAUGACACCUCCACAACCUCCAGAUAUGGAGGAGACUACAUAUGGAGGGAGCUCCAAAAAUAUGGCGAUUGGGGUGGAUGCUUUUAUUACCCGUGGCCUGUGUUCAACUUUGUGUCCUGAAACUACUUAAAGCCAAGUUCAAAGCAGGUUGUGUAGAGUGGAUUGACAAAAGUCACGAGAAGUGUCUCAUUCUUUGGCAGCGAAUUCAACGAUUGGGCUAACUACAUAUUAAACUUUUUAAGAGUUUGUAUGAUGUUAAACAUGUUUCUGUCGAAGUUAUCAAAUUAUCAACGAAAAACAUUUUUCUCUGUGUAAUGCUUAUAGGUAAAGCAAGAAGUAACAACAAUCGAAGAUAUACGCUCUGGAACUGAAGCAUGGGAUGGGUAAGUACAAACUUGAAGGAGAUGAGAUUAGAUUUACCAUUUUCAUUUUUUUGUAACGCAAAGCUUAUUUUCUUGCUUUAAAGAAAUUUGAGAUAGAAACAAUAAUAUACAUGUAGGAUUUAGACUCAACCAUUGGAUAAAUAUUUUCAUGUUUACCCAACUUGCCAUUGAAACAAUUCCUUAUAUAACACUAUCUUAAAUUUUGUUUCCUUAUUUGACACUGAAUUUUUUUUCUUCCUUAUCUAACAACGAGUCUAAAAUUUAUGCCCUUUAUGACACUUUCGUUCAUUUUAAAUCUAAAUGAUAUUUGAAAAGAUCCUUUUGCCCCACAUGUGGUAUGUGUGUGUGCGGGACAGUAGUACACACACAACAUCAGUACGGGGCAGUAGCACACAGACGCAGCGGCAACACAUACACACAUCAACACAUACACAUGCAGCGGCAGCACAUACACACGCAUCAGCACAUACAAAAGAACACAACACGCACGCACGCAGCACACAUCAACACACCCACGCAUCAACACACAUACAGCUGCACGCACGCACGCACACGCAGUCACGCAACAGCACACGCCGAGCAACAUGCGCAGCAGCACACACGCACGCACGGACACACAAACAUGCAGGCACGCAGCAACACAUACGCACAUGCGCGCACACACAACAUUAGUAGAACACAUGUGUGCGCGCUCACACACACAGCAUAACACGCACGUGUGGACAAACAUACCACAUGAGGGGCAAAAGGAUCUUUUCAGGUGUCAUUUAGGCUUAAAAUAGACAAAAGUGUCGUAAAAGGCAUAAAAUUUAGACCGGUUGUUAGAUAAGGAAGAAAUCAUUUGUCAAUUUCAAAUAGAGCAUAAAAUUUAAACACGGUGUUAAAUAAGGAAUUCUCUCCUUGCCAUUUGGGUUGGAAUUAUUGUAGUCUCCACAAGCCUCAGGACGAACCAUCUAGCUAAGCCUAGGCUUAGUGAUGAUUAGCUUGGAUAAGAAUCUAUUGGAAUUUUCCUGUUAGAGUUUUCCAUUUGGGGAUGGAUAUUAUAUAAAGCUAAGGAUAAGCUAUGUUGUGCGAAGAAUGGAUAAACCAGAGGUAAUCCUCGGAAAACCCCACUCCUGCAUGUAUCAACACACGAUGCAACCGAAGCUUAUGUCGUGACAUAAGUUCGUGGCGAUACCUCAUCAGUAAUACAUACACAGGCCAUAUAUAAUUCAUAAAAAGAAAACACAGUAACACAUAGCAAAGACCAUGUAUGCCCCUUGCUCAUAAUAAAUAAAAGUUGUCUUAUGAUAUAUCAUUUUUUGCGGGUGGUCUUAUGAUAUUAAUUGUGGCUAGUUUGAAUCCUCAUUUUAUGUUAUGGCUUUUGUUCCAGAACUCGCGGGAAUUGAUCGUGGUGUUCUGAUGCGUGCUUUGAGGCUGUUGGUACGGAAGGGAAAGCGAGUUUAUUUAAGGGCACUUCAGACAAAGGCAUUAAAAUUUCUUCUUAAACUUUGUGCCAACUAACAGAUGAAUAAUAAUCUUGAUAGAUGUCCAUGAAAAUAAUACAUUCCGUCUUACCCGUAUGUAUGUACAUUGAUGACGUCCUUCUGGUCAGCAUCGUUCAAACGUCAGUAUUUAUUUCCGGUGCCGAACUAUUGUACCUCAUAAGGAGGCUCAACUAAUUCUAAUCAAAUAUCAGAUAUAUUGAGAACCAUACUUACCUAUAAGGAGGCAGAUUCUUGUGACGAGCUCUUUUGAACCUUGAUCGAACCACGCUAGUAGUACUAAAAUGUAAUUCGUACAGAAGAGAGGUUUUCUUCUUGUGUUAUUAUUAUCACUAUCAGCCAAACAUAGAAAAGCUUCAUUUGGUUUGCAUGAAUUUGAUCUCUCUAUAACCCGUCACUGACUGAUUAUCCGCACACACACACAACAGUAACAAAUUACCCACUGCAGGAAUAUAUCGAUACACAUCUUGCAUUGAUCAAACAUUAACUGAUCUCACAGAUUUCAAUAAAAACUAACCAGCGUGACAAAUCCAUCUCAGGCUUAUUAUUACAUAAUCCAUCAAACACGACAAACUUCAAUUUAACUAACCCUUGGCGACCCUAAUCAAAACAUAAUCUAAGGUGUUGCCAAGCCAGAGAUGGACAGAUGUGCGGAUGAUCUAGUUGGGAGCAAAGAAGAUCUCAGAGUCGAGCCUCUUGGAGCGGAACAUCUUUUCCAUCUCUGGCGUGCUGUUGAAGGCCGUCUCUAGCACCUCCGGCGAUAUCGCCUUCCACACCGACAUCCUACCAGCCAAGUGGCUAAAGAUCGGGGAGAGAAGUGCAUUUUUCAAUCCCGAACUCUUGCCCUAGUCUAAUUUACAACCCCGAACUUCAAUACCAUCUAAAUUACAACCCUCAACUCUCAAAACCGGUCAGGAUUCAACCCUCCCCUCCUUAUUGACUGGUUUUGACCAGGGGCGACCAGUUUUGACCAGUCAUCGGGUCCAAUCAGCAUGCCACAUCAGAAAAAAAAUUCAAAAUUUCAAGAAAAUAUAAUUAAAAAUCUGUAAGAUCGAGAAAAAAUCCGAAAUAAAAUUUCCUGGGGAAAAAGUUUGCAAAAAAAAUUCAAGAACUUUUCCUGUAAUUUUCAGGAAAAAAUAAAAAUAAUAAUUUUUUUGGAAAUUACUUUUUCUAGAAAUUUUAAAUUUUUUAUUUUACAUUUUUAAAUAUUUUUCUUGGGAAUUUUAAAUUUUUCCCUGGAGUUUUUUUAAUUUUAAGUAUUUUUUGGUUUUUCAUGGAAAUAUUGAUAAUUUUGUUUUCGGAAAUUCGUUUUUUAUUUUUCCUUAAUUUUUUCCUGCAAAUUUGAUUUUUUAUUUCUUUUCCUGGAUUUUUUUUCGAUUUUACAGAUUCAAAUUUUUUUGCUGACGUGGCAUGCUGGCUGGACCUGUUGACUGGUCGAAACCGGUCAACAGAGAGGAGAGGGUUGAAUCCUAACCGGUUUUGAGAGUUGGGGGUUGUAAUUUAGACGUCAUUGGAGUUUGGGGUUGUAAACUAGACCAGGGCGAGAGUUCGUGGUUGAAAUAUGCACUUCUUUCAAGAUCGGGCUGCAUUUGUUUUGCACAACACAAACAUUAGUUGGUCAAAUCGACCGAUAUAACUAGAUAAAUGCAAAACUAUUGAUUAAACUUGAAUAUGUAGGAAAAUUACAUUUUGAGAAAAUGCAAAACAUGCCACAAUAUUGUGCAACUAAGGGCAUAUACAAAAAUGCUAAACAAACGGGAGGAAUCUAGUCUGUAAGAAACUUUCCUAGUUGGAACUAGAAAUAAGUUCAUACUUGAUUGUUGCAAAACUAAAACAGAAUAUGUGGAACAAAAAUAAUGCAUCAGAUCUGAUAUACGCAUGCAUGUUUACCUACAUUUUUACUAUCAAAAUGCAGUCAGAAAAGAUACAGUGGCAUUUUUUAAUCCACAACUACUGAAUGAACUUGAAUAUGUAGCAGGAAACUUUAAUGUCAGACAGGGCAACGAAUGACACAAAAUUGUGCAACUAAUUAGGGCCAUAUAUACUUGAAUUUCGCAAAAUUGAAACAUAAUAUACCGAACAAAAAUAAUGCUAGAAAAUAUGAUGUACACAUGCAUAUCAAAAGUUCUAGCUGGUCAACUACUAGAGUAAAAUACGUACUUUGGCGUGGUGAUGAUGGAGAACCACUCCAUGCCGGUGUCGUCUGCGAUCUUGGAGACGACGAAGAACCUAGGCACGAUGAAGAGGCAGCCCGCCUCGGCGCGGGUCUCCAGUACACGGGUGCCGUCGAUGCCGACGACCUGGACGCGGCCGCCGCCGCGCACUAUGUAGGUGACCUGGUAGGCCGAGUCGCAGGAGAAUCCCGGCGAGCACAUGGAGCGACCGUCGAUCCUCACGAGGUCAGAGCCCAGCCCAACGUCCUUCACCGGUGGCAGGUUGGCCGUGUUGAGCACCACCACGCGGCCGCCGCCCGGGAUGUCCACGUCGAGCGGCGCCUCGAGGCAGUUGAGCACCACGCCCUGGCGGUCCUCGGCGCGAGGCUCCGGCAUCCGGUGCCCCGCGGCGAUCUUGACGAUGCCGGAGCCAGGCUGGGUGGAGACGAUCUUGGCGGCGGCGUCCUGGUCGAGGUCCCAGGCGCGCGCGACGAACUCGGUGGAGAAGCCCGUGAAGAUGCCGGUGGCGCCGGUGAGCUGGAAGUUGGUGAAGCGGCCGGGAGUGUGGCCCUUGGAGGUGUCGCCGAGGAAGAGCACCACCAGCUCCGCGGCGGCGCCCUCGGCGUUGUGCUACCAGGUGACGGCGCCGAAGGGGAGCGCCAGGGUGUCGCCCUCCUUGACGGGGAUCACCUUCUCGCUGGCCGCCUCGGGGAGGACGAGGCCGCAGGCGCCGGCGCCCUGGAGCACGUAGGCGAUCUUGGCCGAGUCGGAGUAGCUGGGGAGCGCGAGGCCGCCGGCGGAGAGGUGCAGCUUGGCGGCGCCGAUGGAGGCCGCGCCGAGCAUGGGCAGGUCGGCCGGCGACCAGUCGUAGUAGGCGCCGCCGUCGCUGCCGUAGGCCUUGGCGGGCUUCUUGUGCGACAGGUCCAUGGACAUGACCUCGGCGUUGGAAGUGUGCUGCACCAUCGUUUCGUUGUCAAGAUGAGAUUGUACGUGGGAGAGGAGGAGGAAGAUCGAUUUGAAUGGGAUGGAGGAAGUGGAUGCGGAAUGGUCCAUAUUUAUAGUUGCGGGUUUAGAAGAUAGAUAAUGAAUCCUAGUUGUUAGAGAUAACUGAUCGAUCGAUCCUGAUGUGAAACAAGAUGCGAGCACGCACGCACGCACGUGUUGCAUGCAGCGUUGUAACUUAGUCGUAGCGAGUACCAAGUACGUACGUGUAAGACAAUAAAUUUUGGGGAACCAGCACAACCCUCUAGAGGUGGCUUAUCUCAUUAUAUAUAAUGGUUGUGUUACAAUAUGUACAUAAGUACAGAAGCUAUACAUAGUCUAACACCCUCCCUCAAUCUUAGCCACUUUUUAAAGAACUGAGAAGGGUAAGAUUGCGCCUACAAGCCUCAAACUGUGGCAGCGGUAAAGGCUUAGUGAAGAUGUCUGCAAGUUGAUCCUUAGAUGAGAUAAACUUGAUCUGGAGUUGCUUCUGCGAUACACGUUCCCGUACAAAGUGAUAGUCAACUUCAAUGUGUUUCGUUCGGGCAUGAAAUACUGGAUUUGCAGAAAGGUAUGUAGCACCGAUGUUAUCACACCAAAGAAUAGGAGGCUAUGGUUGAGACAAACCCAACUCCUGAAGCAAAGACUGCACCCAAAUAAUCUCUGCAGUAGUAUUAGCCACAGCCUUGUACUCAGCUUCAGUACUGCUACGUGACACAGUAGCCUGUUUCCGAGCACUCCAGGCGAUCAAAUUAGAGCCAAAGAAUACUGCAUACCCCCCCACUGGAUCGCCUGUCAUCUGGGCUACCAGCCCAAUCUGCAUCAGAGAAGGCCGAAAGGACCCGAGAGGAAGUCGGCCGAAUAUGCAUACCAAAUGUCAGGGUGAACUGAACAUAACGAAGAAUGCGUUUAACAGCAGCCCAAUGAGUAUCUCUGGGAGCCUGAAGAUACCGACAAACCCUGUUAACAGCAUAAGAGAUAUCUGGUCUCGUGAUCGUCAAGUACUGAAGUCCACCAACAAUGCUCCUGUACUCUGUGGCAUCCGCAGGAGACCAAAGCUCACCAUCAACAGCUGUUAUCUUGUCGGUAGACGACAUGGGUGUGGUGGUCGGUUUGCACUUCAGCAUGCCAGCUCUUUGUAACAACUCCAAGGAGUACUUCUUCUGCGUAAGGACAAGACCAGUAGCACGAGAAGUGACCUCAACUCCAAGAAAGUAGUGAAGCUUCCCAAGAUCUUUGACCGCAAAAUCAGCAUCAAGAGAGCAGACAAGAGCAUUAGCAGCAUACUGAGAAGAGCUGACAAGGAUAAUAUCAUCGACAUAUACCAAAAGGUACAUAGUGACUUCUGGCUUCUGUAGAAGAAAUAAUGAAGUGUCAGCAGUGGACGGCACAAACCCAUGAGCACGAAGGGCAGAGGCAAGGCGGGCAUGCCAGGCACGAGGAGCUUUCUUCAAACCAUAUAGUGCUUUGGAAAGACGACAGAUAUAGUCAGGACGAUCAGGAUCAGAGAAACCAGGCGGCUGUUUCAUAUAAACCUCUUCCUCCAAAAAUCCAUGUAGAAAAGCAUUCUGCACAUCAAGUUGACGAAGUGACCAACCACGAGAAACAGCAAUGGAGAGAAGAAGCCGAAUAGUGGUAGGCUUGACGACAGGACUGAAGGUGUCCUCAUAGUCAAGACCAUGACGCUGCCGAAAACCGCGAGCAACAAGUCGCGCUUUGUAACGCUCAAUAGAUCCAUCCAAAUGCUUCUUCACUUUGAAUACCCAUUUUGAGUCAAUAACAUUUACCCGUGGUGGUGGAGGAACAAGAGUCCAUGUCUUGUUACGAAGAAGAGCAUGAAACUCCUGCUCCAUAGCCUCUCGCCAAUGUGGAAUGCGCAGGGCAGCCUGAUAUGAGCGAGGCUCAGAAGAUGGAUCCGCAACAGCAGCAACCAAACAAGUAGCCAACCAAGCAACCGUACCAUCCUUACGUUCCUUAGGUUUGAAAAUGCCACUGCGACUGCGUGUAUGUGGUCGGGACACAGGAACCACCGAGGUCGACGGAGCAGCCUGCAACGGGCUGGAGGACGGCGACGUUGACGAGUCAGCCGGUGACGAGGAGCCAGUCACGGUAGCCUCGGACUCGGUCGACGAAGAAGGCCGGCCCACCGGCGAAACCGGCAGAGCAGACGAAGCAGCUGGCGACUCCGGCAUCACAGACCGGGCCGUUGGCGAGCUCGGCAUAGUGGGCCGUGGCGCGGCCGGUGUCGCGGGCCGAUCCGCGGAUGAAGGCGACGUGAGGACCCGAGCCGCGGGCGAAGACGGCGUGACGGGCCGAGCCGCAGGCGAAGACGGCGUGACGGGUCGAGCCGCGGGCGACUCGGCGGCCGCUGGCGAAAAAGGCCGAGCCGCUGGAAACUCGGUGAUCGCUGGCGUAGCGGACCGAGCAGUGGAGAUGCUCGGCGCGACGGGCUCGUCGGGUGACCAUGCAUGAGCACGCGAAUCGACGCCAUGCAACAUAGGGCGAUCGACGUGCCCACCAGAAGACGACGAUGAUGAUGGUGAAUCCUCCAACAGCUCCAAACGAGCUCCACGUCCGGUUCCUGCACCAUGGUUAGGUAACAGCAAAGGAGAGUAUGCAACAUCAUCAAAUUGGUCAGAAGCAACAGAGGAUGAAUGCAGGGAUGGUGGUUCGACAGUAGACACAGGAAGGUUGGCAAAGGGAAAAACAUGCUCAUCAAACACGACGUCCCGAGAUAUAUAGACACGAUUAGUGGGAACAUGAAGACAUUUGUAACCUUUAUGAAGAGAGCUAUAGCCAAGAAAAACACACUUCUUAGAACGAAACUCAAGCUUGCGCUUGUUAUAUGGACGAAGAUGCGGCCAGCAAGCACACCCAAAUACCUUGAGAAAGGUAUAAUCAGGUUGUUCAUUAAGGAGAACCUCAAUGGGAGUCUUCAUGUUUAAAACACGAGUAGGAGUACGGUUGAUGAGAAAGCAUGCAGUGGUGAAAGCAUCACUCCAAAACCGAAACGGAACAGAUGCAUGGGCCAAAAGAGUAAGACCAGCUUCAACAAUAUGACGAUGCUUACGUUCAACUGAACCAUUCUGUUGAUGUGUAUGUGGACAUGCUAAACGAUGAGCUAUCCCAAGCGACUGAAAGAAAGAGUUGAGGUUGCGAUACUCGCCCCCCCAAUCCGACUGGACAUGAACAAUUUUGUGCUUGAGAAGACGUUCAACAUGUUUUUGAAACUGAACAAAAAUAUCAAACACAUCAGAUUUGCGUUUAAUAAGGUAAAGCCAGGUAAAGCGACUAUAAGCAUCAACGAAACUGAUAUAGUAAUUAUGCCCACUGACAGAAGUCUGAGCAGGACCCCAUACAUCUGAAAACACAAGUUCUAAAGGAUGUUUCACCUCACGACUGGACUCCGAAAAAGGAAGUUGAUGACUCUUCCCCUGCUGACAAGCAUCACACACUGCUACAUCUUUAUUACUAGACAAACUAGGAAGCUCAUGACGACGCAAAAUAUGACGGACAAUAGGUGUGGCCGGGUGACCAAGACGAGCAUGCCACUGUGACGGAGAGACCCUAACUCCACUGAAAACGCGAGCGACGCCAGGAUGCUCCAGACGGUAGAGGCCCUGGCACAACCGCCCACUAAGAAGAAUGUCCCUCGUGCCCCGAUCCUUAAUAAAAAGAUCAAAAGGGUGAAAUUCACAAAGCACAUUAUUAUCACGUGUGAGUUUAGGAACUAAAAGAAGAUUACGGGUCACAGAUGGAACUCGAAGAACAUUGCGAAGCUGAAGAUUCCUAUUGGCAUGUCUAGUGAGAAGAGAUGCUUGACCAAUAUGAGAGAUGUGCAUACCUGCUCCAUUGGCGGUGUGGAUCUUGUCGGAGCCAUGAUAGGGUUCACGAGUGUGAAGCUUCCCCAUCUCGCUGGUCAGAUGCUCUGUCGCCCCAGAGUCCAUGUACCAGUGUGGAUCGAUGGAGUAGGACUGAGUGUGUCCCUGUUGCUUCUGCGACGCGGGACGAUCAGCCAUGGCGACCUGACGGGCAUUGUUGCGCGUAUCUUUGCCGUCAUUGCCAAGACCAAGGAAGCCUCGCUGGAAGCGCUUAUGACACUUGGAGGCCCAGCGCCCAUCGCGGCCACAAAGCUGACACACACGUGGACCGCCAGCCCCCGGUAAGGUCGUAGUAGGUGGGGGGGCCGAGGCGGGCGACGGUGGCAGCCCCAAGGGAGACCGGGGUGAUGAAGAAGAGCGGCCACCCUUGGUGGCGGCGUUGGCCGAGAGGGAGCCAGUGCCCCUGGUGCGGCGAGUCUCGACCCGUUGCUCAGUGAGAAGGAGCCGAGAGAAAACCUCGUGUGCCAGCAUGGCUGUCGAGUUGCCCCGCUCGUUGAUGAUCUCGACUAAGGCAUCAUACUCCUCAUCAAGACCAUUGACAAUAAACGAGUUGAACUCGGAGUCGGUGAGGGGCUGUCCAAUGGAGGCCAAUGUGUCGGCGAGGCCCUUGACCUUGUUGUAGAACUCAGUGGCAGUGGAGUCAAGCUUCUGACACUCUCCAAGCUGACGACGGAGUGCAGAGACACGAGCCUGAGACUGCGCUGCAAAGGUGCGCUCAAGGAUGGUCCAGGCCUCAUGAGACGUCUUCGCGAAGACAACAAGGCCGGCAACUGCCGGCGAGAGCGACCCCUGGAUGGAGGAGAGGUUCGCCUGGUUCUGCCCCGUCCAGACGCGAUGGGCCGGAUUGUAGACCGGACCGUGCACGUUGUCUACCAACGCGGGUGGGCAGGGAAGCGAUCCGUCGACGUAGCCUAGCAGGUAGUGACUCCCCAAGAGCGGGAGAACCUGCGCACGCCAGAAGAUGUAGUUGUCGGCGGAGAGCUUGAUGGUGAUGAGAUGACCGAAGUGAAACGGCGGCGGCGAAGACGAUCCCAUCGAGGAGGCUGCCUGGGGUGCAAACACCAUGGAGGCAGCCAGAGGCACCGAAGCCGAUGCGGGAGGAGGCGGGACCGCAGCCAGGGCGGGCGCCGCAAAGCUCGCGGCCGGUUCGGACGCCGCAAGGCUGGCGGCCGGGGCGGACGCCGCCAACCCCGCCAGCGGGGCGGUGUGAUCCGCUUGCGGCAGGAGCGGCGGGACGACGCCUGCGGAGUCCGCAGCGGACGGCGGCGCCGCGGUGUGGACUACGAGGUCACGCCCAAGCGAGGGCGCCGGCGGCGUGGAGAAGACGGAGCCGAUGCUCCUUGUCCCGAUCGGAGCCGGAACGGAGACGGCAUCGAGCGGGAGGUUGAGCAGAGCCGCAAGAGAGGCCGGGAGGAAGCCCGNNNNNNNNNNNNNNNNNNNNNNNNNNNNNNNNNNNNNNNNNNNNNNNNNNNNNNNNNNNNNNNNNNNNNNNNNNNNNNNNNNNNNNNNNNNNNNNNNNNNNNNNNNNNNNNNNNNNNNNAAAGCUCGCGGCCGGUUCGGACGCCGCAAGGCUGGCGGCCGGGGCGGACGCCGCCAACCCCGCCAGCGGGGCGGUGUGAUCCGCUUGCGGCAGGAGCGGCGGGACGACGCCUGCGGAGUCCGCAGCGGACGGCGGCGCCGCGGUGUGGACUAGAGGUCACGCCCAAGCGAGGGCGCCGGCGGCGUGGAGAAGACGGAGCCGAUGCUCCUUGUCCCGAUCGGAGCCGGAACGGAGACGGCAUCGAGCGGGAGGUUGAGCAGAGCCGCAAGAGAGGCCGGGAGGAAGCCCGCAGCAGUGGAACCAGUGGUGGCGGCGCUCGACAUGGCGGCGGCGCGAUCGGUGGAGCGGCGGCUGCGGCGGCGGUGCGGGUAUUAGGUUUAGAAGCGGAAGCGAUCGUAACCUAGCGUGAUACCAUGUAAGACAAUAAGUUUUGGGGAACCAGCACAACCCUCUAGGGAUGGCUUAUCUCAUUAUAUAUAAUGGUUGUGUUACAAUAUGUACAUAAGUACAGAAGCUAUACAUAGUCUAACAGUACGGACUGAGCCCGCGUGCACGUAUGCACUUACGUACCGUGGCAACAUAUGAUGCGUACGGUCGCAGUAUGUUUGUGUUGGCUGGUGAGACGAUUCAUUUCGAUCGAUCGAUCGAUCGGGCAUUCAAUAACAAUGGUAUCGUGCAGACUGCGGCCGGUGCUUGCUGCCAGCAGCCGGCCUCGGUGUGCGUGCACGCACUCGCCGGCCGGCCGUACGUACGUCCGGCGCGGCGUUAAAUUGUGCAGGUAGGUAGAGAUUGGCAUGCAGUGAUCCAUUGCUGGAGCUGGAGCAGGCGCGCAGGGCAGACGCACAGCAGCCAUGCCCAUGCUGCCCGGCCGGCCUACGGCAGAGAGAUGGAUCUGCAACGUAGAGUACGAUCGACGUCCGUCCACCCGUCAAUUUCUCUGGCUGACAUGUGCAUGUGCGAGCUGACCGCCGCCGGCCUCAUCACACUCAUCGCCUGCAACUGCAAGCGCAACGUGCCAACGCUGUUCCAUCCCGUUCAUUUCCCUCCAGGCGUCCGUGCAUGCCCUGGCCUGGUGCAUACGUACCAUCGAUCGUGUCAUGACGACGAGCGCGCAGAACACAGGCACACUUUGGAGGUCUCUCGGAGCAUCUAGACCGGACCGGACGUCUCAUAUCUUCACCAAACGCUCGAGCGGCCUGCCCGACCAGGAAUUUACAAUCGGGCAAACCCAGCCCAAGAGCCCUCAUACUCAGCCCUUAUGUGCACCGGCGGAGAGCUACGUGUUGCUGAAAAAAGUUGUGGCUCAUACGAGAGAGACUAAAUCCGGCUAUUUAUGUUUGACGUCGCUCCAGCGCGUCAUUCGAGAGACUAAAUCCGGCUAUUUAAACCCGGCGGCAAGGAAACCCUAGACCGUGCGGAUCAUACGAGAGGGCUCAUUUUUGCUAUGUAUGGUUGUAGAUCUCUCAUGAUCUGAUCCAUCCAUCGAUGUGACGAUGAAUUGAUGAUCGACCACUGAGAUUAACAGAUUUCUCACGUACGUAGCUCCAAAAGAGAGGACCUGCUAGAAUAAUAACAAACGAAAUUAAGGUUCGUCCGUGUCAAAUAUCACUUCUCCAUCGCCUGUCAAGUCCCUUUCACUUCUGGUUCUUGGCUGCAUGCGUGCGUGCCUCUUCCCAUGCAUACACCUUAUUGUCUCAAGACACCUGGCCACCUUAAUUUGUAUUUUAAGACCACAGUUACAUAUUGAUGUAAUAUGCUCCCUCCGUCUCAUAAUGUAACAUGUUUUUUUGUCACUACACUGGUGACGAAAACAUAUUACAUUAUGGGAUGGAGGUAGUAGCAACGAGCAUGCCUUCAAGUUGCAGAGCCCCUAAACCAUCAUGUUCAUUGCCAUUUGUUUGUUAACCUUGCUAGGCAUUUAUAUAAAUUGCUCCAUGUCAAUUAUAAUAACCAAAUUACUUGUUUGAACUUGAAAGAGUACCUAGCUAAAUAUGAAAUGCCACCGGCAUAAUCAUUCAACACUGAGAUAAAGUUGUUGAAGAACAAGGAACAGCAGGCACCACCACCAAUACACCAUGCAUGGUACAAGAGCCGUUCAUGCCUAGCAUGAUACAAGUACAAAAAGCAGGCGUCAAUGCAGUGACUAUACCAACUGAAAAUAAACCUGAACCAAUAAAAUAGUAGAAGACACAUACACAAUGAAGUAUUGAGAUACAUAAUCUAAGAAAUUCUAUAUAUGCAAAAAGGCGAAAAAAGAGUGGUCUAAAUGUGAAAUCAGCAUGAAUUAUUUUUGUUUGCUUUGGUGGACAAUACAACAAACUACUCCCUCCUUCCAAAAAUAAAAAGCAUCGGUUGACUUUCUAGUCUUUCUUGAACAACUUUGACUAUGAUUUUCAUGCAUUGUAUCAUUGUAUGUCUACAUAAUUAGUAUACAUACAUAUGAAAUGAAAUUGUUUUAAGUAUUGAAUUGCUCACCAGAACAUUAAUAUUAGAUCGUUGUAUAUAUGUAAAUUAUUUAUGGAAUAUAAGUAGUGCAAGAUUUUUCACAUGCAUGGGUGCAAGGCCUAUCGAGAAGGAAACUAAUAGGUGAGCCCCCGCGUCGUCCCUUCCCCGGGAAUUAACUAGUUGGCCAUAGUCACCCUUUGGGGGAUAAUCAGUAAAUGUAAACAAACCAAAAAUGCAUACUCUAGAAAAAGAUCAUACCAUCAUAUGCAAGAUUACUUACCCCAAUUCGCCACUUUCCGUUGACCCGCCACUUGUUCUGCUUCCUCCGAAACACUAUCUGUCCCUUGUUCCUACAUGCAUAGAGGGGGAAAACAAUGAGCUUACCUAGAAGCACAAAAUGUUCCCUGGAAAGAAACGAUUAUGACCCACAAUGGUAAACUAAAAUCCACAAUGGUAGGAAGACGAUGGUGUCACCCACAAUGGUAGGAAACGCUUUGGAACUGACGCACAGCGUCCUCCCUUCGAUGAAGAGGGCGUUGCCGCCGAUGCAUGUCAUUGGCACAAACCUUCCCAGCAUAAGGUCAGCUAGUCUGUAAACUAAAAUCUUCUUGUAGUUGUGGCUUAGAACGACCACCAGGAUCUCCGGGCCACAUUCUACCAGAUGGUAGUACGUAUAAAAGGUGUCGGGUGUGCUUGCUGGACAUUUGGCAAUCGACCUUGGUGGUGCCACUUCCACCCCCUGUUGCUGUACGAUCUCUAGCACCUCUGGUGAGGCGAAACUUGUGGUAAAACAGACCGCAUAUAUCUUUCCUUGGGACGAGAUUGGACGACAACUUUGGGAGGCGAACCAGCUUGAAACCCUCCAUUGGACGACCAUGCGUACCUAGCGAUGGCGCCGUCGGCAUCGGCGACCGGCCGCCCCUUGUAUCUCGACGAUGACAUGCUCUCGCUGCACGUACGUAGCAGAUGCAUGUUUCACCAAACAAUUGAUGCGAAAUAGAUUAACCCUAGAAUCGAAAUUUUAGGUAAUAAUAACCAUGCAGAGACGUACCAGAUGUGGAAGAUAAUUAACUAUUCACACAUUUAAACCCUAAAAUAUACAGAGAGAAAAUUUAGGUCAUCACCGUACCAGGCAGGGAUCUAUGCGUCUUCACGCGGAACGGCGGCAGCGAUCGACGUGAAUCGCGGCAGAUCCAAACGACGCUCGGGUAGGCAAGGCGGUAAAUAAGGUGGUCGCCGGGAGGGUUGGCGGCGGCGUUAUAGAAGUUGAUGAUAGGGAUUCUCAAAAAAAAAAAGAGAGUUGAUGAUAGUGUUACGUACGUGUACGCAUCGUCGCUGAUCGAUCUCUUCCGUUCUUUCUUUCCUUCUUUUCUAGCUACAUACAUAUACAUGUUCAUGCAAAAAAAAACAUACAUAUACAUGAGAAUAAAUCUGUUUCACUGAUGAUCGAUCCGAUCUUCAUCGGAACCUCCAAAGGAAAUUUAGAGGUAUGGUCGGGACGGUGGUGAGGGGUGGCGAGGCGCGUGCUAGAGCACCGUGGGCAGCGGAUUGCGGCAGCAGGCAGCCUGGCGACGGCCGUAGGCCGUUUUAGGAAGAUCAUGAGAGGAAGAAGAAAGCCAUUAUCGACCAGUUUACCCAUUUCUUCUUCAUACACAUGAUAUAGAUUGAUAGAUAGAUAGGGGCUCCCGUCCAAUAUUGGUAGCUCGGACGGCAUGACAUGAUCAAUGGUAACCCUCAGAACAAAAGACAUGACCGAUGGUGCGCAUAUAUACACGCACGAGGGAUGGAAGUAAAUGGAAUGGAACAAUUUUGGUUGUAAGUAGUGCAGGUCAACAGGCCUGCCAGGUCUCGCACAUGCGAGUGAUAUGGAUUUUUUUUUUUGAGAUGGAGUAAUGGCAUGGAAAUUGAUGGUACGUGUACGUGUUGGAUGGACAUCGAUUGCGUCGUUGCAGAUCGAUCUCUACCGUCGGGUACUGGGCAUAGGCAUGGGCAUGGUCAAAGGUCGUUUUCAAUCUCACUCUGCAUCAGUACGAUGGAGUACCGUAAGAGCAUCUAUAGUCGAAGUUGCCAAACCGGUCCUAUACGUUCACGGAUACUAAUCAGGCACUCCCUAAAUCUGGAUCUUCACAUCUGCAUAUCUCAUAUUCCAAAUCCUAUAUCCAUACAAAUUCAUACAACUAGUACGUAAAUCACGUACGAUCAAAAUCGAUAAAAAACAGACAUAUAAACUGGUACCAAGCGGGCAUAAUUCACAUAAACAUUACCCAAAAGAUCACCAAACGAGCAGGUCUUAGUUAAACGAUCCAGCACAUUGUAACUACAUACAACAACUAGAUUAUAAACAGGAGAGGGCGAGCUGCACCACUUCCUCGCCGGCCCUUUGCCCUUCUGGUCGCCGGCGCAGCUGUAGGAGUCCGUGGCAGGAGGCGGGUCCAUGUUGGAGCCGUCAGACCUGUCGUCGUCGGAGGAAUCAGAGAUGACGAUGUAGCCUUGCAAGCGUCGGACAUCGUGGUCUUCCUUGCGCUUAAGCUUGGCCACCCUCGUCGCCUCUGCCACUGCCUCCGCCGCCUCCCGCUCGGAUUGCUCAAUGUUGAGCCGGAGUUGCUUAGCGUUGAUCCUCCGGAGCCGUCGGACAUUCGUCCUCAACUCAAUCAGUGACCGACGACACACCCACUCGAGGAGACGAUCAUCCUCCUCGGGCACCCGGCGGCGUCGGGCAGACUGCGCAGAUGCGCCAAAUUCGCCCGCCAUAUCCCUUGCCCUCUGCCUCUCGCGGCGGCAAAGCUGGCACUGGAACCCAGCGCUGCCCGAGCGGAGCAUCGGACGGAGGUGGAGGAGGCCAUCGGGCAGGAGGAGCAGAUCAGGCAGGCCUAGCAGGUCCACGCGCGGGGCCGGAAGGGCGGCGCUGCGCGAUGGGCGACAGGUGGCGUCGCACCGGACCCGUAGUUGCCGCCCGUAUCGCAUCGGAACCAGACGACAUACUACAACCAGCAAGACAGAUGUUGCAGUUGGUAGGAAAAAAAUGUUGCAAACAAUGGCAUAAAAUGUUGCAUGGUUGACUGAGACUUGGUUAAAUCUCAGUUAAUUGAUUUUUAGCAGUCCGAAAGAAUAUUUUUUUGUUUUGGGACCGUCUACAUAUGAGUCAUCUAAAGAAAAUUCUGCUUUUCUAGAACAUGCGUGGUAUCAACGUCGGGGCGUCGAAACCAGCUCUGCAAUAACAUUAUAAAUGAAUUUUUUGAUCUCAUAUGUUUACAAGAAAUCAUUAAACAGGUCAUUUAUCUUUUUUCAUUUUUAAUAGAGUACAAAUAUAAAUGCUCAUGCAUACACUCAUACACUCACCCCUAUGAACACACAUGCACAACACCUUCGAGAGACUUAGCCGGCACAUCAUUUUGAAAUUGGGGAAGUCAUCACGUCUCUUUUUACUGAACGCACAUCAUCGGCCGGACAAAAGAAUUUCCCAACUAAGUUGAAUCAGUGACAUACACAACCAGCCAGAGAUGAGAAAAUGUUAUCCCAAAUGAGAAAAAAAGAUCACAUGGAUGAUGCUAUACAACACACUUCCACUUCAACUAAGAACCUAGUCUACACUAGUAUAAAAGUUACGAGUCAAUCAAGACGAUCCAACCAUCUGAUACAAUCAAACCCAAGGAUUCAUCAAUUUAUUUUUUAUGUCAACCCUCACUUAACAUAUAUAGUUAAUUAAUUAAUCUUCUAUCUGACACAACUCGGUGUAUAUUUAUUACAAAGUGCAUAGUUUAUAUAUAUAUAUAUAUAUAUAUAUAUACAAAGUGCAUAGUUUAUAUAUAUAUAUAUAUAUAUAUUUGCACAUGCUGAGAUACUAGUAAGGAGUAAAGCCGUUGAUACAUAUGCUUAGACAUGCAACCUGGGCAUACAUCAGCAAACGAUAGACGACAUAGUGUAUUGCCAUACUGUUCUGCUAAUCGACUUCAUUGAGUUCGCCACUCUUUUGUUUCUCCUCCUUGACAGGAGUAAGUUCGAUCUUGUUGUUUGGCAGAUUUCUCCACAUGCCCACAAAAAACUUGACCAAUAGAUGGACAGAAACAUCGCCGUCUCGGUAUAUGAUUUUACACAGCCUAAGGUUCUUGCACCUGAAAUGUGGCAGGUCCUUGGAAUAUGACUGGCAGCGUUCCAUCACCUCAUUUGUAGGAUGGAAAUCCAAGACCUGUUGAACACCACAAAAGAAUCAAUAUUACGCAAUGUAUUGAGUUAAGAUAAUAGUUGAUGAAAUUAGAAGUGGUAGCACCUUGCAAUGGCGCAAAGUGAGCUUCUGCAGGUUACAUGAGUUCUCUAGGUAUUGCUGCAGCCCGAGGAAGUCGUCGCUGAUUCGGCACUCAUCUAGGAACAAUGUUGUCAGGUUCUCAAACUUGAAUAGAGGAGGAUUCUCAUGACUCUCAUUGAACAACAACUGAAACGCAGAUAUGUACAGUCAUUUUGUUAUCUUUGAAUGCCUCCAGAUAAAUUAAGAAGAUACAAACUGAAUAAAUAAAAGUUACCGUGACCGCAAAAUGCAACAAGUGCAAGGUUGUCACAUUAGACAGCGCGCCAAGAAUGCCCAAUUGGUGCUUAACGUCGUGCUCGAUCCAGCGUAGAUGAAUCGACGCAUCGACAAGAGACGGCAUGGUAUGUGGUUCAGCUGUAUCAAUAAUGUGAUGGAGCUCCGCGCGGAGGCGGGGAGAAACAAGAGCAGGGGCGUCUAUAAUCAACUUGAAAACUUCAAAUUCAUCCUCCUCGUCCGCCGUGCACUCGCCAUGGACAACCAAUUUCUUGAGUGACGGGGAGGCGAUCUUGAUAUUGCUGGUGAGAAAGAAGCAGCAUGUUUCGAGCUGCACAUCCUCUAGAGCAGGGCAGCCGGAGCUGAUGUGGCUCGCAAUAUCUUUCAGCUUCACCUCCAGGCCGGAAAGAUGCAAUCUUUUGAGCCCGCGAGGCCAUGUAUCUCGACCACGUGUUGAGUUCGCCCCGGGCAAGCAAACAGCGCCGUUUGGUUUCGCACGAGGGAGGAAGAACCCUGACCUUUCCACGGCCCAUCCCCGGGUAUCUCCCCUGUAUCGACUGGUCGGGGAGAAAACCCUCUACUCGUUCACUCGCUCUCACAUGCAACCCUUCAGCCUCAGUCUCCGUGCUUCACGCUGCUGAAUUGAAAGGGAUGCCCCCGCCCCGCCCCCGACCUCCCCUCUGGCAUCUCGUCCAAACUGGGCUGGUGGUCUCCUCGUGGUUGAAGAGGGGAUCCCCCAAAACCAUGUAAAUCUCCCCGAGGUGGAUUAGUGCCCUAGGAAACUUCACCUUUCUAACCAAAUUACGCCUCAAGUCAAUAAAAUAAUUUAGUUACUAGAAACCAAUUGAUUUUGCUGUACAAAAUUCUCCAACAAUGGUUGCGGAGCUCAUUCAGAAUGCCACUGCACCAUGGAGGGAGGAUAUUGUUCUUUCGUUCUUCACACCUUUUGAUGCAUGCCAUGAAGAACCUCGAGGCUUUUUUACGGCCCGCUCGGCCUAUCGAAUGAUAAUGCAAACAAAGCUUAAUAGAGAAGGAUCGAUAGAAGAGAGGGCUGGAUCCUCACAUGCCACAUCAGAGAGUAAUGAAUGAACGGCGAUUUGGAAAAUUCAGGUUCCAUCAAAGCUUCAGGUAUUCAUUUGGCGAACCGCGCAGUACUCCGUUCCAUCUGGCGAGGUACUUCAUCGCAGAAACAUGGCAACCACGACAGCAUGUGCGUUGAUCUGGCGGACCAUUUGUGUUGUUCUCGUUCAUCCCAAACAGUUCAUCCAAGUGAACUAUAUGCCGUCUAUCGCACACGCUUUGAUCUGGCAGGCCGUUUCUGUUGUGUUGCUUAAUCGAAAACAGUUCAUCCGAGUGAACUGUAUAUAUACCGUCUACCGCACACACCUUGAUAUGGCUUACUGUUUCUGAUUUUCGGCUCAUCGCAAACAGUUCAUAUGGAUUAAUUGUAUGCCACGAAUCGCACAUGCAACUCUAAUCUGAAUCGUACUUGAUGUCUCCGCCAUCGCACACAGUUUGUCUUAUGGGUGAUAGUUUAUUACAACACCAUUUGUGAUUAAUGCAUCACACAUAGUUUGGUCGAGGGGUCUCUGAUUCAUGUGUCGCGUUAGCAGCAUCCUGCAGUAGUGUCUUCGCAUUCUAUUUCACCUAUAGUGCUAUAUUCAUUGCUCACGCUCAACUAUAGCAUUGAGUUGAAAAUGCUGAAACGUGUUAGAAGUGCGAUCUAAUUACCUUGUUCGACACCGGGGUGCUCAUGAUUUAUAUUUAUGCGGUGAAGGCGGAGUCAUGCCAUGCUAACAUGAUAAAAAUGAGUGGGGAUAACAUUCAUUAAGGAUCAUAUAUUUUGAACAAGUAAUGAUUAUGUUUCUUAUAUUCAUGGAUAUUAUUAUGUUGAUAUUUAUACAUCAUUGUUUCUUAAUAAUUAUAUCGUAAAGAGAUUGCAUGAUACACAUGUUAGGUAGCAUUUCAUAUCAAGAAUUAUGUUUCUUUUUUUUGACUGGAGCAAAAAAUUAUGUUUCUACCAUUUACAUACUUGAGGAUGAGUAGGAAUUAAGCUUGGGGAUGUUGAUACAUCUCCAACGUAUCUAUAAUUUUUGAUUGUUUCAUGCUAUUAUUAUCAAUCUUGGAUGCUUUGCAUUUUAUGCUAUUUUAUGUCAUUUUUUGGGACUAACUAUUAACCCAGUGCCCAGUGCCAGUUUAUGUUUUUUUCUUCUUGUUUUUGGCUUUUUAGAAAAUCAAUACAAAACAAAGUCCAAACAUAAUGAAACUUUACAGUGAUUUUUUCUGGACCAGAAGGGACCCUAGAAGGUUUGGGAGGAGGCCAAAAGAGAUACGGGAGAGCCACGAGCUCAUAGGGCGUGCCCCACGAGCUCGUGGGCCCCAUGCAGGCAUGUUUGACCUAAUUUAUUCUCUAUAAAAUUCACAUAUAUUCCCAAACCAAAAGAGAGUCACUCGAAAUACUUUUUCCACCGCCGCAAGCUUAUGUUCUUCCACGAUUUCCAUCUGGAGGUCUUUUCCGGUACUCAGCCGGAGAGGCGAUCGAUCAUGGAGGGCUUCUUCAUCAUCCUUGCUGCCUUCCUAUGGUGCGUGAGUAGUUGACCACAGACCUACAGGUCCAUAGCUAGUAGUUAGAUGGAUUCUUCACUCUCUUUGAUCUUUCCUCGAUCUUCUUGGAGUUCUAUCCGAUGUAAUCUUCUUUUCUGGUGUGUUUGUUGGGAUCCGAUGAAUUGUGAGUUUAUGGUCAGAUUAUUCAUUGAAAGUAAUUGGGUCUUUUCUAAACUUUAUUAUGCAUGAUUGUUAUAGCUUUGUAUUUCUUUCUGAUCUGUCCGCUUGGUUUGACCAACUAGAUUGAUUUAUCUUAAGUGGGAGAAGUGCUUUCUAAUGGGUUCAAUUUUGCGGUGUCCUCACCCAAUGACAUAAGGGGUAGAGAGACACUUAUUGUAUUGUUGCUAUUAAGGGUAAAACGAUGGGGUUUAAUCAUAUUGCUUGAGUUUAGUUUGUCUACAUCAUGUUAUCUUUCUUAAAGCGUUACUCUGGUUGUCAUGAACUUAAUACCAUAGAUGAGUGCCGGAUAUCAAUCGAUCGGUGGAGUAAUAGUAGUAGAUGCAGUCAGGAGUCGAUUUACUUGUCACAGACGUGAUGCUGAUAUACAUGAACAUUGCCAUGAAUAUGUCAUAACUAUGUGCUUUUCUAUCAAUUGCACAAUAGUAAUUUGUUUCCCCUGAAGGAAAUAUGCCCCAGAGCAAUAAUAAAGUUAUUAGUUAUAUUUCAUUAUAUCAUGGUAAAUGUUUAUUAUUCAUGCUAGAAUUGUAUUAACCGGAAACUUAGUACAUGUGUGAAUACAUAGACAAAAUGAUUAUCACUAGUAUGCCUCUUCUUGACUAGCUCAUUAAUCAAAGAUGGUUAAGUUUCCUAGCCAUGGAAGAGUUGUCAUUUGAUUAACGGUAUCACAUCAUUAGAGAAUGAUGUGAUUGACUUGACCCAUCCGUUAGCUUAGCACAAUGAUCGUUUAGUUUGUUGCUAUUGCUUUCUUCAUAACUUAUACAUGUUCCUAUGACUAUAAGAUUUUGCAACUCCCGAACACCGGAGGAACACUUAGUGUGCCAUCAAACAUCACAAUGUAACUGCGUGAUUAUAAAGAUGCUCUACAGGUGUCUCCGAUGGUGUUUGUUGAGUUGGCAUAGAUCGAGAUCAGGAUUUGUCACUCCGAUUGUCGGAGAGGUAUCUCUACCUCUCGGUAAUGCACAUCACUAUAAGCCUUGCAAGCAAUGUGACUAAUGAGUUAGUUACAGGAUGAUGCAUUACGGAACGAAUAAAGAGACUUGCCGGUAACGAGAUUGAACUAGGUAUUGAGAUACCGACGAUCGAAUCUUGGGCAAGUAACAUACCGAUGACAAAGGGAACAACGUACGUUGUUAUGCGGUUUGACAGUUAAAGAUCUUCGUAGAAUAUGUAGGAACCAAUAUGAGCAUCCAGGUUCCACUAUUGGUUAUUGACCGGAGAUGAGUCUCGGUCAUGUCUACAUAGUUCUCGAACCUGUAGGGUCCGCACGCUUAAUGUUCAAUGACGAUCAGUAUUAUGAGUUUAUGUGUUUUGAUGUACCGAAGGUUAUUCAGAGUCCCGGAUGUGAUCACGGACAUGACGAGGAGUCUCAAAAUGGAUGAGAAAUAAAGAUCGAUAUAUUGGAAGGCUAUGUUUGGGCACCGGAAUGGUUUCGGGUGAGUUCGGGCAUUUACCGGAGUACUGGGGGGGGGGAGGGUACCGGAACCCCUCGGGGAGUGUGUGGGCCUUAUUGGGCCUUAGUGGGAGAGAGGAGGAGGCAGCCAAGGUGGGGGCGCCCCCCAAGCCCAAUCCGAAUUGGGGUGGGGGGCCGGCCCCAUUUCCUUCUCCCUCUCUCCUACUUCCUUCCUCUCCUACUCCAACUAGGGAAGGGGGAAUCCUACUCCCACCAGGAGUACGACUCCCCCCUUGGGCAUGCCAUGAGAGGGUCGGCCCUCCCCCUCCCCCACUCCUUUAUAUACGGUGGAGGGGGCACCCCAUAGACACACAAGUGGAUUGUUUAGUGAUGUCUACUACACUACCUUCUUCUUGUAGACGUUGUUGGGCCUCCAAGUGCAGAGGUUUGUAGGACAGUAGCAAAUUUCCCUCAAGUGGAUGACCUAAGGUUUAUCAAUCCGUGGGAGGCGUAGGAUGAAGAUGGUCUCUCUCAAACAACCCUGCAACCAAAUAACAAAGAGUCUCUUGUGUCCCCAACACACCCAAUACAAUGGUAAAUUGUAUAGGUGCACUAGUUCGGCGAAGAGAUGGUGAUACAAGUGCAAUAUGGAUGGUAGAUAUAGGUUUUUGUAAUCUGAAAAUAUAAAAACAGCAAGGUAACUAAUGAUAAAAGUGAGCAAAAACGGUAUUGCAAUGCGUUGAAACAAGGCCUAGGGUUCAUACUUUCACUAUGCAAGUUCUCUCAACAAUAAUAACAUAAUUGGAUCAUAUAACUAUCCCUCAACAUGCAACAAAGAGUCACUCCAAAGUCACUAAUAGCGGAGAACACACGAAGAUAUUAUUAUAGGGUACGAAACCACCUCAAAGUUAUCCUUUCUGAUCGAUCUAUUCAAGAGUCCGUAGUAAAAUAACACGAAGCUAUUCUUUCCGUUCGAUCCAUCCUAGAGUUCGUACUAGAAUAACACCUUAAGACACAAAUCAACCAAAACCCUAAUGUCACCUAGAUACUCCAAUGUCACCUCAAGUAUCCGUGGUUAUGAUUAUAUGAUAUGCAUCACACAAUCUCAUAUUCAUCUAUUCAACCAACACAAAGAACUUGACAGAGUGCCCCAAAGUUUCUACCGGAGAGUCAAGACGAAAACAUGUGCCAACCCCUAUGCAUAAGUUCAUGAGGUCACAGAACUCGCAAGUUGAUCACCAAAACAUACAUCAAGUGGAUCACGUGAUAUCCCAUUGUCACCACAUAUAAGCACAUGCAAGACAUACAUCAAGUGUUCUCAAAUCCUUAAAGACUCAAUCCGAUAAGAUAACUUCAAAGGGAAAACACAAUCCAUUACAAGAGAGUAGCGGGGGAGAAACAUCAUAAGAUCCAACUAUAAUAGCAAAGCUCGCGAUACAUCAAGAUCGUGCGAAUCAAGAACAUGAGAUAGAGGGAGAGAGAUCAAACACAUAGCUACUGGUACAUACCCUCAGCCCCGAGGGUGAACUACUCCCUCCUCGUCAUGGAGAGCGCCGGGAUGAUGAAGAUGGCCACCGGAGAGGGAUUCCCCCCUCCGGCAGGGUGCCGGAACGGGUCUAGAUUGGUUUUCGGUGGCUACUGAGGCUUGCAGCGGUGGAACUCCCGAUCUAGGUUUCUUUCUGGAAGUUUGGGGUUAUAUAAGAGGUGUUGGAGUCGGGAACAAGUCAGGGGGGUCCCUGAGGCGGCCAUGAGGUAGGGGGGCGCGCCCCCACCCUCGUGGUGGCCUCGGGACUCUUCUGGACCAUCUUCGAUACUCUGUGGGCUUCUUCUGGUCCAAAAAAGAUCUCCGUGAAAUUUUAGGUCAAUUGGACUCCGUUUGGUUUCCCUUUUCUGCGAUACUCAAAGAACGAAAAAACAAAAACUGGCACUGGGCUCUAGGUUAAUAGGUUAGUCCCAAAAAUCAUAUAAAAUAGCAUAUAAAAUAUCCAAGGUUGAUAAUAUAAUAGUAUUGAACAAUAAAAAAUUAUAGAUAUGUUGGAGACGUAUCAAGCAUCCCCAAGCUUAAUUCCUGCUCAUCCUCGAGUAGGUGAAUGUUAAAAACAGAAUUUUUGAUGUGGAAUGCUACCUAACAUAUUUAUCAAUGCAAUUAUUUUUAUUGUGCAUGAAUAUUCAGAUCCUAAAGAUUCAAGACAAAAGUUUAAUAUUAACAUAAAAACAAUAAUACUUCAAGCAUACUAACCAAGCAAUUAUGUCUUAUCAAAAUAACAUAGCCAAAGAAAGCUCAUCCCUACAAAAUCAUAUAGUUUGGCUAUGCUUCAUUUUUGUCACACAAAAAUGCUCCCGUCAUGCACAACCCCGAUGACAAGCCAAGCAAUUGUUUCAUACUUUAGUAAUCUCAAACUUUUUUCAACUUUCAUGCAAUACAUGAGCGUGAGCCAUGGACAUAGCACUAUGGGUGGAAUAGAAUAUAACGAUGCGGGUUGUGCGGAGAAGACAAAAAAGGAGAAAGUCUCACAUUGACACGGCUAAUCAACGGGCUAUGGAGAUGCCCAUCAAUUGAUGUCAAUGCAUGGAGUAGGGAUUGCCAUGCAACGGAUGCACUAGAGCUAUAAAUGUAUGAAAGCUCAACAAAAAGAAACUAAGUGGGUGUGCAUCCAACCUUCUUGCUCACGAAGACCUAGGGCAUUUGAGGAAGCCCAUUGUUGGAAUAUACAAGCCAAGUUCUAUAAUGAAAAAUUCCCACUUAGUAUAUGAAAGUGAUAACAUAAGAGACUCUCUAUCAUGAAGAUCACGGUGCUACUUUGAAGCCCAAGUGUGGAAAAAAAGGAUAGUAGCAUUGUCCCCUUUUAUUUAUUUUUUAUUUGGCCUUUCUUUUUUUGGCCUUUAUUUUUUCUCCUUUUUUACAGGACAAUGCUCUAUUAAUGAUGAUCAUCACACUUCUAUUUAUUUACAACUCAAAGAUUACAACUCGAUACUAGAACAAAGUAUGACUCUAUAUGAAUGCCUCCGGCGGUGUACCGGGAUGGGCAAUGAAUCAAGAGUGACAUGUAUGAUAAAUUAUGCAUGGUGGGUUUGCCACAAAUACGAUGUCAACUACAUGAUCAUGCAAGGCAAUAUGACAAUGAUGAUGUGUGUCAUGAUGAACGGAAUGGUGGAAAGUUGCAUGACAAUAUAUCUCGGAAUGGCUAUGGAAAUGCCACAAUAGGUAGGUAUGGUGGCUGUUUUGAGGAAGAUAUAAGGAGGUUUAUGUGUGACAGAGUGUAUCAUAUCACGGGGUUUGGAUGCACCGGCGAAGUUUGCACCAACUCUCGAGGUGAGAAAGGGCAGUACACGGUACCGAAGAGGCUAGCAAUGAUGGAAGGGUGAGAGUGCGUAUAAUCCAUGGACUCAACAUUAGUCAUAAAGAACUCACAUACUUAUUGCAAAAAUCUACAAGUCAACAAAAACCAAGCACUAUGCGCAUGCUCCUAGGGGGACAGAUUGGUAGGAAAAGACCAUCGCUCGUCCCCGACCGCCACUCAUAAGGAAGGCAAUCAAAGAAACACCUCAUGCUUCAAAUUUGUCACACAACGGUUACCAUACGUGCAUGCUACGAGACUUGCAAACCUCAACACAAGUAUUUCUCAAAUUCACAAUUACUCAACUAGCACGACUCUAAUAUUACCAUCUUCAUAUCUCAAAACAAUCAUCAAGUAUCAAACUUCUCAUAGUAUUCAAUGCACUUUAUAUGAAAGUUUUUAUUAUAUCCCUCUUGGAUGCCCAUCAUAUUAGGACUAAAUUCAUAACCAAAGCAAAUUACCAUGAUGUUCUAAAAGACUCUCAAAAUAAUAUAAGUGAAGCAUGAGAGUUCAUCUAUUUCUAUAAAAUAAAACCACCACCGUGCUCUAGAAAUAUAUAAGUGAAGCACUAGAGCAAAUGACAAACUACUCCGAAAGAUAUAAGUGAAGAUCAAUGAAUAGUCGAAUAAUUAUGCAACUAUGUGAAGACUCUCUAACAUUUAAUAAUUUCAGAUCUUGGUAUAUUAUUCAAACAACAAUCAAAACAAAAGAAAAUAAAAUGACGCUCCAAGCAAAACACAUAUCAUGUGGUGAAUAAAAAUAUAGCUCCAAGUAAAGUUACCGAUGAAUGAAGACGAACGAGGGGAUGCCAUCCGGGGAAUACCCAAGCUUAGGCUCUUGGUUGUCCUUGAAUAUUACCUUGGGGUUCCUUGGGAAUCCCCAAGCUUAGGCUCUUGCCACUCCUUAUUCCAUAGUCCAUCGAAUCUUUACCCAAAACUUGAAAACUUCACAACACAAUACUUAACAGCAAACUCGUAAGCUCCGUUAGUAUAAGAAAAUAAAUCACCACUUAGGUACUGUUGUGAACUCAUUAUAAAUUCAUAUUGGUGUAAUAUCUACUGUAUUCCAACUUCUCUAUGGUUCAUACCCUCCGAUACUACUCAUAGAUUCAUCAAAAUAAGCAAACAACACAACAAAACCAGAAUCUGUCAAAAACAGAACAAUCUGUAGUAAUUUGUAUCAAACGUAUACUUCUGGAACUCAAAAAAUUCUGAAAUAAAUUGUUAGACGUGAGGAAUUUGUCUAUUAAUCAUCUGCAAAAAUAAUCAACUUAAUAGCACUCUCCAGUAAACAAUGGUAGCUAAUCUCGUGAGCGCUAAAGUUUGUGUUUUUUACAGCAAGAUCACAAAGACUUCACCCAAGUCUUCCCAAAGGCUCUACUUGGCACAAACACUAAUUAAAACAUAAAACCACAUCUAAACAGAGGCUAGAUGAAUUAUUCAUUACUAAACAGGAGCAAAAAUCAAGGAACAAAAAUAAAAUUGGGUUGUCUCCCAACAAGCGCUAUCGUUUAACGCCCCUAGCAAGGCAUGAUGAUUUCAAUGUUGCUCACAUAAAAGAUAAGAAUUGAAACAUAAAGAGAGCAUCAUGAAGAAUAUGACUAGAAAAUUUAUGAAGGCAAAACAAGCAUACCUUUAAAACUUUAAGCACAUAGAGAAGAAACUUGAUAUUAUUGCAAUUCCUACAAGCAUAUAUUCCUCCCUCAUAAUAAUUUUCAGUAGCAUCAUGAAUGAAUUCAACAAUAUAACCAUCACAUAAGCAUUGUUUUCAUGAUCUACAAGCAUAGAAUUUUUUUACUCUCAACAUAAGAAAAUUUCUUCUCAUGAAUAGUAGUGGGAGCAAACUCAACAAAAUAACUAUCAUGUGGAGCAUAAUCCAACUGAAAGUUAACAACAUGAUGACAAGUUUCAUGGAUAUCAUUAUUCUUUAUAGCAUACGUGUCGUCACAACAAUCAUCAUAGAUAGGAGGGAUGCUUUCAUCAUAAUAAAUUUGCUCAUCAAAACUUGGGGGACAAAAAAUAUCAUCUUCAUCAAACAUAGCAUCCCCAAGCUUGUGGCUUUGCAUAUCAUUAGCAUCAUGGGUAUUCAAAGAAUUCACACUAACAACAUUGCAAUCACAUGCUCAUCAUCCAAAGGUUUAGUGCCAAACAUUAUAAUACAUUCUUCUUCUAACAAUUGGGCACAAUUAUCGGAAUCCUUAUUUUCACGAAAGUCAUUAAAAAGAUGAAGCAUAUGAGGCAACCUUAAUUCCAUUUUUUGUAGUUUUCCUUUAUUAACUAAACUAGUGAUAAAACAAGAAACUAAAAGAUUCGAUUGCAAGAUCUAAAGAUAUACCUUCAAGCGCUAACCUUCCCCGGCAACGGCGCCAGAAAAGAGCUUGAUGUCUACUACACUACCUUCUUCUUGUAGACGUUGUUGGGCCUCCAAGUGUAGAGGUUUGUAGGAUAGUAGCAAAUUUCCCUCAAGUGGAUGACCUAAGGUUUAUCAAUCCGUGGGAGGCGUAGGAUGAAGAUGGUACCUCUCGAACAACCCUGCCACCAAAUAACAAAGAGUCUCAUGUGUCCCCAACACACCCAAUACAAUGGUAAAUUGUAUAGGUGCACUAGUUCGGCGAAGAGAUGGUGAUACAAGUGCAAUAUGGAUGGUAGAUAUAGGUUUUUGUAAUCUGAAAAUAUAAAAACAGAAAGGUAACUAAUGAUAAAAGUGAGCGAAACGGUAUUGCAAUGCGUUGAAACAAGGCCUAGGGUUCAUACUUUCACUAGUGCAAGUUCUCUCAACAAUUAUAACAUAAUUGGAUCAUAUAACUAUCCCUCAACAUGCAACAAAGAGUCACUCCAAAGUCACUAAUAACAGAGAACAAACGAAGAGAUUAUUGUAGGGUACGCAACCACCUCAAAGUUAUCCUUUCUGAUCGAUCUAUUCAAGAGUCCUUAGUAAAAUAACAUGAAGCUAUUCUUUCCGUUUGAUCUAUUCUACAGUUUGUACUAGAAUAACACCUUAAGACACAAAUCAACCAAAAACCCUAAUGUCACCUAGACACUCCAAUGUCACCUCAAGUAUCCGUGGAUAUGAUUAUACGAUAUGCAUCACACAAUCUCAGAUUCAUCUAUUCAACCAACACAAAGAACUUCAAAGAGUGCCCCAUAGUUUUUAUCGGAGAGUCAAGAAGAAAACAUGUGCCAACCCCUAUGCAUAAGUUCACGAGGUUAGGAACUCGCAAGUUGAUCACCAAAACAUACAUCAAGUGGAUCACGUGAUAUCCCAUUGUCACCACAGAUAAGCACAUGCAAGACAUACAUCAAGUGUUCUCAAAUCCUUAAAGACUCAAUCCGAUAAGAUAACUUCAAAGGGAAAACUCAAUCCAUUACAAGAGAGUAGAGGGGAGAAACAUCAUAAGAUCCAAUUAUAAUAGCAAAGCUCGCGAUACAUCAAGAUCGUGCGAAUCAAGAACACGAGAGAGAGAGAGAGAGAGAGAGAGAUCAAACACAUAGCUACUGGUACAUACCCUCAGCCCCGAGGGUGAACUACUCUCUCCACGUCAUGGAAAGCACCAGGAUGAUGAAGAUGGCCACCAGAGAGGGAUUUCCCCCUCCGGCAGGGUGCCAGAACGGGUCUAGAUUGGUUUUCGGUGGCUAAGGAGGAUUGCAGCGGCGGAACUCCCGAUCUAGGUUUGUUUCUGGAAGUUUGGGGUUAUAUAAGAGGUGUUGGAGUCGGGAACAAGUCAGGGGGUCCUCGAGGCGGCCACGAGGUAGGGGGCUGCGCCCCGGGGGUAGGGCGCCCCCUCCCUCGUGGUGGCCUCGGCACUCUUCUGGCCCAUCUCCGGUACUCCGUGGGCUUCUUCUGGUCCAAAAAUGGUCUCUGUGAAAUAUCAGGUCAAUCGGACUCCGUUUGGUUUUCCUUUUCUGCGAUACUAAAAAACAACGAAAAAACAUAAACUGGAACUGGGCUCUAGGUUAAUAGGUUAGUCCCAAAAAUCAUAUAAAAUAACAUAUAAAUGCAUAUAAAACAUCCAAGGUUGAUAAUAUAAUAGCAUGGAACAAUCAAAAAUUACAGAUAUGUUGGAGACAUAUCAUUUAGCCGUGUGCGGUGCCCCCCUCUACAUAUUUCCACCUCGGUCAUAUCGUUGCAGUGCUUCGGUGAAGCCCUACGCUGGUUGCUUCAUCAUCAUCGUCACCAUGCCGUCGUGCUGACAAACUCUCCCUCGACCUCAGCUGGAUCUAGAGUUCGUGGGAUGUCAUCGAGCUGAAUGUGUGCAUAUCGCGGAGGUGCCGUACCUUUGGUGCUAGGAUCGGUCGGAUCAUGAAGACGUACGACUAUAUCAACCGCAUUGUCAUAACGCUUCCGCUUUCGGUCUACGAGGCUACGUGGAAAACACUCUUCCCUCUUGUUGCUAUGCAUCACCUAGAUGGAUCCUGCGUGUGCGUAGGAUUUUUUUGACAUUACUGCGUUCCCCAACAGUGGCAUCCGAGUCAGGUCAUUGCGUAGAUGUUAUAUGCACGAGUAGAAGACAAAGGAGUUAUGGGCGUGGGUAUAUACAUGUUGCUUGCCGUCACUAGUUGAUUCUUGAUUCAGCGCUAUUGUUGGAUGAAGCAGCUCAGACCGACAUUACGUGUACGCUUACGCGAGACUAGCUCUAUCGACGUGCUUCGCACACAGGUGGCUAGUGGGUGUCAGUUUCUCCAACUUUAGUUGAAUCGGAUUCAAUGAACAGGGUUCUUUCUGAAGAUCAAAAAGCUAUCACUAUACCGCGUUGUGGUUUGUGAUGCGUAGGUAAGAACGGUUCUUACUAAGCCCGUAGUAGCCACGUAAAACUUGCAAUAACAAAAUACAGGAUGUCUAACUUGUUUUUGCAGGGCAUGUUGUGAUGUGAUAUGGUCAAAAUGUGAUUAUAUAAAUUGUUGUAUGAGAUGGUCAUGUGAUGUGAUAUGGUUGUUGCUUUAUUGUAUGAAAUGCAAUCGCCAUAUAAUUGCUUUACUUUAUCACUAAGCAGUAGCGAUAGUCGUGGAAGCAAUAGUUGGCAAGACGACAACGAUGCUUCGAUGGAGAUCAAUGUGUCAAGCCGUUGACGAUGGUGAUCAUGACGGUGCUUUGAAGAUGGAGAUCAAAAGGCACAAGAUGAUGAUGGCCAUAUCAUAUCACUUAUUUGAUUGCAUGUGAUGUUUAUCCUUUCUGCACCUUCUUAGUUCGGCGGUAGCAUUAUAAGAUGAUUUCUCACUAAAUUUCAAGGUAUAAGUGUUCUCCCUGAGUAUGCACCAUUGCUACAGUUCGUCGUGCCGAGACACCACGUGAUGAUCGGGUGUGAUAAGCUCUACGUUCACAUACAACAGGUGCAAGCCAGUUUUGCACACGCAGAAUACUCGGGUUAAACUUGACGAGCCUAGCAUAUGCAGAUAUGGCAUCGGAACACUAAGACCGAAAGGUCGAGUGUGAAUCAUAUAGUAGAUAUGAUCAACAUAGUGAUGUUCACCAUUGAAAACUAAUCCAUCUCACAUGAUGAUCGGACAUGGUUUAGUUGAUAUGGAUCACGUGAUUUCUUAGAUGAUUAGAGGGAUGUCUAUCUAAGUGGGAGUUCUUUAGUAAUAUGAUUAAUUGAAUUUUAAUUUAUCAUGAACUUAGUACCUGAUAGUAUUUUGCAUGUCUAUGUUGUUGUAGAUAAAUGGCCCGUGUUGUUGUUCCAUUGAACUUUAAUGCGUUCCUAGAGAAAGCUAAGUUGAAAGAUGAUGGUAGCAAUUACACGGACUGGGUUGUAACUUGAGGAUUAUCCUCAUUGCUGCACAGAAGAAUUACGUCCUGGAAGCACCGUUAGGUGCCAAACCCGCUGCAGGAGCAACACCAGAUGUUGUGAACACUUGGCAGAGCAAAGCUGAUGACUACUCGAUAGUUCAGUGUGCCAUGCUUUACGGCUUAGAACUGGGACUUCAACGAUGUUUUGAACAUCAUGCAGCAUAUGAGAUGUUCCAGGAGUUGAAGUUAAUAUUUCAAGCAAAUGCCCGAAUUGAGAGAUAUGAAGUCUCCAAUAAGUUCUACAACUGCAAAAUGGAGGAGAAUAGUUCUGUUAGUGAACAUAUACUCAGAAUGUCUGGGUACCACAAUCACCUGACUUAGCUGGGAGUUAAUCUUCCAGUUGACAGUCUCAUUGACAGAGUUCUUCAAUCACUGCCACCAAGCUACAAGAGCUUCAUGAUGAACUAUAAUAUGAAAGGUAUGGAUAAGACAAUUCCCGAGCUCUUCGCAAUGCUAAAGGCUGCGGAGGUAGAAAUCAAGAAGGAGAAUCAAGUGUUGAUGGUCAACAAGACCACCAGUUUCAAGAAAAAGGGUAAAGGGAAGAAGGGGAACUUCAAGAAGAACAACAAGCAAGUUGCUUCUCAAGUGAAGAAGCCCAAGUCUGGACCUAAGCCUGAGACUGAGUGCUUCUACUGCAAAGGGACUAGUCACUGGAAGCGGAACGUCCCCAAGUAUUUGGCGGAGAAGAAGGAUGGCAAAGUGAAAUGUAUAUUUGAUAUACAUGUUAUUGAUGUGUACCUUACUAAUGCUCGCAGUAGCGCCUGGGUAUUUGAUACUGGUUCUGUUGCUAAUAUUUGCAACUUGAAAUAGGGGCUACAGAUUAAGUGAAUAUGGGCUAAGGAUGAGGUGACGAUGCACGUGGGAAAUGGUUCCAAAGUUGAUGUGAUCGCUGUUGGCACGCUACCUCUACAUCUACCUUUGGGAUUAGUUUUAGACCUAAAUAAUUGUUAUUUGGUGCCAGCGUUGAGCAUGAACAUUAUAUCUGGAUCUUGUUUGAUGCGAGACGGUUAUUCAUUUAAAUCAGAGAAUAAUGGUUGUUCUAUUUAUAUGAGUAAUAUCUUUUAUGGUCAUGCACCCUUGAUGAGUGGUCUAUUUUUACUAAUCUUGAUAGUAGUGAUACACAUGUUCAUAGUAUUGAAGCCAAAAGAUAUAAGUUUAAUAAUGAUACUGCAACUUAUUUGUGGCACUGCCAUUUAGGUCAUAUUGGUGUAAAGCGCAUGAAGAAACUCCAUGCCGAUGGGCUUUUGGAAUCACUUGAUGCUUGCGAACCAUGCCUAAUGGGAAAGAUGACUAAGACUCCGUUCUCCGGAACAAUGGAGCGAGCAAUAGACUUGUUGGAAAUAAUACAUACUGAUGUAUGCGGUCCGAUGAGUGUUGAUGCUUGCGGCAGGUAUCUUUAUUUUCUUACCUUCACAGAUGAUUUGAGCAGAUAUGGGUAUAUCUACUUGAUGAAACAUAUGUCUGAAACAUUUGAAAAGUUCAAAGAAUUUCAGAGUGAAGUGGAAAUUCAUCGUAACAAGAAAAUAAAGUUUGUACGAUCUGAUCAUGGAGGAGAAUAUUUGAGUUACGAGUUUGGUCUUUGAUGUCUACUACACAACCUUCUUCUUGUAGACGUUGUUGGGCCUCCAAGUGCAGAGGUUUGUAGGACAGUAGCAAAUUUCCCUCAAGUGGAUGACCUAAGGUUUAUCAAUCCAUAGGAGGCGUAGGAUGAAGAUGGUCUCUCUCAAGCAACCCUGCAACCAAAUAACAAAGAGUCUCUUGUGUCCCCAACACACCCAAUACAAUAGUAAAUUGUAUAGGUGCACUAGUUCGACGAAGAGAUGGUGAAACAAGUGGUAUAUGGAUGGUCGAUAAAAGUAUUUGUAAUCUGAAAUUAUAAAAACAGCAAGGUAACGAAUGAUAAAAGUGAGCGUAAACAGUAUUGCAAUGCUAGGAAACAAGGCCUAGAGUUCAUACUUUCACUAGUAUAAGUUCCCUCAACAAUACUAACAUAAUUGGAUCACAUAAUGAUGACCCACAAGUAUAGAGGAUCUAUCGUAGUCCUUUCGAUAAGUAAGAGUGUCAAACCCAACGAGGAGCAGAAGGAAAUGAUAAGAGGUUUUCAGCAAGGUAUUCUCUGCAAGUAUUGAAAUAAGUGGUAACAGAUAGUUUUGUGAUAAAAUAGAUUGUAACAAGCAACAAGUAACAAAAGUAAAUAAAGUGCAGCAAGGUGGCCCAAUCCUUUUGUAGCAAAGGACAAGCCGGAAAAAACUCUUAUAAUUGGAAAAGCGCUCCCAAGGACACAUGGGAAUAUCGUCAAGCUAGUUUUCAUCACGUUCAUAUGAUUCACGUUCGAUACUUUCAUAAUUUGAUAUGUGGGUGGAACGGUGCUUGGGUGCUGUUCUUACUUGAACAAGCAUCCCACUUAUGAUUAACCUCUAUUGCAAGCAUCCACAACUACAACAAAAGUAUUAAGGUAAACCUAACCAUAGCAUGAAACAUAUGGAUCCAAAUCAGCCCCUUACGAAGCAACGCAUAAACUAGGGUUUAAGCUUCUGUCACUCUAGCAACCCAUCAUCUACUUAUUACUUCCCAAUGCCUUCCUCUAGGCCCAAAUAAUGGUGAAGUGUUAUGUAGUCGACGUUCACAUAACACCACUAGAGGCUAGACAACAUACAUCUUAUCAAAAUAUCAAACGAAUACCAAAUUCACAUGACUACUAAUAGCAAGACUUCUCCCUUGUCCUCAGGAACAAACGUAAUUACUCACAAAGCAUAUUCAUGUUCAUAAUCAGAGGGGUAAUAAUAUGCAUAUAGGAUUUGAACAUAUGAUCUUCCACCAAAUAAACCAACUAGCAUCAACUACAAGGAGUAAUCAACACUACUAGCAACCUACUAGCACCAAUCCCGGGCUUUGAGACAAGAAUUGGAUACAAGAGAUGAACUAGGGUUUGGAGAUGAGAUGGUGCUGGUGAAGAUGUUGAUGGAGAUUGCCAUCUCCCGAUGAGAGGAGCGUUGGUGAUGACGAUGGUGAUGAUUUCCCCCUCCCGGAGGGAAGUAUCCCCGACAGAACAGCUCUGCCGGAGCUCUAGAUUGGAUCCGCCAAGGUUCCGCCUCGUGGCGGCGGAGUUUCGUCCCGAAAGGUUCCCUCUGGUUUUUUUCUCAUCGAAAGACUUCAUAUAGGAGAAGAUGGACGUCAUAGAGCCACCAGGGGGCCCACGAGGUAGGGGGCGCGCCCUAGGGGGGGCAUGCCCCCCACCCUCGUGAGCAGGGUGUGGGCCCCCUGGCCUUCAUCUUUGGCGAGGAUUUUUCUUUAUUUGUUUUAAGAUGUUCCGUGGAGUUUCAGGACUUUUGGAGUUGCGCAUAAUAGGUCUCUAAUAUUUGCUCCUUUUCCAGCCCAGAAUUCCAGCUGCCGGCAUUCUCCCUCCUUAUGUAAACCUUGUAAAAUAAGAGAGAAUAGCCAUAAGUAUUGUGACAUAAAGUGAAAUAACAUUCCAUAAUGCAAUAAAUAUCGAUAUAAAAGUAUGAUGCAAAAUGGACGUAUCACAUAACUAUCCCUCAACAUGCAACAAAGAGUCACUCUAAAGCAACUAAUAGCGGAGAACAAACGAAGAGAUUAUGGUAGGGUACGAAACCACCUCAAAGUUAUUCUUUCCAAUCAAUCCGUUGGGCUAUUCCUAUAAGUGUCACAAACAGCCCUAGAGUUCGUACUAGAAUAACACCUUAAGACACAAAUCAACCAAAACCCUAAUGUCACCUAGAUACUCCAAUGUCACCUCAAGUAUCCGUGGGUAUGAUUAUACGAUAUGCAUCACACAAUCUCAGAUUCACCUAUUCAACCAACACAAAGGACCUCAAAGAGUGCCCCAAAGUUCUAUCGGAGAAUCACGACGAAAACGUGUGCCAGCCCCUAUGUUGGGUUUCGUAGUAAUUUCAAAAAAUUUCCGACGCACACGCAAGAUCAUGUGAUGCAUAGCAGCGAGAGGGGAGAGUGUGAUCUACAUACCUAGUAGAUCGACAACGGAAGCGUUUGGUUGAUGUAGUCGUACGUCUUCACGAUCCGACCGAUCAAGCACCGAAACUACGGCAGCUCCGAGUUCUAGCACAUGUUCAGCUCGAUGACGAUCCCCGGACUCCGAUCUAGCAAAGUGUCAGGGAAGAGUUCCGUCAGCACGACGACGUGGUGACGAUCUUGACGUAUUACUGCUGCAGGGCUUCGCCUAAGCACCGCUACAAUAUUAUCGAGGACUAUGGUGGCUGGGGGCGCCGCACACGGCUAAAGAAUAGAUCGUGUGGAUCAACUUGUGUGUCUCUGGGGUGCCCCUGCCUCCGUNNNNNNNNNNNNNNNNNNNNNNNNNNNNNNNNNNNNNNNNNNNNNNNNNNNNNNNNNNNNNNNNNNNNNNNNNNNNNNNNNNNNNNNNNNNNNNNNNNNNNNNNNNNNNNNNNNNNNNNNNNNNNNNNNNNNNNNNNNNNNNNNNNNNNNNNNNNNNNNNNNNNNNNNNNNNNNNNNNNNNNNNNNNNNNNNNNNNNNNNNNNNNNNNNNNNNNNNNNNNNNNNNNNNNNNNNNNNNNNNNNNNNGCCAGGAGAGUCCUACUCCCUCUGGAGUAGGAUUCCCCCCCAAUCCUAGUUGGAAUAGGAUUCGCGGAGGGGGAAAAGAGAGAGGGGGGCCCGGCCACCUCUCCUUGUCCUAAUAGGACUAGGGGGGGAGGCGCGCAGCCCAUCUUGGGCUGCCCCUUCUCUUUUCCAUUAAAGCCCACUAAGGCCCAUAUAGCUCCCGGGGGGUUCCGGUAACCUCCCGGUACUCCGGUAAAAUCCCGAUUUCACCCGAAACACUUCCGAUAUCCAAACAUAGGCUUCCAAUAUAUCAAUCUUUAUGUCUCGACCAUUUCGAGACUCCUCGUCAUGUCCGUGAUCACAUCCGGGACUCCGAACAACCUUCGGUACAUCAAAAUGCAUAAACUCAUAAUAUAACUGUCAUCGUAAUCUUAAGCGUGCGGACCCUACGGGUUCGAGAACAAUGUAGACAUGACCAAGACAUGUCUCCAGUCAAUAACCAAUAGCGGGACCUGGAUGCCCAUAUUGGCUCCUACAUAUUCUACGAAGAUCUUUAUCGGUCAGACCGCAUAACAACAUACGUCGUUCCCUUUGUCAUCGGUACGUUACUUGCCCGAGAUUCGAUCGUCGGUAUUCCUAUACCUAGUUCAAUAUUGUUGCCGGCUAGUCUCUUUACUCGUUCUGUAAUACAUCAUCCCGCAACUAACUCAUUUAGUUGCAAUGCUUGCAAGGCUUAAGUGAUGUGCAUUACCGAGAGGGCCCAGAGAUACCUCUCCGACAAUCGGAGUGACAAAACCUAAUCUCGAAAUACGCCAACCCAACAUGUACCUUUGGAGACACCUGUAGUACUCCUUUAUAAUCACCCAGUUAUGUUGUGACGUUUGGUAGUACCCAAAGUGUUCCUCCGGUAAACGGGAGUUGCAUAAUCUCAUAGUUAUAGGAACAUGUAUAAGUCAUGAAGAAAGCAAUAGCAACAUACUAAACGAUCCGGUGCUAAGCUAAUGGAAUGGGUCAUGUCAAUCAGAUCAUUCUCUCAAUGAUGUGAUCCCGUUAAUCAAAUAGCAACUCAUUUUUCAUGGUUAGGAAACAUAACCAUCUUUGAUUAACGAGCUAGUCAAGUAGAGGCAUACUAGUGACACUUUGUUUGUCUAUGUAUUCACACAUGUAUUAUGUUUCCAGUUAAUACAAUUCUAGCAUGAAUAAUAAACAUUUAUCAUGAUAUAAGGAAAUAAAUAAUAACUUUAUUAUUGCCUCUAGGGCAUAUUUCCUUCAGUCUCCCACUUGCACUAGAGUCAAUAAUCUAGUUCGCAUCGCCAUGUGAUUUAACAUCAAUAGUUCACAUCACCAUGUGAUUAACACCCAUAGUUCACAUCGAUAUGUGAUCAACACCCAAAGGGUUUACUAGAGUCAGUAAUCUAGUUCACAUCGCUAUGUGAUUAACACCCAAAGAGUACUAAGGUGUGAUCAUGUUUUGCUUGUGAGAUAAUUUUAGUCAACGGGUCUGUCACAUUCAGAUCCGUAAGUAUUUUGCGAAUUUCUAUGUCAACAAUGCUCUGCACGGAGCUACUCUAGCUUAUUGCUCCCACUUUCAAUAUGUAUCUAGAUCGAGACUUAGAGUCAUCCAGAUCUGUGUCAAAACUUGCAUCGACGUAACUUUUUACGACGAACCUUUUUGUCACCUCCAUAAUUGAGAAAUAUUUCCUUAUUCCACUAAGGAUAAUUUUGACCGCUGUCCAGUGAUCUACUCCUAGAUCACUAUCGUACUCCCUUGCCAAACUCAGUGGUAGGGCAUACAAUAGAUCUGGUAUACAGCAUGGCAUACUUUAUAGAACCUAUGACUGAGGCAUAGGGAAUGACUUUCAUUCUCUUUCUAUCUUCUGCCGUGGUCGGGCUUUGAGUCUUACUCAAUUUCACACCUUGUAACACAGGCAAGAAACCUUUUCUUUGACUGUUCCAUUUUGAACUACUUCAAAAUCUUGUCAAGGUAUGUACUCAUUGAAAAAACUUAUCAAGUGUCUUGAUCUAUCUCUAUAGAUCUUGAUACUCAAUAUGUAAGCAGCUUCACCGAGGUCUUUCUUUGAAAAACUUCUUUUAAAAACACUCCUUUAUGUUUUGCAGAUUAAUUCUACAUUAUUUCCGAUCAACAAUAUGUCAUACAUAUAUACUUAUUAGAAAUGCUGUAGUGCUCCCACUCACUUUCUUGUAAAUACAGGCUUCAUCGCAAGUCUGUAUAAAACUAUAUUCUUUGAUAAACUUAUCAAAGCAUAUAUUCCAACUCCGAGAUGCUUCCACCAGUCCAUAGAUGGAUCGCUGGAGCUUGCAUAUUUUGUUAGCACCUUUAGGAUUGACAAAACCUUCUGGUUGUAUCAUAUACAAUCUUCUUUAAUAAAUCUAUUAAGGAAUGCAAUUUUGUUUAUCCAUUUGCCAGAUUUCAUAAAAUGCGGCAAUUGCUAACAUGAUUCGGACAGACUUAAGCAUAGAUACGAGUGAGAAACUCUCAUCGUAGUCAACACCUUGAACUUGUCGAAAACCUUUUGCGACAAUUCUAGCUUUGUAGAUAGUAACACUACUAUCAGCGUCCGUCUUCCUCUUGAAAAUCCAUUUAUUUUCUAUGGCUUGCCGAUCAUCGGGCAAGUCAACCAAAGUCCAUACUUUGUUCUCAUACAUGGAUCAUAUCUCAGAUUUCGUGGCCUCAAACCAUUUCGCCGAAUCUGGGCUCAUCAUCGCUUCCUCAUAGUUCGCAAGUUCGUCAUGAUCUAGUAACAUAACUUCCAGAACAGGAUUACCGUACCACUCUGGUGCGGAUCUCACUCUGGUUUACCCUACGAGAUUCGGUAGUAACUUGAUCCGAAGUUACAUGAUCAUCAUCAUUAGCUUCCUCACUAAUUGGUGUAGUAGUCACAGGAACAGAUUUCUGUGAUGAACUACUUUCCAAUAAGGGAGUAGGUACAGUUACCUCAUCAAGUUCUACUUUCCUCCCACUCACUUCUUUCGAGAGAAACUCCUUCUCUAGAAAGGAUCCAUUCUUAGCAAUGAAUGUCUUGCCUUCGGAUCUGUGAUAGAAGGUGUACCCAAUAGUCUCCUUUGGGUAUCCUAUGAAGAUAUAUUUCUCCGAUUUGGGUUUGAGCUUAUCAGGAUGAAACUUUUUCAUAUAAGCAUUACAAUCCCAAACUUUAAGAAACGACAACUUUGGUUUCUUGCCAAACCACAGUUCAGAUUGUGUCGUCUCAACGGACUUAGAUGGUGCCCUUUUAAACAUGAAUGCAGCUGUCUUUAAUGCAUAACCCCAAAACGGUAGUGGUAGAUCGGUAAGAGACAUCAUAGAUCGCACCAUAUCUAAUAAAGUACGGUUAUGACAUUCGGACACACCAUUAUGCUGUGGUGUUCCAGGUGGCAUGAGUUUGUGAAACUAUUCCACAUUGUUUUAAUUGAAGACCAAACUCGUAACUCAAAUAUUUUACUUUUGCGAUCGUAUCGUAGAAACUUUCAUUUUUGUUACGAUGAUUCUCCACUUCACUCUGAAAUUCUUUGAACUUUUCAAAUGUUUCAGACCUUUGUUUCAUCAAGUAGAUAUACUCAUAUCUGCUCAAAUCAUCUGUGUAGAUCAAAAAAUAAUGAUACCUAUCGCGAGUCUCAAUAUUCAUCGGACCACAUACAUCAGUAUGUAUGAUUUCCAACAAAUCUGUUGCUCGCUCCAUUGUUCCAAAGAAUAGAGUCUUAGUCAUCUUGCCCAUGAGGCAUGGUUCGCAAGCAUCAACUGAUUCAUAAUCAAGUGAUUCCAAAAGCCUAUCAGCAUGGAGUUUCUUCAUGCUCUUUACACCAAUAUGACCUAAACGGCAGUGCUACAAAUAAGUUGCACUAUCAUUAUUAACUUUGCAUAUUUUGGUUUCAAUAUUAUGAUUAUGUGUAUCACUACGAUCGAGAUCCAACGAACUAUUUUCAUUGGGUGUGUAACCAUAUAAGGUUUUAUUCAUGUAAAUAGAACAAAAAUUUAUUCUCUUACUUAAAUGAAUAACCGUAUUACAAUAAACAUGAUCAAAUCAUAUUCAUGCUCAGCGUAAACACCAAAUAACACUUAUUUAGGUUCAACACUAAUCCCGAAUUUAUAGGGAGUGUGCGAUGAUGAUCAUAUCAAUCUUGGAACCACUUCCAACGCACAUCGUCACUUCACCCUUAACUUGUCUCUGUUUAUUCUGCAACUCCUGUUUCGAGUUACUAAUCUUAGCAACUGAACUAGUAUCAAAUACUGAGGGGUUGCUAUAAACACUAGUAAAGUACACAUCAAUAACAUGUAUAUCAAAUAUACUUAUGUUCACUUUGCGAUCCUUCUUAUUUGCCAAUCACUUGGGGUAGUUCCGCUUCCAGUGACCAGUCCCUUUGCAGUAGAAGCACUUAGUCUCAGGCUUAGGAUCAGACUUGGGCUUCUUCACUUGAGCAGCAACUUGUUUGCUGUUCCUUUUGAAGUUCCCCUUCUUCCCUCUGCCCUUUUCUUGAAACUAGUGGUCCUGUCUACCAUCAACACUUGAUGUUUUUCUCGAUUUCUACCUUCAUCAAUUUCCGCAUUACGAAGAGCUUGGGAAUCGUUUCCGUUAUCCCUUGCAUAUCAUAGUUCAUCACGAAGUUCUACUAACUUGGUGAUGGUGACUAGAGAAUUCUGUCAAUCACUAUCUUAUCUGGAAGAUUAACUCCCACUUGAUUCAAGCGAUUGUAGUACUCAGACAAUCUGAGCACAUGCUCACUAGUUGAGCGAUUCUCCUCCAUCUUUUUGGCUAUAGAACUUGUUGGAGACUUCAUAUCUCUCAACUCGGGUAUUUGCUUGAAAUAUUAACUUCAACUCCUGGAACAUCUCAUAUGCUCCAUGACGUUCAAAACGUCUUUGAAGUCCCGAUUCUAAGCCAUUAAGCAUGGUGCACUAAACUAUCAAGUUGUCAUCAUAUUGAGCUAGCCAAACGUUCAUAAUGUCUGCAUCUGCUCCUGCAAUAGGUCCGUCACCUAGCGGUGCAUCAAGGACAUAAUUCUUCUGUGGAGCAAUGAGGAUAUACCUUAGAUCACGGAUCCAAUCCGCAUCUUUGCUACUAACAUCUUUGAACACAAUUUUCUCUAGGAACAUAUAAAAAUAAACACAGGGAAGCAACAACGCGAGCUAUUGAUCUACAACAUGAUUUGCAAAAUACUACCAGGACUAAGUUCAUGAUAAAUUUAAGUUCAAUUUAAUCAUAUUACUUAAGAACUCCCACUUAGAUAGACAUCCCUCUAAUCCUCUAAGUGAUCACGUGAUCCAAAUCAACUAAACCAUGUCCGAUCAUCACGUGAGAUGGAGUAGUUUCAUUGGUGAACAUCACUAUGUUGAUCAUAUCUACUAUAUGAUUCACGCUCGACCUUUCGGUCUCCGUGUUCCGAGGCCAUAUCUGUAUAUGCUUGGCUCGUCAAGUAUAACCUGAGUAUUCCGCGUGUGCAACUGUUUUGCACCCGUUGUAUUUGAACGUAGAACCUAUCACACCCGAUCAUCACGUGGUGUCUCAGCAUGAAGAACUUUCACAACGGUGCAUACUCAGGGAGAACACUUCUUGAUAAUUUAGUGAGAGAUCAUCUUAUAAUGCUAUCGUCAAUCAAAGCAAGAUAAGAUGCAUAAAAGAUAAACAUCACAUGCAAUCAAUAUAAGUGAUAUGAUAUGGCCAUCAUCAUCUUGUGCUUGUGAUCUCCAUCUCCGAAGCACCGUCGUGAUCACCAUCGUCAUCGGCGUGACACCUUGAUCUCCAUCGUAGCAUCGUUGUCGUCUCGCCAAGCUUGUUCUUCCACGACUAUCGCUACCGUUUAGUGAUAAAGUAAAGCAUUACAUCGCGAUUGCAUUGCAUACAAUAAAGCUACAACCAUAUGGCUCCUGCCGGUUGCCGAUAACUCGGUUACAAAACAUGAUCAUCUCAUACAACAAAAUUCAGCAUCAUGUCUUGACCAUAUCACAUCACAACAUGCCCUGCAAAAACAAGUUAGACAUCCUCUACUUUGUUGUUGCAAGUUUUACGUGGCUGCUACGGGCUUAAGUAAGAACCAAUCUCACCUACGCAUCAAAACCACAACGAUAGUUUGUCAAUUUGACUCCGUUUUAACCUUCGCAAGGACCGGGCGUAGCCAUACUUGGUUCAACUAAAGUUGGAGAAACUGUCACCCACAAGCCACCUCUGUGCAAAGCACGUCGGGAGAACCGGUCUCGCGUAAGCGUACGCGUAAUGUCGGUCUGGGCCGCUUCAUCCAACAAUACUGCCGAACCAAAGUAUGACAUGCUGGUAGGCAGUAUGACUUAUAUCGCCCAAAACUCACUUGUGUUCUACUCGUGCAUAUAACAUCAACAUAUAAAACCUAGGCUCUGAUACCACUGUUGGGUUUCAUAGUAAUUUCAAAUUUUUUCCUACGCACACGCAAGAUCAUGUGAUGCAUAGCAACAAGAGGGGAGAGUGUGAUCUACAUACCUAGUAGAUCGACAACGGAAGCGUUUGGUUGAUGUAGUCGCACGUCUUCACGAUCCGACCGAUCAAGCACCGAAACUACGGCACCUCCGAGUUCUAGCACACGUUUAGCUCGAUGACGAUCCCCGGACUCCGAUCCAGCAAAGUGUCGGGGAAGAGUUCCGUCAGCACGACGGCGUGGUGACGAUCUUGACGUACUACUGCUGCAGGGCUUCGCCUAAGCACCGCUACAAUAUUAUCGAGGACUAUGGUGGCUGGGGCGCCGCACACGGCUAAAGAAUAGAUCGUGUGGAUCAACUUGUGUGUCUCUGGGGUGCCCCUGCCUCCGUAUAUAAAGGACUAAGAGGGGGGGAGGNNNNNNNNNNNNNNNNNNNNNNNNNNNNNNNNNNNNNNNNNNNNNNNNNNNNNNNNNNNNNNNNNNNNNNNNNNNNNNNNNNNNNNNNNNNNNNNNNNNNNNNNNNNNNNNNNNNNNNNNNNNNNNNNNNNNNNNNNNNNNNNNNNNNNNNNNNNNNNNNNNNNNNNNNNNNNNNNNNNNNNNNNNNNNNNNNNNNNNNNNNNNNNNNNNNNNNNNNNNNNNNNNNNNNNNNNNNNNNNNNNNNNNNNNNNNNNNNNNNNNNNNNNNNNNNNNNNNNNNNNNNNNNNNNNNNNNNNNNNNNNNNNNNNNNNNNNNGGGAGAAGAGAGAGGGGGGGCCGACCACCUCUCCUUGUCCUAAUAGGACUAGGGGGGGGGGGAGGCGCACAGCCCAUCUUGGGCUGCCCCUUCUCUUUUCCACUAAAGCCCACUAAGGCCCAUAUAGCUCCCGGGGGGUUCCGGUAACCUCCCGGUACUCCGGUAAAAUCCCGAUUUCACCCGGAACACUUCCGAUAUCCAAACAUAGGCUUCCAAUAUAUCAAUCUUUAUGUCUCGACCAUUUCGAGACUCCUCGUCAUGUCCGUGAUCACAUCCGGGACUCCGAAUAACCUUCGGUACAUCAAAAUGCAUAAACUCAUAAUAUAACUAUCAUCGUAAUCUUAAGCGUGCGGACCCUACGGGUUCGAGAACAAUGUAGACAUGACCGAGUCAUGUCUCCAGUCAAUAACCAAUAGCGGGACCUGGAUGCCCAUAUUGGCUCCUACAUAUUCUACGAAGAUCUUUAUCGGUCAGACCGCAUAACAACAUACGUCGUUCCCUUUGUCAUCGGUAUGUUACUUGCCCGAGAUUCGAUCGUCGGUAUUCCAAUACCUAGUUGAAUCUCGUUGCGGGCAAGUCUCUUUACUCGUUUUGUAAUACAUCAUCCCGCAACUAACUCAAUUAGUUGCAAUGCUUGCAAGGCUUAAGUGAUGUGCAUUACCGAGAGGGCCCAGAGAUACCUCUCCGACAAUCGGAGUGACAAAACCUAAUCUCGAAAUACGCCAACCCAACAUGUACCUUUGGAGACACCUGUAAUACUCCUUUAUAAUCACCCAGUUACGUUGUGACGUUUGGUAGUACCCAAAGUGUUCCUCCGGUAAACAAUAACAACAUACUAAACGAUCGGGUGCUAAGCUAAUGGAAUGGGUCAUGUCAAUCAGAUCAUUCUCUCAAUGACGUGAUCCCGUUAAUCAAAUAACAACUCAUUGUUCAUGGUUAGGAAACGUAACCAUCUUUGAUUAACGAGCUAGUCAAGUAGAGGCAUACUAGUGACACUUUGUUUGUCUAUGUAUUCACACAUGUAGUAUGUUUCCGGUUAAUACAAUUCUAGCAUGAAUAAUAAACAUCUAUCAUGAUAUAAGGAAAUAAAUAAUAACUUUAUUAUUGCCUCUAGGGCAUAUUUCCUUCACCCUAUGCAUAGGUUCAUGGGCGGAACCCGCAAGUUGAUCACCAAAACAUACAUCAAGUGAAUCACGUGAUAUCCCAUUGUCACCACAGAUAUCCACGGCAAGACAUACAUCAAGUGUUCUCAAAUCUUUAAAGACUCAAUCCGAUAAGAUUACUUCAAAGGGGAAACUCAAUUCAUUACCAGAGAGAAGAGGGGGAAGAGAAACAUAGGAUCCAACUAUAAUAGCAAAGCUCGCGAUACAUCAAGAUCGUGCCAAAUCAAGAACACGAGAGAGAGAGAGAGAGAGAGAGAGAGAGAGAGAGAGAGAGAGAUCAAACACAUAGCUACUGGUACAUACCCUCAGCCCCGAGGGAGAACUACUCCCUCCUCGUCAUGGAGAGCACCGGGAUGAUGAAGAUGGCCACCGAAGAAGGAUUGCCCCCUUCGGCAGGGUGCCGGAACGGGUCUAGAUUGGCUUUCGGUGGCUACGUAGGCUUCUGGCGGUGGAACUCCCGAUCUAAUCUCCGUUAUGGAAGUUUUACGAUACAUAGGUAUAUAUGGGUGCAGGGGGUACGUCGGAGGAGCUACGGGGGCCCCACGAGGCAGGGGGCGCGCCCUAGGGGGGGCGCCUCCCACCCUCAUGAGCACCUCCCGUAUCUCCUGACGUGGAUUCCAAGUCUAUCCGGUGGCUUUCGUUCCAAAAAUAACUUCUCCAGUUGAUUUCGUUCCGUUUCGACUCCGUUUGAUAUUCCUUUUCUUUGAAACACUGAAACAGGCAUAAAACAACAAAUCUGGGCUGGGCAUCCGGUUAAUAGGUUAGUCGCAAAAAUAAUAUAAAAGUGGAAAAUAAAGCCCAAUAUUGCCCAAAACAGUAGAUAAUAUAGCAUGGAGCAAUCAAAAAUUAUAGAUACGUUGGAGACGUAUCAGUCUUCACUUGAAACAAUGCGGAAUAGUUUCACAACUCACGCCACCCGGAACACCACAAUGUAAUGGUGUGUCCGAACGUCGUAAUCGUACUUUAUUAGAUAUGGUGCGAUCUAUGAUGUCUCUUACUGAUUUACCGCUAUCGUUUUGGGGUUAUGCUUUAGAGACGGCUGCAUUCACGUUAAAUAGGGCACCAUCUAAAUUCGUUGAGAUGACACCAUAUGAACUGUGGUUUGGCAAGAAACCCAAGUUGUCGUUUCUUAAAGUUUGGGGCUGCAAUGCUUAUGUGAAAAAGCUUCAACCUGAUAAGCUCGAACCCAAAUCGGAGAAAUGUGUCUUCAUAGGAUACCCAAAGGAGACUAUUGGGUACACAUUCUAUUACAAAUACAAAGGCAAGAUAUUCGUUGCUAAGAAUGUAUCCUUUCCAGAGAAGGAGUUUCUCUCGAAAGAAGUGAGUGGGGGGAAAGUAGAACUUGAUGAGGUAGUUGUACCUGUUCCCUUAUUGGAAAGUAGUUCAUCACAGAAAUCAGUUCCAGUGAUUUCUACACCAGUAAGUGAGGAAGCUAAUGAUGAUGAUCAUGAAACUUAUGAUCAAGUUACUACCUAACCUCAUAGGUCAACCAGAGUAAGAUCCGCACCAGAGUGGUACGGUAAUCCUGUUCUGGAAGUCAUGUUACUUGACCAUGAUGAACCUACGAACUAUGAGGAAGCGAUGAUGAGCCUAGAUUCUGCAAAAUGGCUUGAAGCCAUGAAAUAUGAGAUGGGAUCCAUGUAUGGGAACAAAGUAUGGACUUUGGUUGACUUGCCCGAUGAUUGGCAAGCCAUAGAGAAUAAAUGGAUCUUCAAGAAGAAGACUGACACUGACUGUAAUAUUACUAUCUACGAAGCUCGACUUGUUGAGGAAGGUUUUCGACAAGUUCAAGGAGUUGACUACGAUGAGACCUUCUCACCCGUAGCGAUGCUUAAGUCCGUCCGAAUCAUGUUAGCAAUUGCUGCAUUUUAUGAUUAUGAAAUUUGGCAAAUGGAUGUCAAAACUGCAUUCAUUAAUGGAUAUCUUAAAGAAGAGUUGUAUAUGAUGCAGCCAGAAGGUUUUGUCGAUCCAAAAGGUGCUAACAAAGUGUGCAAGCUCCAUCGAUCCAUUUAUGGACUAGUGCAAGCCUCUCGGAGUUGGAAUAUAGCUUUGAUAGUGUGAUCAAAGCAUAUGGUUUUAUACAGACUUUUGGAGAAGCCUGUAUUUACAAGAAAGUGAGUGGGAGCUCUGUAGCAUUUCUGAUAUUAUAUGUAGAUGACAUAUUGUUGAUCAGAAAUGAUACUAAAUUUCUGAAUAGCAUAAAAGGAUACUUUAAUUAGAAUUUUUCAAUGAAAGACCUCGGUGAAGCUGCUUAUAUAUUGGGCAUCCAGAUCUAUAGAGAUAGAUCAAGACGCUUAAUUGGACUUUCAUAAAGCACAUACCUUGAUAAAGUUUUGAAGAAGUUCAAAAUGGAUCAAGCAAAGAAAGGGUUCUUGCCUGUGUUACAAGGUGUGAAGUUGAGUCAGACUCAAUGCCCAACCACUGCAGAAUAUAGAGAGAAAAUGAAAGUCAUUGCCUAUGCUUCAGCCAUAGGUUCUAUCAUGUAUGCAAUGCUGUGUACCAGACCUGAUUUGUGCCUUGCUAUUAGUUUAGCAGGGAGGUACCGAAGUAAUCCAGGAGUGGAUCACUGGACAGCGGUCAAGAACAUCCUGAAAUACCUGAAAAGGACUAAGGAUAUGUUUCUCGUUUAUGGAUGUGACAAAGAGAUCGUCGUAAAUGGUUACGUCGAUGCAAGCUUUGACACUGAUCCAGAUGACUCUAAGUCACAAACUGAAUACAUAUUUUUAUUGAGUGGUGGAGCUGUCAGUUGGUGCAGUUCUAAGCAAAGCGUCGUGGCGGGAUCUAUGUGUGAAGCGGAAUACAUAGCUGCUUCAGAAGCAGCAAAAGAAGGAGUCUGGAUGAAGGAGUUCAUAUCUGAUCUAGGUGUCAUACCUAGUGCAUCGGGUCCAAUGAAAAUCUUUUCUGACAAUACUGGUGCAAUUUCCUUGGCAAAGAAAUCCAGAUUUCACAAGAGAACCAUGAACAUCAAGAGACGCUUCAAUUCCGUCCGGAAUCAAGUCAAGGAGGGAGACAUAGAGAUUUGCAAGAUACAUACGGAUCUGAAUGUUGCAGACCCAUUGACUAAGCCUCUCUCACGAGCAAAACAUGAUAAACGCCAAGACUCCAUGGGUGUUAGAAUCAUUACAAUGUAAUCUAGAUUAUUGACUCUAGUGCAAGUGGGAGACUGAUGGAAAUAUGCCCUAGAGGCAAUAAUAAAGUUGUUAUUUAUAUUUCAUUAUAUCAUGAUAAAUGUUUAUUAUUCAUGCUAGAAUUAUAUUAAUCAGAAACUUAGUACAUGUGUGAAUACAUAGACAAAAUGAAUGUCACUAGUAUGCCUCUACUUGACUAGCUCAUUAAUCAACGAUGGUUAAGUUUCCUAGCCAUGGACAUGAUUUGUCAUUUGAUUAGUGAGAUUACAUCAUUAGAGAAUGAUGUGAUUGACUUGAACCAUCCGUUAGCUUAGCACGAUGAUCGUUUAGUUUGUUGCUACUGCUUUCUUCAUAACUUAUACAUGUUCCUAUGACUAUGAGAUUUUGCAACUCCUGAAUACCAAAGGAACACUUAGUGUGCUAUCAAAUGUCACAACGUAACUGUGUGAUUAUAAAGAUUCUCUACAGGUGUCUCCGAUGGUGUUUAUUGAGUUGGCAUAGAUCAAGAUUAUGAUUCGUCACUCCGAUUUCGGAGAGGUAUCUCUGGGACCUCUCGGUAAUGCACAUCACUAUAAGCCUUGCAAGCAAUGUGACUAAUGAGUUAGUUACAGGAUGAUGCAUUACGAAACAAGUAAAGAGACUUGCCAGUAACGAGAUUGAACUAGGUAUUGAGAUACCGACGAUCGAAUCUCGGGCAAGUAACAUACCGAUGACAAAGGGAACAACGUAUGUUGUUAUGCGGUUUGACCGAUAAAGUUCUUCGUAGAAUAUGUAGGAACCAAUAUGAGCAUCUAGGUUCCGCUAUUGGUUAUUGACCGGAGCUGAGUCUCGGUCAUGUCUACAUAGUUCUCGAACCCGUAGGGUCCGCACUCUUAACGUUCGAUGACGAUCGGUAUUAUGAGUUUAUGUGUUUUGAAGUACCGAAGGUUAUUCGGAGUCCCGGAUGUGAUCACGGACAUGAAGAGGAGUCUCGAAAUGGUUGAUACAUAAAUAUCGAUAUAUUGGAAGGCUAUGUUUGGACAUCAGAAUGGUUCUGGGUGAGUUCGGGCAUUUACCGGAGUACCGGGGGGUUAUCGGAACCCCCCGGGGAGUGUAUGGGCCUUAUUGGGCCUUAGUGGGAGAGGAGUGAUGUCUACUAUACAACCUUCUUCUUGUAGACGUUGUUGGGCCUCCAAGUGCAGAGGUUUGUAGGACAGUAGAAAAUUUCCCUCAAGUGGAUGACCUAAGGUUUAUCAAUCCAUAGGAGGCGUAGGAUGAAGAUGGUCUCUCUCAAGCAACCCUGCAACCAAAUAACAAAGAGUCUCUUGUGUCCCCAACACACCCAAUACAAUGGUAAAUUGUAUAGGUGCACUAGUUCGGCGAAGAGAUGGUGAUACAAGUGCAAUAUGGAUAGUAGAUAAAGGUUUUUGUAAUCUGAAAUUAUAAAAACAGCAAGGUAAUUAAUGGUAAAAGUGAGCACAAACGGUAUUGCAAUGCUAGGAACCAAGGCCUAGGGUUCAUUCUUUCACCAGUGCAAGUCCUCUCAACAAUAAUAUCAUAAUUGGAUCAUAUAACUAUCCCUCAACAUGCAACAAAGAGUCACUCCAAAGUCACUAAUAGCGGAGAAUAAACAAAGAGAUUAUGGUAGGGUACGAAACCACCUCAAAGUUAUUCUUUCCAAUCAAUCCGUUGGGCUAUUCCUAUAAGUGUCACAAACAGCCCUAGAGUUCGUACUAGAAUACCACCUUAAGACACAAAUCAACCAAAAUCCUAAUGUCACCUAGAUACUCCAAUGUCACCUCAAGUAUCCGUGGGGAUGAUUAUACGACAUGCAUCACACAAUCUCAGAUUCAUCUAUUCAACCAACACAUAGAACCUCAAAGAGUGCCCCAAAGUUUCUACCGGAGAAUCACGACGAAAACGUGUGCCAACCCCUAUGCAUAGGUUCAUGGGCGGAACCCGCAAGUUGAUCACCAAAACAUACAUCAAGUGAAUCACGUGAUAUCCCAUUGUCACCACAGAUACACACAGCAAGACGUACAUCAAGUGUUCUCAAAUCUUUAAAGACUCAAUCCGAUAAGAUAUCUUCAAAGGGGAAACUCAAUCCAUUUCAAGAGAGUAGAGGGGGGAAGAAACAUCAUAGGAUCCAAAUAUAAUAGCAAAGCUCGCGAUACAUCAAGAUCGUAUCACCUCAAGAACAUGAGAGAGAUAGAGAGAGAUCAAACACAUAGCUACUGGUACAUACCCUCAGCCCUGAGGGAGAACUACUCCCUCCUUGUCAUGGAGAGCACCGGGAUGAUGAAGAUGGCCACCGGAGAGGGAUUUCCCCCUCCGGCAGGGUGCCGAAACGGGAUUGCCCCCUCCGGCAGGGUGCCGGAACGGGUCUAGAUUGGUUUUUGGUGGCUACAGAGGCUUCUAGCGGCGGAACUCCCGAUCUAUUGUGCUCCCCGAUCUUUUUAGGGUAUAUGGAAGAAAUACGUCAGGGGAGCCACGAGGGGCCCACGAGGGUGGAGGGCGCGCCCAGGUGGGGUGGGCGCACCCCCCUGCCUUGUGGCUUCCUCAUUGAUCCCCUGACGCACACUCCAAGUCUCCUGUAUUGCUUUCUUUCCAAAAAUAACUUUUCCGAAGGUUUCAUUCCGUUUGGACUCCGUUUGAUAUUCCUUUUCUACGAAACACUGAAACAAGGGAAAAACAGAAACUGGCAUUGGGCUCUGGGUUAAUAUGUUAGUCCCAAAAAUCAUAUAAAAUAUUAUAUAAAUGCAUAUAAAACAUCCAAGGUUGAUAAUAUAAUAGCAUGGAACGAUCAAAAAUUAUAGAUACGUUGGAGACGUAUCAGCAUCCCCAAGCUUAAUUCCUGCUCGUCCUCGAGUAGGUGAAUGAUAAAAACAGAAUUUUUGAUGUGGAAUGCUACCUAACAUAUUUAUCCAUGUAUUUCUCUUUAUUGUGGCAAGAAUAUUCAGAUCCAUAAGAUUCAAGACAAAAGUUUAAUAUUGACAUAAAGAUAAUAAUACUUCAAGCAUACUAACCAAGUAAUCAUGUCUUCUCAAAAUAACAUGGCCAAAGAAAGCUAUCCCUACAAAAUCAUAUAGUCUGGCUAUGCUCCAUCUUCACCACACAAAGUAUUUAAAUCAUGCACAACCCCGAUGACAAGCCAAGCAAUUGUUUCAUACUUUUGAUGUUCUCAAACUUUUUCAAUCUUCACGCAAUACAUGAGCGUGAGCCAUGGAUAUAGCACUAUAGGUGGAAUAGAAUGGUGGUUGUGGAGAAGACAAAAAGGAGAAGAUAGUCUCACAUCAACUAGGCGUAUCAACGGGCUAUGGAUAUGCCCAUCAAUAGAUAUCAAUGUGAGUGAGUAGGGAUUGCGAUGCAAUGGAUGCACUAGAGAUAUACGUUUAUGAAAGCUCAAAAAGAAACUAAGUGGGUGUGCAUCCAACUUGCUUGCUCACGAAGACCUAGGGCAUUUUGAGGAAGCCCAUCAUUGGAAUAUACAAGCCAAGUUCUAUAAUGAAAAAUUCCCACUAGUAUAUGAAAGUGACAACAUAGGAGACUCUCUAUCAUGAAGAUCAUGGUGCUACUUUGAAGCACAAGUGUGGUAAAAGGAUAGUAGCAUUGCCCCUUCUCUCUUUUUCGCUUAUUUUUAUAUUUUUUAUAUUUGGGCCUUCUCUUUUUUUAUGGCUUCUUUUCUCCUUUUUUGGGCUUCUUUGGCCUCUUUUAUUUAUUUAUUUUCGUCUGGAGUCUCAUCCCGACUUGUGGGAGAAUCAUGGUCUCCAUCAUCCUUUCCUGACCGGGACAAUGCUCUAAUAAUGAUGAUCAUCACACUUUUAUUUACUUACAACUCAAGAAUUACAACUCGAUACUUAGAACAAAAUAUGACUCUAUAUGAAUGCCUCCUGCGGUGUACUGGGAUGUGCAAUGACUCAUGAGUGACAUGUAUGAAAGAAUUAUGAAUGGUGGCUUUGCCACAAAUACAAUGUCAACUACAUGAUCAUGCAAAGCAAUAUGACAAUGAUUAAACGUGUCAUAAUAAAUGGAACAGUGGUAAGUUGCAUGGCAAUAUAUCUCAGAAUGGCUAUGGAAAUGCCAUAAUAGGUAGGUAUGGUGUCUGUUUUGAGGAAGGUAUAUGGUGGGUGUAUUGUACCGGCGAAAGUUGCGCGGUAGUAAAGAGGCUAGCAAUGGUGAAAGGGUGAGAGUGCGUAUAAACCAUGGACUCAACAUUAGUCAUAAAGAACUCACAUACUGUGACGCCCCGAGACCCUUGCGCCAGGUGUCGUCCAGUUAUUCGCUAUUGUUGCCUUAUCUUUGCUUGCAUGUUGCAUCUUGUCAUGUCAUCAUAUGCAUUGCAUCAUCAUGUUUUCAAAACUUGCAUUCGUCCGGGUUUCCCCAGUUUCGUCCGUUCUCCGUUCUGAGCCCAGACACACUUGCACGCGCCCGCGGCACAUCCGAAAUAUUAUUUUAUAAGUGUCCGAAAAAUGUUCACAGAAUGGGAUGAGAGUUGGCGUGCGGUCUUGUUAUAGUGUAGGUAGACCGCCUGGCAAGUUUCAUCGCAAUCGGAGUUCGUUUGACGCCCCAACGUUCAACUAUAGCGGCAGUAUAGCCGGUCUAACGUCGGAUGUUUUCGGUCUCCGGAAACAGUUGCCGGGCCUCCCUCUCUUCUCUUCUCUCAGCUCGAGACCCUCUACACAGCUCACUACCUACCGCCAGGUUCAACCUAACCUCUCUCGUCAGCCGCAGCCCCCCUCGCGCGCGUCCGAGAGCUGUACCGGACCCGACCCGGAUAGUCAUCACCGUUGGGUCGGGAACAUCCCCAAACAUCUGCAAAAUAUCCUUGCUUUAUUUAUUUGACUCUUUAGCAUAUUUUCUCGUCCGUCCGAUUAUGAUCGGAGGGACCAGAUAGCCCCUAACCUUAUCCUCGUGAUGUAUAUAUAUACAUUAUCCAACCCUAGAUCCUAGGCGCCUUGUCCCAUCCUUUCUUUUCCCCGCCGCCACCAGACCAACUCCCUUCGCUCAUCGGGAUCCUCCCUGAUCCAAUCCACCAACCAGCGCUCCCCCAUGUCCCUCCUCGAUCACCAUCACUCGCAGCCACCCAAAAAUCCUUCCAGUCACCGGGAAGCUCGUCGGCGCAAGCUACUCCCGUGCCCUUCCUGAGCCGAGCGCCAUGGUCCCGCUGUAUAUCGCCGGAGCAGAAGCCCACUGCCCAUCGCGCCGGAGCUGUGCCUCACCACCACCACGGUCAGCUAGGCCACAGAGGACUAGGUCGCCAUGCCCCUGCCUGGCCCGCUCGUUCUCUGCACGAAGGAGGCGCAACGCCAGCGCCUCGUCUGCCUCCCUUGCUAACACCUCGUCGCCGGGAGCCCCGCUUCAAGUCCCUGCCAUGGCUGCUGCCCUUCUGCAAAACCUCGUCGCCAGGGAGCCGUCGUCCCCACCUGCCUCCGCCCGUUUCCCCGCCCCCGGCGCCGUCUGCAACUGUACGAAGACACCAGGGAGUCUUCGCCCCGCCAAGUCCCUCUGUUCGACCCGCAUCAAUCGCCGGCGUGCGUCCCACCGAGUCCCUUCGCCAUCCCACGCCUGGAGCCGCGCCCCUCCAUCCCCUGCGCCCCCAUCUCUUCCUCGUCGCGCCGCUCCUCUGUUUUGUUCGAGCAGGAGAGGACGUGCGCGCCUAGCCGCUCGAUCCUCUGCUCGUUGACCCUCCGCGCUGACCCAAUCGCCGAGCCUCUGCUUCGAUCUGCCCACGAGAUCCAACGCCAGGCCUCCUCUAUUUUUUUUCGAACGGGCCAAGCCCAUGGUAAGCCUAGAUCCAGCGCCCCUCCUUUUUUUUCCUUCCACUGUUGGGCCAUCCUCUGAUUUCGGCCCAUAUAUGUUUUUUUACAGAUCUGCGGUUUUAGCAUUAUUCAGAGGCCAGCAGUUUUACAGUUUGGUCCCUAAACUUCAUGCAUUUAAUAACUUCUCAAUCGUGCAUCGGCUUAAAAUAAUUUAUAUAUAUGAAAAAUGCUUAGAUUUCUGUCUAGUUUCACAAUAUCCAACUUUCAUGCAUGUUUGAAUUUGUUUAACCUACUGUUUGCAUUAAUUUGCUCCUAUGCCAUGUUAAAAUGCUUUAAUUCAUAACUAAAUAACCGUAGCUCGGAUUUAAAUAAUCUUUAUAUGUAAAUGGGGUGGAAAAAUGCCUAGUUUAACAUGGUGGCAUCACUUUGCAUGUUUAACAACUCUAAAAAAUUGUGUUUAGGGAAGAACAAUACCAAACCUUAAAAUAUGCACAUAUGGGGUUUUACCGGAAUUGUUGUUGUUGUUUCCGGCCUCAUUUAAACUUGCUUAAAUGUGUAGUUUUCUUUCGCCUCACCUCUUGCCAUGUUUAAACAACAUUUAAUAUUGUUGAGUACCUAACUGGGAGUGAACCAAAUAACUGUUGUGGUGUUUUGUCAAUAUGCAUCCCGAUGCAUAUUGAGCUCCACUUAAUUUGUAUGAUUGUUUUGUGCAUUUUGCCAUGCCAUGUUUCAUUAAACCGGACAUGCAUCAUACUUGGUUGUGCAUCAUGCCAUGUUUAUGUGGUGAUUGUUUACUAUGUUAUUUGCUUUCUUUCCGAUGUACUUCUCGGUAAUCCGGUAACGUUGCGUUUGUGAGGAUCUGUUCGACUUCGUCCGUUUGUCUUCUUCAUGGACUCGUUCUUCUUCCUUGCGGGAUUUCAGGCAAGAUGACCAUACCCUCGAAAUCACUUCUAUCUUUGCUUGCUAGUUUCUCGCUCUUUUGCUAUGCCUAUGCUGCGAUACCUACCACUUGCUUAUCAUGCCUCCCAUAUUGUUGAACCAAGCCUCUAACCCACCUUGUCCUAGCAAACCGUUGUUUGGCUAUGUUACCGCUUUGCUCAGCCCCUCUUAUAGCAUUGUUAGUUGCAGGUGAAGAUUGAAGUUUGUUCCUUGUUGCAACAUGGAGAUGUUGUUCCUUGUUGGAACAUGUUUACUUGUUGGGAUAUCACAAUAUAUCUUAUUUAUUUAAUGCAUCUAUAUACUUGGUAAAGGGUGGAAGGCUCGGCCUUAUGCCUGGUGUUUUGUUCCACUCUUGCCGCCCUAGUUUCCGUUAUAUCGGUGUUAUGUUCCUGGAUUUUGCGUUCCUUACGCGGUUGGGUAAUAAUGGGAAUCCCUUGACAGUUCGCCUUGAAUAAAACUCUUCCAGCAAUGCCCAACAUUGGUUUUACCAUUCGCCACCUAGCCUUUUCUUUCCCCUUGGGAGUCGCGCUCCUGAGGGUCAUCAUUAUUUUAACCCCCGGGCCAGUGCUCCUCUGCGUGUUGGUCCAAACUAGAGUCCUGUGCAGCGCCCCCUCGUGGAAACUCGAGGUUUGGUUUUAGUUGUAUGGAGCGCUCAUCUGAGUGUGCCCUGAGAACGAGAUAUGUGCAGCUCCUAUCGGGAUUUGUCGGCACAUUCGGGCGGUGUUGCUGGAUUUGGUUUAUCAUUGUUGAAAUGUCUUGUAACCGGGAUUCCGAGUCUGAUCGGGUCUUCCCGCUAGAAGGAAUAUCCUUCGUUGACCGUGAGAGCUUGUGAUGGGCUAAGUUGGGACACCCCUGCAGGGAUUUGAACUUUCGAAAGCCGUGCCCGCGGUUAUGGGAAGAUGGGAAUUUGUUAAUGUCCGGUUGUAGAAAACCUGAAGUUGACCUUAAUUAAAAUACAUCAACCAUGUGUGUUACCGUGAUGGUCUCUUCUCGGGGGAGUCCGGGAAGUGAACAUGGUGUUGGAGUUAUGCUUGACGUAGGUUGUUCUAGGAUCACUUCUUGAUGAUAGUUGUUUAACCGUGCUUUUGCCUUCUCUUCUCGCUCUCAUUUGCGUAUGUUAGCCACCAUAAAUGCUAGUCGCUUACUGCAGCUCCAUCUCAUACCUUUUACCCUUCCUAUAAGCUUAAAAAGUCUUGAUCGCGAGGGUGUGAGAUUGCUGAGUCCCCGUGACUCACAGAUACUUCCAAAACCAGUUUGCAGGUGCCGAUGAUACCGUACAGGUGACGCAACCAAGCUCAGGAAGGAGCUCGAUGAAGAUCUUGCCCUUUGUGUUGUUUUGUUCUAGUUGAUCAGUAGUGGAGCCCAGUUGGGGUCGAUCAGGGAUCUGUGUAGCAUUUGGGGUAGUCUUCUUUUAUUUUGGCUCCGUAGUCGGGCCCUGAUUGUAUCCGGAUGAUGUAAUGCUUUAUUCAUGUAUUUGUGUGAAGUGGCGAUUGUAAGCCAACUAUGUGUCUCUUUCCCUUAUGUAUUACAUGGGUUGUGUGAAGAUUACCUCACUUGCAACAUUGCUUUCAAUGCGGUUAUGCCUCUAAGUCGUGCUUUGACACGUGGGAGAUAUAGCCGCAUCGAGGGCGUUACAAGUUGGUAAUCAGAGCCUUCCCCGACCUUAGGAGCCCCCACUGCUUGAUCGAAUUAGCUGACGAGUUGAGUCUAGAAAAAAUGUUUUGAGUCAUUUAGGAAUUAUAUAUCGGAGAGUUUAGGAAUUCUUUUUACUCCCCAGUCCCUUCAUCGCUCUAGUAAGGCAUCCUGACGUAGAGUUUUGACUCUUCUCUUCUCAAAUUUUACAAAAAAAGUUAGGAUCACGCGGGUAUCUUGGAAUCGUUCCGAUCGAUUUGUGAUGAGAACAUUGUUCUUGGUGCCUCCUGUCAUUUAGGGGUUGUGGCAGUGUCCCGGGGAGUUGAGCUCCGAGGUGUUGUCGUCACAAUUUUAUCGUUGCAGUUCUGGAAUACCUGAGUUUAGGUUCGCCGACAUCGAAAAUCUCUUUUAUGCAGUUGUUGGUGAGAUAACCUCGACGCCACCCAGUACUGGGGCGGGAGUUCGGGAGUAUUGCCAUAACUCGUAUAACGGAUGCUUUUCGAAGGUUGAGGUAGACGAUUUCCGAAGGUUUCUUAGUUAUGUGUUGAAGGAUGGAUACAGCUGGAUGUAGGAUUUGCUAGCUUUGGGUGAGAUAUUAUGCUUCCCCUGUAUCCCCAACACCUGAUUGCAUAAUCGGAAAAUUUCGGGAGUUUAUAAGUGGGAAUUCAAGUAGCUCUUAAGAUUUCUUUCUGACGGAUGUAUGAUAUGAAAUUGGGGUUCGACGUAUAGUGGUCCGCCUAUUCACGGUUGGUUUUACAGUGGUCUCGUUGUGUCUUAAAGAGUCCUUUUCUAUGCCGACUCGGGGACGCUUCGUAUGUCAUGUGCACUGCCUUGUACAUGAUGGUGCUGUACGACCGAGCCCGUGUAGGCCCCACCACGAAAACUUCGGACGAAAUCUCUAUCAUAUGUUUGUUCCGGCUUAUUUUGCAAGCCAAGCCUUUGUUUUGUUUUGAGUUGUGGUAUUCGAGUUGCUUCAGAGACAAGUGUUGAUUCCAUACCAAUCCUAAGCGGUGUUCUCAUAUUUCUAUGUGAAUACUAAUCCUUCUCGAUCAUCGAGUCUGUCAUGUCAAUCCUUUUUAACCAGUGUGCUUCUCUUCAAGUGGAUCCGAUCGUUGCAACAUCCGCAAGAUCAAGUAUCAGUUCUCCUCAACGGUGCUCAUUUCAUUCGUCCCAAGGUGACUUUGUUUUCCCAUCCUCCCACCCUUUUUCUUCAAGGGCUCAUAUAUCUUAAUCGAGUAUCCAUUUUAUUCAUGUGAAGACUCUUCAUUCUUGUCUUUGAAUGUUCUUAUCUGGUGAUGCUAAUGAAGAUACUAACGGAGCCUCAAGUUCAUCAUUAUUCAUUCUUUUCGUCUCUGGUGGAUUCAAAUCAAGCUUUUGGUGUUGAUCAUAUCCUUUUCCUCAUUUUAGAAGUUUUAUCAUACCGGUGCACCUCAUAAUCUUCCACUCUUUGCUAUUCUUUUGUUCCGGAGUGCUAAAGAUAUCUCAGAAGAUUCGUGUUUCCACUCUUCUUUCAUUCAAGCUAUUUCGAGGAUGUUAUAUCAUUCUAGCCAUUCAAUUAAAAUCGGCGCAAUCUAUCUUUUAAAUCAUUCUAUCGGUGUUUUCUUUUGAGUGGGCCCUAAUCCACAGGUCUUUUCCCAGGAUCUUUCCUGACUCUACUUAUUUUCCCGGAUCUAUCCUAAAUUCGUUUCAAAGUUUGACGUAAGAAUGAGUUAUCAUCAGUCAAAUGCCUUUCUCCAAGAUCUUUCAAUUUCUUUUCAUCGUUGGUUCAACCUCUUCGUUUUUUUGGGAUUCUCCCGGAGUGCCUCAAUAAUUCAUGGUGGUGUUUCUCAUCGUCAUUCUCAGAUUUUGGAAGACCGAAGAAGAGUUUCUCUUUAAUCUUGCUCCAUUCUCUUCAAGACUCGUGAUUCUAGCUUGUUGCCAUCCUCUCAUAAUUGUUUUGAUUGUCAGAAUUCUUUUCACCCACCCGGAGCAUUUCAUGAGUUGUUUUCCAUUUAUUUCCUCCAAAGGCCAUCUUUUCAAAUAUUAUUCAUUCUCAGCUUUCAGCCAUCAUUCUCCAAAUCUUACCGGUGCGUCAUUCAACUAUAUUCUCUAUUCAGUUCGUGAUCCCUUCGUUCUCAUGUAUCUAAAUCCUCUCAAGCAUCUUCGUUCAUUUUAUAAUUCUUCCCGGUGUUUCUUUAUCUUUUCUUCGGUCAUUUCAAUUCUUAUGGUGGUUCUCCCAAGAUUCUUCUUCCUUCGUGUAUCAUAUCAAUGCAUUUGUGCUUUUCAAAUUCUACUGGUGGUUCGUUGAAGACUUUUCUAAGUUUGCGCCAUAUCUAUCUUAAUCCUUUCUACGAGAAUAAGUAGUAUGCCAAAUCCAUUGUUGGUCAUCAAUUUGAAUUGGUGAAGGAUAAGCAUAAUGUAAUUCUUACUCUUGUUUUCAUCCAAAUGAUUCAAUUCCAUAUUCCAGAGGUUCAUCAUAUCACAUUCUCGGUUCGAGAUGCUUUAUCUUGUCUUUUCCCGGAGUUCCAAGCUCUAAUUAUCAUGGAGAUCCAUCUGAAUCAUUACAAGGUUUCACCUUGUGUUUCCGAUUUCUCUUUAUUUUCGUAUUCUUUUUUGUUUACCAGAGUUCUUCAUAAAGGUUCUACAUGGUGGUUCAUCAAGAUUCGUUUCUAAGGAGCUCAAGUUUUCUUCAUCUUGCUAUCCGGAGUGCAAUUCUUUCAACCGUAUCAUUCGAGGUAGUAUUAUGUCUUUCUUGAUAAUUUGAGUUCAUGUUUCAUGAUUCACAUGUUGUCAAGAAUGAGGUAUCUUAAAUCCAUUAAUCUCUUCAUUGGAGUUAUCCUGGGUUAUAUUUCACCUAAACCUUUCCCUAAGGAUUGUUGCUAUUUAUGGUGCUCAUAAAUGACCCAAGUUCUUCUUUCAUCCUUCCGGUGAAAUAGUUUCUCGUCUCCUUGUGGAUAUCAAUCCAAUCUAUUAUUUUUCGUCAGUGGCAGAAUUUCACCUCUUGAUUUGGAGAUGCUUUCCACAAGACCAUAUCAAGCUUAUCCUUUCAUUGUUGGUUUUUUAACGACAAUUCUGUUCGACCCUUCUCCUAAACAUGCCUUUUCAAGCUCUUUUGUGGCAAAAGUUGACAUUUUCUUCUCCAUUCUCCUAUUUCAAUUAUCUAUCUUCUAUUCUUUUGUUCCGAGGUAUUGUGAUGUUGCUCUUUUCAACCCAUCAUCUCGUUUUGUCAAAGACCUUGCUUUUUUGUGCUCAUCCAUUUAACCGGAGUGUUGUGUCCCUUUUGCUCAAGCUAUUUCAUUUUAUCAAGUCUUCAUCCCUUUUCAACCGAAGUGCUACCCGAGUCGGUUCUUUCUUAUUCCUCUUUCUUAACGGAGUGCUUUCAACUUUGUUCUUCUCCGUUGCUUUCUUUCUUUCUUUUGCUCAACCUGUUCAAGGUUCUUUGGUCUCACUCGUUUGUCAAAGAAGCAACUUAGGUUUACCUCUUCUCUUUCUCUUCCAUUUUCCCUCCGGUGCCAUUCUAGAUCUCGGGACGAGAUCCUCUCGUAGUGGUGGAGUGUUGUGACCCCCCGAGACCCUUGCGCCAGGUGUCGUCCAGUUAUUCACUAUUGUUGCCUUAUCUUUGCUUGCGUGUUGCAUCUUGUCAUGUCAUCAUAUGCAUUGCAUCAUCAUGUUUUCAAAACUUGCAUUCGUCCGGGUUUCCCCAGUUUCAUCCGUUGUCCGUUCUGAGCCCAGACACACUUGCACGCGCCCGCGGCACGUCCGAAAUAUUAUUUUAUAAGUGUCCGGAAAAUGUUCUCAGAAUGGGAUGAGAGUUGGCGUGCGGUCUUGUUAUAGUGUAGGUAGACCGCCUGCCAAGGUUCAUCGCAAUCGAAGUUCGUUUGACGCCCCAACGUUCAACUAUAGCGGCAGUAUAGCCGGUCUAACGUCGGAUGUUUUCGGUCUCCGGAAACAGUCACCGGGCGUCCCUCUCUUCUCUUCUCUCAGCUCAAGACCAUCUACACAGCUCACUACCUACCGCCAGGUUCAACCUAACCUCUCUCGUCAGCCGCAGCCCCCUCGCGCGCGUCCGAGAGCUGUACCGGACCCGACCCGGAUAGUCGUCACCGUUGGGUCCGGAACAUCCCCAAACAUCUGCAAAAUAUCCUCGUUUUAUUUAUUGGACUCUUUAGCAUAUUUUCUCGUCCGUCCGGUUAUGAUCGGAGGGACCAGAUAGCCCCUAACCUUAUCCUCGUGAUGUAUAUAUAUAUAUAUAUAUAUAUAUAUAUAUAUAUACAUUAUCCAACCCUAUAUCCUAGGCGCCUUGUCCCAUCCUUCCUUUCCCCCGCCGCCACCAGACCAACUCCCUUCGCUCAUCGGGAUCCUCCCUGAUCCAAUCCACCAACCAGCGCUCCCCCAUGUCCCUCCUCGAUCACCAUCACUCGCAGCCACCCAAAAAUCCUUCCAGUCACCGGGAAGCUCGUCGGCGCAAGCUCCUCCCAUGCCCUUCCUGAGCCGAGCGCCAUGGCCCCGCCGUAUAUCGCCGGAGCAGAAGCCCCUUGCCCAGCGCGCCGGAGCUGUGCCUCACCACCACCACGGUCAGCUAGGCCACAGAGGACCAGGUCGCCAUGCCCCUGCCUGGCCCGCUCGUUCUCCGCAUGAAGAAGGUGCAACGCCAGCACCUCGUCUGCCUCCCCUGCUAACACCUCGUCGCCGGGAGCCCCGCUUCAAGUCCCUGCCAUGGCUGCUGCCCUUCUGCAGAACCUCGUCGCCAGGGAUCCGUCGUCCCCACCUGCCUCCGUCCGUUUCCCCGCCCCCGGCGCCGUCUGCAGCUGUACGAAGACACCAGGGAGUCUUCGCCCCGCCAAGUCCCUCUGUUCGACCCGCAUCGAUCGCCGGCGUGCGUCCCGCCGAGUCCCUUCGCCAUCCCACGCCUGGAGCCGCGCCCCUCCAUCCCCUGCGCCUCCAUCUCUUCCUCGUCGCGCCGCUCCUCUGUUUUGUUCGAGCAGGAGAGGACGCGCGUGCCUAGACGCUCGAUCCUGUGCUCGUUGACUCUCCGCGCUGACCCAAUCGCCCAGCCUCUGCUUCGAUCUGCCCACGAGAUCCAACGCCAGGCCUCCUCUAUUUUUUUUCGAACGGGCCAAGUCCAUGGUAAGCCCAGAUCCAGCGCCCCUCCUUUUUUCCCUUCCACUGUUGGGCCAGCCUCUGAUUUCGGCCCAUAUAUGUUUUUUUUACAGAUCUGCGGUUUUAGCAUUAUUCAGAGGCCAGCAGUUUUACAGUUUGGUCCCUAAACUUCAUGCAUUUAAUAACUUCUCAAUCGUGCAUCGGUUUAAAAUAAUUUAUAUAUGAAAAAUGCUUAGAUUUCUGUCUAGUUUCACAAUAUCCAACUUUCAUGCAUGUUUGAAUUUGUUUAACCUACUGUUUGCAUUAAUUUGCUCCUAUGCCAUGUUAAAAUGCUUUAAUUCAUAACUAAAUAACCGUAGCUCGGAUUUAAAUAAUCUUUAUAUGUAAAUGGGGUGGAAAAUGCCUAGUUUAACAUGGUGGCAUCACUUUGCAUGUUUAACAACUCUAAAAUUGUGUUUAGGGCAGAACAGUACCAAACCUUAAAAUAUGCACAUAUGGGGUUUUACCGGAAUUGUUGUUGUUGUUUCCGGCCUCAUUUAAACUUGCUUAAAUGUGUAGUUUUCUUUAGCCUCACCUCUUGCCAUGUUUAAACAACAUUUAAUAUUGUUGAGUACCUAACCGGGAGUGAACCAAAUAACUGUUGUGGUGUUUUGUCAAUAUGCAUCCCGAUGCAUAUUGAGCUCCACUUAAUUUGUAGGAUUGUUUUGUGCAUUUUGCCAUGCCAUGUUUCAUUAAACCGGACAUGCAUCAUACUUGGUUGUGCAUCAUGCCAUGUUUAUGUGGUGAUUGUUUACUAUGUUGUUUGCUUUCUUUUCGAUGUACUUCUCGAUAAUCCGGUAACAUUGCGUUUGUGAGGAUCCGUUCGACUUCGUCCGUUUGUCCUCUUCAUGGACUCGUUCUUCUUCCUUGCGGGAUUUCAGGCAAGAUGACCAUACCCUCGAAAUCACUUCUAUCUUUGCUUGCUACUUGCUCGCUCUUUUGCUAUGCCUAUGCUGCGAUACCUACCACUUGCUUAUCAGGCCUCCCAUAUUGUUGAACCAAGCCUCUAACCCACCUUGUCCUAGCAAACCGUUGUUUGGCUAUAUUACCGCUUUGCUCAGCCCCUCUUAUAGCAUUGUUAGUUGCAGGUGAAGAUUGAAGUUUGUUCCUUGUUGGAACAUGGAGAUGUUGUUCCUUGUUGGAACAUGUUUACUUGUUGGGAUAUCACAAUAUAUCUUAUUUAUUUAAUGCAUCUAUAUACUUCGUAAAGGGUGGAAAGCUCGGCCUUAUGCCUGGUGUUUUGUUCCACUCUUGCCGCCCUAGUUUCCGUCAUAUCGGUGUUAUGUUCCCGGAUUUUGCGUUCCUUACGCGGUUGGGUAAUAAUGGGAACCCCUUGACAGUUCGCCUUGAAUAAAACUCUUCCAGCAAUGCCCAACAUUGGUUUUACCAUUCGCCACCUAGCCUUUUCUUUUCCCUUGGGAGUCACGCUCUUGAGGGUCAUCAUUAUUUUAACCCCCGGGCCAGUGCUCCUCUGAGUGUUGGUCCAAACUAGAGUCCUGUGCAGCGCCCCCUUGGGGAAACCCGAGGUUUGGUUUUAGUUGUAUGGAGCGCUCAUCUGAGUGUGCCCUGAGAAUGAGAUAUGUGCAACUCCUAUCGGGAUUUGUCGGCACAUUCGGGCGGUGUUGCUGGAUUUGGUUUAUCAUUAUCAAAAUGUCUUGUAACCGGGAUUCCGAGUCAGAUCGGGUCUUCCCGCUAGAAGGAAUAUCCUUCGUUGACCUUGAGAGCUUGUGAUGAGCUAAGUUGGGACACCCCUGCAGGGAUUUGAACUUUCGAAAGCCGUGCCCAUGGUUAUGGGAAGAUGGGAAUUGGUUAAUGUCCGGUUGUAGAAAACCUGAAGUUGACAUUAAUUAAAAUACAUCAACCGCGUGUGUUACCGUGAUGGUCUCUUCUCGGCGGAGUCCGGGAAGUGAACACGGUGUUGGAGUUAUGCUUGACGUAGGUUGUUCUAGGAUCACUUCUUGAUCAUAGUUGUUCGACCGUGCUUUUGCCUUCUCUUCUCGCUCUCAUUUGCAUAUGUUAGCCACCAUAAAUGCUAGUCACUUGCUGCAGCUCCACCUCAUACCUUUUACCCUUCCUAUAAGCUUAAAAAGUCUUGAUCGCGAGGGUGUGAGAUUGCUGAGUCCCCGUGACUCACAGAUACUUCCAAAACCAGUUUGCAGGUGCCGAUGAUACCGUAUAGGUGACGCAACCAAGCUCAGGAAGGAGCUCGAUGAAGAUCUUGCCCUUUGUGUUGUUUCGUUCUAGUUGAUCAGUAGUGGAGCCCAGUUGGGGUCGAUCGGGGAUCUAUGUAGCAUUUGGGGUAGUCUUCUUUUAUUUUGGCUCCAUAGUCGGGCCCUGAUUGUAUCUGGAUGAUGUAAUGCUUUAUUCAUGUAUUUGUGUGAAGUGGCGAUUGUAAGCCAACUAUGUGUCUCUUUCCCUUAUGUAUUACAUGGGUUGUGGAAGAUUACCUCACUUGCGACAUUGCUUUCAAUGCGGUUAUGCCUCUAAGUCGUGCUUCGACACGUGGGAGAUAUAGCCGCAUCAAGGGCGUUACAAGUUGGUAAUCAGAGCCGUCCCCGACCUUAGGAGCCCCCACUGCUUGAUCGAAUUAGCUGACGAGUUGAGUCUAGAAAAAAUGUUUUGAGUCAUUUAGGAAUUAUAUAUCGGAGAGUUUAGGAAUUCUUUUUACUCCCCAGUCCCUUCAUCGCUCUGGUAAGGCAUCCUGACAUAGAGUUUUGACUCUUCCCUUCUCAAAUUUUACAAAAAAAAAAAUUAGGAUCACGCGGGUAUCUUGGAAUCGUUCCGAUCGAUUUGUGAUGAGAACAUUGUUGUUGGUGCCUCCUGUCAUUUAGGGGUUGUGGCAGUGUCCCGGGGAGUUGAGCUCCGAGGUGUUGUCAUCAUAAUUUUAUCGUUACAGUUCUGGAAUACCUGAGUUUAGGUUCGCCGACAUCGAAAAUCUCGUUUAUGCAGUUGUUGGUGAGAUAACCUCGACGCCACCCAGUACUGGGGCGGGAGUUCGGAGUAUUGCCAUAACUCGUAUAACGGAUGCUUUUCGAAGGUUGAGGUAGAUGAUUUCCGAAGGUUUCUUGGUUAUGUGUUGAAGGAUGGAUACAGCUGGAUGUAGGAUUUGCUAGCUUUGGGUGAGAUAUUAUGCUUCCCCUGUAUCCCCAACACCUUAUUGCAUAACCGGAAAAUUUCGGGAGUUUAUAAGUGGGAAUUCAAGUAGCUCUUAAGAUUUCUUUCUGACGGAUGUAUGAUAUGAAAUUGGGGUUCGACGUAUAGUGGUCCGCCUAUUCACGGUUGGUUUUACAGUGGUCUCGUUGUGUCUUAAAGAGUCCUUGGCUAUGCCGAGUCAGGGACACUUCGUAUGUCAUGUGCACUGCCUUGUACAUGAUGGUGCAGUACGACCGAGCCCGUGUAGGCCCCACCAUGAAAACUUCGGACGAAAUCUCUAUCAUAUGUUUGUUCCGGCUUAUUUUGCAAGCCAAGCCUUUGUUUUGUUUUGAGUUGUGGUAUUCGAGUUGCUUCAGAGACAAGUGUUGAUUCCAUACCAAUCCUAAGCGGUGUUCUCAUAUUUCUAUGUGAAUACUAAUCCUUCUCGAUCAUCGAGUCUGUCAUGUCAAUCCUUUUUAACCGGUGUGCUUCUCUUCAAGUGGAUCCGAUCGUUGCAACAUCCGCAAGAUCAAGUAUCAGUUCUCCUCAACGGUGCUCAUUUCAUUCGUCCUAAGCUGACUUUGUUUUCCCAUCCUCCCACCCUUUUUCUUCAAGGUCUCAUAUAUCUUAAUCGAGUAUCCAUUUUAUUCAUGUGAAGACUCUUCAUUCUUGUCUUUGAAUGUUCUUAUCCGGUGAUGCUCAUGAAGAUACUAACGGAGCCUCAAGUUCAUCAUUAUUCAUUCUUUUCAUCUCCGGUGGAUUCAAAUCAAGCUUUUGGUGUUGAUCAUAUCCUUUUCCUCGUUUUAGAAGUUUUAUCAUACCGGUGCACCUCAUAAUAUUCCACUCUUCGCUAUUCUUUUGUUCCGGAGUGCUAAAGAUAUCUCAGAAGAUUCGUGUUUCCACUCUUCUUUCAUUCAAGCUAUUUCGAGGAUGUUAUAUCAUUCAAGCCAUUCAAUUAAAAUCGGUGCAAUCUAUCUUUUAAAUCAUCCUAUCAGUGUUUUCUUUUGAGUGGGCCCUAACCCACAGGUCUUUUCCCAGGAUCUUGCCUGACUCUUCUUAUUUUCCCGGAUCUAUCCUAAAUUCGUUUCAAAGUUUGACGUAAGAAUGAGUUAUCAUCAGUCAAAUGCCUUUCUCCAAGAUCUUUCAAUUUCUUUUCAUCAUUGGUUCAACCUCUUCGUUUUUUGGGAUUCUCCCGGAGUGCCUCAAUAAUUCAUGGUGGUGUUUCUCAUCGUCAUUCUCAGAUUUUGGAAGACCGAAGAAGAGUUUCUCUUUAAUCUUGCUCCAUUCUCUUCAAGACUCGUGAUUCUAGCUUGUUGCCAUCCUCUCAUAAUUGUUUUGAUUGUCAGAAUUCUUUUCACCCACCCGAAGCAUUUCAUGAGUUGUUUUCCAUUUAUUUCCUCCGAAGGCCAUCUUUUCAAAUAUUAUUCAUUCUCAGCUUUGAGCCAUCAGUCUCCAAAUCUUACUGGUGCGUCAUUCAACUAUAUUCUCUAUUCAGUUCGUGAUCCCUUCGUUCUCAUGUAUCUAAAUCCUCUCAAGCAUCUUCGUUCAUUUUAUAAUUCUUCCCGGUGUUUCUUUAUCUUUUCUUCGGUCAUUUCAAUUCUUACGGUGGUUCUCCCAUGAUUCUUCUUCCUUCGUGUAUCAUAUCAAUGCAUUCGUGCUUUUCAAAUUCUACCGGUGGUUCGUUGAAGACUUUUCCAAGUUUGCGCCAUAUCUAUCUUAAUCCUUUCUACGAGAAUAAGUAGUAUGCCAAAUCCAUUGUUGGUCAUCAAUUUGAAUUGAAGGAUAAGCAUAAUGUAAGUCUUACUCUUGUUUUCAUCCAAAUGAUUCAAUUCGAUAUUCCGUAGGUUCAUCAUAUCACAUUCUCGGUUCGAGAUGCUUUAUCUUGUCUUUUCCCGGAGUUCCAAGCUCUAAUUAUUACGGAGAUCCAUCUGAAUCAUUACAAGGUUUCACCUUGUGUUUCCGAUUUCUCUUUAUUUUCGUAUUCUUUUUUGUUUACCGGAGUUCUUCAUAAAGGUUCUACAUGGUGGUUCAUCAAGAUUCGUUUCUAAGGAGCUCAAGUUUUCUUCAUCUUGCUAUCCGGAGUGCAAUUCUUUCAACCGUAUCAUUCGAGGUAGUAUUAUGUCUUUCUUGAUAAUUUGAGUUCAUGUUUCAUGAUUCACAUGUUGUCAAGAAUGAGGUAUCUUAAAUCCAUUAAUCUCUUCAUUGGAGUUAUCCUGGGUUAUAUUUCACCAAAACCUUUCCCUAAGGAUUGUUGCUAUUUAUGGUGCUCAUAAAUGACCCAAGUUCUUCUUUCAUCCUUCCGGUGAAAUAGUUUCUCGUCUUCUUGUGGAUAUCAAGCCAAUCUAUUAUUUUUCGUCAGUGGCAGAAUUUCACCUCUUGAUUUGGAGAUGCUUUCCAUAAGACCAUAUCAAGCUUAUCCUUUCAUUCUUGGUUUUUUAACGACAAUUCCGUUCGACCCUUCUCCUAAAGAUGCCUUUUCAAGCUCUUUUGUGGCAAAAGUUGACAUUUUCUUCUCCAUUCUCCUAUUUCAAUUAUCUAUCUUCUAUUCUUUUGUUCCGGAGGUAUUGUGAUGUUGCUCUUUUCAACCCAUCAUCUCGUUUUGUCAAAGACCUUGCUUUUUUGUGCUCAUCCAUUUAACCGGAGUGUUGUGUCCCUUUUGCUCAAGCUAUUUCAUUUUAUCAAGUCUUCAUCUCUUUUCAACCGAAGUGCUACCCGAAUCGGUUCUUUCUUAUUCCUCUUUCUUAACGGAGUGCUUUCAACUUUGUUCUUCUCCGUUGAUUUCUUUCUUUCUUUUGCUCAACCUGGUCAAGGUUCUUUGGUCUCACUCGUUUGUCAAAGAAGCAACUUAGGUUUACCUCUUCUCUUUCUCUUCCAUUUUCCCUCCGGUGCCAUUCUAGAUCUCGGGACGAGAUCCUCUCGUAGUGGUGGAGUGUUGUGACCCCCCGAGACCCUUGCGCCAGGUGUCGUCCAGUUAUUCACUAUUGUUGCCUUAUCUUUGCUUGCGUGUUGCAUCUUGUCAUGUCAUCAUAUGCAUUGCAUCAUCAUGUUUUCAAAACUUGCAUUCGUCCGGGUUUCCCCAGUUUCAUCCGUUGUCCGUUCUGAGCCCAGACACACUUGCACGCGCCCGCGGCACGUCCGAAAUAUUAUUUUGUAAGUGUCCAGAAAAUGUUCUCAGAAUGGGAUGAGAGUUGGCGUGCGGUCUUGUUAUAGUGUAGGUAGACCGCCUACCAAGGUUCAUCGCAAUCGGAGUUCGUUUGACGCCCCAACGUUCAACUAUAGCGGCAGUAUAGCCGGUCUAACGUUGGAUGUUUUCGGUCUCCGGAAACAGUCACCGGGCAUCCCUCUCUUCUCUUCUCUCAGCUCGAGACCAUCUACACAGCUCACUACCUACCGCCAGGUUCAACCUAACCUCUCUCGUCAGCCACAGCCUCCCUCGCGCGCGUCCGAGAGCUUUACCGGACCCGACCGGGAUAGUCGUCACCGUUGGGUCCGGAACAUCCCCAAACAUCCGCAAAAUAUCCUCGUUUUAUUUAUUGGACUCUUUAGCAUAUUUUCUCGUCCGUCCGAUUAUGAUCGGAGGGACCAGAUAGCCCCUAACCUUAUCCUCGUGAUGUAUAUAUAUAUACAUUAUCCAACCCUAGAUCCUAGGCGCCUUGUCCCAUCCUUCCUUUACCCCGCCGCCACCAGACCAACUCCCUUCGCUCAUCGGGAUCCUCCCUGAUCCAAUCCACCAACCAGCGCUCCGCCAUGUCCCUCCUCGAUCACCAUCACUCACAGCCACCCAAAAAUCCUUCCAGUCACCGAGAAGCUCGUCGGCGCAAGCUCCUCCCGUGCCCUUCCUGAGCCGAGCGCCAUGGCCCCGCCGUAUAUCGCCGGAGCAGAAGCCCCUUGCCAAGGGCGCCGGAGCUGUGCCUCACCACCACCACGGUCAGCAAGGCCACACAGGACCAGGUCGCCAUGCCCCUGCCUGGCCCGCUCGUUCUCCGCACGAAGAAGGCGCAACGCCAGUGCCUCGUCUGCCUCCCCUGCUAACACCUCGUCGCUGGGAGCCCCGCUUCAAGUUCCUGCCAUGGCUGCUGCCCUUCUGCAGAACCUCGUCGCCAGGGAGCCGUCGUCCCCACCUGCCUCCACCCGUUUCCCCGCCCCCGGCGCCGUUUGCAGCUGUACGAAGACACCAGGGAGUCUUCGCCUCGCCAAGUCCCUCUGUUCGACCCGCAUCGAUUGCCGGCGUGCGUCCCGCCGAGUCCCUUCGCCAUCCCACGCCUGGAGCCGCGCCCCUCCAUCCCCUGCGCCUCCAUCUCUUCCUCGUCGUGCCGCUCCUCUGUUUUGUUCGAGCAGGAGAGGACGCGCGCGCCUAGCCGCUCGAUCCUCUGCUCGUUGACCCUCCGCGCUGACCCAAUCGCCCAGCCUCUGCUUCGAUCUGCCCACGAGAUCCAACGCCAGGCCUCCUCUAUUUUUUUCGAACGGGCCAAGCCCAUGGUAAGCCCAGAUCCAGCGCCCCUCCUUUUUUUCCUUCCACUGUUGGGCCAGCCUCUGAUUUCGGCCCAUAUAUGUUUUUUUACAGAUCUGCAGUUUUAGCAUUAUUCAGAGGCCAUCAGUUUUACAGUUUGGUCCCUAAACUUCAUGCAUUUAAUAACUUCUCAAUCAUGCAUCGGUUUAAAAUAAUUUAUAUAUGAAAAAUGCUUAGAUUUCUGUCUAGUUUCACAAUAUCCAACUUCCAUGCAUGUUUGAAUUUGUUUAACCUGCUGUUUGCAUUAAUUUGCUCCUAUGCCAUGUUAAAAUGCUUUAAUUCAUAACUAAAUAACCGUAGUUCGGAUUUAAAUAAUCUUUAUAUGUAAAUGGGGUGGAAAAUGCCUAGUUUAACAUGGUGGCAUCACUUUGCAUGUUUAACAACUCUAAAAUUGUGUUUAGGGCAGAACAGUACCAAACCUUAAAAUAUGCACAUAUGGGGUUUUACCGGAAUUGUUGUUGUUGUUUCCGGCCUCAUUUAAACUUGCUUAAAUGUGUAGUUUUCUUUAGCCUCACCUCUUGCCAUGUUUAAACAACAUUUAAUAUUGUUGAGUACCUAACCGGGAGUGAACCAAAUAACUGUUGUGGUGUUUUGUCAAUAUGCAUCCCGAUGCAUAUUGAGCUCCACUUAAUUUGUAGGAUUGUUUUGUGCAUUUUGCCAUGCCAUGUUUCAUUAAACCGGACAUGCAUCAUUCUUGGUUGUGCAUCAUGCCAUGUUUAUGUUAAAGCCAUCAGCGCUGAGAUAGGCCAGACUGAUUACAACGCUUCACGCAAGCACUCCCGUGACUUUGGCUCUUCAUCCGGCUCUGGAGCUCAGAAGCGCCAGGUGUGGAUCCCAAGCACGGCACUACCACCCAGGUUCAUCCCGAGGCCAUCCUUUGAGGCGCCUUGUCCCAACCAGCAAUUUGCACUGCCCAAGCCCUAUGGUGGCCCUGCUGCUAAUGUUGCUCCACGCCCCAAUGUGGUGACAUGCUUCAAGUGUGGAGAGCCGGGUCACUAUAGCCGAGAGUGUCCCCAGAACAACAACCCCAAUCAAACUGGGAAGUCCGCUGGCUGUGGUAAGCCCGCGGGAAAGACUUUCUAUGCCAAGACGGCCACCACUGCAUGUGGCCGUGUCAAUUAUGUUUCAGCCGAGGAGGCUCAUGAGGAUCCUAACGUCGUCCUUGGUAUGCUCCUUGUUAACUGCCAUCCGGCAUCUGUUCUUUUCGAUACUGGAGCAUCUCAUUCAUUCAUAUCCGAGAGCUAUGCUCGAUUGCAUAACACGGCAUUCUGUGACAUGCCUUCUACCAUGGAAAUUCAAACCCCUGGCUCUAUAUGGCAAACUUCUAAAGUAAGCCAUGGGAACGAAAUUCUUGUCGAUAGACUUGUCUUCCUUGCAUCCUUAAUAGCUCUCAAGUCCUUGGACAUAAACAUCAUCUUAGGUAUGGACUGGAUGUCAGCUCAUUAUGCUAAGAUCGAUUGUGCCACUAGAACCGUUCAACUUACUCACCCCUCGGGCAAGACAUUUAAUGUCUUAACUCGAGUGGCCAAGCGCCAACUUUACUCCCUAAAUGCCAACCCCCUUCCAGACCUUGAGGAUGUUCCGGUAGUCCGAGACUUCCCGGAUGUCUUUCCAGAAGAACUGCCAGGUGUUCCACCUGACAGGGAUGUCGAGUUUGUGAUAGACCUUGUUCCAGGAACCGUUCCAAUCUCUAGAAGACCCUACAAGAUGGCACCCUUAGAACUAGCCGAGCUUAAGAAUCAACUCGAUGAGUCCUUGAAAAAGGGUUUCAUCCGUCCUAGUUCCUCUCCUUGGGCUUGCCCCGUCCUCUUCGUUAAGAAGAAGGAUGGAACGGAUCGAAUGGUUGUGGAUUACCGACCUGUCAAUUUGGUCACCAUCACGAACAAAUACCCGCUUCCCAGGAUCAACGAUCUGUAUGAUCAGCUCGCUGGAUCCUCAGUUUUUUCCAAGAUGGAUUUGAGGUUGGGCUACCAUCAAAUCAAAAUCAGAAACGGGGACAUUCCCAAAACGGCCUUUGUUACUCGUUAUGGCCAAUACGAGUACACCGUCAUGUCCUUCGGUUUAACCAAUGCCCCGGCAACCUUCUCUCGGUUAAUGACCUCGGUUUUCAUGGAGUACUUGGAUAAAUUCGUCGUAGUAUAUCUCGAUGACAUACUCAUCUACUCCAAGAAUGAAGAGGAACAUGCCGACCAUCUAAGGCUGGUAUUGAUGAAACUUCGAGAGCAUCGCCUUUAUGCCAAAUUCUCCAAGUGUGAAUUUUGGUUGCCAGAAGUAACCUAUCUAGGCCAUGUAAUCUCUGGCAAGGGUAUUGCUGUCAAUCCCGAGCGAGUUCAAGCCGUCCUUGAUUAGACUCCACCUGAAACGGUCAAGCAAGUUCGGAGUUUCCUUGGCCUAGUGAGCUAUUGCCGCCGCUUCGUCGAGAAUUUCUCCAAAGUUGCUAAACCUCUAACUGAACUCCUCAAGAAAGAUAAAAAGUUCGAGUGGAGUCCACAGUGCGAGUUCAGCUUUUAGGAACUGAAAAGACGCCUGACAUCUGCUCCCGUACUGGUACCACCAGAUUUCUCCAAGGACUUUAUUAUCUAUUGCGACGCCUCGCGACAAGGACUAGGUUGCAUACUCAUGCAAGAUCGUCAGGUAAUUGCCUAUGCUUCACGACAAUUACACCCACAUGAGGAAAAUUAUCCCACACAUGAUCUAGAGCUUGCAGCUGUAGUCCAUGCACUUAAAACCUGGCGACAUUACCUUCUCGGUAAUUGUUGCGAGAUCUUCACCGAUCACCAAAGUUUGAAAUAUAUCUUCACCCAACUAGAUUUGAAUCUCAGGCAAAGACGUUGGGUCGAGUUGAUCUCGGAUUACGACUUAGGAAUAACUUACACCCCGGGCAAAGCCAAUGUCAUGGCCGAUGCACUAAGUCGUAAGUCCUAUUGUAACAACCUGAUGUUACAACAAAGUCAACCACUUCUCCAUGAGGAAUUUCGUAAGCUUAAUCUUCACAUUGUUCCUCGGGGAUUCCUAUCCACCCUGGCAGCGAAACCUACCCUCAUGGAUCAAAUCAUAGCUGCCCAGAAGCGUGAUAAGGGCAUAUCUCGGAUUAAGGAAAACAUUGCUAGCGGAGUUGCUAAAUGUUUUUCCAUGGAUAAGCGAGGUGCUGUCUUCUUUGAGAACCAUUUGGUGGUUCCCAAGAAACACCAUCUACGCCAGUUGAUACUUAAGGAAGCUCAUGAAUCCCCUCUCACCAUUCAUCCCGGUAGUACUAAAAUGUAUCAAGACCUACGCCAGAGGUUUUGGUGGACUAGGAUGAAGAGAGAAAUCGCUCAAUACGUUGCUAGCUGCGACGUCUGUCGUCGUGUUAAAGCAGAGCACCAACGGCCUGCUGGCACGCUUCAACCUUUGGCUAUUCCUGAAUGGAAAUGGGAUAAAAUCAGUAUGGAUUUCAUCACCGGGUUUCCUAGGACCAAGAGAGGGAAUAAUGCCAUCUUCGUCGUGAUCGACCGACUUUCCAAAGUAGCCCAUUUCCUACCUGUUCGUGAGAGUAUCACCGCUGGCCAGCUAGCCGAGUUAUACAUCUCCCGAAUAGUGUCUCUUCAUGGUGUUCCAUUGGAAAUUAACUCAGACCGUGGGAGUCUCUUCACCUCUCGAUUUUGGGAAAGUUUCCAAAAUGCUAUGGGAACUCGUCUCUCUUUUAGUACCGCCUUCCAUCCUCAAUCAAGUGGUCAAGUAGAGCGAGUCAAUCAAAUUCUGGAAGAUAUGCUCCGAGCUUCUGUUAUCUCGUUUGGAAUGAGUUGGGAGAAAUGCCUUCCAUUCGCGGAGUUUGCUUAUAACAAUAGUUAUCAAGCUAGCUUGGGCAAAGCUCCUUUCGAAGUUCUUUAUGGACGAAAAUGUCGAACGCCUCUUAACUGGUCAGAAACCGGGGAAAGACAACUCCUUGGCCCGGAUAUGAUUCAUGAAGCAGAAGAGAAGGUUCGCGAAAUCCGUGAGAAAUUGAAAACAGCCCAAUCUCGUCAAAAGAGUCAAUAUGAUCGUAAACAUAAGCCUAUGACUUAUGAAGUCGACGAGAAGGCCUACCUUCGGGUUACUCCGUUAAAGGGAACCCAUCGUUUCAGUAUCAAUGGCAAAUUGGCUCCUCGUUACAUUGGACCCUUUCGCAUUCUUGCCAAACGAGGAGAAGUUGCCUACCAAUUGGAACUACCUCCGCAUCUUUCCAGAGUUCACGAUGUCUUCCACGUUUCACAACUCAGGCGUUGCUUCGCGGAUCCUAUCCGUGGAGUGGACCACGAAACGCUUUAUCUACAAGACAAUCUCUCUUAUCGGGAAUAUCCCGUUCGUAUCCUUGAUCAAGCCAAGCGUACCACUCGACGUCAGAAUAUCAAGUUUCUCAAGGUUCAAUGGUCACACCACUCCGAUAAAGAAGCCACUUGGGAAAGGGAGGAUCGUCUUCGACUUGAGUACCCCACCUUCUUCCCGGAGGAUCCUAAAUCUCGGGACGAGAUUCUUUUGAGUGGGGGUGAGUUGUCACACCCUAGCUAGUUCAAGCAUUAGAAUGUGCAUCAUGUCUAAAUUCUUCUUAAAUUUGAAUUGGGGAAGACAGAACCUCCAACACCCCCCUGGAAACAACUAGGGUUUACUAAAAUUAUUUUCAAUGAACCUGAAAUGCCCUUCUAAAAAGUUCACCCUCUUUGUCUUAGGUUAGAACCUCUGGCAAAAUUGGUGCACAACUUUCUAGGUCAUCAGAAGGUCAUUGAAUUAAAUCAUAAGUAUUUGAAUUUGGGCAUUUAAAUGCUAUAAAAUAAUUUAAAUGCUCAAAUAAUUCUGGGAAUAAAUGUUUCCUGUUGGAAAUAUUCUAAACAGAGGCCACAUUUAUUUUCAGGAUUUUUGGAAACGUUUUAGUAUUUUAUUUAAAGCUAAACAGUUGCAGUUAAAUAGAAAACAGAAACAAAAAUCAAAAAAAGAGAGAAGAAAGCCCACCUGGGCCUUACCUGUGCUGGCCCAGCCACCUGGCUCGGCCCAGCCUGCUGGCGCUGCCAGUCAUCGUCCUCCUCGCGCCAGAAGGACGCGGAGCGCGUGGCCGGCGCCCGUGGCCACACGCCGGCCACCUCCUGCUUCCGCCGACGCCCGGGAGACGCCCUGAAGUGCCACGCGACCCCCACGUCUUCCUCUCAUCCUCGCUCACUCCCCCCUCGUCUCCCUCAUCCUCUCCCACGAUGGCCGAGCGCGUCCCUCGCUGCCGAUCGCCGUAGUUGCCACCACAGCCACUCCCUUGCCCCUCCGACGAGCCCAUUAGCUCCGCCUCGACUCCCUCGUCCUCCCCACCGAGCCACGCAUCGCCGGAGGCCCUGCAUCGCCGCCUUCGCCCUUGUCUUCAACCUCGGGCACCCGAGCCAUCUCCGGUCGAUUCGCCACCGCCAGGACCUCCCCGAGCUCGCUGACCCCCUCUCCGACUCCGCUUUGAGCUCCUCUUCCUCUUCCCCUAGCUCCCGUGCUCGUUUGGCCCCUGUAGCUGCCGUUUCCACCGCACCCGAGAGCUCCCCGCCGCCGGCCAUGGAGCCGUCGUGGCCAGAGCCACUAUGGCUCGAAGCCAAGCUCGUAGUUGUUCUCAGUGCAGCACCAGGAACCCAUAGCCACCACCAGCUCCUUCUCCCAUGCACCGUAGCCUCGAAACCAUCCUCACCCGACUCCGGCGACCGCCAAGCUCGUCGCCGGCGACGUUUCCGGCCACCCCGAGCCCAACUACCACCACCAAACGCUGCGGCUCAUUCCCAGCUACCCGUAGAUGGUCUCCGCCAUCGAUUUGGUCGCCUGAGGGCGUUUUCCAAAGCCCUCCGCCGUCUCGGCCUCGCCGGCGACUCAACGCCAGCGGGAUUAGCCCUGUUGACCGGUGGUUUGACCACUGACGUGGACUGGGUGGGCCCAGGUUGACUCCUUUGAGUCAAUGACAAGUGGGCCCCCCCUCUGCUAAUUAUCCAAAUUAGUUUCUAACUAAAAUUAGUUAGUUUAAUUAGUAUAGUCACUGACUAGUGGGCCCCGCCCAGUAAUUAGGCUAACUAAACGUAGUUAGUGCACAGAGUCACUAACCAGUGGGCCCCACCAGUCAGGUUUGACCUGGGCUGGCGCCUUUGACUCGCUGACGUCACAGUGACGCAGUGCUGAUGCAAUUAUUCAUUUACUGGAAUUAUAUGUAUUCAGGAAAUUCCAGAAAAUGUUUAAAACUUCUAAAAAUCAUAGAAAUUCAACCAUAACUCCAAAUGAAAUAAUUUAUAUAUGAAAAAUUAUCAGAAAAAUUCAAUCUAUCCAUCUGUAAUGGUUUCAUGCAUGACAAAGAAAGUUUACCUUGCUGUUUAAGAAGAAUAAGGAAAUGCACUAUUAAGGCCAUGUUUAAAGAGCUAAUAUUUGAAUCUUUGAUUCAAAUGAGUUCAUUUCUUUCUGUUAUAGCUUGCAUUAGGCCAAGACACAUUCAUAUUGCCAUGUCAUAGCAUGCAUCAUAUUGUUGCAUAUCGUCAUGUGUUGAUUGUGUUCCGACGUGUUCCUCGUGGUAGGUUCUGCCUCCGAGGAUAUUCACGAGUAUCCAACUGAAGGGAAGUAUCCCAUUACCACUCCAUCAGGCAAGCAACCUUUGAUCAUUCCGAUACAAUCCCAUGUUCUCACUUCUGCUCCUGUUUACUGCAUUAAGACAACGCGAUUCAAACUGUUGUGUGCUACGGUAGUUGAACCCUUAUCCUCUGCAUGACCUGUCAUUGCCACAGUAACUAGAUGAAACCCACUAGCAUGUGUAGGAGUUGAUUGAGCCAUGUAUGUGAUUCCUACCUUGCUAUGCCUGCUAUGCUUAGAGUUGUGUCAGGUCUGGUUCAUCUGGGUGAUGGGCUGGAGUGAAAUGCUUAUGUCGGUAAUGUGAGGAAUGUGUUGAACAUGCUUUGGUAAAGGAAUCGAUGAGAGGCCAUGUAGGAGUACAUGGUGGGUUGUUUCAUUGAGGCCGCCCCUAAGAACUGAGAUCUGUAUGCGUGAUUUAAGAUUCAGCUACUACCACACAUUGGGCCCUGAAAUAUGACCCCGCUCGACUUACUGACCCCUCUCGCCUCUGUCCAGGAGUUGCAACUAGUUUCUAGUGUUUGUAGGACAUGUGUUGGCGGUCGUGCGUAGCGCUGACCCUAGGGGUGGGCUAUGAUGCGGUAGAUACACCGUGGCCGGGUAUGCCGGGCGCUCGUUUGGCGUCUCGGGACCCUGUACACAUCGUUUGGGGCCGUUGAUGACACCCCGGCCGGAUUUCCUUGCGGAUGGAACCUGAAUAGGCGAUAAACCUGGACUAGAGACUUGUGAGGUUAGUCAGGCCGUGGUCUACACCCACGUCGGUUUUCGCUUGAAGUCUGCCGAGCACAUGUCGUGUGCAGACGCUAAGUGGUGGAAACAUGUGUGACGAAGUACACCCCUGCAGGGUAUAAAACUAUUCGAAUAGCCGCGUCCACGGUAAAGGACUACUUGGUUGCCUAUACAGUUCAUAGACAAGUUAAUGGAUACUACUAAAAGACUCAAGAUAAGUGUGAGUACCGAGGAUGGCCCUCUCGUAGGAUGACGAGGGAGGAUCCCCGGUGGAGUAUUGUGUUGGUGAGUAGUGGACUCGUGUGCGAAAACUAUUUUACUGGUGAAGUUCCGUAGGAUAGCUUAGCCAAGAGUCAAAGCUGGCUUGCUGCAUUAACCCCACCACCUUCUUGAGAAUAAGCAUGUAUAGUAGGUUCUGAUGUCAGACUUGCUGAGUACCUUUGUACUCAUGUUUGCUUAAUUACUGUUUUCAGACGACAACACCGCCCCCUCCGAUGGGUUCUACGUAGACCUUGACGUCAAUGAGUGACUAGCCACCCAGGUGGUGAUCCUGGCCAUGGAGGGCCCUAUGUAGAUAGACAGGCUUCGAGAAGCCUUCUUUCUUUCUAGAGUCUGUACUCAGACUAGUUGCUUCCACAUGUUCUUGUAUGAUUGUAUGACUUGAGUGUCGGGUCAUGUGACCCCUAUCUGUAUGACAUGUUAUGUAUGGCUCUCUGGAGCCUUUAAAUAAAGUACUUGAGUUGUAGAGUUUUGUUGUGGUGCCAUGUUGUAUGUACUCAUAUCGGGCAUAUUGUGUGUAUGAUUGAAAUGCUUGGUAUGAGUGGGAUCCGACAAUCUAGUUGUUUAUCCUUGGCAGCCUUUCUUAUGGGGAAAUGUAGUCUAGUGUUCCCCGAGCCAUAGUAGUCCGCUACAGCCCGGUUCACCGGAGUCCUGCUAGCCUAGCACUACUGUUCAGGACACUUGACUGGCCGGCAUGUGUUUCACUUCGUUCCUAUGUCUGUCCCUUCGGGGAAAUGUCACGCGGUGAUUUCCGGAGUCCUGCCUAGCCUGCUACAGCCCGGGUUCCCCGGAGUCCUGUUAGCCCAGUGCUACAGCCCGGAAUCACUCGUUGAUGACCGACAUGCUCGAUGUGAUUCAUGUAUGCCUGUCUCCAUAGGUCUGUGCCGUUUUGGGUUCACGACUAGCCAUGUCAGCCCGGGUUCUCUGUCAUAUGGAUGCUAGCGACACUAUCAUAUACGUGAGCCAAAAGGCGCAAACGGUCCCGGGCCAUGGUAAGGCGACACCCAUGGAAUACCGUGCGUGAGGCCGCAAAGUGAUAUGAGGUGUUACCGGCUAGAUCGAUGUGACUUGGAAUCGGGGUCCUGACAUCACCAACCGACGUGUGAGGAGCAGCGGCGUUGGCGGCGAGCUUAACGUGCUUCUGAAUAGUGUCAUCCAAGGUUGCCCUGCGCUCCAAGAAGGCCAGCGUCCUAUCGUCCUCCUCUUGCAUGUAGUAGUCCUUGUGGAUGAUUUACGCGUAGACGUGGGUGAUUAUGUCCAUGGUGUCUUGCUGCGCCAGGCGUUGCGCGGCGAGCGCGACCUCGAGGUGGACAUUCUCCGGCGCGACGAUGGGCAGUCGCAGGGCCACCAGUGCGUCGAAGAGGUUGUUACCAUAGUGGCCGUUGAGGGUGGCGGGCAUCACAGAGCCUGGGUACGUCGGCUGGAGGCUUAUGUCAAAGUCGUCCGCAAGCUUCUUGACAACGGUGAACUUAUCGAGGAAACCGAUGAGGACCUCGUCGAACAAGGAGACGAAGCUGUCGUCCAAGCGGCCCCUCGCCCUGGCAUCCUCAAGUAAUACUCCCUGGAGACAUUCCUCGGUACCGGGCCGCAGGCCGGCGUCGUGGACCAUCUGGCACAGCCGGCUGAUGCUCGCGCUAAUCGCCUCCAUGGGUCUAGCAUAGCUUCUAGUCAACUGAUCUUGCGAUUCGAGUGAUCACUCAGCCCUUGGUUAGCAUGCCUAGGUGCGUAGGAUUUCAUACUACUCCUCGGCCCUCUACUGCACCUGCCUUUGGCUGUAUGAUAGGUGGGCCAGCCACCCCCUGGGGCCACGUGUCAUUCACCCAAAGGCAGUUGCCGUAAGUCAAUGAAGCUGCGUCCCCCUUCGUGCCGGUGCAGUAUAGUCAUCUCACCGGACCUCUAGUUGGGGCCAAACGAGAGAAGUUUGAUGUUUACUGGUUUAUUGGCCCCCUUUGCAUUUUGCGCCAAGUUUUGACCUUUGAUUUAACUAAUAAAAUGUUAAUGCAUGUAAACAAAAAUGUUGUGUAAGUCACCUUACGAAAACCAAACAAUCCCAAAAUACUUAGGCACGGUGCAUUAACUCCCUCCUGGUUUCUUAUUUCGUGACAUAUCAACCAAUGAGAGAUGUGGGCCGUGCAUGCUUUCAAUGACUUGAGACUACCAAACAUGACAUGCAGUGUUUAGUUCAUUGCAUGUAAUCCUAUUAGUACUCUAGUUAGGAGUAGCAAAAAAACAUUAUGUUCUCUCGCCGAUAGGAAUAAAACACCAGAUGGACGUGGUAGUACUCCUAAAUCUAGACGGUGGUGCUACUAGUACUACUAGUAGUACUACCAAUGUAGGAGUAGUAGUAGGAGUACUAGCACUGUACUAUCCGUUGGUCAAAUUAUUACGUGCUGCUCCUCAUAGUGAAGUGACAAGACCCUGCGUCGGAGAUGACACCUGAGUAUGGGCACCGUGUUCGGCAUACCAUAGUCAGCCUCACCGUCUGUAGUCACUAUCAUCAUGGCUGUAGAGCUAGCCUGCUUACAACUAGCCCUGUUCGACAUAAUUUCCCGUGCGUAGAUGCCUGUGCAUUGCAUAGAACACCAAGAUUGGGGGUGGACGGCUCCAGCAGUGGCCAUCGCGCCAGAUUUUUCCAUGGCCUUCUACUCCUAGAUGUGGUGGGGAGGAGAUGAGGCUGAUUGUGAGAGACAAGGAGUUGUUUGUAAAUAUGGAACAAGUGCGGGCAUCUUUUUGCAAAAAUGGAGAAGCUUGGUUUGUAUGCGUCAGAUCUAGAUCCGACGGCUAUUGGUGAAAGAUGGGAGGCACAACAUCAUCACCAACUCAGGACCUGUUUGAUUGGCAGGAUUUUGAAAGUGCAGGAAUAGGACACGGCACUAUUACAAGUUUCAAACUGAUAUUACAAAUGUUAGGAGUAAUGCUGCACCUACGAAGAGGGAAUUACUAGGAAGUUUACGUAAGAACUUUCGUUACUUUAGGUGGAUGCAACAUUAUCGUACAAACUAAAAUCCACCGCCCUGACAAGUCACUAAUGGGCAAAUAAGUUUUCGAGUCUCUGGCCACUUGAUGUUUCAAAAACAAAUUCAGCUUCUACGAAGAAAUGAGCUCCAUGAUGUACCCGCGCGGGUGUGGCUGGGCACGAAGCGUGAGAACGUGCACAGUGCACCUAUUCUCUUCUUGUAUAUGUACACCACCUACGUGGGGUUGUGUGAGAGAGAUACAAACCUAGAGAGAUAUAGUGUGUGGGUUCUUGAGAGUUUUUUUUGUGGGGGGGGGGGGGGCAAUAAAAAAAUUUAACAUAUGCAAUGUGUGUGAAAUAGACUCCUGGAUAUAACAUAUAUAUAGAGGGGGCGAUCCAUGAGAAGAGAGUGGAGGUAUCAUCGGCUUGAGGUGUCCAUAGAAUUGAAGAGAGGGAUGAUGCGUGUGUGUGUGUGUGCACGCGCGAUCUAUAAAGAGUGCCAUCGAAUUUGUGUGUGCCCACGUCAAAGAUAUAGAGUGGCUGACCUACUGGAACGUGAGAUGGGACAUGUGCAGUUUGUCUCUGUGGCAUGGAUACCUACCUGCAGCGCUCGACUAUCGGUGUGUGGUGGGGGAAGAGGGAGGCCCAAUUAAAUAUAGAGGUACAAUGGCUGGUAUAUGUGUGGAGGAGGAGAGUGGCCUACCUCAUGUAUUAAGGAGAUCGACCUGCCUCAUGUAUUAAGGGAGAUCGAUCGUCAUCCAUGCAUAUGUGCAGGAGAUGAAUAAGGUUGGGAGAGAGACAGAGCUAGAGUGUUGGAGGGGGUGGUAGUGGAGUUGCUUCUAACAAAUGGUAGGAUAGGCUUGCUAGACAAACGGAGGGCACGCCCGCAAUAUCAAUAAGAGAGGAGAUGGCUGCUUGUUGUCUGUGCACGUGCGUCUGAGAGACGGGUCAGGAGGCAUGCACGAAUGAUGAGGGGGACGAUGUGGCUGUGGUAAGCAGACGUAACUACAUAGGAAGAUCAAUCGCCCUUUGUAAGAGAAAGGAGAGACAUAACUUUUGAGGUAUGCCGAUCGAUGGGGGAUAGUUAAAGUAGGUCUAGGUAUAUGUUGGUAGAUCGAUCGGUAUACAUGCAUGUCUGUGUUAGAAGCAAAUGAGGCACGAGGAGAAGGAUAGAGAGAGAGAGGGAUGCAUGUAGGAGGUGGUAUGAGAGGCAUACUCUAUCGAGGGGGAGCAGUGUGCGAGUACGAGAACGAUGAAAAGAGUGGUGGGAGUGAGGCAUGGACGGUGAAAAGAGAAGAGGGGAAGCUUGUGUUUGUGCUAGGCACACCUAGCUAGAGAGGCAUAUCGAUCGACGUGUGCCGUAAAUAAGGAGCUGGGGGGCCUACACACACCAUGGGUGAACGACCUAAAGUGAAAAGACGAAUUUGCGCGAUGGAGCUAAAGAAUGCUAAGGGAGGGUGAGAGGGAUGCGGGCGUGUGCAUGCACAAGAGAAAGUUAGCGCUAGCUACAAAGAUAAGAGGGUUGUGUGGGUGUAAAAGACGAAUAGAGAUCAUAUCUACUUCAUUAUAAAAAGCGAAUUCGGAUAUUUGAAGAAUUUAUCAUAGUGUUUCAAACCGACGGAUGUGUGAAUAUAUAUAAUGGUGAUACACAUGGUGUGGUUAUGAACAUGGUAUACUACAUGUAAUAUAUUUUAUCCCUACUCUUAUAAAAAAGGAGUUGUUGAUGACAGUGUGCCUGCCAUCGUGCAUUAUAGGCCGUCUGAUUUAUAUCUGGCGGAUAGCAAGGAAACUAUGAUGGUUGAAGUUGGCAACAAUCAUGAUUGUAGAUUCUUAUUAAAAUAGAGAAACGAAUUUAAAUUUAGUUCGAAUUGCAGCGGUAGUAUAGACAUUUGGAAUGCACUAAAAUGUUGGUAUGAGUAGGUUACAUGCAUUAUACAGCAAGCGAAAAAAUUUAAUCGGACAUAACAUGGAUUCAUACUCCCUCCUUCCAUCUAUAUAGGGCGUAAUGAGAUUUUUAAGACUGCCUUUGACUAUUGACAAGAUUAAUAGUACAUGACAUGCACAAUGUGAAAAUUAUAUCAUUGAAAGAACCUUUCACAGACGAAUUUAAUGGUGUGCUUUGUGUAAGUUGCAUGUCAUAUAUCAUUGCUCUAAUAUUUGGUCAAAGUUAGCAUCGAAAAACGCAUUAGGCCCUAUAUAGAUGGAGGGAGGGAGUAGCUUUGAAUAGCAUUUGUAUAGUAAAACGGGGCAAGAUUCUCUCUUUGUGUGGUGUGAAUAGUUAUAUUUUUUUCGUUUUCUUUUUGGUUGAGGGAAGUGCGAAUUGAUUUGGUACGUACAAGUACAAUAUUACUACAUGUUAGGCUUGUCCCUAAAAUUCAACCCGUGUCUUGUUAUAUCCCGAAAAUUCAGAUAUCGUUCUCCCAAAACUGGCGCCUUCACAACCCGCGCCUUGCUAUCCUGAAAUUACAACGCGCGCAAAAACUUCCUCCAGCUGCCAAAUCCCGACACGUGAAAUCCCCCUUCUAACCCUGAGCCGAAAGGGCCGCUAGUUCAAAUCGGUGGGGGGUACUUUUUUAACAUACCCUACAUUUUGUACAAGCGCAUUCCUAAGUCAUGGUUCACCCCCCUCCCAUCGCCCCCUUUUCGCCAUUCGAAAUCCCAGGCCGCCAUAACCUCUCCGCUCCAGCCGCGAAACCCCACCUCCUCCGUCCACCACAUCACCGCUGCCAAGCCGGAGCCUCUUCCCUGACGACGUCGUCCACCGCAACAGCUCGACGUCCCUCGUCCACCUCCCCGGAUGAGGAUCCGUCGUCCAUCUCGUUGUCCCGCCGGUUCAGCCGUCCCGUCCUCCACCUCCAAGGAGCUGAUCCGACAAUCACCUCGUCUAUCGCGGCUACUCCAUCCCCACAGCGCCGCCUUAACCUGCUCCACCGGAACCGCAACAUCUUCACCGACUCCUCGGACGAAGCCGAGGCCUACUCGGCGCCACCAAAGAGGUUGUACACUCAUCGCAUCGCACAUUCUCCUUAACUCGACCUCCCGGCGCCGACGGUGCUCCAUCCCACAACCCCAUGGAGCGGCUACCUUGAAGCCGGCGCCGUGGGCGACAUCUCCACGGCGGCUCUCCCCCAGUGCGAGGCCCCUUCGGCGGCGGCGUCCAUACCAGCCGGAUCUGCUGCUGCUACUCCGGCUCUCGCUCGAUCGCUCGCUCGCCCAACUGCUGCUGCUGCUCUCCCCCUCGCUCGUGCUGCUGCUCUGCUCCGAUUAAGCCACAGUUCAGUCGACUGAAUCGACUUUUGGGUCAGUCGAUUUUCAGGGGUUGGGGGGGCUCGCCGGAGUUAAGGAAGAACCACCCGCAGCAGGGACGAGGGCUCGCCGGAGAGGUACCCCACUAUCUAUCUUAGGCUUCAGGGUGGGGGCGGGGGGCCUAGAGGGCUGGCCGGGGCGGUAGUGGCGAGUAGUUUCGCGGCGGCGAGGCGGCGCUGGGGCCGGCGGUUCGGCCGGUGGUGGCUGGCGGCUCAGGGGGGUGCAGGUUGAAGAUGAACUGCAGGCCCUCCCUAAACUACAUGUCAGCCUCUCUGCUACCAUUGCGUUCAGUUUCGACAGUAGCAUUCAGAUUGCACAGUAAAUUUCAGUUUCGACAGUUAAGUUCAGAGUCAACAGUUUUUACCUCAUCUGUUGUAGUCAGGUGGUUUUUGGUGAUGGUAAUUUUACAUCCAUUUUACAUCAUCUAUUGGAGAUGCUAUUAGAAUCCCACUUGAGAUUGACGAUGUCUGUCUUGUGCUGCUUCAGCCUUGACGUCUUACGGCUCACUAGAGCUGCUCCAACGACAGAACGAUCCAUCACAACAGAGUAGUGCCAUAGACUCCGUCUACAGAUUCCUCAGAUCUUCCUCCACACCUCCGACAGCCACCUCUGCCUGAACUACUUCAGGGACCAACCCAAUGAUGCUGAGGUCAACACAGCUACGACAAAGAGGUUGUACACUUGUUGCAUCACUUAUUACUAUACAUUCACGUCGAUCCAUUAGGGCUAUUUUGGUUCAACGGAAAAACAUCGAUCCACUGGUUGUUACCAUCACUCUAAAUUUCUGCAUGCUCUCCUUACAUAAUCUCACCAUAUUUUUGAAGGAAAUAUGCCCUAGAGGCAAUAAUAAAAUUAUUAUUUAUUUCCUUAUAUCAUGAUAAAAGUUUAUUAUUCAUGCUAGAUUUGUAUUAACCGGAAACAUAAUACAUGUGUGAAUACAUAGACAAACAGAGUGUCACUAGUAUGCCUCUACUAGACUAGCUUGUUAACCAAAGAUGGUUAUGUUUCCUAACCAUGGACAAAGAGUUGUCAUUUGAUUAACAGGAUCACAUCAUUGGUUGAAUGAUCUGAUUGACAUGACCCAUUCCAUUAGCUUAGCACCCGAUCGUUUAGUAUGUUGCUAUUGCUUUCUUCAUGACUUAUACAUGUUCCUAUGACUAUGAGAUUAUGCAACUCCCGUUUGCCAGAGGAACACUUUGUGUGCUACCAAACGUCACAACGUAACUGGGUGAUUAUAAAGGAGCUCUACAGGUGUCUCCAAAGGUACAUGUUGGGUUGGCGUAUUUCGAGAUUAGGAUUUGUCACUCCGAUUGUCGGAGAGGUAUCUCUGGGCCCUCUCAGUAAUGCACAUCACUUAAAGCCUUGCAAGCAUUGCAACUAAUGACUUAGUUGCAGGAUGAUGUAUUAUGGAACGAGUAAAGAGACUUGCCGGUAACGAGAUUGAACUAGGUAUGGGAUACCGACGAUCGAAUCUCGGGCAAGUAACAUACCGAUGACAAAGGGAACAACGUAUGUUGUUAUGCGGUCUGACCGAUAAAGAUCUUCGUAGAAUAUGUAGGAGCCAAUAUGGGCAUCCAGGUCCCGCUAUUGGUUAUUGACCGGAGACGUGUCUCGGUCAUGUCUACAUUGUUCUCGAACCCGUAGGGUCCGCACGCUUAAAGUUACGAUGACAGUUAUAUUAUGAGUUUAUCCAUUUUGAUGUACCGAAGGUUGUUCGGAGUCCCGGAUGUGAUCACGGACAUGACGAGGAGUCUCGAAAUGGUCGAGACAUAAAGAUUGAUAUAUUGGAAGCCUAUGUUUUGAUAUCGGAAGUGUUCCGGGUGAAAUCGGGAUUUUACCGGAGUACCGGGAGGUUACCGGAACCCCUCGGGAGCUAUAUGGGCCUUAAUGGGCCUUAGUGGAAAAAAAGGAGAGGCAGCCAGGGCUGGCCGUGCGCCCCUCCCCCCUAGUCCAAAUAGGACAAGGAGAGAGGGGGCCAGCGCCCCCUCCUUCUCUCUCUCUCUUUUCCCACCUCGCGAAUCCUAUUCCAACUAGGAUUGGGGGAGAAGUCCUACUCCCGGAGGGAGUAGGACUCCUCCUGGCGCGCCCUAUGAUGGCCGGCCGGCCUCCCCCUCUUGAGCCUUUAUAUACGGAGGCAGGGGCACCCCAGAGAACAACAAGUUGAUCCACGUGAUCAUAUUCUUAGCCGUGUGCGGUGCCCCCUUCCACCAUAGUCCUCGAUAAUAUUGUAGCGGUGCUUAGGCGAAGCCCUGCUGCAGUAGUACAUCAAGAUCGUCACCACGCCGUCGUGCUGACGGAACUCUUCCCCGACACUUUGCUGGAUCGGAGUCCGGGGAUCGUCAUCGAGCUGAACGUGUGCUAGAACUCGAAGGUGCCGUAGUUUCCGUGCUUGAUCGGUCGGGCCGUGGAGACGUACGACUACAUCAACCAAACGCUUCCGUUGUCGAUGUACAAGGGUACGUAGAUCAUACUCUCCCCUCUCGUUGCUAUGCAUCACUAUGAUCUUGCGUGAGCGUAGGAAUUGUUUUUGAAAUUACUACGAAACCCAUCAGUGGUAUCAGAGCCUAGGUUUUAUAUGUUGAUGUUAUAUGCACGAGUAGAACACAAGUGAGUUGUGGGCGAUAUAAGUCAUACUGCUUACCAGCAUGUCAUACUUUGGUUCGGCGGUAUUGUUGGAUGAAGCGGUCCGGACGGACAUUACGCGUACGCUUACGUGAGACCGGUUCUCCCGACGUGCUUUUCACAUAGGUGGCUUGCGGGUGACAGUUUCUCCAACUUUAGUUGAACUGAGUGUGGCUACGCCCGGUCCUUGCGAAGGUUAAAACAGCACCAACUUGACAAACUAUCAUUGUGAUUUUGAUGCGUAGGUAAGAUUGGUUCUUGCUUAAGCCCGUAGCAGCCACGUAAAACUUGCAACAACAAAGUAGAGGACGUCUAACUUGUUUUUGCAGGGCAUGUUGUGAUGUGAUAUGGUCAAAACGUGAUGAGAUAUAAGUUGUUGUAUAAGAUGAUCAUGUUUUGUUGAAGUUAUCGGCAACUGGAAAAAGCCUUAUGGUUGUCUCUUUAUUGCAUAAGAUGCAAGCGCCAAAUAAUUGCUUUACUUUAUCGCUAUACGAUAGCAAUAGUUGCAAGAGCAAUAGUUGGCGAGACGACCAUGUGACGACACAUUGAUAUAGAUCAAGAUGAUUGAGAUCAUGGUGUCAUGCCGGUGACAAUAGAGAUCAUGACAGUACUUUGGAGAUGGAGAUCAAAAGCGCAAGAUGAUGAUGGCCAUAUCAUGUCACAUAUUUUGAUUGCAUAUGAUGUUUAUCUUUUAUGCAUCUUAUCUUGCUUUGAUUGACGGUAGCAUUAUAAGAUGAUCUCUCACUAAAUUAUCAAGAAGUGUUCUCCCUGAGUAUGCACCGUUGCGAAAGUUCUUCGUGCUGAGACACCACGUGAUGAUCGGGUGUGAUAGGCUCUACGUUCAAAUACAACGGGUGCAAAACAGUUGCACACGAGGAAUACUCAGGUUAUACUUGACGAGCCAAGCAUAUACAGAUAUGGCCUCGGAACACGGAGACCGAAAGGUCGAGCGUGAAUCAUAUAGUAGAUAUGAUCAACAUAGUGAUGUUCACCAAUGAAACUACUCCAUCUCAUGUGAUGAUCGGACAUGGUUUAGUUGAUUUGGAUCACGUAAUCACUUAGAGGAUUAGAGGGAUAUCUAUCUAAGUGGGAGUUCUUUAAGUAAUACGAUUAAUUGAACCUAAAUUUAUCAUGAACUUAGUACCUAAUAUAUCUUGCUUGUCUAUGUAUGAUUGUAGAUAAAUGGCCCGUGCUGUUGUUCCGUUGAAUUUUAAUGCGUUCCUUGAGAAAGCAAAGUUGAAAGAUGAUGGUAGAAAUUACACGGACUGGGUCCGUAACUUGAGGAUUAUCCUCAUUGCUGCACAGAAGAAUUACGUCCUGGAAGCACCGCUGGGUGCUAGGCCGGCUGCUGGAGCAACACCAAAUGUUGUGAACGUCUGGCGGAGCAAAGCUGAUGACUACUCGAUAGUUCAGUGUGCCAUGCUUUACGGCUUAGAACCGGGACUUCAACGACGUUUUGAACGUCAUGGAGCAUAUGAGAUGUUCUAGGAGUUGAAGUUAAUAUUUCAAGCAAAUGCCCGGAUUGAGAGAUAUGAAGUCUCCAAUAAGUUCUAUAGCUGCAAGAUGGAGGAGAACUGUUCUGUUAGUGAGCAUAUACUCAAAAUGUCUGGGUAUAAUAAUCACUUGAUUCAAAUGGGAGUUAAUCUUCCAGAUGAUUGCGUCAUUGACAGAAUUCUCCAAUCACUGCCACGAAGCUACAAGAGCUUCGUGAUGAACUAUAAUAUGCAAGGGAUGAAUAAGACUAUUCCCGAGCUCUUCGCAAUGCUGAAACUUGCGAAGGUAGAAAUCAAAAAGGAGCAUCAAGUGUUGAUGGUCAAAAAGACCACUAGUUUCAAGAAAAAGGGCAAAGGGAAGAAGAAGGGGAACUUCAAGAAGAACAGCAAGCAAGUUGCUGCUCAAGAGAAGAAACCCAAGUCUGGACCUAAGCCUAAAACUGAGUGCUUCUACUGCAAGCAGACUGGUCACUGGAAGCGGAACUGCCCCAAGUAUUUGGCGGAUAAGAAGGAUGGCAAGGUGAACAAAGGUAUAUGUGAUAUACAUGUUAUUGAUGUGUACCUUACUAAUGCUCGCAGUAGCACCUGGGUAUUUGAUACUGGUUCUAUUGCUAAUUUUUGCAACUAGAAACAGGGACUACGGAUUAAGCGAAGAUUGGCUAAGGACGAGGUGACGAUGCGCGUGGGAAACGGUUCCAAAGUUGAUGUGAUCGCGGUCAGCACGCUACCUCUACAUCUACCUUCGGGAUUAAUAUUAGACCUAAAUAAUUGUUAUUUGGUGCCAGCGUUAAGCACGAACAUUAUAUCUGGAUCUUGUUUGAUGUGAGACGGUUAUUCAUUUAAAUCAGAGAAUAAGGGUUGUUCUAUUUAUAUGAGUAAUAUCUUUUAUGGUCAUGCACCCUGGAAGAGUGGUCUAUUCUUAUUAAAUCUCGGUAGUAGUAACACUUGCAAAGUUGAUAAUGAUAGUGCAACUUAUUUGUGGCACUGCCGUUUAGGUCAUAUCGGUGUAAGGCGCAUGAAGAAACUCCAUACUGAUGGACUUUUGGAACCACUUGAUUAUGAAUCACUUGGUACUUGCGAACCGUGCCUCAUGGGCAAGAUGACUAAAACACUGUUCUCCGGUACUAUGGAGAGAGCAACAGAUUUGUUGGAAAUCAUACAUACAGAUGUAUGUGGUCCGAUGAAUAUUGAGGCUCGUGGCGGAUAUCGUUAUUUUCUCACCUUCACAGAUGACUUAAGGAGAUAUGGGUAUAUCUACUUAGUGAAACAUAAGUCUGAGACAUUUGAAAAGUUCAAAGAAUUUCAGAGUGAAGUUGAAAAUCAUCGUAACAAGAAAAUAAAGUUUCUACGAUCUGAUCGUGGAGGAGAAUAUUUGAGUUACGAGUUUGGUGUACAUUUGAAACAAUGCGGAAUAGUUUCGCAACUCACGCCAUCCGAAACACCACAGCGUAAUGGUGUGUCCGAACGUCGUAAUCGUACUUUACUAGAUAUGGUGCGAUCUAUGAUGUCUCUUACUGAUUUACCGCUAUCGUUUUGGGUUAUGCUUUGGAGACGGCCGCAUUCACAUUAAAUAGGGCACCAUCAAAAUCCAUCGAGACGACGCCUUAUGAACUAUGGUUUGGCAAGAAACCAAAGUUGUCGUUUCUGAAAGUUUGGGGCUGCGAUGCUUAUGUGAAAAAGCUUCAACCUGAUAAGCUCGAACCCAAAUCGGAAAAAUGCGUCUUCAUAGGAUAUUCAAAGGAGACUAUUGGAUACACCUUCUAUCACAGAUCUGAAGGCAAGACUUUUGUUGCUAAAUUCGGAAACUUUCUAGAGAAGGAGUUUCUCUCAAAAGAAGUGAGUGGGAGGAAAGUAGAACUUGACGAGGUAACUGUACCUGCUCCCUUAUUGGAAAGUAGUGCAUCACAGAAAAUGUUUCUGUGGCACCUACACCAAUUAGUGAGGAAGCUAAUGAUAAUGAUCAUGAAACUUCAGAACAAGAUACUACUGAACCUCGUAGAUCAACCAGAGUAAGAUCCGCACCAGAGUGGUACGGUAAUCCUGUUCUGGAAGUCAUGCUACUAGAUCAUGAUGAACCUACGAACUAUGAAGAAGCGAUGGUGAGCCCAGAUUCCGCAAAAUGGCUUGAAGCCAUGAAAUCUGAGAUGUGAUCCAUGUAUGAGAACAAAGUAUGGACUUUGGUUGACUUGCCCAAUGAUCGGCAAGCAAUUGAGAAUAAAUGGAUCUUCAAGAAGAAGACUGACGCCGACGGUAAUAUUACUGUCUACAAAGCUCCACUUGUCGCAAAAGGGUUUCGGAAAGUUCAAGGGAUUGACUACGAUGAGACCUUCUCACCCGUAGCGAUGCUUAAGUCUGUCCGAAUCAUGUUAGCAAUUGCCGCAUUUUAUGAUUAUGAAAUUUGGCAGAUGGAUGUCAAAACUGCAUUCCUGAUUGGAUUUCUGGAAGAAGAGUUGUAUAUGAUGCAACCAGAGGGUUUUUUUGAUCCAAAGGGAGCUAACAAAGUGUGCAAGCUCCAGCGAUCCAUUUAUGGACUGGUGCAAGCCUCUCGGAGUUGGAAUAAACGCUUUGAUAGUGUGAUCAAAGCAUUUGGUUUUAUAUAGACUUUUGGAGAAGCCUGUAUUUACAAGAAAGUGAGUGGGAGCUCUAUAGCAUUUCUGAUAUUAUAUGUGGAUGACAUAUUACUGAUCGGAAAUGAUAUAGAAUUUCUGGAUAGCAUAAAGGGAUACUUGAAUAAAAGUUUUUCAAUGAAAGACCUCGGUGAAGCUGCUUACAUAUUAGGCAUAAAGAUCUAUAGAGAUAGAUCAAGACGUUUAAUUGGAAUUUCACAAAGCACAUACCUUGACAAGAUUUUGAAGAAGUUCAAAAUGGAUCAAGCAAAGAAAGGGUUCUUGCCUGUGUUACAAGGUGUGAAGUUGAGUCGGACUCAAUGCCCGACCACUGCAGAAGAUAGAGAGAAGAUGAAAGAUGUUCCCUAUGCUUCAUCCAUAGGCUCUAUCAUGUAUGCAAUGUUGUGUACCAGACCUGAUGUGUGCCUUGAUAUAAGUCUAGCAGGGAGGUACCAAAGUAAUCCAGGAGUGGAUCACUGGACAGCGGUCAAGAACAUCCUGAAGUACCUGAAAAGGACUAAGGAUAUGUUUCUCGUAUAUGGAGGUGACAAAGAGCUCAUCGUAAAUAGUUACGUUGAUGCAAGCUUUGACACUGAUCCGGACGAUUCUAAAUCGCAAACCGGAUAUGUGUUUACAUUAAACGGUGGAGCUGUAAGUUGGUGCAGCUCUAAACAAAGCGUCGUGGCGGGAUCUACGUGUGAAGCGGAAUACAUAGCUGCUUCGGAAGCAGCAAAUGAAGGAGUCUGGAUGAAGGAGUUCAUAUCCGAUCUAGGUGUCGUGCCUAGUGCAUCGGGUCCAAUGAAAAUCUUUUGUGACAAUACUGGUGCAAUUGCCUUGGCAAAGGAAUCCAGAUUUCACAAGAGAACCAAGCACAUCAAGAGACGCUUCAAUUCCAUCCGGGAUCUAGUCCAGGUGGAAGACAUAGAGAUUUGCAAGAUACAUACGGAUCUGAAUGUUGAAGACCCAUUGACUAAGCCUCUUCCACGAGCAAAACAUGAUCAGCACCAAGACUCCAUGGGUGUUAGAAUCAUUACUGUGUAAUCUAGAUUAUUGACUCUAGUGCAAGUGGGAGACUGAAGGAAAUAUGCCCUAGAGGCAAUAAUAAAAUUAUUAUUUAUUUCCUUAUAUCAUGAUAAAAGUUUAUUAUUCAUGCUAGAGUUGUAUUAACCGGAAACAUAAUACAUGUGUGAAUACAUAGACAAACAGAGUGUCACUAGUAUGCCUCUACUAGACUAGCUUGUUAAUCAAAGAUGGUUAUGUUUCCUAACCAUGGACAAAGAGUUGUCAUUUGAUUAACAGGAUCACAUCAUUGGUUGAAUGAUCUGAUUGACAUGACCCAUUCCAUUAGCUUAGCACCCGAUCGUUUAGUAUGUUGCUAUUGCUUUCUUCAUGACUUCUACAUGUUCCUAUGACUAUGAGAUUAUGCAACUCCCGUUUGCCAGAGGAACACAUUGUGUGCUACCAAACGUCACAACGUAACUGGGUGAUUAUAAAGGAGCUCUACAGGUGUCUCCAAAGGUACAUGUUGGGUUGGCGUAUUUCGAGAUUAGGAUUUGUCACUCCGAUUGUCGGAGAGGUAUCUCUAGGCCCUCUCGGUAAUGCACAUCACUUAAAACCUUGCAAGCAUUGCAACUAAUGAGUUAGUUGCGGGAUGAUGUAUUACAGAACGAGUAAAGAGAGUUGCCGGUAACGAGGUUGAACUAGGUAUGGGAUACCGACGAUCGAAUCUCGGGCAAGUAACAUACCGAUGACAAAGGGUACAACGUAUGUUGUUAUGCGGUCUGACCGAUAAAGACCUUCUUAGAAUAUGUAGGAGCCAAUAUGGGCAUCCAGGUCCCGCUAUUGGUUAUUGACCGGAGACGUGUCUCGGUCAUGUCUACAUUGUUCUCGAACCCGUAGGGUCCGCACGCUUAAAGUUACGAUGACAGUUAUAUUAUGAGUUUAUGCAUUUUGAUGUACUGAAGGUUGUUCGGAGUCCCGGAUGUGAUCACGGACAUGACGAGGAGUCUCGAAAUGGUCGAGACAUAAAGAUUGAUAUAUUGGAAGCCUAUGUUUGGAUAUCGGAAGUGUUCCGGGUGAAAUCGGGAUUUUACCGGAGUACCGGGAGGUUACCGGAAUCCCCCGGGAGCUAUAUGGGCCUUAAUGGGCCUUAGUGGAAAAAGAGGAGAGGCAGCCAGGGCUGGGCCGCGCGCCCCUCCCACCUAGUCUGAAUAGGACAAGGAGAGAGGGGGCCGGCGCCCCCCUCCUUCUCUCUCUCUCUUUUCCCACCUCGCGAAUCCUAUUCCAACUAGGAUUGGGGGAGAAGUCCUACUCCCGAAGGGAGUAGGACUCCUCCUGGCGCGCCCUAUGAUGGCCGACCGGCCUCCCCCUCUUGAGCCUUUAUAUACGGAGGCAGGGGCACCCCAGGGAACAACAAGUUGAUCCACGUGAUCAUAUUCUUAGCCGUGUGCGGUGCCCCCUUCCACCAUAGUCCUCGAUAAUAUUGUAGCGGUGCUUAGGCGAAGCCCUGCUGCAGUAGUACAUCAAGAUCGUCACCACGCCGUCGUGCUGACAGAACUCUUCCUCGACACUUUGCUGGAUCGGAGUCCGGGGAUCGUCAUCGAGCUGAACGUGUGCUAGAACUCGGAGGUGCCGUAGUUUCGGUGCUUGAUCGGUCGGGCCGUGGAGACGUACGACUACAUCAACCAAAUGCUUCCGUUGUCAAUCUACAAGGGUGCGUAGAUCAUACUCUCCCCUCUCGUUGCUAUGCAUCACUAUGAUCUUUCAUGAGCGUUGGAAAUUUUUUGAAAUUACUACGAAACCCAUCAAUUUUUUCGUAUGCAUGUCAUAUAUUGUACACAGUCAUGCUGAACAUGUAGAGAAAAAGAGAAGAGUUUUGCGCGGCAAUACAAUGUCAUGCAGACAUCGCUCCAUGGUUUGUUCAAUGGCAAACCCUCCCCACCCCUCUCCAGAUUGUAAUCCAGAGGAAGAUAUCUGUUUUGAGGCGGAUUCGGACGCCGCUGACCACUCCUAUUUACCCCUCAAGGUGUUUGCUCUACCUUGGCAUGAUGAUGUUAGUCAUAUCAUGCAUAUGUUGCCUUGCAGUGCCUACUUUUGACAUCAUAUAUGUCAUCUGCUUAGUUUAGACAUGUUCUGUAAUGCCACCUGUUUAGUUUCUAUAUCAUAUAUGGGAAUUAUGCAGUCUCAUGUCUUUUAGCCAGCCAUAAUAUAUGUGAAAUGUGCAAUACCAUCCUGUUUAACCAGGCAUCAUAUAUUUGAAUGAUAUCUUACCCAUCCUUUUCUUCAUUACAUUUCCAUUUGUCGACAAUGUUUGUACAUUAAACUACUCUUCCUGUGAAUCAGCCAUUUGGGUGGGAGAUGGAAAAAUCUGGAGUGAAAACAAGGCCUUUAGAGCAGACAGUGCUACCUGUUGAAGCAGAUCUCUUGUUGGGUCCCGAUAGCUCCUCAGAGAUGGAUUCAGAGACAGAUGACCAGUCCUAUUCCCCCACUGAGGUGUAUGCUCUAACUUGGCACGGUUAUACUGCUCAUAUCAUGCAUACGGUGUCUUGCAUUGCAUAGUUUAGACAUCUUAUACACAAUAUUCAACACCAUGUUCUUAGUUCAGACAUCAUACCGAAUGCCCUCUGUUUAGCAUAUAAAUCACAUAUGUGUAUUAAAUGAUGCGAUCCUGAUUACUUAGAUAACAUGUAGGUGAAUUAUGUCAUGCGAUCCUGUUUAGUUAUAAAUCAUAUCUUUGAAUUAUGUUAUGCUAUGCUAUCCAGUUUAGAUAGACAUCAUAUAUGUGAAAUUAUGUUAUGCUAUCCAUUUUAGUUAAACAAUAUACAUGUCAACUAUUCCAUGCCCUCUUUUUUCCACACUAUCUAUUGCACCUGUCUCUCAUACAAUGUCUGUACAUUCAACUAUGUUUCCUGUUUAUCAGCCAUUUGAAUUGGAGCGGGUUUUGCCAGUAUCUAAUGGACUAAAAACACGGUCUUCAAAUAAAACAGUGCUACCUCUUGGUGGAGAUAGCACCCCGGUUGUACAUGCACAAGAACCAGCCUUACCACACAUAACCCAAACUCUCACAGAUUGUACCCCUACUACGAUGGACAGAGAACCAGCUUCACCCAAUCUAACCCCAACCCCAGCUGAUAGUAACCCAGUUCCUGUUGACACGGCACCAUCUCCACCAUAGAGCUCCCAAACAAGAGCAGUUAGUAAGGUAGCUCUAGUGCCCAAAGGGCCAGUACUAUCAUGGCGAACCCCAACUCCACCAGUUAGUACGCCUAUUCAUGUGGAGGAAGCACAACCAGCUAGUCGUAGUUUAGCAUCUAUCGUAUUUGAUGUUGUUAAAUCGUAUGUGCGCAUCUUUCCAUCUUGGAAAUAUUAUACUGAAGAUGAAGGAAAAUGCCAGUUGCAGGUGUUUGUCUAGGAGUUAUGUGUAAGUAAUGUUAUUCAUGGCAAUUACUUUGCUUCGCCCCAUACAUCCUACCUCCAUGAUGGUUAUAAUACAACAAAUUUUCCCAUUUUUCUCUAUAGAGAAGGACCGAUUUGGAAACUCAGGAUGAGGUAACCUGUGCUAAUACCUCUGCUAUCUUCAAGAAUGUUUGGUGGCAGUAUCGGAAUUACCUAAAGAAAACGUACUUCACCGGCAAAGAAACUCAUCAAAUUCCCUUACGUUCUCCUGAGACACAUUUACUGGACGAUGACUGGGAACGCCUUGUUCUGUACUGGUCCCGAACCAAGAAUGUGGUAAGGUCUAUGAGCUCAUUUUCUAUUUUUAAGUAUUAUAUUCUUGCGUCUUACUAUACUCUGGUCAUGUAGAACAAGUGCCUAAACGUGAAGAACAACUGUUCUAAUUUAAGAUUCCAUUGCUACCAUAGGACAUAGAUAUAUGUUUGUUUGAUGCUUUUAUUAUGUACUAGUACUUGGCAAUAGAAGACUUGGUAGUUUAAUCCUGUCCACCUCACUAAUGAACUGGUUCACCAAAAUGAGUUUCAUAUACUAGUACAUGCUAAACUUGUUAUGUGUCUGCUUGUUUCUUCUUUUAGAAUGCUGACAGAAUAUUGGGGAAGAGUGCCUUAUUAAGCAACGGUAAAGGAAGUAAUGCAGAUAAGGUUCAGGAUAGUGACACAUCCUGUCUUGGUUUAGUGUUGGAGUUACUGGCCACUACCGCUUGCACAAGAUAUUCAAACUCACUGUCUGAAUCAGUUCGGUUUCUUGAGUCUCAACUAUAAGCUGAAAGACAUCGAUCAGCUGUGCUGCGACAAGAAGCGGAAGGACUGCGGAAGUCCCUGGAGCAUUCAGAUGCAUACUUUCUGGUGCAACAGCAAGCGUUGGAGGAUUUUAGCGCCAAACAGGACAAAGCUAAUCAGCUUGCAAAGCUUAUUGCCAGCAUGGUGGAUACCCAGGAUAACGUUUCUUGAGCUCUUCUGAAGUUGUUUUAGUUAUGCUCUUGUUUUGCUGCCGCGUUUAUUUGCACUGGUGGCCAAUUUUUACGGCCAGUAUAUAUGAUAUGCUGCUUUGUUCCCUAUAUUUGCACUGGUGGCGAACUUUGAUGCCUAGUGGAUGUAAUAUGUGUAAUAGCCGUGAUAGCCUAGCGUUAGUUGAUUGCUUAUUUAUUUCCUUGUUGUCUUGUUUAUUUUUUUGCUUGUAGUCAUUGCAGUUCUUUUUCUGCGGUUAACUAGUGGAUGCAAUAACCUAUUUUUUAAAACUAGGCCACAAUAACCAUGGGCUAAUAUUUACUAUAGUGACACUAGGCCUCCUACGGGCCGUAGAAACAGUGGGCCUUCUACGGACCGUAGAAACAGUAGGCCUUCUACGGGCCGUAGAAACAAUGGGCCUUCUAUGGGCCGUAUCAUCAAUGGGCCUUAUACGGGUCGUAUGAUCGAUUGGCCAAACAUGGGCCAAUAACAGGCCGCAUUAUGGCCGUAAACGGGCUAGAGUUGGAAUCGUCCAUUCAUGGGCCGACCAUAACGUGCCAUCAUUAAUAGGCCGUAUUUGAUGUCGCUAUGAAAAUGGCCCAACGUAUUAACGGAUCACAAACGGCCGACUGUAACCACGGGCUGAAUUUGGCCCAAAAGUAGAAAAUGACAGUAACGGGUCGUAAGUAAAUGAAUGCUGGAAAUGAGCCCAAGAAUAAAUGGGCUCUGAGAAGGCCGGAAGAUAACAUGGGCUGGAAACGGCCCAACGGAAUAACAGGCCGUUAAUGGGUAUAAAGUGAUACACUGUUCAUUACAGGCCAGUUUCACCACGGGUCGUUAAUGGGUGUAAAGUGAUACACUAUUCAUUACGGGCCAGUUUCACCAUGGGCCGUUAAUAGGCCAAGAGUUGCAUAGGGCCUCAUAUGGGCUGAAAGACGUCAUGGGCCAUACAUGGGCUAGAAGUGAAAAUGGGCUAGAAUCAUAUUGGAUGGCCCAGAUGACGCUACCGGUCCUAAUUCGGAUAGGGCGUAACGGGCCUUGGGUUAGCGGGUUGUAAAUGGGCUAUAUGCGAACAGGUCAUUAACAGGCUUUACAUGGGCCGACCCGCCAACUUUUGACCAAGUCAAACGGGCCGGCCUUUUCACAGGAAUGGGCCUCUGUUGGGCCAUGCCACGUGUCGACGUAUCAUAGACGCCUAUUUGACCCACUGACAAGCUGACACGUGUUUCGUACGGCCAAUAAGAAUUUUACACAUGGAAAUUUCCCAUUGGUUGGGGCUGUUAACGGGUUAUCGGAUCCAAAACCCGACCCGAUAGCUUAACAGCGUUUUGUUAGAGUGGAUGCCACGUGUCGGUCACCCUUGACGAAAGCACUUCUGUGACGCACGAUUUAUCGUCAUGGAAGUAGACACUUCCGUGAUGAUAAUUUUGGUAAUGUCAUGGAACACUUCUACGACAGCACAGGUAUGACUAUCUUGAUUCUGUCAUAAAUUUGUCAUGGAUGUACAUGCAUGACAAAAAAAGCGACCUACUGUGACAAAAAAUGUAUCAUCACGGAAGUGUAUUUUUUUGUAGUGGGAGGUGGUGGCGGAGGCCGGCGCGCAGCAGCCCUGGGACCAGUUCAAGGAGGAGGUGGAGAUCAUGGAGGAGCAGCAGCAACACAAGAGUAUUGUCUUCGAUCCAGCCAAAGGUGAGCUUUGCUCUGCUUCUCCAUUUGUUCAUUGCAGCCCCACUAUUCUGUCUGGGUGAACUGGUCCCUACUUAGUUAAUUUUUCCUCAUGGGAGGAAGAACAAGAUAAGGAUGAUCCAAAUCUUGAUUAAUUGAUUGGUAGAUGGAGGUUGUUCCCCAUUUCCUCUUGCCUAAUUGUUUGAUGUUCGCCUUCCUUGCUGGAUGGAGACUGCAAUCUGCAUCAUUAUUUUCAAAGGAUAAACUGAAAAAUCCUCCUGGAAUUAUUAUUUCUCCUUCUACUCCUGUACAAACAAUUGUCAGUGAAUGUUAACCUCGGAUUACAAACAAUUUAUGCACCAAUUUAGUUACAUGCACUUACUCCUGUACCGAUGUUCACAUUUCAUCUACAGUAUCACUCUGUGUGCAUUCAGAAUCAUUCAUCUAAAGUAUCACUCUGUGUGCAUUUAGAAUGAUUAUACUCCAGCAGAAAUCCAAGCAAUUCUGUAUUCUGUACUCUGUAUUCUAUAUAAUUAUUUUGUCUCUGUGUUCAUCCAGCAGAAAUCCAAGCAAUUCUGAUCAAAAUUACUAUGCGUAUGCAGGAGCAGAAAGGAACAGCGAGCAGCGGCUGACCUCGGGCUCUCGAUUGGAGUGGAGGGAGGCGACCGGCGAGGGAUCUGCGGCUAGCGGGGAAGGAUCCGGAGCUGUGAUACGUCCAUUUUGCAUCAUGCAUUUAUAUCAAUAUUUAUUGCAUUGUGGGCUGUUAUUACACAUUAUGUCACAAUACUUAUGCCUAUUCUCUCUUAUUUUACAAGGUUUACACAAAGAGGGAGAAUACCGGCAGCUAGGAUUCUGGGCUGGAAAAGGAGCAAAUAUUGGAUACCUACUCUGCACAGCUCCAAAAGUCCUGAAACUUCACGGAAGACGUUUUCAGAAUAUAUAAAAAAUACUGAGCGCAAGAAGUUCACCAGGGGGGCCACACCCUGCCCACGAGGGUGGGGGCGCGCCCCCCUACUUCGUGGGCCCCUUGGUGGCCCUUUGAUGUCCAUCUUCUGCUAUAUGAAGUCUUUCGAUGAGAAAAAAAAUCAUAAGCCAUCUUCUCGGACGAAACUCCACCGCCACGAGACGGAACCAAUCUAGGGCUCUGGCGGAGCUGUUCUGCCGGGGAAACUUCCCUCCGGGAGGGGGAAAUCAUCGCCAUCGUCAUCACCAACGCUCCUCUCAUCAGGAGAGGGCAAUCUCCAUCAACAUCUUCAUCAGCACCAUCUCCUCUCAAAACCCUAGUUAAUCUCUUGUAUCCAAUUCUUAUCUCCAAGUCCGGGAUUGGUGCUAUUAGGUUGCUAGUAGUGUUAAUUACUCCUUUUAGUUGAUGCUAGUUGGUUUAAUUGGUGGAAGAUCAUAUGUUCAGAUCAUAUAUGCAUAUUAAUACCCCUCUGAUUAUGAACAUGAAUAUGCUUUGUGAGUAGUUACGUUUGUUCCUGAGGACAUGGGAGAAGUCUUGCUAUUAGUAGUCAUGUGAAUUUGGUAUUCGUUCGAUAUUUUGAUGAGAUGUAUGUUGUCUCUCCUCUAGUGGUGUUAUGUGAACAUCGACUACAUAACACUUCACCAUGAUUUGGGCCUAGAGGAAGGCAUUGGUAAGUAAUAAGUAGAUGAUGGGUUGCUAGAGUGACAGAAGCUUAAACGCUAGUUCAUGCGUUGCUUCAUAAGGGGCUGAUUUGGAUCCAUAUGUUUCAUGCUAUGGUUAGGUUUACCUUAAUACUUUUGUUGUAGUUGCGGAUGCUUGCAAUAUAGGUUAAUCAUAAUUGGGAUGCUUAUCCAAGUAAGGACAGUACCCAAGCACCGGUCCACCCACAUACCAAAUUAUCAAAGUACCGAACGCGAAUCAUAUGAACGUGAUGAAAACUAGCUUGACGAUAUUCCCAUGUGUCCUCGGGAGCGCUUUUCUCUAUAUAAGAGCUUGUCAAGGCUUGUCCUUUGCUACAAAAAGGAUUGGGCCACCUUGCUGCACUUUAUUUACAUUUGUUACUUGUUGCUCGUUACAAUUAUCCUAUCACAAAACUAUCUGUUACCACUUAUUUCAGUACUUGCAGAGAAUGCCUUGCUGGAAACCGCUUAUCAUUUCCUUCUGCUCCUCGUUGGGUUCGACACUCUUACUUAUUGAAAGGACUAUGAUAGAUUCCCUGUACUUCUGGGUCAUCAAGAGUCUUUUCUGGCGCCGUUGCCGGGGAGUGAAGCACCUUUGGUAGGUGGAAUUUGGUAAGGAAAAAUUUAUCUAGUGUGCUGAAAUUUACUGUCACUUGUUACUAUGGAAAGUGAUCCUACGAGGGACUUGUUCGGGGUAUCUUCACCCCGACUAGUAGAGCAAAGAGUUGCUCCUCAACCUACUGAACCUACUAAAAAUGAAAAUGUCUGCUUCGAAAUUCCUUCGGGUAUGAUAGAAAAAUUGCUAGCUAAUCCUUUUGUAGGAGAUGGAACAAAGCAUCCUGAUGAGCAUCUAAUAUAUGUGGAUGAAGUUUGUGGAUUAUUUAAGCUUGCAGGCGUACCCGAAGAUGUUGCUAAGAAGAAGGUAUUCCCUUUAUCUUUGAAGGGAGAUGCAUUGACAUGGUAUAGGCUAUGUGAUGAUACAAGGUCAUGGAACUACAAACGAUUGAAAUUGGAAUUUCAUCAGAAGUUUUAUCCUAUGAAUCUUGUUCAUCAUGAUCGCAAUUAUAUAUAUAAUUUUUGGCCUCGCGAAGGAGAAAUCAUCGCUCAAGCUUGGGGGAGGCUUAAAUCAAUGUUAUAUUCAUGGCCCAAUCAUGAGCUCUCAAGAUAAAUGAGUAUUCAAAAUUUUUACGCUCGGCUUUCUGAUAGCAAUCGCACCAUGCUUGAUACUUCUUGUGCUGGCUCUUUUAUGAUGAAGACUAUUGAAUUCAAAUGGGAUUUAUUGGAAAGAAUUAAACGCAACUCUGAAGAUUGGGACCUCGACAAAGGUAAGGAGUCAGGUAUGAAACCUAGGUUUGAUUGUGUUAAAUCUUUUAUGGAUACCGAUGCUUUCCAUAAAUUUAGCACUAAAUAUGGACUUGACUCUGAGAUAGUAGCUUCUUUCUGCGAAUCUUUUGCUACUUAUGUUGAUCUCCCCAAGGAGAAGUGAUUUAAAUAUCAUCCUCCCAUAGAAGUAAAAGUAUCUGCACCUAUUAAAGUUGAAGAAAAGAUUAUCACUUAUAAUGAUCCUAUUGUUCCUACUUCUUAUGUUGAGAAACCACCUUUCCCUGCCAGGAUAAAGGAUCAUGCUAAAGCUUCAACUGUGGUUCGUAAAGGCAAUAUUAAAAGUUAUACACCUCCUGAGCAAAUUAAAGUUGAAUCUGAUAUUGCUAUUGUUAAAGAUCUCUUGUCUGAUAAUAUUGAUGGGCAUGUUAUUCAUUUCCUUGACGAGACUGCUAGAAUUGCUAAACCUUGUGCUAAAGAUAAAAACAGACCUGUGGUAGGCAUGCCUGUUAUUUCUGUUAAAAUAGGAGGUCAUUGUUAUCAUGGCUUAUGUGAUAUGGGUGCUAGUGCUAGUGCAAUACCUUAUGCCUUAUACAAAGAAAUUAUGCAUGAUAUUGCACCUGCUGAGAUAGAAGAUAUUGAUGUCACAAUUAAACUUGCCAAUAGAGAUACUAUUUCACCAAUGGGAAUUGUUAGAGAUGUUGAAGUCUUGUGUGGGAAAACUAAAUAUCCUGCUAAUUUUCUUGUUCUUGGUUCCCCACAAGAUAGCUUUUGUCCCAUUAUAUUUUGUAGACCCUUCCUAAACACUGUUAAUGCUAAGAUAGAUUGCAAAAAGGAUGUUGUUACUAUCGGUUUAGAUGAUAUGUCUCACGAAUUUAAUUUCUCUAAAUUUAGUAGACAACACCGUGAAGAAGGAUUACCUAGUAAGGAUGAAAUUAUUGGUCUUGCUUCUAUUGCCGUACCUCCUAGUGAUCCUUUAGAACAAUAUUUGCUAGACCAUGAAAAUGAUAUGUUUAUGAAUGAAAGAAGGGAAAAAGAUGAAGUAUUCUUUAAACAGGAACCUAUUCUGAAACACAAUUUGCCUAUUGAAAUCCUAGGGGAUCCUCCUCCACCCAAGGGUGAUCCCGUGUUUGAGCUGAAACCGUUGCCUGAUACUCUUCAAUAUGCUUAUCUUGAUGAGAAAAAGAUAUAUCCUGUUACUAUUAGUGCUAACCUUUCAUAGCAUGAGGAAGAGAGAUUAUUGAAAACUCUAAAGAAGCAUUGUGCUGCUAUUGGGUAUACUCUUGAUGAUCUUAAGGGCAUUAGUCCCACUCUAUGUCAACAUAAAAUAAAUUUGGAAGAAGAUGCUAAACCAGUUCGUGAUCAUCAACGACGGAAAAAUCCUAAAAUGAAAGAAGUGGUAAGAAAGGAAAUACUAAAGCUCCUUGAGGCAGGUAUAAUCUAUCCCGUUGAUGAUAGUCAGUGGGUAAGUCCUGUCCAUUGUGUCCCUAAGAAGGGAGGUAUUACUUUCAUUCCUAAUGAUAAAGAUGAAUUGAUUCCUCAAAGAAUUAUUACAGGUUAUAGGAUGGUAAUUGAUUUCCGCAAAUUAAAUAAGGCCACUAAAAAGGAUCAUUACCCCUUACCUUUUAUCGAUCAAAUGCUAGAAAGAUUAUCCAAACAUACACAUUUUUGCUUUCCAGAUGGUUACUCUGGUUUCUCUGAAAUACCUGUGUUAGCCAAAGAUCAAUCAAAGACCAUUUUUACUUGCCCUUUUGGUACUUUUGCUUAUAGACAUAUGCCUUUUGGUUUAUGUCAUGCACCAGCGACCUUUCAAAGAUGCAUGAUGGCUAUAUUCUCUGACUUUUGUGCAAAGAUUUGUGAGGUUUUCAUCGAUGAUUUGUCCAUCUAUGGAUCUUCUUUUGAUGAUUGCUUGAGAAACCUUGAUCGAGUUUUGCAGAGAUGUGAGCAAUCUUGAAUUGGGAAAAGUGUCACUUUAUGGUUAAUGAAGGUAUUGUCUUGGGGCAUAAAGUUUCUGAAAGAGGUAUUGAAGUUGAUAAAGCCAAGGUUGAUGCUAUUGAAAAGAUUCCAUGCCCCAAGGACAUCAAAGGUAUAAGAAGUUUCCUUGGUCACGCUGGAUUUUAUAGGAGGUUCAUUAAGGACUUCUCAAAAAUUUCUCGGCCUCUAACUAAUUUAUUACAAAAAGAUAUAGCAUUUGUCUUUGAUGAUGAUUGUGUGGAAGCAUUUGAAAUACUUAAGAAAGCAUUGAUCUCUGCACCUAUUGUUCAGCCACCUGAUUAGAAUUUACCCUUUGAAACUAUGUGUGAUGCUAGUGAUUAUGCUGUAGGUGCUGUUCUAGGGCAAAGAGUUGAUAAGAAAUUAAACGUUAUUCAAUAUGCUAAUAAAACCCUAAACAAUGCUCAAAGAAAUUAUGCUACUACUGAAAAAGAAUUCUUAGCAGUUGUAUUUGCUUGUGAUAAGUUCAGACCUUAUAUUGUUGAUUCUAAAGUAACUAUUCACACUGAUCAUGCUACUAUUAAAUAUCUUAUGGAAUAGAAAGAUGCUAAACCUAGACUUAUUAGAUGGGUUCUCUUGCUACAAGAAUUUGACUUACAUAUUGUUGAUAGAAAGGGAGCUGAGAACCCCGUUGCGGACAACUUGUCUAGGUUAGAAAAUGUGCUUGAUGACCCACUACCUAUUGAUGAUAGCUUUCUCGAUGAGCAAUUAAAUGUCAUAAAUGCUUCUCAUGCUGCUCCAUGGUAUGUUGAUUAUGCUAAUUACAUUGUUGCUAAGUUUAUACCACCUAGUUUCACAUACCAGCAAAAGAAAAGGUUCUUCUAUGAUUUGAGGCAUUACUUUUAGGAUGACCCACAUCUUUAUAAAUAAGGAGUAGAUGUUGUUAUUAGACGUUGUGUACCUGAGCAUGCAUAGGAACAGAUCCUACGCAAGUGUCACUCCGAAGCUUAUGGAGGACACCAUGCUGGAGAUAGAACUGCACAUAAGGUAUUGCAAUCUGGUUUUUAUUGGCCUACUCUCUUCAAGGACGCCCGUAAGUUUGUCUUAUCCUGUGAUGAAUGUCAAAGAAUUGGUAAUAUUAGUAGACAUCAAGAAAUGCCUAUGAACUAUUCACUCGUUAUUGAACCAUUUGAUGUUUGGGGCUUUGACUAUAUGGGACCUUUUCCUUCCUCUAAUGGAUAUACACAUAUUUUAGUUGAUGUUGAUUACGUUACUAAGUGGGUAGAAGCUAUUCCAACUAGUAGUGCUGAUCAUAACACUUCUAUUAAUAUGCUUAAAGAAGUUAUUUUUCCAAGAUUUGGAGUCCCUAGAUAUUUAAUGACUGAUGGUGGUUCACAUUUUAUUCAUGAUGCUUUCCGUAAAAUGCUUGCUAAGUAUGAUGUUAAUCAUAGAAUUGCAUCCCCUUAUCACCCUCAGUCUAGUGGUCAAGUAGAAUUGAGUAAUAGAGAGCUCAAAUUAAUUUUGCAAAAGACUGUUAAUAGAUCUAGAAAGAAUUGGUCCAAGAAGCUUGAUGAUGCAUUAUGGGCCUAUAGAACUGCAUAUAAAAAUCCUAAGGAUAUGUCUCCGUAUAAAAUGGUUUAUGGAAAAGCAUGUCACUUACCUUUCGAACUAGAACACAAGGCAUAUUGGGCUAGGAAAGAGCUCAAUUAUGAUUUUAAACUUGCCGGUGAGAAGAGGUUAUUUGAUAUUAGCUCACUCGAUGAAUAGAGAACCCAAGCCUACGAAAAUGCCAAGUUGUUUAAAUAAAAAGUUAAAAGAUGGCAUGAUAAAAGGAUACAAAAGCGUGAGUUUAAUGUAGGUGAUUAUGUAUUGCUAUACAACUCUCGUUUAAGGUCCUUACGUUAUCGAGGAGGUGUGUCGUUCCGGUGCCAUAAACAUUAACAACUUCGAAGGCACAAAUCCGAAGGUGGUGAACGGUCAAAGAAUCAAACAUUAUAUCUCUGGUAAUCCAUAAAUGUUGAAACCAAUGUUAUUGAAACCGUAACCUCGGAGGAAUACAUAAGGGACACUUUCUGGAACGUUUCAGACUCCGAAAAGGAAUAGGUAUGUGGUACGGUAAGUAAACCGACUCCAAAUCAGUUUUUAAGGCAAUAUUUCUCCGUUUUGGAAUAUUUAGAAAAAUAGAAAAAUAAGAAGCAGUCCGAGAAGGACACGAGGGAUCCACGAGGGUGGAGGGCGCGCCCUACCCCCUGGGAGCGCCCCCUACCUCGUGGGCACCUCGUGCGCUCUCCGGACUCCGUUUUCUUACACGACACGUAUUUUGGUCGGUAAAAAUUCAUUAUAUAAUCUACUGGGGGUUUUGACUCCCGUAUCACGCAAAUAUCUCUUGUCUUUGUUUUGAGUUGUCCUGCUGCAGAUAGAGCAACAUGUCGUCCCAGGAUUCGGAAGGAUAAAGCUAUGUGGCUGAUUACCUUGCAGAUCCUAAGGUCUAUGGGGAUGUGGAGCAUUGUGGUUGGACUACGGAAGAAGAAGAGGACUAUGAACCCAAGGGAAAGGAGGAGACGAGCUCAGAUGAAGAUGAAGUCCCACUACGUCAACCUAGGGACAUGCAUGUGGAGUUCAAAAAGUCAAGCCUCCCGGGUAGAGUAAAGAAACCUAAGAUCGAGUUUAUCCAUUUUCGCCUCUUGUAGGAAAAUAAGCAGGAACUAUGCAAAAAGAUACUGAGCCUGGAACAGGAGAUCGAGGACCUAAGGGACCAAAAUUCUGUCCUCAAGCGUAAAUUAAGGAAGAAGCCUACGCCAUCAAGAAAACCAUCACCUUCUCCACCAACCAAGAAGAAUUGAGUAUCUGGUAUGGGCACUCCCCUUGGCAACUGCCAAGCUUGGGGGAGUCCCCUGGUAUCGUAUCACCAGCACUUUUAUCUUUACCGUUUUUCUUAGUUCGAUCCUUUUGGUAAUAUCUUGAUCUAGUAGAAUAAAAGUUCUUAGUAUGAUCUAGUUGUGAGUUUUUCUUUAUAAUUCCUCUAUGUAAUCGAGUCCAUGAGCUAUAUAUAAUAAAGAUUAGUGUUGAGUCAAGGGCUUGAUUAUUUUGCCAUGAUCCUAAGUGAAUAAUAGAAAAGAAAAGGAAUAAAAAAGGGGAAACAAAGAGAUGAUAUGAAUCUUAUGGAGUGUAAUGAGCUCACAUAGAAAAAGUAUGAUGAAUAAAUGUUGUUGAGAGUUGACAAGCAUAGUAUUGGUCAUCGUUGCAAUUAAUAGGAAGUAAUAAAGAAAGAGAGGUCUUCACAUAUAAAUAUACUAUCUUGGACAUCUUUUAUGAUUGUGAGCACUCAUUAAAAUAUGACAUGCUAAAGAGUUGAGUUGGACAAGGAAGACAACGUAAUGGGUUAUGUUUUAUUGCAUCUGAGAUAAAUUAUAUUGUCAUGGAUCAUCCAACAUGGUUGAGCUUGCCUUUCCCCCUCAUGCUAGCCAAAUUCAUCGCACCAAGUAGAGAUACUACUUGUGCUUCCAAAUACCCUUAAAUCAGUUUUGCCAUGAGAGUCCACCAUACCUAUCUAUGGAUUGAGUAAGAUCCUCCAAGUAAGUUGUCAUCGGUGCAAGCAAUAAAAAUUGCUCUCUAAAUAUGUAUGACUUAUUAGUGUGGGAGAAAAUAAGCUUUAUACGAUCAUGUGAUAUGGAAGAAAUAAAAGCGACAGACUGCAUAAUAAAGGUCCAUAUCACAAGUGGCAAUAUAAAGUGACGUUCUUUCGCAUUAAGAUUUUGUGCAUCCAACCAGAAAAGCGCAUGACAACCUCUACUUCCCUUUGCGAAGGGCCUAUCUUUUUACUUUUAUCUCCUACCUUGCAUAAGAGUCAUGGUGAUAUUCACCCUUACUUUUUACAUUUUAUCCUUUGGCAAGCACAGUAUGUUGGAAAGAUCCUGGUAUAUAUGGCUAAUUGGAUGUGAGUUUUCAUAAACUAUUAUCGUUGACAUUACCCUUGAGGUAAAACGUUGGGAGGCAAAACUAUAAGCCCCUAUCUUUCUCUGUGUCCGAUUAAAACUCCAUACCCAUAAGUACUACAUGAGUGUCAGCAAUUGUAAAAGAAUAUAUGAUAGUUGAGUAUGUGGACUUGCUGAAAAGCUCUUAUACAUUGACUCUUUCCUAUGUUAUGAUAAAUUGUAAUUGCUCCAAUGACUGAGAUUAUAGUUUGUUAGUUUCCAAUGAAGUUUAUGAUUCAUACUUGAAAUUGUGAUUGAAUUAUUACUCUAGCAUAAGAAAUCAUAUGACAAGAAUUAUAUAAGUUGCUAUUCUAAGAAUGAUCAUGAUGCCCUCAUGUUCAUAUUUUAUUUUUAUCGACACCUCUAUCUCUAAACAUGUGUACAUAUUUUUCGAUUUCGGCUUUCGCUUGAGGACAAGCAAGGUCUAAGCUUGGGGGAGUUGAUACGUCCACUUUGCAUCAUGCUUUUAUAUCAAUAUUUAUUGCAUCAUGGGCUGUUAUUACACAUAUGUCACAAUACGUAUGCCUAUUCUCUCUUAUUUUACAAGGUUUACAUAAAGAGGGAGAAUCCCGGCAGCUGGGAUUCUGGGCUGGAAAAGGAGCAAAUAUUAGAGACCUAUUCUGCACAGCUCCAAAAGUCCUGAAACUUCACGGAAAACGUUUUAAGAAUAUUUAAAAAAUAUUGAGCUCAAGAAGUUCACCGGGGGGGCACACCCUGCCCACGAGGGUGGGGGCGUGCCCUACCCCCCUGGGCGCGCCCCUACCUCGUGGGCCCCUUGGUGGCCCUCUGAUGUCCAUUUUCUACUAUUUGAAGUCUUUCGAUGAGAAAAAAAUCAUAAGCCAUCUUCUCGGACGAAACUCUGCCGCCACAAGGCGGAACCUUGGCGGAACCAAUCUAGGGCUCUGGCAGAGCUGUUCUGCCGGGGAAACUUCCCUCCGGGAGGGGGAAAUCAUCAUAAUCGUCAUCACCAACGCUCCUCUCAUCGGGAGAGGGCAAUCUCCAUCAACAUCUUCAUCAGCACCAUCUCCUCUCAAAACCCUAGUUCAUCUCUUGUAUCCAAUUCUUGUCUCCAAGUCCGGGAUUGGUGCUAGUAGGUUGCUAGUAGUGUUAAUUACUCCUUGUAGUUGAUGCUAGUUGGUUUAAUUGGUGGCAGAUCAUAUGUUCAGAUCCUAUAUGCAUAUCAAUACCCCUCUAAUUAUGAACAUGAAUAUGCUUUGUGAGUAGUUACGUUUGUUCCUGACGACAUGGGAGAAGUCUUGCUAUUAGUAGUCAUGUGAAUUUGGUAUUCGUUCGAUAUUUUGAUGAGAUGUAUGUUGUCUCUCCUCUAGUGGUGUUAUGUGAAUGUCGACUACAUAACACUUCACCAUGAUUUGGGCCUAGAGGAAGGCAUUGGGAAGUAAUAAGUAGAUGAUGGGUUGCUAGAGUGACAGAAGCUUAAACCCUAGUUUAUGAGUCGCUUCGUAAGGGGCUGAUUUGGAUCCAUAUGUUUCAUGCUAUGGUUAGGUUUACCUUAAUACUUUUGUUGUAGUUACGGAUGCUUGCAAUAGAGGUUAAUCAUAAGUGGGAUGCUUGUCCAAGUAAGGACAGUACCCAAGCACCGGUCCACCCACAUACCAAAUUAUCAAAGUACCGAACGCGAAUCAUAUGAACGUGAUGAAAACUAGCUUGACGAUAUUCCCAUGUGUCCUCGGGAGCACUUUUCUCUAUAUAAGAGCUUGUCAAGGCUUGUCCUUUGCUACAAAAAGGAUUGGGCCACGUUGCUGCACUUUAUUUACAUUUGUUACUUGUUGCUCGUUACAAUUAUCCUAUCACAAAACUAUCUGUUACCACUUAUUUCAGUACUUGCUGAGAAUACCUUGCUGGAAACCGCUUAUCAUUUCCUUCUGCUCCUCGUUGGGUUCGACACUCUUACUUAUCGAAAGGACUACGAUAAAUUCCCUAUACUUGUGGGUCAUCAAGCUGCGGCGGAGCAGACAACCGGUGGGGAAAGGCGGCCGCCGGUGAGGGAGCUCCGGACCGUGGCGAGGGAGCUUCCGAUCACGGCUGGGAAGGGCUACCAAAGAGGGGAUCGGGCUUUGAUUGGAGCGGCGCAGACAGCUGGCGGGGAAGAACGCCGGAGAUGUGGACGACGGAAGAGCCUAGCGAAGGGGAGGAGUGACGGAGUCCUUUAGGAGGGAAGGAGCGAUGGAGGAAGACGACGNNNNNNNNNNNNNNNNNNNNNNNNNNNNNNNNNNNNNNNNNNNNNNNNNNNNNNNNNNNNNNNNNNNNNNNNNNNNNNNNNNNNNNNNNNNNNNNNNNNNNNNNNNNNNNNNNNNNNNNNNNNNNNNNNNNNNNNNNNNNNNNNNNNNNNNNNNNNNNNNNNNNNNNNNNNNNNNNNNNNNNNNNNNNNNNNNNNNNNNNNNNNNNNNNNNNNNNNNNNNNNNNNNNNNNNNNNNNNNNNNNNNNNNNNNNNNNNNNNNNNNNNNNNNNNNNNNNNNNNNNNNNNNNNNNNNNNNNNNNNNNNNNNNNNNNNNNNNNNNNNNACUACAUUUAUUUCGGAACGGAAGGAGUAUAUGUCACUAUCAGAAUUAAUACUUGCAAGUAACGAGUUCAAGGGGAUUCAAAACCCUCUUGCCCGCGUUGCGCGCAAGUAUGUGUUUUUGUGUGUGUAGGUGUCAAAGACGAGAGUUUGCGUUGUUCUUCUAUUGGUUUGAUAACCUUGGUUCAACUGAUGGAAAAACUUAUCUCUACUGUACCGCUUCACCUCUCCUUUUCGAAGAAAAUCCCAAUGCAGUUUACAAGUAGCAUAUAUCACGAGGAGAAGAGGAGGAAAUGACCCCCAUGACAACAGUCAAAAUGCUUCCUUCAAGAACAUAUUGAAAGUCACGCAAGGAGCCCUAACAGACUGAAAGUUGUCCCUAAGCAUCAAUCAAUUAACAUUACGUGUAUCGAGUAAUGACAUUUAAUUAAAAUGACAUAUGGUUUACUGGAAUAUCGUUUAGUUCCUGUUUUGGCAAAUCCAGGGUACUCAAUAUGCCCUAUUUUCCGACGUGUCAUUUCGAAAUUCUCGAAAAUUUUCGGCAUGACCUUUGCUAAAAAUAGAACAUACCAAGCACCCGAAAUUUGCAUGAACAGAAAUGAAUCUACGUUCCAGCAAUACAUAGGCCACUCAUAGUUCCCUGCAAAAUCAUUUUACAUAUCCACUACCAAGGAAAAGCUUAUACACAGACUUAUAAGUAGCGCCUGUUAAAUCAAAGCGUUACUGCUAUAUAGCAGUAGCGCGGGACAAAACAGAGCACUACUACUACAAAAAUAGCAGUAGCGCUUCCCCUAUAAAAAGCACUGCUACUAUGACGACCAGAACCAUUGCUGCCAGGCUUGGUAUAGUAGUAGCAUGCUUCUACCAACCGCGCUACUACUAACAAAAUAGUAGCAGCGCGUUUUAAGGCGAAAGUGCUGCAACUAACAAAAGGAAAAGAAAAAAAGGGAAGAAGAGAAAAAUAGUAGGGAGAUAAGCGACAAAUUAUCAGAGCACUAAUUACACUUCAUAGGGAAACAAGCCAAGAGCCUUAUCUCCACCAACAUACAAUACCCCUUCAUGUUUUCCAUAGUUACAGUGUCAUGCCAUCAUUUUGCCCAUUAGAACAUGCCAAGAGGAAAGCAUUGAGAGUGACCCAUACAACACUCCUUUUUUUCCAUAACUAUAGUGCCAUAUCAUCAUUUUUCAUAUGCGAACAUGCUAAUUAGAGCCAAACAUUAAGAGUAAACUUAAACACAGUUGGUAUACUUGUUUUUGUUGCCGCGAGGCCCUCCACUACCUCACACGGUCUCCUUACCCACACCGUUUUUUUUCAAACUGAUAUCACACAUCCUCCCCAUUUCUGGUUUUUAUUACUAUAUUUACAUUAUACGUUAAUUUUUGCCAUUUACCUACACCGAUUUCUUGACCCCUAAUGACUUCCCACCUCCUUCUCGCCGCCUUUCCUUUUGAGCGCCCGUUCACCCCCAAGCAGUGGCGGAGCCAGGAAUUUCCUGCUCGGUAUUCCUUGGUAUUCAUUUGUGCAAUACAGUAGCAAUAUGGCAACAAAUAUGCAGCAAGCUAGGAGUAGUAUAUCAAUGAAUCAGUAGUUCUUUGGUAUUCCAUGGAAGUCCAGGGAAGACCCCUGGCUCCGCCACUGCCCCCAAGUCGCAGCUAAGAGCAACUCUAGCAGAGUUGUCAUAUUGGCAGCCUUCGUAACACAUAUGUAGCACGCUACAUAAUGUUUAGGAGGCUACGGAGACUGUACGCGAACACAUAGUCACCAUAAAUCAGCAUGCAUAAAUUCCCCGCAAGUAAGGCCCACCUGUCAUUGGGUCAUAGAUUCUUCGGCAAUAAUCCAAAUUUCUGAAGAACACAUAAAGAAGCAUCGAUUUCAUCCCUAUAAAUAGGGCAGUAAAUUAGUCGCACUACAACACUAACAAUCCGUGGUAAUGAAUACGGUGGCUGGGGCGUGAUUGGCGAGAAAUGUGGCAACUUGGGCCCUGAUAGCCUGGAAACUUACCUCGACGACGGCGACAUUGCGAAUCUCAAUGCCUGAAAAAGGGCCUCGGCGCUCUUGUCCCAGGCCCGCCAUGCAUCGGUAGGGGCAGGCAUGCGCGGUCCCAAAUCCCUCUCUUUCUUUCGAUGUCUUGCUUCUGACCCUCAUCCAUGGCCACUUCGUGAAGUCCGAAAAGGGGCCUGGGGAUCCAGCUUCUGCUGCUCCCCCUCAUCCCCAGAACUGAAGAUGAGAGGGUCACCUUCCGGUGGGCCAUUUAUGAGGGAGUAGUCGAUUGGAGGCGAGCGAGAGGGGAUUGGGAGGUAUCGGUGAAAUAAUUGGAUAAGGGGGAGAGGGGAGACUGCCACCAUUUUUUAAGCCGUCGCAAGCUCAUUUAAGCAGGCAGUUUGGGAGGCAACAGACGGCAGACAACCAUCUAGGUGUGUGUUCCCUAAUGAGAAACAUUCUCGUGCUGCUCACAUGCUUCUUGAACUCACAAGCAAGCUAGGAGAUGAUGUCGCAUGGUGGCCAUCCGAUGGUCUACCAAGCGAAUUCUAGAGAGCGAUCGCGCCAUCUAAUAGAUGUGUUGUUGAUGGUCACGUNNNNNNNNNNNNNNNNNNNNNNNNNNNNNNNNNNNNNNNNNNNNNNNNNNNNNNNNNNNNNNNNNNNNNNNNNNNNNNNNNNNNNNNNNNNNNNNNNNNNNNNNNNNNNNNNNNNNNNNNNNNNNNNNNNNNNNNNNNNNNNNNNNNNNNNNNNNNNNNNNNNNNNNNNNNNNNNNNNNNNNNNNNNNNNNNNNNNNNNNNNNNNNNNNNNNNNNNNNNNNNNNNNNNNNNNNNNNNNNNNNNNNCGAGGAGGAAGAAGAUGAAAUAUACAUCCCCCGCUAGCAGUUGACUUUGGGGCAAGCUCCAAAUGACACCUCCAGAUAUGGAGGAGACCACAUAUGGAGGGAGCUCGAAAAAUAUGGCGAUUGGGGGUGGAUGACGACUCUGAUAGUGGAUGUUUUUAUUACCCCUGGCCUGUGUUCGGCUUUGUGUCGUGAAACUACUUAAAGCCAAGUUCAAAGCAGGUUGUGUAGAGUGGAUUGACAAAAGUCACGAUAAGUGUCUCAUUCUUUGGCAGAAAGUUCAACGAUUGGGCUAACUACAUAUUAAACUGUGAAAGAAUUUGUAUGAUGUUGAACAUGUUUCUGUCGAAGCUAUCAAUUCAUCAAUGAAAAAUAUUUUUCUCUGUGUAAUGCUUAUAGGUAAAGCAAGAAGUAACAACAAUUGAAGAUAUACGCUCUGGAACUGAAGCAUGGGAUGGGUAAGUACAAACUUGAUGGAGAUGAUAUUAGAUUUACCAUUUUCAAUUUUUUGUAAUGCAAAUCUUAUUUUCUUGCUUUAAAGCAAUUUGAGGUAGAAACAGUAAUAUAUAUGUAGGAUUUAGACUCAACCAUUGGAUAAAUAUUUUCAUGUUUACCCAACUUGCAAUUUGGGUUGGAAUUAUUGUAGCCACCACAAGCCUCAGGACGAACCAUCUAGCUAAGCCUAGGCUUAGUGAUGGUUAGCUUGGAUAAGAAUCUAUUGGAAUUUUCCUGUUAGAGUUUUCCAUUUGGGGAUGGAUAUUAUAUAAAGCUAAGGAUAAGCUAUGUUGUGCGAAGAAUGGAUAAACCAGAGGUAAUCCUCGGAAAACCCCACUCCUGCAUGUAUCAACACACCGAUGCAACCAAAGCUUAUGUCGUGACAUAAGUUCGUGGCGGUACCUCAUCAGUAAUACAUACACAGGCCAUACAUAAUUGGCAAAAGAAAACAAAGUAACACAUAGCAAAGACCAUGUAUGCCCCUUGCUCAUAAUAAAUAAAAGUUGUCUUAUGAUAUAUCAUUUUUUGCGGGUGGUCUUAUGAUAUUAAUUGUGGCUAGUUUGAAUCCUCAUUUUAUGUUAUGGCUUUUGUUGCAGAAGUCGCGGGAAUUGAUCGUGGUGUCCUGAUGCGUGCUUUGAGGCUGUUGGUACAGAAGGGAAAGACAAUUUCUUUAAGGGCACUUCAGUGAACGACAAAGGCGUCAAAUUUUCUGCUUAAACUUUGUGCCAACUAACAGAUGAAUAAUAAUCUUGAUAGAUGUCCUUGAAAAUAAUACAUCCCGUCUUAGCCGUAUGUAUGUACAUUGAUGACGUCCUUCUGGUCAGCAUCGUUCAAACGUCAGUAUUUAUUUGCCGUCCCGAACUAUUGUAAUUAGCAUUUGAUUCAUUUCUCGAGUACCAUACUUACCUAUUAUCAGGGCCGGUCCUGAGAUUUUGGGCGCCCCGGGCGAGAGUAAAAGUCGGGGCCCUUAAUAUAGACAUCUUAACAAUAACAUUGAAUAUAGGUACAUGUAUUAUCAAGCACUUAAAUGCAUCCAAUAAUAGUAUGCAUAUCAAAUACUUUAUAAGUAUUACCUUUAAUAAUAAUUCUAACAUUCCUUGAUGCAAAAUCACUUAUGAUGGGGUCGUUGUCAAUAUCAUCCAAUAAUUUCUUAUCGAUUCCAUAAUGUUGCCAAACCAUAUAACCUAGGUCAUUGGUGACCUCAGAUAGUUCCUCACUAAUUUCAACUUCAAAAGGCUUCUUUCGGCCUAUACAAUAGUCACAUGUAUAGUAAAUAAAGAUGCGAUAAGCAAUGGAGAUAUCAGGAUAACAACCAACUUCUCUUGACAUGCUCGAAAUCUCCAUGGCAUAUAUUACAGUCAUCUGGCAAAGUGAAUCCGCAAUUUUCAAUUCAGAAAUAAGAUCAAAUACCUCAACAUCACAUGAUCUAUGAAGAGAGAAAGUUUCUGCAAAUUUUGUGCGCCACUCUUCAAGUUCAUUAUCAUCAAUGACUUCAUAGUUUCCGAGCUAAAAAAUUUCCAAAUAUAUCUUUAAACACCAUAGGUUCUUUAAAUCUACCCUACAAAGAAGUGGUCGCUAUCAACCAAAACAAAAAAAUAACUUGGACAGCCUUAUCAAAUUCUAGAAUUUCUCCUCGACAAUCACUUUCGUCAAAUGUUACUUCUUGUAACAUGAUGUCUUACCGGAAACAAUGGACCUACACUCAUUUCAUUUGUAGUAACUUUGGCAAUUAUCAAACUAGCAGAAAACUCCUCAUCUCUAUAUAUACAUCUUAAAAUAUUGUGUUAUACCUUGUAUUUUCUUUCUUUUCCUUUUAUCGCUAGCAGAUGCAUAUUUUCUUCCAGAUGAUAUGAUGACACAAUGCUGAAAAAAAUUCAUUAAUUGUUGAACAGUGCCACUGGGCCGGCUAUGCAUCUAUAGAACCACAAUCAGAAUACAUGUUAUACCUCCGAUGGCCGAAUCAGCGAUGGACGGAAACCAGAGCCGGAUUACUACAGGCCCCGGCGAAUUGAAAUCGGCGGCGAGGAACUGAUGAUCUAAAUUAGAAUUAGGAGAAAAGGAGAAAGAAACGUCGAGCACGCACUAGCGAACAAUCGAAGCUUCGGCGGCCGCUAGAAAUCGCUGUGUCAAUGCGAGAUGAAAUAGGAAGGGAUCAAUCACUCCUAUUUUUAUGUGAAAAAAGGAAAGAAACGAUUGCUGCCGCUGUGCCUCACUGGCCUGCUGCGUGCGUGCUGCAUGCUGCGUGAGGCCCAGCCGGCCAGCCCAAUAGGGCAUUUUUUUCUGCCUCGCUGGACAUAUAGCCUAUGUAUGUACAUAGGAAGGGGCCCCUGAACUUUGGGGGCCCGGGGCGGCCGCCCCCGCUGCCCCUCCCCAGGGCCGGCCCUGCCUACUAUAAAAAUCGCCGCCUGUUGUGUGCCUCAUAAGGAGGCUCAACUAAUUCUAAUGAAAUAUCAGAUAUAUUGAGAACCAAGAAGCAUUGUUUGAUAUAUUUGGGCUUGUUCAAAAUGGAAGGAAUUUUGAGAACAAAAAACAAGGAAAUGGGCAAGCUUCAUAUGUGGAAGAAAGGACUGUAUUCUGAAAAUUCAUGUCAGUUUCUUGUUCAAUGGAGGCAGAUUCUUGUGACGAGCUCUUUUGAACCUUGAUCCAUACUAAAAUAUAUUCGUACGGAGGAUAGGCUUUCUUCUUGUGUUAUUAUUAUCACUAUCACCCAAACAUAGAAAAGCUUAAUUUUGUUUGCAUGAAUUUGAUUUCUCUAUCACCCGUCACUGACUGAUUAUCCGCACACACACACAACAGUAACAAAUUACCCACUACAGGAAUAUAUCGAUACACAUCUUGCAUUGAUCAAACUUUAACUGAUCUCACAGAAUUCAAUAAGAACUAACCAGCGUGACAAAUCCAUCUCAGGCUUAUUAUUACAUAAUCCAUCAAACGCGACAAACUUGAAUUUAACUAACCCUUGGCGACCCUAAUCAAAACAUAAUCUAAGGUAUUGCCAAGCCAGAGAUGGACAGAUGUGCGGAUGAUCUAGUUGGGAGCGAAGAAGAUCUCAGAGUCGAGCCUCUUGGAGCGGAACAUCUUUUCCAUCUCUGGCGUGGUGUUGAAGGCCGUCUCUAGCACCUCGGGCGAUAUCGCCUUCCACACCGACGUCCUACCAGCCAAGUGGCUAAAGAUCGGGCUGCAUUUGUUUUGCACAACACAAACAUUAGUUGGUCAAAUGAUCGAUAUAACUAGAUAAAUGCAAAACUAUUGAUUAAACUUGAAUAUGUAGGAAAAUUACAUUUUGAGAAAAUGCAAAACAUGCCACAAUAUUGUGCAACUAAGGGUAUAUACAAAAAUGCUAAACAAACGGGAGGAAUCCAUUCUGUAAGAAACUUUCCUAGUUGCAACUAGAAAUAAGUUCAUACUUGAUUGUUGCAAAACUGCAACAGAAUAUAUGGAACAAAAAUAAUGCAUCAGAUCUGCUAUACGCAUGCAUGUUUCCCUACAAUUUUACUAUCAAAAUACAGUCAGAAAAAGAUACAGUGGCAUUUUUUAAUCCACGACUACUGAAUGAAAUUGAAUAUGUAGCAGGAAACUUUAAUGUCAGACAGGGCAACUAAUUAGGGCCAUAUAUACUUGAAUUUCGCAAAAUUGAAACAUAAUAUACCGAACAAAAAUAAUGCUAGAAAAUGUGAUGUACACAUGCACAUCAAAAGUUCUAGUUGGUCAACUACUAGAGUAAAACUAGUGGUACGUACUUUGGCGUGGUGAUGAUGGAGAACCACUCCAUGCCGGUGUCGUCGGCGAUCUUGGAGACGACGAAGAACCUGGGCACGAUGAAGAGGCAGCCCGCCUCGGCGCGGGUCUCCAGCACACGGGUGCCGUCGAUGCCGACGACCUGGACGCGGCCGCCGCCUCGCACUAUGUAGGUGACCUGGUAGGCCGAGUCGCAAGAGAAUCCCGGCGAGCACAUGGAGCGACCGUCGAUCCUCACGAGGUCAGAGCCCAGCCCAACGUCCUUCACCGGUGGCAGGUUGGCCGUGUUGAGCACCACCACGCGGCCGCCGCCCGGGAUGUCCACGUCGAGCGGCGCCUCGAGGCAGUUGAGCACCACGCCCUGGCGGUCCUCGGCGCGAGGCUCCGGCAUCCGGUGCCCCGCGGCGAUCUUGACGAUGCUGGAGCCAGGCUGGGUGGAGACAAUCUUGGCGGCGGCGUCCUGGUCGAGGUCCCAGGCGCGCGCGACGAACUCGGUGGAGAAGCCCGUGAAGAUGCCGGUGGCGCCGGUGAGCUGGAAGUUGGUGAAGCGGCCGGGAGUGUGGCCCUUGGAGGUGUCGCCGAGGAAGAGCACCACCAGCUCCGCGGAGGCGCCCUCGGCGUUGUGCCACCAGGUGACGGCGCCGAAGGGGAGCGCCAGGGUGUCGCCCUCCUUGACGGGGAUCACCUUCUCGCUGGCCGCCUCGGGGAGGACGAGGCCGCAGGCGCCGGCGCCCUGGAGCACGUAGGCGAUCUUGGCCGAGUCGGAGUAGCUGGGGAGCGCGAGGCCGCCGGCGGAGAGGUGCAGCUUGGCGGCGCCGAUGGAGGCCGUGCCGAGCAUGGGCAGGUCGGCCGGCGACCAGUCGUAGUAGGCGCCGCCGUCGCUGCCGUAGGCCUUGGCGGGCUUCUUGUGCGACAGGUCCAUGGACAUGACCUCGGCGUUGAAGUGCGCUGCACCAUCGUUUCGUUGACAAGAUGAGAUUGUACGUGGGAGAGGAGGAGGAAGAUCGAUUUGAAUGGGAUGGAGGAAGUGGAUGCGGAAUGGUCCAUAUUUAUAGUUGCGGGUUUAGAAGAUAGAUAAUGAAUCCUAGUUGUUAGAGAUAACUGAUCGAUCGAUCCUGAUGUGAAACUAAUAAGUGUUUACGUGUAACACGCGUCUAUUUGGAUUAACACAUUAUACUAAACUUAAUACAAGACAAUUUAUUCAUAAAUUUAAAUUUCCCUAUAAAAUACAGAAUCUUGUACUCCCUACUCGUACAAACAAUUUGAAAUAUCGUUUCUCCUUAAACAACAUAUCUCCUGUAUUAAAAGACCACCCAGUGUUCCCAAUGUAUAAAACUUAAAAUUAUUUAGAAGAUUCAUCAUGAUUCUUCAUAUGCACACAUUUAUGCAAGUAUAAUCACACAUAAAAAUGUCACUUAGGACAAGCUAAGGAGCCGUUUCAGUGCCAACAAACUCCAGUCAAGAAUUAUUAUUACAAGACAAAAGCAUUAAUACGACAACUUGGAACAGUUACUUGAGUACUACACAUUUCUUUAAGGGCUCAACAUUCUAAAAUUUUGACAAUAUAACAAAUAUCCUCUCAGUUUGUAGUAAUAAUGAUACGAAGAUAAAUAAUUUGAAAAUGGUCUUCAACAUGCGUAGGUUACCACUUGUAAGAAUAACAGUGGCAAAAAAAAGCCAACAAAUGCCGGUUUAGAAAGAAAAAAACUGCAGACAUACUUCCAAUUUUAGCAACUCUAGUGGAUAAAACAUACCUUACCUCUCAAGUUAGGAAAUACUCAAAUGAAAAAAUGUACUUCUUAUAAGUAGUAGAGAUGAAGUCAUAAGGAUCAUGAUUCAAGAUAUUCGGAGAAACAUGGUUGGUCUCUCUAUAUGAUGUGAACUCGUCACCUCUACCAAAGUGGUCGUGCGUAAUAUGUAAUGUACAGUGCAAUAAUGAAAUAAAAUAAAUGAUAUGAGAAUUUACCAUGACCACAAAAUAUCCUACAUUCGUCAUGGUCAUAAUCAAUAUGCAUUUUUUGUUUCUCUUGUAUGUGGUCCAAGUUUUCUAUGAGGAAAACAUGUUAACUCAACUGUAGAUAGGGACGGUAUGAAAAUGCUCAUGUAAAAUUACAGUUGCCAUGUAUCUGCUGGACAAACAAAUACACUUAUGCAAACUUUAGGGUUUUUUAGUAAAACUUAUGCGAACUUUAUUUUUUUUCAAUAAAACUUAUGCAAAUUUCUGGGUUUUUUUCAUGUAAGUUCAUGACUGCAAGUAAGGUCUUGGUUCAGCGAAUUUGUCUGUGAGUUCACUAUGUAGUCGUGACUUGGCCAUGUAAUAACCGAUAGUCAGUACUUAAAAAAACAGGGAUGUCUGUUGCAAGUACGCAAAAAUCAGUGAAAAAAUAAAGAAAGAAAGAAGGCAUUGGUUGCCUGAAACCCAACUGUGUGUGCUCCAGUGCGCCUCUGUUUCUCAUUGCCUCAUCUCUGGUUCGUGUACUUCUAGAUGUGUCACCACCGGCGAAGUAGCGAUGACAGUAAAAAAAACAACACUCAGUGCUUAUCUGAUUAGUGUGUGCGUGUGGCGCGUUCGCGUGAAGGCGAGCAUCUCCGUCGUUCCGGCCUGCGAGCCGCCGCGGCGACCGUGUCGUCUCACCAGCUGGGCGGCGUUGUCGACGCAGGUGAAUCAGUCGUCCAGCUUUGAGGCGACGCCCUCCAUGCACCGGGGCGCCCCCACUCGAUUUUUUUUGCCCGCUUAUACUGGUCCAGAAUACUCAGCGUUGCCCCCACUUGAAGGGUGUCUGCGGUGGGUGGUUGUCAGCGUGGGUAUUGUGGACGGAGCUGAAGUCGACACGGAUGCCGACAUGUCAGGACGUGAACGAAGUCGUUGCAGUCAGUAGAAAAGUGAACUGGCCUCCAGGCAGAAGACAAAGCGGCGACGGCACGUGUGUGUGUUCGGAGGAAGCCGCAACUCCUCCUCGCGUGUCUCCCACUGUGGCUCGCGUGGGUGGUGGACUGGUGACGGCAGGCGACUCGCGAUCGCGAUUCCCGAGACGAUAGGAUGCGCUCGCGAUUAGUUUCCUAAUAAUUAGAUGCCUUCGUGAUUAGUUAUCUAAUAUGAAUUUUUUGUGAUUAGUUUCCUAAUAAUUAGUUGCGUCCAUGAUUAAUUUCCUAAUAGGAUGCGCGCGUGAUUAUUUUCCUAAUAAUGGAUGCGCCCGUGAUUAGUUUUCUAAUAAUAAGAUGCGUUUAUGAUUAGUUUCCUAAUAAUUAUAUGCGCCCAUGAUUAGUUUCUUAAUAGGAGUGUUCGUGAUUAUAGUUUCCUAAUUGACCAGACGUGGACUUUCAUAUUUUCCUCCAAGGUGAAGUACGGUCAGUCAAUUUAAAUUGCUAAGUGCACACAGAGAAUAAAUUAGGUUAAGGCUAGCCGUUAGAAUGAGUUUAGUGGGACUAAUCAUGCGGUGGUAAUGUAUUCGUGUACGUUUUGUGGGGUGCACUCAGAGAAGAUAAUGUUUGCUCUUUUAUAAGUAGUAUAGAAAAAAGAGUAUAGAGAAAUUCGGGCACGGCAUAAGGCCUUCUUCGGUUAAUCCUCCUCCCAAGGAGAUUGAAGAAGAUUGGAGGGGAUUUUCGCUUGUAGAGGGUUUAAUCCCCCUCAAUCCCUGCCAAUCCCAAUCAAAAUCCACCUCAACCGAACAAGGCCUAAAGGAGUAGCUCAAGAAAACAAAACGCAGGAAAAAAAACUAAAAACGCUCAGGAAGAGUAAAAUAGUUGGAGUACAAUUCACUGAACAUUUUCUUUUUUUUUGGAGAAAAAAUAAAAUAGUCACUGACAAUUGAUUUUCUUCGGCGGAAAAGAGACCAUUGGUUUUCUAUAUGAUCCAACAGUUACCUUUGAUUUUCUAUGUGAUCCUACGAUAUUAGACGCUCCUACAUGCUGCAUCGUGGUUUCGAUGUGCCCGUCCCAUCCCCAGAAAGUGGAAGAAUUCCAUGAUCUCACAACUGCACACCAAGCCAUCAUCGAAGGGCCAAAAACACCACUAUAGUGUUUUGAACACCCAUGGGUUAGAAAUGCUACCACUAGUAGAAAAAGGGUCAAAUGUGUAGCACAUUAGUGCCGGUUUGAAUUUGAGCCGGCACUAAUGUGUCCAUUAGUGCCGGUUCCAACGGCUAGGUGGGCGGACAUCAUUAGUAUCGGUUCGUGGUGAACCAUUAGCACCGGUUCGUGCCACGAACUGGUACUAAAGUGAGUGGUGGCAGGAUGUUGUCAGUCCGGGGCCCCUCCAGCACCUUUAGUAUCGGGUCGUAUCAUGAACCGGCACUAAAGGUCGUCCUACAUAGACCCUUCGUCCACCCGAGCUCGCUCUGUUCUUCCCCUUUCCCCUCUCCUCUUUAUUCUUUUCCCUCUUCCUCUCAAGCUCGUCACACAUUUUGCCCAAAAUUUGUCAAGAUUUGAAGGCCCCCAUCCAUUCAAAUGAACCCAAAGGUUAGCAAGUUUGUCCUUUCAUCUCUCAUUGCUAGAUUAGCUCGUGCAAUGCUUUAUAUAGUGAUUGAUUUUUGAGUUUAGUAAUUUGGGAGGAAUUAUAUAUAUGUGCUAGUAUUUGAUUUAUAUGCAAUUUGAGGUCAAAAAUAACACUUAGUUUGCAUAUGUAGGUGUGGUUUACUUAGUGCAUUCUAAAUCUCCGUCGUAACAACCGUCGAUCGCCCGCAACGUCCCAUCGCCGGCACCACCUUGUGGUGAGCCUCUUGUUCAUGAAGUUUUAUAUAAAAAAUUGAUGUUUGUGUGAUUUGGAUAUAUAGUUACUCGUAUAAUUAUCUUACCCAUAUGUUGUUUGUUAUACAUAGUGCCAUGGUUUUGAUAUCCGUCCCCGUCGGCCCUCGUCCGGAUUAUGAUUCAGAUGUGGUAUAUUCUCUUUUAAAACUAUUCAUUGCAUUUCAUGUUUAUGACAAAUUAUGCCCAUCAAGUUGACAUAGAUAUUCCAACCGACCCUAUUGUCGAGAGGUUAAAUUUAGUUGAAAGAGAAAACGGGGAUUUGAAGGAAAAAAUGAAAAGAAUUGAGGGGGAGAAGAUGGAAUUGGAGUUGCAUGUUGCCGAUGUCGUCGAUGAUCACAAGAUUAACAUGGAGAAAAUGUGCUUGAAAAUUAGAAAGAUUAGAAAAUAUAUCAUUCAUACUGAGGCUUGGUAUCAUUAUGCUGUUGGAUCAAUUGUUACCGUAGUUGCGAUCUUGAUCGCAUUUGUUGUUGCAUUUAAAUUCUUUAGCUAGAGAGUUAUUUGUUUGUUGCAUUUAAGUGUUGUAUGAUCUUUAUGUAUGAACUUUAUGUAUUGUAUUAAUUUGGUGUUUUCGGUGUUGUGUAUUGAAGAUGAGCCGGCAAUGGAUGUACGAUGACCGAUGCUCUCCCGAGUUCAUUAAUGGCGUGCGUACUUUUCUGCUUGCGGCUGAGGCAAACAAGCGGGCGGAUGGUUUUAUGCCUUGUCCAUGUGUUGGCUGUAAGAAUGGUCACAGUUACUCUACAUCAAGAUCCAUUCACGUCCACCUGUUUGAGUCCGGUUUCAUGCCCCACUAUAAUGUUUGGACCAAGCAUGGAGAAAAAGGGGUUAUGAUGGAAGACAAUGAAGAAGAAGAGGACGACGACAGCUAUCCCGGCCAUGGGUUCCCUGAAUACGAUGAUACAACAAUGCGGGAAGAAGCUGAGCUGGUAAUGCGGGAAGAAGCUGAGCCGGCAAUGCGGGAAGAAGCUGAAGAAGAGGCAUCGGAUGAGCCCGUUGAUGAUCUAGGUCGGGCCAUUGCCGAUGCAAAGAGAAACUGCGCAAGUGAUUUGGAGAAGAAGAAGUUGCAGCACAUGUUAGAGGAUCACAAAAAAUUGUUGUACCCGAAUUGCGUAGGUGACAAGAAAAAGCUGGGCACCACACUGGAAUUGCUACAAUGGAAGGCAGAGAAUGGUGUGUCUGACAAGGGAUUUGGAAAGUUGCUGGUAAUGAUAAAGAAUAUGCUUCCAAAGGACAACGAAUUGCCCGAGAGUACGUACGAAGCAAAGAAGGUUGUCUGCCCUCUAGGGUUAGAGGUGCAGAAGAUACAUGCAUGCCCUAAUGAUUGCAUCCUCUACCGCGGUGAGUACGAGGAUUUGAACGCUUGCCCGAUAUACGGUCCAUUACGCUAUAAGAUCAGCCGCGAUGACCCUGGUGAUGUCGAGGGCGAGCGCCCCAGGAAGAAGAUUCCUGCCAAGGUGAUGUUGUAUGCUCCUAUAAUACCACGGUUGAAACGUUUGUUCCAAAAUAAAGAGCAUACCAAGGCGAUGCGGUGGCACAGAGAAGACCGUAAGAAACACGGAAAGUCGAGAGUACCCGCUGACGGGUCGCAGUGGAGAAAAAUCGAAAGAAAGUACGGGAAGGAAUUUGCAGAUGACGCAAGGAACAUAUGGUUUGGUCUAAGCAUAGACGGCAUUAAUCCUUUUGGGGAGCAGACCAGCAACCAUAGCACCUGGCUUGUGACUCUAUGUUUGUAUAACCUUCCUCCUUGGUUGUGCAUGAAGCGGGAGUUUAUUAUGAUGUUAGUGCUCAUCCAAGGUCCUAAGCAACCCAGCAACGACAUUGAUGUGUACCUAAGGCCAUUAGUUGAAGAACUCUUACAACUGUGGAAUGGAACAGGUGUACGUGCGUGGGAUGAGCACAUGGGGGAAGAAUUUGACCUAAAGGCGUUGCUGUUCGUGACCAUCAAUAAUUGGCAUGCUCUCAGUAACCUUUCAGGACAGACAAACAAGGGAUACCACGCAUGCACGCACUGUUUGGACGAUACCGACAGUAUAUAUUUGGCUAAUUGUAAGAAGAAUGUGUACCUGGGACAUCGUCAAUUUCUUCCGAGCAGGCAUCCCAUAAGAAAGAAAGGCAAGCAUUUCAAAGGUGAGGCGGAUCACCGGACAAAGCCUCGCCACUGUACUGAUGCUGAUGUACAUGAUAUGGUCAAGGAUUUGAAGGUGGUCUUUGGAAAGGGUCCUGGUGGACAACCUGUUCCGAAUGACGCUGACGGACGCGCACCCAUGUGGAAGAAGAAAUCUAUAUUUUGGGACCUGCCCUAUUGGAAAGACCUAGAGGUCCGCUCUGCAAUCGACGUGAUGCACGUGACGAAGAAUCUUUGUGUGACCCUGCUUGGCUUCUUGGGCGUGUAUGGGAAGACAAAAGAUACACCUGAGACACGGGAGGACCAGCAACGUAUGCACGGAAAAGACGACAUACAUCAGGGUCAUGCAAGCUACGCUCUUACCAAAGAAGAGAAGGAAAUCUUCUUUGAAUGCCUGCUCAGUAUUAAGGUGCCGUCUGGCUUCUCAUCGAAUAUAAAGGGAAUAAUAAACAUGGCAGAGAAAAAGUUCCAGAACCUAAAGUCUCAUGACUGCCACGUGAUUAUGACGCAACUGCUUCCGGUUGCAUUGAGGGGGCUUCUACCGGAAAACGUUUAAUUAGCCAUUGUGAAGCUAUGUGCAUUCCUCAAUGCAAUCUCUCAGAAGGUAAUCGAUCCAGAAAUCAUACCAAGGUUAGAGAAUGAUUUGGUGCAAUGUCUUGUCAGUUUCGAGUUGGUGUUCCCACCAUCCUUCUUCAACAUCAUGACGCACGUCCUAGUUCACCUAUGCGAAGAGAUUAACGUUUUGGGUCCUCUAUUUCUACACAAUAUGUUCCCCUUUGAGAGGUUCAUGGGAGUCUUAAAGAAAUAUGUUCAUAACCGUGCUAGGCCAAAAGGAAGCAUCUCCAAGGCCAUGAAAAUGAGGAGGUCAUUGAGUUUUAUAUUGACUUUAUUCCCGACCUUAAGCCAAUUGGUGUUCCUGAAUCGCGGCAUAAGGGCAGACUAGAUGGAAAAGGCACGCUAGGAGGGGAACAAAUAAUAUGUAUGGACGGACAUUCUCUCACUGAAGCACACUGCACAGUUCUACAGAAUUCUGCCUUGGUGACUCCGUAUAUGGAUGAACACAAGAAUUUGCUACGCUCCAAACACACGGAGCGGUCUGAUCACUGGAUUACACGUGAACAAACCAGGAGUUUCGCCAGCUGGUUGCAGACACGUACCAUGCAUGACGCCUCUAUUGAAGAUGACAUGUACUUGUUGUCCCAGUUACCAUCUUCGAAUAUAAUGACUUUCAAAGGGUACGAGAUAAAUGGUAAUACAUUUUACACGAUCGCCCAAGAUAAGAAGAGCACCAACCAAAACAGUGGUGUCCGCUUUGACGCAGAAACCUGAAGGAAAUAUGCCCUAGAGGCAAUAAUAAAGUUAUUAUUUAUUUCCUUAUAUCAUGAUAAAUGUUUAUUAUUCAUACUAGAAUUGUAUUAACCGGAAACAUCAUACAUGUGUGAAUACAUAGACAAACAUAGUGUCACUAGUAUGCCUCUACUUGACUAGCUCAUUAAUCGAAGAUGGUUAUGUUUCCUAACCAUGAACAAAAGAGUUGUUAUUUGAUUAACGGGAUCACAUCACCCAUUCCAUUAGCUUAGCACCCGAUCAUUUAGUAUGUUGCUAUUGCUUUCUUCAUGACUUAUACAUGUUCCUAUGACUAUGAGAUUAUGCAACUCCCGUUUGCCGGAGGAACACGUUGUGUGCUACCAAACGUCACAACGUAACUGGGUGAUUAUAAAGGAGCUCUACAGGUGUCUCCAAAGGUACAUGUUGGGUUGGCGUAUUUCAAGAUUAGGAUUUGUCACUCCGAUUGUCGGAGAGGUAUCUCUGGGCCCUCUCGGUAAUGCACAUCACAUAAGCCUUGCAAGCAUUGCAACUAAUGAGUUAGUUGCGAGAUGAUGUAUUACGGAACGAGUAAAGAGACUUGCCGGUAACGAGAUUGAACUAGGUAUUGAGAUACCGACGAUCGAAUCCCGGGCAAGUAACAUACCGAUGACAAAGGGAACAACGUAUGUUGUUAUGCGGUCUGACUGAUAAAGAUCUUCAUAGAAUAUGUGGGAGCCAAUAUGAGCAUCCAGGUUCCGCUAUUGGUUAUUGACCGGAGACAUGUCUCGGUCAUGUCUACAUUGUUCUCGAACCCGUAGGGUCCGCACGCUUAAGGUUUCGAUGACAGUUUCAUUAUGAGUUUAUAUGUUUUGAUGUACCGAAGGAGUUCAGAGUCCCGAAAUGGUCAAGACGUAAAGAUCGAUAUAUUGGACGACUAUAUUCGGACAUCGGAAAGGUUCCGAGUGAUUCGGGUAUUUUUGGAGGUACCGGGGAGUUACGGGAAUACGAGGAAGAAGCAAUGGACCUUAAUGGGCCCUAGUGGGAAGGACCAGGAGGUGGCGCGCGCCCCUCCCAAGCCCAGUCCGAAUUGGACAAGGGGUUUGGGGUGCGGCCCCUCUCUCCCUUCCUUCCUCUCUUCCCACCUUUCCCCCCUUCUCCUAGUUGGACUAGGAAAGGAGGAAACCUAGUCCAACUAGGAGUAGGAAUCCUACUCCCCUAGCGUGCCCCUCCUAGGGCCGGCCUCGUCCCCCCUUGCUGCUUUAUAUACGGGGGCAGGGGGGCACCCCAUGGACACAACAAUUGAUCCUUGAGAUCUUUUAGCCGUGUGCGGUGCCCCCCUCCACCAUAAUCCUCGAUAAUAUUGUAGCGGUGCUUAGGCGAAGCCCUGCAAAGGUAGAGCAUCAAGACCGUCACCACAUCGUCGUGCUGACGGCACUCAUCCCCGACACUUUGCUGGAUCGGAGUCCGGGGAUCGUCAUCGAGCUGAACGUGUGCUAGAACUCGGAGGUGCCGUAGUUUCGGUGCUUGAUCGGUCGGGCCGUGAAGACGUACGACUACAUCAACCGCGUUGUCAUAACACUUCUACUGUCGGUCUACGAGGGUACGUAGAUCAUACUCUCCCCUCUCGUUGCUAUGCAUCACCAUGAUUUUGCGUGUGCGUAGGAAUUUUUUUGAAAUUACUACGUUCCCCAACAGUGGCAUCCGAGCCUAGGUUUUAUGCGUUGAUGUAAUAUGCACGAGUAGAACACAAGUGAGUUGUGGGCGAUAUAAGUCAUACUGCUUACCAGCAUGUCACAAUUUGGUUCGGCGGUAUUGUUGGAUGAAGCAGCCCGGACCGACAUUACGCGUACGCUUACCUGAGACUGGUUCUACCGACGUGCUUUGCACACAGAUGGCUGGCGGGUAUCAGUUUCUCCAACUUUAGUUGAACCGAGUGUGGCUAUGCCCAGUCCUUGCGAAGGUUAAAACAGCACCAACUUGACAAACUAUCGUUGUGGUUUUGAUGCGUAGGUAAGAACGGUUCUUGCUCAGCCUAGUAGCAGCCACUUAAAACUUGCAACAACAAAGUAGAGGACGUCUAACUUGUUUUUGCAGGGCAUGUUGUGAUGUGAUAUGGUCAAGACGUGAUGAGAUAUAAGUUGUUGUAUGAGAUGAUCAUGUUUUGUUGAAGUUAUCGGCAACUGGCAAAAUCUUUAUGGUUGUCUCUCUAUUGCAUAAGAUGCAAGUGCCCAAUAAUUGCUUUACUUUAUCGCUAUGUGAUAGCAAUAGUUGCAAGAGCAAUUGUUGGCGAGACGACCAUGUGACGAUACAUUGAUAUAGAUCAAGAUGAUGGAGAUCAUGGUGUCAUGCCGGUGAAGAUAUAGAUCAUGACAGUACUUUGGAGAUGGAGAUCAAAGGCGCAAGAUGAUGAUGGCCAUAUCAUUUCACAUAUUUUGAUUGCAUAUGAUGUUUAUCUUUUAUACAUCUUAUUUUUGCUUAGUUUGACGGUAGCAUUUUAAGAUGAUCUCUCACUAAUUAUCAAGAAGUGUUCUCCCUGAGUAUGCACCGUUGCGAAAGUUCUUCAUGCUGAGACACCACGUGAUGAUCGGGUGUGAUAGGCUCUACGUUCAAAUACAAUGGGUGCAAAACAGUUGCACACGCGGAAUACUCAGGUUAAACUUGACGAGCCUAGCAUAUACAGAUAUGGCCUCGGAACACGGAGACCGAAAGGUCGAACGUGAAUCAUAUAGUAGAUAUGAUCAACAUAGUGAAGUUCACCAUUGAAAACUACUCCAUCUCACGUGAUGAUCGGACAUGGUUUAGUUGAUUUGGAUCACGUGAUCACUUAGAGGAUUAGAGGGAUGUCUAUCUAAGUGGGAGUUCUUAAGUAAUAUGAUUAAUUGAACUUUAAUUUAUCAUGAACUUAGUCCUGGUAGUAUUAGCAUAUCUAUGUUGUAGAUAAAUAGCUCGCGUUGUUUCUUCCCUGUGUUUAUUUUGAUAUGUUCCUAGAGAAAAUUGUGUUGAAAGAUGUUAGUAGCAAUGAUGCGGAUUGGAUCCGUGAUCUGAUGUUUAUCCUCAUUGCUGCACAGAAGAAUUAUGUCCUUGAUGCACCUCUAGGUGACAGACCUAUUGCAGGAGCAGAUGCAGACGUUAUGAACGUUUGGUAGCUCAAUAUGAUGACUACUUGAUAGUUUAGUGCACCAUCCUUAAUGGCUUAGAAUCGGGACUUCAAAGACGUUGUGAACAUCAUGGACUAUAUGAGAUGUUCCAGGAGUUGAAGUUAAUAUUUCAAGCAAAUACCCGAGUUGAGAGAUAUGAAGUUUCCAACAAGUUCUAUAGCUAAAAGAUGGAGGAGAAUCGCUCAACUAGUGAGCAUGUGCUCAGAUUGUCUGGAUACUACAAUCGCUUGAAUCAAGUGGGAGUUAAUCUUCGAGAUAAGAUAGUGAUUGACAGAAUUCUUUAGUCACCAUCACCAAGUUAGUAGAACUUCGUGAUGAACUAUAGUAUGCAAGGGAUGACGAAAACGACUCCCGAGCUUUUCAUGAUGAUGAAAUUGAUGAAGGUAGAAAUCACGAAAGAGCAUCAAGUUUUGAUGGUUGACAAGACCACUAGUUUUAAGAGAAGAGCAAAGGGGAGAAGGGGAACUUCAAGAAGAAUGGCAAGCAAGUUGCUACUCAAGUGAGGAAGCCCAUGUCUGAUCCUAAGCCUGAGACUAAGUGCUUCUAUUGCAAAGGGACUGAUCACUGUAAGUGGAACUUCCCCAAGUAUUUGGCGGAUAAGAAGGAUGGCAAAGUGAACAUAAGUAUAUUUGAUAUACAUGUUAUUGAUGUGUACUUUACUAGUGUUUAUAGCAACCCCUCAGUAUUUGAUACUAGUUCAGUUACUAUGAUUAGUAACUUGAAUCAGAAGUUGCAGAAUGAACAAAGACUAGUUAAGGGUGAGGUGACGAUGUGUGUUGGAAGUAGUUCCAAGAUUGGUAUGAUCAUCAUCGCACACUCCCUAUACUUUUGGGAUUAGUGUUCAACCUAAAUAAGUGUUAUUUGGUGUUUUUAUGAAUAUGAUUUGAUCAUGUUUAUUACAAUACGGUUAUUCAUUUAAGUAAGAGAAUAAACUGUUGUUCUGUUUACAUGAAUAAAACCUUAUAUGGUUACACACCCAAUGAAAAUGGUUCACUGGAUCUCGAUCGUAGUGAUACACAUAUUCAUAAUAUUGAAGCCAAAAGAUGCAAAGUUAAUAAUGAUAGUGCAACUUAUUUGUGGCACUGCCGUUUAGGUCAUAUUGGUGUAAAGCACAUGAAGAAACUCCAUGCUGAUGGACUUUUGGAAUCACUUGAUUAUGAAUCACUUGAUGCUUGCGAACCAUGCCUCAUGGGCAAGAUGACUAAGAUUCCGUUCUCCGGAACAAUGGAGCGAGCAACUGACUUAUUGGAAAUAAUACAUAUUGAUGUAUGCGAUCCAAUGAGUGUUGGAGCUCGCGGCGGGUAUCGUUAUUUUCUGACCUUCAUAGAUGAUUUGAGCAGAUAUGAGUAUAUCUACUUGAUGAAACACAAGUCUGAAACAUUUGAAAAGUUCAAAGAAUUUCAGAGUGAAGUGGAGAAUCAUCGUAACAAAAAUAAAAGUUUCUACGAUAUGAUCGCAGAAGUAAAUUAUUUGAGUUACGAGUUUGGACUUCAGUUAAAAACAAUGUGAAAUAGUUUCACUACUCACGCCACCUGGAACACCACAGGAUAAUGGUGUGUCCGAACGUCAUAACCAUACUUUAUUAGAUAUGGUGCGAUCUAUGAUGUCUGUUACCGAUCUACCACUAUCGUUUUGGGGUUAUGCAUUAGAGACAGCUGCAUUCACAUUAAAUAGGGCACCAUCUAAAUCUGUUGAGACGACACCGUAUGAACUAUGGUUUGGCAAAGAAACCUAAGCUGACGUUUCUUAAAAUUUGAGGUUGCAAUGCUUAUGUGAAAAAGUUUCAACCUGAUAAGCUCUAACCCAAAUCGGAGAAGUGCGUCUUCAUAGGAUACCCAAAAGAAAAUGUUGGGUACACCUUCUAUCACAGAUCUGAAGGCAAUAUAUUCGUUGCUUUGAAUGGAUCCUUUCUAGAGAAGGAGUUUCUCUCGAAAGAAGUGAGUGGGAGGAAAGUAGAACUUGAUGAGGUAACUGUACCUGCUCCCUUAUUGGAAAGUAGUUCAUCACAGAAAUCUGUUCCUAUGACUACUACACCAAUUAGUGAGGAAGCUAAUGAUGAUGAUCAUGUAACUUCAGAUCAAGUUACUACCGAACCUCGUAGGUAAACCAGAGUGAGAUCCACACCAGAGUGGUACGGUAAAUCCUGUUCUAGAGGUCAUGUUACUUGACCAUGACGAGCCUACGAACUAUGAGGAAGCGAUGAUGAGCCCAGAUUCUGCGAAAUGGCUUGAGGCCAUGAAAUCUGAGAUGAGAUCCAUGUAUGAGAACAAAGUAUGGACUUUGAUUGACUUGCCCAAUGAUCGGCGACCAAUUGAGAUUAAAUGGAUCUUCAAGAGGAAGACGGACGUUGAUAGUAGUGUUACUAUCUACAAAGCUAGAAUUGUCGCAAAAGGUUUUCGACAAGUUCAAGGUGUUGACUACGAUGAGAGUUUCUCACUCGUAUCGAUGCUUAAGUCUGUCCGAAUCAUGUUAGCAAUUGCCGCAUUUUAUGAUUAUGAAAUUUGGUAAAUGGAUAAACAAAACUGCAUUCCUUAAUGGAUUUAUUAAAGAAAAGUUGUAUAUGAUGCAACCAGAAGGUUUUGUCAAUCCUAAAGGUGUUAACAAAAUGUGCAAGCUCCAGCGAUCCAUCUAUGGACUGGUGCAAGCAUCUCAGAGUUGGAAUAUACGCUUUGAUGAGUUGAUCAAAGCAUAUAGUUUUAUACAGACUUGCGGUGAAGCCUGUAUUUACAAGAAAGGGAGUGGGAGAACUACAACAUUUCUGAUAAGUAUAUGUGAAUGCCAUAUUGUUGAUCGAAAAUAAUGUAGAAUUAUUCUGCAAAGCAUAAAGGAGUAUUUGAAAGGAGUUUUUAAAAAAGAAAGACCUCGGUGAAGCUGCUUACAUAUUGAGCAUCGAGAUCUAUAGAGAUAGAUCAAGACACUUGAUAAGUUUUUUCAAUGAGUAUAUACCUUGACAAGAUUUUGAAGUAGUUCAAAAUGGAACAGUCAAAAAAAGAGUUCUUACCUGUGUUACAAGGUGUGAAAUUGAUUAAGACUCAAAGCCCGACCACGGCAGAAGAUAGAAAGAGAAUGAAAGUCAUUCCCUAUGCCUCAGCCAUAGAUUCUAUAAAGUAUGCCAUGCUAUGUAGCAGAUCUAUUGUAUACCCUACACUGUGUUAAGCGAGGGAAUACAAUAGUGAUCUAAGAGUAGAUCACUGGACAACGGUCAAAAUUAGCCUUAGUGGAAUAAGGAAAUAUUUCUCGAUUAUGGAGGUGAAAAAAGGUACGUCGUAAAAAGUUACGUCGAUGCAAGUUUUGACACAGAUCUGGAUGACUCUAAGUCUCGAUCUAGAUACAUAUUGAAAGUGGGAGCAAUUAGCUAGAGUAGCUCCGUGCAGAGCAUUGUAGACAUAGAAUUCGCAAAAUACUUACGGAUCUGUAUGUGACAGACCCCUUGACUAAAAUUAUUUCACAAGCAAAACAUGAUCACACCUUAGUACUCAUUGGGUGUUAUUCACAUAACCGAUAUGAACUAUAUUACUGACUCUAGUAAACCCUUUGGGUCUAGUAAACAUGAUCACACCUUAGCAGCGCGUUUUAAGGCGAAAGUGCUGCAACUAACAAAAGGAAAAGAAAAAAAGGGAAGAAGAGAAAAAUAGUAGGGAGAUAAGCGACAAAUUAUCAGAGCACUAAUUACACUUCAUAGGGAAACAAGCCAAGAGCCUUAUCUCCACCAACAUACAAUACCCCUUCAUGUUUUCCAUAGUUACAGUGUCAUGCCAUCAUUUUGCCCAUUAGAACAUGCCAAGAGGAAAGCAUUGAGAGUGACCCAUACAACACUCCUUUUUUUCCAUAACUAUAGUGCCAUAUCAUCAUUUUGCAUAUGCGAACAUGCUAAUUAGAGCCAAACAUUAAGAGUAAACUUAAACACAGUUGGUAUACUUGUUUUUGUUGCCGCGAGGCCCUCCACUACCUCACACGGUCUCCUUACCCACACCGUUUUUUUUCAAACUGAUAUCACACAUCCUCCCCAUUUCUGGUUUUUAUUACUAUAUUUACAUUAUACGUUAAUUUUUGCCAUUUACCUACACCGAUUUCUUGACCCCUAAUGACUUCCCACCUCCUUCUCGCCGCCUUUCCUUUUGAGCGCCCGUUCACCCCCAAGCAGUGGCGGAGCCAGGAAUUUCCUGCUCGGUAUUCCUUGGUAUUCAUUUGUGCAAUACAGUAGCAAUAUGGCAACAAAUAUGCAGCAAGCUAGGAGUAGUAUAUCAAUGAAUCAGUAGUUCUUUGGUAUUCCAUGGAAGUCCAGGGAAGACCCCUGGCUCCGCCACUGCCCCCAAGUCGCAGCUAAGAGCAACUCUAGCAGAGUUGUCAUAUUGGCAGCCUUCGUAACACAUAUGUAGCACGCUACAUAAUGUUUAGGAGGCUACGGAGACUGUGCGCGAACACAUAGUCACCAUAAAUCAGCAUGCAUAAAUUCCCCGCAAGUAAGGCCCACCUGUCAUUGGGUCAUAGAUUCUUCGGCAAUAAUCCAAAUUUCUGAAGAACACAUAAAGAAGCAUCGAUUUCAUCCCUAUAAAUAGGGCAGUAAAUUAGUCGCACUACAACACUAACAAUCCGUGGCAAUGAAUACGGUGGCUGGGGCGUGAUUGGCGAGAAAUGUGGCAACUUGGGCCCUGAUAGCCUGGAAACUUACCUCGACGACGGCGACAUUGCGAAUCUCAAUGCCUGAAAAAGGGCCUCGGCGCUCUUGUCCCAGGCCCACCAUGCAUCGGUAGGGGCAGGCAUGCGCGGUCCCAAAUCCCUCUCUUUCUUUCGAUGUCUUGCUUCUGACCCUCAUCCAUGGCCACUUCGUGAAGUCCGAAAAGGGGCCUGGGGAUCCAGCUUCUGCUGCUCCCCCUCAUCCCCAGAACUGAAGAUGAGAGGGUCACCUUCCGGUGGGCCAUUUAUGAGGGAGUAGUCGAUUGGAGGCGAGCGAGAGGGGAUUGGGAGGUAUCGGUGAAAUAAUUGGAUAAGGGGGAGAGGGGAGACUGCCACCAUUUUUUAAGCCGUCGCAAGCUCAUUUAAGCAGGCAGUUUGGGAGGCAACAGACGGCAGACAACCAUCUAGGUGUGUGUUCCCUAAUGAGAGAUAUUCUCGUGCUGCUCACAUGCUUCUUGAACUCACAAGCAAGCUAGGAGAUGAUGUCGCAUGGUGGCCAUCCGAUGGUCUACCAAGCGAAUUCUAGAGAGCGAUCGCGCCAUCUAAUAGAUGUGUUGUUGAUGGUCACGUCNNNNNNNNNNNNNNNNNNNNNNNNNNNNNNNNNNNNNNNNNNNNNNNNNNNNNNNNNNNNNNNNNNNNNNNNNNNNNNNNNNNNNNNNNNNNNNNNNNNNNNNNNNNNNNNNNNNNNNNNNNNNNNNNNNNNNNNNNNNNNNNNNNNNNNNNNNNNNNNNNNNNNNNNNNNNNNNNNNNNNNNNNNNNNNNNNNNNNNNNNNNNNNNNNNNNNNNNNNNNNNNNNNNNNNNNCUUCAAAUUCCACCUAUAGAGCGAGGAGGAAGAAGAUGAAAUAUCCAUCCCCCGCUAGCAGUUGACUUUGGGGCAAGCUCCAAAUGACACCUCCAGAUAUGGAGGAGACCACAUAUGGAGGGAGCUCGAAAAAUAUGUCGAUUGGGGGUGGAUGACGACUCUGAUAGUGGAUGUUUUUAUUAGCCCUGGCCUGUGUUCGGCUUUGUGUCGUGAAACUACUUAAAGCCAAGUUCAAAGCAGGUUGUGUAGAGUGGAUUGACAAAAGUCACGAUAAGUGUCUCAUUCUUUGGCAGAAAGUUCAACGAUUGGGCUAACUACAUAUUAAACUGUGAAAGAAUUUGUAUGAUGUUGAACAUGUUUCUAUCGAAGCUAUCAAUUCAUCAAUGAAAAAUAUUUUUCUCUGUGUAAUGCUUAUAGGUAAAGCAAGAAGUAACAACAAUUGAAGAUAUACGCUCUGGAACUGAAGCAUGGGAUGGGUAAGUACAAACUUGAUGGAGAUGAUAUUAGAUUUACCAUUUUCAAUUUUUUGUAAUGCAAAUCUUAUUUUCUUGCUUUAAAGCAAUUUGAGGUAGAAACAGUAAUAUAUAUGUAGGAUUUAGACUCAACCAUUGGAUAAAUAUUUUCAUGUUUACCCAACUUGCAAUUUGGGUUGGAAUUAUUGUAGCCACCACAAGCCUCAGGACGAACCAUCUAGCUAAGCCUAGGCUUAGUGAUGGUUAGCUUGGAUAAGAAUCUAUUGGAAUUUUCCUGUUAGAGUUUUCCAUUUGGGGAUGGAUAUUAUAUAAAGCUAAGGAUAAGCUAUGUUGUGCGAAGAAUGGAUAAACCAGAGGUAAUCCUCGGAAAACCCCACUCCUGCAUGUAUCAACACACCGAUGCAACCAAAGCUUAUGUCGUGACAUAAGUUCGUGGCGGUACCUCAUCAGUAAUACAUACACAGGCCAUACAUAAUUGGCAAAAGAAAACAAAGUAACACAUAGCAAAGACCAUGUAUGCCCCUUGCUCAUAAUAAAUAAAAGUUGUCUUAUGAUAUAUCAUUUUUUGCGGGUGGUCUUAUGAUAUUAAUUGUGGCUAGUUUGAAUCCUCAUUUUAUGUUAUGGCUUUUGUUGCAGAAGUCGCGGGAAUUGAUCGUGGUGUCCUGAUGCGUGCUUUGAGGCUGUUGGUACAGAAGGGAAAGACAAUUUCUUUAAGGGCACUUCAGUGAACGACAAAGGCGUCAAAUUUUCUGCUUAAACUUUGUGCCAACUAACAGAUGAAUAAUAAUCUUGAUAGAUGUCCUUGAAAAUAAUACAUCCCGUCUUAGCCGUAUGUAUGUACAUUGAUGACGUCCUUCUGGUCAGCAUCGUUCAAACGUCAGUAUUUAUUUGCCGUCCCGAACUAUUGUAAUUAGCAUUUGAUUCAUUUCUCGAGUACCAUACUUACCUACUAUCAGGGCCGGUCCUGAGAUUUUGGGCGCCCCGGGCGAGAGUAAAAGUCGGGGCCCUUAAUAUAGACAUCUUAACAAUAACAUUGAAUAUAGGUACAUGUAUUAUCAAGCACUUAAAUGCAUCCAAUAAUAGUAUGCAUAUCAAAUACUUUAUAAGUAUUACCUUUAAUAAUAAUUCUAACAUUCCUUGAUGCAAAAUCACUUAUGAUGGGGUCGUUGUCAAUAUCAUCCAAUAAUUUCUUAUCGAUUCCAUAAUGUUGCCAAACCAUAUAACCUAGGUCAUUGGUGACCUCAGAUAGUUCCUCACUAAUUUCAACUUCAAAAGGCUUCUUUCGGCCUAUACAAUAGUCACAUGUAUAGUAAAUAAAGAUGUGAUAAGCAAUGGAGAUAUCAGGAUAACAACCAACUUCUCUUGACAUGCUCGAAAUCUCCAUGGCAUAUAUUACAGUCAUCUGGCAAAGUGAAUCCGCAAUUUUCAAUUCAGAAAUAAGAUCAAAUACCUCAACAUCACAUGAUCUGUGAAGAGAGAAAGUUUCUGCAAAUUUUGUGCGCCACUCUUCAAGUUCAUUAUCAUCAAUGACUUCAUAGUUUCCGAGCUAAAAAAUUUCCAAAUAUAUCUUUAAACACCAUAGGUUCUUUAAAUCUACCCUACAAAGAAGUGGUCGCUAUCAACCAAAACAAAAAAAUAACUUGGACAGCCUUAUCAAAUUCUAGAAUUUCUCCUCGACAAUCACUUUCGUCAAAUGUUACUUCUUGUAACAUGAUGUCUUACCGGAAACAAUGGACCUACACUCAUUUCAUUUGUAGUAACUUUGGCAAUUAUCAAACUAGCAGAAAACUCCUCAUCUCUAUAUAUACAUCUUAAAAUAUUGUGUUAUACCUUGUAUUUUCUUUCUUUUCCUUUUAUCGCUAGCAGAUGCAUAUUUUCUUCCAGAUGAUAUGAUGACACAAUGCUGAAAAAAAUUCAUUAAUUGUUGAACAGUGCCACUGGGCCGGCUAUGCAUCUAUAGAACCACAAUCAGAAUACAUGUUAUACCUCCGAUGGCCGAAUCAGCGAUGGACGGAAACCAGAGCCGGAUUACUACAGGCCCCGGCGAAUUGAAAUCGGCGGCGAGGAACUGAUGAUCUAAAUUAGAAUUAGGAGAAAAGGAGAAAGAAACGUCGAGCACGCACUAGCGAACAAUCGAAGCUUCGGCGGCCGCUAGAAAUCGCUGUGUCAAUGCGAGAUGAAAUAGGAAGGGAUCAAUCACUCCUAUUUUUAUGUGAAAAAAGGAAAGAAACGAUUGCUGCCGCUGUGCCUCACUGGCCUGCUGCGUGCGUGCUGCAUGCUGCGUGAGGCCCAGCCGGCCAGCCCAAUAGGGCAUUUUUUUCUGCCUCGCUGGACAUAUAGCCUAUGUAUGUACAUAGGAAGGGGCCCCUGAACUUUGGGGGCCCGGGGCGGCCGCCCCCGCUGCCCCUCCCCAGGGCCGGCCCUGCCUACUAUAAAAAUCGCCGCCUGUUGUGUGCCUCAUAAGGAGGCUCAACUAAUUCUAAUGAAAUAUCAGAUAUAUUGAGAACCAAGAAGCAUUGUUUGAUAUAUUUGGGCUUGUUCAAAAUGGAAGGAAUUUUGAGAACAAAAAACAAGGAAAUGGGCAAGCUUCAUAUGUGGAAGAAAGGACUGUAUUCUGAAAAUUCAUGUCAGUUUCUUGUUCAAUGGAGGCAGAUUCUUGUGACGAGCUCUUUUGAACCUUGAUCCAUACUAAAAUAUAUUCGUACGGAGGAUAGGCUUUCUUCUUGUGUUAUUAUUAUCACUAUCACCCAAACAUAGAAAAGCUUAAUUUUGUUUGCAUGAAUUUGAUUUCUCUAUCACCCGUCACUGACUGAUUAUCCGCACACACACACAACAGUAACAAAUUACCCACUACAGGAAUAUAUCGAUACACAUCUUGCAUUGAUCAAACUUUAACUGAUCUCACAGAAUUCAAUAAGAACUAACCAGCGUGACAAAUCCAUCUCAGGCUUAUUAUUACAUAAUCCAUCAAACGCGACAAACUUGAAUUUAACUAACCCUUGGCGACCCUAAUCAAAACAUAAUCUAAGGUAUUGCCAAGCCAGAGAUGGACAGAUGUGCGGAUGAUCUAGUUGGGAGCGAAGAAGAUCUCAGAGUCGAGCCUCUUGGAGCGGAACAUCUUUUCCAUCUCUGGCGUGGUGUUGAAGGCCGUCUCUAGCACCUCGGGCGAUAUCGCCUUCCACACCGACGUCCUACCAGCCAAGUGGCUAAAGAUCGGGCUGCAUUUGUUUUGCACAACACAAACAUUAGUUGGUCAAAUGAUCGAUAUAACUAGAUAAAUGCAAAACUAUUGAUUAAACUUGAAUAUGUAGGAAAAUUACAUUUUGAGAAAAUGCAAAACAUGCCACAAUAUUGUGCAACUAAGGGUAUAUACAAAAAUGCUAAACAAACGGGAGGAAUCCAUUCUGUAAGAAACUUUCCUAGUUGCAACUAGAAAUAAGUUCAUACUUGAUUGUUGCAAAACUGCAACAGAAUAUAUGGAACAAAAAUAAUGCAUCAGAUCUGCUAUACGCAUGCAUGUUUCCCUACAAUUUUACUAUCAAAAUACAGUCAGAAAAAGAUACAGUGGCAUUUUUUAAUCCACGACUACUGAAUGAAAUUGAAUAUGUAGCAGGAAACUUUAAUGUCAGACAGGGCAACUAAUUAGGGCCAUAUAUACUUGAAUUUCGCAAAAUUGAAACAUAAUAUACCGAACAAAAAUAAUGCUAGAAAAUGUGAUGUACACAUGCACAUCAAAAGUUCUAGUUGGUCAACUACUAGAGUAAAACUAGUGGUACGUACUUUGGCGUGGUGAUGAUGGAGAACCACUCCAUGCCGGUGUCGUCGGCGAUCUUGGAGACGACGAAGAACCUGGGCACGAUGAAGAGGCAGCCCGCCUCGGCGCGGGUCUCCAGCACACGGGUGCCGUCGAUGCCGACGACCUGGACGCGGCCGCCGCCUCGCACUAUGUAGGUGACCUGGUAGGCCGAGUCGCAAGAGAAUCCCGGCGAGCACAUGGAGCGACCGUCGAUCCUCACGAGGUCAGAGCCCAGCCCAACGUCCUUCACCGGUGGCAGGUUGGCCGUGUUGAGCACCACCACGCGGCCGCCGCCCGGGAUGUCCACGUCGAGCGGCGCCUCGAGGCAGUUGAGCACCACGCUCUGGCGGUCCUCGGCGCGAGGCUCCGGCAUCCGGUGCCCCGCGGCGAUCUUGACGAUGCUGGAGCCAGGCUGGGUGGAGACGAUCUUGGCGGCGGCGUCCUGGUCGAGGUCCCAGGCGCGCGCGACGAACUCGGUGGAGAAGCCCGUGAAGAUGCCGGUGGCGCCGGUGAGCUGGAAGUUGGUGAAGCGGCCGGGAGUGUGGCCCUUGGAGGUGUCGCCGAGGAAGAGCACCACCAGCUCCGCGGAGGCGCCCUCGGCGUUGUGCCACCAGGUGACGGCGCCGAAGGGGAGCGCCAGGGUGUCGCCCUCCUUGACGGGGAUCACCUUCUCGCUGGCCGCCUCGGGGAGGACGAGGCCGCAGGCGCCGGCGCCCUGGAGCACGUAGGCGAUCUUGGCCGAGUCGGAGUAGCUGGGGAGCGCGAGGCCGCCGGCGGAGAGGUGCAGCUUGGCUGCGCCGAUGGAGGCGGUGCCGAGCAUGGGCAGGUCGGCCGGCGACCAGUCGUAGUAGGCGCCGCCGUCGCUGCCGUAGGCCUUGGCGGGCUUCUUGUGCGACAGGUCCAUGGACAUGACCUCGGCGUUGGAAGUGCGCUGCACCAUCGUUUCGUUGUCAAGAUGAGAUUGUACGUGGGAGAGGAGGAGGAAGAUCGAUUUGAAUGGGAUGGAGGAAGUGGAUGCGGAAUGGUCCAUAUUUAUAGUUGCGGGUUUAGAAGAUAGAUAAUGAAUCCUAGUUGUUAGAGAUAACUGAUCGAUCGAUCCUGAUGUGAAACUAAUAAGUGUUUACGUGUAACACGCGUCUAUUUGGAUUAACACAUUAUACUAAACUUAAUACAAGACAAUUUAUUCAUAAAUUUAAAUUUCCCUAUAAAAUACAGAAUCUUGUACUCCCUACUCGUACAAACAAUUUGAAAUAUCGUUUCUCCUUAAACAACAUAUCUCCUGUAUUAAAAGACCACCCAGUGUUCCCAAUGUAUAAAACUCAAAAUUAUUUAGAAGAUUCAUCAUGAUUCUUCAUAUGCACACAUUUAUGCAAGUAUAAUCACACAUAAAAAUGUCACUUAGGACAAGCUAAGGAGCCGUUUCAGUGCCAACAAACUCCAGUCAAGAAUUAUUAUUACAAGACAAAAGCAUUAAUACGACAACUUGGAACAGUUACUUGAGUACUACACAUUUCUUUAAGGGCUCAACAUUCUAAAAUUUUGACAAUAUAACAAAUAUCCUCUCAGUUUGUAGUAAUAAUGAUACGAAGAUAAAUAAUUUAAAAAUGGUCUUCAACAUGCGUAGGCUACCACUUGUAAGAAUAACAGUGGCAAAAAAAAGCCAACAAAUGCCGGUUUAGAAAGAAAAAACUGCAGACAUACUUCCAAUUUUAGCAACUCUAUUGGAUAAAACAUACCUUACCUCUCAAGUUAGGAAAUACUCAAAUGAAAAAAUGUACUUCUUAUAAGUAGUAGAGAUGAAGUCAUAAGGAUCAUGAUUCAAGAUAUUCGGAGAAACAUGGUUGGUCUCUCUAUAUGAUGUGAACUCGUCACCUCUACCAAAGUGGUCGUGCGUAAUACGUAAUGUACAGUGCAAUAAUGAAAUAAAAUAAAUGAUAUGAGAAUUUACCAUGACCACAAAAUAUCCUACAUUCGUCAUGGUCAUAAUCAAUAUGCAUUUUUUGUUUCUCUUGUAUGUGGUCCAAGUUUUCUAUCAGGAAAACAUGUUAACUCAACUGUAGAUAGGGACGGUAUGAAAAUGCUCAUGUAAAAUUACAGUUGCCAUGUAUCUGCUGGACAAACAAAUACACUUAUGCAAACUUUAGGGUUUUUUAGUAAAACUUAUGCGAACUUUAUUUUUUUUCCACUAAAACUUAUGCAAAUUUCUGGGUUUUUUCAUGUAAGUUCAUGACUACAAGUAAGGUCUUGGUUCAGCGAAUUUGUCUGUGAGUUCACUAUGUAGUCGUGACUUGGCCAUGUAAUAACCGAUAGUCAGUACUUAAAAAAACAGGGAUGUCUGUUGCAAGUACGCAAAAAUCAGUGAAAAAAUAAAGAAAGAAAGAAGGCAUUGGUUGCCUGAAACCCAACUGUGUGUGCUCCAGUGCGCCUCUGUUUCUCAUUGCCUCAUCUCUGGUUCGUGUACUUCUAGAUGUGUCACCACCGGCGAAGUAGCGAUGACAGUAAAAAAAACAACACUCAGUGCUUAUCUGAUUAGUGUGUGCGUGUGGCGCGUUCGCGUGAAGGCGAGCAUCUCCGUCGUUCCGGCCUGCGAGCCGCCGCGGCGACCGUGUCGUCUCACCAGCUGGGCGGCGUUGUCGACGCAGGUGAAUCAGUCGUCCAGCUUUGAGGCGACGCCCUCCAUGCACCGGGGCGCCCCCACUCGAUUUUUUUUGCCCGCUUAUACUGGUCCAGAAUACUCAGCGUUGCCCCCACUUAAAAGGUGUCUGCGGUGGGUGGUUGUCAGCGUGGGUAUUAUGGACGGAGCUGAAGUCGACACGGAUGCCGACAUGUCAGGACGUGAACGAAGUCGUUGCAGUCAGUAGAAAAGUGAACUGGCCUCCAGGCAGAAGACAAAGCGGCGACGGCACGUGUGUGUGUUCGGAGGAAGCCGCAACUCCUCCUCGCGUGUCUCCCACUGUGGCUCGCGUGGGUGGUGGACUGGUGACGGCAGGCGACUCGUGAUCGCGAUUCCCGAGACGAUAGGAUGCGCUCGCGAUUAGUUUCCUAAUAAUUAGAUGCCUUCGUGAUUAGUUAUCUAAUAGGAAUUUUUUGUGAUUAGUUUCCUAAUAAUUAGUUGCGUCCAUGAUUAAUUUCCUAAUAGGAUGCGCGCGUGAUUAUUUUCCUAAUAAUGGAUGCGCCCGUGAUUAGUUUUCUAAUAAUAAGAUGCGUUUAUGAUUAGUUUCCUAAUAAUUAUAUGCGCCCAUGAUUAGUUUCUUAAUAGGAGUGUUCGUGAUUAUAGUUUCCUAAUUGACCAGACGUGGACUUUCAUAUUUUCCUCCAAGGUGAAGUACGGUCAGUCAAUUUAAAUUGCUAAGUGCACACAGAGAAUAAAUUAGGUUAAGGCUAGCCGUUAGAUUGAGUUUAGUGGGACUAAUCAUGCGGUGGUAAUGUAUUCGUGUACGUUUUGUGGGGUGCACUUAGAGAAGAUAAUGUUUGCUCUUUUAUAAGUAGUAUAGAAAAAAGAGUAUAGAGAAAUUCGGGCACGGCAUAAGGCCUUCUUCGGUUAAUCCUCCUCCCAAGGAGAUUGAAGAAGAUUGGAGGGGAUUUUGGCUUGUAGAGGGUUUAAUCCCCCUCAAUCCCUGCCAAUCCCAAUCAAAAUCCACCUCAACCGAACAAGGCCUAAAGGAGUAGCUCAAGAAAACAAAACGCAGGAAAAAAACUAAAAACGCUCAGGAAGAGUAAAAUAGUUGGAGUACAAUUCACUGAACAUUUUCUUUUUUUUUUGGAGAAAAAAUAAAAUAGUCACUGACAAUUGAUUUUCUUCGGCGGAAAAGAGACCAUUGGUUUUCUAUAUGAUCCAACAGUUACCUUUGAUUUUCUAUGUGAUCCUACGAUAUUAGACGCUCCUACAUGCUGCAUCGUGGUUUCGAUGUGCCCGUCCCAUCCCCAGAAAGUGGAAGAAUUCCAUGAUCUCACAACUGCACACCAAGCCAUCAUCGAAGGGCCAAAAACACCACUAUAGUGUUUUGAACACCCAUGGGUUAGAAAUGCUACCACUAGUAGAAAAAGGGUCAAAUGUGUAGCACAUUAGUGCCGGUUUGAAUUUGAGCCGGCACUAAUGUGUCCAUUAGUGCCGGUUCCAACGGCUAGGUGGGCGGACAUCAUUAGUAUCGGUUCGUGGUGAACCAUUAGCACCGGUUCGUGCCACGAACUGGUACUAAAGUGAGUGGUGGCAGGAUGUUGUCAGUCCGGGGCCCCUCCAGCACCUUUAGUACCGGGUCGUAUCAUGAACCGGCACUAAAGGUCGUCCUACAUAGACCCUUCGUCCACCCGAGCUCGCUCUGUUCUUCCCCUUUCCCCUCUCCUCUUUAUUCUUUUCCCUCUUCCUCUCAAGCUCAUCACACAUUUUGCCCAAAAUUUGUCAAGAUUUGAAGGCCCCCAUCCAUUCAAAUGAACCCAAAGGUUAGCAAGUUUGUCCUUUCAUCUCUCAUUGCUAGAUUAGCUCGUGCAAUGCUUUAUAUAGUGAUUGAUUUUUGAGUUUAGUAAUUUGGGAGGAAUUAUAUAUAUGUGCUAGUAUUUGAUUUAUAUGCAAUUUGAGGUCAAAAAUAACACUUAGUUUGCAUAUGUAGGUGUGGUUUACUUAGUGCAUUCUAAAUCUCCGUCGUAACCACCGUCGAUCGCCCGCAACGUCCCAUCGCCGGCACCACCUUGUGGUGAGCCUCUUGUUCAUGAAGUUUUAUAUAAAAAAUUGAUGUUUGUGUGAUUUGGAUAUAUAGUUACUCGUAUAAUUAUCUUACCCAUAUGUUGUUUGUUAUACAUAGUGCCAUGGUUUUGAUAUCCGUCCCCGUCGGCCCUCGUCCGGAUUAUGAUUCAGAUGUGGUAUAUUCUCUUUUAAAACUAUUCAUUGCAUUUCCUGUUUAUGACAAAUUAUGCCCAUCAAGUUGACAUAGAUAUUCCAACCGACCCUAUUGUCGAGAGGUUAAAUUUAGUUGAAAGAGAAAACGGGGAUUUGAAGGAAAAAAUGAAAAGAAUUGAGGGGGAGAAGAUGGAAUUGGAGUUGCAUGUUGCCGAUGUCGUCGAUGAUCACAAGAUUAACAUGGAGAAAAUGUGCUUGAAAAUUAGAAAGAUUAGAAAAUAUAUCAUUCAUAGUGAGGCUUGGUAUCAUUAUGCUGUUGGAUCAAUUGUUACCGUAGUUGCGAUCUUGAUCGCAUUUGUUGUUGCAUUUAAAUUCUUUAGCUAGAGAGUUAUUUGUUUGUUGCAUUUAAGUGUUGUAUGAUCUUUAUGUAUGAACUUUAUGUAUUGUAUUAAUUUGGUGUUUUCGGUGUUGUGUAUUGAAGAUGAGCCGGCAAUGGAUGUACGAUGACCGAUGCUCUCCCGAGUUCAUUAAUGGCGUGCGUACUUUUCUGCUUGCGGCUGAGGCAAACAAGCGGGCGGAUGGUUUUAUGCCUUGUCCAUGUGUUGGCUGUAAGAAUGGUCACAGUUACUCUACAUCAAGAUCCAUUCACGUCCACCUGUUUGAGUCCGGUUUCAUGCCCCACUAUAAUGUUUGGACCAAGCAUGGAGAAAAAGGGGUUAUGAUGGAAGACAAUGAAGAAGAAGAGGACGACGACAGCUAUCCCGGCCAUGGGUUCCCUGAAUACGAUGAUACAACAAUGCGGGAAGAAGCUGAGCUGGUAAUGCGGGAAGAAGCUGAGCCGGCAAUGCGGGAAGAAGCUGAAGAAGAGGCAUCGGAUGAGCCCGUUGAUGAUCUAGGUCGGGCCAUUGCCGAUGCAAAGAGAAACUGCGCAAGUGAUUUGGAGAAGAAGAAGUUGCAGCACAUGUUAGAGGAUCACAAAAAAUUGUUGUACCCGAAUUGCGUAGGUGACAAGAAAAAGCUGGGCACCACACUGGAAUUGCUACAAUGGAAGGCAGAGAAUGGUGUGUCUGACAAGGGAUUUGGAAAGUUUCUGGUAAUGAUAAAGAAUAUGCUUCCAAAGGACAACGAAUUGCCCGAGAGUACGUACGAAGCAAAGAAGGUUGUCUGCCCUCUAGGGUUAGAGGUGCAGAAGAUACAUGCAUGCCCUAAUGAUUGCAUCCUCUACCGCGGUGAGUACGAGGAUUUGAACGCUUGCCCGAUAUACGGUGCAUUACGCUAUAAGAUCAGCCGCGAUGACCCUGGUGAUGUCGAGGGCGAGCGCCCCAGGAAGAAGAUUCCUGCCAAGGUGAUGUUGUAUGCUCCUAUAAUACCACGGUUGAAACAUUUGUUCCAAAAUAAAGAGCAUACCAAGGCGAUGCGGUGGCACAGAGAAGACCGUAAGAAACACGGAAAGUUGAGAGUACCCGCUGACGGGUCGCAGUGGAGAAAAAUCGAAAGAAAGUACGGGAAGGAAUUUGCAGAUGACGCAAGGAACGUAUGGUUUGGUCUAAGCAUAGACGGCAUUAAUCCUUUUGGGGAGCAGACCAGCAACCAUAGCACCUGGCUUGUGACUCUAUGUUUGUAUAACCUUCCUCCUUGGUUGUGCAUGAAGCGGGAGUUCAUUAUGAUGUCAGUGCUCAUCCAAGGUCCUAAGCAACCCAGCAACGACAUUGAUGUGUACCUAAGGCCAUUAGUUGAAGAACUCUUACAACUGUGGAAUGGAACAGGUGUACGUGCGUGGGAUGAGCACAUGGGGGAAGAAUUUGACCUAAAGGCGUUGCUGUUCGUGACCAUCAAUAAUUGGCAUGCUCUCAGUAACCUUUCAGGACAGACAAACAAGGGAUACCACGCAUGCACGCACUGUUUGGACGAUACCGACAGUAUAUAUUUGGCUAAUUGUAAGAAGAAUGUGUACCUGGGACAUCGUCAAUUUCUUCCGAGCAGGCAUCCCAUAAGAAAGAAAGGCAAGCAUUUCAAAGGUGAGGCGGAUCACCGGACAAAGCCUCGCCACUGUACUGAUGCUGAUGUACAUGAUAUGGUCAAGGAUUUGAAGGUGGUCUUUGGAAAGGGUCCUGGUGGACAACCUGUUCCGAAUGACGCUGACGGACGCGCACCCAUGUGGAAGAAGAAAUCUAUAUUUUGGGACCUGCCCUAUUGGAAAGACCUAGAGGUCCGCUCUGCAAUCGACGUGAUGCACGUGACGAAGAAUCUUUGUGUGACCCUGCUUGGCUUCUUGGGCGUGUAUGGGAAGACAAAAGAUACACCUGAGACACGGGAGGACCAGCAACGUAUGCACGGAAAAGACGACAUACAUCAGGGUCAUGCAAGCUACGCUCUUACCAAAGAAGAGAAGGAAAUCUUCUUUGAAUGCCUGCUCAGUAUUAAGGUGCCGUCUGGCUUCUCAUCGAAUAUAAAGGGAAUAAUAAACAUGGCAGAGAAAAAGUUCCAGAACCUAAAGUCUCAUGACUGCCACGUGAUUAUGACGCAACUGCUUCCAGUUGCAUUGAGGGGGCUUCUACCGGAAAACGUUUAAUUAGCCAUUGUGAAGCUAUGUGCAUUCCUCAAUGCAAUCUAUCAGAAGGUAAUCGAUCCAGAAAUCAUACCAAGGUUAGAGAAUGAUUUGGUGCAAUGUCUUGUCAGUUUCGAGUUGGUGUUCCCACCAUCCUUCUUCAACAUCAUGACGCACGUCCUAGUUCACCUAUGCGAAGAGAUUAACGUUUUGGGUCCUCUAUUUCUACACAAUAUGUUCCCCUUUGAGAGGUUCAUGGGAGUCUUAAAGAAAUAUGUUCAUAACCGUGCUAGGCCAAAAGGAAGCAUCUCCAAGGCCAUGAAAAUGAGGAGGUCAUUGAGUUUUAUAUUGACUUUAUUCCCGACCUUAAGCCAAUUGGUGUUCCUGAAUCGCGGCAUAAGGGCAGACUAGAUGGAAAAGGCACGCUAGGAGGGGAACAAAUAAUAUUUAUGGACGGACAUUCUCUCACUGAAGCACACUGCACAGUUCUACAGAAUUCUGCCUUGGUGACUCCGUAUAUGGAUGAACACAAGAAUUUGCUACGCUCCAAACACACGGAGCGGUCUGAUCACUGGAUUACACGUGAACAAACCAGGAGUUUCGCCAGCUGGUUGCAGACACGUACCAUGCAUGACGCCUCUAUUGAAGAUGACAUGUACUUGUUGUCCCAGUUACCAUCUUCGAAUAUAAUGACUUUCAAAGGGUACGAGAUAAAUGGUAAUACAUUUUACACGAUCGCCCAAGAUAAGAAGAGCACCAACCAAAACAGUGGUGUCCGCUUUGACGCAGAAACCUGAAGGAAAUAUGCCCUAGAGGCAAUAAUAAAGUUAUUAUUUAUUUCCUUAUAUCAUGAUAAAUGUUUAUUAUUCAUACUAGAAUUGUAUUAACCGGAAACAUCAUACAUGUGUGAAUACAUAGACAAACAUAGUGUCACUAGUAUGCCUCUACUUGACUAGCUCAUUAAUCGAAGAUGGUUAUGUUUCCUAACCAUGAACAAAAGAGUUGUUAUUUGAUUAACGGGAUCACAUCACCCAUUCCAUUAGCUUAGCACCCGAUCAUUUAGUAUGUUGCUAUUGCUUUCUUCAUGACUUAUACAUGUUCCUAUGACUAUGAGAUUAUGCAACUCCCGUUUGCCGGAGGAACACGUUGUGUGCUACCAAACGUCACAACGUAACUGGGUGAUUAUAAAGGAGCUCUACAGGUGUCUCCAAAGGUACAUGUUGGGUUGGCGUAUUUCAAGAUUAGGAUUUGUCACUCCGAUUGUCGGAGAGGUAUCUCUGGGCCCUCUCGGUAAUGCACAUCACAUAAGCCUUGCAAGCAUUGCAACUAAUGAGUUAGUUGCGAGAUGAUGUAUUACGGAACGAGUAAAGAGACUUGCCGGUAACGAGAUUGAACUAGGUAUUGAGAUACCGACGAUCGAAUCCCGGGCAAGUAACAUACCGAUGACAAAGGGAACAACGUAUGUUGUUAUGCGGUCUGACUGAUAAAUAUCUUCAUAGAAUAUGUGGGAGCCAAUAUGAGCAUCCAGGUUCCGCUAUUGGUUAUUGACCGGAGACGUGUCUCGGUCAUGUCUACAUUGUUCUCGAACCCGUAGGGUCCGCACGCUUAAGGUUUCGAUGACAGUUUCAUUAUGAGUUUAUAUGUUUUGAUGUACCGAAGGAGUUCAGAGUCCCAAAAUGGUCAAGACGUAAAGAUCGAUAUAUUGGACGACUAUAUUCGGACAUCGGAAAGGUUCCGAGUGAUUCGGGUAUUUUUGGAGGUACCGGGGAGUUACGGGAAUACGAGGAAGAAGCAAUGGACCUUAAUGGGCCCUAGUGGGAAGGACCAGGAGGUGGCGCGCGCCCCUCCCAAGCCCAGUCCGAAUUGGACAAGGGGUUUGGGGUGCGGCCCCUCUCUCCCUUCCUUCCUCUCUUCCCACCUUUCCCCCCUUCUCCUAGUUGGACUAGGAAAGGAGGAAACCUAGUCCAACUAGGAGUAGGAAUCCUACUCCCCUAGCGUGCCCCUCCUAGGGCCGGCCUCGUCCCCCCUUGCUGCUUUAUAUACGGGGGCAGGGGGGCACCCCAUGGACACAACAAUUGAUCCUUGAGAUCUUUUAGCCGUGUGCGGUGCCCCCCUCCACCAUAAUCCUCGAUAAUAUUGUAGCGGUGCUUAGGCGAAGCCCUGCAAAGGUAGAGCAUCAAGAUCGUCACCACAUCGUCGUGCUGACGGCACUCAUCCCCGACACUUUGCUGGAUCGGAGUCCGGGGAUCGUCAUCGAGCUGAACGUGUGCUAGAACUCGGAGGUGCCGUAGUUUCGGUGCUUGAUCGGUCGAGCCGUGAAGACGUACGACUACAUCAACCGCGUUGUCAUAACACUUCUGCUGUCGGUCUACGAGGGUACGUAGAUCAUACUCUCCCCUCUCGUUGCUAUGCAUCACCAUGAUUUUGCGUGUGCGUAGGAAAUUUUUUGAAAUUACUACGUUCUCCAACAGUGGCAUCCGAGCCUAGGUUUUAUGCGUUGAUGUAAUAUGCACGAGUAGAACACAAGUGAGUUGUGGGCGAUAUAAGUCAUACUGCUUACCAGCAUGUCACAAUUUGGUUCGGCGGUAUUGUUGGAUGAAGCAGCCCGGACCGACAUUACGCGUACGCUUACCUGACUGGUUCUACCGACGUGCUUUGCACACAGAUGGCUGGCGGGUAUCAGUUUCUCCAACUUUAGUUGAACCGAGUGUGGCUAUGCCCAGUCCUUGCGAAGGUUAAAACAGCACCAACUUGACAAACUAUCGUUGUGGUUUUGAUGCGUAGGUAAGAACGGUUCUUGCUCAGCCUAGUAGCAGCCACUUAAAACUUGCAACAACAAAGUAGAGGACGUCUAACUUGUUUUUGCAGGGCAUGUUGUGAUGUGAUAUGGUCAAGACGUGAUGAGAUAUAAGUUGUUGUAUGAGAUGAUCAUGUUUUGUUGAAGUUAUCGGCAACUGGCAAAAUCUUUAUGGUUGUCUCUCUAUUGCAUAAGAUGCAAGUGCCCAAUAAUUGCUUUACUUUAUCGCUAUGUGAUAGCAAUAGUUGCAAGAGCAAUUGUUGGCGAGACGACCAUGUGACGAUACAUUGAUAUAGAUCAAGAUGAUGGAGAUCAUGGUGUCAUGCCGGUGAAGAUAUAGAUCAUGACAGUACUUUGGAGAUGGAGAUCAAAGGCGCAAGAUGAUGAUGGCCAUAUCAUUUCACAUAUUUUGAUUGCAUAUGAUGUUUAUCUUUUAUACAUCUUAUUUUUGCUUAGUUUGACGGUAGCAUUUUAAGAUGAUCUCUCACUAAUUAUCAAGAAGUGUUCUCCCUGAGUAUGCACCGUUGCGAAAGUUCUUCAUGCUGAGACACCACGUGAUGAUCGGGUGUGAUAGGCUCUACGUUCAAAUACAAUGGGUGCAAAACAGUUGCACACGCGGAAUACUCAGGUUAAACUUGACGAGCCUAGCAUAUACAGAUAUGGCCUCGGAACACGGAGACCGAAAGGUCGAACGUGAAUCAUAUAGUAGAUAUGAUCAACAUAGUGAAGUUCACCAUUGAAAACUACUCCAUCUCACGUGAUGAUCGGACAUGGUUUAGUUGAUUUGGAUCACGUGAUCACUUAGAGGAUUAGAGGGAUGUCUAUCUAAGUGGGAGUUCUUAAGUAAUAUGAUUAAUUGAACUUUAAUUUAUCAUGAACUUAGUCCUGGUAGUAUUAGCAUAUCUAUGUUGUAGAUAAAUAGCUCGCGUUGUUGCUUCCCUGUGUUUAUUUUGAUAUGUUCCUAGAGAAAAUUGUGUUGAAAGAUGUUAGUAGCAAUGAUGCGGAUUGGAUCCGUGAUCUGAUGUUUAUCCUCAUUGCUGCACAGAAGAAUUAUGUCCUUGAUGCACCUCUAGGUGACAGACCUAUUGCAGGAGCAGAUGCAGACGUUAUGAACGUUUGGUAGCUCAAUAUGAUGACUACUUGAUAGUUUAGUGCACCAUCCUUAACGGCUUAGAAUCGGGACUUCAAAGACGUUGUGAACAUCAUGGACUAUAUGAGAUGUUCCAGGAGUUGAAGUUAAUAUUUCAAGCAAAUACCCGAGUUGAGAGAUAUGAAGUUUCCAACAAGUUCUAUAGCUAAAAGAUGGAGGAGAAUCGCUCAACUAGUGAGCAUGUGCUCAGAUUGUCUGGAUACUACAAUCGCUUGAAUCAAGUGGGAGUUAAUCUUCCAGAUAAGAUAGUGAUUGACAGAAUUCUUUAGUCACCAUCACCAAGUUAGUAGAACUUCGUGAUGAACUAUAGUAUGCAAGGGAUGACGAAAACGACUCCCGAGCUUUUCAUGAUGAUGAAAUUGAUGAAGGUAGAAAUCACGAAAGAGCAUCAAGUUUUGAUGGUUGACAAGACCACUAGUUUUAAGAGAAGAGCAAAGGGGAGAAGGGGAACUUCAAGAAGAAUGGCAAGCAAGUUGCUACUCAAGUGAAGAAGCCCAUGUCUGAUCCUAAGCCUGAGACUAAGUGCUUCUAUUGCAAAGGGACUGAUCACUGUAAGUGGAACUGCCCCAAGUAUUUGGCGGAUAAGAAGGAUGGCAAAGUGAACAUAAGUAUAUUUGAUAUACAUGUUAUUGAUGUGUACUUUACUAGUGUUUAUAGCAACCCCUCAGUAUUUGAUACUAGUUCAGUUACUAUGAUUAGUAACUUGAAUCAGAAGUUGCAGAAUGAACAAAGACUAGUUAAGGGUGAGGUGACGAUGUGUGUUGGAAGUAGUUCCAAGAUUGGUAUGAUCAUCAUCGCACACUCCCUAUACUUUUGGGAUUAGUGUUCAACCUAAAUAAGUGUUAUUUGGUGUUUUUAUGAAUAUGAUUUGAUCAUGUUUAUUACAAUACGGUUAUUCAUUUAAGUAAGAGAAUAAACUGUUGUUCUGUUUACAUGAAUAAAACCUUAUAUGGUUACACACCCAAUGAAAAUGGUUCACUGGAUCUCGAUCGUAGUGAUACACAUAUUCAUAAUAUUGAAGCCAAAAGAUGCAAAGUUAAUAAUGAUAGUGCAACUUAUUUGUGGCACUGCCGUUUAGGUCAUAUUGGUGUAAAGCACAUGAAGAAACUCCAUGCUGAUGGACUUUUGGAAUCACUUGAUUAUGAAUCACUUGAUGCUUGCGAACCAUGCCUCAUGGGCAAGAUGACUAAGACUCCGUUCUCCGGAACAAUGGAGCGAGCAACUGACUUAUUGGAAAUAAUACAUAUUGAUGUAUGCGAUCCAAUGAGUGUUGGAGCUCGCGGCGGGUAUCGUUAUUUUCUGACCUUCAUAGAUGAUUUGAGCAGAUAUGAGUAUAUCUACUUGAUGAAACACAAGUCUGAAACAUUUGAAAAGUUCAAAGAAUUUCAGAGUGAAGUGGAGAAUCAUCGUAACAAAAAUAAAAGUUUCUACGAUAUGAUCGCAGAAGUAAAUUAUUUGAGUUACGAGUUUGGACUUCAGUUAAAAACAAUGUGAAAUAGUUUCACUACUCACGCCACCUGGAACACCACAGGAUAAUGGUGUGUCCGAACAUCAUAACCAUACUUUAUUAGAUAUGGUGCGAUCUAUGAUGUCUGUUACCGAUCUACCACUAUCGUUUUGGGGUUAUGCAUUAGAGACAGCUGCAUUCACAUUAAAUAGGGCACCAUCUAAAUCUGUUGAGACGACACCGUAUGAACUAUGGUUUGGCAAAGAAACCUAAGCUGUCGUUUCUUAAAAUUUGAGGUUGCAAUGCUUAUGUGAAAAAGUUUCAACCUGAUAAGCUCUAACCCAAAUCGGAGAAGUGCGUCUUCAUAGGAUACCCAAAAGAAAAUGUUGGGUACACCUUCUAUCACAGAUCUGAAGGCAAUAUAUUCGUUGCUUUGAAUGGAUCCUUUCUAGAGAAGGAGUUUCUCUCGAAAGAAGUGAGUGGGAGGAAAGUAGAACUUGAUGAGGUAACUGUACCUGCUCCGUUAUUGGAAAGUAGUUCAUCACAGAAAUCUGUUCCUAUGACUACUACACCAAUUAGUGAGGAAGCUAAUGAUGAUGAUCAUGUAACUUCAGAUCAAGUUACUACCGAACCUCGUAGGUAAACCAGAGUGAGAUCCACACCAGAGUGGUACGGUAAAUCCUGUUCUAGAGGUCAUGUUACUUGACCAUGACGAGCCUACGAACUAUGAGGAAGCGAUGAUGAGCCCAGAUUCCGCGAAAUGGCUUGAGGCCAUGAAAUCUGAGAUGAGAUCCAUGUAUGAGAACAAAGUAUGGACUUUGAUUGACUUGCCCAAUGAUCGGCGACCAAUUGAGAUUAAAUGGAUCUUCAAGAGGAAGACGGACGUUGAUAGUAGUGUUACUAUCUACAAAGCUAGAAUUGUCGCAAAAGGUUUUCGACAAGUUCAAGGUGUUGACUACGAUGAGAGUUUCUCACUCGUAUCGAUGCUUAAGUCUGUCCGAAUCAUGUUAGCAAUUGCCGCAUUUUAUGAUUAUGAAAUUUGGUAAAUGGAUAAACAAAACUGCAUUCCUUAAUGGAUUUAUUAAAGAAAAGUUGUAUAUGAUGCAACCAGAAGGUUUUGUCAAUCCUAAAGGUGUUAACAAAAUGUGCAAGCUCCAGCGAUCCAUCUAUGGACUGGUGCAAGCAUCUCAGAGUUGGAAUAUACGCUUUGAUGAGUUGAUCAAAGCAUAUAGUUUUAUACAGACUUGCGGUGAAGCCUGUAUUUACAAGAAAGGGAGUGGGAGCACUACAACAUUUCUGAUAAGUAUAUGUGAAUGCCAUAUUGUUGAUCGAAAAUAAUGUAGAAUUAUUCUGCAAAGCAUAAAGGAGUGUUUGAAAGGAGUUUUUAAAAAAGAAAGACCUCGGUGAAGCUGCUUACAUAUUGAGCAUCGAGAUCUAUAGAGAUAGAUCAAGACACUUGAUAAGUUUUUUCAAUGAGUAUAUACCUUGACAAGAUUUUGAAGUAGUUCAAAAUGGAACAGUCAAAAAAAGAGUUCUUACCUGUGUUACAAGGUGUGAAAUUGAUUAAGACUCAAAGCCCGACCACGGCAGAAGAUAGAAAGAGAAUGAAAGUCAUUCCCUAUGCCUCAGCCAUAGAUUCUAUAAAGUAUGCCAUGCUAUGUAGCAGAUCUAUUGUAUUACCCUACACUGUGUUAAGCGAGGGAAUACAAUAGUGAUCUAAGAGUAGAUCACUGGACAACGGUCAAAAUUAGCCUUAGUGGAAUAAGGAAAUAUUUCUCGAUUAUGGAGGUGAAAAAAGGUACGUCGUAAAAAGUUACGUCGAUGCAAGUUUUGACACAGAUCUGGAUGACUCUAAGUCUCGAUCUAGAUACAUAUUGAAAGUGGGAGCAAUUAGCUAGAGUAGCUCCGUGCAGAGCAUUGUAGACAUAGAAUUCGCAAAAUACUUACGGAUCUGUAUGUGACAGACCCCUUGACUAAAAUUAUUUCACAAGCAAAACAUGAUCACACCUUAGUACUCAUUGGGUGUUAAUCACAUAACCGAUAUGAACUAUAUUACUGACUCUAGUAAACCCUUUGGGUGUAGGUCACAUGACGAUGUGAACUAUGGGUGUUAAUCACGUGGUGAUGUGAACUAUUAGUGUUGAAUCCCAUGGCAAUGUGAACUAGAUUAUUGACUCUAGUGCAAGUGGGAGACUGAAGGAAAUAUGCCCUAGAGGCAAUAAUAAAGUUAUUAUUUAUUUCCUUAUAUCAUGAUAAAUGUUUAUUAUUCAUACUAGAAUUGUAUUAACCGGAAACAUCAUACAUGUGUGAAUACAUAGAUAAACAUAGUGUCACUAGUAUGCCUCUACUUGACUAGCUCGUUAAUCGAAGAUGGUUAUGUUUCCUAACCAUGAACAAAAGAGUUGUUAUUUGAUUAACGGGAUCACAUCAUUAUAAGAAUGAUGUGAUUGACAUGACUCAUUCCAUUAGCUUAGCACCCGAUCGUUUAGUAUGUUGCUAUUGCUUUCUUCAUGACUUAUACAUGUUCCUAUGACUAUGAGAUUAUGCAACUCCCGUUUGCCGGAGGAACACUUUGUGUGCUACCAAACGUCACAACGUAACUGGGUGAUUAUAAAGGAGCUCUACAGGUGUCUCCAAUGGUACAUGUUGGGUUGGCGUAUUUCAAGAUUAGGAUUUGUCACUCCGAUUGUCGGAGAGGUAUCUCUGGGCCCUCUCGGUAAUGCACAUCACACAAGCCUUGCAAGCAUUGCAACUAAUGAGUUAGUUGCGAGAUGAUGUAUUACGGAACGAGUAAAGAGACUUGCCGGUAACGAGAUUGAACUAGGUAUUGAGAUACUGACGAUCGAAUCCCGGGCAAGUAACAUACCGAUGACAAAGGGAACAACGUAUGUUGUUAUGCGGUCUGACCGAUAAAGAUCUUCAUAGAAUAUGUGGGAGCAAAUAUGAGCAUCCAGGUUCUGCUAUUGGUUAUUGACCGGAGACGUGUCUCGGUCAUGUCUAUAUUGUUCUCGAACCCGUAGGGUCCGCACGCUUAAGGUUUCGAUGACAGUUUCAUUAUGAGUUUAUAUGUUUUGAUGUACCGAAGGAUUUCGGAGUCCCGGAUGAGAUCGGGGACAUGACAAGGAGUCUCGAAAUGGUCGAGACGUAAAGAUCGAUAUAUUGGACGACUAUAUUCGGACAUCGGAAAGAUUCCGAGUGAUUCGGGUAUUUUCGGAGGUACCGGGGAGUUACGGGAAUACGAGGAAGAAGCAAUGGGCCUUAAUGGGCCCUAGUGGAAAGGACCAGGAGGUGGCGCGCGCCCCUCCCAAGCCCAGUCCGAAUUGGACAAGGGGUUUGGGGCGCGGCCCCUCUCUCCCUUCCUUCCUCUCUUCCCCCCUUUCCCCCUUUCUCCUAGUUGGACAAGGAAAGGAGGAAACCUAGUCCAACUAGGAGUAGGAAUCCUACUCCCCUAGCGCGCCCCUCCUAGGGCCGGCCUCGUCCCCCCUUGCUGCUUUAUAUACGGGGGCAGGGGGCACCCCAUGGACACAACAAUUGAUCCUUGAGAUCUUUUAGCCGUGUGCGGUGCCCCCCUCCACCAUAAUCCUCGAUAAUAUUGUAGCGGUGCUUAGGCGAAGCCCUGCAAAGGUAGAGCAUCAAGAUCGUCACCACACCGUCAUGCUGACGGAACUCAUCCCCGACACUUUGUUGGAUCGGAGUCCGGGGAUCGUCAUCAAGCUGAACAUGUGCUAGAACUCGGAGGUGCCGUAGUUUCGGUGCUUGAUCGGUCGGGCCGUGAAGACGUACGACUACAUCAACCGCAUUGUCAUAACGCUUCCGCUGUCGGUCUAUGAGGGUACAUAGAUCAUACUCUCCCCUCGCGUUGCUAUGCAUCACCAUGAUCUUGCGUGUGCAUAGGAAUUUUUUUGAAAUUACUACGUUCCCCAACAAAACCAAGACGGGAAAGGAAACAUGUUAUGGUUAUAUACAGGACAUAUGGGAACUUGACUAUCAACGUGGUUUGAAGGUCCCUUUGUUUCGGUGCAAAUGGGUCAAUAUGACACGAGGCGGGGUAACGGAAGACCCGCAGUACGGAAUGACAACAGUGGAUCUCAACAAUCUUGCGUAUGCAGACGAACCAUUUGUCCUAGCCAAUGAUGUGGCACAGGUUUUCUAUGUGAAAGGCAUGUCUACCAAGCCGAGAAAAAGUAAAGAUAAGGAAGUGAAUGCAUCGUACGAUGAGCCAAAGCGGCACAUAGUUCUUUCUGGGAAGAGAAACAUCGUGGGAGUGGAUGACAAGACAGACAUGUCAGGAGAUUAUGAAAAGUUUGAUGAAAUUGCUCCAUUCACAGUGAAUAUUGACCUGAACAUCCAGUUAAAUGAUGAAGUUUUUCCAUGGCUACGGCGGAAAGGGACACACGCGAAGUAAAAGUUUCACAUCCAAAGAUCUGGGAUGUGAUCGGCUUCACUAUCAUCACUUUCUUCUUUGUUUCACACCCAGGAGGGAAUCUUUGUAAUAGUUAGGGUAGCUAGUUAUGUGUUUUGGCAUUUGAAACGCGAAGAAAUUUUAUGUGCAAGCAAAUUCUUUCAUGCAUUUACUGAUUUUUUCAGCUAAAUGACCCUGAAAUUGAAAAGCAUUUCAAAUGAACUCAGAAAAGGUUGAAAUUUGGCAUGGUAUCAUAAUUUCACCCACAUAUUAUGUGCAAAAAAGUAGAGAGGGUUACCGCAAAAACUAGAUGCACUUCGUGUACAAAAUGGACAAUCUAUUUCGAAGUAUCAGUGUUUCGGAUGAAACCUCAUCCGUUACAAAGGCAUUUCAUUUUUUAAAUAACCUAAGCAUUACCAAAUUGAAUAUAAUGAUAAAACAUACUAAUAUUAAACAUAAAAAAAGAAUCACUAAAAAAUCUAUUUUCAAAGUUAAGUUAUUCACAAACUAGUGAUUCACACAAAUUUCAAAUAAUUCAAAAUUUAAACUAUUCAAAUUUGUAAACUACCGGUACUAACAGAAAGUUUGUAAUUUUUUGUACCUAAAGCAGAAAUAUUCACAAAGAAACUCUAAAUACAGCAAAAAAACAAUUCAAAAAUAAAUAAAACAAAAAUAAAUAAAGCAAAAAAUAAGAAAAAAAAGCCCACCUAUUAGUUAUAGAAAUAUUAGAAAUGUUAGUUAUAUAGAAUUGUUAGUUAUAUAGAAAUAUAAGAAAUGUUAGUUAUAUUAGAAAUGUUAGUUAUAUAGAAAUGUUACUUAUAGAAAUGUUUUUUAGUUAUAGAAAUAUUAGAAAUGUUAGUUUUAGUUAUAGAAAUAUUAGAAAUGUUAGAUUUAGUUAUACAACUUAGAAUUUGCAUAUAUGAAAUCACAAUCCUUCAUUUAAAAAUGUUACUUUACUUUUGCGGCAUAUAGUAUUUGUUGUCGAUGAUGUCUGGCCCGCAUCCUCGCCGUCGACCCAUUCGCGAUGACAUCCUGCUUCAGAGGACCCAUGUCCGGGACUGGGCUCCGCCGGGCUAGCACUGGGAGGUGCUACCUUCAGGGGCGUGACGCUUGGUGAGGAACCCGGCCCCGGGUCCCGUCGUCGACCCUCAUCUCCUUUGGUGGCGUUCGCGUGGGCCACUUUCGGUGCGGAGGGAGCCGGCCCCGCCGGAGGUGGUACGUCGCCGUAUCAGGGAGGAGGACGAGCACGUCCAUCGCUACAUGGCUGCUAUGGACGUCAGGUUCUCCAAUACCUGGCAGGUUUUUUGGGGAGAUCACCCGAGCUAUGAUCCAAUGAUGGUUCCUUCACUUUGGUUGUCCACCGCCUAGAUUACUCUCUAGUAUUGGAUCUUUAUUAGCUAGCUAGCUAGUGAUGUAUUCGAUAUAUAAUAUUCGAGAUGAUUUAUUCGAGAUUAUAUAUAUUAUUCGAGACGAUGUAUUCGAGAUUAUAUAUAUUAUUCGAGACGACGUAUCCGAGAUUAUAUUCGAUGAUGCUUAUUAUGUACUAUGAUUGAUUCUGUUUUUCCUUAUUAAUUGAUUGCAUCCAUGCAUUGUAAUUUGAAUAUAUAUCUUUUGGAUUAGUUAAAUAAAACCUAUGGCGGACAAUACCGGCAGAGAGGGAGAAGAGGCCCUGUUCAAUAUCAUACGCAAUCCUCGCGGGGCAGAUGAUGAUCAGAAUGAAGAAGAUUAUGACGGCUCCGAAUAUCUAAACAACACCGGGGAGGGUGAUAUGAUAUUCGAUCGCGACGACCAAAUUGAUGAAGUCAUGAACUAUGAACAUGACGAAGAAAAUGUUGAUCUUGAAAAAACAAAGACCGGCGAGGUAUAUAUAUUUAUAUAAGCAGGCAUCUGGUGAUCAUCACAUGUUUUAAAUGACUUGAAUAUAGAUUAACGAAUCAAUCUUUCUUCUUUCAGCCAUCUGGAUCGAGCAAAUAUGCAGGCAACAGGAAACCAGGCCCGAACAAAAAAUUGAAGAAGGGCGUAAAGUACAAUAUCGAGGCCAUCAAACCUAAUGGCGAACCAUUAGCGCCUAAGAAGAUUGCGGACAAGUUCAUUCGUCAGUACGGAGUUCUUGUGAAGGACCAACUCCCGAUCUCCCUUCAAGAAUGGAGAGAGCCAGCAAAGCCACGUCCAGGAGUUACUUUUGUCGAUGACAGACAACAACUUCUGCUUUGGGAAACGCUCAUGGAACAUUUCACCCUACCAGAUCAUUUCACAGAUGCAGAUGUGGAGAAAGUCAAGGACGCUGCUCUUAGGAAGAUGGCGGUUGCAUUCAACAACCACAAGAAUCGUGAAUGGGCCAAGUACGUCAAGGGAGGAAGGAAGACUCCGGUAUUCGAGGGAACACUAGAGAAGCAAAGUGCUCAUUGGGACGAUUUCGUGGAAUUCAAGGAUUCGGAAUUAUCUAAGGAACGGUCGAGAAUAAACAAGGCCAAUGCCACAAAAAAGGGUAAGUUCCAUAAGCUGGGGCCAGGUGGCUAUGCGGUGGGAAUGCCUAAGUGGGAUAAGUCUGAGAAAGAGGUGGAGGAUGCAGGUGUCACUCCAAAAACAUUGAGCUGGGCCCCCAGGUGCAGGACUUGGUUCUAUGCGCAUGGGGGGGAGUUGGACCCGAAGACAGGCAAAGUUUCGAAGAAGGCAUGUCUGGACGGAGCCGAAGAUAAGCUACUUGUUGCAAUAGAAGAGGCUCGAUCGGGGGUGUUCCAGUACAAGAGAGAGAACGACGAGCUUACGCGUGCCCUGGGAAAUCCUGAACACCCGGGAAGAACACGAGGCAUGGGCGCUAUUCCGUGGUAUGAGGGGUUUUCGGACUGGAAUGCCGACUACAGAACCCGUGCGAGAAAGAAGAUUGCGGAGGAGAAGAAGAGGAAGAUGGAGGAGGAGCAGAGGAAGCUGGACUAUGAACGCCUUCAAGGACUAGAAUCAGCGCACGCGGACUUGGCAGUCAAAUUCUAGCGGCGGCAGGAGCAGAUCGACUCACUUAGCCAGCAAAGGGGGUCUUAGCAGCUACAGCAGCUAGCGGAUGAUCCAGCAUUGGAUAGCACCGUCCCAUCCACGUCAAGAAGCAGCGUGGGUUCCGCCCCGGGCGACGCAUUGCUGGAUAGCUACCUAGUGGAUGACAUCAUGGAGAACACUAACUGCGAGCUACACUUCAAAAUGAAGAACAUAUCCAUGAAGGUGGCGGACGCCCUUGCUUUUACAAAUCCCCCCGAGGCAACCUUCCAUUGCAACCCGUUUCCAGCGGGCUAUGCUCGUGUCUUGGUUGAUGAGGUGGUGGACAAAUAUUCGGGGCUAGAGCUUGACAUUCCUGAAGGUGACGAUGAGCACACACUGGGAGAGGCCAACCAUCGUAUCAUCCUAUGGAGAAAGGAUUGCAUCAUCUUUCGAAGGCCACCGACACCGCGUCAUCCGACUCCUCAUCGAAGUCCGCCACCGAGUCAGCAGACUCCCGCUCCUCCAAGUCCACCAACGCGUCAGGCCACUCCUCCUCCAAGUCCGGCACAUCUUCAGGCCACUCCUCCUUCUCCAAGUCCGGCAAAGCAUCAUACCACUUCUCCUCCAAGUCCGGCACAGCUUCAGGCCACUCCUCCUCCAAGUCCGGCACAGCUUCAGGCCACUCCUCCUCCUCCUCUAACUCAGCCACGUCAGCCGUCUUCGCCGCCUCAGCAAUCACGGAAGAGAGCUGCCUCAACUAUGGUGCGUAGCGGUACAAGUCGAGGUAGUACUGGAGGUACAGCCGGAGGCAAGCAAUUUCAAUAUGGUUCAAGCCUCGCGCCUCUUCCGCAGAGGCCUUAGGACAAGUCCGAGAAGGAAAAUGUAGCCAUAUCGAAGACCGAGGUGGAAGCCCAUUUUGCACCGAAACCGCCACCACCGCCAAGGGAGAAAGUGCCUGAGGAAAAGAUUGACCACUUCAUUCGUAUGGCUAGAGCACCAGCUCCUAAGCCUGUUGACACAGACUAUGAGCGCCACAUCAAGAAGUUAAAUCGAGCAUGUCUACAGAAAGAGGCGAGCUCGAGCUCGAGCAAAUCAGCUGGCAAAAGGAGUGGUAAAACCGUUCCCCAGCUGGAGAACAGGCGGCGCAAUCAAUCCCCCCGCUUGUUGUGCCAACAACACAUGAGAGUAGGCGCGCCCAAUAUUAUUGUGGGCAAACCGUUAAUGUUUCCCGGGCUGGGCGAUGUGGUAAUAACCGAGGAGCAUAUUGAGCAGGCUGAAACGCUCAUGAUCACUGUUGGACAACUCCUCGAUAUCGAGCCCAUGUCUCCGACUAGAGAGGAGGAAAUAAAACGGAAAUAUGUCUGGGCCAACCUUUGGUCGAGCCAGACGAGGUCAAGAAGCUCCCAACGAGAAUGUAUGAAUUGCAUCAAUGGUACAUGGACAUUACCAAGAUUUCCAAUCGAAAGUCCCUCAUGGUGAAUGUCAAGAAGGAUCAUUACUACCAUGAGAAAGCUAUGUCCGUUGAGUAUUCAGAACUAUUUCAGCUAUACAAUCAAGACGCACUCGACAAAUCUAUCGUCAGUUGCUAUUGUCUGUAAGUGAUUUCUUUCUAUAAUUUAAGUCUCAAGCUAGUUGUAGUGAUCAUUUUGAUCAAUCAUUACCUGUAUAAUUAUCCUUACUAUAUUCUUUUCUGUGGUAUUAUGCAGGAUGAAGAUUUAUGAAAUGAAAAAAGGUGGACACUAUGGCAUUGGGUCGACCCAAAUACCAUUAAUGAAUACACAUGGAAAUUAGAUCCAUAUUACGAAAAAAGUGUAGACGAAAGCAUGCUAGAGUUCUUCAAGCGCCUCAAAUACAAUGAAGAUAUACUACUUCCUUACAACUUCGAGUGAGUCACACUGUCUUGUACUACAAAUUUUGUUUUUGCCUACUAGCUAGCUACAUGUUUUUUCUUACAUAUGCCCGCUUAAUUAAGACACGCAAACGUGUGUGCAUGCAGAUUUCAUUGUAUCUUGUUAAUCAUUAAAGUUGAUGAAGGAACAGUUGAAGUACUAGACCCACUACUUAAGAAACCAGCUGACUACACCAUCGUGAAGGGGAUAGUCAACAGGUAAUUUCAAUCAUUAUUAACUAUAUCUCGGCCUAUUUAAUUAGUUCGUCAUUUCCUGAUAACAACUAUUUAAUAACUCAUUUAUUCAUUUUCUUUGUCGGCGGGCAAGGCUUGGUCAAAGUUCAUCAGCGUCACUCCAGGCCAAUGGAAACCAAAUCUGAAAUGGUAUCGACCCCAGGUAAGUAAUUAAGUAGUACUAGCUAGCUGCCAUCUCUUUAAUUAUCAUGCUUGAUUAAUUAUUAUCUGAUCAAAUUCCAUUCUCGUAAAGGCCCUGAAGCAGGCGCCGGGGAAUAAUUUGUGUGCAUACUACGUUUGCGAGAACAUUCGCAUGAUGGCGUCCGAAAGGAGCAGAUCUCCAAGACAGGAGUGGGUACGUUUGUCAGAACACUAUUCACAAUUUUUACACCAUUAUCGAUAUCUAGUCACACAACUAAUACACAUGCAUAUUGAUCUCCUUCUUAACAGUUCAAAGAGGUGCGGAAGAAGCUCCUACCCGAGGACCGCAUAGAAGCAAUUCAAGAGGAAAUAGCGGGAUUUUUGCUCGACCAGGUCAUAAAUCCCAAAGGAGAAUACUAUUACCCGCUAUCGCCCCCAUGAACCACUUCCAAUUGUUAUCGUGCUCCGAAGGCACCAAUUAGAAGAAAUUGUAUAUAGCUAGCUAAUUGUGUAUAUAUAUAUAUAUAUAUAUAUAUAUAUAUAUAUAUGAUCGGUUCUACUAGAAAUUCUAUUUAUAUAUAUGCAUAACGUGUACAAUAUGUAGUAUCGUAAAAUACCAGCAAACGAAAAAGAAUUAAAUGGAAAACACAAAAUUAAAUGAAAAAGAAAUCAUAAACCCAAAACCCCCCAACCUUUUAAUACCGGUUGGUGUCACCAACCGGUACUAAAGGGCUCCCUGCCCCCGGAGCUGGCUCGUGCCACAUGGUUGCCCUUUAGCACCUGUUCGUGCUGAGCCGGUACUAAGGGGGGGGGGCUUUAGUGCCCACACUUUAGUGCCGGUUACUGAACCGGCACUAAAGGGCCUUACGAACCGGUGCUAUUGCCCGGUUCUGCACUAGUGUACCCACGACCACAAGGGGUUGGGCUCCGGCAACGUGGAAUUCAUCAACCUCUCAUUCAAUGAUGAGUAGUUUUAGCUUAGUUUAGCUUUAAUCUAGGACCAGUAUUGUGUAAUUAAGGUACUUUUAUGUUUAAUGCAGGAAGUACUGUAUCCUUAAGCAGUAAGUUAUGUAAAUCUAGUUUUAACUUGUGUUUUAAUUAGUAUUUGCGCAAAUUUUAGCAUUCGAGGAGUUAAGAAUAUGGGGGCAGAGGUCAGGGGCGGAGCCAGGAUUUCACCAUGGGGGGGGGGCGAGGAACACAUUGAAGCACACAUGAGACAUAACACAAAAAUAUUUCAAGUCUUGAAUAUUGUAUCGAUAUCAAACAUGUAAUAGUAUAAGCUUUACAAUAAAAAGACUACAUUUCUACUAGUUUGAAUGCAGAUCUACGCCCCCCAGCCGGUCGAUCAAACAAAUCAAUAAUCUCAUUAACAUUGAACUUUGCAGCUAUUUCCUUCCCAAUGUAUACAACCAUGUAAGGUCGAAGAAAAUCGUCACCCAUUUUACUUCGGAGAUGUGUCUUGAUAAUCUUCAUUGCUGAAAAAGCUCUCUCCGCAGUUGCAGUUGACACCGGGAGAGUGAUGACCAAGCGCAAUAAUCUAUCAACCAUUGGAUACACAGAGGCUUUACCUGUUUUAUGCAAUGCAACGGUCAAAUCAGCCAGUGAUGACAAAGAAUUCAGCUCUGGAUGGUUGCAAACAUCUAACUGAUAGUGUGGAAGUUGUGACUCCAGGCGAGCCUGCUCUUGACUAGAAAAAUCCGCUGGAUAGAAGUUGUCCACAAGCAUGCAAAUCUUUGAUAUGUCAAACGAGUCAUGCCUUGGAUCCAAGGAUGCACAGAGUGUCAUUAGCUCUGUUGUCUGAACGCUAAAACGGUCAUUUAGCUCAACCAGUUGUUGAUCUAUCGCCACAUUGAACACAUCUGCUUUGUAGUGGUGAAGCACCGUGAUGUUAUUAUGUUUAUUCCGAGACUUAGUCACAUCAACAUAUCUGUAAAUUACAAAUACAGUAUAUGUGUUAGAGUAAAGCAUAUGUGAUCAAUAUUAUUCUAUUAUACAGUAGAGGAAAGGGAGUAAGGGACAUACUUGCGACUCAUAUCGGGGAUCUCAACUUCAUGCUUCACACAAAAGGUCUUAACCUCCUCUAUGAGAGGUUCCCAUCCUUCCUCUCUUAGAUCAGCGAGGAGCACCUUAGUGUUAGAGAGUGUAUCUAAUGCAUUCAAAAUGUCCAUAGAUUUCUUCUGGAGUGUUUGGCACAAGACAUCUGUGAUUUUCAUAAUCCUCUCCAUGAGGUGCAAAAUGAACACAAAAUCAAAAGAAACAACUAUCCUUAGGGCGCCUCCAGCAUCUCCACGGGAAUAUUGUGUCACCGAACGAUCAUUCGCUAUACUUCGUAGGACUGUAAUUGUGGCACCAAACAUCUUCCUCAAGCUCCGAAUUGACUUGAAGUGCGAACUCCAUCUAGUGGCUGCUGGUCUAUGUAAAGAACCUAUCUGGUUUGCCCCUUUUCCUGUAUCAAGAUCCCCCAGUUCAAUUUCACGUGCAAUUUCGGUGGCUUGGUUUGCUAGUAACUCAUCAUUGCGUUUAGGUGAAGCACUAACAACAUUUAUGACAAAAUUGGCAUGUUGAAAAAAAUUAUGCACUUCAUGUACCUCUCGUGAUGCUGCAACAAGGGCCAAUUGAAGCUGAUGCGCCAUACAAUGAAUGUAAUAUGCAUAAGGGCAUGCCUUCAGAAUUAAAGCCUUCAAUCCGUUCCACUCCCCUCGCAUAUUACUGGCCCCGUCAUAGGCCUGACCUCUGAUAUCUUCCACAUUUAAAUUGUUAUCUGCUAGAAUAGUGCAAAUUGUCUCCUUGAGAGUCAAUGCAAGAGUGUCAUUCACAUGAAUGACAUCAACAAAACGCUCCUGUAUGAACCCUUCGGUGUCAGGAAACCGGAGGACCAACGCCAUUUGCUCUUUCUUGGAUUCAUCGCGAGCUUCGUCAACCAUUAUACAAAAUUUGCUAUCACCAAUUUCUUCUCUAAUUGUUCUUUGCACCUUUCGAGAAAGUAUAGCAAGAAUUUCCUCUUGAACCUGAUGAGAUGUGUACUUUGCGUUUCCAGGAGCAUUUUCCAAUACAACAUCUUUCACCUCCUUGUUAUAAGAAGCCAAAAGUUUUACCAGUUCUAGGAAAUUACCCCGGUUAAUGGAUCCCGGAGAUUCAUCAUGCCCUCUAAAAGCACAAGCCUGGAAUGUUAACCACCUGCAUCAUGUCAUAUAAUUGUUUUGUUAGGAUACUACAAGAUAUAAUAUUUUAAUUAUUGUAACAUAAGAUGGAAGAAAAAUAUUGCUUACCGGAUGGAAUCAAUUGUAACUUUGAGCCUUAGCCUUGCAUCUAAAAUCGUUUUUGCGGUUGCUUUCCCAUACAACUUAUCAAUAUGAGUCAUGCUGUUUUUGAAAUUACCAUAACAACGAACUGAGAAGUUAUGGGCUGAACCAGCAUCUUUACCCAUAUGAGUUAAAAAAGCACACUCUUUCCCAUUAUUCACCUUCUUCCACCUAUCAAAGCCCAAAACAGUAAAUGUUUCUGAGCCGCACUUCCCAAUCGGCUUUCUUGAGAAGAGGAAACAAUGGAAGCAAUAUGCACGCUUUGUGUAAGGUGAAAACUCAAGCCAUUCAAAAUCCUUGAACCAACUGUACUGGAAACGCCGACGAUGUUUUGGUGGAUCAUCAUUAUAUGGAUACUCUCUCAUGUAUGGCAUGUAUGGGCCUUCCGAAAUAUAGAAUUGGCGUGCUUCAUUUUGCUUAUCAAGAGGGAGUUCCCAAAUCUGUUUGCGCUUUCCAGGGUCUCGCUCAAAUGGUGUGCUUCCGAUUCUUUGUUGUUCUAGAACUUCUACUUCUACAGAUGCCUCAAUAUUUUGCUUGCGGGUGGCAUAUCAACUGAACUGAGAUUGGGGACACUAUUAUCAGUGGGUUGCUCUGUGACAUCGACCUCCACGGUUGCAUUUGCAUUUUCAACUGUAGAGUUUGAAGCAAUUGGCUUGAAAAAUUACUUAUCAGUGGUGUCUUCUUCUUCCUCAUGACCUAUGCAGUUCUUAUAUAAGUACAAAGCAGAUAUGUAAUCUGGAAUUGAUGUGACAAGUGCCAAAAUAUACUAAGUCACUAACCACUAAGUAGUAAGUACUAACAGUUGAUCAAUUGAUUUAUUGAAUCAAACUGACGAGUAGUAUGAACCUGACAAUAAUACCUCCUUCUCUGAUCACGGGACAGGAUCAAUUAGGAAUUCGGUGUGGGCUUGUGGCGAUUCCGUGCGGCUGCCUGUACUGGAUUAAUGCGCGGUCGGCGGCAGCUUCGCGAAUCAGCAAUCGACGACGGGCGAAACACGGCGGCGCGGCGCCCGGCGGCCGGCGUCAAUGAAGCCCUAGCGCCAGCGGCUAGCGGCGCGUCGCGGAUGAAAGAGUCCAGGUCUCCAGGAAGCUAGUCGCGUGCGUGUCGUUCAUCGUUGAUCGAUUGAGAUGUGGAUGCUACCAGCGUAUACAUGCGUAGUAUGCAGGCUGCAGCCUCGGCCCUUGGCCCUUCUUGCGUUUUGGGCUUGACAUGAGUGUAGCCCAUGCACUAAUGGCCUGAUGGCCGGAUAAUUAUGCCUAAACUAUUAGUACUAGUCCCCGCUGGAGUUCGUUGGGGGGGGGCCGAACCNNNNNNNNNNNNNNNNNNNNNNNNNNNNNNNNNNNNNNNNNNNNNNNNNNNNNNNNNNNNNNNNNNNNNNNNNNNNNNNNNNNNNNNNNNNNNNNNNNNNNNNNNNNNNNNNNNNNNNNNNNNNNNNNNNNNNNNNNNNNNNNNNNNNNNNNNNNNNNNNNNNNNNNNNNNNNNNNNNNNNNNNNNNNNNNNNNNNNNNNNNNNNNNNNNNNNNNNNNNNNNNNNNNNNNNNNNNNNNNNNNNNNNNNNNNNNNNNNNNNNNNNNNNNNNNNNNNNNNNNNNNNNNNNNNNNNNNNNNNNNNNNNNNNNNNNNNNNNNNNNNNNNNNNNNNNNNNNNNNNNNNNNNNNNNNNNNNNNNNNNNNNNNNNNNNNNNNNNNNNNNNNNNNNNNNNNNNNNNNNNNNNNNNNNNNNNNNNNNNNNNNNNNNNNNNNNNNNNNNNNNNNNNNNNNNNNNNNNNNNNNNNNNNNNNNNNNNNNNNNNNNNNNNNNNNNNNNNNNNNNNNNNNNNNNNNNNNNNNNNNNNNNNNNNNNNNNNNNNNNNNNNNNNNNNNNNNNNNNNNNNNNNNNNNNNNNNNNNNNNNNNNNNNNNNNNNNNNNNNNNNNNNNNNNNNNNNNNNNNNNNNNNNNNNNNNNNNNNNNNNNNNNNNNNNNNNNNNNNNNNNNNNNNNNNNNNNNNNNNNNNNNNNNNNGCAGAGGUAGAUGCAAAAAGCUUAAAUUUGAGGAGUUAAGUUUUAGGGAAUCAUUUGAGGGGUAAAGAAUAGGAGAAGAGCUAGAGAUACUCUUAGCUAGUGAUUAGCCCCCUCAAGUACGGAGGUCGUCUGCAGGUGAUCUUGAUCUUGUGGAAGUAACUACAACUGGAUAUGUUGUUUUGCUUGAGACUCACACUUGCACUGUUUUGUUCGGCGGAAAAAUUGCACUCAACCAUACUAUAAGUUUCGGCCCACGUGCCCUGCCGGGUGAAGAGCUAAAGACGUUCUUUCUUUGCUUUGAUAAUAUGCUCUUCUUUAAUUUACCAUCUUGAACAUUUACCCUUUUUAUUUACUUUAAGUUAUUUUCAUGUUGCUGGUUGGAUAAUGAUCAGUAUUCUGAUCGAUUUUGUUGGAGGUGAUAACUGAUUAACCAGAGUAUUUGCUACCGAAACAGGCCCUAAGUAGAUGCUCUCCUUUGAGCACCACCUUUCAUCUCAUGUUCACCCCCACCCGUCACGGCUUCCCAAUUUCUUUGCGGACUAUGUUUCCCUAUUGAAGGGUCGCAUCUCCUCUUCAUCCUACUCUUUCAAGCGGAAUUAACUAAAUGCGCGAGGACAUUAAAAUGUUUGCUAUCACUGAGAAAAAACGAUAAGCAAUGAUAAAAUAAUCUCCGACCAAAAGCCACCAAGCAAAAUCUUAUCCAAGGACAUCAAAGAACACUGCGACCACACACAAAAUCAUUCAAUAGCUGCUAGCGAAUACGAUAUCUACAACAACAAAAUCAUCGAUGAUAUAUAUGAAGGCAUUUUAACAUCGAAGUACCUUGAAAAAGGAUACCCGACACACCAUAAGAAAAUAUCUCUCCAGUAAAAUAUUGUUUGACGGCAUAAAACGGUUUGCAAACACACAAGAAAUGAACAAAAAAUAGUUAUCUGUGAAAUUAUCCCGGCUGAGAAAGCGAGUCCACCAAACAUAACAACCAUGAAAUAUGGGAAAGUUGCUCGAGGAGAUCACAUUCUCGGAACAAAAGCAUUUCAGAGAACAACAUAAAGUAUGUGCUAACACGAGAGAAAUAUGUAAACAAAACAUAAAAUAUGUGAUAAUAUCCCAUCACUUAGAAACCAGUUUAUGCAGCAAUGCGGAAACACACGAGGACAACAAUUGUGGUAGACGCCCAAAAUUACUUUACAUGGUAGCAUGCCACAGAUGUGUGCGUAGUAUGACAUGGACGAGUGUACGAUAUUGUUAAAACAAUGUAUGCAACCAAAAAAGUUCAUAUAACUAGCAUCUUAUUUUAAAAGAUGGCUUGGACUUGAUGUUGUUUGAAUGCAUGCCAUGCCAAUAAAGGUGGUGCAAUUUGCUCAUAAUUGCUUCCUGUUGAAAGAUUUGAUGUUUGGUUUUAUAAAGAAGCUUUGUGUGACUCUGAUGAAUAUAAGAACUUGUAUGAAAUUGUAGACCAGAGACCAACAUUUGCUCUGUUGAAUAGGUUAACCAAGCUGUGUGGUUUUUUUUUUUUUUUGCUUUGAAGUCUGUGUCAUUUUGACAUAUGAUAUAUCAUGUUUAUCUACUUAUUGGAGAUUAGUGUUCUUUGUAUAAUGAUUGGAUCCUUCUAGGCUGUUGAGCAAAAACAAGCAUUGGAUUGUUUCUGAUGUUCUUCACAGAGCUAAGAUGUGGAAAAUUCUUGUAAGAUUAGAGGAUUUGCCUGUUUUGUAAGCGUUGAGUACAAAAUGGUGACGAAAGAAAAAAAAUUGAUCUCAGAAAAGUGGAACAGUUGAUAUAAAGAAGCGUUGAGUUACAGAUGUGUUGAGCCAGCUAUAUAGUGCAUUUGAGCUUAUACUCCCUCCGUUCCUAAAUAUAAGUUUUUUUAGACAUUUCAAAUAAACUAUAAUAUACUGAUGUAUGUAGACAUAUUUUUAUAGUGUAGAUUUAUUUAUUUUGCUUCGUAUGUAAUCACUUGUUGGAAUCUCUAGAAAAACUUAUAUUUGUGAAUGGAGGGAGUACUAAAAGGUUGCAUGAUUUUCCAGCAUCUACGGUGAAAGCCACUGCAAGAUUAGUGGGUCUGCAUGUCUUCUAAAUAGUUUGGACAUACUAAUCAUCGAGGUUUCAUGGUGUAGUUGGUUAUCACGUCCUUCUAACAGACUGAAGUUCUCCGGUUCAAACCCGGGCGAAGCCACUCUUGAUUUUUGUUUUUUUUUCUCGCGUUUUCCAUUGUGUAGAAAAGAAAAAGAAAAAAACAAAUUGGCCCAUACAGGUCUCGAACCUGUGACCUUCGCGUUAUUAGCACGACGCUCUAACCAACUGAGCUAAUAGGCCUUUUUCUAUGUCAAUGGUCGGGUCUCAAUCCUCCGGUUCGCUCGUCGAACUCGCCCUCGGUGCUCUGGUUCGUACCCGUGAUCGGGUCGAGGCAGACAACUUUCCAUGCUUCGGCGAGACAUUUCUCUUUCUUGGACGCCCACUUGAUGCGCGGCUCGCCGGACCUGGCCGCCUACUUCUUCUUCUUGCUCCUCCUCGCCGGAACAGUCGCCGGCUCCUCCUCCUCCUCUUCGUCCUCCUCCUCCUGCUCCUCCUCGCCGUAGACGUAGCCGAGCUCGCCUUCCAUGCCACCACUCAGAUCCACGGUGUCGUCCGGGGUGGCGAACCCGGGAGACAUGGCGGCCGCGGCCAAGCCUGUCGCGAUGAUGUCAUCCAUGUCGGCCUCGGUCUCGUCGGUGUCGCCGAGGUGCGAGAAGGGCAGCGCGCCACGGCGGAGAGGGGGCGUCGAGGAGGACGUGUAGGCGGGCGGCGAGUAGUUGUAUGGAGAGUACUGCACGCCGGUGAAGGCGGGCGAGGGCGUCCGCUGGGCCGGUUGUCCAUGGGGGAAGGUGACGUUGGGGUUAAACCCACCGUGCGCGUCCCCGUCGGCGUAGCCCGGUGAGGGCGUGCAUCCCCAUGGCUGCGGCGACGGAUAACCAACGCCUUGCUAGCCCUAGGGCGCGUACUGGGCGUGGCUGCCGAGUGGAUUCAUCAUCCCCGCGCGAGUCACCUCGGCCUCGGCUUGGUCCGCCGAAGCCGCCGCCGCACGCGCCGCGUUGUCACGGGCCUUCUUGGCGAUCGCCCUAUUCCGCCGGUCGGCGGUGACAUCCUCCCGUCGCUGAACUUCCACCCUCCACUCGGUGUUUGUCAUGCCCAGUGGCUUGGACGGCGGCGCCCUCGGCUUCCUUUGCUUUGGCUGGGCGAUGGGGGCGGUCGCGGUUGCCGCGGCGUGGGGGGCGACGUACUUCUUCGGUGGCAUGGCGGCGGAGGCGAGCGGGAGAUUGGCGGGAGGGAUGGAGAGAAUGGGAGGGAAGUGGGGGAAAAGCGGGAUGAAACGGCGGGAAGAGGCGCUCAACUCGCCGACAGGGCGGACCCACGUGACCUUUUCGGGUUUGGCCUGGAUCCGCCGGCACCAGUUUCGGCCCGAGCCGGCGAAAAACGGGCGUCUGGGGACGCGGCUGGGCCAUUUUUUCGGCGCCGGCGAGGCAAAAACGCAUGAGGAGGGCCUGUUGGGGGCGCAGCUGGAGAUGCUCUAAUGUUCACCUCUUGAAGCAAACAAGAACACGGAAGAACAACUUGCUAACAUUGAAUGAUAUUUUUUAUAUACUUAGCUAAGAUGAUUUGAGUGUAGGGAAGACUUUUGAAACUACACAAUGCAUACAGUAACUAGUAAUCCUCUGCUGUCUAUAUUUAGGCCUUAUCCAAGAAAAAAAAAAGGAAUUCCAAACCUCAGGGUACCCAGACUCGACCCCAAACAUGAAGCUUACUGGAUUUGAUUAUAAAACAUGGUAGCGAAAUCAGAAAAUAUGAAACCUACCAUGGUGUCACAAUGUCAUCUCUAAAGGGUGUGCUAAAAUUUUGAGAAGGUUUUCACAAAAGUUGCAACGUACACUGCUCAGAAACCGAAAGAAUCAUGGUUUCGAGAGGAAACCGGUCAGGUUUUAAGGCCAAGAGUCGGUGGCUUCGUCGGUUGACCUGGAUUUCUUUUAUACGCCCAACAUGCACCAUCACAUAUUUCAUGCCAAAUUUUGGUAUCUUUCCGGUUUUGGUUGCUAUAUUUAGGCCAUUAACUGCACUUAUGGGCUUUAAAAUAUAUAAUUCAAGUUUUAACAAAGAGUGCGUGAAAAAGUUAGCAAAAGUGGGUUGAAAAGAGAAGACAUGUUUGGGGUGAUAUAAUCCAUGGUAAACAUCAUCACCGGACGCAAGGCGACCUCCUAUUACCGAGUUGGUGCGCUCCUCCCUCUGUAUCCAUUGCAAGUNNNNNNNNNNNNNNNNNNNNNNNNNNNNNNNNNNNNCGUCACGACUAAUGUUGGAAAUAUGCUCUAGAUGCAAUAAUAAAUCUUAUUAUUUAUUUCCAUGUUUGUAAGUCAUUCAUAUUUCUAUGCUAGAAUUGAUAUGGCUGUUGAAUGUGAGAUUCCGAGGAAAACUCAUAUGCAUGUGUAGAAACAUAAACACAAAGUAGGUUCGUAGUCUCACCUCUCCAUAGUGGGAGAUUACACAGUUCAAACAAUUAGGAAUUUUUCUGAACGUAAAAUAAACAAAGAAAAAUCUUUGAAUUCAAGAACAACUACUGAUUACUAAACUCUGAUUUUGCCUUUUUGUUAUAAAAAAUAAUUAUUAUUUAUUAAACUAAAAAACUAACUACUGCUUAUUGGAAAUUAUUUCUUAGUCUGAAUCAUACUAGAUUUUCGUGAUAUAAUAUAAUUUCUAACUAUAUACAACUUAUACACAGAAAAUUUACCUUGAUCUGUUUUUCCUCUUGAAUCCUUUAGUUUUAGUUAGCUCAUGAAAAAUUUAAAACUAUUAAUUUAGUAUUAUCCAUAAUGGAUUUAUCUAGACCAAUAUAUUGGAUUUUUAUGCUAUUUGGGGGAUUUCUUCUUCUACUAGGGGGUUUACCAGUAGUAUUAGUUACCGACCCUAUUUAUUCUGCCUUUUCGUUGGGAUUAGUUCUUGUUUAUAUAUCCGUAUUCCAUUUUAUUAUUUAAUUCAUACUUUGUAGCUGUCGCACAACUUCUUAUUUAUGUGGGAGCCAUAAAUGUCGCAAUCAUAUUCACCAUAAUGUUCAUAAAUCGCUCAGAAUGGUCUGAAGAUAAGAAUCGUUGGACUAUUGGAGAUGGGUUUACUUCACUCUUUUGUAUAACUAUUGUUCUUUCACUAAUGACUACUAUCCCAGAUACAUCAUGGUAGAAGGGGAUUUCUGAAGCAUCAUGUAUUCAUGUUGGACAGGUGUGUUUGGGUGUCUUUUCCAUGUGCUUUCAUUUGGCACCGAUGUAUAAUUUAUUGCAGGUUUGUUUCCAUAAAUCUUAGAACAUAAUGCAGUGAAUUAUUGCUAUGGAAAACUUAAAGGACAACCGUCUUGUAAAAAUAGUGGUCAACAGUGGCACUGGCGGAGCUACGGCAAGGCCGAAGUGGCCGUGGCCCGCCCAGGAUCUCUGUGAUUUUUAGUUCAUAUACUAUGCAUCGGUAGGUAGCCCAUGAGCCUGGUCUACUAUCGGACAUUGCCUAGACCCCUAAUCCCUUCUAAGCUCGAUUUAGUGGGAGAUUCGCACGACCCCAGCCAUAGAGAAGUAAUUAACUACUGGCUCCAAGGAGCAGCCGAGCAACAGCGGCAUCCCUAAAGCAAAAAACAUAAAAGCACCAGCGACCGCUUUGUUUACCGGCUGUAUAUAUCUGCUGAUCUAGUUAAAAAAUUGCUGAGGACUGACUUACGUCUAAUGAAAUAGCACGAUUCAUCAUAUUUUUUUUCAAAAAUGUGCACUUGUUUGUCUGGCCCGCCCAACUAUUUCUGUGAAGCUCCGCCACUGAACAGUGAGUGAUGAUAUUCAUGUCUUCGGAGAUUGCUGGACGCUUAUACUGAUCUUAUAAGCUUUACCGAUCAAAAAGUCAACUGGUUUCGUGGUGUAGUUGGUUAUCACGUCAGUCUAACACACUGAAGGUCUCCGGUUCGAACCCGGGCGAAGCCAUCGAAUUAGUUUUUUUUGCUCGCAUUUUCGAGUAAAAAAAGAAAAAGAAAAAAAGAUAUAUUUGGACCAUACAGGUCUCGAACCUGUGACCUUCGCGUUAUUAGCACGACGCUCUAACCAACUGAGCUAAUAGGCCUUUUUCUAUGUCAAUGGUCAGGUCUCAAUGCUCCGGUUCGCUCGUCGAACUCGCCCUCGGUGCUCUGGUUCGUACCCGUGAUCGGGUCGAGGCAGACAAAUUUCCAUGCUUCGGCGAGACAUUUCUCUUUCUUGGACGCCCACUUGAUGCGCGGCUCGCCGGACCUGGCCGCCUACUUCUUCUUCUUGCUCCUCCUCGCCGGAACAGUCGCCGGCUCCUCCUCCUCCUCUUCGUCCUCCUCCUCCUGCUCCUCCUCGCCGUAGACGUAGCCGAGCUCGCCUUCCAUGCCGCCACUCAGAUCCACGGUGUCGUCCGGGGUGGCGAACCCGGGAGACAUGGCGGCCGCGGCCAAGCCUGUCGCGAUGAUGUCAUCCAUGUCGGCCUCGGUCUCGUCGGUGUCGCCGAGGUGCGAGAAGGGCAGCGCGCCACGGCGGAGAGGGGGCGUCGAGGAGGACGUGUAGGCGGGCGGCGAGUAGUUGUAUGGAGAGUACUGCACGCCGGUGAAGGCGGGCGAGGGCGUCCGCUGGGCCGGUUGUUCAUGGGGGAAGGUGACGUUGGGGUUAAACCCACCGUGCGCGUCCCCGUCGGCGUAGCCCGGUGAGGGCGUGCAUCCCCAUGGCUGCGGCGACGGAUAACCAACGCCUUGCUAGCCCUAGGGCGCGUACUGGGCGUGGCUGCCGAGUGGAUUCAUCAUCCCCGCGCGAGUCACCUCGGCCUCGGCUUGGUCCGCCGAAGCCGCCGCCGCACGCGCCGCGUUGUCACGGGCCUUCUUGGCGAUCGCCCUAUUCCGCCGGUCGGCGGUGACAUCCUCCCGUCGCUGAACUUCCACCCUCCACUCGGUGUUUGUCAUGCCCAGUGGCUUGGACGGCGGCGCCCUCGGCUUCCUUUGCUUUGGCUGGGCGAUGGGGGCGGUCGCGGUUGCCGCGGCGUGGGGGGCGACGUACUUCUUCGGUGGCAUGGCGGCGGAGGCGAGCGGGAGAUUGGCGGGAGGGAUGGAGAGAAUGGGAGGGAAGUGGGGGAAAAGCGGGAUGAAACGGCGGGAAGAGGCGCUCAACUCGCCGACAGGGCGGACCCACGUGACCUUUUCGGGUUUGGCCUGGAUCCGCCUGCACCAGUUUCGGCCCGAGCCGGCGAAAAACGGGCGUCUGGGGACGCGGCUGGGCCAUUUUUUCGGCGCCGGCGAGGCAAAAAUGCAUGAGGAGGGCCUGUUGGGGGCGCAGCUGGAGAUGCUCUAAUGUUCACCUCUUGAAGCAAACAAGAACACGGAAGAACAACUUGCUAACAUUGAAUGAUAUUUUUUAUAUACUUAGCUAAGAUGAUUUGAGUGUAGGGAAGACUUUUGAAACUACACAAUGCAUACAGUAACUAGUAAUCCUCUGCGGUCUAUAUUUAGGCCUUAUCCAAGAAAAAAAAGGAAUUCCAAACCUCAGGGUACCCAGACUCGACCCCAAACAUGAAGCUUACUGGAUUUGAUUAUAAAACAUGGUAGCGAAAUCAGAAAAUAUGAAACCUACCAUGGUGUCACAAUGUCAUCUCUAAAGGGUGUGCUAAAAUUUUGAGAAGGUUUUCACAAAAGUUGCAACGUACACUGCUCAGAAACCGAAAGAAUCAUGGUAUCGAGAGGAAACCAGUCAGGUUUUAAGGCCAAGAGUCGGUGGCUUCGUCGGUUGACCUGGAUUUCUUUUAUACGCCCAACAUGCACCAUCACAUAUUUCAUGCCAAAUUUUGGUAUCUUUCCGGUUUUGGUUGCUAUAUUUAGGCCAUUAACUGCACUUAUGGGCUUUAAAAUAUAUAAUUCAAGUUUUAACAAAGAGUGCGUGAAAAAGUUAGCAAAAGUGGGUUGAAAAGAGAAGACAUGUUUGGGGUGAUAUAAUCCAUGGUAGACAUCAUCACCGGACGCAAGGCGACCUCCUAUUACCGAGUUGGUNNNNNNNNNNNNNNNNNNNNNNNNNNNNNNNNNNNNNNNNNNNNNNNNNNNNNNNNNNNNNNNNNNNNNNNNNNNNNNNNNNNNNNNNNNNNNNNNNNNNNNNNNNNNNNNNNNNNNNNNNNNNNNNNNNNNNNNNNNNNNNNNNNNNNNNNNNNNNNNNNNNNNNNNNNNNNNNNNNNNNNNNNNNNNNNNNNNNNNNNNNNNNNNNNNNNNNNNNNNNNNNNNNNNNNNNNNNNNNNNNNNNNNNNNNNNNNNNNNNNNNNNNNNNNNNNNNNNNNNNNNNNNNNNNNNNNNNNNNNNNNNNNNNNNNNNNNNNNNNNNNNNNNNNNNNNNNNNNNNNNNNNNNNNNNNNNNNNNNNNNNNNNNNNNNNNNNNNNNNNNNNNNNNNNNNNNNNNNNNNNNNNNNNNNNNNNNNNNNNNNNNNNNNNNNNNNNNNNNNNNNNNNNNNNNNNNNNNNNNNNNNNNNNNNNNNNNNNNNNNNNNNNNNNNNNNNNNNNNNNNNNNNNNNNNNNNNNNNNNNNNNNNNNNNNNNNNNNNNNNNNNNNNNNNNNNNNNNNNNNNNNNNNNNNNNNNNNNNNNNNNNNNNNNNNNNNNNNNNNNNNNNNNNNNNNNNNNNNNNNNNNNNNNNNNNNNNNNNNNNNNCGUCACGACUAAUGUUGGAAAUAUGCUCUAGAUGCAAUAAUAAAUCUUAUUAUUUAUUUCCAUGUUUGUAAGUCAUUCAUAUUUCUAUGCUAGAAUUGAUAUGGCUGUUGAAUGUGAGAUUCCGAGGAAAACUCAUAUGCAUGUGUAGAAACAUAAACACAAAGUAGGUUCGUAGUCUCACCUCUCCAUAGUGGGAGAUUACACAGUUCAAACAAUUAGGAAUUUUUCUGAACGUAAAAUAAACAAAGAAAAAUCUUUGAAUUCAAGAACAACUACUGAUUACUAAACUCUGAUUUUGCCUUUUUGUUAUAAAAAAUAAUUAUUAUUUAUUAAACUAAAAAACUAACUACUGCUUAUUGGAAAUUAUUUCUUAGUCUGAAUCAUACUAGAUUUUCGUGAUAUAAUAUAAUUUCUAACUAUAUACAACUUAUACACAGAAAAUUUACCUUGAUCUGUUUUUCCUCUUGAAUCCUUUAGUUUUAGUUAGCUCAUGAAAAAUUUAAAACUAUUAAUUUAGUAUUAUCCAUAAUGGAUUUAUCUAGACCAAUAUAUUGGAUUUUUAUGCUAUUUGGGGGAUUUCUUCUUCUACUAGGGGGUUUACCAGUAGUAUUAGUUACCGACCCUAUUUAUUCUGCCUUUUCGUUGGGAUUAGUUCUUGUUUAUAUAUCCGUAUUCCAUUUUAUUAUUUAAUUCAUACUUUGUAGCUGUCGCACAACUUCUUAUUUAUGUGGGAGCCAUAAAUGUCGCAAUCAUAUUCACCAUAAUGUUCAUAAAUCGCUCAGAAUGGUCUGAAGAUAAGAAUCGUUGGACUAUUGGAGAUGGGUUUACUUCACUCUUUUGUAUAACUAUUGUUCUUUCACUAAUGACUACUAUCCCAGAUACAUCAUGGUAGAAGGGGAUUUCUGAAGCAUCAUGUAUUCAUGUUGGACAGGUGUGUUUGGGUGUCUUUUCCAUGUGCUUUCAUUUGGCACCGAUGUAUAAUUUAUUGCAGGUUUGUUUCCAUAAAUCUUAGAACAUAAUGCAGUGAAUUAUUGCUAUGGAAAACUUAAAGGACAACCGUCUUGUAAAAAUAGUGGUCAACAGUGGCACUGGCGGAGCUACGGCAAGGCCGAAGUGGCCGUGGCCCGCCCAGGAUCUCUGUGAUUUUUAGUUCAUAUACUAUGCAUCGGUAGGUAGCCCAUGAGCCUGGUCUACUAUCGGACAUUGCCUAGACCCCUAAUCCCUUCUAAGCUCGAUUUAGUGGGAGAUUCGCACGACCCCAGCCAUAGAGAAGUAAUUAACUACUGGCUCCAAGGAGCAGCCGAGCAACAGCGGCAUCCCUAAAGCAAAAAACAUAAAAGCACCAGCGACCGCUUUGUUUACCGGCUGUAUAUAUCUGCUGAUCUAGUUAAAAAAUUGCUGAGGACUGACUUACGUCUAAUGAAAUAGCACGAUUCAUCAUAUUUUUUUUCAAAAAUGUGCACUUGUUUGUCUGGCCCGCCCAACUAUUUCUGUGAAGCUCCGCCACUGAACAGUGAGUGAUGAUAUUCAUGUCUUUGGAGAUUGCUGGACGCUUAUACUGAUCUUAUAAGCUUUACCGAUCAAAAAGUCAACUGGUUUCGUGUUGUAGUUGGUUAUCACGUCAGUCUAACACACUGAAGGUCUCUGGUUCGAACCCGGGCGAAGCCAUCGAAUUAGUUUUUUUUUGCUUGCAUUUUCGAGUAAAAAAAGAAAAAGAAAAAAAGAUAUAUUUGGCCCAUACAGGUCUCGAACCUGUGACCUUCGCGUUAUUAGCACGACGCUCUGACCAGCUGAGCUAAUAGGCCACGUUGCUCUUUAUAGAUAUUUACGUUAUAUAUCUGUACGCUGAUUACAAGGGGUAGUGAUCCAUAAAUCAGUUUGUGCCUUAUAUUAUUGUCUAAUUGCCCAUUUCACUGUCUAUAUUUGCAAGUAUCCUUCCCUGUUGGAAUCUCCUUUUUGCCACUGUUUCUCACUUUCUGUGGUGUGAUGUGUGCGCGAAUAUUCCCACAGCAACUACACAAUAAUAAAGCCAUAUACGCAGGCGACCGAAUAAUGGCAAUGAUAUAUUACUGCUCAAGGUGCAUCUCCAAACCAACCUACGGGACUAGUAGGGCUGGGAACCAUAAGUUGUUUUCUAUGGACUACUUGACGUGUAUUUUUUUUCCUUUCCCCUUGACAUGUAUUCGUUAGGAAAAUUUAUGUCGAGCCAAAUCUCGCGGAAAUAAUUUUGUUGGUUCAGUGACAACUAUGUGCUUGCAACUAAUGCUUUCGACAAUUCUUGCUUUUUUUUCCUUCUGUAGUAAAUAAACAUCCUUAUUUUAAUCAUUAGUCUAUCUUCAUUCCCACAGGAUUCAACGCAGCAUGACAUGAAAUAUGAAUGGUAAUUUUACCAGUUCCCUUCUUUUAAAAUGCUACAAACAGAUGCGGCAUGUAAUAUUCAAAAUUAGUGGUUGUGUGAUAGUUAUUGAAAUGCAUGUAGGAUGGAGACUAAAUUUCAGUAAAAUUCAGCUUAUAACACUGAAACUGGAAAAGUUGCCAGCAGGGACGAAGCUAGAAAAAAUCGGCACUGGUGUCAGCCAGUACCCACUACAUACUAAACUACAGCAGGGAGAUAUAAAUAAAACAUACAAAUCCGAAGAUAAUACAAAGAAUGAAAAUAUGCAAUCAGCAAACAAUAUGAGAAAAGCUUGCCAUACCCAGUAAACUCAAGAAAUCACUUACAUACAAAUUAAGAAGAAAAAAAUCUAAGAAAAAAAUGGCUACUUUGGAGUUAGAUUUGUAAUUUCGAGAAAUAGAUGAACAAACAAAACAUAUCAGACAACCAAAAAUGAAUAUCGUCAAGCGAAAAUAUAAAGUGACUCCAGACUCACAUUUCCCUUCACGCCCUUUCACCUCUUUCUUUUACGAGAACAUGAACUUUCACCUUCUUAAAGAGAUCAGUCAUGCCAUCAUUUGUAAUGGAAGAAAAUAUAUUUUUCCCCACAUACGGAGUAGCAAAUUAGUCAAUCACUCAUAAUCUGCUCACCCAUUUUGUUAUGCAAAAUAUGGUUGCCAAUAUUAAUUUUUUAAAAAUCAUCGACAAUCAACAAAAUUAGCACCAAAUUUAGAAGUAGAUGCACCAAAUUUUGCGUAUCUACGUACGAUCAUGGUGUACCUUGCAGGAAACAAGGACUAGGGGACUUCCGUCAGCGACUAUAUUAGAUUAAAAUUGUGUUGUUGCCGCUGCGGCCGCCCGCCCGCCAUCAAAACAAUCUGUUGCUGAUUCGCACUUGUGUUGUUCCACUGAGAGGUGAGAGAGAGAUUGGAGAUUUCUACGGUUUUUUAGGGUGCGAGAAUUCAGGACCGAGGCGGCGAAGAGACGAAUAGGCACAUGGGACGUGCGACCUGCACGUACGGCCGCGUAUAUCGGAGGCCAAGCAGCGAUCAGAUCAAUGUUUUGUGGGCUUUGUGUUGGCUACUUAUUACCUUUUUGUUUGAGGUGUGUUGCGUUUUUCCCCUAACCCUAAAAACGCUCUGGCGGCGCUGGUGGCGAUUAGGGUUUGGACGUGGAAAAGGUUUUCGUCCGGUGAUUCAUCGCCGGUGCGAGAGAUCCGUCGGGAGGGAGACCUUGCACAUGGCAGGACCUAACUCUGCGGCGGGGGGUGCGGUGCCGGAGAACGAUCCACUCGCGGGUCGCGCGGCCAGGAAACAUCUGGAGGAAGCCCUGGGCAAACUGGAUAUCUCUGAGGAAGAGGCGACUCCUUUGAUACUCGACGAUCGCGUCGAGGAAGGUCCGGUGAAGUGGCUGCUGGCUGGUAAGGUUCUGCACCGGAACCAACUACAUAUCCAGACGAUCACCAAUGCCCUGCGGCCGGCAUGGGGAAAUCCACGGGGUCUCCAAUUCAAAUCUGCGGGAGUUAACAUCUUUGUGGCAGAGUUCGAGAAUCAGAGAGAUAGGGAUCGUGUUUGGGGAGGAUCCCCUUGGCAUAUCAACAAGAAUGCGGUGGUGCUAGCGGAGUUCGAUGAUUGCAUGAGGCCGGAUGAGGUGAAGUUCGAUAAGCUGCAGGUGUGGGCUAGGGUUCUUAACCUGCCAUACAAUCUGCGCGAUGAGGCAUGGUGGAAACCAAUAGCUCAGCAGAUGGACAAGGAUGCUCUUUUGGUAAAAUUUGACCACAAUGGUGGGUUUCUGCGAGCGAGAGUUUCCAUCGAUGUUGCUAAGCCGAUCAGGCGCUGGAUCCUGAUAGAUUCUGCCAGGAGAAAGAAAGUGGACAUGUACGAUAUCCAGUAUGAAAACCUCCCGUACUUCUGUUUCUCCUGCGGCAGACUAGGGCACUCAGAGCUGUAUUGCCCAACUCCUGGUUCCAGGGAUGAGAACGGUGAGCUUCCGUUUGGCCCAAAACUGCGAGCUUCUGACGAGCAUCGGAAGCCACCGAGUUCAGAAAACUCUUCUAAGGAUCCAAAAACGGGUGCCAACAGUAAGCCUACAACCAGGUACUCAAGCACCAACAAGGAGCCGGGAGAAGAAGUUGUUUCCCCAAUCAAGCACAGGCAACCACCGAAGACGAAAGAGGCCCCGAAUCAAGUAUACAGACCGGUGGUGAAAACACUGCUGAUUACAGAGGGUGAACCUAGUACAGCCAAGGGUGCUGAAACUGUUGGUAAAGAUGGAGAGACUUCUGCUAGUAAUGAAGUGGAAGGUGAAGUAUUUGCUCGAGAGUCUAAGAAAAAGAAGCCCACCCCUGAAAAUUCGGCAGAGACCGCGACGCGGUCCUGCCAGGCACAAUGACAUGCUUGAGGUGGAACUGCCGGGGGCUUGGGAACCCCGAGGCAGUUCGUGAGCUUCGCAGUAUAGUGAAGCUGGAAGGACCCACUCUCCUCUUUGUAAUGGAAACGAAAAUUCAAGCAAAAAGAGUAGAGGCUUUGAAGUAUUCUCUUGGUUUUGGAGGUUGUUUUGCAGUCGAUAGUGUCGGCCUAAGCGGCGGCAUUGGUCUUUUUUGGUCACGUGAGGUGACUGUGGAGUUAAAAAAUUUCAGCAAGUGUCACAUUGAUGCGUUGGUUCAUAGCAAUAAUCGGAGUUUAUCGGUUUGGAGGUUCACUGGCUUCUACGGGGCGCCGAGAGCAUCAGAUCGCGGUGAAAGCUGGCAGCUCCUGCGUAAUUUAUAUGCUUUACCCCAUACAGCCUGGCUGUCUAUGGGAGAUUUCAACGAAACGCUGUAUGCAUCCGAGCAUUUUAGCAGAAGAGCAAGGUCGGAGUCAAAUAUGAGAGCGUUUCGGUCCGUAAUGGACGAGGUUUCCAUGCAAGAUCUAGGCUCGUCAGGUACGCCUUAUACUUGGGACAAUCAGCAAGGAGGAGAUGCAAAUGUCAAGGCGCGCCUAGAUCGAGCUUUCGCGAAUGAGGAAUUCCAGCAACUUUUCCAACACAUACGGAUCAGACACCUUCCCUCGGUCGAAUCUGAUCACUGUUUUGUUGUAGCUGAAAUCAGGGAUACAUUGUCAUACGGAACACGGGCCAAGAAACAGUUUCGCUACGAGAAUGUAUGGCCGAUGCACUCGGAUUACGACCGUCUAGUACGUGAUACAUGGCGGGGAAUCCAGAACAAGUCAGGGCUCCAAGGGAUUUCCACAGCUUUGGGGUCUCUUCAGUCUAUUCUUGAGCCGUGGGGCUCAAAGGAAUUCGGUUGUUUGGCACGCACAGUAAGGAAACUCCAGAAGAGACUGGAGCGCGUCAGGUGCUGUUCCAUGGGAACGGGUCCAACGGACGAAGAGAAGAACAUAGUUAAGAAGCUGAAGGAAGCGCUUCUCCAAGAGGAAGUGUGGCUUCGUCAGCGUUCUAGGGUUCCAUGGCUCCGCGAGGGCGAUCGGAACACUUCCUACUUUCAGGCACAGGCUGCCCAGCGCAAAAGAAUGAACAAAAUCCAGGGCUUACGCCGUGUGGAUGGAUCAGUUUGUGAUUCUGAGAUGGAGGACAAGGCUGAGGUUCUAGAUUUCUACCAAAACUUGUAUCAAACACAAGGUUUUAGUGAGGCUAAUGACUUAUUAUCUCAUGUACCCGUCAAGGUGACUCAGGGUAUGAAUGAUGAUCUUACCAAACCUUAUACCGCCGAGGAGGUCAAAGUUGCGUUGUUUCAAAUGGCUCCUUCGAAGGCCCCUGGGGUUGACGGUUUUACCGCAGGGUUUUAUCAGCGGCAUUGGGACUUGCUAGGCAAUGAUGUGGCUUUAGCAGUCCUAGACUUUCUAAAUGGUGGCGAGCUACCGUCGGGACUGAACGAUACCUCCAUCACUUUAAUCCCAAAGGUACGCCACCCGCAGUCAAUCUCACAAUAUCGUCCUAUUGCUUUGUGCCCGGUUUUGUAUAAGAUUGCGGCCAAGGUUAUCACUAAUCGCUUGCGAUACAUCAUGGACGAUAUUAUCAGUGAAGAGCAGAGUGCUUUCGUUCCUGGUCGUCUUAUCACAGAUAAUGUACUUGUUGCUUAUGAGAGUAUUCAUACGAUGAGAAGAAGGAAGAAAGGACAGAACUAUUCUUGUGCAGUCAAGUUAGAUAUGAUGAAGGCAUACGAUCGAGUGGAAUGGCAUUAUCUCGAGGCAAUUCUUUCCAGAUUGGGCUUUAGCAUUGUGUUCAUUCGGCUGAUCAUGAAGUGUGUCACCUCGGUUCGUUUCUCGGUUCGGGUUAAUGGUGAGCUGCUCCCUUUCUUUACACCAUCGCGGGGUUUCAGACAAGGUGAUCCAGUCUCUCCGUACCUCUUCCUGAUUUGUGCAGAAGGAUUCUCUUCAUUACUGAAGUUUUUCACUGGUGGCUAUAUUGAUAGGGGUCUCAGAGUGAGCUAUAGGUCACCUUGGGUCUCUCAUUUGCUAUUUGCAGACGAUAGCCUAAUCUUCAUUAAUGCAAGCGCUCCGAGCGCUUGUCGUUUGAAUGAAAUUCUGAGGAUCUACGGCGAUGCCUCUGGCCAGUGCGUGAACCGGGACAAAAGUUCGAUUUAUUUCAGCUCCAACACCCCGGACACUGUCAGGCUUGUCUUGAAGACGACCUUGAACAUCCAGGUCGAGGCCUUCAGCGAAAGAUAUCUGGGGCUCCCCACUGCGGUUGGACGUAUCACUAGUGGUACAUUCGACCAUAUUAGCGAGAGAGCUCGUGGAAAGAUGCAAGGGUGGUCGGAAAAGCUACUUGCUUGUGCUGGUCGGGAAACAUUGCUCAAGUCUGUCAUUCAAUCAAUCCCAACCUACCCAAUGAGUACGUUCCUUCUCACCAAAAAAGUGUGUAAGAGUCUGACUUCUCCGAUGGCAAAAUAUUUCUGGAGCAGCUCUCUUGAUAAAAAGGCAUUGCAUUGGUUGUCCUGGAAGGAAUUAUCAAAACCCAAGUGCAAGGGGGGGAUGGGUUUCAGAGACCCGAACCUGUUUAACAUUGCUAUGCUAGGUAAGCAUGGAUGGCGCCUAAUCACCAAACCAAACUCGCUGUGUGCACGCGUUCUCAAGGGUCGUUAUUUCCCGGACACCGAUUUUAUGCAUGCAUCAGUUCCCAAGUCCGCUUCGGCAACUUGGAAGGCUAUUGUGGCGGGAAGGCACGCCCUGCAGAAAGGUUUAAUCACCAGAGUGGGAGAUGGAACUACUAUCUCGGUCUGGGAGGAUCAGUGGAUCCCAGGUACGGUGGCAAUGAUCCCAACUCAGAGACCUGCAGUGACAAACAUUGAACGGGUGUCAGAUCUUAUAGACACACGAAGCUGGUCCUGGAAGAUUGAUGUGAUCAGAGACAAUUUUACUGCUCAGGAUGCCACAGCCAUACUAAAUAUUCCAAUCAGGCAAGGCGGGGGCGAGGAUUUCCUUGCAUGGGCAUUUGACAGAUCAGGUAACUACACUGUUAAAACGGCGUACCGUACUCUCGUGACUCAUAACGAGCAUUUGGCUCUAGAGGAAGGGACGGUUACCGAAGCUUCAUCGGACGAUCAACAGCUGUGGAAAGCCUUAUGGAAGUUAAAUGUUAUCCCAAAAGUAAGAGUGUUCUGGUGGAGAGUGUUACGUGGCAUUCUUCCAGAUGAAACUACCCUUAACUAUCGUCACAUUGCGAGUGCUCGGCAAUGCAAUGUCUGUCGCUCCAUGGAUGAGGAUUUGAAGCAUGCACUAAUACAUUGUAUACAUGCACAGAGUUUCUGGGAGGAGGCGUGGACAUGGCUUGGUCUACGACUUCCACCUCUCCACUCGACCACAUGGGCUCGAGACAUAACCUGUGAUCCUCAGUUCACUAUCGACGAACGUGCAAAGAUCACCACUAUCAUGUGGUCUAUUUGGCAUUCUAGAAAUCGAGUGAAACAUGGUGAUGGAGGAAGAGAUCCCACAACAACUAUCAAACACAUUAAGGAGGCGAUUUCCCUUCUCCAGUUACCACGCAAGGAUACCCUGGUUCUUCCAGGUUAUGGUUGGCGUCCCCCGGAGGAGGGGUCGGUCAAGAUCAAUACGGAUGGGGCUUUGCAGUUCGAUGAAGGCCGGGGCGGUGCGGGAGGAGUGGCUCGAUCUUCCUCAGCACUCAUGGGUUCAUGGUGCAAACCGUACACGGGAGUCUCGGAUCCCUUGAUGAUGGAGUGUCUGUCCCUUCGAGAUGGAGUCCUGUUUGCUCGACUUCGAGGAUUCCAACAUGUGAUUAUGGAAGUCGACUGUUUGGAGCUGGUGAAGUACUGGCAAUCUCGCCACAAUUCUCGCUCGAUUGUGGCUCCUUUACUUUUAGAAAUAGGAGAGCUCUGUACCUCUUUUUCUUCGUUUGAUAUCUUUCAUGUAAAUCGAUCGGCAAAUGUUCCGGCGCAUCUGUGUGCAAAGCAUGCUUGCACACUGAAUGUGACGGAAAGCUGGCUCGAUGAAACCCCUAGCUUCUUGGUGACUAGCCUGUUGGCUGACUGCACCGAUUGUGCUCUCAUGAAAUAAAGCUCUCCAAUUUUCCCGCAAAAAAAAUAUAUUACCUUUUUGUUUGCACGACUGUAAAUCAGGCUGACACUUUGGGCCUGUGCUGCUUUUUAGCAUCUGGGCUGGGGUCAAUCGAUUUUUCUGGCUGGGGUCAAAUGUAAAACUUGUUAAGCGUGUUAGAAGUAACGUUGAACUGCACUGGUGUCAGUUGACACCAGUGCUUGUACGGGAGCUCCGUCCCUGGCAACCAAGAGCAGCCAAGAUUUCUUAAAUAAAAAAGAUUUUCGGCGACCUCCCCCUAAGAAGCCAUAACUUUUCCUUGUCUUGACAUUUAAAAACAUUGAGUGAGGGUUAUCGACCCAAUAUAUUUACUAAGGGCGUGCACGAAAGAGGGCUAUCUAUUUUUAUUUUUGCUAAGGUUUCAGAAUUUAGUUUGACUUUGAUUUAAUUUAAAUUCAUAACUUACCGAGAAAUACCACUAUAAAGUCAAGCAGCCCUAAACCUGACCAUUAUGGCUGCAUGCAUCAAUCCAUGCCNNNNNNNNNNNNNNNNNNNNNNNNNNNNNNNNNNNNNNNNNNNNNNNNNNNNNNNNNNNNNNNNNNNNNNNNNNNNNNNNNNNNNNNNNNNNNNNNNNNNNNNNNNNNNNNNNNNNNNNNNNNNNNNNNNNNNNNNNNNNNNNNNNNNNNNNNNNNNNNNNNNNNNNNNNNNNNNNNNNNNNNNNNNNNNNNNNNNNNNNNNNNNNNNNNNNNNNNNNNNNNNNNNNNNNNNNNNNNNNNNNNNNNNNNNNNNNNNNNNNNNNNNNNNNNNNNNNNNNNNNNNNNNNNNNNNNNNNNNNNNNNNNNNNNNNNNNNNNNNNNNNNNNNNNNNNNNNNNNNNNNNNNNNNNNNNNUAAUGAUGAUCCUAAAGUGAAUGAUUGUUCAUUGCCAAGGUAUUUCCCUCCGUUCCAAGAUUUCCAAGAUACAAGGUGUAUUAAAAACAUUCUCUAUAAACUUCUCUAUGUUUGAUCAAAUUUAAAAUAAAAUGUUUCUGGUGAAACAUAGAAACAUUUGACUUCUGAGAAAAAAAAAUCAGUACAGGUUAUAUUUUGAAAGCCGGAGUUAGUAGGUACACCAAUAAUUCGAUAUACCCACAAAAUGCUGGCUCUAGUUCCUUUCAUGGUUCCUUUGAUGUAAGAAAGAAGCUAGUAGAGACAAAGGGAAUCAAAUUAUGAGAGGAGGCGGCCCUAUCCUUAUUCCUCUUCCCCACGCGGUUGCUCCCGUCCAUCCUUUCCCAAAAGUGCAGCAUCUCUCAUUUCCUUCUUCAUCUUCUCCUCCCCCUCCUUCCGUGAUGCUCACUCGCCUAUAAAUAGCCCUCGCUGCCUGCCAUUGUUCCUCAAGCCAGCAAGCAAGAAGCACACAGGAAGCUCCUAGCCAACACCAAUCAAGGCCUCCAUCCAAUCCCAAGCAACCUCGAAUAUGUCUUGCUGCGGAGGAAACUGCGGAUGCGGCACCGCCUGCAAGUGCGGCAACGGCUGCGGUGGCUGCAACAUGUACCCCGAGGUUGAGGCCGCCGGCGCCACCCUCCUCGUCUCCGCCACUGCCACUCACAAGGGGUACGUCCCUUCUCUUGACAAAAUUUUCUCCACAGCUCAUACAUCAUCAUGCACUCGAUCUUUUUUUUUUGCGGGGUACGUGCAGGAGCUCCGGCGGCAUGGAGAUGGCGGCCGAGAACGGCGGCUGCGGCUGCACCCAGUGCAAGUGCGGCACCAGCUGCGGCUGCUCCUGCUGCAGCUGCUAGAUCAUUGAUCAUGCAUGCGCCGCGUGCAUCAUAUCUAUGAUCUACGUAUCCAUCUACUACCAUGUAAUGCCACCUGAUCGAGGGUCUUUGUAUGUAUGUAGUAUGUACGCACCUGCCUGCAUGAGCAGAGCGGGUGCCAUUCCAUGCAUGUAAACCCCUAAAUAAAAUCUCCCGUGGUUUUGCUUACAUCGUGUUGUUAGAUCCUCCUCCUAUUAGUGUUGCUUUCGGGUUCUUCUUAUGCACUAGCAGGAUCAGAGGCCGGUCUUUUGUUCUUGGUCUUCUCCUCAAACUGUCGUUUUCCUCUUCUCUAUGGUUCCAUGUGCGGCAGUAUUUUCUUCUUCUGUUGCCGAGUGUUGUAUCAGACUGUACCUUGUUUUGUGGUUUAUUCCUAUCCAUCUCGAAAUAUAGUGCAGGAAUUUAUUUGCAAAAGGUGGAUCUCAACAAGACACGACGGUAUGUGUAUCUUGCAGGAUUUAUUGAUCGGUCUAUCUUAUGCAUCUUAUUAAAAAAAUACAUUAAGGUCUCAUGGUCAAGCCAAAUUAUCAUUGUUUUUCCUUGCAUGCAAAAUGCAGCAAUAAAUCUUCGUCCUUGGCUUGUUUCUCAUUUCACUGCCUACGUUGCAGGUAUCCGACCCUGUUGGAAUCUCCUUUUCUGUCAUUGUGUUCACUUUCUGUGAUGUGAUGUGUGCGCAAAUAUUCCCACAACAACAACAUAAUAAUAAAGCCAUAUACGCAAGCAACCGAAUAAUGGCAAUGAUAUAUUACUGCUCAAGGCGCAUCUCCAAAUCAACCUGUCAUGUCCAUGGCUGCGUCUAAGCACUCGGGGCAGAAAUACUCACUCUCCGCCACUGAUUCAUAUCACCGAAUCCACACGGCCAAAUUACGUCCUCCAUGUUUUAAGCGAUGCCACUAUAUCUCGUGGGAAAAUUGUUUCCACAGUUCGAUAUCCCUCCCUUUGAUGAAAAAAUUCACGCUUGGCUUCUGCAUCACAGAGUGCAGAUAACGAAUAUUGUUUUCUAUGUUCUGAACUGGAACACUAUAUCUUGUGUAAAAAAUUGUGUCAACAAUAUCGAUAUUCCCUCCUAUAAAAUAAAAUCAUCAAUAGCUCACUUCUCUAUAUAACUGGAUGCAAAGUAAUGGGCGGUGUGGAGCACCCAAGACAGCACGCAAAAUAUCGGUGUUAUUUUAACUCCACUACGUAGACAAGUCACUAUAUUUACACAAUUAUGUAAGAAAAAGAGCUCUUUUAUGGUACCCUGUAUUGAAUAUUGACCGUCCAUCUGCAAAGAUCCAAUGGUGGGUACUUAUCUGUACUGGUGAAACUGGAUUAGCAGCAUCGCUAGUACCGCACGUCUCACGUCCACCGGUAUACUGCUCGGAGGGCAUUAUCGGUGACUCUGCAUCACCGGCAGCCGCCCGCCGGGGCUCGCCUCCUCUUCGCCCCCAUGCCCGCUGGGGCGCCUCCUCCCUGCCUUUAAUCCGCUGUGCUAUGCAUGCUUCUAUGGUUUUGGACUUCUGGCAUGGCACCGUGCGCCCCAUCCCCCUUCCACGCUACGGCCGCGAUGUUCUUUGCCGCCCCGCAUGGCUGAGCAGUGAGCACCUUAGCAUCGCGUUUAUUGUGUUGCCUCGUUCAUGACGACAGUGCAUGCCAAACCACCCUGCGUUGACGAUGAGGCCAGGAUGUGUACAACGUCGUGGUCUUCACGGAGAGCUGCGGCUACGAGAGUGCCGGAGCCUGGCGGAACCUCGCCUAUUUUGUGCUAACCAUGCCCUCGCUACGCUCAUGGCCGUCCUCCUUUAUUUUACUACCGCUUGCCUUCAUGAUCGAGCUCUUCAUGGCCUGGAUCACGCUUUACUUUAGCCUCAGCUUGCCGGACGUGGAGCAGCUACUCAUCUGCCUUUGCUGUGAGGUCGACGACCACGUCAUUGUUCAAAAGCUCACCCAGGCAGGGCUCAACAUACCUGUUUCCUCGUCGUCACCCCGCUGUCACAGACUCACAGGAGUGCACGAUGCAUUCCGAAAUAUUGAUUCGCCAGAGCAAUUCCCUUCACGAACACAAGAAGAGCUUUCACCGUCACAUAUACUGCUCCCUCCCCAGUAGCAGUAUAGGGUACCAUAAAAACCCUCAAGAAAAAUAAAUAACUCAGAGAACUGUCUGGCCAUAGAUGGAGCUUUCUACAGAUGGGGACAAGAAUUUGGCACCACCCACUCAAUUUCCCUCUCACCUUUUUGCAUUGCUUUCAUAUGUAAAAAAACAAAAACAAAAUAGUGAGUUGACUUGCGAUCUGCCUUAAAAUGACAAGAUGACGGUUGGGGGUUAAAAAAACAUUCAAAUGCAUUUUAUAUAUUCAUAUGUUUACUUAUUUUGUAUUUGUUUGUGCAUGUCAUAAAAAUCAUCAAUUUCCACAAGCAUACAUAAUACUCAAUGAUCUACAUUGACAAUAGGCUUUGAGAUUUUUCAACGCAUGACAAGAAAAAUCAAAUGAGGUCAGCUGGAAAUUAAAGAUCAGUUUUGACUUCCAAAAAAUUAUGAUCUCUUUUGUCCAAACUUAAAAGGAAUCAUUACAGAAAAUUUGGAGAUUCCAAUUGUUAGAAUAUUUUCCUACAGGACUAGUAGGGCUGGGAACCAUAAUGAUAUUUUCUAUGGCCUAAUUGACAUGUUUAUGUUGAGCCAAAUCUUUUGGAAAUAGUUUCGUUGAUUCAGUGACAACUAUGUGCUUGCACCUAACGCUUGAGAAAAUUCUUGUAUUUUUUCCCUCUUGCAAUAAAUCAACAUCCAUAUUUUACGCAUUUACUCCAUCUUCAAUUCCCACAGAAUUCAACACAGCAUGACCUGAAAUCUGUGUGUUAAGUUUUCCGGUUCCUGUCUUUUUAAAAUGCUGCAAAAGUAUGUGGCAUGUAAUCUUUAAAAAUAGUGGGAGUGUGAUAGUUAUUGAAAUGCAUGUAGGAUGGAAACUAAAAUUUCAGUAAAAUUCAGCUUAUAACACUAAAAUUGAAAAGGUUGCCAAGCCUAUGGCAACCAAGAGCCGCCAAGAUUUCUUAAAUAACAAAUAUUUUCGGCGACCUCCCCCAAAGAAGACAUAGCUUUUUCCUUGUCUUGACAUUCAAAAGCACUGAGUGAGGGGUAUCGGCUGAAUAUAUUCACUAAGGGCAUGCACAAAAGAGAGUUGACUAUUAUUAUUUUGCAAUGCUUUCAGAAUUUAGUUUGAUAUUGGUUUAAUUCAUAGUUCAUAAUUUACCGAGAAAUACCACUACGAGGUCAAGCACCCCUAAACUUGACCGUUAUGGCUGCAUGCAUCAAUGUAUGCCGAGGGCCGCGCGCGGGGGGUCUUGUUUGGAAAAUAAUAAUGAUCUUAUAGUGCAAUGAUUGGUCAUUGCCUAAGGUAUUUCCCUCUGUUCCAAGAUACAAGGUGUAUUUUUUAUUAAAAAAAACAAAAUUCCCUAUGUUUGACCAAAUUUAAAAUAAAACGUCUCUGUGUUUGGAAACCAUUUAUAUUUUUAUAAGCUCGAUCAAACAUAGAAGAUUUGACUUCAGAAAAAAAAAUAGUACAACUUAUAUUAUGAAACGGGAGUUAGUAGGUACACCAAUAAUUCGAUAUACGCACAAAAUGCUGGCUGUAGUUCCUUUCAUGGCUCCUUUGAUGUAAGAAAGAUGCUAGUAGAGACUAGAGACAAAGGGAAUCAAAUUAUGGGAGGAGGCGGCCCUAUCUAUAUUCCUCUUCCCCAAGCGGUUGCUCCCGUCCAUCCUUUGCCAAAAGUGGAGCAUCUCCCAUUUCCUUCUUCAUCUUCUCCUCCUCCUCCUUCCUUCGUAUUCACUCACCUAUAAAUAGCCCUCGCUGCCUGCCAUUGUUACUCAAGCCAGCAAGCAAGAAGCACAAAAGAAGCCAACACCAAUCAAGGCCUCCAUCCAAUCCCAAGCAACCUCGAAGAUGUCUUGCUGCGGAGGAAGCUGCGGCUGCGGCAGCGCCUGCAAGUGCGGCAACGGCUGCGGCGGCUGCAACAUGUACCCCGAGGUCGAGGCCGCCGGCGCCACCCUCCUCGUCGCCGCCACCGCCACCCACAAGGCGUACGUCCCUUCUCCUUCCUCAUAUAUCAUGCACUCGAUCGUAACAAUAUGACUGUAUGUUGAUCUUGGUAUGGGUGGGGUACGUGCAGGAGCUCCGGCGGCAUGGAGAUGGCGGCCGAGAACGGCGGCUGCGGCUGCACCCAGUGCAAGUGCGGCACCAGCUGCGGCUGCUCCUGCUGCAGCUGCUAGAUCAUCGGUCAUGCAUGCACCGCGUGCCUCAUAUCUAUGAUCUAUCUAUAUAUCCAUCUACCACCAUGUAACGCUACCUGAUCACGGUCUUUGUAUGUAUGUACGCACCUGCCUGCAUGAGCAGAGCAGGUGCCAUGCCAUGCAUGUAAACCCCUAAAUAAAAUCUCCCGUGGUUUAACCCCCUAUACAUGUGUUUGUGUUAUAGUCUUAUAGACCAACUUCUGGCCCAUGUUUACUAUGAACUUGCGACUUGCGAGGUGCCUGGGUUGUUAAUAGACCAGCUGGAUGCUCUCUUGAAGCAACGUAUGCACCGCUUGGAGUCGGUGUAUCUUUAUACACAUGUAUUUAUUUUACAGGUGUAUAUCAUCGGCCACACCUGGGAAAAAACGAUGGAUGGAGAAGUGUAAAUUUACAGGGGUAUUGCUCUGUGAAACGAGAAUCGAAUCAGGGCCUUAAGGGUAGGGAUGGCAAUGGGUAGGGUAUGGGCGCGUACGACUUUUUUCUGCCCAAACCCAUACCCAAAUCUUUUUUCUAUACCCAUCUAUUUCAAUAUCCAUGGACACAAAUUGGUACCCAUGCCCAUACCUAUCGGGUAUAUUAUACCCAAUGGAUAUCCAAUGGGUAUAGUAUCUAACAUUGGCAUGAUAAAGGUAAGCCAAGAAAAGGGCCUAAAACUAAAUUUAGGUACUCGGCCAUCACAAUCCGGUUUGCACUUACAUCAAAAUUUUACAAUGUGGAUUGACACACAAAUGUCUUAAUCUUCAUUACAAACUAACUUAAAAAAACAAGUUUCAAACUUGCAAUGCCAAUCACUGUAGGUAUUAUAGGGUUUAAUUUAUUUAUUAAUUUUUCUGGGUAUCCAUUAGGAUACCCAUGGGUAUAAUUUCAUACCCAUACCCUACCCAUGCAUUUUGCGGGUAUGGACACCCAUUACCCAUGGGUAUGAAGUAGUAAAAAGUCUUAUCCAUGCCCACUGUUUUCGGGUAGGGUACCCGCGGGUACCCAUACCCAUGGGCAAAACUGCCAUCCCUACUUAAGGGCGUUUGAUACAUGCGAAUAUUACUGGCCAAAGUUGAGUAUGAGAUACAUACAAUACAAACUUGACACUUUUGAAAGUCGUGCUAUCAAUCAUGAGACGCAUAGUUUAGCCAAAUUCUCGCUUAAUCUUUGUCAAAGGGUGUCACAUCUGGUUUGGCCAACCCCAUGAUCCGAUAUGUAUCCUACUCUCUGUGGUUUUCGAUGAAUAAAAUUUGGUUAAACCCUAAAAAAACUUAUUUGACGCGCCUUAGUUUUUUUCGAGAAUUUUUUUUAAAUCCGUUCAUCAAUCAUGGCAGUACAAAAAUCACAACCAGGUCCAUGAACCACCUAGCGACGACUACACUCACUGGAGCGAGCUAAACGUGCGCCGCCAUUAUCGCCCCUCCCUUACCGGAGUCGGACAAACCUUAUUGUAGUAGACAGUUGGAAAGUUAUCGUGCUAAGACCCUCAAGGACCACCGCACUGCAUAGCAACCAUCGUCGAUGAAAAGAGUUGUAGAUUGGAAAGAUCAAAGCUAUAACCACACAAGCGAAGACGAACAAAAAUGGAUCCAAUAGAUCCACCAAAGUCCAGCACGACAGAAUCCUGUGAGAUCCGGCGGGGACACACCUCCACAUGUCCUCCUCCGAUGUUAUUCGCACCACCGGGACGAGGAUCGGAUGUGGGAGACAUUAUUCCUACCCAGGGACAUCACUACCGUCACACAGCCCCAACCAAGACGUUAAACCUAACAAAAACGAGAACGGGUCCCUCCCGCUGCCGGGGGGCCAAGAUCCUCCGCACUCCGGGGAAUCGGCGCCGGCGGCAACGGGAUGAGAAAGGAAACUUUUCUUGAGAAGGAGGAAAGACAGACACAUACUGUUGUGUCUAAAUUACCGUGUCUUAGUUUGAUGUACUAUUUGCACCAGCUACUUCAUAACUAGAUUGCCAUGGUUGACGAUGGGUGUGUUCCCCUCUACUAAUAGUGCGGCAGUGCCCUAGCGGCGACAACUAUAUCAUGAACAAUUAAAACUUCACGAAAUUGGUGGCCUGGUGACUUAUGCCUGUGCCUAUAUCGCACGCUCUUUUGUGAUGACAAAGAAACAGAUUAUCAUUUUCGGAGGUUAAAUGGAAACAGAUGGAGUGAACCACAUGUAUGUUGUACCAGCAAAACAAUAUUUAAAUCGAUUCGUUGAUGAUUUCCUUGAUAUAAAAUUUGAGGUGUGCUCUACAACACCCCACCCUACCCCCGGAGCUCCUAUUUGGCACGCUAAGCGCUAGCGGUCGAGCCCGUGCGCGUCCCCUUCCCUUGCACACCCAUUUGGGUCGGCCCAUGCGCGGGGCGGGACACGCCGUUUUUAUUUUUUAUUUUUCUUUUAUUUAUUUUUUAAAUAAUUCAGGAUUUCAAAAAGUUUCAAAUUUAAAAAAAAUGUCAACUUUGAAAAAACAAAGAAAUCAUAAAAUGUUCAUGGAUUCAAAAAAUAUCUUGAAUUUGAAAGACAUGUCCGGACAUUCCCAAAAUGUUCAUAAAUUUGAACAAAAUGUUCACAAAUUAAAAAACAUGUUCAGAAAACUAAAUAAAUGAUUCUCAAUUACGAAAAUAUUGAAAAAUCAAAAAAUGUUCGUUGAUUCAAAAAAUGUUAAUUAAUUUCGAAAAAUAUUUGUCAAACAAAUAGUAUUCAUGAAUGUCAAAAAUUGUUCCCAGAUUUCAAAAACUAUUUCUUGUCAAAAAUUAUUCAGCAAUUCAAAUGUCCAUGAGUUUUAAAACAAUGUUUACAAUUUUAAAAAAUUCUUAGAUAUAAAAAAAUGUUUGUGAAUUCAAAAAAUAUUCAAGAUUAAAUUAAAUUCAUGAAUUUUUAAACAUGUUCAUGAAUUUGAAAAAUAAUCACAACAAAACAAUGUUCAUGCAAUUGGAAAAUGCUCACAAUUUAAAUAAUGUUAAAAAUCAUUAAAAAGUUCAUAAAUUUGAAAAUAAGUUCAAAAAAUGAAAGACUGAAAAAAGAAAAGAAAAACUGACAUCAAAAUAGGAAAAUAUAAAUAAGGUAAAAACGAAAACGAAAAAUAGAAAUGAAAUAAUGAAAAUGAAAAAACAAAAAUAACCCGAAAGGAAAAAACUGGUAUGGAAAGGUUCUAGAACGUUCCCAAAACCGAAAAGGAGGUACUUGGGCCGCCCCAAAAUGUGUACCUAGUGGGAGGGGCGUAUGCGCUAGGAUUAGCCCCCUAAAAAGCUUCACAACUUUUGAGCAGAUCAAUGGUCUAGAUUAAAACAUGUCCUUUACUUUAGAAGGGGUAAUAUAAAAAAUUCACAUUAUAAAAACACUUGCAAUAAAAAAGAUAACGGGCGCUCUAGAAACCCAUGGCGGCUAGUGCGACUUGUUUGGAGCUAUUCGUCUCCUUCCCAACCCUUAUCCACUACCCCGGUCGUCCAUGUAUCUGUCAAAAGUGUUAGAUGAAGGAAAUAUGCCCUAUAGGCAAUAAUAAAGUUAUUAUUUAUUUCCUUAUUUCAUGAUAAAUGUUUAUUAUUCAUGCUAGAUUUGUAUUAACCGGAAACAUAAUACAUGUGUGAAUACAUAGACAAACAUAGUGUCACUAGUAUGCCUCUACUUGACUAGCCCGUUAAUCAAAGAUGGUUAAGUUUCCUAACCAUAGACAUGAGUUGUCAUUUGAUUAACGAGAGCACAUCAUUAGGAGAAUGAUAUGAUUGACUUGACCCAUUCCGUUAGCUUAGCACUUGAUCGUUUAGUAUUCUGCUAUUGCUUUCUUCAUGACUUAUACAUGUUCCUAUGACUAUGAGAUUAUGCAACUCCCGUUUACCGGAGGAACACUUUGUGUGCUAUCAAACGUGACAACGUAACUGGGUGAUUAUAAAGGUGCUCUACAGGUGUCUCCGAAGGUACUUGUUGGGUUGGCGUAUUUCGAGAUUAGGAUUUGUCACUCCGAUUGCCGGAGAGGUAUCUCUGGCCCACUCGGUAAUACACAUCACUUAAGCCUUGCAAGCAUUGCAACUAAUGAGUUAGUUGCGGGAUGAUGUGUUAUGGAACGAGUAAAGAGACUUGCCGGUAACGAAAUUGAACUAGGUAUUGAGAUACGGACGAUCGAAUCUCGGGCAAGUAACAUACCGAUGGCAAAGGGAACAACGUAUGUUGUUAUGCGGUUUGACCGAUAAAGAUCUUCGUAGAAUAUGUAGGAGCCAAUAUGAGCAUCCAUGUUCCGCUAUUGGUUACUGACCGGAGACGUGUCUCGGUCAUGUCUACAUAGUUCUCGAACCCGUAGGGUCCGCACGCUUAAAGUUCGAUGACGGUUAUAUUAUGAGUUUAUGGUUUUUGAUGUACCGAAGGUAAUUCGGAGUCCUGGAUGUGAUCACGGACAAGACGAGGAGUCUCGAAAUGUUUGAUACGUAAAGAUCAAUAUAUUGGACGACUAUAUUUGGAUAUCGGAAUGGUUCCGGGUGAGAUCAGGAUAAUACCGGAGCACCGGGAGGUUAUUGGAACCCUCCCCCCCGGAGGUAUAUGGGCCUUAAUGGGCUUUAGUGGAAAGGAGGGAAAAGGAGCAAGGGAGGGGGCGCCCCCCCCCCCCCCAAGCCCAAUCCGAAUAGGGAAGGGGGCCACCCCCCUUUCCUUCCUCCCUCCUUCCUCUUCCUUCCCUCCCCCUCUCCAAAUAGGAAAAGGAGGAGUCCUACUCCCGAUGGGAGUAGGACUCCCCCCUUGGGCGCGCCUCCUCCCCUUGACCAGCCCUCUCCUCCCCUCCUUUAUAUACGGAGGAGAGGGGCACCCCAUAGACAGAACAAUUGAUCUCUUGGAUCUUUUAGCCGUGUGCGGUGCCCCUCUCCACCAUAGUCCACCUCGAUAAUAUCGUAGCGGUGCUUAGGCGAAGCCCUGCGACGGUAGAACAACAUCGUCACCACGCCCUCGUGCUGAUAGAACUCUCCCUCACAGCUCGGCUGGAUAGGAGUUCGAGGGAUGAAACCGAGUUGAACGUGUGCAGAACUCGGAGGUGCCGUGCGUUCGGUACUUGAUCGGUCGGAUCGUGAAGACAUACGACUACAUCAACCGCGUUGUGCUAAUGCUUCCGCUUUCGGUCUACAAGGGUACGCGGACACACUCUCCCCUCUCGUUGCUAUGCAUCACCAUGAUCUUGCAUGUGCGUAGGAAAUUUUUUGAAAUUACUACGUUACCCAACAGUGGUAUCAGAGCCAGGUUUUAUGCGUUGAUGUUAUAUGCACGAGUAGAAAACAAGUGAGUUGUGGGCGAUACAAGUCAUACUGCUUACCAGCAUGUCAUACUUUGGUUCGGCGGUAUUGUUGGAUGAAGCGGCCCGGACCGACAUUACGCGUACGCUUACGCGAGACUGGUUCUACCGACGUGCUUUGCACACAAGUGGCUGGCGGGUGUCAGUUUCUUCAACUUUAGUUGAACCGAGUGUGGCUACGCCCGGUCCUUGAGAAGGUUAAAACAGCACUAACCUGACGAACUAUCGUUGUGGUUUUGAUGCGUAGGUAAGAACGGUUCUUGCUCAGCCCGUAGCAGCCACGUAAAACUUGCAACAACAAAGUAGAGAACGUCUAACUUGUUUUUGCAGGGCAUGUUGUGAUGUGAUAUGGUCAAGACAUGAUGCUAUAUUUUAUUAUAUGAGAUGAUCAUGUUUUGUAAUCGAGUUAUCGGCAACUGGCAAGAGCCAUAUGGUUAUCGCUUUAUUGUAUGCAAUGCAAUCGCCCUGUAAUUGCUCUACUUUAUCACUAGGCGGUAGCGAUAGUCAUAGAAGCAAUAGUUGGCGAGACGACAAUGAUGCUACGAUGGAGAUCAAGGUGUCGCACUGGUGACGAUGGUGAUCAUGACGGUGCUUCGGAGAUUGAGAUCACAAGCACAAGAUGAUGAUGGCCAUAUCAUAUCACUUAUAUUGAUUGCAUGUGAUGUUUAUCUUUUAUGCAUCUUAUUUUGCUUUGAUUGACGGUAGCAUUAUAAGAUGAUCUCUCACUAAAUUUCAAGAUAAAAGUAUUCUCCCUGAGUAUGCACCGUUGCCAAAGUUCGUCGUGCCCAGACACCAUGUGAUGAUCGGGUAUGAUAAGCUCUAUGUCCAUCUACAACGGGUGCAAGCCAGUUUUGCACACGCAGAAUACUCAGGUUAAACUUGACGAGCCUAGCAUAUGCAGAUAUGGCCUUGGAACACCGAGACCGAAAAGUCGAGCUUGAAUCAUAUAGUACAUAUGAUCAACAUAAUGAUGUUCACCAUUGAAAACUACUCCAUUUCACGUGAUGAUCAGUUAUGGUUUAGUUGAUUUGGAUCACAUGAUCACUUAGAUGAUUAGAGAGAUGUCUAUCUAAGUGGGAGUUCUUAAAGUAAUAUGGUUAAUUGGACUUUAAUUUAUCUUGAACUUAGUCCUGGUAGUAUUAGCAUAUCUAUGUUGUAUAUCAAUAGCUCGCGUUUAGCUCCCCUGUUUUAUUUUUGAUAUGUUCCUAGAGAAAACUAAGUUGAAAGAUGUUAAUAGCAAUGAUGCGGAUUGGAUCCGUGAUCUGAGGAUUAUCCUCACUGUUGCACAGAAAUAUUAUGUCCUUGAUGCACCGCUAGGUCACAGACCUAUUGCAGGAGCAGAUGCUGACGUUAUGAACAUUUUGACAAAAGCUCGGUAUGAUGACUACUUGAUAGUUUAGUGCACCAUGCUUUACGACUUAGAACCGGGACUUCAAAAAUGUUUUGAACGCCACGGAGCAUAUAAGAUAUUCCAAGAAUUGAAAUUGGUAUUUCAUACUCAUGCCAGUGUCGAGAGGUAUGAGACCUCUGACAUUACUUUGCCUACAAGAUGGAGGAGAAUAGCUCAACCAGUAAGCAUGUGCUCAGAUUGUCUGAGUACUACAAUCACUUGAAUCAAGUGGGAGUUAAUCUUCUAGAUAAUAUAGUGAUUGACAGAGUUCUCUAGUCACUAUCACCAAGUUGUUAGAACUUCAUGAUGAACUAUAAUAUGCAAGGGAUAACGGAAACGAUUCCCAAGCUCUUCAUGAUGCUGAAAUCGACGAAGGUAAAAAUCAAGAAAAGCAUCAAGUGUUGAUGGUUAACAAGACCACUAUUUUCAAGAAAAGGGCAAAUGGAAUAAGGGGAAUUUCAAGAAGAACGGCAAGCAAGUUGCUGCUCAAGUGAAGAAGCCCAAAUCUAGACCUAAGCCUGAGACUAAGUGCUUUUACUGCAAAGGGACUAGUCACUGGAAGUGGAACUGCCCCAAGUAUUUGGCAGAUAAGAAGGAUGGCAAAGUGAACAAAGGUAUAUUGGAUAUACAUGUUAUUGAUGUGUACUUUACUAGUGUUUAUAGCAACCCCUCAGUAUUUGAUACUAGUUCAGUUGCUAAGAGUAGUAACUUGAAAUGGUAGUUGGACAAUGAACAGAGACUAGUUAAGGGUGGAGCAACGAUGUGUGUUGGAAGUAGUUCCAAGAAUGAUAUGAUCGUCAUCGCACACUCCCUAUACUUUCAGGAUUAGUGUUGAACCUAAAUAAGUGUUAUUUGGUGUUUUCGUUGAGCAUGAAUAUGAUUUGAUCAUGUUUAUUGCAAUACGGUUAUUCAUUUAAGUUAGAGAAUAAUUGUUAUUCUGUUUACAUGAAUAAAACCUUCUAUGGUUAUACACCCAAUGAAAAUGGUUUGUUGAAUCUUGAUUGUAGUGAUACACAUAUUCAUAAUAUUGAAGCCAAAAGAUGCAAAGUUAAUAAUGAUAGUGCAACUUAUUUGUGGCACUGUCGUUUAGGUCAUAUUGGUGUAAAGCGCAUGAAGAAAAUCCAUGCUGAUGGGCUUUUGGAAUCACUUGAAUAUAAAUCAGUUGAUGCUUGCGAACCAUGCCUCAAGGGUAAAGAGGACUAAGACUCCGUUCUCCAGAACAAUGGAGCGAGGAACUGACUUAUUGGAUAUAAUACAUACUGAUGUAUGAGGUCCGAUGAGUGUUGAGGCUCGCGGCGGGUAUCGUUAUUUUCUGACCUUCACAGAUAAUUUGAGCAGAUAUGGGUAUAUCUACUUGAAGAAACAUAAGUCCGAAACAUUUGAAAAGUUUAAAGAAUUUCAGAGUGAAGUGGAAAAUCAUCGUAACAAGAAAAUAAAGUUUCUACGAUCUGAUCGUAGAGGCAAAUAUUUGAGUUACGAGUUUGGUCUUCAAUUAAAACAAUAUGGAAUAGUUUCACAAACUCAUGCCACCUGGAACACCAUAGCGUAAUGGUGUGUCCGAAAGUCAUAACUGUGCUUUAUUUGAUAUAGUGCAAUCUAUGAUGUCUCAUACCGAUUUACCACUAUCAUUUUGGGGUUAUGCAUUAGAGAUAGCUGCAUUCACAUUAAAAAGGGCACCAUCUAAAUCUGUUGAGAUAACACCGUAUGAACUGUGGUUUAGCAAGAAACCUAAGGUGUCGUUUCUUAAAGUUUGGGGUUGCGAUGCUUAUGUGAAAAAGGUUUAUCUUGAUAAGCUCAAACCCAAAUCGAAGAAGUGCGUCUUCAUAGGAUACCCAAAAGUAACUGUUGGGUACACCUUCUAUCACAGAUCCGAAGGCAAGAUAUUUGCUGCUGAGAAUAGAUCCUUUCUAGAGAAGGAGUUUCUCUCGAAAGAAGUGAGUGGGAGGAAAGUAGAACUUGAUGAGGUAACUGUACCUGCUCCCUUAUUGGAAAGUAGUUCAUCACAGAAAUCUGUUUCUGUGACUCCUACACCAAUUAGUGAGGAAACUAAUGAUGAUGAUCAUGUAACUUCAGAUCAAGUUAUUACCAAACCUCUUAGGUCAACCAGAGUGAGAUCCGCACCAGAGUGGUACGGUAAUCCUGUUCUGGAGGUCACGUUAAUUGACCAUGACGAACCUACGAACUAUGAGGAAGCGAUGAUGAGCCCAGAUUCCGCGAAAUGGCUUGAGGCAUGAAAUCUAAUAUGGGAUCCAUGUAUGAGAACAAAGUGUGGACUUUGGUUAACUUGCCCGAUGAUCGGCAAGCCAUAGAAAAUAAAUGGAUCUUCAAGAGGAAGACGGACAGUGAUAGUAGUGUUGCUAUCUACAAAGCUCGAAUUGUCGCAAAAUGUUUUCGACAAGUUCAAGGUGUUGACUACGAUGAGAUUUUCUCACUCGUAUCGAUGCUUAAGUCCGUCCGAAUCAUGUUAGCAAUUGCCGCAUUUUAUGAUUAUGAAAUUUGGCAAAUGGAUGUAAAGACUGCAUUCCUGAAUGGAUUUCUGGAAGAAGAGUUGUAUAUGAUGCAACCUGAAGGUUUUGUCGAUCCUAAAGGUGCUAACAAAGUGAGCAACCUCCAGCGAUCCAUCAAUGGACUGGUGCAAGCUUCUCGAAGUUGGAAUAAACGUUUUGAUAGUGUGAUCAAAGCAUAUGGUUUUAUACAGACUUGCGGUGAAGCCUGUAUUUACAAGAAAGUGAGUGGGAGCACUACAACAUUUCUAAUAAGAAGUGUGAAUGACAUAUUGUUGAUCGGAAAUAAUGUAGAAUUUUCUGGAAAGCAUAAAGAAGUAUUUGAAAUGAGUUUCUCAAAUAAAGACCUCGAUGAAGCUACUUACAUAUUGAGCAUCAAGAUCUAUAGAGAUAGAUCAAGACGCUUGAUAAGUUUUUUCAAUGAGUGCAUACCUUGACAAGAUUUUGAAGUAGUUCAAAAUGGAACAGUCAAAGAAAGAGAUCUUACCUGUGUUACAAGGUGUGAAAUUGAGUAAGACUCAAAGCCCGACCACGGCAGAAGAUAGAAAGAGAAUGAAAGUCAUUCCCUAUGCCUCAACCAUAGUUUCUAUAAAGUAUGCCAUGCUGUGUACCAGAUCUAUUGUAUACCCUACACUGAGUUUAGCAAUGGAAUACAAUAGUGAUCUAGGAGUAGAUCACUGGAUAGCGGUCAAAAUUAUCCUUAGUGGAAUAAGGAAAUAUUUCUCGACUAUGGAGGUGAUAAAAGAGUUCGUCGUAAAGAGUUACGUCGAUGCAAGCUUUUUACAUCGAUCUAGAUGACUCUAAGUCUCGAUCUGGAUACAUAUUAAAAGUGGGAGCAAUUAGCUAGAGUAGCUCCAUGCAAAGCAUUGUUGACACAGAAAUUUUCAAAAUACAUAUGGAUCUGAAUGUGGCAGACCCGUAGACUAAACUUCUCUCACAAGUAAAACAUGAUCACACCUUAGUACUCUUUGGGUGUUAAUCGCAUAGCGAUGUGAACUAGAUUAUUGACUCUAGUAAACCCUUUGGGUGUUGAUCACAUGACGAUGUGAACUAUGGGUGUUAAUCACAUGGUGAUGUGAACUAUUGGUGUUAAAUCACAUGGCGAUGUGAACUAGAUUAUUGACUCUAGUGCAAGUGGGAGACUGAAGGAAAUAUGCCCUAGAGCCAAUAAUAAAGUUAUUAUUUAUUUCCUUAUUUCAUGAUAAAUGUUUAUUAUUCAUGCUAGAUUUGUAUUAACCGGAAACAUAAUACAUGUGUGAAUACAUAGACAAACAUAGUGUCACUAGUAUGCCUCUACUUGACUAGCUCGCUAAUCAAAGAUGGUUAAGUUUCCUAACCAUAGACAUGAGUUGUCAUUUGAUUAACGGGAUCACAUCAUUAGGAGAAUGAUAUGAUUGACUUGACCCAUUCCGUUAGCUUAGCACUUGAUCGUUUAGUAUUCUGCUAUUGCUUUCUUCAUGACUUAUACAUGUUCCUAUGACUAUGAGAUUAUGCAACUCCCGUUUACCAGAGGAACACUUUGUGUGCUACCAAACGUCACAACGUAACAGGGUGAUUAUAAAGGUGCUCUACAGGUGUCUCCGAAGUUACUUGUUGGGUUGGCGUAUUUCGAGAUUAGGAUUUGUCACUCCGAUUGUCGGAGAGGUAUCUCUGGCCCCUCGGUAAUACACAUCACUUAAGCCUUGCAAGCAUUGCAACUAAUGAGUUAGUUGCGGGAUAAUGUGUUAUGGAACGAGUAAAGAGACUUGCCAGUAACGAGAUUGAACUAGGUAUUGAGAUACCGACGAUCGAAUCUCGGGCAAGUAACAUACCGAUGGCAAAGGGAACAACGUAUGUUGUUAUGCGGUUUGACCGAUAAAGAUCUUCGUAGAAUAUGUAGGAGCUAAUAUGAGCAUCCAUGUUCCGCUAUUGGUUAUUGAACGGAGACGUGUCUCAGUCAUGUCUACAUAGUUCUCGAACCCGUAGGGUCCGCACGCUUAAAGUUCGAUGACGGCUAUAUUUUGAGUUUAUGGUUUUUGAUGAACCGAAGGUAAUUCAGAGUCCUGGAUGUGAUCACGGACAAGACGAGGAGUCUCGAAAUGUUCGAGACGUAAAGAUCGAUAUAUUGGACGACUAUAUUUGGAUACCAGAAUGGUUCCGGGUGAGAUCGGGAUAAUACCGGAGCACCGGGAGGUUAUCGGACCCCCCCGGAGGUAUAUGGGCCUUAAUGGGCUUUAGUGGAAAGGAGGUAAAAGGAGAAAGGGAGGGGGCGCCCCCCCCCCCCCAAGCCCAACCCGAACUGGGAAGCCCCCCCCCUUUCCUUCCUCCCUCCUUCCUCUUCCUUCCCUCUCCCUCUCCAAAUAGGAAAAGGAGGAGUCCUACUCCCGGUGGGAGUAGGACUCCCCCCUUGGGCGCACCUCCUCCCCUUGGCCGGCCCUCUCCUCCCCUCCUUUAUAUACGGAGGAGAGGGGCACCCCAUAGACACAACAAUUUAUCUCUUGGAUCUUUUUGCUGUGUGCGGUGCCCCUCUCCACCAUAGUCCACCUCGAUAAUAUUGUAGCGGUACUUAGGCGAAGCCCUGUGACGGUAGAACAUCAACAUCGUCACCACGCCGUUGUGCUGAAGGAACUCUCCCUCAAAGCUCGGCUGGAUCGGAGUUUGAGGGACGUCAUCGAGUUGAACGUGUGCAGAACUCAGAGGUGCCGUGCGUUCGGUACUUGAUCGGUCGGAUCGUGAAGACAUACGACUACAUCAACCGCAUUGUGCUAAUGCUUUCGCUUGCGGUCUACAAGGGUACACGGACACACUCUCCCCUCUCGUUGUUAUGCAUCACCAUGAUCUUGCGUGUGCGUAGGAUUUCUUUUUAAAUUACUAUGUUACCCAACAUUAGACUCCUCCACUUUAUCUUACUCCUCACAUUCCCAUCAUCCGACAUAGUAUGACGACAUCUCAGCCCCUUGUAUUCACAUCACACGGUGUUCAAAUCGCACGAGCCACGAGGCCUUGUUUUUUAAACAGAAGUGGUGUACCCAAGCACCCCUAAUGAAAUUGGCGUUCCCUUGAUCCAAAGAAAAAAAGAGUAAAAAGAAACCAAACACUCCCCCCCCCACAUACACCUCCAGCGUUCCUAUGCACCGAAUUGUACACAACCAAUAGUUUCUACAUUGCUACACAUGAAUGAUGCUUACAGUUGAAAUAAAAGGCAACUCAUUGUCGCUUACAACUAAAUAGCAAAAGGAUACUAGGAGUAGAGUUUGACAUAGGCUAGAGUAAGUGCAUUAUAUAUCCUUAUUUCUGUUUCGCAAUUUUUUUUCCUUAUUUCUAGUGUGUGAUUGCCACCCAAGAUUGCAAUAGAACACCAGGUCAACUGACAAUCCAAUCCCUGGUGUUCUAUUAUAUGUCGAGUUAAAUACUAAAAAGUGCUACUAGGAGUAGAGUAUGAGAUGAACGAGAGUAAGUGCAUUAUGUAUAUCCUCAAUUAUAGUGUGCGGUCACCACCCAAGAUUGCAACAGAACACCAAUUUGGCUGACGAAACCAAUCUAGUCCAAUCGCUUAUUGAACUAAAAGUCGGUAUAUGUACUUAGGAGUUGCCUAACUAAAGCAUGCGGUUCAACUUGAUAGAUCUAGUAAGAUUCAACUCGAUAAUCGUUUAAUUCCUAAUGGUUUCUAUAAAAAAUAGUUACAAUAACUAACUCAAACGAAAUAUAAGCGAACAAUCAAACAUCGACCGGCUCACAUGGCUUCCAAAUAAAACUAAUUAACAGAUCGAGUAAUACAUUGUUUAUUCCUUGCUCUUAAUAUGAGGUUAUACAUAACAUAUUUUGGUCCAUCCUGAAGUAAGUAUUACGUAACAAGUACUAGCUAGUAUUUCAGUCUCUACUAGCAAAUGUUGCAAUAGCAAACAGCCUUGAUGGCGUUCUUCUUAUCACAGUGGUAGUCCUUGAGGCUGCCCUUCCUAUCACGUGCAAACACGUCACACGUGGCCUUGCAUAGAGGCUUGGUGCAGAAAAACUCCCCGCCGUCGUCAACGACCGCGAAAUUGUGCUGCACAACACCAAGAAAACACAAACCAUUAUAUUAGAAUAUUAGCGACAAACCCCCAUUAGAUUAGAUUAUACGUAUUUGACAAACACAAUUAAACACACCUGCAGAAAUAGGAGUACCCACAAGUGUUAGCACCACGAGGAAGCAAACAAUAGCAGCCCGUGUGUCCAUCCCAAGAGUUCUCUCCUUUUUUGAACUAGAAGGAAAAAUAUGUGUUCUCUUCGUCUAUUUUAAUUUGGCUAUGGGACUAAUGUUUAUGUCUUGAAGUGCUUGGAGUGUUGUCUUAUAUAGACUUAUUGAAAGGGACAAAAAUAAAAGCAUUUAAAUGAUUGUUAAACUUAGCAAAAGAGAUAGAGGUGAGUCACACCCCAAAAAUGGAAGCACUUAAUGCUGGGUGAGAAAUUAAAUGACGAAGGCAAAGAAUAUAUGAGUGAUGUUUAUCCAAUAAUCAAGGCUUUAAUUUUCGACUACAAAAUAAGCAUGACCAUUCAAAAAAUGGAGUCAUCUUUUUGUCGCUGGUGACAUUGAUCAAACAUGGUUUUUUAUAAAAAAAAAUGUAUAGCCACUUUAAUUGCAAACACCAUUGUGCAUUGAAAUUCAGUUGACUUCAACAAAACAAUCAAUAUGAAUUGCAUGCUUGAUAUGUAACCAACUAAAACUAAAAUUGUAUGUUGUCUCGAGUUGACUAAAUCACCAUUUUUGGCUAGACAAUGUUUAAAACUGUGUCAACUGUGUCAAUUUGCACGGCGCCUGGGACAAUGCAAUGUCAAAUCUUGCACUAUUUUAAACCACCACAAGAUAAGCAAGCUGAGUUGGCCCGGGCCUCUUGCCAGACGCUGGCAUCCACCUCGAAAUCUAUAUCAAUAUAUUUUUUGUAUCACAUGAAUCAUAUAGUAUUGGUCUAAAAUAUAUUUUCUCUUGUUGCAAAAUAUGAAAGAAAAAUCGGCACAACAAUAUUAUAUAGACCCAUCGCAACAAUAGCAUGCUUCACAGUCGGUGGGUCCCAUGUAAAGACAUUUGGAAAUACCUCAAAAAUGCAUAUGUGUACUAUUUAUUAUUGUCCAAGAAUUUCACAUGCUCACUCACAACAAACUGUUGAAGAAUUCCGUGCAACUUAGAAACUAACGUAUGCAACAACGCGAGCACAACAUUUGUGUUAGGACUAACAAAAUUACAUUACAUUGUAGCAUGUCACACAUGUGUAUGUAGUAUGACGCAAAUGAGUUCACAGCAUACCAAAACAACGAAUGGUAACUACAAAAAAUUCCCAUAAAUCUAACAUUUUACAACCAAAAAAUUUGGUGGGCACUGACCUCACCUCAUCAAACUUGCUCUAAUAUUCUAGUUAGUGUAGAGUUUUGGAUUAAGCUAAAGUUGCUCUAGUAUUAUGCCACAACAAAAAGGAAAGAAAUGGGGGAAAACAAAGAAGAGCGGAGCAGGGUGGCUUACUCGGAUCUAAGUCGGCCAAUAUCAAUCGCAUUGCCCUCCUAAAUCCUGAUUACUCAAGCCAGCCCAAAAUUGAGGGGCUACUAAAAUAGAAGUUGAGCCUAUGGUGCAAGAACAGAAAAGCCAUUGGAUUGGAUAUGGAUAGCACAUGAUCUGGUGGAGCGAUCUCAGGCCACUUUUUGUAUAUUUUAUGAAAAAACCCUAUUAACAGUUAGGUACAAAACAAAACAUUCGCAGUGACCACCUUAAGUAUCUCAUCUCCCAAUCCAAUAGUGGAGUUAACGACCAUUUACAGAUUUCAGGUUUUUUCCAGCGACCAUUUAUAGAAUUUGCACAACCUCAUAUCCUAUCAGUUUUAUAAAAUAUAUUUUCACAUACCGAGCACAAAUAUAUGGUUGUAAGAAUGAAGAACUCAUACUCAUGCUUGUUUUAAUUCUAGUAUUUACACCCCUAAGGUUGUUAAGGUCCGGUUACAAAAACUCGAAUUUAAUUCUCUUAUAAGAACUUGUUAGAGUCCUGUCAUAGUGCACAUCCUCUCGUGGAUUCGAUAACUCAAGGUUGCUCCUUCGGGAAAAGGGAGGGAAACCUUUGUUGUCCAAACCGGAUCUCAAAGAGCACCACCCAUCUCUCACCCUACUCGAUGAUACAACAUCGACGACCAGGUACGUGUGUAACCAACCGUCUGCUCCCUCGCUCUGUCACUGUGGUGCUAUUCAUUACAUCAAGUCGGGACCCAUUUCCUUCCUUUUGAGGUUAACAAUUAAGGUUUCUAGUCUAUAUGAGGGCCUUCGGAUUCAACUUAUAAGAAUGUUAGUUCAAAUUUAAUGAUGAUUAUUUCAAGUGGAUGGUUAUGUGAACUAGGUUGGUAGAGUGGUGGCCGACCACUGUUGCGGCGGACUUCAGGGAUGUUUGAUCUAUCCACCUGGCUUGAUCAAGCAGCGUCGACAUUUGUGCAUCAUUAUUUUGUUGAAUAUGUUCGUUCGAUUUGCUUGUUGCAGGGGUGAUAGCCUCUGGUCCGACGUUUGGUUACACGAGACAAUAAGCUCCCCUUGCAAAAGUGUAUGAUGUGGGAAUUACGUGUUGUACUCCUCAGGUGCAAACGCACGUAUAUAUGAUGUACAGGAGUAGGCCACGACCUCAAUUAUACAAGGCAACUAGGAGGUGGGCCCAAUACACAAAUAUGCACAACAAAGACUGGACCGGAACUCCUCAAAAUGAUGCCGUAGGCAAGUCCUUGGUCAUGGUAUAUGCAAAUUGUUGGGAAGUAGGGACGUGUAAAACACGAAUAUGGCCAAGGGCCACCUAUUCCCGAACAAAAUGAAUAUCCAACUCAAUAUGCUUGGUCCGUCGAUGAUGCACCGGGUUAGCGGAGAGGUAGACUGCCGAGACGUUGUCGCAAUAGACCACCGUGGCACGGUCAACAGGGAAAGAGAGCUCCUGAAGCAGCUGGCGAAGCCACGAACACUCGGCGACGGUGUUGGCCACCGCAGGAUACUCAGCCUCAGCGUUGGAACGAGAGACCGUAGGCUGCCGCGUGGAUGACCACGAGAUAAGUGAGGGUCCAAGGUAGACACAAUAGCCCGAGGUGGAGCGACGAGUUUUAGGGCAGCCCGCCCAGUCUGCAUUGAAGUAGGCGGCGAGGGCAGUGUCGGCGGAGGCAUGAAGCGUGACACCAAGAUCCAUAGUGCCACAGACAUAGCGGAGAAUCCGUUUGACAACGGCCCAGUGCAUCUCGAGGAGCAUGCAUAUGAAGACACACCUGCUGCACGACAUACUGGAUCUCUGGUUGAGUUAAAGUGAGGUACUGAAGAGCACCAACAAUAGACCGAUAAAAAGCAGCAUCCGAAGCAGGAGAACCAUCCGUGGCAGAAAGCUUGGCCUUUGUAUAAACAGGCGUAGCAGCGGGCUUGUAGUUAAGCAUGUUGGCCCGCUCCAGGAGCUCAUGAGCAUACUUCCGCUGAUGAAAGAAGAAGCCAUCCGGACGGCACACCACCUCGACACCGAGGAAGUUGUGCAAAGGACCCAAGUCCUUGAUGGCAAACUCAGCGCGAAGACGAGCCAUGAGCUGACCGAGGAGACCAACCAUACAUGCCGUCAGGAUGACGUCGUCGACAUAGAGCAGAAAGUAGGCCGUGUUAGAGCCCUGAUGAUAGACGAAGAGCGAGGCGUCCGAGCGGGUGGAGCGGAACCCAAGCUGGUGGAGAAACGCUGCGAUGCGCUGGUACCAAGCACGCAGAGCCUUCUUAAGUUCAUACAAGGACCGCGAAAGCAGGCACACGUGGUCGGGAAGCGCCGGGUCAACAAACCCGGUGUGCUGCUGGCAGAAGACCUGCUACUCCAGGUGACCAUGGAGCAAGGCGUUGGAGACGUCCAUCUGGUGCACCGGCCAAGCACGGGAGACUGCAAGGUGGAGAACCGUGUGUAUCGUGUCGGGCUUGACGACCAGAGCGAAGGUGUCGAUGAAGUCGAUGCCAGCACGCUGUCGGAAGCCACGAACGACCCAACGCGGUUUGUAGCGAUCAAAGGUACCAUCGGGACGGAGGUUGUGUUUGAAGACCCACUUCCCGGUAAUCACGUUGGCGUGCUGAGGACAGGAAACAAACAUAGAAGAUUUGACUUUAGAAAAAAAAUAGUACAACUUAUCUAUACCUAAUAUUAAAGGACGGAGAUUUUUAUAGUUCUCCAUACAUCUAACUUUAUUAAUAGUCUUCAUCGGCCCACCGGAGCAAGACAAUAAGUAGGCCUGGAAACACUCGAUUCAAUGGGCCUGAAAAAUAAACGGGCAUGCAUCCUCUCUCGCUCAUCUCUCUCCUCUCGAACCCCUCAUAAAAAAUUUCUCUCCUCUCGAUCCCUUCGCUCUCUACUACGAGCGCUCCUGGGGCAGACAUGUUCUCCCUUCUCUCUACCGCUGCGGAUGGCCCAACUUGACUCCGAGACGAACUCUGCUCGAGCACGCACCCAUAGGGUGUCCCGACAGGUUCUUUGCGGUUCCGCAGGCUGGUCUAGGAACAUAUAGAAACAAAUUGACGCCAUCAAACGAAGCCCCAGCUCAAUUGCCUGGUUGCGGAGUGCGGCGGCAUGUCGAGCCGAACGCCGGCAAGAUCAUACAGGAUGAGGCAGUAGAUGCCAACGAUAGUGUGCGUCACCCAACUCGACGCAGGCGAGGAAGAUGAGCAGGACGGCGUUGGAGCUCAGCAGGGCGCCGACGAGAACGUACGGGAAGAGGCGGUAGACGCCGAUGGCGGUGUAGGUAACCCACCCAGCUCGACGAAGGUGAGGAAGAUGAGUAGGACGGGGGGUAGCCGGGGAUUUGAAGAGGACUCGGAAGGGCUACACGAGCAUGACCAGGUCGUCACUGAAUCGGAUCCGUCACCUCAUGCGGCUGAGCUGUUAGAGGACGAUGCAGAGGCUCUGGUCAAAGGCGACCAUGAUGGAUGUGUCACCGCCGGCCACGCGAUAGAGGAAGAAGGUGAGGCUCAAGAGCCGGCCAGCCGAGUGGACGUGCCGGUGCAGUUGUGACCGCUCGGGAGGUUGAAGGCAAGCGAGGGAGCUCAUGCGGCGACGUCGGCAAGGCUCGGUGGCGAGAUAGCGCAGAAGAGCGGUGCAGCGGAGCGACAACCACGAUGCUAGGGCGUUGCGGAGAGAAAGGAUGAAGAGAGAUAGGGCAAGGGAGUCCUACUGCUGGUGGAGGCACGCAGGAGGAGCUCGAGCAUCAGUUGGCGGGCGAAGCAAGGAGUCGCAGGGCUUUCCAGCGACUAUGAUGGUGCGGGUUGAUCUGGGGAGGCUGGGAGAGCUGCCUCCUAGGGGCGCUGGUUCGGGUUGACGUGUGCGUCAUGUGCACUGCUACAAAAUUGCUGGAUAUGUGUAUCUAUAUGUGUGCGGCUGCGAUUUGAAAGUCGUAGCAAUGCACAGGCUUAUAAUUAAAUAAUUAUAUAUCUUUACUUGUUCAGUAGCAACACAUGCUAGCAAGCAGCAGAGACAGUAUACUAUGUUGGCGAUCAUUUGGCGAGCGAGCAGUUGAAUUGCUGCUGGCAUGCAUUGUGCAGGGGCAUGUUCGCUUGGGUCUUGGGACGAAAUCGACUGAGUCAAUAAAUAAUUUUUUAAAAGGAUAUUAGACCCUCGGCCUCUGCAUCAUUCAUUAUGAUGCACACAAAUAUUUUUAGCAAAGUUAGCCAUGGGUCGAACCAUUAGAUAUCAAAUAGACAUCUACAACUAAGUCGACUUCUGCUGCAACAUCUCUUCAAGAAGGGAUAAACUUUCUCGCCAUCGACCGAAACAAUCCGUAAGAAGAAGAAAAUGAUCACACAUGUGAAACAUAAUUGUCAAUACAAAUACAUGACACAUGGUGGUACGAACACACAUCACGAUGGAAGAAUACCAGCAACUUAAAAGCAAGCCUACAUCAAAUCUAUAUUUCAUUAGUAUUUAGUCCAUAUUUUUAUUUCUAUCAACCUAAACUCCAAUUACGUUAAAAUUUAGGUUUGAACUGCAGAUAUGAGAUUUCGAAUUUAAAGAUUGAACGUAUAUUUAAAGUUCUCAUAGUAUGUGUCUAUUUUUUGGGGUGUCUUUUUACUCGAUAGGAAUCCAAUUCAAUGCUCAAAAUCAAAUAACAAGAUUAUUGCUACAUAUUUUGAUAAAGCUAAAUUUUACUUGAAUUUUGGAUGUAGUUUAGACAAAUAAUUCUCACUAAAUCUUACUAUGGGCCAAUUUUUCUCUACCGUUGCAACACACCGGAUCGAGAGUUUCCAAGAAAACAUUGUCAGUCAGAUGCAUUUACUCCAGAUCAUAACUCAUGUCCUAAGCUUCACGUCGUGAUCCUCAAAUCAUGCAUCUUUUUAUUUUCUCAUCAUCAACCGUUGUGACAUGACACAGUUCCUCGACCUGGCCAACCAUGGUUCAUAGGAACUGGUAUAUUUCUCCCGCUGCAACGCACGGGCAUUCGUGCUAGUAUUUUGAAACGGGAGUUAGUAGGUACACCAAUAAUUCGAUAUACCCACAAAAUGCUGGCUCUAGUUCCUUUCAUGGCUCCUUUGAUGUAAGAAAGAUGCUAGUAGUGACUAGAGACAAAGGGAAUCAAAUUAUGGGAGGAGGCGGCCCUAUCUAUAUUCCUCUUCUCCAAGCGGUAGCUCCCGUCCAUCCUUUGCCAAAAGUGGAGCAUCUCUCAUUUCCUUCUUCAUCUUCUCCUCCUCCUCCUUUCUUGAUGCUCACUCGCCUAUAAAUAGCUCUCGCUGCCUGCCAUUGUUACUCAAGCUAGCAAGCAAGAAGCACAAAAGAAGCCAACACCAAUCAAGGCCUCCAUCCAAUCCCAAGCAACCUCGAAGAUGUCUUGCUGCGGAGGAAGCUGCGGCAGCGCCUGCAAGUGCGGCAACGGCUGCGGCGGCUGCAACAUGUACCCCGAGGUCGAGGCCGCCGGCGCCACCCUCCUCGUCGCCGCCACCGCCACCCACAAGGCGUACGUCCCUUCUCUUUCCUCAUACAUCAUGCGCCUCGCUGUAAUAUGACUAUAUAUGUUGAUCUUGCUAUGGGACUAAGGAUGGAUGGAUGGGUGCAGGAGCUCCGGCGGGAUGGAGAUGGCGGCGGAGAAUGGCGGCUGCGGCUGCACCCAGUGCAAGUGCGGCACCAGCUGCGGCUGCUCCUGCUGCAGCUGCUAGAUCAUUGAUCAUCGAUCAUGCAUGCACCGCGCGCAUGCAUCAUAUCUAUGAUCGAUCCAUCCAUCCAUCUAGUACCAUGUAACGCUACCUGAUCGAGGGUCUUUGUAUGUAUGUAAGCACCUGCCAGCAUGAGCAGAGCAGGUGCACUCCCAUGCAUGUAAACCGACCCCUAAAUAAAAUCUCCCGUGGUUUAACCUAUACAUGUGUUUGUGUUAUAGACCAGCUUCUGGCCCAUGUUUACUAUCAACUUGCGAGGUGCCUGGGUUGCUAAUAGACCAGCUGAAUGCUCUCUUAAAGCAACGUAUGCACCGCUUGGAAUCGGUGUAUCUUUCUUUAUACACAUGUAUUUAUUUUACAGGUGUAUAUCAUCGGCCACACCUGGGAAAAACGAUGGAUGGAGAAGGGUAAAUUUACAGGGGUAUUGCUCUGUGAAACGAGGGUCGAAUCAGGGUCGUAAGGGUGUUUGAUACGUGUGAAUAUUACUGGCCGAAGUUGAGUAUGAGAUACAUACAAUACAAACUUGACACUUUUGAAAGUCGUGCUAUCAAUCAUGAGACACAUAGUUUAGCCAAAUUCUCGCUUAAUCUUUGUCAAAGGGUGUCACGUACUCACGUCUGGUUUGGCCAACCCCAUGAUCCGAUAUGUAUCCCACUCUUUGUGGUUUUCGAUGAAUAAAAUUUGGUUAAACCCUAAAAAAAACUUAUUUUGCGCGCCUUAGUUUUUUUUUCAAGAAUUUUUUUUAAUCUAUUCAUCAAUCAUGGCCGUACAAAAAUUAUAACCAGGUCCAUGAACCACCUAUCGACGACUACACUCACUGGAGCGAGCCGAACGUGCGUCACCGUUAUCGCCCCUCCCUUACCGGAGUCAGGCAAACCUUAUUGUAGUAGACAGUCGGUAAGUCAUCGUGCUAAGACUCUAAAAGACCAUCGCACUAGUGUAGCAACCAUCGCCGAUGAAAAGAGUUGUAGAUUGGAAAGAUCAAACCUAUAACCACACAAACGAAGACAAACAAAAAUGGAUCCAAUAGAUCCACCAAAGUCCAGCACGACAGAAUCAUGUGAGAUCCGGCAGGGACGCACCUCCACAUGUCCUCCUCCAAUGUUAUUCGCACCACCGGGACGAGGAUCGGAUGUGGGAGACAUUAUUCCUACCCAGGGACAUCGCUACCGUCACACAGCCCCAACCAAGACGUUAAACCUAACAAAAACGAGAACGGGUCCCUCCCACUGCCGGGGGGCCAAGAUCCUCCGCAUUCCGGGGAAUCGGCGCCGGCGGCAGCGGGAUGAGAAAGGAAACUUUUCUUGAGAAGGAGGAAAGACAGACACGUGCUGUUGUGUCUAAAUUACCGUGUCUUAGUUUGAUGUACUAUUUGCACCAGCUACUUCAUAACUAGAUUGCCAUGGUUGACGAUGGGUGUGUUCCCCUCUACUAAUAGUGCAGCAGUGCCCUAGCGGCGACAACUAUAUCAUGAACAAUUAAAACUUGAUGAAAUUGGUGGCCUGGUGACUUAUGCCGUGGUGCCUAUAUCGCACGCUCUUUUGUGAUGUCAAAGAAACAAAUUAUCAUUUUCGGAGGUUAAAUGGAAACGGAGGGAGUGAACCUCAUGUAUGUUGUACCAGUAAAACAAUAUUUAAAAGGAUUCGCUGAUGAUUUCCUUGAUAUAAAAUUUGAGGUGUGCUCUACAACACCCCACCCUACCCCCGGAGCUCCUAUUUGGCACGCUAAGCGCUAGCGGUCAAGCCAGUGCGCAUCCCCUUCCCUUGCACACCCAUUUGAGUCGGCCCAUGCGCGGGGCGGGACACGCCUUUUUUAUUUAUUUAUUUUUAUUUUUCGUUUAUUUCUUUUUUAAAUAAUUCAGGAUUUCAAAAAAUUUCAAAUUUCAAAAAACGUCAAUUUUGAAAGAAAUAAACAAAGAAAUCAUAAAAUGUUCAUGUAUUCAAAAAAGAUCUUGAUUUCCAAAGACAUGUUCGCAUAUUCCAAAAAUGUUCAAGAAUUUGAACAAAAUGUUCACAAAUUAAAACAACUGUUCAAAAAACUAAAUAAAUGAUUCUCAAUUACGAAAAUAUUCAUAAAUCAAAAAAUGUUUGUUGAUUCAAAAAAUGUUAAUUAAUUUCGAAAAAUAUUUGUCAAACAAAUAGUAUUCAUGAGUGUCAAAAAUUGUUCCCAGAUUUCAAAAAAUAUUUAUAUUCAAAAAUUAUUCAGCGAUUCAAAUGUCCAUGAGUUUCAAAAGAGUGUUUACAAUUUUAAAAAAUUGUUCUCAGAUAUAAAAAAAUAUUUGUGAAUUCAAAAAAUAUUCAAGAUUAAAUUAAAUUCAUGAACUUUUAAACAUGUUCGUGAAUUUGAAAGAUAAUCACAAUAAAACAAGGUUCAUGAAAUUGGAAAAUGCUCAGAAUUUCAAAUAAUGUUAAAAAAUCCUUAAAAAGUUCAUAAAUUUGAAAAGAAGUUCAAAAAAAGAAAGAGUGAAAAAAGAAAAUAAAAAAUGACAUGAAAAUAGGAAAAAUAUAAAUAAGGUAAAAACAAAAAAGAAAAAUAGAAAUGAAAUAAUCAAAAUGAAGAAACAAAAAUAACCCGAAAGGAAAAAAACUGGUCUGGAAAGGUUCUAGAACGUUCCCAAAACCGAAAAUGAGGUACUUGGGCCGGCCCAAAAUGUGUGCCUAGUGGGAGGGGGUAUGUGAUGAAGCUAUGUACCUAGGGUAGGGUCAUGCACCUGUCCUAACUGCCCCACCCAAGGACAUCUCUAGAAGAAGUCACCUUUCAAUCGACUUGGAGGUGUUCCACUCGACAGACUCGAAGACACUCGACCAAGAAGCAAUCACUCGACCAAGAUCCAACCACUCGACGGCCAGGAGACCUAAAGUCACUCCGCACGCUAACGGUCGGUCAUUAAGUAGCUUUUAUGGUCAUCAUAGCACUUUAUUAGGGGCGUUACCAGUAACGCCCGACCUUAAUGUAUUUGAAACCCUGCAUAACUAAGGGCCAGAGGGGUCUGGCGAACUCUAUAUAAGCCACCCCCUCCUCAGUGUAAAGGGUUCGCACCCCUGUAAUUCAUACACACAUAAUCCAGUCGACCGCCUCCGGGCUCCGAGACGUAUGGCUAUUACUUCCUCCGAGAAGGGCCUGAACUCGUAAACCUCGUGUGCUUACAACUACUCCAUAGCUAAGAUCUUGCCUCUCCAUACCUACCCCCCCUACAUUACUGUCAGACUUAGAACCACGACAGUUGGCGCCCACCUUGGGGAAGGUGUCUUGGCGAUUUGUUGGAGGAGUUGCGAUCUUUUCCGAUCCAAAUCAUCAUGGUUUCUGGCGGAGUUUUGGUGGAGGGCCGCGAGAUCCGUCUCGGCGCGCUCACGUUCAUCGCCGACGACUCCGCUUGGCUUCAGGAGGCUCCGCUCAACGUCGACGCACUCCUUGUCCGUGGGGAAACACACUUUCGCGGGUGCGUUCGCGGCGUUCUCUUGCGUCAACCGUCGACCCGUUAUCGGUCGGCCCCUGUGUUGUCCUCCCUCCCUGUUUCCCGCCGGCGCAAGCGCUCCGGUCGGUCGAGACUUCGGCGGUGGGUGAGACACGUGGUGGCACGCCAGUCGGCCACCCCUCAAGUCACGGCGAUCGAGCCCGACGAAUCCCUCUACGGCCUGCUCGACCUAUCGACUGGCUCUGCAGAGACCGCAUCCGAGUGCGACAACAGUGAUCUGGCGGCGAAGGUUCUGAUGGUCGAUGGACCGCGCAGUCCUCCGGAGAUUUCCCCGCACCGACGGAGGCGCAGGUGGAGGCGACCCGUCGCAUCCCCAUGAGGAAUAUCUCCCCGAGCCUUUCACGUCGCUGCAGAGAGAAGAACUUCGUCGCCGGAACAUGGAUGCACUACACACUCUUAUCGUUGGAGAAACACCCGAAGCUCGUGCCUUGGAGGACGCGCGCCUGGCAAACUUGGCUGAGCGCACUCGACUGGAGAACCUCCAGCGAGCACUUGACGAGCGUGCGCGACAACGGGUUCCAGAAUCCAGUCGACGUCAGCUCUUUCCGCCCUCGCAGGUAUAUCGAACUCCGAUUCAGAAUUUAGCAGCUGCAGCCCGUAUAGCAGAGUCGAUCAAGCCUUCCCAAUCAGAGGCUGGCAGAGGCUUGCUGCAGAAAAGAGCGUUACUCCGGGCAGCAGGAGACCAGAAUUCCGCUGUUUCUCAGUCGCGGAACAGGAUUCAUAGCAGAUCCAUUGCUGCAGACACAGUCCAGUCGGCUCAUAGUCCAAGAUCGCCCCCGAGGCGUGAGGGACGUGGGGACCGGCGUGAUCAGUACGGAAACCGUGAGCAGUAUGAUCACCGAUUCGAUCGUGACGACCGACGUUGAGUGCCCACCCCUUCCCCGAGGAGUGGAUCGUAUGUGCCUCGACAGCAGGAUGACAGGCGCCCUCAUAGUGUUGGGCGAAGGAUUCCAGUCGACCCCAGGGAACCAGGCUUUGAUGCGAGAUCCAUUCUCGUUCAAGGUUUGGUCGACAGGAACAGAGCUCGCCGAGAAGGUCACGACAGAGAUGCACCUACCAGCAGCAGAGUACAUGUUUCAGGGCCAGAGUGCUUUAGUAGAGCCAUCAGGGCCGCUGUGAUUCCUCCCAACUUCAGGUUGGCGACUGGAGUCAGUAAGUUCACUGGUGAGUCCAAACCCGAUACUUGGCUUGAAGACUACCGAGUGGCUGUCCAGAUUGGCGGUGGCAAUGAUGAAGUGGCCAUGAAGCACCUGCCUCUCAUGUUGGAGGGCUCGGCCAGAGCGUGGCUGAAUCAGUUAGCACCCAGCAGCAUUUACACUUGGGAAGAUCUCGCCCGAGUGUUUGUCACUACAUUUCAAGGAACAUGCAAGCGAUCGGCAGGACUGACGGAACUGCGGUCUUGCAUGCAGAAGCCGAAUGAAACCUUGAGGGAUUACAUCCAGAGAUGGAUCACGUUACAUCACACGGUAGAGAAUGUGCCUGAUCACCAAGUAGUCUGUGCCUUCAAAGAAGGCGUCAAGUAGAGAGAACUGAAUCUGAAAUUCGGUCUAACCGGAGACAUGUCUCUGAAUCGGAUGAUGGAGAUUGCCACCAAGUACGCUAAUGGUGAAGAUGAGGAUCAACUCCGGAGUGGCAAGCACAAGUCAGUCGCCCAAGAAACCGAAGGAGGAAAUUCCAAUCGGAAACAGAAGCGGAAAGCCGAGCCAGCUACUCCUGGGGAAGCCUUGGCUGUAACUCAAGGAAAGUUUAAGGGGAAACCCAAAAAGCCUUGGAACCCCAAGAAAGUUAAAGAUCAAGACGGAAAUGAUGUGUUGGAUUUGCCAUGUCACAUCCACACCAAGAAAGAUGAAGAGGGUAAGCUCAUUUACCCGAAACAUACCACUCGACAGUGUCGGCUCUUGAUCCAGCAGUUCCAGGGCAAACAACCCAAAGAUAAGGAAAAGGAGUCGGACAAAGUUGAGUACAAGGAAGACAGUGAUGAUGGAUACCCCCCAGGUCAAUUCCACCUUGAUGAUUUUUGCUGAUGUUGAAAGCAAAAGUUGACUGAAAGUUAUCAACCGUGAGGUGAAUAUGGUUGCUCCGGUGACACCCAGUUAUCUGAAGUGGUCUUAGACUGCCAUCACAUUCGACCAGUCCGAUCACCCAACGCACAUUGCCACCCCUGGGAGGCAAGCUUUGGUGGUCGACCCAGUUGUUGAAGGCACUCGACUGACCAAAGUCUUGAUGGAUGGUGGCAGUGGUUUGAACAUACUGUAUGCUGAGACGUUGAAAGGGAUGUGCAUUCCGAUGUCCAGACUCAGUACCAGCAAACAUGAGUUUCCAUGGAGUCAUUCCUAGGAAGAAGGCUGAGUCACUCGGCCAAAUUGCUCUUGAUGUGGUUUUUGGUGAUUCCAAGAAUUGCCGCAAAGAAAAGUUGACAUUCGAAGUUGUGGAUUUCCAGAGUGCUUAUCAUGCUAUUUUGGGCAGGCCAGCUUACGCACGCUUCAUGGCUCGACCAUGUUAUGUGUAUCUCAAAUUGAAGAUGCCUGGUCCCAAAGGUGUGAUCACUGUUACGGGCAAUCGGAAGAAAGUAGAAGAGUGUUUUCAGAAAGGCUCAAAGAUCGCUGAUGCUCAGAUGGCAGUGGUGGGGCUGCAGGAGUACCAGAAGACUACAGACCCGAGUGAUUUGUUGCGAGCCAAGAAGCCCGCUACAGAAUCAGCUUUUCAGUCGUCUGGUGAAACGAAGCCGGUUCACAUUCACCCGACUGAUCCCAGUGCUGCACCGACUCAUAUCUCAGCAACACUCGACUCCAAAUAGGAAGAAGCGCUCAUCUAGUUCCUCCGUGAGAACUGGGACAUCUUCGCAUGGAAGCCUUCUGACAUGCCGGGUGUUCCCAGGGGGCUGGCUGAGCACCGCCUACGAGUCGACUCAAAAGUGAAACCCGUCAAAGAACAUCUCCGACGGUCCGCCGUCUAGAAGAGAAAGGCUAUUGGUGAGGAGGUGGCUCGGCUCUUAGCAGCGGAGUUCAUCCGAGAGAUUUACCACUCUGAGUGGCUCGCCAACGUUGUCAUGGUCCCCAAGAAGGACAAGUCACUUCGCAUGUGCAUUGACUUUAAACAUAUCAAUCGGGCCUGCCCGAAAGAUCAUUUUCCUCUCCCUCGCAUCGACCAAAUAGUCGACUUGACUGCGGGAUGUGAGCGACUGUCUUUUUUAGACGCCUAUUCCGAGUACCAUCAGAUCCGUCUGUAUGGACCUGACGAGAUCAAAUCAGCUUUCAUCACUCCAUUCGGGUGCUUCCGUUACGUUACCAUGCCAUUCGGCCUCAAGAAUGCCGGAGCCACAUUCAUGAGGAUGAUUCAGAAGUGUUUGCUCACUCAAAUCAGUCGGAAUGUGGAAGCAUACAUGGAUGAUAUUGUGGUCAAGUCACGGAAGGGUUCCGACCUGCUGACUGACCUUGCUGAAACCUUUGCCAACCUCAGGAGGUAUGAUAUCAAGCUUAAUCCAUCAAAGUAAACAUUCGGAGUUCCUGGCGGAAAGUUACUCGGUUUUCUCAUUUUCGAACGGGGAAUCGACGCCAAUCUAGAAAAAGUCGGUACUAUACUCCGGAUGAAACGUCCCGUGCGAGUGCACGACGUCCAGAAGCUUACUGGUUGCUUGGCCGCUUUAAGUCGAUUCAUCUCUCGUCUCGGUGAAAAGGCAUUGCCUCUUUAUCGAUUGAUGAAGAAGUCAGACAAGUUCGAGUGGACUCCUGAAGCUGAUGCAACGUUUGCAGAGCUCAAAGCUCUGCCCUCCAUCCAGCCGGUGCUUGCUGCUCCAAUCAGCAAAGAGCCUUUGUUGCUUUACAUCACAGCCACGGGACAAGUCGUUAGUACGGUACUUACGGUCGAGCGGGAAGAAAAAGGAAAAGCCUCCAAAGUUCAGCGCCCAGUAUAUUAUGUUUCUGAAGUUUUGACCCCGUCAAAGAAAAGAUAUCCUCAUUAUCAGAAGCUUGUAUAUGGGAUUUAUAUGACCACAAAGAAGGUUGCUCACUACUUCUCUGGUCAUUCCAUUACGGUCGUCAGCGACGCUCCAUUGUCAGAGAUCCUGCACAACAGAGAUGCAACUGGUCGAGUGGAAAAAUGGGCAAUUGAACUCCUUCCUCUAGAUAUCAAGUUUGAGGCAAAGAAAGCUAUCAAGUCCCAAGCAAUAGCAGAUUUCGUCGUCAAGUGGAUUGAACAACAACUGCCGACUCAGGUUCACUCGGAGCAUUGGACCAUGUUCUUCGACAGUUCCAAAAUGCUGAAUGGUUCCAGUGCCGGAGUAGUAUUGGUCUCCCCCCGAGGAGAUAAGCUCAGAUAUGUUCUUCAAAUCCACUUUGAUUCCUCCAAUAACGAAGCAGAAUACGAAGCACUUUUAUAUGGGUUGCGCAUGGCCAUUUCACUCGGCGUCCGUCGCCUCAUGGUCUAUGGCGACUCAGAUUUGGUGCUUAAUCAAGUUAUGAAAGAGUGGGACGUCAGAAGUCCGGCCAUGACUGGUUAUUGCAAUGCAGUGAGAAAGUUGGAGAAGAAAUUCGAGGGGUUAGAACUUCAUCACAUACCCCGACUGAAAAAUCAAGCAGCUGAUGAUUUGGCAAAAAUUGGUUCCAAAAGAGAAGCCAUUCCCAGCAACGUGUUUUUGGAACACAUCCACACACCAUCAGUUCAGGAGGAUCCCUUCACUGAAGAAGCCCCGCAGCUAAAAAGUGCCACGGAUCCGAUUGAAGUUGAAGUUCCAGCUGUGGUCGACCUGAUCAUGGAAGUUUUGGUCAUCACUCCCGACUGGACAGUACCGUACAUCGCGUACAUCCUAAGGAAAGAACUCCCAGAGGACGAAGAAGAGGAUCGAUAGAUCGUCCGUCGAUCCAAGGCCUUUACAGUCAUAAAGGGACAGUUGUAUAGAGAAAGCGCGACUGGAGUCAGUCAGAGGUGUAUAACACCAGAAGAAGGUCAAAUAAUCCUUGAUGAUAUCCACUCGGGGACCUAUGGUCAUCAUGCGUCCUCUCGGACCAUUGUGGCUAAAGCAUACCGAGCGGGAUUCUACUGGCCAAGAGCGAAUGAAAUGGCGAAAGAGAUAGUCGACAAAUGUGAAGGAUGUCAGUUUUACUCCAAUAUGUCGCACAAACCCGCGUCAGCCCUGAAAACCAUUACACUUGUCUGGCCCUUCGCUGUUUGGGGACUGGAGAUGGUUGGACCACUGAGAACGGGCAGGAGCGGCUUCACUCAUGUGCUAGUAGCAGUCCACAAGUUCACCAAAUGGAUUGAAGCUAAGCCUAUCAAGAAUCUUGAUGCUUGCACUGCUAUCAGUUUCAUCAGAGAGUUGAUAUUCAGAUAUGGAGUUUCGCACAGCAUCAUCACUGACAAUGGGUCAAACUUCGAUUCCGACAAAUUCAGAGCCUUUUGCGCCUCUCAAGGCACACGAGUCGACUAUGCUUCAGUCGCUCACCCCCAGUCGAAUGGACAAGCGAAAAGAGCAAACGGCUUAAUUCUCAAAGGACUGAAACCCUGACUGAUGCGCGAUCUCAAGCACACAGCAGGUGCAUGGGUCGACGAGCUUCCAUCAGUUCUUUGCGGAUUGAGGACAACCCCGAACCGAUCGACUGGAAGAACCCCAUUCUUUCUAGUCUACGGAGCCGAAGCAGUUCUGCCGAGUGACCUGCUUCACAACGCACCCCGAGUCGAGCUCUACUCUGAAGAUGAAGCAGAACAAGCCCGCAGGACGCAGUCGACCUCCUAGAAGAAGAAAGAGAAAUUGCCAUGAUCCGAUCGACCAUCUAUCAGCAAGACUUGCAUCGAUUCCAUGCCAGAAAUGUGAAGAGUCGAGCCUCCCAAGAAGGAGACUUGGUCCUCCGAGUGGAUCAACAGAAACCACACAAACUCGCUCCUACUUGGGAAGGUCCCUUCAUAUUUACCAGAGUCCUCCACAAUGGAGCGUACCACCUUUAUAAUGUCGAUCGCCAGAUUGAUGAGCCACGAGCCUGGAAUGCGGAGCUGCUCUACCCCUUUUAUACUUGAAUUCUUACUCAGAUGAGAUGUAAUAAGAAAAACUUCUGAAGUUUAUUUAUCAAAGACAAGAGCGUUAUAAUUUUCCCAGUGAUUGAUAUUGUUUUUGUUUGCAUGAGAAAUCCCCCAGUGGGUGGCUUAGCUGCGAAUCCGUUUCGCUUAAGUUUGUAAAAAUAAUUUCCUACCGAGUGGUGAGCCAGCCUCCCACUCGGGGGCUUAGCUGCGAACCCGUUUCGCCUAAGUGUUUGAAAAUCCUACCGAGUGGUGAGCCAGCCUCACUCUCGGGGGCUUAGCUGUAGUCAAGUACUCGCCUAAGUAUUUGAAAAUCCUACCGAGUGGUGAGCCAGCCUCCCACUCGGGGGCUUAGCUGCAGUCCAGUACUUGCCUAAGUAUUUGAAAAUCCUACCGAGUGGUGAGCCAGCCUCCCACUCGGGGGCUUAGCUGCAGUCCAGUACUCGCCUAAGUAUUUGAAAAUCCUACCGAGUGGUGAGCCUGCCUCCCACUCGGGGGCUUAGCUACAGUCCAGUACUCGCCUAAGUAUUUGAAAAUCCUACCGAGUGGGGAGCCAGCCUCCCACUCGGGGGCUUAGCUGCAGUCCAGUACUCACCUAAGUUUGAAAAAUCCUACCAAGUGGAGAGCGACCCUCCCACUCGNNNNNNNNNNNNNNNNNNNNNNNNNNNNNNNNNNNNNNNNNNNNNNNNNNNNNNNNNNNNNNNNNNNNNNNNNNNNNNNNNNNNNNNNNNNNNNNNNNNNNNNNNNNNNNNNNNNNNNNNNNNNNNNNNNNNNNNNNNNNNNNNNNNNNNNNNNNNNNNNNNNNNNNNNNNNNNNNNNNNNNNNNNNNNNNNNNNNNNNNNNNNNNNNNNNNNNNNNNNNNNNNNNNNNNNNNNNNNNNNNNNNNNNNNNNNNNNNNNNNNNNNNNNNNNNNNNNNNNNNNNNNNNNNNNACACAUCCCAAUCCGCAGGGACGACGAGGUGUAGGUCGACUGCCACCUUCUCCUUCGGAGCUUCGCCACAAAUACAACAUGCGCUCCAUCCCAAUCCGCAGGGACGACAAGGUGCAGGUCGACUGCCACCUUCUCCUUCGGAGCUUCGCCACAAAUACAAUGUGCGCUCCAUCCCAAUCCGCAAGGACGACGAGGUGCAGGUCGACUGCCACCUUCUACUUUGGAGCUUCGCCACAAAUACAACAUGUGCUCCAUCCCGACCCGCAAGGACGACGAGGUGCAGGUCGACUGCUACCUUCUCCUUCGGAGCUGCGCCACAAAUACAAAAGUUGUCUCGAGUGAAGAACGAGUUCNNNNNNNNNNNNNNNNNNNNNNNNNNNNNNNNNNNNNNNNNNNNNNNNNNNNNNNNNNNNNNNNNNNNNNNNNNNNNNNNNNNNNNNNNNNNNNNNNNNNNNNNNNNNNNNNNNNNNNNNNNNNNNNCAGGUCGACUGCCACCUUCUCAUUCGGAGCUUCGCCACAAACACAACGUGCGCUCCAUCCCGACCCGCAAGGACGACGAGGUGCAGGUCGACUACUACCUUCUCCUUCGGAGCUGCGCCACAAAUACAAAAAUUGUCUCGAGUGAAGAACGAGUUCCACUCGACGGAGAAUUCAUGAAGAUAUUCAACGAUAAACCAAGUUCAGAUAAAUCCUAAAGGUUCCAGACCGCAGAUCGAAGUGCUCGGGCAUUCAGCCCGAAAGAUUUUAAUGGUUACAAAAACCACUCGGCAUUCCGAGGCAAAUUUAAGGUGGGGCACAAAAGUUAGUUCACUCCACAGGAGGAGGACUGGCAGGCUCGACGAACUCGUCCAGGUCGACGCCAUCGGUGAUCCGAGUGGCUGCAGCAAUAGAAGUCUCCAUAAAAGAUCAGAAGUCAUGCCUCUGGGUGUUGGCGACCUUGAUUGCUGCUAGCUUAUCUUGUCGCACCUCCUUGCAGUGGACACGAACCAAAGACAGAGCCACAUCAGCACCACACCGGGCAAAAGAUUUCUUCCACUCCUGCACUCGGCCAGGGAUCUCGUUAAGUCGAGUCAUCAGAGACUUGAGAUCAUUCUGGAGCGUGGCCCCUGGCCAAAGUGCCGUGUCGAUCCGUGACAUGGCGACCUUCAGUCGAGCCAAGUAGUCCAUAACACCGUCGAUGUGGGAUUCUAGUCGGAGCAGAUUCAUGGCAGUUUCAUCUUUCAUGGGAGAGUUGAUGGGGUCCAAACCUGGCUCAAUCCGCCCAGUCUCCUCCUCGAAGUUCUGGCAAAACUCUGCAUUCAUGAUCCAAGGAUAAGUCAAUUUUCGUAUGCUGAGUCGACAAAAAGAACAUCAGUCGGAACAAAAUGUAUACCUUCAAGCUUGAUGAACAACUUCUUGGCAAGGCUCCUUAGAUAACUCUCCAGAUCGUCCCUCCUGCGAGUGAUGCCUUCCAUCUUCUCGUACAGGUUGACAUUGUUUUUCUUCAAGCGCGUGCACUCCUUGUUGGCUUCGUUCAUGGCAGAUUUCAUCUUGGCGUUCUCUUCUUCCAAUUGGCCGGCUGAAGCCAGUUUCUGUUCAGCCAGAGAGGUUCUAUCGUCAGCUUUCUUUUGAGCAGCAGCCAAAUCCUGAUCCUUCUUCGCCAGAGCUUCGUUCAGUUUUUCUGUAAAGAAAUGGUGCUUGAUUUAGAAAGAGCAGAAGGGUACUCAAGCCUAAGACAAACCAGUCUACAAGCUCGUCUUACCAUUGGCGUCGUCCUUGGCCUUUUGCAGCUCUGUCUUGGCCAAUUCCAAGUCAAGGUUUAGCUGGAUCUGCUGUUUCUCCAAGUCAGCAAAGCGAGCUCCAAGAUCGCAAGAUUUCUGCAAACAGGGAGGGGAAGUUAUUUUACAGCGAAAAACGACAAAGACAAUCAAUACUAAGACUACGGUCGACUGCCCGCAGUCCACCAUAGUCUCGGGGACUACACCCAGUAGGUGCACUUUGCGUGCCCCCACCGGUUCGGUUUACACUCGACAUGGCCAGACCAGAUCGAGCGAAAGAAUCAAAAUACAAAGACUACAGUCGACUGCCAGCAGUCCACCGUAGACUCAGGGACUACACCCAGUGGGUGCACUCAGCGUGCCCCCGCUAGUCCAAAAAUUCAAUCGACGCACCCAGUGGGUGUACAGAUGCAAAGAUUUUCGGAAAGAGAGUCUCCAGAUAGCAUAUCCUAACAAAACAAGCGGUGACCAGCUAACCUGAACAUUGCUUUGGAGAGCCGAGCUGGCGUCAUAGGCGGCCUGACUGGCGUCCCUCACCAUCUUCACCUUCUCCAUCAUAAUGCCCGCCUGGCAUAUGGCUUCCUUGGCAGCAUUCACUUCGUCCUCUGGGACAUGAUGGAUUGCAAAAACUGAAGGUGGGUCGGCAGGAGCUUGAGCAGUCGACGAAGAAGGCAGGGCACUCGACAAUGGUACGGCGAAGGUAAGAGAACCCCGAUUGGCAUCACCAGCGUCCUGAACGACUGGUUCCGCCAUCGGCGUCGAAUGUGGCACCUUGCUUGCAGGAGCUUUCCUAUUUUUCCUCGUCAAAGGCCUCUCAGGCUCCUCAUCAUUAUCAUCGGGGAGGUCAAUAGUAUUAGGAGCUGUUCAAAGAUCAAUCGCCAAAAUCACAUCACCCAAUGGUACACAUUGCAGUUGAGUCGACCAAAUAAAGACAGAAUGACAGAAAUCAUACCCAGAUUGGAAGUGACUACAUCCUCCAUUACCUCGUCCUCAUCUCUGUAAGCUAAGGUCCCGGAAGUAGCAGCGCUGCCAGUUCCAAAGUUCGUCUGGUUAAAUCAAGAAAAAAUAAACAGCACGGAGCGUUGAGUGAAUACAAAGGGAGACACUCACGCAGAAGCGACGGGGAUGUCAAUCUUAAUCUUCGGCAACGCCUUCCGAGGCUUCUGCUCUGCAACUUUGAGAUGCUUUGACACUUUUUCAGUUGGGGUUGGUGAAGAUGUCCGAGGACGCUUUGAAGACUGACCAGUCUGAGCAAUCGCCUUUUCACGGGCGCUCGGUCGUUCUUGGUCAAGCUUGGAUCGCCUCUCCCUGCGAGGAGGCGACUCGACUUCUUCUUCGUCACUUGAGUCGUCGCUUUCUUCAUCCUCUUCUCCGUCAGAAUGCCAUUUGCCACUGUCGCCGCCGCUCGCCUCUCCUUCCAGAUCUUGCUCUUGCUCUCCGUUGGGCACUGAGUACAUUUCGAUAAGGGCCUGAAAGAAAGCAGGAAGAAUAAAGUCAGUCGACGCAGUAUAGACAGCUGCGCUAGUGGAUUCAGAUUAUAAUCAAAGGCUCAGAACCGGACCUUUUCUGGUUCGUGGGACUGGUCGAAUGGAGGAACUCUCCUGGCUCCCCUGGGGUUGUCCUUGUUUCCGGUGAUGCCCGACAGCCACCCCUCCAGUGUGUCGUCAUCAACCUCCUCCGGGUGAAUCCGAGUGGUGUCAUCAAGACCCGAAUACAUCCACAUCGGAUGGUCUCGAGCUUGAAGAGGCUGGAUGCGCCGCCGAAGGAAAACCUCCAAGAGAUCCAUACCAGUGACCCCGUCACAGAUAAGCUGGACCACUCGUUUGACCAGCACCCUAACUUGCGCCUUCUCCUCCGGGAGCACCUUCAAAGAGGAGGGUUUCCUCACUCGGUCCAUGGUAAAAGGAGGGAGGCCAGUCGACUGCCCUGGCGUCGGCUGGUCUUUGCAGUAAAACCAGGUCAACUGCCACCCGCGGACCUAGUCGGGAAGAAUCAUGGCUGGAAAGGAACUUUUCCCUCUCAUCUGAACACCAAGACCCCCACACAUCUGAAUCACUUGUGUUCUCUCGUCACUCGGAUUGGCCUUUUUCACCGUCUGAGAACAACAGGUGAAAAUGUGCUUGAAAAGACCCCAGUGAGGCCGACAACCCAAGAAAUUCUCGCACAAAGACACGAAAGCAGCGAGAUACAUGAUUGUGCUGGGAGUGAAGUGGUGGAGUUGUGCCCCAAAGAAAUUCAGAAAUCCCCGAAAUAAAGGGUGAGGAGGCAAGGAAAAUCCAUGGUUGACGUGGGUGGCAAGGAGAACGCGCUCACCCUCCCGAGGUUGCGGCUCGGAUUCCUUCCCCGGAAGUCGCGCCGAUCCAUGGGGGGUCAGUCCUCCAUCGGCUAGAUCAUCGAGGUCUUCUUGGCAGAUCGCCGAGCGGAUCCAGUCGCCCUGGAUCCAGCCCUUCGGCAGGCUGGCUCAUGAGGAAGAUCCACCCCGACUGGUCGCCUUCCCCUUCGCCUUUGCCGUUGCCUUCUUCGCCCGCUCUAGAGCCGCCGUCUUCUCCUUCCCCAUCGUCGCCGGCGAGAUGCGUACGGAGCGGCGCGCUGGGGCGAGAGCGAGCGCGACGAAGAAGCCUGAAGAGGAGAAGAGGAAAUGAGAACGCACUGUUCAAGAAACCCCGGUCCGACGCCUUAUAUGAGGUCGCUUCUGAGUGGCUGGCUGGUAGGCCCGGACGAUCCUGUCAAAUCCCGUAACAAUCGCGCGCGUGAUACGUGGCGAAAAAGGUGGCGCGGGGAUCAAGGCGGCUCCACCCUAUCCCAUCCGAUUACUGCGGCCUCCCCCGUCCCGCGCGCUUCCCAAAAUUCGAAUCCCGCGAAACCUGCGAGCAGCAGAACAACUUGUCAGACGGAAGAUCUCCUCCACACCGUCACUCGGAGCUUUUUGAGUAAAGAAACUCACUCGACAAAAAACUAAGAAUGGAUCAAUGCGACUGAAAAGGAAGUUGCUGUCAUCACUCAGGUUCAUUGAUCCGAAACAAGAUAUGCUCAUGGCAUGAAAAAUGAGUCGGAGAAGUUCUCAACUCCUUCCCCACUCAAACCUCGAUCCAUUCAGGGGCUAAUGAUGAAGCUAUGUACCUAGGGUAGGGUCAUGGACCUGUCCUAACUGCCCUACCCAAGGACAUCUCUAGAAGAAAUCACCUUUCCAUCGACUUGGAGGUGUUCCACUCGACAGACUCGAAGACACUCGACCAAGAAGCAAUCACUCGACCAAGAUCCAACCACUCGACGGCCGGGAGACCUAAAGUCACUCCGCAUGCUAACGGUCGGUCAUUAAGUAGCUUUUAUGGUCAUCAUAGCACUUUAUUAGGGGCGUUACCAGUAAUGCUCGACCUUAAUGUAUUUGAAACCCUGCAUAACUGAGGGCCGGAGGGGUCUAGCGAACUCUAUAUAAGCCACCCCCUCCUCAGUGUAAAGGGUUCGCACCCCUGUAAUUCAUACACACAUAAUCCAGUCGACCGCCUCUGGGCUCCGAGACGUAGGGCUAUUACUUCCUCCGAGAAGGGCCUGAACUCGUAAACCUCGUGUGCUUACAACUACUCCAUAGCUAAGAUCUUACCUCUCCAUACCUACCCCCCUACAUUACUGUCAGACUUAGAACCAUGACAGUAUGCGCUAGGAUUCCCCCCCUAAAAAGCUUCACAACUUUUGAGCAGAUCAUGGUCUAGAUUAAAACAUGUCCUUUACUUAUGAAGGGGUAAUAUAGAAAAUUCACAUUAUAAAAACACUUGAAAUAAAAAAUAUAACGAGCGCUCUAGAAACCCAUGGCGGCUAGUGCGACUUGUUUGGAGGUAUUCGUAUCCUUCCCAACCCUAAUCCACUACCCCGGUCGUCCAUGUAUCUGUCAGAAGUGUUAGACUCCUCCACUUUAUCUUACUCCUCACAUUACCAUCAUCCGACAUAGUAUGACGACAUCUUAGCCCCUUGUAUUCACAUCACGCGGUGUUCAAACCGCACAAGCCACGAGGCCUUUUUUUAACGAGAGUGGUGUACCCAAGCACCCCUACUGAAAUUGGCAUUCCCUUGAUCCAAAGAAAGAAAGAGUAAAAAAACCAAACACUCCCCCCCACACACACCUCCAGUGUUCCUAUGCACCGAAUUGUACACAACCAAUAGUUUCUACAUUACUACAUAUGAAUGAUGCUUACAGUUGAAAUAAAAGGCAACUCAUUGUCGCUUACAACUAAAUAGAAAAAGGCUACUAGGAGUAGAGUUUGACAUGGGCCAAAGUAAGUGCAUUAUAUAUCCUUAUUUCUAGUGCGUGAUUGCCACCCAAGAUUGCAAUAGAACACCGGGUCAACUGACAAUCCAAUCCCUGGUGUUCUAUUAUAUCUCAAGUUAAAUACUAAAAAGAGCUACUAUGAGUAGAGUAUGAGAUGAACCAGAGUAAGUGCAUUAUGUAUAUCCUCAAUUAUAGUGUGCGGUCACCACCCAAGAUUGCAACAGAACACCAAGUUGGUUGAUGAAACCAAUCUAGUCCAAUCCCUUAUUGAACUAAAAGUCGGUAUAUGUACUUAGGAGUUGCCUAACUAAAGCAUGCAGUUCAACUUGAUAGAUCUAGUAAGAUUCAACUCGAUAAUCGUUUAAUUCCUAAUGGUUUUUAGAAAAAAAAUAGUUACAAUAACUAACUCAAACGAAAUAUAAGUGAACAAUCAAACAUCGAACGGCUCCACAUGGCUUCCAAAUAAAAGUAAUUAUCAGAUCGAGUAAUAAAUUGUUUAUUCCUUGCUCUCAAUAUGAGGUUAUACAUAACAUAUUUUGGUCUAUCGUAACAAGUACUAGCUAGUAUUUCAGUCUCUACUAGCAAAUGUUGCAAUAGCAAACAGCCUUCAUGGCGUUCUUCUUCUCACAGUGGUAGUCCUUGAGGCUGCCCUUCCUAUCACGUGCAAACACCUCACACGUGGCCUUGCACAGCGGCUUGGUGCAGAAAAACUCCCCGCCGUCGUCAACGACCGCGCAAUUCUCUGCACAACACCAACAAAACAGAAACCACUAUAUUAGAAUAUUAGCGACAAACCCCCCAUUAGAUUAGAUUAUACGUGUUUGACAAACACAAUUAAACACACCUGCAGAAAUAGGAGUACCCACAAGUGCUAGCACCACGAGGAAGCAAACAAUAGCAGCCCGUGUGUCCAUCCCAAGAGUUCUCUCUUUUUUUGAACUAGGAAGGAAAAAUAUGUGUUCUCUUCGUCUAUUUUAAUUUGGCUAUGGGGCUAAUGUUUAUGUCUUGGAGUGCUUGGAGUGUUGUCUUAUAUAGACUUAUUGAAAGGGACAAAAAUAAAAGCAUUUAAAUCCUUGUUAAACUUAGAAAAAGAGAUAGAGGUGAGUCACACCCCAAAAAUGGAAGCACUUAAUGCUGGGUGAGAAAUUAAAUGAAAAAGGCAAAGAAUAUAUGAGUGAUGUUUAUCUAAUAAUUAAGGCUAUAAUUUUCGACUACAAAAUAAGCAUGACCAUUCAAAAAAAUGGAGUCAUCGUUUUGUGGCUGGUGACAUUGAUCAAAAAUGUUUUUGUUAUAAAAAAUGUCUAGCCACUUUAAUUGCAAGCACCAUUGUGCACUGAAAUUCAAUUGACUUCAACAAAACAAUCAAUAUGAAUUGCAUCUUGAUAUGUAAUCAGCUAAAACUAAGAUUGUAUGUUGUCUCGAGUUGACUAAAUCUCCAUGUUUGGCUAGACAAUGUUUCAAACUGUGUCAAUUUGCACGGCACCUGGGACAAUGCAAUGUCAAAUCUUGCACUAUUUUAAACCACCACAAGAUAAGCAACCUGAGUUGGGCCCAUGCCUCUUGCCACCCGCUGGCGUCCACCUCGAAAUCUAUACCAAUAUAAUUUUUGUGUCACAUGAAUCAUAUAGUAUUGGUCUAAAAUAUCUUUUCUCUCGUUGCAAAAUAUAAAAGAAAAAUCGGCACAACAAUAUUAUAUAGACCCAUCGCAACACUAGCAUGCUUCACAGUGGGUGGGUCCCAUGUAAAUACAUUUGGAAAUACCUCAAAAAUGCAUAUGUGUAUUAUUUAUUAUUGUCCAAGAAUUCCACAUGCUCACUCACAACAAACUGUUGAAGAAUUCCGUGCAACUUAGAAACUAACGUAUGCAACAAUGUGAUCACAACAUUUGUGUUAGGACUUACAAAACUACAUUACAUUGUAGCAUGUCACACAUGUGUAUGUAGUAUAACGCAAAUGAGUUCACAGCAGACCAAAACAACAAAUGGUAACUACAAAAAAAUUCCAUAAAUCUAACAUUUUACAACCAAAAAAUUUGGUGGGCACUGACCUCACCUCAUCAAACUUGCUCUAAUAUUCUAGUUAGUGUAAAGUUUUGGUUUAAGCUAAAGUUGCUCUAGUAUUAUACCACAACAAAAAGGAAAGAAAUGGGGGAAAACAAAGAAGAGCAGAGCAGGGUGGGUUACUUGGAUCUAAGCCGACCAAUAUAAAUCGCAUUGCCCUCCUAAAUCCUGAUUACUCAAGCCGGCCCAAAAUUGAGGGGCCACUAAAAUAGAAGUUGAGCCUAUGGUGCAAGAACAGAAAACCCGCCUAAGCCAUUGGAUUGGAUAUGGAUGGCACAUGAUCUGGUUGAGCGAUCUCAGGCCACUUAAUGUAUAUUUUAUGAAAAAAACCUAUUAACAGUUAGGUAUAAAACAAAACAUUGGCGGUGACCACCUUAAGUAUCUCAUCUCCCAAUCCAAUAGUGGAGUUAACGACCAUUUACAGAUUUCAGGUUUUUUCCAGCGACCAUUUAUAGAAUUUGCACAUCCUCAUAUCCUAUAAGUUUUAUAAAAUAUAUUUUCACAUAUCGAGCACAAAUAUAUGGUUGUAAGAAUGAAGAACUCAUACUCAUGCUUGUUUUAAUUCUAGUAUUUACACCCCUAAGGUUGUUAAGGUCCGGUUACAAAAACUCAAAUUUAAUUCUCUUAUAAGAACUUGGUAGAGCCCUGUCAUAGUGCACAUCCUCUCAUGGAUUCGAUAACUCAGGUUUGCUCCUUCGGGAAAAGGCAGGGAAACCUUUGCUAUCCAAACCGGAUCUCAAAGAGCACCACCCAUCUCUCACCCUACUCGAUGAUACAACAUCGACAACAAGGUACGUGUGUAACAAACCGUCUGCUCCCUCGCUCUGUCACUAUGGUGCUAUUCAUCACAUCAAGUCGGGACCCAUUUCCUUCCUUUUGAGGUUAAAAAUUAAGGUUUCUAGUCUAUAUGAGGGCCUUCGGAUUCAACUUAUAAGAAUGUUAGUUCAAAUAUAAUGAUGAUUAUUUCAAGUGGAUGGUUAUGUGAACUAUGUUGGUAGAGUGGUGGGCGAUGACUGUUGCGGCGGACUUCAGGGAUGUUUGAUCUAUCCACCUGGCUUGAUCAAGCAGCAUCGACAUUCGUGCAUCAUUGUUUUGUUGAAUGUGUUGGUUCGAUUUGCUUGUUGCAGGGGUGAUAGCCUCUGGUCCGACGUUUGGUUACACGAGACAAUAAGCUCCCCUUGUAAAGGUGUAUGAUGUGGGAAUUAUGUGUUGUACUCCUCAGGUGCAAACGCACGUAUAUGUGAUGUACAGGAGUAGGCCACGACCUCAACUAUACAAGGCAGCUAGGAGGUGGGCCCAAUACACAAAUAUGCACAACACAUAUACUCAACACCCCCCCCCCCACGCAGUCGAAGCGGCACUGCGCUGACGCAAAGACUGGACCAGAACUCCUCAAAUGACGCCGUAGGCAAGUUGUUGGUCAUGAUAUCUGCAAAUUGUUGGGAAGUAGGGACGUGUAAAACACGAAUAUGGUCGAGGGCCACCUGUUCCCAAACAAAAUGAAUAUCCAACUCAAUAUGCUUGGUCCGUCGAUGAUGCACCGGGUUAGCGGAGAGGUAGACCGCUGAGACGUUGUCACAAUAGACCACCGUGGCACGGUCAAUAGGGAAAGAGAGCUCCUGAAGCAGCUAGCGAAGCCACGAACACUCAGCGACGGUGUUGGCCAACGCACGAUACUCAACUCAGCACUGGAACGAGAGACCGUAAGCUGUCGCAUGGAUGACCACGAGAUAAGUGAGGGUCCAAGGUAGACACAAUAGCCCGAGGUGGAGCGACGAGUGUCAGGGCAGCCCGCCCAGUCUGCAUUGGAGUAGGCGGUGAGGGCUGUGUCGGCAGAGGCAUGAAGCGUGACACCAAGAUCCAUAGUGCCACAGACAUAGCGGAGAAUCCGUUUGACAACAGCCUAGUGAACAUCUCGAGGAGCAUGCAUAUGAAGACACACCUACUGCACGACAUACUGGAUCUCCGGUCGAGUUAAAGUGAGGUACUGAAGAGCACCAACAAUAGACCAAUAAAAAGCAGCAUCCGAAGCAGGAGAACCAUCCGUGAAGAAAGCUUGGCCUUCGUAUCAACAGGCAUAGCAGCAGGCAUGCAGUUAAGCAUGUUGGCCCGCUCCAGGAGCUCACAAGCAUACUUCCGCUUAUGAAGGAAGAAUCCAUCCAGACGGCACAGCACCUCAACACUGAGGAAGUUGUGCAAAGGACCCAAGUCCUUGAUGGCAAACUCAGCGCGAAGACGAGCCGUGAGCUGACUGAGGAGACCAGCCGUACAUGCCGUCAGGAUGAUGUCGUCGACAUAGAGCAAAAAGUAGGCCAUGUCAGAGCCCUAAUGAUAGACGAAGAGCGAGGCAUCCGAGCGGGUGGAGCGGAACCCAAGCUGGUGGAGAAACGCUGCGAUGCGGUGGUACCAAGCACGCAGAGCCUGCUUGAGUCCAUACAAGGACCGCGAAAGCAGGCACACGUGGUCGGGAAGCGUCGGGUCAACAAACCCAGUGUGCUGCUGGCAGAAGACCUGCUACUCUAGCUGACCAUGGAGGAAGGCAUUGGAGACAUCCGUCUAGUGCACCGGCCAAGCACGGGAGACCGCAACGUGAAGAACCGUGUGUAUCGUGCUGGGCUUGACGACCGGAGUGAAUGUGUCGAUGAAGUCGAUGCCAGCAUGCUGUCGGAAGCCACGGACGACCUAGCGCGGUUUGUAGCGAUCAAGGGUACCAUCGGGACGGAGCUUGUGUUUGAAGACCCACUUCCCGGUAAUCACGUUGGCGUGCUGGGGAUGGUUAACAAGCUGCCACGUUCAGUUGUGCAUGUAACAUCCCAAAUUUUCAAUUUGGAAUGUUAUACACUAGAUCAUCAUUGCAUAUCAUAUUUAUUGCAUUUUGGUUGGUCCUAGAAAUUUUUCUCAACUCAAGGACCAUCGGAGAGAGUUGGGGAUUUCGUUAUUUUCAUAUUUGAGUUGUCUCUAAUUUUGAAAAUAGGGUCAUUUGAUUUUAUUUAUUUUAUCUUCAAUAAAUUUCUAUCACAAAAAUAUGAGAGAGGGAAUAAAAUGACUUUCCCAAAAUAAAGAAAUAUUGAGGAUUUAAUAAAAAAUCAAAUAAGAUUUUAUUUGGUUUUAUUUGCUAUUUAUUUGAAUUAGGAAAAAAUGCGCGUUUUUCAAAAUUGUAUUUAGGCCCCAAAUAAAUGUUCAUCCUGUGCGGCUUGAUUUUAGAAGCCGGAGAAAAUUUAUUUCGGGAUUUUUGGAGUCCGUUUAGUAUUUCUUUUAUUUUUUUUUCUGCGCGUUAUUAUUAAAAAAACGCGAACUGACUCCGGGCCGUACCCGAGCGGGACUCCGCCCGGGGCAGCCCUUAUAAGCCGCCGCCCGGGGCCCGAGUCAGCCCACCCGGGCCGAAACCCUAGCCCCGAUGCCGCCAGCGCCGCCGCCCGCCGCCGCCUCGCCGCUCGCCGGACCCGCCGCCCGGUUUUUUUUAAUCCGCGGUUUAUUUUUCAGAUUCGUUUUUUUAUUAAAACGGUUUUUUCGGUUUAGACUAAUUAGCGAGCUUUCGCUCGUUCGUUCGUUUUAACGAACAUGUUCGUCGUUUAGAUCCAGUUAACGAACGUUCGUUCGUUAGACUGUUCGUCGUUUUUCUUUUUCUCGGAUUAAAUCCACGAUUUUUCUGAUCGCGAUUUCUGAUCCGAUUUUUGUUUUAGUAUAACUUUUCGCUCGUUUAUCGGAAUCAGGCGAUUCAAGCGCCUGGAGUUUCGUCUCAAAACGCUCUUUCCGUUUAACCAACUUAAACAAGUUUUUGCCACUGUAAAAAUUGCCCUAGACCCAGAAUAGUAAACGAAGUCUGUUUCUUUUGCCGUUUGUCUUUCGUUGCUUCGUUCGAUUUGAUUCUUUUUGCCAGCCGGAGUUCUUAAGUUGAACUUUCUGGUUAGAUCUCUUAUUUGAGUUUUACUUGUGCAUUAGUUGAGUACUUAUUGUAUGCUUGUUUGUUUGCGAUAGAGUACCCGGAGUGCACCGCUUGUUACAUCGAAUCACUAAGUUUCGCGGAUCAUCAGCAAGGCAAGUAACACUUUGAUCAUACCCUCUACUACCCAGUUUUAUUGCAUUAGAUUAACCCUUAUACAUUGCAUGAUUAGGAUCUAAUUAAAUUGUGGGUUUGGGAAGUAGUUGAGGUAGUACCUAUUACCUAUUUAUUAUCAAACCUUUGGGAGUUACUUCUACGUUUGUUUAUUUUUGCUAUGAUAUGCUAGUAGACGUGGAUUGGGUGAGUGAUAUCCAUGACAGAUGUGAGAUUUUUAAAUCAAUGGUUUAUCUAUGGUGGCAACUUAAAUACACAUCUGGGUGGAUUGAGGUACCUGGGUAUUCCAGGAUUGCCUGUUUUCUUUUGGACCGCCACCCAGGCUCAAAGGGAUCAUGAGAUUUUUCAUGCUAGAAACUUCCGUGUGCAGCCACAAGCUAUUACGGGCUCUAGCAUAGUUGACUAAGUUGUGCAAACUCUUACAGUGGUAGACUAGCAGAUGUAGGGGAUGUAGGUGGUACGGUCUACCCAUCGUAAGGUGCUAGCGCUUCUGAAAGACUAUGUCUCGGUCAUCCGUUUCUCAAACACCGUGUAGUGCGAGAAUCCAAACGGAGGUGAUCGAGUCUUGUGGGGAAAAUUGCGCAAACCUCUGCAGAGUGUAUAAACUAAUCAUGAUUAGUCGUGUCCCCGGUUAUGGACAUCUUGAGUAUCUAGUACCUGGAUUAUCAUGUGAAUCUCAACAUGUUACUAUAAAUUUUAAUUUGAUGGGUUUGUUUAAUGAUGUUACUUAAUUGGGAUUGAGGAUGCUGUCAACCAUUCUCAAUGUUGAACAACCACCAUAAUAGUUAAAUAAAAAUUUAUUCCUUUGCAGUAGGGAAAAAUUGGCUUUACGCAAAACUGUAACCAUAGAGCUUUCCACCAGCCAAAUAUGCAUAUAGUAUAGCUGUUUCAUUCCAUUACUCUCUACGUGUUACAUUGCCAGCAUAUUCCAUGUGCUGACCCGUUUUCGGGCUGCAACGUUAAUGUUGCAGACUUUUCAGACGAUGAUUAAGGAGUUUUAGGUCGUGGUUCUAUACUCAGUGAUGCCGUUGGAGUUGAUGGACUCACGUAUCUUCCAAGCCUUCCGCUGUUAUCGUUAUUAGAUGGACUUAAGCCAUAUUUAUUGUAAUAAGUUCUCUAUUGAGACACUCGAUGUAAUAAGUGUGCGAUUGCUACUCUGUUAUUUUUCCUUUCAAGUACUGUGUGGUGUCAGCAUUACUGAUCCAGGGAUGACACCAGAGCAUAGAGAUUGGACCGUUUGAGGUCUGGUCGCUACAAGAUGGUAUCAGAGCACACGCUGACUGUAGGACACGACCACUAAGCUAAAGACCUAGAUCACUACUCACUCUUCUCUUCUGGCCUCUCCUCUUUUCUAUUCUUUAGGAUGGCGGAUGCAAGGAACAAGUUCACACAACCGGACGAAGAUACACCCUUUGGACGUCACUUGAAGGAAGUCACUAGAUACCUGAACAUAGGAGUACCAAGCUUCACCGGAACCUACAAUGCCACUUUACCUGAAGAAGAGCGCUGGAUGAUUCAAGUUCAAGUUCCAGGAAGGACGUUCAUGCCAGUCAGAGCCCAUAGAGUUUUCUUUUGAUGCACCAACUUGGAGUCUAGCAAAGAGCAUGGCAGCUCACAUCGCCAUGGGACGCAUUGGAGAAUCCUACCGCAAUGAUCUCAAGGAUACUAUCUACCAGAUUUGUGGGCGCCGAGAUGAGCACUGGGAGAUGAUUAGCACCAGAAAGGAUAGAUCAAUUGCAGCUUUUAUCCAGGAGUUAAACCAGCACAUUCGACGUCAUGAGAUUCAGAUGUGCGCCGACAUGAUAGACCUGAAGAAGGCAAGGACAAGAAUCAAGGAACUGGAGGAAGAACUCAAGGCUACACGUGAAGAUUAUGAAGAGGAAAUCGAAGUAUUAGUGGGGAAGAAUGACGAUCUGAUCAAGAAGAUUGUAAUAUUUAUGGGAGGCCCUACGCCAGUAGAUGAAGACGAAGAACCCAAGGAGAUUCGCCCGGAAGAUUACAUCAUCAUCAAUGACACCGACUGGGAUAUAGAUGAUAGCGAUGAUGACUAUGUUGAUGAAGCUGGAGCAGAUAUCAUGGAGUCUGCAACCGAAGAAUAUUUCUAGUAGACCACCUGAUCAGUAGUAGUAGUCCACCAUGUAAAUAUAGUAGUCCGAGCACUUUUGCGAUAGUUAGAUCGAUUGUAUGCCCUUGUUUGAUUGAAUGAAGUGAAUUGUUUGCUUUUGCCUCAUGUGCAUAUGGGUAGGGUUUUCUCUUUAGACCCCCUCUAUUCUUAAAUCUCAUCUUUUCUAAACCCUCAGAUGCCUCCGAGACAUGACCCCAGAUUUACCUUUCCACCGGAGCUCACCCAGUUGAUCCAGCAGCAGAACACAUUGAUGUAGUUGCUAGUCCAGAAUCAGAAUCAGGGGAACAACAACAACAACCCACCACCACCACCACCACCACCUGUUGAUCACUUAGCCCGUUUUCUUAGGAUGAAUCCCCCGGUGUUUUCCAGUAGCACCGAGCCGAUAGUAGAAGAUGAUUGGCUCCUCAAGACAGCUAGAGAGUUGACCACAGCAGGAUGCACGGAUGCAGAGAAGGUGAAGGUUGCCGCACAUCAGCUUAAAGGACCCGCAGCAUCAUGGUGGGAGAAUUUCACAGCCACUUUCCCUGUUAGUACUGUCACAUGGGACCAGUUUCAGCAGGCUUUUUGAACUGCCCAUGUUUCAGCAGGAGCUAUGGCCAUGAAGAAGCGAGAGUUUCGCAACUUGCGCCAAGGAGAACGGACAGUUGGCCAGUAUGUGGAGGACUUUAGUAAGCUAGCACGUUAUGCCCCAGAUGACGUUGCUACGGAUGCCGCUAAGCAGGAGAAGUUUCUGGAAGGACUGAAUGAUGAGUUGAGCAUGCAGUUGAUGGUAGCAACCUUCAACAACUACCAGGAGUUGGUAGAUUGCGCUCUUAUGAUUGAAGGGAAGCAGCAGCAAAUUGAAAAUCGCAAGAGGAAGUAUGCACAAGGAAAGUACAGUUCAGGAGCUUAGCAGAAGCCACGAUUUACCCCUAGACCGGGAGGACAUUUUCAGCAUACCCAUAGAGGAGGAAGCUUGCACAAUCACAAUGGCCCCAGGAAUGGUAAUGGGAAUGGAGGAAGCAAUGGCCAAAACCGCACCAACCCAUCAACCCCAGCCAAGAAAGACCUGAGCCAAGUCACUUGCUUUAAAUGCCAGAAGACCAGACAUUAUGCCAAUGAAUGUCCUGAAUCACAGAAUGGAAAUGGCAAUGGAAGCUCUGGGAAGAAGCCGAACCCUUUUAACAGGGGACAGGUGAACCACGUUAACGUGGAGGAGGUUGAAGAGCAGCCGGAUGCAGUAAUCGUUAAGUUUUUGGUUAAGUCAUUUACUACACUCGUUCUUUUCGAUACUAGUGUAUCGCAUUCAUACAUAUCAAGGGGAUUUGUGGAUAAGUAUAAACUGCCAACCCAAGCCCUUAGGUCACCCAUGUUAGUAAUCUCGCCUGGAGCAGAAUAUAUGGCUAGUCUAUGGUGUGAUCGAUUACCAUUAAGGAUUGGUAACUAUGUUUUUCCCUCAGACCUAAUAUUAUUGGAAUCCCAAGGAUUGGAUGUGAUAUUAGGCAUUGAUUGGUUAUCAAAGUAUGAUGGGAAUAUUGAAUGUGCUAGUAAGUCAAUUUUUCUUACCACCCCAGAAGGGAGAAGGAUCAAGUAUGUAUCCCGACAUGUGCCAAAGAGGACUCAAGUAAAUUGCUUAACAGGAGUUGUGCAGGAAGAAGUACCAGUAGUGAAGGAUUUCCCUGAAGUAUUUCCAGAAGAGUUGCCAGGCAUGCCACCGGAUAGAGAUAUUGAAUUUUUGAUUGAGCUAUUGCCAGGCAUAGGGCCAAUAUCAAAGAGACCAUAUAGGAUUCCUGCAAAGGAUUUGGUGGAAAUUAAGAAGCAAAUUAAGGAGUUACUAGAUAAAGGUUAUAUUCGCCCAAGUUCUUCACCUUGGGGAUCGCCAGUACUUCUAGUGGAGAAGAAGGAUGGAUCGUUAAGGAUGGUUGUCGAUUAUCGAGGAUUGAAUGAAGUAACCAUCAAGAACAAGUACCCACUACCGAUGAUCAAUGAUCUGUUUGAUCGAUUGCAAGGAGCUAAGGUAUUUUCCAAGAUCGAUCUGCGAUCAGGAUACCACCAGUUGAAGAUUCGGGAACAUGAUAUACCCAAGACGGCUUUUACCACCAGUUAUGGGCUGUACGAGUAUACCGUUAUGUCAUUUGGUCUGACUAACGCACCUGCAUAUUUUAUGAACAUGAUGAACAAUGUGUUUAUGGAGUUCUUGGAUAAGUUCGUCGUAGUGUUCAUUGAUGAUAUCCUGGUUUACUCAAAGAACGAAGAAGAGCAUAAGGAACAUUUGCGUUUGGUUCUUGGAAAGCUCAGGGAACAUCAACUAUAUGCCAAGUUUAGCAAAUGUGAAUUUUGGUUGAAGGAAGUUGGAUUUCUCAGACAUGUUAUAUCCGGAGAAGGUAUAGCAGUAGAUCCCACUAAAGUUGAAACCGUGACCAAGUGGGAAGCACCAACCACCGUGGGAGAGAUCCGGAGUUUUCUUGGACUCGCAGGAUACUAACGGAGGUUUAUUGAGAAUUUCUCAAAGAUUGCGAAGCCUAUGACUGAGUUGUUGAAGAAGGAUACCAAGUUCUUAUGGACAGAGGAAUGUGAGGCUAGUUUUCAGGAGUUGAAGAAACAUUUGGUUACUUCACCAGUGUUGAUUUUGCCAGACCAGACCAAGGAUUAUGAGGUAUAUUACGACGCUUCACGUCGAGGACUUGGAGCAGUGCUUACGCAGGAAGGGAGAGUUGUUUCAUAUGCCUCACGACAGCUUAAGCCUCAUGAGUUGAAUUAUGCUACGCAUGAUUUGGAGUUAGCAGCCGUAGUGCAUGCACUGAAGACUUGGAGACAUUUUCUGAUUGGAAACCAUUGCGAAGUGUACACGGAUCAUAAGAGUCUGAAGUAUAUUUUCACACAGAAGGAGUUGAACCUCAGACAAAGGAGAUGGUUGGAGCUCAUCAAGGGUUAUGAUAUGAAAUUGCAUUAUCACCCCGGAAAGGCUAAUGUAGUAGCUGACGCAUUAAGGCGUAAGAGCCAUGUCAACACCCUAAUGACGGGAGAAUUACCAAAGGAUUUAGCCGAAAAUCUUCGAGAGUUAUGUUUAGAAAUAGUCCCGAGAGGCUAUGUAGCAGCAUUGGAGAUUCAGUCUACUUUGAUGGAUAAAAUCAGAGAAGCCCAAAGGACUAACAAGGAGAUUGCUUCUAUCAAAGAGAAAAUUUGCAAAGGAAAAGCUAAGGGAUUUCGUGAGGAUGAGCACGAUACCUUAUGGUUUGAAGACCGUGUCUAUGUACCAAAUGAUUUGGAGAUCAGGAAACUAAUUCUGCAAGAGGCCCAUGACUCACCAUACUCAAUUCACCCAGAAAAUACCAAGAUGUAUUUGGAUUUGAAGGAUAUUUUCUAGUGGACCGGAAUGAAGAAGGAUAUUGCGGAGUACGUAGCAGUUUGUGAUGUAUGUCAGAGAGUGAAGGCAGAGCAUCAUAAGCCAGCAGGAUUGCUACAACCAUUGCCGAUACCCGAAUGGAAGUGGGAUAAGCUAGGCAUGGAUUUUAUUACAGGAUUUCCCAGAACACGUUCAGGCUAUGACUCGAUAUGGGUUGUAGUCGAUCGUUUGACAAAGGUAGCUCAUUUCAUUCCAGUGAAGACUACCUAUACCAGUGCGAAGUUGGCAAAGAUAUGCAUGACCAGGAUCGUAUGUCUGCAUGGAGUUCCAAGGAGCAUUGUAUCGGAUAGAGGGACCCAGUUUACUUCAAAGUUCUGGAAUCAGUUGCAUGAGACUUUGGGAACCAGACUAGAGUUUAGCACAGCUUUCCACCCACAAACAGAUGGACAGACUGAGAGAGUCAACCAGAUCUUGGAGGAUAUGCUAAGAGCUUGUGCGCUAGAUUACGGAUCUAGUUGGGAUGAGAAUUUGCCAUAUGCAGAGUUCUCUUACAACAACAGCUAUCAAUCUAGUUUGAAGAUGGCCCCUUUCGAAGCCCUGUACGGAAGGAGGUGCAGGACCCCAUUGACCUGGGAUGAAGUUGGAGAUCGCCAGUUGUUUGGACCGGAUCUGAUAAAGGAAUAUGAACAGAAGUGAAAUUAAUUCGCGACAGGCUAAAGGUAGCUCAAUCCAGGCAGAAGAGUUAUGCGGAUUCUAAAUGCAAGGAGACCGAGUUUAUCUUCGAGUAUCACCACUUCGAGGAGUUAAGCGCUUUGGAGCUAAGGGAAAGUUAGCGCCACGUUUUGUAGGCCCAUACAAAGUAUUGGAACGUAUGGGAGAAGUAGCCUACAAGUUGGAAUUGCCUGAAGGAUUGUUAGGAGUUCACGACGUAUUUCAUGUAUCCCAGUUGAAGAAGUGCCACGCGGAGAUGGCUGACAUACCACUGAGAGAUACGGUACCACUGGAAGCAAUUCAGUUGGACAGUGAUUUGACUUAUGAGGAGGAACCAGUUAAGAUUCUAGAGUAUGCCAGUCGAGUCACCCGCAGCAAGGUUAUCAAGUUUUGCAAGGUUCAGUGGAGCCACCACACGGAGGAUGAAGCCACCUGGGAACGAGAGGAAGAUUUGCUGAAGGACCACCCUCACCUAUUUUCUAGCCAACCCGAAUCUCGAGGGCGAGAUUCAUCUUAAGGGGGGUAGGUUUGUAACAUCCCAAAUUUCCAAUUUGCAAUGUUAUACACUAGACCAUCAUUGCAUAUCAUAUUUAUUGCAUUUUGGUUGAUCCUAGAAAUUUUUCUCAACUCAAGGACCAUCGGAGAGAGUUGGGGAUUUCGUUAUUUUCAUAUUUGAGUUGUCUCAAAUUUUGAAAAUAGGGUCAUUUGAUUUUGUUUAUUUUAUCUUCAAUAAAUUUCUAUCACAAAAAUAUGAGAGAGGGAAUAAAAUGACUUUCCCAAAAUAAAGAAAUAUUGAGGAUUUAAUUAAAAAUCAAAUAAGAUUUUAUUUGGUUUUAUUUGCUAUUUUAUUUGAAUUAGGAAAAAAUGUGCGUUUUUCAAAAUUGCAUUUGGGCCCCAAAUAAAUGUUCAUCCUGUGCGGCUUGAUUUUAGAAGCCGGGGAAAAUUUAUUUCAGGAUUUUUGGAGUCCGUUUAGUAUUUCUUUUAUUUGUUUUUUGCGUGUUAUUAUUAAAAAAACGCGAACCGACUCUGGGCCGUACCCGAGCGGGACUCCGCCCGGGGCAGCCCUUAUAAGCCGCCGCCCGGGGCCUGAGUCAGCCCACCCGGGCCGAAACCCUAGCCCCGAUGCCGCCCGUGCCACCGCCCGCCGCCGCCUCGCCGCUCGCCGGACCCGUCGCCUGGUUUUUUUUAAAUCCGCGGUUUAUUUUUUUAGAUUCAUUUUUUUAUUAGAAUGGUUUUUUCAGUUUAGACAAAUUAGCGAGCGUUCGCUCGUUCGUUCGUUUUAACGAACGUGUUCGUCGUUUAGAUCCAGUUAACGAACGUUCGUUCGUUAGACUGUUCGUCGUUUUUCUUUUUCUUGGAUUAAAUCCGCGAUUUUUCUGAUCGCGAUUUCUGAUCCGAUUUUCAUUUUAGUAUAACUUUUCGCUCGUUUGUCGGAAUCAGGCGAUUCAAGCGCCUGGAGUUUUGUAUCGAAACCCUCUUUCCGUUUAACCAACUUAAACAAGUUUUUGCCACUGUAAAAAUUGCCCUAGAUCCAGAAUAGUAAACGAAGUCUGUUUCUUUUGCCGUUUGUCUUUCGUUGCUUCGUUCAAUUUGAUUCUUUUUGCCAGCCGGAGUUCUUAAGUUGAACUUUCUGGUGAGAUCUCUUAUUUGAGUUUUACCUGUGCAUUAGUUGAGUACUUAUUGUUUGCUUGUUUGUUUGCGAUAGAGUACCCGGAGUGCGCCGCUUGUUACUUCGAAUCACUAAGUUUCGCGGAUCAUCAGCAAGGCAAGUAACACUUUGAUCAUACCCUCUACUACCCAGUUUUAUUGCAUUAGAUCAACCCUUAUACAUUGCAUGAUUAGGAUCUAAUUAAAUUGUGGGUUUGGGAAGUAGUUGAGGUAGUACCUAUUACCUGUUUAUUAUCAAACCUUUGGGAGUUACUUCUACGUUUGCUUAUUUUUGCUAUGCUAUGCUAGUAGACGUGGAUUGGGUGAGUGACAUCCAUGACAGAUGUGAGAUUUUUAAAUCAAUGGUUUAUCUAAGGUGGCAACUUAAAUACACAUCUGGGUGGAUUGAGGUACCUGGGUAUUCCAGGAUUGCCUGUUUUCUUUUGGACCACCACCCAGGCUCAAAGGGAUCAUGAGAUUUUUCAUGCUAGAAACUUCUAUGUGCAGCCACAAGCUAUUAUGGGCUCUAGCAUAGUUGACUAAGUCGUGCGAACUCUUACAGUGGUAGACUAGAAGAUGUAGGGGAUAUAGGUGGUACGGUCUACCCAUCGUAAGGUGCUAGCGCUUCUAAAAGACUAUGUCUCGGUCAUCCGUUUCUCAAACACUGUGUAGUGCGAGAAUCCAAACGGAGGCGAUCGAGUCUUGUGGGGAAAAUUGCGGAAACCUCUGCAGAGUGUAUAAACUAAUCAUGAUUAGCCAUGUCCCCGGUUAUGGACAUCUUGAGUAUCCAGUACCUGGAUUAUCAUGUGAAUGUCAACAUGUUACUAUAAAUUUUAAUUUGAUGGGUUUGUUUAAUGAUGUUACUUAAUUGGGAUUGAGGAUGUUGUCAACCAUUCUCAAUGUUGAACAACCACCAUAAUAGUUAAAUAAAAAUUUAUUCCUUUGCAGUAGGGAAAAAUUGGCUUUACGCAAAACUGUAACCAUAGAGCUUUCCACCAUCCGAAUAUGCAUAUAGUAUAGCUGUUUCAUUCCAUUACUCUCUACGUGUUACAUUGCCAGCAUAUUCCAUGUGCUGACCCGUUUUCGGGCUGCAACGUUAAUGUUGCAGACUUUUUCAGACGACGAUUAAGGAGUUUUAGGUCGUGGUUCUAUACUCAAUGAUGCCGUUGGAGUUGAUGGACUCACGUAUCUUCUAAGCCUUCCGCCGUUAUCGUUAUUAGAUGGCCUUAAGCCAUAUUUAUUGUAAUAAGUUCUCUAUUGAGACACUCGAUGUAAUAAGUGUGUGAUUGCUACUCUGUUAUAAACCCUUCAAGUACUGUGUGGUGUCAGCAUUACUGAUCCAGGGAUGACACCGGAGCACAGAGAUUGCACCGUUUGAGGUCUGGUCGCUAUAGUGCAACAGGACGUGAAACUCCUCUUGCAUCGCAGCCAUCCAGAGCGGGUCACGAAGAGAGGCUCGAACGGAGGACGGCAACAGCAACGGCUCAGAGGUGGACGCCGCAUGGACGUAGUCAUCCGAGGCCUAGCGCAAGCUCAGGAGAAAAAUGCCCGUAUGGCCGCGGGUGACCGGACCGGCCACAUGCGCCGAAGGGGCCGCGGGCACCGGGGGCACCGGGGUCGCCGGGGGCGCCAGCAUGGGGGUUGUAGGAGGCGCCACAUGCAGGGGGCGCGCCUCAAAGCCAGGGGCUGAAGGAAAUAUGCCCUAGAAGCAAUAAUAAAGUUAUUAUUUAUUUCCUUAUUUCAUGAUAAAUGUUUAUUAUUCAUGCUAGAAUUGUAUUAACCGGAAACAUGAUACAUGUGUGAAUACAUAAACAACCAUAGUGUCACUACUAUGCCUCUACUUGACUAGCUCGUUGAUCAAAGAUGGUUAUGUUUCCUAACCAUAGACAUGAGUUUUCAUUUGAUUAAACGGGAUCACAUCAUUAGGAUAAUGAUGUGAUUGACUUGACCCAUUCUGUUAGCUUAGCACUUGAUCGUUUAGUUUGUUGCUAUUGCUUUCUUCAUGACUUAUACAUGUUCCUAUGACUAUGAGAUUAUGCAACUCCCGUUUACCGGAGGAACAUUUUGUGUGCUACCAAAUGUCACAACGUAACUGGGUGAUUAUAAAGGUGCUCUACAGGAGUCUCCGAAGGUACUUGUUGAGUUGGCGUAUUUCGAGAUUAGGAUUUGUCACUCCGAUUGUCAGAGAGGUAUCUCUGGGCCCACUCUAUAAUGCACAUCACUAUAAGCCUUACAAGCAUUUGUAACUAAUAAGUUAGUUGCAGGAUGAUGUAUAGCGGAACGAGUAAAGAGACUUGCCGGUAACGAGAUUGAACUAGGUAUUGAGAUACCGAUGAUCGAAUCUCGGGCAAGUAACAUAUCGAUGACAAAGGGAACAAUGUAUGUUGUUAUGCGGUUCGACCGAUAAACAUCUUCGUAGAAUAUUUAGGAGCCAAUAUGGGCAUCCAGGUUCCGCUAUUGGUUAUUAACCAGACAAAUGUCUCGGUUAUGUCUACAUAGUUCUCGAACCCAUAGGGUCCGCAUGCUUAACGUUCGUCGACGAUAUAGUAUUUAUGAGUUAUGUAUGUUGGUAACCGAAUGUUGUUCGGAGUUCUGGAUAAGAUCGCAGACAUGACGAGGAACUCCGGAAUGGUCCAGAGAUAAAGUUUGAUAUAUGGGAUAAUAGUGUUUGGUCUCCGGAAGGGGUUCUGGAUGUUUCUCGAAAUGUUUGGGUACGAGAACACUUUAUUUGGGCCAAAGGGGAAAGCCCACAAGGUUUUUGGAAAGCGCAAAAGGAAGUUUUGCGAAGUCCAGGGGCCAGACGCCAGGGUCCCUGGCGUCUGGGUCCAGACGCCGGGAACCCUGGUGUCUGGCCCUGGAGUCUGGGAAGGACUCUUGCCUUUCGGGUGAAACCGACUUUGUGGAGGCUUUUACUCCAAGUUUCGACCCCAAGGCUCAACAUAUAAAUAGAGGGGUAGGGCUAGCACCCAAGACACAGCAAGAAACACCAAACCGUGUGCCGGCUACCCCGUCCCAUCUAGUUUAUCCUCCGUCAUAGUUUUCGCAGUGCUUAGGCGAAGCCCUGCGGAGAUUGUUCUUCACCAACAUCGUCACCAUGCCGUCAUGCUAGCGGAACUCGUCUACUACUUCGCCCCUCUUGCUGGAUCGAGAAGGCGAGGACAUCAUCGAGCUGAACGUGUGCUGAACGCGGAGGUGUCGUACAUUCGGUACUUGAUCGGGACGGAUCUUGAAGGUGUACGACCACAUCAACCGCGUUGAUAAACGCUUCCGCUUACGGUCUACGAGGGUACGUAGACAACACUCUCCCCUGUCAUUGCUAUGCAUCACCAUGAUCCUGUGUGUGCGUAGAAUUUUUUUUGAAAUUACUACGUUCCCCGACAGUGGCAUCCGAGCCUGGUUUAUGCGUAGAUGUUAUAUGCACGAGUAGAACACAAGUGAGUUGUGGGCGAUACAAGUCAUACUGCUUACCAGCAUGUCAUACUUUGGUUCAGCGGUAUUGUUGGAUGAAGCGGCCCGGACUGACAUUACGUGUACGGUUACGCGAGACUAGUUCUACCGACGUGCUUUGCACAUAGGUGGUUGGCGGGUGUCAGUUUCUCCAACUUUCGUUGAACCGAGUGUGGCUACGCCCGGUCCUUGAGAAGGUUAAAACAGCACUAACUUGACGAACUAUCGUUGUGGUUUUGAUGCGUAGGUAAGAAUGGUUCUUGCUCAGCCCAUAGCAGCCACGUAAAACUUGCAACAACAAAGUAGAGGACAUCUAACUUGUUUUUGCAGGGCAUGUUGUGAUGUGAUAUGGUCAAGACAUUAUGCUAUAUUUAUUGUAUGAGAUGAUCAUGUUUUGUAACGGAGUUAUCGGCAACUGGCAGGAGCCAUAUGGUUGUCGCUUUAUUGUAUGCAAUGCAAUCGCCCUGUAAUUGCUUUACUUUAUCACUAAGCGGUAGCAAUAGUCGUACAAGCAAUAGUUGGCGAGACGACAACGAUGCUACGAUGGAGAUCAAGGUGUCGCACUGGUGACGAUGGUGAUCAUGACGGUGCUUCAGAGAUGGAGAUCACAAGCACAAGAUGAGGAUGGCCAUAUCAUAUCACUUAUAUUGAUUGCAUGUGACGUUUAUCCUUUAUGCAUCUUAUUUUUCUUUGUUUGAAUAGCAUUAUAAGAUGAUCUCUCACUAAAUUCAAGAUAAAAGUGUUCUCCCUGAGUAUGCACCGUUGCCAAAGUUCGUCGUGCCGAGACACCACGUGAUGAUCGGGUGUGAUAAGCUCUACGUCCAUCUACAACGGGUGCAAGCCAGUUUUGCACACGCAGAAUACUCGGGUUAAACUUGACGAGCCUAGCAUAUGCAGAUAUGGCCUCGGAACACUGAGACCGAAAGGUCGAGCGUGAAUCAUAUAGUAGAUAUGAUCAACAUAAUGAUGUUCACCAUUGAAAACUACUCCAUUUCACGUGAUGAUCGGUUAUGGUUUAGUUGAUAUGGAUCACGUGAUCACUUAGAUGAUUAGAGGGAUGUCUAUCUAAGUGGGAGUUCUUAAGUAAUAUGAUUAAUUGAACUUAAAUUUACCAUGAACUUAGUACAUGAUAGUAUUUUGCUUAUCUAUGUUGUUGUAGAUAGAUGGCCCGUGUUGUUGUUCUGUUGAAUUUUAAUGUGUUCCUUGAGAAAGCAAAGUUGAAAGAUGAUGGUCGAAAUUACACGGACUGGGUCCGUAACUUGAGGAUUAUCCUCAUUGCUGCAUAGAAGAAUUACGUCCUGGAAGCACCGCUAAGUGCCAAACCUGCUGCAGGAGCAACACUAGAUGUUAUGAACGUCUGAAGAGCAAAGCUGAUGACUACUCGAUAGUUCAGUGUGCCAUGCUUUACGGCUUAGAACCAGGACUUCAACGACGUUUUGAACGUCAUGGAGCAUAUGAGAUGUUCCAGGAGUUGAAGUUAAUAUUUCAAGCAAAUGCCCGGAUUGAGAGAUAUAAAGUCUCCAAUAAGUUCUAUAGCUGCAAGAUGGAGGAGAAUAGUUCUGUCAAUGAGCAUAUACUCAAAAUGUCUGGGUAUCAUAAUCACUUGACUCAACUGGGAGUUAAUCUUCUUGUUGAUUGUGUCAUUGACGGAGUUCUUCAAUCACUGCCACCAAGCUACAAAAGCUUCGUGAUGAACUAUAAUAUGCAAGGGAUGAAUAAGACAAUUCAUGAGCUCUUCGCGAUGCUAAAGGCUGCGGAGGUAGAAAUCAAAAAGGAGCAUCAAGUGUUGAUGGUUAACAAAACCACCAAUUUUAAGAAAAAGGAUAAAGGGAAGAAGAAGAGGAACUUCAAGAAGAAUGGCAAACAAGUUGCUGCUCAGGAGAAGAAACCCAAGUCUGAACCUAAGCCUGAGACUGAGUGCUUCUACUGCAAACAGACUGGUCAGUAGAAGCGGAACUGCCCCAAGUAUUUGGCGGAUAAGAAGGAUGGCAAGGUGAACAAAGGUAUAUGUGAUAUACAUGUUAUUGAUGUGUACCUUACCAGAGCUCGCAGUAGCACCUGGGUAUUUGAUACUGGUUUUGUUGCUAAUAUUUGCAACUCGAAACAGGGACUACGGAUUAAGCGAAGACUGGCUAAGGACGAGGUGACGAUGCGCGUGGGAAAUGGUUCCAAAGUCGAUGUGAUCGCCGUCGGCACGCUACCUCUACAUCUACCUUCGGGAUUAGUUUUAGACCUAAAUAAUUGUUAUUUGGUGACAACAUUAAGCAUGAACAUUAUAUCUGGAUCUUGUUUGAUGCGAGACGGUUAUUCAUUUAAAUAUGAGAAUAAUGGUUGUUCUAUUUAUAUGAGUAAUAUCUUUUAUGGUCAUGCACCUUUGAAGAGUGGUCUAUUUUUGUUAAAUCUCGAUAGUAGUGAUACACAUAUUCAUAACGUUGAAGCCAAAAGAUGCAGAGUUGAUAAUGAUAGUGCAACUUAUUUGUGGCACUACCGUUUGGGUCAUAUUGGUAUAAAGCGCAUGAAGAAACUCCAUACUGAUGGACUUUUGGAAUUACUUGAUUAUGAAUCACUUGGUACUUGCGAACCGUGCCUUAUGGGCAAGAUCACUAAAAUGUCGUUCUCCGGAACUAUGGACCGAGCAAUAGAUUUGUUGGAAAUCAUACAUACUGAUGUAUGUGGUCCGAUGAAUAUUGAGGCUCGCGGCGGGUAUCGUUAUUUUCUCACCUUCACAGAUGAUUUGAGCAGAUAUGGGUAUAUCUACUUAAUGAAACAGAAGUCUGAAACAUUCGAAAAGUUCAAAGAAUUUCAGAGUAAAGUGGAAAAUCAUCGUAACAAGAAAAUAAAGUUUCUACGAUCUGAUCGUGGAGGAGAAUAUUUGAGUUAUGAGUUUGGCCUACAUUUGAAACAAUGCGGAAUAGUUUCGCAACUCACGCCACCCGGAACACCACAGCGUAAUGGUGUGUCCGAACAUCGUAAUCGUACUUUACUAGAUAUGGUGCGAUCUAUGAUGUCUCUUACUGAUUUACCACUAUCGUUUUGGGGUUAUGCUUUAGAGACGGCUGCAUUCACGUUAAAUAAGGCACCAUCAAAAUCUGUUGAGACGACGCCUUAUGAACUAUGGUUUGGCAAGAAACCAAAGUUGUCAUUUCUUAAAGUUUGGGGCUGCGAUGCUUAUGUGAAAAAUCUUCAACCUGAUAAGCUCGAACCCAAAUCGGAGAAAUGUGUCUUCAUGGGAUACCCAAAGGAAACUGUUGGGUACACCUUCUAUCACAGAUCCGAAGGCAAGACAUUCAUUGCUAAGAAUGGAUCAUUUCUAGAGAAGGAGUUUCUCUCGGAAGAAGUGAGUGGGAGGAAAGUAGAACUUGAUGAGGUAAUUGUACCUGCUCCCUUAUUGGAAAGUAGUUCAUCACAGAAACCGGUUCCUGUGACAUCUACACCAAUUAGUGUGGAAGCUAAUGAUGAUGAUCAUGAAACUUCAGAUCAAGGUACUACCAAACCUCGUAGGUCAACCAGAGUAAGAUCCGCACCAGAGUGGUACGGUAAUCCUGUUUCGGAGGUCAUGUUACUUGACCAUGACGAACCUACGAACUAUGAGGAAGCGAUGAUGAGCCCAGAUUCCACAAAAUGGCUUGAGGCCAUGAAAUCUAAGAUGGGAUCCAUGUAUGAGAACAAAGUGUGGACUUUGGUUGACUUGCCCGAUGAUCGACAAGCCAUUGAGAAUAAAUGGAUCUUCAAGAAGAAGACUGACGCUGACGGUAAUGUUACUGUCUAUAAAGCUCGACUUGUUGCGAAAGGUUUUCGAUAAGUUCAAGGAGUUGACUACGAUGAGACCUUCUCACCUGUAGUAAUGCUUAAGUCCGUCCGAAUCAUGUUAGCUAUUGCCGCAUUUUAUGAUUAUGAAAUUUGGCAAAUGGAUGUAAAGACUGCAUUCCUGAAUGGAUUUCUGGAAGAAGAGUUGUAUAUGAUGCAACCUGAAGGUUUUAUCGAUCCAAAGGGUACUAACAAAGUGUGCAAGCUCCAGCGAUCCAUUUAUGGACUGGUGCAAGCAUCUCGGAGUUGGAAUAAACUUUUUGAUAGUGUGAUCAAAGCAUAUGGUUUUAUACAGACUUUUGGAGAAGCCUGUGUUUACAAAAAAGUGAGUGGGAGCUCUGCAGCAUUUCUAAUAUUAUAUGUGGAUGACAUAUUAUUGAUUGGAAAUGAUAUAGAAUUUCUGGAUAGCAUAAAAGGAUACUUGAAUAAGAGGUUUUCAAUGAAAGACCUCGGUGAAGCUGCUUACAUAUUACGCAUCAAGAUCUAUAGAGAUAGAUCAAGACGCUUAAUUGGACUUUCACAAAGCACAUACCUUGACAAAGUUUUGAAGAAGUUCAAAAUGGAUCAGACAAAGAAAGGGUUCUUGCUUGUGUUACAAGGUGUGAAGUUGAGUAAGACUCAAUGCCCGACCACUGCAGAAGAUAGAGAGAAAAUGAAAGAUGUUCCCUAUGCUUCAGCCAUAGGCUCUAUCAUGUAUGCAAUGAUGUGUGCCUUGCUAUUAGUCUAGCAGGGAGGUACCAAAGUAAUCCAAGAGUGGGUCACUGGACAGCGGUCAAGAACAUCCUAAAAUACCUGAAAAGGACUAAGGAUAUGUUUCUCGUUUAUGGAGGUGACAAAGAGCUCAUCAUAAAUGGUUACGUUGAUGCAAGCUUUGACACUGAUCCGGACGAUUCUAAAUCGCAAACCGGAUACGUGUUUUUAUUGAACGGUGGAGCUGUCAGUUGGAGCAGUUCUAAAUAGAGCGCCGUGGCGGGAUCUACAUGUGAAGCGGAAUACAUUGCUGCUUCGGAAGCAGCGAAUGAAGGACUCUGGAUGAAGGAGUUCAUAUCCGAUCUAGGUGUCAUACCUAGUGCAUCGGGUCCAAUGAAAAUCUUUUGUGACAAUACUGGUGCAAUUGCCUUGGCAAAGGAAUCCAGAUUUCACAAGAGAACCAAGCACAUCAAGAGACGCUUCAACUCCAUCCGGGAUCAAGUUCAGGUAGGAGACAUAGAAAUUUGCAAGAUACAUACAGAUCUAAGUGUUGCAGACCCGUUGACUAAGCCUCUUCCACGAGCAAAACAUGAUCAGCACCAAGGCUCCAUGGGUGUUAGAAUCAUUCCUGUGUAAUCCAUAUUAUUGACUCCAGUGCAAGUGGGAGACUGAAGGAAAUAUGCCCUAGAGGAAAUAAUAAAGUUAUUAUUUAUUUCCUUAUUUUAUGAUAAAUGUUUAUUAUUCAUGCUAGAAUUGUAUUAACCGGAAACAUGAUACAUGUGUGAAUACAUAGACAAACAUAGUGUCACUAGUAUGCCUCUACUUGACUAGCUUGUUGAUCAAAGAUGGUUAUGUUUCCUAACCAUAGACAUGAGUUGUCAUUUGAUUAAACAGGAUCACAUCAUUAGGAGAAUGAUGUGAUUGACUUGACCCAUUCCGUUAGCUUAGCACUUGAUCAUUUAGUUUGUUGCUAUUGCUUUCUUCAUGACUUAUACAUGUUCCUAUGACUAUGAGAUUAUGCAACUCCCGUUUACCGGAGGAACACUUUGUGUGCUAUUCCCAACGUAACUGGGUGAUUAUAAAGGUGCUCUACAAGUGUCUCUGAAGGUACUUGUUGAGUUGGCGUAUUUCGGGAUUAGGAUUUGUCACUCCGAUUAUCGCAGAGGUAUCUCCGGGCCCACUCGGUAAUGCACAUCACUAUAAGCCUUGCAAGCAUUGUAACUAAUGAGUUACUUGCGGGAUGAUGUAUUGCGGAACGAGUAAAGAGACUUGCCGCUAACGAGAUUGAACUAAGUAUUGAGAUACCGACGAUCGAAUCUUGGGCAAGUAACAUACCGAUGACAAAGGGAGCAAUGUAUGUUGUUAUGCGGUUCGACCGAUAAAGAUCUUCAUAGAAUAUGUAGGAGCCAAUAUGGGCAUCUAGGUUCCGCUAUAGGUUAUUGACCAAAGAAAUGUCUCGGUCAUGUCUACAUAGUUCUCGAACCCGUAGGGUCCUCACGCUUAACGUUCGUUGAUGAUAUAGUAUUUAUGAGUUAUGUAUGUUGGUAACCGAAUGUUGUUUGGAGUUCCGGAUAAGAUCACGGACAUGACGAGGAACUCCGGAAUGGUCCGAGAGGUAAAGUUUGAUAUAUGGGAUAAUAGUGUUUGGUCUCCGGAAGGGUUCCGGAAUUCACCGGAAGGGGUUCCGGAUGUUUCCCAAAAUGUUUGGGUACGAGAACACUUUAUUUGGGCCAAAGGGGAAAAGCCCACAAGGUUUUUGGAAAGCGCAAAAGGAAGUUUUGCGGAGUCCAGGGGCCAGACGCCAGGGUCCCUGGCGUCUGGGUCCAGACGCCGGGAGCCCUCGCGCCUGGCCCUGGAGUCCAAGAAGGACUAUUGCCUUUCGGGUUAAACCGACUUUGUGGAAGAUUUUACUCCAAGUUUCGACCCCAAGGCUCAACAUAUAAAUAGAGGGGUAGGGCUAGCACCCAAGACACAUCAAGAAACACCAAGCCGUGUGCCGGCUACCCCGUCCCCUCUAGUUUAUCCUCCGUCAUAGUUUUCGUAGUGCUUAGGCGAAGCCCUACGGAGAUUGUUCUUCACCAACACCGUCACCACGCCGUCGUGCUGCCGGAACUCAUCUACUACUUCGCCCCUCUUGAUGGAUCGAGAAGGCGAGGACGUCAUCAAGCUGAACGUGUGCUGAACGCGGAGGUGCCAUACUGCUACUUCUUGAGCAUUGCGUUGGUUUUUCCCCGAAGAGGAAGGGAUGAUGGAGCAAAGUAGCGUAAGUAUUUCCCUCAGUUUUUGAGAACCAAGCUAUCAAUCCAGUAGGAGGCUACGUGUGAGUCCCUCGUACCUGCACAAAACAAAUAAAUCCUCGCAACCAACGCGAUAAGGGGUUGUCAAUCCCUACACGGCCACUUACGAGAGUGAGAUCUGAUAGAUAUGACAAGAUAAUAUUUUUGGUAUUUCUAUGAUAAAGAUGCAAAGUAAAAUAAAAGCAAAGGAAAAAAGCAAAGGAAAUAACUAAGUAUUGGAAGAUUAAUAUGAUGAAGUUAGACCCGGGGGCCAUAGGUUUCACUAGUGGCUUCUCUCAAGAGCAUAAGUAUUCUACGGUGGGUGAACGAAUUACUGUUGAGAAAUUGACAUAAUUGAGCAUAGUUAUGAGAAUAUCUAGGUAUGAUCAUGUAUAUGGGCAUCACGUCCGAGACAAGUAGACCGACUCCUGCCUGCAUCUACUACUAUUACUCCACUCAUCGACCGCUAUCCAGCAUGCAUCUAGAGUAUUAAGUUAAUGAAAACAGAGUAACGCCUUAAGCAAGAUGACAUGAUGUAGAGGGAUAAACUCAUGCAAUAUGAUGAGAACCCCAUCGUGUUAUCCUCGAUGGCAACAAUACAAUACGUGCCUUGCUGCCCCUACUGUCACUGGGAAAGGACACCGCAAGAUUGGACCCAAAGCUAAGCACUUCUCCCAUUGCAAGAAAGAUCAAUCUAGUAGGCCAAACCAAACUGAUAAUUCGAAGAGACUUGCAAAGAUAACCAAUCAUACAUAAAACAAUUCAGAGAAGAUUCCAAUAUUGUUCAUAGAUAGACUUGAUCACAAACCCACAAUUCAUCGAUCUCAACAAACACACCACAAAAAGAAGAUUACAUCGAAUAGAUCUCCAUGAGAGAGGGGGAGAACAUUGUAUUGAGAUCCAAAAAGAGAGAAGAAGCCAUCUAGCUAAUAACUAUGGACCCGUAGGUUUGAGGUAAACUACUCACACUUCAUCGGAAGGGCUAUGGUGAUGAUGUAGAAGCCCUCCGUAAUGGAUACCCACUCCGGCGGAGCUCUGGAAUAGGCCCCAAGAUGGGAUCUCGUAGCUACAGAAAGUUGUGGCGGUGGAAUUAGGGUUUUGGCUCCGUAUCUGAUCGUUUGGGGGUACGUAGGUAUAUAUAGGAGGAAGGAGUACGUCGGUGGAACAACAGGGGGGCCACGAGGGUGGAGGGCGUGCCUGGGGGGUAGGCGCGCCCCCUACCUCGUGGCCUCCUCCUUUGUUUCUUGACGUAGGGUCCAAGUCUCCUGGGUCAUGUUCGGCGAGAAAAUCACGUUCCCGAAGGUUUCAUUUCGUUUGGACUCUGUUUGAUAUUCCUUUUCUUUGAAACCCUAAAAUAGGCAAAAAAAACAGCAAUUCUGGGCUGGGCCUCCGGUUAAUAGGUUAGUCCCAAAAAUAAUAUAAAAGUGGAUAAUAAAGCCCAAUAAUGUCCAAAACAGUAGAUAAUAUGGCAUGGAGCAAUCAAAAAUUAUAGAUACGUUGGAGACGUAUCAAGCAUCCCCAAGCUUAAUUCCUGCUCGUCCUCGAGUAGGUAAAUGAUAAAAACAGAAUUUUUGAUGCGGAGUGCUACUUGGCAUAAUUUUAAUGUAAUUCUUCUUAAUUGUGGUAUGAAUAUUAAGAUCCGAAAGAUUCAAGAUAAAAGUUCAUAUUGACAUAAAAAUAAUAAUACUUCAAGCAUACUAACUAAGCAAUUAUGUCCUCUCAAAAUAACAUGGCCAAAGAAAUUUCAUCCCUACAAAAUCAUAUAGUUUAGUCAUGCUCCAUUUUCGUCACACAAGAAUGCUCUCAUCAUGCACAACCCCGAUGACAAGCCAAGCAAUUGUUUCAUACUUUAGUAAUCUCAAACCUAUAAAAUUUCACGCAAUAUAUGAGCGCGAGACAUGGAUAUAGCACAAUGGGCGAAAUAGAAUAUGAUGAUGGGGGUUAUGUGGAGAAGACAAAAAAAGGAGAAAGUCUCACAUCAACGAGGCUAAUCAAUGGGCUAUGGAGAUGCCCAUCGAUUGACGUUAAUGCAAGGAGUAGGGAUUGCCAUGCAACUGAUGCACUAGAGCUAUAAAUGUAUGAAAGCUCAACAAAAGAAACUAAGUGGGUGUGCAUCCAACUUGCUUGCUCACGAAGACCUAGGGCACUUGAGGAGGCCCAUUGUUGGAAUAUACAAGCCAAGUUCUAUAAUGAAAAAUUCCCACUAGUAUAUGAAAGUGACAAAACAAAAGACUCUCUAUCAUGAAGAUUAUGGUGCUACUUUGAAGCACGAGUGUGGAAAAAGGAUAGUAGUAUUGUCCCUUGUUUAUAUUAUUUUUUAUUUGGCCUUUCUUUUUUUUGGCCUUUUUUGGACAAUGCUCUAUGAAUGAUGGUCAUCACACUUCUAUUUACUUACAACUCAAGAAUUACAACUCGAUACUUAGAACAAGAUAUGACUCUAUAUGAAUGCAUCCGGCGGUGUACCGGGAUAUGCAAUGAACCAAGAGUGACAUGUAUGAAAGAAUUAUGAACGGUGGCUUUGCCACAAAUACUAUGUCAACUACAUGAUCAUGCUAAGCAGUAUGGCAAUGAUGCAUGUGUCAUGAUGAACGGAAUGGUGGAAAGUUGCAUGGCAAUAUAUCUCGGAAUGGCUAUGGAAAUGCCAUACUAGGUAGGUAUGGUGGCUGUUUUGAGGAAGAUAUAAGGAGGUUUAUGUGUGAAAGAGCGUAUCAUAUCACGGGGUUUGGAUGCACCGGCGAAGUUUGCACCAACUCUCAAUGUGAGAAAGGGCAAUGCAUGGUACCGAAGAGGCUAGCAAUGAUGGAAGGGUGAGAGUGCGUAUAAUCCAUGGACUCAACAUUAGUCAUAAAGAACUCACAUACUUAUUGCAAAAAUCUACAAGUCAUCAAAAACCAAGCACUAUGCACAUGCUCCUAGGGGGAUAGAUUGGUAGGAAAAUACCAUCGCUCGUCCCCGACCGCCACUCAUAAGGAAGACAAUCAAAUAACACCUCAUGCUUAAAAUUUGUUACAUAACAUUUACCAUACGUGCAUGCUACGGGACUUGCAAACUUCAACACAAGCAUUUGUCAAAUUCACAACUAAUCAACUAGCACGACUUUGAUAUUAUUACCUCCAUAUCUCAAAACAAUCAUCAAGCAUCAAACUUCUCUUAGUAUUCAAAACACUCAUAAGAAAAAUUUUAUUAAUCUUGAACACCUAGAAUAUUAGGAUUAUUUAAGCAAAUUACCAUGCUAUUUAAGACUCUCAAAAUAAUCUAAGUGAAGCAUGAGAGAUCAAUAGUUUCUAUAAAACAAAUCCACCACCGUGCUCUAAAAGAUAUAAGUGAAGUACUAGAGCAAAACUAUAUAACUCAAAUGAUAUAAGCGAAGCACAUAGAGUAUUCUAACAAAUUCCAAAUCAUGUAUGGCUCUCUCAAAAGGUGUGUACAGCAAGGAUGACUGUGUUAAAAUAAAAAUCAAAGACUCAAAUCAUAAAAGACGCUCCAAGGAAAACACAUAUCAUGUGGUGAAUAAAAAUAUAGCUCCAAGUAAAGUUACCGAUAGAAGUAGACGAAAAGAGGGGAUGCCCUCCGGGGCAUCCCCAAGCUUGGCUUUUAGGUGUCCUUAGAUUAUCUUGGGGGUGCCAUGGGCAUCCCCAAGCUUAGGCUCUUGCCACUCCUUGCUCCAUAAUCCAUCAAAUCUUUACCCAAAACUUGUAAACUUCACAACACAAAACUUAAAGUAGAAAAUCUCGUGAGCUCCGUUAGCGAAAGAAAACAAAAUACCACUUCAAGGUACUGUAAUGAACUCAUUCUUUAUUUAUAUUGCUGUUAAACUUACUGUAUUCUAACUUCUCUAUGGUUUAUAAACUAUUUUACUAGCCAUAGAUUCAUCAAAAUAAGCAAACAACACACGAAAAACAGAAUCUGUCAAAAACAGAACAGUCUGUAGUAAUCUGUAGCUAGCGCAAGAUCUGGAACCCCAAAAAUUCUAAAAUAAAUUUCUGGACGUGAGGAAUUUAUCUAAUCAUCUGCAAAAAUAAUUAACUAAAUAUCACCUUCCAAAUAAAAAUGGCAGCAGUUCUCGUGAGCACUAAAGUUUCUGUUUUUUACAGCAAGAUAUCAAGACUUUCCCCAAGUCUUCCCAACGGUUCUACUUGGCACAAACACUAAUUAAACACAAAAACACAACCUAAACAGAGGCUAGAUAAAUUAUUUAUUACUAAACAGGAGCAAAAAGCAAGGAAUAAAAAUAAAAUUGGGUUGCCUCCCAACAAGCGCUAUCGUUUAACGCCCCUAGCUAGGCAUAAAAAGCAAGGAUAGACCUAGGUAUUUCCAUCUUUGGUUUUUCAACUUUUUAGCGUAAUCAAGCUCGAAUCCGGGGGGUUCUUUACGUUUCCCUUCAUAUUCUUAAAUUUUUAGAUCUAACGAAUCCAACCGCUUAUUGCAAAGGGUAAUCAACAUAUUCAUGCGGUGGAGAUUCCCGCUAACGCAUUUAAGAGGUUCAAGAGACUUUUGUAAAAUCUUGGUUACUUCGCAAAUUUUCUCAAAAACUUGCGUUUUCUCUUGGGUAUGAUGAGGCCCCUUUUGUUGAGGUAGAGUUCCUACUAUACCUUCUAUAAUUUCAUGCGCAAUACUGGGAUCAAUUUCAAUAAAAUUGCCUUUGGCAACGCAAUCCAAAAGUUGUCUAUGAGACAUAUUUAGUCCAACAUAGAAGUUGCGAAGCAAAAUUCUAAAAUUCACCUCUAGGGUACAAUUACGAUAAGAUUCCAUCAUUAUAAACCAAGCAUCUUUUAAAUUUUUUACUUGCCUUUGUUUGAAGUGAAGAACCUCAAACUCGGGAGACAAAGGAGCAGAUAAGGGACUAGCCAUAACGACAAGCAAAUGGAAAAGAGGCGAACGGAAAAAGAGAGGGAGAAUAGAGAGAGAGGGCGAAUAAAACGGAAAGGGUGAAGUGGGGGAGAGGAAAACGAGAGGCAAAUGGAAAAUAAUGUAAUGCGGGAGAUAAGGAUUGUGAUGGGUACUUGGUAUAUUGCCUUUUGCGUAGACUCCCCGGCAACGGCGCCAGAAAUCCUUUUUCCUGCCUCUUUAGCACUACGUUGGUUUAUCCCCAAAGAGGAAGGGAUGAUGCAGCAAAGUAGCGUAAGUAUUUCCCUCAGUUUUUUCGAACCAAGGUAUCAGUCCAGUAGGAGGCUACGCGCGAGUCCCUCGUACCUGCACAAAACAAAUAAAUCCUCGCAACCAACGUGAUAAGGGGUUGUCAAUCCCUACACGGCCACUUACGAGAGUGAGAUCUGAUAGAUAUGAUAAGAUAAUAUUUUUUGUAUUUCUAUGAUAAAGAUGCAAAGUAAAAUGAAAGCAAAGUAAAAUGCAAAGGAAAUAACUAAGUAUUGGAAGAUUAAUAUGAUGAAGAUACACCUAGGGGCCAUAGGUUUCACUAGUGGCUUCUCUCAAGAGCAUACGUAUUCUACGGUGGGUGAACGAACUACUGUUGAGCAAUUGACAGAAUUGAGCAUAGUUAUGAGAAUAUCUAGGUAUGAUCAUGUAUAUAGGCAUCACGUCCGAGAGAAGUAGACCGACUCCUGCCUGCAUCUACUACUAUUACUCCACUCAUCGACCGCUAUCCAGCAUGCAUCUAGAGUAUUAAGUUAAUGAAAACAAAGUAACGCCUUAAGCAAGAUGACAUGAUGUAGAGGGAUAAACUCAUGCAAUAUGAUGAAAACCCCAUCUUGUUAUCCUCGAUGGCAACAAUACAAUACGUGCCUUGCUGCCCCUACUGUCACUGGGAAAGGACACCGCAAGAUUGAACCCAAAGCUAAGCACUUCUCCCAUUGCAAGAAAGAUCAAUCUAGUAGGCCAAACCAAACUGAUAAUUGAUGUCUACUACACAACCUUCUUCUUGUAGACGUUGUUGGGCCUCCAAGUGCAGAGGUUUGUAGGACAGUAGAAAAUUUCCCUCAAGUGGAUGACCUAAGGUUUAUCAAUCCAUAGGAGGCGUAGGAUGAAGAUGGUCUCUCUCAAGCAACCCUGCAACCAAAUAACAAAGAGUCUCUUAUGUCCCCAACACACCCAAUACAAUGGUAAAUUGUAUAGGUGCACUAGUUCGGCAAAGAGAUGGUGAUACAAGUGGUAUAUGGAUAGUAGAUAAUAGUAUUUGUAAUCUGAAAAUAUAAAAACAGCAAGGUAACAAAUGAUAAAGGUGAGCGUAAACGGUAUUGCAAUGAUGGUAAAUAAGGCCUAGGGUUCAUACUUUCGCUAGUGUAAGUUCUCUCAACAAUACUAACAUAAUUGGAUCACAUAACUAUCCCUCAACAUGCAACUAAGAGUCACUCCAAAGUCACUAAUAGCGGAGAACGAACGAAGAGAUUGUGGUAGGGUACGAAACCACAUCAAAGUUAUUCUUUCCAAUCAAUCCGUUGGGCUAUUCCUAUAGGUGUCACAAACAGCCCUAGAGUUCGUACUAGAAUAACACCUUAAGACACAAAUCAAUCAAAACCCUAAUGUCACCUAGAUACUCUAAUGUCACCUCAAGUAUCCGUGUGUAUGAUUAUACGAUAUGCAUCACACAAUCUCAAUUCAUCUAUUCAACCAACACAUAGAACCUCAAAGAGUGCCCCAAAGUUCCUACCGGAGAAUCACGACGAAAACGUGUGCCAACCCCUAUGCAUAGGUUCCCAAUGUCACGAAACCCGCAAGUUGAUCACCCUAACAUACAUCAAGUGGCACGUGGUAUCCCAUUGUCACCACAGAUAUCCACGGCAAGACAUACAUCAAGUGUUCUCAAGUCUUUAAAGACUCAAUCCGAUAAGAUAACUCCAAAGGGGAAACUCAAUUCAUUACAAGAGAGAAGAGGGGCAGGAGAAACAUAAGAUCCAACUAUAAUAGCAAAGCUUGCGAUACAUCAAGAUCGUGCCAAAUCAAGAACACGAGAGAGAGAGAGAGAUCAAACACAUAGCUACUGGCACAUACCCUCAGCCUCGAGGGAGAACUACUCCCUCCUCGUCAUGGAGAGCGCCGGGAUGAUGAAGAUGGCCACCGGUGAGGGUUCCCCCCUCUGGCAGGGUGCCGGAACGGGUCUAGAUUAGUUUUCGGUGGCUACGGAGGCUUCUGGCAGCGGAACUCCCGAUCUAUGUUGCGUUCUGGAAGUUCUAGGUCACGUAGGUAUAUAUGGGUGCAGGAGGUACGGCAGGGGACCCACGAGGGUCCCACGAGACAAGGGGUGCGCCCCCGAACCUCGUGAACACCUUGUUCCUUCCUUGACGUAGGGUCCAAGUCCAUCGAGUGUGUUUCCUUCCAAAAAUAACUUCUCUAGUUGAUUUCGUUCCGUUUCGACUCCGUCUGAUAUUCCUUUUCUUCAAAACACUGAAAUAGGCAUAAAAUAGCAAAUCUGGGCUGGGCCUUCGGUUAAUAGGUUAGUCCCAAAAAUAAUAUAAAAGUGGAUAAUAAAGCCCAAUAUUGCCCAAAAUAGUAGAUAAUAUAGCAUGGAGCAAUAAAAAAUUAUAGAUACGUUGGAGACGUAUCAAGCAUCCCCAAGCUUAAUUCCUGCUCGUCCUCGAGUAGGUAAAUGAUAAAAAAGAUUUUUUGAUGCGGAGUGCUACUUGGCAUAAUUUCAAUGUAAUUCUUCCUACUUGUGAUAUGAAUAUUCAGAUCCAUAAGAUUCAAGAAAAAAGUUCAUAUUGACAUGAAAACAAUAAUAAUUCAAGCAUACUAACUAAGCAAUUAUGUCUUCUCAAAAUAACAUGGCCAAAGAAAGCUAUCCCUACAAAAUCAUAUAGUCUGGCUAUGCUCCAUCUUCACCACACAAAAUAUUUAAAUCAUGCACAACCCCGAUGACAAGCCAAGCAAUUGUUUCAUACUUUUGAUGUUCUCAAACUUUUUCAAUCUUCACGCAAUACAUGAGCGUGAGCCAUGGAUAUAGCACUAUAGGUGGAAUAGAAUGGUGGUUGUGGAGAAGACAAAACGGGAGAAGAUAGUCUCACAUCAACUAGGCAUAUCAACAGGCUAUGGAGAUGCCCAUCAAUAGAUAUCAAUGUGAGUGAGUAGGGAUUGCCAUGCAACGGAUGCACUAGAGCUAUAAGUAUAUGAAAGCUCAAGAAAAGAAACUAGUGGGUGUGCAUCCAACUUGCUUGCUCACGAAGACCUAGGGCAUUUUGAGGAAGCCCAUCAUUGGAAUAUACAAGCCAAGUUCUAUAAUGUAAAAUUCCCACUAGUAUAUGAAAGUGACAACAUAUGAGACUCUCUAUAUGAAGAACAUGGUGCUACUUUGAAGCACAAUAUAUGAGACUUGCUAUAUCAUGGUGCUACUUUGAAGCACAAGUGUGGAAAAAGGAUAGUAGCAUUGCCCCUUUUUAUUUAUUUUCUCUUUUUUGGGGGGGCUUUUUUUUUUCUUUGGCCUUUCUCUUUUUUUAUUGGGACAAUGCUCUAUUGAAUGAUGAUCAUCACACUUCUAUUUAUUUACAAUUCAAUGAUUACAACUCGAUACUAGAACAAAGUAUGACUCUAUAUGAAUGCCUCCGGCGGUGUACCGGGAUAUGCAAUAAAUCAAGAGUGGCAUGUAUGAAAGAAUUAUGAAUGGUGUCUUUGCCACAAAUACUAUGUCAACUACAUGAUCAUGCUAAGCAAUAUGACAAUGAUGAAUGUGUCAUUAUGAACGGAAUGGUGGAAAGUUGCAUGGCAAUAUAUCUCGGAAUGGCUAUGGAAAUGCCAUAAUAGGUAGGUAUGGUGGCUGUUUUGAGGAAGGUAUAUGGUGGGUUUAUGGUACCGGCGAAAGUUGCACGGUACUAGAGAGGCUAGCAAUUGUGGAAGGGUGAGAGUGCGUAUAAGCCAUGGACUCAACAUUAGUCAUAAAGAACUCAUAUACUUAUUGCAAAAAUCUAUUAGUUAUCGAAGCAAAGUACUACGCGCAUGCUCCUAGGGGGAUAGAUUGGUAGGAAAAGACCAUCGCUCAUCCCCGACCGCCACUCAUAAGGAAGAUAAUCAAUAAAUAAAUCAUGCUCCGACUUCGUAACAUAACGGUUCACCAUACAUGCAUGCUAUGGGAAUCACAAACUUCAACACAAGUAUUUCUCAAAUUCAUAACCACUCAACUAGCAUGACUCUAGUAUCACCAUCUCCAUAUCUCAAAACAAUCAUCAAGCAUCAAACUUCUCUUAGUAUUCAACACACUCAUAAGAGAAUUUUUAUUAUUCUUGAAUACCUAGCAUAUUAGGAUUUUAAGCAAAUUACCAUGUUAUUUAAGACUCUCAAAAUAAUAUAAGUGAAGCAUGAGAGUUCAUCUAUUUCUUCAGAAUAAAACUACCACCAUGCUCUAAAACAUAUAAGUGAAGCACUAGAGCAAACAACAAACUACUCCAAAAGAUAUAAGUGAAGAUCAAUGAGUAGUUGAAUAAUUAUGCAACCAUGUGAAGACUCUCUAACAUUUAAUAAUUUCAGAUCUUGGUAUUAUAUUCAAACAGCAAGCAAAGCAAAAUAAAAUUACAUUCUAAGAAUGGAAACAUCAUGUGAAGAAGCAAAAACUUAGGAUCAACUGAUACUAACCGAUAAUUGUUGAAGAAGAAAGGUGGGAUGCCAACCGGGGCAUCCCCAAGCUUACACGCUUGAGAAUUCUUGAAAUAUUAUCUUGGGGUGCCUUGUGCAUCCCCAAUCUUGAGCUUUUGUGUCUCCUUAAUUCCUCUCAUAUCACGGUCUCCCUAAAUCUCAAAAGCUUGAUCCACAUAAAACUCAACAAGGACUCGUGAGAUAAGUUAGUAUAAACCAUUGCAAAAACCUUAUCAUACUCUACUGUAGCAAAUCACUAAAAUUAUUAUUCAACAUUGCAUACUAAAUGUAUCUGCAUAUUUAAUAGUCCUAUCCUCAAAUAGAAUCAUUAAAGAAGCAAACAUAUGCUAACAAUGCAAACAUAACAGCAAUCUGCCUAAACAGGAUAGUCUGUAAAGAAUGCUGCAACAUCCAUACUUCCCUAGCUCCAAAAAUUAUACAAUAAAAUUCCCACUGUAGUAAAUUUAUCAGAGCUUCAUAUGCAGAAGGUUUCAACACUUUAUCACAUUCUGACUUUUCUAGGGAAUUAUUGCAACAGCGGUAAACUUUCUGUUUUCAAACAGCAACAUGUAUACUUGUAACAUAGGCAUAUUAAAGGCUAUCAAUGCCACUUUUAUUGAAAUAAAAGAUGCAAAACAUUAUUCUAAAUAACAUAAAGCAAAUCCUAACAAAAUAAAUUGACGCUCCAAGCAAAACACAUAUCAUGUGGCGAAUAAAAAUAUGGCUCCAAGUAAAGUUACCGAUGAACGAAGUUUAAAGAGGGGAUGCCUUCCGGGGCAUCCCCAAGCUUAGGCUCUUGGUUGUCCUUGAAUAUUACCUUUAUUUUCCAUGGGCAUCCCCAAGCUUAGGCUCUUGCCACUCCUUAUUCCAUAGUCCAUCGAAUCCUUACCCAAAACUUGAAAACUUCACAACACAAAACUUAACAGAAAACUCGUAAGCUCCGUUAGUAUAAGAAAAUAAAUCACCACUUCAAGGUACUGUAAUGAACUCAUUAUUUAUUUAUAUUGGUUUUAAACCUACUGUAUUCCAACUUCUCUAUGGUUUAUAAACUAUUUUACUAGCCAUAGAUUCAUCAAAAUAAGUAAACAACACAUGAAACACAGAAUCUGUCAAAAACAGAAUAGUCUAUAGUAAUGUGGAUCAAACGUAUACUUCUGGAACUCAUAAAAUUCUCAACUAAAUUUCUGGACCUGAGGAAUUUAUCUAUUAAUCAUCUUCAAAAAUAAUUAACUAAAUAUCACUCUCCAAAUAAAAAUGGCAGCAAUUAUCGUGAGCGCUAAAGUUUCUGUUUUUUACAGCAUGAUCAACAAGACUUUCCGCAAGUCUUCCCAAAGGUUCUACUUGGCACAAACACUAAUUAAAACAAUAAAACCACAUCUAAACAGAGUCUCUAUGAAUUAUUUAUUACUAAACAGGAGCAAAAAUCAAGGAAUAAAAAUAAAAUUGGGUUGCCUCCCAACAAGCGCUAUCGUUUAACGCCCCUAGCUAGGCAUGAUGGUUUCAAUGAUGCUCAUAUAAGGAUAAGAAUUGAAACAUAAAGAGAGCAUCCUGAAGAAUAUGACUAGCACAUUUAAGCCUAACCCACUUCCUAUGCAUAGGGAUUUUGUGAGCAAACAAAUUGUGGGAAGAAUAAUCAACUACCAUAGGAAGGCAAAACAAGCAUAACUUCAAAACUUUAAGCACAUAGAGAGGAAACUUGAUAUUAUUGCAAUUCCUACAAGCAUAUAUUCCUCCCUCAUAAUAGUUUUUAGUAGCACCAUGAAUGAAUUCAACAAUAUAACCAGCACCUAAAGUAUUCUUUUCAUGAUCUACAAGCAUAGAAAAUUUACUACUCUCCACACAAGCAAAAUUCUUCUCAUGGAUAAUAGUGGGAGCAAACUCAACAAAAUAACUAUCAUGUGAUUGAAAAUUAAGAUCAAGAUGACAAGGUUCAAUGUUAUUAUCAUUCUUUAAAGCAUAAGUGUCAUCACAAUAAUCAUCAUAGAUAGGAGGCAUGCUUUCAUCAUAAUAAAUUUGCUCCUCAAAACUUGGGGGACAAAAAAUAUCAUCUUCAUCAAACAUAGCUUCCCCAAGCUUGUGGCUUUGCAUAUCAUUAGCAUUAUGGAUAUUCAAGGAAUUCAUACUAACAACAUUGCAAUCAUGCUCAUCAUUCAAAGAUUUAAUGCCAAACAUUUUAUAGAUUUCUUCUUCUAGCACUUGAGCACAAUUAUCCUUUCCAUCAUACUCACGAAAGAUAUUAAAAAGGUGAAGCGUAUGAGGUAGACUCAAUUCCAUUUUUUUAUAGUUUUCUUUUAUAAACUAAACUAGUGAUAAAACAAGAAACUAAAAGACUCGAUUGCAAGAUCUAAAGAUAUACCUUUAAGCACUCACCUCCCCGGCAACGGUGCCAGAAAAGAGCUUGAUGUCUACUACACAACCUUCUUCUUGUAGACGUUGUUGGGCCUCCAAGUGUAGACGUUUGUAGGACAGUAGCAAAUUUCCCUCAAGUGGAUGACCUAAGGUUUAUCAAUCUGUAGGAAGCGUAGGAUGAAGAUGGUCUCUCUCAAGCAACCCUGCAACCAAAUAACAAAGAGUCUCUUGUGUCCCCAACACACCCAAUACAAUGGUAAAUUGUAUAGGUGCACUAGUUCGGCGAAGAGAUGGUGAUACAAGUGGUAUAUGGAUAGUAGAUAAUAGUAUUUGUAAUCUGAAAAUAUAAAAACAGCAAGGUAACAAAUGAUAAAAGUGAGCGUAAACGGUAUUGCAAUGAUGGUAAAUAAGGCCUAGGGUUCAUACUUUUGCUAGUGUAAGUCCUCUCAACAAUACUAACAUAAUUGGAUCACAUAACUAUCCCUCAACAUGCAACUAAGAGUCACUCAAAAGUCACUAAUAGCGGAGAACGAACGAAGAGAUUAUGGUAGGGUAUGAAACCACCUCAAUGUUAUUCUUUCCAAUCAAUCCGUAGGGCUAUUCCUAUAGGUGUCACAAACAGCCCUAGAGUUCGUACUAGAAUAACACCUUAAGACACAAAUCAAUCAAAACCCUAAUGUCACCUAGAUACUCCAAUGUCACCUCAAGUAUCCGUGGGUAUGAUUAUACGAUAUGCAUCACACAAUCUCAAUUCAUCUAUUCAACCAACACAUAGAACCUCAAAGAGUGCCCCAAAGUUCCUACCGGAGAAUCACGAUGAAAACAUGUGCCAACCCCUAUGCAUAGGUUCCCAAUGUCACGAAACCCGCAAGUUGAUCACCCUAACAUACAUCAAGUGGCACGUGGUAUCCCAUUGUCACCACAGAUAUCCACGACAAGACAUACAUCAAGUGUUCUCAAGUCUUUAAAGACUCAAUCCGAUAAGAUAACUCCAAAGGGGAAACUCAAUUCAUUACAAGAGAGAAGAGGGGGAGGAGAAACAUAAGAUCCAACUAUAAUAGCAAAGCUCGCGAUACAUCAAGAUCGUGCCAAAUCAAGAACACGAGAGAGAGAGAGAGAUCAAACACAUAACUACUGGCACAUACCCUCAGCCUCGAGGGAGAACUACUCCCUCCUCGUCAUGGAGAGCGCCGGGAUGAUGAAGAUGGCCACCGGUGAGGGUUCCCCCCUCCGGCAGGGUGCCGGAACGGGUCUAGAUUGGUUUUCGGUGGCAACGGAGGCUUCUGGCGGCGGAACUCCCGAUCUAUGUUGCGUUCUGGAAGUUUUAGGUCAAGUAGGUAUAUAUGGGUGCAGGAUGUACGUCAGGGGAGCCACGAGGGUCCCACGAGACAGGGGGCGCGCCCUAGGGGCUCCCCCCACCCUCGUGAGCACCUCGUUCCUUCCUUGACGUAGGGUCCAAGUCCAUCGGGUGUGUUUCCUUCCAAAAAUAACUUCUCCAGUUGAUUUCGUUCCGUUUCGAAUCCGUCUGAUAUUCCUUUUCUUCAAAACACUGAAAUAGGCAUAAAACAGCAAAUCUGGGAUGGGCCUUCGGUUAAUAGGUGUUGGGGAACGUACUAAUUUCAAAAAAAUUCCUACGCACACUCAAGAUCAUGGUGAUGCAUAGCAACGAGAGGGGAGAGUGUGAUCUACGUACCCUUGUAGACCGACAGCGAAAGCGUUAGCACAACGCAGUUGAUGUAGUCGUACGUCUUCACGGCCCGACCGAUCAAGCACCGAAACUACGGCACCUCCGAGUUCUAGCACACGUUCAUCUCGAUGACGAUCCCCGGACUCCGAUCCAGCAAAGUGUCGGAGAAGAGUUCCGUCAGCACGACGGUGUGGUGACGAUCUUGAUGUACUACCAUUGCAGGGCUUCGCCUAAGCACCGCUACAAUAUUAUCGAGGACUAUGGUGGAAGGGGGCACCGCACACGGUUAAGAAUAUGAUCACGUGGAUCAACUUGUGUAUCUAGGGGUGCCCCCUGCCCCCGUAUAUAAAGGAUCAAGGGGGGGUGCGGCCGGCCAGGAGAAGUGCGCGCCAGGAGGAGUCCUACUCCCACCGGGAGUAGGAUUCCCCCCUUUCCUAGUUGGAAUAGGAUUCGGGAGGGGAAAGAGGAGAGAGAGAAGGAAGGGGGAGCGCCGCCCCCCUCUCCUUGUCCUAUUCGGACUAGGGGGGGAGGGGCGUGCGGCCCAGCCCUGGCCACCUCUCCUCUAUUCCACUAAAGCCCACUAAGGCCCAUAUACCUCCCGGGGGGGUUCCGGUAACCUCCCAGUACUCCGGUAAAAUCCCGAUUUCACCCGGAACACUUUCGAUAUCCAAAUAUAGGCUUCCAAUAUAUCAAUCUUUAUGUCUUGACCAUUUCGAGACUCCUCGUCAUGUCCGUGAUCACAUCCGGGACUCCGAACAACCUUCAGUACAUCAAAAUGCAUAAACUCAUAAUAUAAAUGUCAUCGAAACCUUAAGCGUGCGGACCCUGCGGGUUCGAGAAUAAUGUAGACAUGACCGAGACACGUCUCCGGUCAAUAACCAAUAGCGGAACCUAGAUGCUCAUAUUGGCUCCUACAUAUUCUACGAAGAUCUUUUAUCGGUCUGACCGCAUAACAACAUACGUUGUUCCCUUUGUCAUCGGUAUGUUACUUGCCCGAGAUUCGAUCGUCGGUAUCUCAAUACCUAGUUCAAUCUCUUUACCGGCAAGUCUCUUUACUCGUUCUAUAAUACAUCAUCUCACAACUAACUCAUUAGUUGCAAUGCUUGCAAGGCUUAUGUGAUGUGCAUUAUCGAGAGGGCUCAGAGAUACCUCUCCGACAAUCAGAGUGACAAAUCCUAAUCUCAAAAUACGCCAACCCAACAUGUACCUUUGGACACACCUGUAGAGCACCUUUAUAAUCACCCAGUUACGUUGUGACGUUUGGUAGCACACAAAGUGUUCCUCCGGCAAACGGGAGUUGCAUAAUCUCAUAGUCAUAGGAACAUGUAUAAGUCAUGAAGAAAGCAAUAGCAACAUACUAAACGAUCGGGUGCUAAGCUAAUGGAAUGGGUCAUGUCAAUCAGAUCAUUCAUCUAAUGAUGUGAUCCCGUUAAUCAAAUAACAACUCUUUGUCCAUGGUUAGGAAACAUAACCAUCUUUGAUUAACGAGCUAGUCAAGUAGAGGCAUACUAGUGACACUCUGUUUGUCUAUGUAUUCACACAUGUAUUAUGUUUCCGGUUAAUACAAUUCUAGCAUGAAUAAUAAACAUUUAUCAUGAUAUAAGGAAAUAAAUAAUAACUUUAUUAUUGCCUCUAGGGCAUAUUUCCUUCAGUCUCCCACUUGCACUAGAGUCAAUAAUCUAGAUUACACAGUAAUGAUUCUAACACCCAUGGAGCCUUGGUGCUGAUCAUGUUUUGCUCGUGGAAGAGGCUUAGUCAACGGGUCUGCUACAUGCAGAUCCGUAUGUAUCUUGCGAAUCUCUAUUUCUCCCACCUGGACUAGAUCCCAGAUGGAAUUGAAGCGUCUCUUGAUGUGGUUGGUUCUCUUGUGAAAUCUGGAUUCCUUUGCCAAGGCAAUUGCACCAGUAUUGUCACAAAAGAUUUUCAUUGCACCCGAUGCACUAGGUAUGACACCUAGAUCGGAUAUGAACUGCUUCAUCCAGACUCCUUCAUUUGUUGCUUCUGAAGCAGCAAUGUAUUCCGCUUCACAUGUAGAUCCCGCCACGACGCUUUGUUUAGAACUGCACCAACUGACAGCUCCACCGUUUAAUGUAAACACGUAUCCGGUUUGCGAUUUAGAAUCGUCUGGAUCAGUGGCAAAGCUCGCAUCAAUGUAACCAUUUACGAUGAGCUCUUUGUCACCUCCAUAAACGAGAAACAUAUCCUUAGUCCUUUUCAGGUAUUUUAGGAUGUUCUUGACCGCUGUCCAGUGAUCCACUCCCGGAUUACUUUGGUACCUCCCUGCUAGACUUAUAGCAAGGCACACAUCAGGUCUGGUACACAGCAUUGCAUACAUGAUAGAGCCUAUGGCUGAAGCAUAGGGAACAUCUUUCAUUUUCUCUCUAUCUUCUGCAGUGGUCGGGCAUUAAGUCUUACUCAACUUCACACCUUGUAACACAGGCAAGAACCCUUUCUUUGCUUGAUCCAUUUUGAUCUUCUUCAAAACUUUGUCAAGGUAUGUGCUUUGUGAAAGUCCAAUUAAGCGUCUUGAUCUAUCUCUAUAGCUCUUAAUGCCUAAUAUGUCAGCAGCUUCACCGAGGUCUUUCAUUGAAAAACUCUUAUUCAAGUAUCCCUUUAUGCUAUCCAGAAAUUCUAUAUCAUUUCCAAUUAGUAAUAUGUCAUCCACAUAUGAUAUCAGAAAUGCUACAGAGCUCCCACUCACUUUCUUGUAAAUACAGGCUUCUCCAAAAGUCUGUAUAAAACCAAAUGCUUUGAUCACACUAUCAAAGCGUUUAUUCCAACUCCGAGAGGCUUGCACCAGUCCAUAAAUGAAUCGCUGGAGCUUGCACACUUUGUUAGCUCCCUUUGGAUCGACAAAACCUUCUGGUUGCAUCAUAUACAACUCUUCUUCCAGAAAUCCAUUCAGGAAUGCAGUUUUGACAACCAUGUGCCAAAUUUCAUAAUCAUAAAAUGCGGCAAUUGCUAACAUGAUUCGGACAGACUUAAGCAUCGCUAUGGGUGAGAAGGUCUCAUCGUAGUCAAUCCCUUGAACUUGCCGAAAACCUUUUGCGACAAGUCGAGCUUUGUAGACAGUAAUAUUACCGUCAGCGUCAGUCUUCUUCUUGAAGAUCCAUUUAUUCUCAAUUGCUUGCCAAUCAUUGGCAAGUCAACCAAAGUCCAUACUUUGUUCUCAUACAUGGAUCCCAUCUCAGAUUUCAUGGCUUCAAGUCAUUUUGCGGAAUCUGGGCUCACCAUCACUUCUUCAUAGUUUGUAGGUUCAUCAUGAUCUAGUAGCAUGACUUCUAGAACAGGAUUACCAUACCACUCUGGCGCGGAUCUCACUCUGGUUGAUCUAUGAGGUUCAAUAGUAUCUUGUUCUGAAGUUUCAUGAUCAUUAUCAUUAGCUUCCUCACUAAUUGGUGUAGGUGUCACAGAAACAGGUUUCUGUGAUGUACUACUUUCCAAUAAGGGAGUAGGUACAGUUACGUCGUCAAGUUCUACUUUCCUCCCACUCACUUCUUUCGACAGAAACUCCUUCUCCAGAAAGUUUCCGAAUUUAGCGACAAAAGUAUUGCCUUCGGAUCUGUGAUAGAAGGUGUAUCCAAUAGUUUCCUUUGGAUAUCCUAUGAAGACACAUUUCUCCGAUUUGGGUUCGAGCUUAUCAGGUUGAAGCUUUUUCACAUAAGCAUCACAACCCCAAACUUUCAGAAACGACAACUUUGGUUUCUUGCCAAACCACAGUUCAUAAGGCGUCGUCUCAACAGAUUUUGAUGGUGCCCUAUUUAACAAGAAUGCGGCCGUCUCUAGAGCGUAUCCCCAAAAACGAUAGCGGUAAAUCAAUAAGAGACAUCAUAGAUCGCACCAUAUCUAGUAAAGUACGAUUACGAUGUUCGGACACACCAUUACGCUGUGGUGUUCCGGGUGGCGUGAGUUGCGAAACUAUUCCACAUUGUUUCAAAUGUACACCAAACUCGUAACUCAAAUAUUCUCCUCCACGAUCAGAUCAUAGGAAUUUUAUUUUCUUGUUACGAUGAUUUUCAACUUCACUCUGAAAUUCUUUGAACUUUUCAAAUGUUUCAGACUUGUGUUUCAUUAAGUAGAUAUACCCAUAUCUGCUUAAGUCAUCUGUGAAGGUGAGAAAAUAACGAUAUCCGCCACGAGCCUCAACAUUCAUUGGACCACAUACAUCUGUAUGUAUGAUUUCCAACAAAUCUGUUGCUCUCUCCAUAGUACCGGAGAACAGUGUUUUUGUCAUCUUACCCAUAAGGCACGGUUUGCAAAUACCAAGUGAUUCAUAAUCAAGUGGUUCCAAAAGCCCAUCAGUAUGGAGUUUCUUCAUGCGCUUUAUACCGAUAUGACCCAAACGGCAGUGCCACAAAUAAGUUGCACUAUCAUUAUCAACUCUGCAUCUUUUGGCUUCAACAGUAUGAAUAUGUGUGUCACAACUAUCGAGAUUUAAUAAGAAUAGACCACUCCUUAAGGGUGCAUGACCAUAAAAGAUAUUACUCAUGUAAAUAGAACAACCAUUAUUCUCUUAUUUAAAUGAAUAACCGUCUCACAUCAAACAAGAUCCAGAUAUAAUGUUCAUGCUUAACGCUGGCACCAAAUAACAAUUAUUUAGGUCUAAUACUAAUCCCGAAGGUAGAUGUAGAGGUAGCAUGCCGACUGCGAUCACAUCGACUUUGGAACCAUUUCCCAUGCGCAUCGUCACCUCGUCCUUAGCCAAUCUUCGCUUAAUCCGUAGUCCCUAUUUCGAGUUGCAAAUAUUAGCAACAGAACCAGUAUCAAAUACCCAGGUGCUACUGCGAGCAUUAGUAAGGUACACAUUAAUAACAUGUAUAUCUCAUAUACCUUUGUUCACCUUGCCAUCCUUCUUAUCCGCCAAAUACUUGGGGCAGUUCCGCUUCCAGUGACCAGUCUGCUUGCAGUAGAAGCACUUAGUUUCAGGCUUAGGUCCAGGUUUGGGUUUCUUCUCUUGAGUAGCAACUUGCUUGCUGUUCCUUUUGAAGUUCCCCUUCUUCUUCCCUUUGCCCUUUUUCUUGAAACUAGUGGUCUUGUUGACCAUCAACACUUGAUGCUCCUUCUUGAUUUCUACCUCCGCAGCUUUCAGCAUUGCGAAGAGCUCGGGAAUAGUCUUAUUCAUCCCUUGCAUAUUAUAGUUCAUCACGAAGCUCUUGUAGCUUGGUGGCAGUGAUUGGAGAAUUCUGUCAAUGACGCAAUCAUCUGGAAGAUUAACUCCCAAUUGAAUCAAGUGAUUAUUAUACCCAGACAUUUUGAGUAUAUGCUCACUGACAGAACUGUUCUCCUCCAUCUUGCAGCUAUAAAACUUAUUGGAGACUUCAUAUCUCUCAAUCCGGGGAUUUGCUUGAAAUAUUAACUUCAACUCCUGGAACAUCUCAUAUGCUCCAUGAUGUUCAAAACAUCGUUGAAGUCCCGAUUCUAAGCCGUAAAGCAUGGCCCACUGAACUAUCGAGUAGUCAUCAGCUUUGCUCUGCCAGACGUUCAUAACAUCUGGUGUUGCUCCAGCAGCAGGCCUGGCACCCAGCGGUGCUUCCAGGAUAAUUCUUCUAUGCAGCAAUGAGGAUAAUCCUCAAGUUACGGACCCAGUCCAUGUAAUUGCUACCAUCAUCUUUCAACUUUGCUUUCUCAAGGAACGCAUUAAAAUUCAAUGGAACAACAGCACGGGCCAUCUAUCUACAAUCAAACAUAAAUAAGCAAGAUACUAUCAGGUACUAAGUUCAUGAUAAAUUUAGGUUCAAUUAAUCAUAUUACUUAAAGAACUCCCACUUAGAUAGACAUCCCUCUAAUCCUCUAAGUGAUUACGUGAUCCAAAUCAACUAAACCAUGUCCGAUCAUCACGUGAGAUGGAGUAGUUUCAUUGGUGAACAUCACUAUGUUGAUCAUAUCUACUAUAUGAUUCAGGCUCGACCUUUCGGUCUCCGUGUUCCGAGGCCAUAUCUGUAUAUGCUUGGCUCGUCAAGUAUAACCUGAGUAUUCUGCGUGUGCAACUGUUUUGCACCCGUUGUAUUUGAAUGUAGAGCCUAUCACACCCGAUCAUCACGUGGUGUCUCAGCACGAAGAACUUUCGCAACGGUGCAUACUCAGGGAGAACACUUCUUGAUAAUUAGUGAGAGAUCAUCUUAUAAUGCUACCGUCAAUCAAAGCAAGAUAAGAUGCAUAAAAGAUAAACAUCACGUGCAAUCAAUAUAAGUGAUAUGAUAUGGCCAUCAUCUUGUGCUUGUGAUCUCCAUCUUCGAAGCACCGUCGUGAUCACCAUCGUCACCAGCGUGACACCUUGAUCUCCAUCGUAGCAUCGUUGUCGUCUCGCUAAUCUUAUGCUUCCACAACUAUCGCUACCGCUUAGUGAUAAAGUAAAGCAUUACAGCGCGAUUGCAUUGCAUACAAUAAAGCGACAACCAUAUGGCUCCUGCCAGUUGCCGAUAACUCGGUUACAAAACAUGAUCAUCUCAUACAAUAAAAUUUAGCAUCAUGUCUUGACCAUAUCACAUCACAACAUGCCCUGCAAAAACAAGUUAGACGUCCUCUACUUUGUUGUUGCAAGUUUUACGUGGCUGCUACGGGCUUAAGCAAGAACCAAUCUUACCUACGCAUCAAAACCACAAUGAUAGUUUGUCAAGUUGGUGCUGUUUUAACCUUCGCAAGGACCGGGCGUAGCCACACUUGGUUCAACUAAAGUUGGAGAAACUGUCACCCGCUAGCCACCUUUGUGCAAAGCACGUCGGGAGAACCGGUCUCGCGUAAGCGUACGCAUAAUGUCGGUCCGGGCCGCUUCGUCCAACAAUACCGCCGAACCAAAGUAUGACAUGCUGGUAAGCAGUAUGACUUAUAUCGCCCACAACUCACUUGUGUUCUACUCGUGCAUAUAACAUCAACACAUAAAACCUAGGCUCGGAUGCCAUUGUUGGGGAACGUAGUAAUUUCAAAAAAAAAUCCUACGCACACGCAAGAUCAUGGUGAUGCAUAGCAAUGAGAGGGGAGAGUGUGAUCUACGUACCCUUGUAGACCGACAGCGGAAGCGUUAGCACAACGUGGUUGAUGUAGUCGUACGUCUUCAUGGCCUGACCGAUCAAGCACCGAAACUACGGCACCUCCGAGUUCUAGCACACGUUCAGCUCGAUGACGAUCCCCGGACUCUGAUCCAGCAAAGUGUCGGAGAAGAGUUCCGUCAGCACGACGGUGUGGUGACUAUCUUGAUGUACUACCGUUGCAAGGCUUCGCCUAAGCACCGCUACAAUAUUAUCGAGGACUAUGGUGGAAGGGGGCACCGCACACUGUUAAGAAUAUGAUCACGUGGAUCAACUUGUGUAUCUAGGGGUGCCCCUGCCCCCGUAUAUAAAGGAUCAAGGGGGGGUGCGGCCGGCCAGGAGGAGGGCGCGCCAGGAGGAGUCCUACUCCCACCGGGAGUAGGAUUCCCCCCUUUCCUAGUUGGAAUAGGAUUCGGGAGGGGAAAGAGGAGAGAGAGAAGGAAGGGGGGCGCCGCCCCCCUCUCCUUGUCCUAUUCGGACUAGGGGGAGGGGCACACGGCCUAGCCUUGGCCACCUCUCCUCUAUUCCACUAAAUCCCACUAAGGCCCAUAUACCUCCCGGGGGGGAGGGUUCCGGUAACCUCCCGGUACUCCGAUAAAAUCCCGAUUUCACCCGGAACACUUCCGAUAUUCAAAUAUAGGCUUCCAAUAUAUCAAUCUUUAUGUCUCGACCAUUUCGAGACUCCUCGUCAUGUCCGUGAUCACAUCCGGGACUCCGAACAAUCUUCGGUACAUCAAAAUGCAUAAACUCAUAAUAUAAUUGCCAUCGAAACCUUAAGCGUGCGGACCCUACGGGUUCGAGAACAAUGUAGACAUGACCGAGACAUGUCUCCGGUCAAUAACCAAUAGCGGAACCUGGAUGCUCAUAUUGGCUCCUACAUAUUCUAUGAAGAUCUUUUAUCGGUCAGACCGCAUAACAACAUACGUUGUUCCCUUUGUCAUCGGUAUGUUACUUGCCCGAGAUUCGAUCGUCGGUAUCUCAAUACCUAGUUCAAUCUCGUUACCGGCAAGUCUCUUUACUCGUUCUAUAAUACAUCAUCUCAUAACUAACUCAUUAGUUGCAAUGCUUGCAAGGCUUAUGUGAUGUGCAUUACCGAGAGGGCUCAGAGAUACCUCUCCGACAAUCAGAGUGACAAAUCCUAAUCUCGAAAUACGCCAACCCAACAUGUACCUUUGGACACACCUGUAGAGCACCUUUAUAAUCACCCAGUUACGUUGUGACGUUUGGUAGCACACAAAGUGUUCCUCCGGCAAACGGGAGUUGCAUAAUCUCAUAGUCAUAGGAACAUGUAUAAGUCAUGAAGAAAGCAAUAGCAACAUACUAAACGAUCGGGUGCUAAGCUAAUGGAAUGGGUCAUGUCAAUCAGAUCAUUCAUCUAAUGAUGUGAUCCCGUUAAUCAAAUAACAACUCUUUGUCCAUGGUUAGGAAACAUAACCAUCUUUGAUUAACGAGCUAGUCAAGUAGAGGCAUACUAGUGACACUCUGUUUGUCUAUGUAUUCACACAUGUAUUAUGUUUCCGGUUAAUACAAUUCUAGCAUGAAUAAUAAACAUUUAUCAUGAUAUAAGGAAAUAAAUAAUAACUUUAUUAUUGCCUCUAGGGCAUAUUUCCUUCAAUAGGUUAGUCCCAAAAAUAAUAUAAAAGUGGAUAAUAAAGCCCAAUAUUGCCCAAAACAGUAGAUAAUAUAGCAUGGAGUAAUCAAAAAUUAUAGAUACGUUGGAUACGUAUCAAUAAUUCGAAGAGACUUGCAAAGAUAACCAAUCAUACAUAAAAGAAUUCAGAGAAGAUGCAAAUAUUGUUCAUAGAUAGACUUGAGUCAUAAACCCACAAUUCAUCGGUCUCAUCAAACACACCGCAAAAAGAAGAUUACAUCGAAUAGAUCUCCACAAGAGAGGGGGAGAACAUUGUAUUGAGAUCCAAAAAGAGAGAAGAAGCCAUCUAGCUAAUAACUAUGGACCCGUAGGUCUGAGGUAAACUACUCACACUUCAUCGGAAGGGCUAUGGUGAUGAUGUAGAAGCCCUCUGUGAUGGAUACCCCCUCCGGCGGAGCUCCAGAACAGGCCCCAAGAUGGGAUCUCGUGGAUACAGAAAGUUGCGGCGGUGGAAGUAGGGGUUUGGCUCCGUAUCUGAUUGUUUGGGGUACGUAGGUAUAUAUAGGAGGAAGGAGUACGUCGGUGGAGCAACAGGGGGCCCACGAGGAUGGAGGGCGCGCUUAGGGGGUAGGCGCGCCCCCUACCUCGUGGCCUCCUCCUUUGUUUCUUGACAUAGGGUCCAAGUCUCCUGGAUCAUGUUCGGCGAGAAAAUCAUGUUCCCGAAGGUUUCGUUCCGUUUGGACUCCGUUUGAUAUUCCUUUUCUUCGAAACCCUAAAAUAGGCAAAAAAAACAGCAAUUCUAGGUUGGGCCUCCGGUUAAUAGGUUGGUCCCAAAAAUAAUAUAAAAGUGGAUAAUAAAGCCCAAUAAUGUCCAAAACGGUAGAUAAUAUAGCAUGGAGCAAUCAAAAAUUAUAGAUACGUUGGAGACGUAUCACGUACGUUUAGUACUUGAUCGAUACGAAUCGUGAAGGUGUACGACUAAAUCAACAGCAUUGAUAAACGCUUCCGCUUACGGUCUACGAGGGUACGUAGACGACACUCUCCCCUCUCGUUGAUAUGCAUCACCAUGAUCCUACGUGUGCAUAGGAAAUUGUUUGAAAUUACUAUGUUCCCCAACAGGGCCAGGCCAAGAGAGGCGCGCGAGCGCCCUGGGAGAGGCUUCGAGGAGCCCGCGUCACCGGCGGAGGGAGGAACGGCCGGGGGUACCUGCUGAAACGAAAACACAUGCUCAUCAAAGUAAACGUGCCGGGAAGUGAACACACGGUGGAAGACGAGAUCGUAGCACCGAUAUCCCUUGGAGUUAGAGGGGUAGACGAUGAAGAUGCAAGCGACGGAACGAGGUGCGAGUUUGUGAGGAGCGGAGUCGGCAGUGCUAGGAUAGCAAAGGCACCCGAAAAUACGCAAGCCAUCAUAACAUGGGGGCGUACCGAAGAGAAGAUGGUGAGGUGCAUAGUUCCAUCGUGGGCGACAGGGGCGAAGCUUAAGGAGAAGUGAAGCAGUGGCGAGUGCGUCCGGCCAGAAACGAGGUGGCACAUUAGCAUGGAACAUGAGCGUGCGAACGCAACCAUUCAGAGUGCGAAGGACGCGUUCGGCUCUACCGUUCUGCUGUGAAGUAUACGGGCAUGUGAGAUGAAAGACUGUGCCGUGGUGCGACAGAAAAGUGCUGAAAGCAAGGUUGUCGAACUCUUUUUCAUUGUCAGUCUGAAGAGCAAGGAUGGGACACCCAAACUGCGUGCUAACAUAGGAGUAAAAAGCCGUCAAAAUGGAGAGUGCAUCUGACUUUCGUCGUAAAGGAAACGUCCACACAUUGUGAGAAUAAUCAUCAAGGAUAACCAGAUAAUAUAAAUAGCCCGAAUUACUGGGAAUCGGAGAGGUCCACACAUCACUAUGAAUCAAGUGAAAAGGAAAAGAAGCUAUGGUGGUCGAGUUAUUAAACGGGAGGCGAACAUGUUUGCCGACACGACAGGCAUGACAGGUGGGAUCCUCUAUAUUAUUACAAUUUAAGCUGAAAGUCCUAAGAAUAUGACGAAGUGUGACGGGGUUGGGAUAAACCAAAUGAACGUGCCAGAGAUCAAUGCCAGUGGAGAGAGCAACCGAUGCGGUGGUGGAGGUGGACGGCGGAUGCACCGGAUAGAGCUCAUCGAGGCUGUCACAUCGGUGAAGUACCAUCCUGGUUCGAGCGUCCUUGACACAAAAACCAAGCUCGUAAAAUUCAACAGUAACAAGAUUUUCACGAGUUAAACAACAAGCGGAAAUAAGGUUCUUAAUAAGAUGAGGUGACACAAAUAUGUUAGACAAAGUAAUAGGCAUGGAACUGGAAGGAAAAGAAGUGUGCCCGACAUGUGUGAUAGGGAGUGUGGAACCCUCGCCGACAAUGAUGCGGCGGUCGGUGGUGACGGGAGUGUAGGGGGCAAGAUUACCAGGAUGAGCAAACAUGUGAGCCGUAGCCCCGGUGUCCAUGUACCAAUCACCGCCUCCAGUGUAGUUGUUCGGCAUAGGCGCGGUGUGCAGCGCGGCGAGAAGCGUCGGAUCCCAAGGCGCCGGUGGCAGGGCCGGUGAGGGCAGAGGUGGGGCCGCAGGGAGACCGUAGGCGCCGCUCAGCUGCGGUGGUGGGUAUCCUCCAUACGUCUGCGGAGCCGCGUAGUACGCCUGGUGCGCCGGUGGGCGCGACACGGAAAGGGUCAGUGCAGGAGCCCGUGGAACCGGCAUGGUGUACGCAUGAACAACGUCGGUCCAUGGGUUGUAGCCGGAGGCCCACGAAGGGGCACCUGCUGCUGAUGGGGCGGGUCGGUGCCCUGCGACUGCUGCUGUUGACCGCCGCGGUGGCCCCCACCGUGCUAGCCCCCACGGCGUCGUUCGACGAGAGGGCGGGCGGUUCAUUGAUACGUCUCCAAUGUAUCUAUAAUUUUUAAUUGUUCCAUGCUAUUAUAUUAUCAACCUUGGAUAUUUUAUAUGAAUUUAUAUGCUAUUUUAUAUGAUUUUUGGGACUAACCUAUUAACCUAGAGCCCAGUGCCACUUUCUGUUUUUUCCUUGUUUUUGAGUAUUGCACAAAAGGAAAAACCAAAUGGAGUCCAAUUGACCUGAAAUUUCACGGAGAUCAUUUUUCGACCAGAAGAAGCCCAUGGAGUAUCGAAGAUGGGCCAGAAGAGUCCCGAGGCCACCACAAGGGUGGGGGACGCGCCCUACCCCCCUGUGCGCGCCCCCCUACCUCGUGGCCGCCUCGGGGACCCCCCUGACUUGUUCCCGACUCCAACACCUCUUAUAUAACCCCAAACUUCUAGAAAGAAACCUAGAUCGGGAGUUCCGCCGCCGCAAGCCUCUGUACCCAUCGAAAACCAAUCUAGACCCGUUUCGGCACCCUGUCAAAGGGGGGAUCCCUCUCCGGUGGCCAUCUUCAUCAUCCCGGCGCUCUUCAUGACGAGGAUGGAGUAGUUCUCCCUCGGGGCUGAGGGUAUGUACCAGUAGCUAUGUGUUUGAUCUCUCUCUCUCUCUCUCGUGUUCUUGAUUCGGCACGAUCUUGAUGUAUCGCGAGCUUUGCUAUUAUAGUUAGAUCUUAUGAUGUUUCUCCCCUCUACUCUCUUGUAAUGGGUUGAGUUUUCCCUUUGAAGUUAUCUUAUCGGAUUGAGUCUUUAAGGAUUUGAGAACACUUGACGUAUGUCUUGCAUGUGCUUAUCUGUGGUGACAAUGGGAUAUCACGUGAUCCACUUGAUGUAUGUUUUGGUGAUCAACUUGUGAGUUCCGUGACCUCGUGAACUUAUGCAUAGGGGUUGGCACACGUUUUCGUCUUGACUCUUCGGUAGAAACUUUGGGGCACUCUUUGAAGUCCUUUGUGUUGGUUGAAUAGAUGAAUCUGAGAUUGUGUGAUGCAUAUUGUAUAACCAUACCCACGGAUACUUGAGGUGACAUUGGAGUGUCUAGGUGACAUUAGGGUUUUGGUUGAUUUGUGUCUUAAGGUGUCAUUCUAGUACGAACUCUACGAUAGAUUGAACGGACAGAAUAGCUUCGUGUUAUUUUACUACGGACUCUUGAAUAGAUCGAUCAGAAAGAAUAACUUUGAGGUGGUUUCGUACCCUACAAUAAUCUCUUCGUUUGUUCUCCGCUAUUAGUGACUUUGGAGUGACUCUUUGUUGCAUGUUGAGGGAUAGUUAUAUGAUCCAAUUAUGUUAUUAUUGUUGAGAGAACUUGCACUAGUGAAAGUAUGAACCCUAGGCCUUGUUUCAACGCAUUGCAAUACCGUUUGUGCUCACUUUUAUCAUUUGUUACCUUGAUGUUUUUAUAUUUUCAGAUUACAAAAACCUAUAUCUACCAUCCAUAUUGCACGUGUAUCACCAUCUCUUCGCCGAACUAGUGCACCUAUACAAUUUACCAUUGUAUUGGGUGUGUUGGGGACACAAGAGACUCUUUGUAAUUUGGUUGCAGGGUUGCUUGAGAGAGACCAUCUUCAUCCUACGCCUCCCAUGGAUUGAUAAACCUUAGGUCAUCCACUUGAGGGAAAUGUGCUACUGUCCUACAAACCUCUGCACUUGGAGGCCCAACAACGUCUACAAGAAGAAGGUUGUGUAGUAGACAGCAAGCACUUUUCUGGCGCCGUUGCCGGGGAGGCGAGUGCUUGAAGGUAUAUCUUUAGAUCUUGCAAUCGAAUCUUUUAGUUUCUUGUUUUAUCACUAGUUUAGUCUAUAAAAGAAAACUACAAAAAAUGGAAUUAAGGGUACCUCAUAUGCUUCAUCUUUUUAAUAUCUUUCAUGGAAAUAAGGAUUCUGAUAAUUGUGCCAAAAUGCUAGAAGAAGAAUGUAUUAAAAUGUUUGGCACUAAAUCUUUGGAUGAUGAGCAUGAUUGCAAUGUUGUUAGUAUGAAUUCUUUGAAUAUCCAUAGUACUAAUGUUGAUUGCACUAGUCAUGAUGAAAAUGUCUCUUAUAAGCAUGUCAAUUUUUGUGGAGUGCAUAGGGUUUGCAAGUACACACAAAAUAGGGAAGAUUUAUUUUGCAAGAGGCAUAAGUAUUUAGAAACUAAAUGGUUGCAAGAAAGGCUAGAUGUUUGUGCUGAAAAUUUAAAUUUUCUUAGUCAUCCUUGUGAACUUUGCAAUGAACAUGGUCAUUUAAAUAUCCAAUGCCAAUUGUUUCAUGAUCGAAUCGUGUCCAAAAUUGUGAUGACUUGAUUUCCCUUGCACAUCAUAAUGAACUUAGUUUGCUUCUCGGUUAUGAAGAAAUGAAACGUAUAACUAAGGAUAUUCCAGAAUUUGCCCUUGACAAAGUUCUUGAUUUUGAUCUAGAGAAAUUUAUAUGUUUUGUGCGGUAAAUUGCAUUGAAAAUCCUUGUAUUGCCAAUUACAUAAAGACAGAAAAACAAAUAGAAUAUGAAGAUAAUACUAAUGAAAGGGAAGAGACUUCCAAAUAUCCUCCUAUUAUUUCUUAUGAUGAAUCAGGUAAUGAGGAGGAGCCUUCUAUUCAACCAAUCUCAUUAAUAAGGAGCUCCGAAAAGAGGAUUAAACCCACACAUGAUGUGAAUAAGAGAAAGAAAAGACGGAGAAGCAAAGGUAAAAAUGUAUCCCUCCCAAAUGACGUUGCUCCUAUUACUCAUUGUGAUGAUGAUAAUUGUUAUACUAUUGAUGCUAUCCAUACUAUCAAUGAUGAGAGUGAUUAUGCUUAUGAUAUGAAAAGGCCCAAGCUUGGGGAUGCUAUGUUUGAUGACAAUGACAUGUUUGAGAAUGUAUUUGGUGCAAUUAAUGUUUGUCCCAAGCUUGGGGAUGCUAUGUUUAAUGAACAUGAUAUUUUUAGUCUCUCAAGUUUUGAUGAGCAAAUUUAUUAUGAUGAUAGCAUGCCUCCUAUUUAUGAUGAUUAUUGUGAUGACACUUAUGCUAUAAAAAGUAGUGAUGAUUAUAUUUAUAAAACUUGUCAUGAUUAUGAUUACCAUUUUUCUGAACAUUGCUCUUUUAAUGUGGAAACAAUUUAUAGUAUUCGAGUUUCUUAUGAUACUCCCACUAUCCUGAACGAGAAGAAUUUUGCUUAUUUGGAGAGUAGUAAAAUUUCUAUGCUUGUAGAUCAUGAAAAGAAUGCUUUAUGUGAUGGUUAUAUUGUUGAAUUUGAUUAUGAUCCUACAUGUAAUUAUUAUGAGAGAGGAAAAUAUGGUUGUAUAAAUUUUCUUGUUACAAAAUUACCUCUCGUUAGGUUGAGAUUGUUAUUGUUUAUUUCUUCUUCCUUGCAUAUGGUGGUUUCUGCUUGUCUUAAUAAUUUGUUUGCUUACAAAAUCCCUAUGCAUAGGAAGUGGGUUAGACUUAAAUGUGCUAGUCAUAUUCUUCAUGAUAAUCUCUUUAUGUUACAAUUCUUAUCUUUUAUGUGAGCAUCAUUGAAAUCAUCAUGCCUAGCUAGGGGCAUUAAACGAUAGCGCUUGUUGAGAGGCAACCCAAGUUUAUUUUUGUUCUCUGCUUUUUGUUACUGUUUAGUAAUAAAUAAUUCAUCUAUCCUUUGUUAUGAUUGUGUUUUUUAUGUUUUAAUUAGUGUUUGUGCCAAGUAGAACCUUUGGGAAGACUUGGGUGAAAUCUUUGCGAUCUUGCUGUAAAAAAUAGAAACUUUUGCGCUCAUGAGAUUUGCUGCCAUUUUUUACUGGAGAGUGAGGUUAGGUUGAUUAUUUUUGCAUAUGAUUAAUAGACAAAUUCCUCACGUCCACCAAUUUAUUUCAGAAUUUUUGGGGUUACAGAAGUAUUCGAAACCUACAGAUUACUACAGACUGUUCUGUUUUUGACAGAUUCUGUUUUCAUUGUGUUGUUUGCUUAUUUUGAUGAAUCUAUGAGUAGUAUCGGAGGGUAUGAACUAUAGAGAAGUUGGAAUACAGUAGAUAUUACACCAAUAUGAAUAUAGAAUGAGUUCUCAACAGUACCCUAAGUGGUGAUUUAUUUUCUUAUACUAACAGAGCUUACGAGUUUUCUGUUGAGUCUUGUGUUGUGAAGUUUUCAAGUUUUGGGUAAAGAUUUGAUGGACUAUAGAAUAAGGAGUGGCAAGAGCCUAAUCUUGGGGAUGCCCAAGGCACCCCAAGGUAAUAUUCAAGGACAACCAAGAUCCUAAGCUUGGGGAUGCCCCGGCUGGCAUCCCCUCUUUCGUCUUCAUUCAUCGGUAACUUUACUUGGAGCUAUAUUUUUAUUCACCACAUGAUAUGUGUUUUUCUUGGAGCGUCAUUUUAUUUUCUUUUUCUUUGCUUGCUGUUUGAAUAAAUUACCAAUAUCUGAAAUUCUUAAAUGUUAGAGAGUCUUCAUAUAGUUACAUAAUUAUUCGACUACUCAUUGAUCUUCACUUAUAUCUUUCGGAGUAGUUUGUCAUUUGCUCUAGUGCUUCACUUAUAUCUUUUUAGAGCACGGCGGUGGUUUUAUUUUGAAGAAAUAGAUGAACCCUCAUGCUUCACUUAUAUUAUUUUGAGUCUUUUAGAACAGCAUGGUAAUUUGCUUUGGUUAUGAAUUUAGUCUUGAUAUUAUGGGCACCCAAGAUGGGUAUAAUAAAAACUUUCAUAUAAAGUGCAUUGAAUGCUAUGAGAAGUUUGAUACUUGAUGAUCGUUUUGAGAUAUGAAUGUAGCGACCCGACCCGAAUGGGUCAAGUCUCUGUGCUUAAGUGUCAUCCCUGGAUCGGUAUGCUGACACACACAGUACUCGAGGAUUUAUAACAGAGGUAAAUCACAUGUAAAAGUAACGUAAAUACGAUUACCUCAAUCCAAAAUAGUGGAAGUAACAAGGUUGUGGAUUCCCAUCAACACAAACGGCAAAGUUGAGUGUAGAAAUCGUAACCCUAACGUAUCACUUACUCGUUGUAAGAUAAUCCUGCAACAUGAGACGUUGCAGCCACAGAGGGUCAGUACAUUGAAUGUACUGGCAAAUUCACACCAUAGAGAAUGAUGAAUAAAGGCUAUCACUACAUGCAUAUUUGGCUGGUGGAAAAGCUCUAUGGUUAUAAGGUUUUUGCGAAAAGCCAACUUUUCCCUACUUCAAAGGAAUAAAUUUUAUUUAACUAUCAUGGUGGUUGUUGAACAUUGAGAAUGGUUGACAGCAUUCUCAAUCCCAAUUAAGUAACAUCAUUAAACCCAACAAUAUUCAUUUAAAGUAACGUGAUGAGAUCAACAGGAUAAUCCAAGAACUAGAUACUGAAGAUGUCCAUAACCGGGGACACGGCUAAUCAUGAUUAGUUUAUACACUCUGCAGAGGUUUGCGCACUUUUCCCCACAAGAUUUGAUCGCCUCCAUUUGUUUUCUCGCACUACAUGGUGUUUGAGAAGACGGAUGACCGAGACAUAGUCUUUUAGAAGCGCUAGCACCUUACGAUCGGGUAGACCGUACCACCUACAUCCCCUACCUCUGCUAGUCUACCACUGUAAGAGUUCGCACAACUUAAUCAACUAUGCCAGAGCCCAUAAUGGCUUGUGGCUGCACACGGAAGUUUCUAGUAUGAAUAAUCUCAUGAUCCCUUUGAGCCUGGGUGGCGUUCCAAAAGAAAACAGGCAAGUUCUGGACUACCCAGGUGCCUAGACAGGCAAUCCUAGAAUAACCAGGUGCCUCAAUCCACCCAGAUGUGUGUUUAAGUUGCCACCUUAAGUAAACCAUUAAUUAACAAUCUCACAUCUAUCAUGGAUACUCUCAAAACCCAAUCCACGUCUACUAGCAUAGCAUGGCAUAAUAAGCAAACGUAGAAGUAACUCCCAAGGGUUUGAUAAUAAACAGGUAAUAGGUACUACCUCAUCUACUUCCCAUCCCACAGUUUAAUUAGAUCCUAAUCAUGCAAUGUGUGAAGAUUGAUCUAAUGCAAAAAAACUGGGUAUGGAAGGGGAUAUGAUCAAAGUGUGAACUUGCCUGCAAUGUUGAUGAAGACGAUUCGCACUCAAAAUUCUUGAUAGUUCUACUCGUCACACUCCGGUCAAUCUAUCGUAAGCAAGCAAUAGUAACCACACAUAAGCAAUCACUCAAAAGAUCAGAAAGAACGAAGAAGACGAUUCGGAAAACAUCAAAACCAAGCAAAUAACUCUUGCAACAUAAAACAAUUUCUAACAGUACCAAAAUUAUGUGAAUUUGGCCUUAUAAGAAUGUUUAGGUCAAGAGCUUCGAUUUGCAAAAACAAUCAACUCAAACGGAGCUACGAAACUCAAGUUAUGAUCAAACGAAGUUUGAAUUCAAAUCUGAUCUAAUUCAAAUUUUAAACUUCUCAAAAACAUGUUUGAGUUGGAUUACUGGAUAGAGGAGAUCCUAACGAAGACGUGAGCAUUGGUUUCGUUGGAUUUGGAUAAACGGGUAAGAAGUUGUGCUUGUUUGAAGAACAGGGACUAUUCUGUAAAUAAAGUAUUCACAUCCAGGUCCCUGGCCGAAAUUACAGAAAAAGAAAAAGGACUAAGUAGCGAACGUUCGCUGCAGAAGCCUAUAAGACGAAAACUGUUCGCUACAAAUCCUAAACUAGCAAACGUCCACUAAUUAACCUAACUAUUAAAUAAAACUGGCUUUAGAAGAAAACCAGAGAAAACCAAAAAUAAAAUAAACCGGACCGGGCGGUUAAUUACCGGUUCGGGCAGUUUUCGUCGAAAAGACCACCGGCGGCGGUUAGCAGAUCGGCAGCGACGCCGGAUCGAGCGGCAGCGGCGGGCUCCGGCGGCAGCGAGCGGUGGCGCGGCAGCUGGCAGNNNNNNNNNNNNNNNNNNNNNNNNNNNNNNNNNNNNNNNNNNNNNNNNNNNNNNNNNNNNNNNNNNNNNNNNNNNNNNNNNNNNNNNNNNNNNNNNNNNNNNNNNNNNNNNNNNNNNNNNNNNNNNNNNNNNNNNNNNNNNNNNNNNNNNNNNNNNNNNNNNNNNNNNNNNNNNNNNNNNNNNNNNNNNNNNNNNNNNNNNNNNNNNNNNNNNNNNNNNNNNNNNNNNNNNNNNNNNNNNNNNNNNNNNNNNNNNNNNNNNNNNNNNNNNNNNNNNNNNNNNNNNNNNNNNNNNNNNNNNNNNNNNNNNNNNNNNNNNNNNNNNNNNNNNNNNNNNNNNNNNNNNNNNNNNNNNNNNNNNNNNNGUCGAGGCGGCAGCGGCGAGCUCCGGCGCGGAGGCGAUCUAUGGCGGCGGCGGCUCGGGAUGCGGGAGGGCAGGCGGCGGAUUUAUAAGAAGGGGCGGAGGCCUUGGGGAAGGGGCCAAGGAGAGGCCGGGACGGUCACGGCCGUCGAGGCCGGCGCUCGGGAGGCGUGCGGCGGCCGGUCUCCCGCUCGAUAGCUCGGGGAUGGCGGCGGCGUGGGCUGGGCCGCGGCCUGGCCUGGGAGCUGGGCCGGCCCGGUUGGCGGGAAGGGUUUUUUUUAUAAAGUUUUUUUUCAAAGAACUAAAAUAAUAAAAACAAAAUAACUAAAAAUAUUAUAUAGGCAUAUAAUAUAUCAAAAUUUUCAGAAAAAGAUUUUCUACAACAUGAACAUUAUUCUAGCAUUAAGUAAAAUACACACCAAUUCUAAUAAUUCAAAGAGUGCUACCGGUCUAAUAGAAUCCAACAAAAAUCAUUUUAAAAUUUCCAAAAAUGAUUUCAAAUAAAUUUUUCUCCAAUUUUCUAUUGUAGGGAAUCAUGUUACCCUAAUUUCCAUGUAUUUUAUUUUUGGAGAAAAAUAAUUUGAAUAAAACUCAAAAUAACUCCAAAUUGAAAAUAAAUUCAAAAGAACUUUAAAUUUAAUUCUUUGAAACUCCCAACUCAUAUUUCAUAUAAUUUGAAGAAGUCAUUUUAUCUUCUCUCAUGAAAAUCAUUGAGCUGCAUGAAGUUUAUGAAUUGAAAUAUUUCCAAAUGAAAUCCAAUUAUUUUCAAAUACCCUUUCAUUUAAUUAAAUGGAAGAAGUCAUGUCAUCUUCGCUCAAGGGUUUUGUAUUUGAAAGGAAUUUAAAUUCAUGGAGAUCAGAAAGCAAAUAUGAAAGUUUGGGAAAGUCCUUUUAUUCCCUCUCAUUUAACUUUCAAAAAGUUUUCGAAUUCACUCACUUUCACACAAUCAAUUAAUUCUAUCUAUUUAUUAUAACAUUCCAAAAUUUAGAAUUUUGGGAUGUUACAAACCUACCACCCUUAAAUGAAUCUCGCCCUCGAGAUUCGGAGAGGCUAGCAAGAAAAAGGUUAGGUUCGGGGUCUUCUCAAAAUCCUUGGAUCGUCUCCGGGGUCUCGGGUGCUACCACCCUUAAAAACAUGGUUACGGUUCCAUCAAAACUCAUAUACUCCAUCCUUAUUGUUGACAGUGUCGGUCUUGUAGAUCUCGGAAAAAUUCCAUCUCUGGCUCUUCCGGUAGCGGCAUAACCUUUUCCUCAAUUCUUAUGUCCUUUCAUCUUGGUAAGGUUAUUCCGAGACUGGGUCUUCUUAGCUGACGGUCUGGUGCCAAGACUAAACAACUAUCGAUAUCUCAUGGUGGUCAACAAUUUGUGGUUUCUCCUGCAGGAAAUGGGUCUGGGUGUUCCUCACCGUAUAACCUACGGUUGGAAAAGCUGCCUUGUACAAGGGUAAAAUACCUAUACCAUUCUAAGGCUUAAACGAGGUUUUGAUCAUCGGCACUCUACUAUAGGUAAGUCACUCAGAUUUACCAUCCCAUAUAGCAAGGCGAAUAAUGAGAGUAAUUCGGUAUGGUGAUCAAUCCAUCCCGCACCCAAAUCAUUACCAUGUAUACAGUUUAGCGAAUCUCGCAUACUAACACUCAGUCAUCCUCACAAGCAUUGCAGAAUUUCUCUCGUCUUCGAACCAAGUUCGGAAUAAUCCAUUGAUUCUGUAAGCCAAGCAAACAUCUAUCGUUCCUUCACAACUCUCAGGUUUUGCGUAAACUCCUAUAAAAUCGUCUGUCGACAAAGGUAUAUCCACUUCCAGGGUUUUUCCUUCAGCAAGAAUGUGCUUCCUUCUUGGCAGGUCCUGGGGCCUGUGGGUUAUGGCACAUCUCAUCACUUGUAGUCCUUGAACUUAUCAUCGGGCAACUUAUCAUUAUUCCAACAUCCAACUUCCAGCUUCCUAGCAUACUUAGAAUCCAUCCAAUUGUAUUGUCUUCUUCCUUCUAUUGGCACCAAACUAGGACAUGAUUACUCAGACACAUCAUGGAGUUUCCAUUGAUCCAUAUUUCCGACAUCAUACCUCCUUUAUAUCCAAUAGUAAUUCAUCUCUUCAUCCUCGUGGGAUAUCCCUCAUACCAAGAUAAAAACUUAUACUUAUGAAGUCCAUAUUCCACUUGGUGGAACAUCAUUAUCCUUUCCGCGGUCAAGCGUCCUUACAUGGGAAUAUUGGCCAUCUCUGCAUGGCACUUCUUCAACUGGGGAAUGUGAAACACAUCAUGAACUCCUGACAGUCCUUCGGGUGACUCCAACUUGUUGGCCACUUCUCUCAUACGCUCCAAAACUCGGUAUGGUCCUACAAAUCUCGGGGCUAACUUUACCUUAACUCCAAUUCGUUUAACUCCUUGCAGAGGGAACACAUGAAGACAUGCUCUGUCUCCAAUUUCAUAGACUACCUCCUUGAGUUUUUGAGUCUACAUAACUCUUCUGCCUGGACUGAGCUACCUUCAGUCUAUCUCGAAUCAACUUAACAUUCUCUUCUGACUCCUUGAUCACAU